rnacentral:lncRNA from 1 species
AUUAAUUUGAGAAUCUUUGCCAAGUAUAACUGUAAGCUAGCUUACACUACAUCUGUAUAUCCAAUGUCUUCUUGCAUUAAUCCCUCAACCUUGGUUACCUCUGUAAAUGGUUUCAAAUGUCUUCCUCUUGCAACAAAUAGAGCAGCCAUCAGAAUCAUGGCAAAAAAUAAGCCAGUCCAAUGCCUUGUCAGCGCCAAAUAUUAUAAUUUGACAGUUGAUAGGAGAUCAGCAAACUACCAACCUUCAAUUUGGGACCAUGAUUUUUUGCAGUCACUGAAUAGCAACUAUACGGUAUUGAUUAUUAUUAAUACGUAUUAAUUUCCUUUGUUCAUUUCAAAUUGGGACCAUGAAUAACUAAAAACUAAAUGCUGUGCAUGUAACCGAGCCUGGAUCAGUUGGAGCUGAUUGAUAACUUGCAAAGACUUGGAUUGGCUUGGAGAAAAGAAAAUCUACAACAAUAAUAAAGAUUAUGUUUGGAGAAAAGAAAAUCUGUAUGCAACGUCCCUAGAAUUCAGACUACUUAGACAACAUGGCUAUCCUGUUUCUCAAGGUACAUUUAAUUAAUUCGCUUCCUUCUUCAUGCACAUGCAUGAUCUGAAUACUUGAAUCGAUCUCUUUGUUUUUUUUUUUUUUUUUAUUAUUUAAAUGUAAAGAAAUGGACGAAACCCAAAUCAGUUUUAUAACUCUCUCUCCUGAGGGUUCGAACUCGAAAAGGGCGCCGCUGGGGAUACUUCAAUCAUUCUCUAAUUAAUAUAUGGAUGCAAAAAUUUUGACGAAUGCAACUUUUCUUGGUUGAAUGCUGCAGAGGUUUUCAAUGGUUUUAAAGACGACCAGGGAGGCUUCAUUUAUGAUGAUUUCAAGGGAAUAUUGAGCUUGCACGAAGCCUCGUAUUACAGCUUAGAAGGAGAAAGCAUCAUGGAGGAGGCCUGGCAAUUUACCAGUAAACAUCUUAAAGAAGUGAUGAUCAGGAAGAGCAUGUAUUUGUCGCAGAACAAGCGAAGCGUGCAGUGGAGCUCCCUCUGCAUUGGAAAGUCCCAAUGUUAGAGGCAAGGUGGUUCAUACACGUUUAUGAGAAAAGAGAGGACAAGAACCACCUUUUACUUGAGCUCGCUAAGUUGGAGUUUAACACUUUGCAGGCAAUUUACCAGGAAGAGCUUAAAGACAUUUCAGGGUAUCCAUUUGAUUGCAUAACUCAUAUAUAUAUAGACAGACACACACACACACACACACACACACAUCAAAGAUUUGAUUUUAUAAUUUACACAACUUGUACAAUUUAAUCACAUGUAUAUUAAAUUAUUCUUAGGUGCAAACUCCGCCUUUUACAGAAGUUUAAAGGCAUGAGCUGUACUUUAUAUAGUGCAGACAUUGCACCAGAGUAUGACUCUAUAUAUCGGUGUAUUGUAAAGCCUUUAUACACUUUAUAAAGUGCUAUUGUCUGCAUUACAGAAAGACUCUUCAGAAUUCUAGAUUGAAAGCUGACUCUCUAUAUAUAGAUAUAUAUAACAUGUAUCGUAAUAUUCGUUUCAAUUUCCCUAUGAAGGUGGUGGAAGGAUACAGGUCUUGGAGAGAAAUUGAGCUUUGCGAGGGACAGCUUGGUAGCAUCCUUCUUAUGGAGCAUGGGGAUAGGGUCUGAGCCUCAAUUGGCCUAUUGCAGGAGAAUAGUCACAAUUGCAAUAGCUCUAGUUACAGUGAUUGAUGACAUUUAUGAUGUUUAUGGAACUUUGGACGAACUUGAGCUAUUCACUGCUGCUGUUGAGAGGAUUGUUGGCAAACUAAUGUUAUAUUUAAUCGAUUGAUUCAAUUGCAAGCUAGCUGCCAGCUACUUCUCAAAUUAGUAGACCAUUUAUAAUAUAUUUUUUUUCUCUUUUCUACAGGUGGGACAUCCAUUAUGCUUUGAACCACCUUCCGGACUACAUGAAAUUGUGUUUUUUUGCGCUUUACAACUUUGUUAAUGAAUUUGCUUAUUACGUACUCAAACAACAGGAUUUUGAUAUGCUUCGGAGUAAUAAAAAUUCAGUAUGUAAAAUGUUAAUUUCACCUCUCCCGCCGUUCCGUUCCUUUGAUUUAUCCUUUUUAAAUUACUAUGCUUUUGUCUCAAAAAUAAUAAAUUGUAACUAGCUUUAUUUUCUAUGUCAUGUGCAUCAGUGGCUUGGCUUACUACAAGCCUGCUUAGUGGAGGCAAAAUGGUACCAUAGUAAGUACACGCCAACGCUGGGAGAAUUCUUGGAAAAUGGAUUGGUAUCAAUAGGAGGCCCUAUGGGUACAAUGACUUCAUACCUUUCUGGGACAAAUCCAAUCAUUGAGAAGGAACUAGAAUUUUUAGAAAGUAAUCAAGAUAUAAUUCACUGGCCAUUCAAGAUUCUUCGUCUUCAAGAUGAUUUGGGAACUUCAUCGGUAUUUAUUCUUUUUUCCUUUUUUAACAAGACAGAAAUUGAAUUAAUCCUCUAUAUACGAUUUGAUUGUACUUUUUUUUACCCAAUAAUUCAUCAGGAUGAGAUACAGAGAGGGGAUGUUCCGAAAUCAAUCCAGUGUUACAUGCAUGAAACUGGUGCCUCGGAGGAAGCUGCUCGUGAACACAUCGAGGAUAUGAUGAGACAGAUGUGGAAGAAGGUGAAUGCAUACAGAGCUGAUAAAGAUUCUCCCUUAUCUCAAAAUACAGUUGACUUGAUGUUGAAUCUUGUGAGAAUGUCCCAUGUUAUGUAUCUACGUAGAGAUGGGCACGGUGCUCAAAACCAAGAGACUAUGGAUGUAGCUUCUACAUGGCUUUUUCAGCCCAUUCCCUUGGAGGACAACCACAUGGCUUUCACAGCACCAACGGCUGAUGAAUUCCCAGAGUGCAGUUUCAGUUGAUGUUGGCCAGCCUUUUCUCUCUAUUGGGGGAUCGCUUUUCUAUAAUAUAAUAAACUCCCUCAUUCAUCGAGGUCUAUAAAUGAAAAGCAAAUGAUAUAUAUGUUGCUUUUAUUGAGAAUAAAAGUCGUCAGUAUAUGCAUAUACUUAAGUCAGGCUCAUUCCAAUUCCUACAAGAAGAGGAUGGAUGCAGUUAUACUCGAUUAUUUAAGCAUGGUUCAUAGCAUGUUAAGCACAAGGGCUACUUUCAGUAUACAUGCAUCACCCAUUUAAAUCGCAUUUGACAAAUCGUACCCAUUUAAAUUAAAUGAGGAUAUAAAUUAGAUCUGUGGCAUUUAAAGAAAAAAGUUACAAGGAUCAAAAAGUAAAUAUAACAAAAAAAUGAGUUCCUAAUUAUUGGAUUAGCUUAAAGAAGGAGCGCCUAAUUAUUGGAUUAGUCCAUUUUAAUUAUCUUCUAUUAUCAUAUUCAUUUCUAGAAACAAAUAUCCAAUAAUGUCGUUUGUGUUUAUAAAAUAUGAGUGUAGAGACUUGGGUUCAAUCUUUCUAGUCUUCUCAAAACUUCGCCUCUAGCUACACAUAAGUUAGGACUUAAAUCAAAAUUCAAAUAUUGAAAUCUUUAUUUUUAUUUUUAUUUCAUUAUUUGUUUUAUGCCAAUAAGAAAAAUAGAAAUAAUUUCUUUUCAUGAGCCUGACGGUACUGGAAAUUUACAAAGCGAUGAAGUUGAUUGUGACUGCUGCCAGUUAACCCAAGUCGAAAAGCCACAUGUAGCACCGACUCAAAACUAUUCUAACUAAAGGCUACAACUACUACGCACCAGUUCCAUUGAUAAACCCCAUGGAAUUAAAUAUAUGGAAAAAAAUAAUAACCAUAGGAUUUAAAGCAUCGUACCAUUAACGGUUGAUGUUGAUUGAGGGAACCGGAAGAACUAGGACGUGGUGGUCCGGUUGAUGUUGAAGAGGCAAAUUGGCUGGGUAUUUUGAAGUCAAGUAUGACAAAUAUGAUUUAAAUUGCAUGCUUUAUGCCUACUGCAGAGCUGGUGCUAUGGAGAGCGUAAUGCAUGUUAUGGGGAAAUUGGACGAAUUAGUCCGGAUUACAAUACCCAUCAUACUCUAAUCAAACAUUUCUCCAAUAAGAAGUUUUAUAUGCUUGCUUAUCGGACUAUGAUGGACAUGCAUAGUAAAGGCCACCAGCCGGAGGAGGUAUGAAAGUGGUCAUAGACAAAUGAACUUUUACUUCGGGAUUGCAACGCGAAAGACUUAUCACAGCUAUGUUGUUUUCCAGGAACUCUGCUCCUCCCUAAUUUUUCAUCUUGAUAAAAUGAGAGCGACACUCAGAAGCACUCUUUGUUCACAACAUGUUAAGAGGCAGCAAAAGAUCGAUGUGCAAGGCCAUUCAUGAGAAAAUUCUUCAUAUUUUAAUAUCCGAAAAACUUCCCAUGUCUUACCAUUUUAGAUCGAUUAUUCAACUGUCAUUUUUAUGCUUUUUUUUAAUAAAAAAUCUGUGAGGUGAUAACUCUAGGAAAAGAGAGUUAUUACAUCAAUUCUAGACUUGAAUCCAGGUCACUUAGAGAACAAAUAAUGUGUUUUUAUUACAUUUUGGUUACCUUUUGCAUAAACAUUCAUUUUAGUUGAGUCUUAAUAAGUUUUGCUUGAAUCAUAGUAAGUUGUGUUAAAAACAGGUUUUAAAUUGUAGGUGUUAAAUUCAUGAGAGGAUGUUGAGGCAUUAGAAGGGCAAGAGGAGGAAGGAAGAUGGCCACAAAAGAAGUAAAGCACAAUCGAGAAUAAGGCAGUGUUGUAGCAGCUGUUAGAGCAACCAGUGCUGUAGCAAUCUGGGAGCAAUGCGGGAGAAAACUUAGGCGCGGGUCAGCCAUAAAAUCGCGAUCUGCAUGUUUCCUAAUUUAAACACACGCAUGCUCAUGGGCUUUGGUUUAACCUAAUUUGCAAUAUAAAAAGGAGAGGUGCACCACAUAGAGAGUCAGCAAGGAAAUUAUCAUUAGAAUGAUUAGAAGGAACGAAGAAGAAGAAGAUCAGAAUUGAAGAGUGUUAUUUCGGCAACAUUGGAGAAUCGUGCAGAAUUACUUGGCUUUGAUUUUCACCGUGCUCAACUUAUAUUUAUCUUCUUCCUUUAAUUGAUUUGAUGUAUUCCGAGACCAAUAUGUUUAUGUUUAUUUCUCUCAUCCAGAUUAUGAACUAAAUUUACUUGUAGUUGAGUGACAAAUAAUCCAAUGGGUUCUUGACUGUUCUUAUAUGUUGUAUGGUAUUGCUGUAGCAUUUUACUCUAAUAGCUUUUAUGAAUAUAACUGUUAUUUCGGUUGACCACCCAUUUAAUAGUUUUAGUUAAGAUAGAGCAGCAAAAGGGCAUGUCUUAGCGGACAUUAUUAGAGUAUUACUUGUUCUUAAGUCGAGUUUCCUAGAUUAGGUUAUCUUGAAUCCCAUAAGGGCAAUACUUGAAGUUAAGAUAUGUGACACUCUAGACAUAGGUGUUCACCUUGUAGGGUAGAAAGAUUAAAGGUUAUAAUGUCGUACCAUAAAUAUAUGAGCAACUGGUCAUUGUUAGUAGAUUUAAAGGUAUGAGACUUCCAACAUGCGAUAGCUGAGGAUGCCGAUUUAUUAUGCCCGGUGCUGCAACACUUAUUCUAACAACUGGUGCUAAUUUAGUAAACAACAGUCACCCCAUUAGAAGAGUUUGAUCAUUCAACUACUAUAUUCUCAAGUGAAUCUUAGACACAGUUAAUAUAGUUUAUUUCAUUACAAUAUUGUCUUAUUUAGUUCUUAUUUCAAUUAUUGAUUACGAUAGAAAUUAUUUGACAAUUGUUUGUUUUGGUUUCAAAUUGAGUUGUGUUAUUGUGAGUGCUAUAGCAUUUUGAAUAACAUCAAUCCCUGUAGAGACGAUCUUGAAUACUUAUCACUUUAUUACUUGUUGUGUAUACUUGCACAUUGGCAUUGAUAGUUAUUGCUUAUAAAAUUCACCAACAAGUUUUUGGCGCCGUUGCCAGGGAUUGAUUGUUUAUUUUUGAAGUGUGAAGUAAAUCGUGAUAGUGCCGAAUUUGACUUGAUUCAUUCUAUUGAUUGGCAGAUCAGUACGUGCAUGCGCAAGGACAAAUAUGUGGUAUUCCAAUUCGAUCCUGAGAUUGAAAGGACUGUCAGGAGAUUGCGAAGAGAAUAAAGAAAUUCAAAGACUGUUUCAGGCAUGAAUAAUUUGCAGGGUGAGGGAAAUUUGAACCCUCACGGGCCCUUACAACCAGUCAACAUUCAAGAAGAACAUAAUGAACAGGCUAACAGGAGACAACCAGGCAACAACAAUAUUAUUUACCUGGCUGAUGAUAGAAGCAAUUCAACGGAUUGCCAAACGAAGAUCCUCACCUCCAUCUUAAAUUGUUCUUGGAAGUAAGUGAUGCUUUCAAGAUUGCUGGAGCAACACAAGAUGCCUUAAGGUUGAGGUUCGUUCCUUAUUCCUUAAGAGAUCUACCAAGAGCAUGAUUAAAUUCGUUACCAUUUGAUUCCAUCACUACAUGGAAUGAAUUGGCUGAUAAAUUCCUAAUGAAAUAUUUUCCACCAACAAAAAAUGCAAAGUUGCGGAAUGAGAUUACUUCCUUUCAUCAACUGGAAGAUGAAAGUUUGUACGAGGCUUGGGAAAGAUUCAAGGAAUUGCUCAGAAGGUGUCCUCAUCAUGGUAUUCCUCGUUGCAUACAAUUGGAAACUUUCUACAAUGGGUUGAAUCUAAGUACAAGGUUAAUGGUGGAUACUUCAGCAAAUGGAGCUCUGUUAUCCAAAUCUUACACUGAAGCUUAUGAGAUUUUGGAAAGAAUUGCCAAUAAUAAUUACCAGUGGCCUUCAGCCAGGCAACCAGCAGCAAGAGGAUCAGUAGGGGUACAUAAUAUAAAUGCAAUCACAGCCUUAUCAGCACAAGUUACUUCAUUGACUAAUAUGGUAAAGGUCAUGACAUCUGCUCCAGUAACAGUAAAGCAAAUUACUAAACUCUCUUGUGUAUACUAUGGUGAGAAACAUGACUUUGAUAGUUUUCCUGGGAAUCCAGCUUCAGUAAACUAUGUGGGUAAUUUCAAUCGACAACCUCAGAACAACCCAUAUUCAAAUACUUACAACCCUGACUGGAAACUAGAGGUGGCAAAAAUACCCGCCCGGUCCGGACGCGGACCGUACACGGGCAUUGUGGGCCGGGUAUUACCCGGCCCGGGUGUGAAGCUGGGUCGAUCUUGGGCAUCACUUAAUAAACCCAGAACCCGAAUUUUAUUAAAAAAAUAUUAUAAAAUAUAUAUUAUUUUAAAUAUUUAUAUUUAUUUGACUCAUUUAUUAUACAUAUAUAAAGUUUUAAACACUUAAAGUUUAUAUUUUCAUGUCAAAUUUUAUUGAAAUAAAUUUAAAACUUAUAAAAUUACCAAAAAAUAUAUAUAUACACAUAUAAUAUUAAAAAAUAUAAAAUUCGGGUACUCGGAUUAAAACCCGGCCCUGACCCGGACCCGGACCGGUUGCAUCCGGGCAGGGUCCGGUCAUUGCAAUACCCAGACCCGGCCCAAGGUUUUGCCAUCCCUACUGGAAACAACACCCAAAUUUCUUAUGGAGCAGUUAGAAUCGAAAUGCUCCAGCAUUAAAUAGACAGAAUAGAAACACACAGCCACCUGGUUUUCAUCAGCAGAGUCAAGGGCAAAAGCAUAUCAGUCAGGAUCCAAUCACUUAAUUGGAAACACUGAUUAAGGAGUAUAUUGCAAAGAAUAAAGCAAUUGUGCAGAGUCAAGCUGUAUCCUUGAGAAAUCUGGAGAAUCAAAUGGGACAACUAGCUGCAGCAAUGAGCAGUAGAACUCAAAGAAGCCUACCUAGCAACACAGAAGACCCUAGGAGAGAGAGCAAAGAACACUGUAAAGUAAUUAGUUUGAGAUCUGGAAAGAAUGUUGAUAUCCCAGUUGAGAUGACCAAAAAGGGGAUAGAAUGCAAUUCAGCACAAAAACCAACUCAAAAGAGAAGCAUGUUACAGCAAACUCCCCAUCAAGACACUGAUUACAUCGGCCAAGCUACAGCAACUGCAGAAGAAAUUCAACCAGAACAUGCUGAAAAAGAAGUUGCAACACCAGUAGCCACAACCUGGACCAACCUAAACAAACAAAGUUUGGUACCUCCUGAAUCUAACCAGCAGUUUAGACAUCCACCACCUUUCUCACAAAGGUUCUAGAAGCAAAAACAGGACAAGUAGUUCAGCAGAUUCCUGGAAGUGCUAAAGCAAUUAUAUAUAAACAUACCUUUUGUGGAAGCUUUGGAGCAAAUGCCAAAUUAUGUGAAAUUUUUAAAGGACAUCUUGGCAAGAAAAAGAAGGCUGGGAGAGUUUAAAACUGUUGCUUUAACACAGGAAAGUAGUCAUAUGCUCCAAAAUAAGAUUCCAGCAAAAGUGAAAGAUCCAGGGAGUUUCACAAUACCAUGCUCUAUAGGAACUAGGUAUGCUGGCAGAGCACUCUGUGACUUGGGAGCUAGCAUUAAUUUGAUGCCAUAUCUGUAUUUAAGCAGCUUGGAGUAGGGGAAUGCAGACCAAUAACAGUCACUCUGCAAUUGGCUGACAGAUCUUAUGCAUACCCUGAAGGAAAAAUAGAGGAUGUACUGGUGAAGGUUGAUAAAUUCAUCUUUCCAGUAGAUUUCAUUGUAUUGGAUUUUGUAGCUGAUAAAGAGGUACCCAUUAUACUUGGAAGACCUUUUCUAGCAACUGGAAAGACUCUGAUAGAUGUGCAGAAAGGAGAGCUCACCAUGAGAGUGAAUGAUCAGCAAGUCACAUUUAAUGUACUAGAGGCUAUGAGAAACCUUGAUGAAGUAGAAGACUGCAAUUUCCUGAGUGUAGUGGAUUUUGUUGUAGCAGACAGAAUGGAUAGAUGCUGCAGUAAGGCAUUUGACAAAGUCAAUACCUUUGAUGAUAUAGAAGAGAAAGAUGUUGCAGCAAUUAAGACAGAUUGGAUGGAAGAAAAGCAAUCUGAUAGGCACACCAGAUUUAUUGAACAUCUGAAUCUUUCAAACAGGGAAGUAAAAACAACUUUACCAUCUAUUGAAUCACCUCCUAGUCUUGAAUUAAAACUGUUACCUUCACAUUUAAAAUAUGCUUAUCUUGGUCAAAAUAACACACUCCCUGUAAUCAUCUCUUCUACUUUGGAUGCAGGUCAAAAAUAGAGUUUAGUAGAUUUGCUUGAAAAAUACAGAAGAGCAAUUAGAUGGACCAUGGCAGAUAUAAAAGGGAUAAGCCCAUCAAUUUGCAUGCAUAAAAUCCUGCUAGAAGAUUGCUCCAGCAAUUCAGUUGAGCACCAGAAAAGGUUGAACCCUAUCAUGAAAGAAGUGGUGAAGAAGGAAAUCAUCAAAUGGUUGGAUGCUGGAAUCAUAUACCCAAUAUCAGAUAGUUAAUGGGUGAGCCCAGUGCAAUGUGUUCCAAAGAAGGGAGGGAUAACAGUAAUAGCUAAUGAGAAGAAUGAACUUAUUCCUACAAGGACAAUAACUGGAUGGAGAGUAUGUAUGGAUUACAUGAAGCUCAACAAAGCCACAAGGAAAGACCAUUUCCCAUUUCCAUUCAUAGAUCAGAUGUUGGACAGACUUGCUGGAAAACAGUACUAUUGUUUCUUAAAUGGGUAUUCAGGCUAUAACCAGAUUACUAUAGCUCCAGAAGAUCAAGAAAAGACAACAUUUACUUGUCCUUAUGGAACAUUUGCCUUUAGAAGAAUGUCUUUUAGGUUAUGCAAUGCUCCAGCAACUUUUCAGAGAUGCAUGAUGUCUAUAUUUUCUGACAUGGUAGAGCAGACUUUAGAAGUUUCAUAGAUAACUUCUCAGUGUUUGGAGAAACAUACAAUAAUGGUUUGCACAACCUGGAAGAAGUUCUUAAAAGAUGUGAGAUGACCAACUUAGUACUCAAUUGGGAAAAUUCCAUUUCAUGGUGCAAGAAGGAAUAAUGUAGGGUCACAAGAUAUCCAAGAAUGACAUUGAGGUAUACAAAGCCAAGAUAGAGGUAAUAGAUAAACUGCCACCUCCAACUUCAGUAAAAGGUAUUAGGAGUUUUUUUGGGACAUGUUGGAUUUUACAGAAGAUUCAUUAAGGAUUUUUCCAAGGUGGCUAAACCAUUAUGCUCAUUGCUGGAACAUGAUAAACCCUUUUACUUUGACAAAGAGUGUCAUCAAGCAUUUGGAGAAUUAAAGAAAGCUCUGAUCACUGCUCCAGUAAUCAUAUCUCCAUACUGGACUUUACCAUUUGAAUUGAUGUGUGAUGCUAGUGACCAUUCUGUGGGAGCAGUAUUAGGGCAAAGAAGGGAUAAAGUUUUUCACUCCAUAUACUAUGCAAGCAAAACUCUUACUCAAACUCAAAUCAAUUACACCACUACAGAGAAAGAAUUGCUAGCAAUAGUAUUUGCUUUUGACAAAUUCAGAGCUUACUUGGUGGGCACUAGAGUGACUGUAUAUACAGACCAUGCAGCCAUCAAAUACUUAAUUUCAAAGAAAGAUGCCAAGCCAAGAUUAAUCAGAUGGAUCUUAUUACUACAAGAAUUUGAUCUGAAAAUUAAAGAUAGAAAGGGACUGAGAAUCAAGUAGCAGAUCACCUGUCAUGGUUGGAAGCAGACACAAGCACAUUGACAAGGAAAGACAUCACUGAAACUUUUCCUGAUGAACAACUGUUGGUGGUACAGCAAGCACAAAUGCUGCAGCAGUCAGAAUCUCCAUGGUAUGCAGAUUUUGCUAACUAUUUAGUAAGUGGAUUGUUACCACCCGAGCUGAAGUUUCAAGAGAAAAAAAAUUUCUUCACAAUGUUAGAAGCUACCAAUGGGAUGACCCACAUUUAUAUAAGUUGUGCCCAGACCAAGUAAUACGAAGAUGUGCUGCAGAAGGAGAGAUUCCCCAUAUACUGGAGUCAUGUCAUGCUGCAGCAUAUAGAGGACAUUUUAGUGGUCACAGAACAGCUGCUAAAGUAUUAAAAUCAGGUUAUUACUGGCCAACUAUUUUUAAAGAUGCUUAUGAGUUUGUUAAAUGUUGUGACAUGUGUCAAAGAACAGGGAACAUAACUAGCAGAAAUGAAAUGCCAUUGACCAACAUACUGGAAGUGGAAGUUUUUGAUGUCUGGGGAAUAGAUUUCAUGGGACCUUUUCCCCCAUCCUUUGGGAAUUUAUAUAUCAUUGUUGCUGUGGAUUAUGUCUCCAAGUAGGUAGAAGCUGCAGCAUUACCUGCCAAUGAUGCUAAAACAGUGGUGGCUUUUCUUCAGAAAAAUAUUUUUUCUAGAUUUGGCACUGCUAGAGCAAUUAUUAGUGACGAGGGUACACAUUUUUACAACAAAGUCUUUGCUGCAGCAAUGGUAAAAUAUGGAGUCAGACACAAGGCAGCUACAACAUAUCACCCUCAAUCUAAUGGUCAGGCUGAAGUGUCCAACAGAGAAAUUAAAAAGAUCUUAGAAAAAGUGGUGAACCCAACAAGGAAGGAUUGGUCUUUACACUUACAUGAUUCUCUAUGGGCCUAUAGAACUCCACUCGGCAUGUCCCCUUACCGAAUUGUUUAUGGAAAGGCUUGUCAUUUGCCACUAGAGCUAGAGCAUAAAGCACAUUGGGCACUGAAGAAAUUAAAUUGGGAUAUUCAUGCUGCAGCAGAGCAAAGAAAGCUUCAGCUUUGUGAGCUUGAUGAAUUGCGGCUAUUUUCUUAUGAAAAUGUAAGAAUUUAUAAAGAGAGGACAAAACACUGACACAACAAGCAUAUUCAACACAGGCAACUUAGCCCUAGACAGUUAGUGUUGCCCCACAAUACAAGACUAAGAUUAUUUCCGAGAAAACUCAAGUCAUGAUGGUUUGGCCCGUUUAAGCUGUUCAAAGUUUAUCCUCAUGGAGCUGUUGAUCUUUUAGAUGAAAAAACAGGUCAAGAAUUCAAGGUUAAUGGACACAGGGUUAAACACUACAUACAUCCAGCGGCAGAUUGUUCAAAGGAGGUGUUACUCCUUAAAGAACCCAGCUAUUGAGCAAUGAAAGAAGGUCAGGCUGAAGGACCUUAAAUCAAGCGCUCCAUGGGAGGCAACCCAUUGGGGAGACAACCACUUCAAACCAAUUGUGAUAUCCUUUGGUUUUGUAGACAUCUCUCCCUCUUUACCAUCUUAUUUAAUUUUGUUUUUUCUAUGUUAGCCAUUUACUUUUAUCCUUUUACAUUAUUGCAUUCUUUAUUUUCACUUUAAUUCGAUCUAUUUAUUUCUUUUACUACUUUUAGAAUUAAUUUUAGUUUGAAGUAAGUGUGACAAUUGAAUUCCAUAUUGACAAGUGAGAGUGUAUGAUGGCAGAAUGCAGAGGUGAGCCACGUGUCAGAAGCUUUAGUGUGGAGUAUGUAUCCGUUGUUAGAACAAGCGAAUGGGUACUGCAGCAACUAAUUUUACCGUUACAGUAAAUUAAAAGCUGGAGCCUUUCACUUACCGUUGGAGAUAAAAUCGUGAUAGAUGGAUGCAUGGAUAUGGAUAGAAAAUUGUAGAAACAAAUCUCUGAAAUUAAAGCUUUAAUUUCACUGGCCGAUAAUUUUGGGGAUAUGCACAUUUAAUUCAAAUAUUUUAUUCCCUCAAUUAUCUCUAGUUACCGUAUUUAUCUUCAAAUUUAAGUCCAUUAUAAAAAGGAGUCACUGUGAUUAGUGCUCUACGCCACUAUUCCCCAUCUCCUUCGCAAGUACAACUCUCCUAAUUCUUACCUUCUCCUUCUCAUUUUACUCUCAGGCACAUUAGCUUCAAUUUGUUAAUGCUACAGCAAUGCCGAGGUAUAAGAAAACAACUAGCCGCCUCAAAGAUCCGUCACGCUUCCAGAGCUACCACGCCGAAGAAAAAUAUGAAAAAUUCAUAGAGCCGCGUAAGAUUCUUGAAGAGAAAGGGUUUCAAUUUCCAGAAUAAUUCACUGGAACUGUACAAACAAUUCAAAAUGCUGUAGCAAAGCGAUGAUGGUUAAAGUUUUGCAAUCAUCCUCGUGAUCCUGUGCUUCAAGUAGUCAAAGAAUUUUACGCCAAUUUGGUAAGCCAUGAUCAACACAACAUUUAGGUAAGAAACACACUUGUUCCAUUAGACUCCCGAGUUAUAAAUACUUUUUAUAAUUUACCUGCUGAAAUUAAUUGUGAGUAUGCCAAGUUGCGUGAUAAAUUGACCCCGAAAAAGUGGACCACCAUUUUCACAACUCUUACCAUAGAAGGGGCAUCAUGGGCUAACGAGGAAGGGCGUGUAGUUAAUAGGAUAGAUUUGAAACCUAUUGCUAAGGUGUGGGUGAAAUUUUUGAAAUCUAGGCUUAUGCCCACCACCCACACUACUACGGUUUCGUAAGAGAGAUUGGUUUUGUUAUAUGUCCUUGUUCGAGGGCUUCCCAUAGAUGUGGGUAGCAUCAUUGCAAAAGAAAUCCGAGAUUGUGCAGUCAAGACUCACCGAACUGCUGCCUUACUAUUUCCCUCACUUGUCACCAGCAUUUGUGUAGUUUCAGGUGUUCGUCUUGACACCAGAGAUGACCAUGUUAAGAAUAAUGGUGCCUUUACGGCACGUACAAUUGAGAGAAUUGUUGGUGAGAGUGCUGGAACAACCACUGAACCAGCUGCUGUAACAAGAGCAAGACGAGUUAUUGGCUUAGAACAGACCAUCCAGGCACUCAGCACCAGUAUCACUCAAUGUGUGGAAGCUCAGCAGAGGGAAAAUGGUCAGUUUUGGAGUUAUCUACAGCACCUGGAUAACCAACUACACUAAUUUGCUCUGUACAUGAAACGCACUCACCGGAACUUCCCUGAGUCACUGCUCCAGCAGUACCAUUUUGACACCAACACCACAAGUACUCUAGCAGCAGGCAGUGAAGAAGCCACUGCUACAGAUGAACCAGCAGAAGAAGCUGGCAUUGAACCACAAGCAGAAGUCGACUCAAAAGAUGUUGAACCAUCUGACCCACCUGAGGACGAAGGUGACAAGUCUGAGACUAAUAGCUCACCCUCAGAGACAGAAGAUAAUUCGGAGAAAGAAAGUGAGGAACCAACCAUCCCAGCCUAGACCAAAACCAGAAAAAAACACAUUAUUCAAGAAGAAGAGGAGGAAGACCCUGAAGAGGAACCAUAUAUUCCAGUCCUUGCGAGCAAGGGAAAGGACAAGGGCAAAGCAAAAAUGGCAACACCUCCAAACUCUGCAGAUGAAAUGGAGCAAGUUGAUGCCGAGCUAGCUGCUGCAGCAGCCAAAGUUACGCCUACACUUGAGCAAGCCAAGCAACUACUAGCGAUCAUUGCGGCCAUCACAGCUGAGGGCCAGGCAGCUGAUGCAUCAACUCUAAUUCUUCCCCAGCAAACUCCUAGCCAGCCUGUUCGCACCAGCUCGUGACAGUCCAACAAAAGAAAAGGCAGUACUUCUAAAGGCCCUGCUACAGCAACCCCAUCCACAACUCCUUUCACCAGCCCCACGACGAAAAAGAUAAAGACAUUGCCAGCUACUUCCCCACAAGCUUCACCAAAGGAUAAGCUACGUAGUGCAUCCAAGAAGCGUUGAUAGCAUCUCGUCAUGUGCUGCAAUCCCUAACACAUGGGAGUAUUCUGUCCUUACUAGUUCAUUUAAAAAGAAACAAAAUUUUUUUUUUCUUUCUUUUUUGUUUGUCAAUUUGUGUGGUAUUUUCUAAAGGUCUUCAAUAUCCUUAUCUAGUUGUGUGCAUUUGUUAUGUAUACUUGUGAGGACACAACAUCUCUCAAGUUUGGGGGGGUUGUUUCCGAAUGAAUGUAUUUAUGUAUGUGUUGUGUAAAGCUCUGUUAUCUGUUAUUUGUGUAUGGAUUUGGAUACCUAAUGAAGAUAAAUUGAGUGUUAUUCGAUAUUUAUGAGAAUGCCAAGUAUAGAUAAGUUAUAGAUGAAAGUGAAAUUUUGUCCUGACACUUAGACUUUGGUUGAUGCAAUUUUGUCAUGCAACGUUUGAUUAUCUAACUCGAGUCCUUUAAUCUUUUAAUUUAAUAAAUCGUUACAUUUUUGUAAAGCAUCCUUUUAAUUUGAAAGUUCUACCAUUUUCUUUUUAAGACGUACAUUCUUUUUACCAAUUUUUAUCCAAUUAUCAUGCAAUUCCUUAAAAGCAUCAUAUAACACAUUCUAGGUAGGAUCACUUGCCUCAUCAAGUUUGUCAACCGAUUAAUCUCCAAUUUCCAUAAGUGCCAAAUUCGACACUUUAUGAGAUUCCUCCUAGUUUGUAGUCUCCUCAUACACAACUUCAAGUUUUCUCCAAAUUUCAUAAGCAUUAGAACAAUUUGAAACUCUAUGAAAUUCUUUUUUAUCUAAGGCACAAAAUAAAACAUUCAUAACUUUGGAAUUUAAAGACAUCUUUUCGCUAUCCAACUCACUUAAAACAUUCUUCCUAGGAAUGAAUGAACCAUCAGAAACUAUUUCCCAUAUUUUAUAGUCCAAGGCUUGUAAAAUGAUUCUCAUCCUAGUUUUCCAAUAAGGAUAGUCAUUACCAUAAAAAAAUGGAGGCUAGUGGUGGAUUGGCCUUCUAUGAAGGUUCAACUAAUUUGAGUUGUUAUGGAUCUUUAACUCUAGACGGUUAAGUCUACACGAGAGCACCUCGCUCUGAUACCAAAUGAAAUAAUAACUAGGCAACCCAAAAGGGGGUGAAUUGGGUUUUUAAAACUAAAGCUAAGCAAACCACACAACAAUUUAAUCUAAUGCCUUAAUGAAAUAAAAAAUAAUAAAUGUAACAAUGCUAAAAAAUAAAAAGAGUAAGGGAGGAGAGAGCAAACAAAAAUAUUUUUACAUGGUUCGGCAAUCCCCGCCUGCGUCCACGCCUCUAAGCAAACAAAGCUUGAGGAUUUCACUAUCCAAGCAUCCCAAGGCUUCAAACACUUACAAUUGACUUCUAAGGUGUUAAUGAACCUUUACAAGAAGAGAUUAUCCCCAAUCUCUUCGCCCAAGUGUAUGCCAACACUUACAACCUCUUAAUUUGAUUUUACAAAAAUGAUUACAAAUAAAUUUCCCUCACACAAUGUGUUUGAUUACAAAUGAAAGCUCAAUGUGUGAAUGAAUGAAAUGAAUACAAAUUUUAUGCUCAGAUUGCAGAGGAUGGCUCAAUGAUAACAAUAAUUGUAUCUCUUUGAUUGAAUUUGAUUUGAGCCAAUUUAUAGUUGAAGAAGAAAACUAGUCGUUGCUGACUUUUUAGUUAUAUCCGGCUUGCCGCUUUGUGUUACCAUUAUGUUUAAAUAUUUGAAUUUUUGCCCAUCCGGUUUGCCACUUUUCAUUUUUCGGUUAGCCGCUUUUACUGUAGAGAGCUUCUGCUUGAUAACCGGUUUGCCGCUUUUGUGAAUUCGGUUAGCUGCUUUUAUUCCAGAGAGCUUCGGCCCAUAACCGGUUUGCCGCUUUGAUAAAUCUCGCUAGCCGCUUGCUACAGUGAAACAUCAAUUUUCCAAAAUUAUAGUUUUGCCUUAAUACUUUAUAAAAUUAUACUAUGGGCCAAAUAUUUAUAAAACUUUGCAAAUAAGUCUAUUUCUAGAAUUUUAAAACAAUACUUGUUAAUUUCAAAGUUCUCAAAACUUUUCAAUUUAACCCAUAAACUUGAAAACAACUAAUUUCAUAAAAUCAUUUUCUUGUUGUAAAAACAUAAUGUGUAGUUCUUUAUUUAUCCAAAACAUGUGGUUUGUUAUUAUCAAAAUCAUCAUUUUAUAGCCAUAUAGGCUAAUAGUCUUUUCAAGUGCUCUAUCUUGUAGCCUUUUGCAACCAAGAAAUUGGUUAAUCUUUCAUACUAUACCCUAAAAACUUGUUUUAAUUCAUAUUAUGCCUUUUUCAAUUUGGAAACAUAAUUAGAAUGGUAUAGAUUUUCAAAGCCUUUGGGUUGUGACACAACUUAAAAGUGUUGAUUACUCUUACGUAUAAGAGUGUCUAGUUAUAAUAUAACCCGGUGAUUCUGGGGUCGAACUAUAGGGAAUUAAGAAUCUAGUACUCAAUUAUUAAACAAAAAUUGAUUAUAGAAAAUAAAUUAAUAGUCUAAAAAGAGCUAAGAUUAUGGGAUCCAUUCUUGGUAUUCAAAUUAUGGUAAUAUUACUCUCUCAUAUUUAUUUUUUACUUUUAUUUUACUAGAUUAAAUAUUAAAUGGCUGAAUUAUUAAUUAACCACUUAUGGAUAAAUAUUGGGAUAAAGUAUAUAAUGUGCCACAGCUGAAUUAGUGUGUCGAAAUUAUGUUUAAAUACCAUAUAGCUCCAAAGUAGAUCUACAUUCAUAGUUUAAAAUGAAAUGAAAAGAAUUUGUUAAGGAUACAAAUAAAAAAAAAAAACGUAAACUCACUUGAGAAGGCAAUUAAUUCUAUGGUUUGAGUCCCUAAGCUUCACCUUUCAUCUAAGUUUAGAAAUUUAGCCAUUCAUGUUUAAAAAUAAAACACUCAUUUUAUUUAAGAAUCUUAUAAUGUACAAUACAAGAAGAUUUAAAAUAAAAGAGAAGAGAAGAGAUUUUUCCUAAAAUUAACUCUUGAUUAACACUUAAAAAGCUCACCCCUAAAAUCCGCCGUACAAUUCUCUCUCCUUUCUUUCUUUCUCCCCAAUUCUUGCACACCCUAAUUUGUGAGAGCUCUUGUCUUUAAAUGCAAAAUUUUGAGUGAUCAAAUGUGGGCAUUUAUAUGAAAUUUUUGAGGAGCUUACAAUCACAACCUUAAGAUGGGAUUUAAUAGUACAAUCCAAGGGUCUGAAAUUGCAACCAUUAUAGAUAAUUGGAUUUAACAUAAUAAAUGGCUACAAUUAAAGUCAAUAUCUAAUCCUCCUUUGGCUCAUUGUCAAGGUGGUUGAUCUACCCAAUUUGAUGCGUAAAAUUUAGUACGACAAGGUGAACAUGAGCUCAGACAUGUGGCACAAUCUCAUUUGUUCAAAAAUAAUGUUGGUUCAAAGGGCUUGCAAUUCUUCCAAGGGUUUUUAAGUCUCCAAAAUCCAAAUUUCUCCUCUAAAUUUUCAAUCCGAGCAUCAUGAUCUGGGGAUUUCAUACAAAGCAUAUAUAUCAUACUUAAAGACUAAUAAAAAUAAAAAAAAUUAUAGAAUAGGUUAUGGAUUUGCAAAUGUGAUGAAUUUGCUAUUGCUAUCAACACUAUAAGUGAAAAAUGAUGAUUUUAACAUUUAUUAAAGGUUCACUUUAUAAGUUAAUCACAUCUCUCAACUAGCUUAUUCUUAGUUCCUAGCAAUUAAAUUACUAACCAUAAUAAGUAAAAUUAAUGUAUAUGCUUGUAAAUGUUCUUCCCUUCUUCAAACAAUUUUAUAGGUAAACUUCCCUUUGAAAAGUAAAAUUAAAAAAUAAUUUGUAGAGUGGAUAUCAAUAACCUUCCUUUGUGUUCAAUUAUAAAUAAAUACAAAACUUAUGGGAUUUCAUCAAAAGAUCACAAUAUUUUAGUUUUACAAGUUCAUUAGGGUUUCUAUCAUUAGUAGUGAAUUAUUUAUAAAUAACUUAACGAACAAUAAAUCUCCAACCCAUGUAGUGAUUUUUGGGCAAGUAACUCUUAGACUAGUUGGCCUUAGGGCACUAGGUAUUGAACACCGCUAUAGGCUUAGUCACUCCGAUUUUAGAUAUAGCCAAAUUCAACACAUUUUUUCUUUUUAUUUUUGCAUUUCUUUUUACAAAACUUAAUCGUUUUACACGAGCAAUCAUUUCUAAUUAGGAAGAUCCUCAGUUACUAGGUAAAAUAAUGUUUUAUUGAUUUUUUUUUUAAUUUUUAAACCAUUACCAUUUUACGCGAGCUGUCACUAUUGAUUAGGCAAGAUGCCUUAUUACUACGUAAAAGUUUGAGUUUUUUUUUUAAUAGAACACAAGUUUUCCACUAUCUUAGAUGUCACCUCUAACAAACCAACAGAAUUAAAUAUUAAAUAUUUCAACUUCCAACACAUAAGUAUGUGUCAUGGGGGGUGUGUGUUGUGCUGGAAUGGUUUAGUACAUCCACCAAAUAAUUAAAUGAAACAAAAUGGAUGAGUAAAAGCUAUUAGAAAGAAGAACUCACAAAUUUAAUUAAUUUGAAGAGAAAAAAUAAAAAUUAGCCAUUAUUAGAAAAUACAAAAUAGUAAAAAUGAUGCGUCUUAGGAGGAAUAAAAAGAACUCUUUAUUCCGCAGUCCGCAAACAAAGAAUGGUUAUUUUUUUUAAAAGAACACGCAAAAAGAUAUCGAUAAGUGGAAAUAUUUUUCUUUCUUUUUGAAAAGAAAACACACAAAAAUAAAUAAAUAAAUACACAAAACAUAGGAUGUCAACUAUCCUUUUCCCCCAUCAGAUCAAGACAUUGUCCUCAAUAUCUAAAGAAAUAGAUGGUAAAUUUAGAAGAAUACACUUGAUAAAUGUGAAGGAAAAUAAAUACCUAUAAACAAAUAAAACUACUAUAUAAGAAAAUUGAAAAAAGUUACACAUGAAGAUUUAGAUCCAGAAAAUAAAUACCUGUAAACAAAUAAAACUAGUAUAUAAGAAAAUUGAAAAAAGUUACAAAUAAAGAUUUAAAUCUAUCAUUUUGCCUUUUGGUCACUAUCAACAUAUGAUCAAUUAGUUGAGAAAUGAGUAGGUUGGUUUCAAGCUAUUGUUCUUACAUUCAACCAAUUAAUUCAGUAGCGGUUUUAGAGUAGACAAGGAUUCUUCGUGACGUAGGCAAAAUGAAAUUGUGCUUCACAACACUAUCAAGAAAUAUCAUGAAGAGACCAUAAUAAUAAUUCACAUCCAAUGGCUCGAUAGGAUUGUAGUGGAUGUUUAGUUGUGCUCAUGAUGCAAUUGUAAUAUAAUUCUUCUGAGGUACCAAGUCAGCAUACCAGAAGAAUAAAAACAUCAACAUGUUCAAUCUUUGCAAUGAGACAUUCAUGCAUACUUGUAACAACGAGCUCUUCUCCAUUUGUUCUUCAAAUGAUCCCUCUAACCAAAGGUUUUGGGAUUAUACUCAAAACGUAACUUCCUCCAGUGUUGACAGCUUAUGAGACAUCCCUUAUUAGUCUAGGAUCACAAUUUUCAUAUAUUUAAUGUACAUUUCUAUUAGACAGUAACUUCCUAAGGUCCUUGGCAGCUUUAACAAAAUCUAGGGCAUGUCCAUAAGUUCAUCCAAAAAAUAGACAAUCAUUUUUAAGUUUCCAAUUAGAACCAUUGCCAUUAUGAUUCCUUUUCUUUUAAGGAUUUGGAUCAUGAAAGAAAGAGAUAUAUAUAAAAGGGUAUUUACAAAUCUAGGAGAAGUAAUUCAUCAAUGAUAAUAAUUGCAAAGGUUGAUAAUUGUUAAACAAAAUAUCUGAAACAAUAGAAAGGAUAAAGUAGUCAAAUGUUGUGGAAAUUUUCAAAUGAAAAGAGUUAGAACCAGAUAAUAAAAUAAUAACAAAUAUGUACUAGCAGUUUUGAUUGUGACUCAUAUCUUCUUCUGAUUUUAUGUUAGUAAUAGAUUGAACAUCUUUUAUGAAUGGGGGAUAGGUUUUAAUCCAAUUUUCUUAAAAAUUGACAAAAAAAGAUCUUUUAAAGUCAGAUUGCCAAGAUUAAAUUCUGCAUGUUCGUUUUGAAAUUGUGUCAUUAAUCCUUGGAUCUCGUUUUGUACAUAUCCAUGGGUUUGUGUCUCAAGAGUUGAUAAUAUAUUGUCAUGAAUCAACUUCCAACUGAAGCCAUGCCUAACAAAUUGAAUUUUGUCCACACGAUUAUCAGAUAAAUACCCCAAGGAGUCACAACCGGUGUCGUAAGUCAAGUGGGCAUAUUUAUAAUAGACACCUAACCCUUUAGCUUUGCGCUUUUUUGCAUAGGUGCUCUUCCUCAAGCCAGGCAUGUGAGAGAUAAAUGAUAAAUUAGAGAUUUUGCCAGCUACUUAAACUUAAGCUUCAAUAAGCCAAUGAAUAUCUUUAAAAAUUCCAUACAUCAUUAAUAACUUCAUUCUUUUAAAUUGUGCUUUAUAAAUAUUGAUAAGAGUGUAUAGAGAGAGCGAAGGAGAGAUUGAAUGUAGUUUCUUGAUAAUCUCUCCCAUGCUUUUUAACAAAGGGUUUCAAUGAUUGUGGGUAAACUGAAGAACCAACUAUAAAAGUUAGGAAGUACUGUUAUCUGCUAUCUGAAGGAGUAAAAAAGUUAACCUAAAAAGACACAAAACACAAAAGACAAAACAAAAGCAAAAUCAAACACUUUUAUUGCCCCAUACGGAUAUACAUUUUUCAAUCUUUGUCCAUUCACUUUGAAUUUAUUACCGUUCUUUGGAUUCUCAACUUCUAUUGCCCCAUAUGUAUAUAUACUUUUCACAAUAAAAGAGUCAUUCCAUUUUGACUUUAACUUUCUUGGAAAUAAAUACAGAUAAAAAUUCAGUAGCGACACUUUUUGACCGACCUCAAAUGUUUUACAAAAAUUCUCUUAUCAGGAAAAGCCUUGGUUCUUACCUUAAUAAUUCUAAAAUUCUCAUAUACAUCAUUUUGAGAUCCUCAAGUUCAUUUAACCGUAAGUUACACAUAUUACCAGCAUUAUCAAGAUUUGAAUUAACAAUUUUAAUAGCUCAAAAUUAAAUUCAAUUGAUAAGUGUCAAUGUUUACCAUAACCCAACCGACAGAAUAACAUGUCUAAAGAUGUCUUAAAUGCAGUGAAAUAGGCCCAAAGUGCAUCAAUAAGUCAAUGAGACCCAUCUUUACGGUUUGGGUUAACCAUCUUUUCCAAAGUUUGUUGUAUCUCUUUAUUUGCUACUUUAACUUGACCACUUAUUUGAGAGUGAUAAAGAGUAAAAACUUUAUAUGUAAUGCCAUAUUUCUUCAUUAAUAUUUAAAUGACUUGUAAUAAAAAUGCUUACCUUUAUUAAUGAUAAUGGCUCGAAGGAUUCCAAGUUUGCUUAAAAGAUUUUCUUUUAAAAAAUGGAUCAAAGUUUUUUAAUUGCUGUGUUAACAAGGAAUCACUUUAAUCCAUUUUAAAACAUAGCAAUAGCAAAUAAGAUAUAUACAUAUCCAAAUGAUGAUGGAAAAGGGCCCAUAAAAUCUAUUCCCUAAUAGUUAAAUAUUUCAAUGACAAAGAUGAGUUUAAAGGCAUCAUAUUUUUCUUUGAGAUGGACCCCAACAUUUGACAAUUCUCACAUGUUUUAUAAAAUGCAUAUGAAUCUUUAAAUAAUAUGUGCUAGUAGAAUUCAUAUUGCCAAAUUUUUACAACUAUCUUCUUCAGAGAAAAGUAGCCAUCACAUGCUUUUGAAUAGCAAAAUUUAACAACACUGUUUACUUUAUCGUCCGACAUCUAUCUGUAAAAAUUUUGAUCAGUAUAGUACUUGAACAAGAAUGGAUCAUCCUUGUAAAAGCUUUUCACCUCUAUUAAGAAUUUCUUAUUAUCUUGGAAGUUCAAAUUGGAUGACAUUUUACCUGUUGUAAAAUAAUUAACAAUGUUGGCAUACUAAGGCACAUUAUGUAUAGAAAACAAAAACUCAUUAGGAAAAGAAUCAUUGAUAGGUAUUGUGUUAAUUGAAAACUUAUUUGUAAGUCUUAACAGAUAGCCUGCAAUAACAUUUUCGCCACCCUUUUUAUCUUUGAAUUCAUCAUUUUAAUCUUGGCAUGGCAUCCUGUUUAGACAUUAAAUAUCUAAUAGCAAUAUGAUAAAAAAAAGACCAUAAUAGAUGAACUAAUUAAAUUUGUUUGAAAUUUAUUCAGUGUAAAUAUUACAGCAAGUAGUUAUAUUUCAGUUGUAGUAUAAGUCAUUUGGGCACUAUUUAAAAUUCUACUUGCAUAAUAGAUAACAAAGAGCUCACCUUUUUUUUUCUUUGUCCUCAAGCAGCUCCAACAUCAUAAUCGCUAGCAUUACACAUUAGUUCAAAAAGUAAAGGGCAAUCAGGGGAUUGCAUUAUAGGGGAUUAUGCUAAAAGACAUAUUAUCUUUUCAAAGUCUUUUUGACAAUCUUUGGUCCACUCAAAUAGUGUAUCUUUUAUAAAGAGAUUACAAAGUGGUCUAGAUAUGAUACUAAAGUCUCUUAUAAACCUCCUAUAAAAUUCGGCAUGUCCUUAAAAGGAACGAACUUCCUUAAUUGUCUUUUGUGAAGGUAAUUUUGAGGUGAUUUUGAACGAACUUCCUUAACUGUCUUUGGUGAAGAUAAUUUUGAGGUGAUUUUAACUUUGACUUUAUCAACUUUGAUUUCAUUUAAAGGAAUUACAUGGCCCAAGACAAUUCUAAAAAUGGUCAUGAAACAACAUUUUGCCUAAUUUAAAAUAAAUCCUUUUUCUUUACACCUUUCUAAAGCUCUUUCUAAAUUAUUAAGAGAUGUAUCAAAAAAUUUUCUUAAUAUAGUUAAAUUGUCCAUAAAAACUUAUAAACAAUUUUCAACAAUCUCACUAAAAAUGCUUAGCAUGCAUCUGUGAAAUAUUGCGGGAGAAUUAUAGAGUCCAAAAGGCAUUCUUCUAAAUGUAAAUGUUUCAAAUAGGCAUGUGAAUAUUGUCUUUUCUUGGUCUUCUAAGGCUGUAGAAAUUUGCUGAAAGUUUGAGUAGCCAUCAAGAAAGUAGUAGCAGAAGUGUUUUGCUACUCUCAAGGAUUUGAUCUAAAAAUAAAAGAGGAAAAUGCUCCUUUCUAUUAGCAUUAUUUAAUUUUCUGUAGUCAAUGCACAUAUGUUGACUAGAUGGAACCCAUGUUGAGAUUAGUUCACUUUUUUAAUUUUUUACAGCGAUCAUUGCAGAUUUCUUUAGUACUACUUAUACUGGACUUACCUAUUUACUAUCAAAGAUAAGAUAGAUAAUUCUUACAUCUAGUAGUUUAAAGAUCUAAUUUUUUACCACUUUUUUCAUAUGGGGGUUAAGUCUUCAUUGUGGUUAACGUGAGUUUUUUUGGCAUUUUCAUCUAAAAGUAUUAUGCGUAUACAAAAAAUUUCUUCACUCUUAAUGAACUCAGUGAUCUCUCUUUAAACAAAAAUUCUGCAAAAUCUUUAAAGUCAUCAAUAAUAACAUUGGUAGAUUCCAUAAUAGUUUGAGUUCCCAAUUUUUACAAUGGAAAAGCUUUAUUAUUAUUUGAAUAACAAAGAAAAAUGCCCUCAUCAUUUUUUUACUCAUACUUACACAAGUAUUCACGAUCUUUCAAGAUGUAACAUGUAAUACCAAAGAUGUGAAAAUAAUUUAUAUUAGGUUCCUCACGUUUCCACAGUUCAUAAGAGGUUUUUUUAGUGCUUGGAUACAAAAAUAUUUAGUUCUUUUGCUGAAAGACAUUUAGUCAACUUAUUGGAGUUCAACAUCACACGUGCCAUCUCCUCUAAGGUUUUGUUUUUUCUUUAAAAAAUUCCAUUUUGUUCAAGAGUAGUAGGUACUGAAAAUUCAUGUAUUAUACCAUGUUUAUCAAAAUAUUUUGCAAAAUUAGCAUUUUCAAAUUCGUUUUGAUGAUGACUUCUAAUUUUCCCAAUAUUAUGAUCUUCUAAUACAUAAUUUUUUAAACACACCAAACAUAUCAGAUUUUUCUUUAAUAAAAUCAGCCCAUGUGCAUCUGAAGAAAUCAUCUAUGCAAAUAAAAGCAUACCAUUUUUCAGCAACACUUUUCACUUGCAUUGGACUAAUAAAAUUCACAUGAAGGAAAUCAAGUACUUUAGAUGUGGUAAUAUGUUAAACAACUUUGUACGAUGUGCGAUGUUUUUUGUUGUUAGCCAAUUUGACAAGAAUUACAAGCUCUAGAUUGUUUCUUUUGGAGCUUAGGUAUUCCUCUUACAAUUUCUGCACUCACGAGUUAGUCAAUAAUUUAUAAUUAAAAUGACCAAGUUUUUGGGGCCUUAUUUCAAUUUGAUCAAUAGUAGUUUUAUGACAAGUAAUAAAUUGGAUCAAUUUAUAAUAAUGAUUCGAUGGUCUAAUUCCCUUAAGUAUAUACUUACCCUUGUUAUUAAACACUUGACAUUUGCUGCUAUUAAAAUUUAUCAUUAAGUUUUGAUAAUAAAUUUGACUAAUACUCAAAAGAUUAGCUCUCAAGUCUUCAACUUGUAAAGCAUUUUCAAGUCUAGGAGCACAUGACUUUUAAUACUGUCAGCAAAGGCCACAUGUUCUCAACUACAUUCUUCAUAAUUUAUUAAAGCACUAUAAUCACCAUUCAUGUGUCUAGAGCAACCACUAUCAAAACACUAUAAGUUAUUAAUACAAGAUCGCAGAGAUGUAAAUGACACAUAUGCUUUUAAUUCAUAUUUCCUAAUCCAAUUUGGUUCAAUAAAGUUACCUUGAGCAUUAAGCUUAGGUUUAAGAGUAUAUCUAGGUUUACCAAAUGAAGAAAAAUUAAACGACACAAUUUUCUUUAUGUAAUUCAUGAACUUAAAGCAUCUAGCUCUUAUGUGUCCUUUAAUAUAACAAAGUGACAAGUAAGAACAAAACUUUCAUACUAACCAUGUGAGCUCGAUGUAUAAUGUGUCACAUAUUUACCUUUCAUUUCAUCAGAGAGUUUUGCCAUAGGUAGCGAUACUUUGGUUGUUAGUGAAGAGGCUUUACCAAAAAUAGUAUUUGAGCUUGAAGUAAUUCCUUUAUGAUACCCAAGACAAUAAUGAUCUAAAGUAGCUUUUCCCAUAGUCAAAAUCUUAUCAAAUUGCUUUGUUCUAGAAUUCAUCAUUCUCAAAGAUUUUUUAGUACUUUCUAGCUCAGUCAAAACUUCCUUCAAUUUCUCUUCUUUUCCAAAAACAGUAGUUUGAGGAUUGAUUACUUCACUUUCAAACCUUAACUUUUCAACAAUUUUUUUUUGAUAAUUCAGCAUGAAAUUUUCUUACAUCUUUUUUUCACUUUUACCCAUUCAUAAUAUGUGUAAUCAUCACUACUAGAAAAUAGUCUUCACUGAUACUUGUCUUGUGACACUUUAUUUGAAAGUAUUAGUAUGUACAUACAUUUGGACCAUUUUCUGCAUUUAACAGAUAGGUAUCACUAAUUACUAAUACUACAGUAUCAAUAGCUUUAGCAAUAGCGAUCAAUGAUACUGAGGUAUCAGCAAUAAAAAAUUAUCAUUUGAAUUUUGUUUCAGUAUGAAUUCAAACCGAAGACCUCUUAAACCUAAAGCUUCUACAUUGAAUCAAAAGACUAGUAGACUACGAAUUAUUUUUAGUUUUUUUAAAGCUAUGCUUUUUAAGCGGAUAAAAACAAAACAAAUGGACAAGUCUUAUCCAAAAUAUAACAAAACCUUUCAACUCCCUCUACCAAAAUAUCCGUUCCUUCCUAAGCUCCCCAGAUCUAAAAAAUCCCUAACAUCCAAAUUGUCAAAAAGUGCUCGGCCAUGAUUCUAUCAAACCGGCGGCACAUGUCUGCCAUUUGCCUUCAAUAUCCUAACUUCUUCUUUCUUUUCUUAUUUUAUGAUUUUGGGUCUCUAUUAUUUUCAUCAGAUAUUGAGUUUUUUUUUUCAAUUUUUCUUUUAGGUUUAAAUAAGUGAUUUAGAUAAGAGCUUCUAUGUUUCUUUAGCUACUUGGAAGAAACUAGAAGGUAAAGAUUCGGCUUUCAUUGUGUUUUUUUCUUUGCUACUUUCUUUUCUUUUAUUGGCACUAGAUAGCCUUUAUUGUAUCUACUUUGGAAAAUAUUGUGUUUAGGGUGAUUGUCACUAUAAGGUUUACUUUAUUUCGCUGAUGAACGAUAUUAAACAUUUUUUACACUAAAACCCUAAAAUUUUCUAAUAUGGGAAUUCUUAAGAGCAGCAUGAUUGUGCUAAAAUUGAUGGUUUAUAUUGGUUCAUAGUGGUUUUAUGUUGAUAUAACUUAUUGGUUAUUAACCAUUUCUUCAUGUGUUAUUAGUUUUUUUUUUCAAAAGCAAUCGUUUCAUUCUAUUUUUCGGCUAUUAUUUUUGGGUUCUGUUCAUAUAAAAUAGAUUUCCAUUUUUAUUCAAUAUAAAUAGUUUCAUUGAAUGAUUACUUUUAUAAAGGAAAAGUUUGAAGUAUGUGGCUUAGGUUGAGAAAUGAGGUGUCUUUAUCAUUUCUUUGAUGGAUAUGUUUAUAGGGCAAAACAUAAAUUUGUUUCUUCAGUUCAUUAAUAAGGCAAUAUUAGAUUUUUUUAUUUAUUUUUAUAUUCAUAAUAAGGCAAUAUCUGCUUCAGUUGUUUUAUUUUUCUUAUUUAUAUUUACAUGAUUCAUGGCUAAAAUCAUAAGACUUGUUUACAGGGCAAAUGGGAAUUUUUUUUUUUGGUUGAAAAUUUUCUAAGAAAUUUUGGUGUAGAGAUAACCAUGAAUUUUGCAGCAAAUUAAUGUUUGAUGAAUUAUUGUAUAUGAUAGAAUUACCCUAGUUUAAGACUUUGAAGGUUUUCAAGAAAUUAUUUUGGAUAAUAAGCAUCCGACUAAUAGCUUGAAAAUUAAUUUAUUGCAUCUGUAUAGUGUAUUAAUUUUAAGAACUAUGGAUUAUUUAAUGAAUGUUCUAGAAAAACAAUUAUGUUACAUAUUGCAUGUCUUAACAUAUAAUGAUCAUAUUUUAAAGUUUGUUAUCGUUUUUCCCCCUUUCUAGGUUUAGGAAGAAUUUUGAAAGUGAAAUGAGACUACUAUUGGGUGAUGAUGUCAAUCAAGUUUAAGAAACGUUACUUGUGAGUGGAAAUAUAUAAUGAUUAUAUUAUAAUUCCAUUUUUAAUUUCUUUUAUCUUUUUUAAGUUUUAUAUUCAGGGAAAACUAAUAAUGCUUAAUUACAAUAGAGGGUUAUAUUCUUUAAAUGGUUUGUGUAAUCAUAUUUAAGUAGUAUAAUAAAUUCAUAUUUACUUUACAAAGGCUUAGCUAGGUUUGCAAAUAUUAUUUUUUAAGAAGUAAUGAUUUUGGAAUGAACUCUCAAAUUAUUGAAUUGUCCAAACUUUACCAUAUGUUUGAAAUAAUUAAAGUUAAAUGUGUAUGUUUUAGUUUUGGAAAAUUUGGAAUGAAUUGGGUUUGUAACUGAUUUUUAAUCGAUUUUUCAAAAUGGUUGGUUGCUGUCUAAUUUUUCAUAAAUUACUCAUGUAUCAUGUUUGGUGGUGCAAAACAAUAGUCUAAAAGUGUCCGAAUGAGCUGAAAUUUGGAGAAACUAAAGUUCUAUAUGCAUACUCCAAAUCUGAAAAUUUUCAUGUUGAUUGAACUUGCAGGUUAUUUUUAAUGAUUUUUCAAACUCCGCUGCCCUGAAGCAAGUUCUUUUGACAAAAUUGUUUAUUAACUUUUGAUCUUACAAAACACUAGCAUAAUAAUGUCAGAUAGCUGGAGAUGGACAUUCAUAACAAUUAUCUAAGCUUUCCAAUUUCAACUUUUUUGUUGAUUUAAUUUUAAAAUUUAAGUUAAUUUUCAUGUACUUAUCUCAAAAUAUUAGGAUUUUUUCUUUUUAGCGUGUUAAAGUUUGAAAAUUUGAAUGACAUCCUUAAACAAAAGAGUGGUCUUUCAGGAGUAGUCGCUGUGUGCACCUAUCCUACAUGGAAGUGGAUACCACAUUACUUCAGUGUUUCCAUAGUUUUAUUUAAGAGAGAAUAGGGAGUAAUGUUGAAAUCGUAUAUGGCUUCCAAAUUAUGUUCUUUCUGAAAUGUAUGUUGAUUGAUUUAAUGGAUGUUGCGUGAGGGCAUAAAGAUCCUAUUAGCAUACCAUUUCUAAACACUUAUUUAUACUAUUGAUUUAUUUAGAUUUUAUUUAAAUUUAAAUUUGAUCAGCAAUAAAAUUAUUUUUAUGUUAAAUUUUUAUUUUUUAUGGAUUCGAUAGAAAGAAACUUUUUGAUCCGUAUCAAAUCUGCAAAACAUUGGAUUGGAUGUGGAUUAUGUCAAAACUGAAUCUAAUCCGCAGACUUAUACAUUGGAUUUGAAUUAAUUUUAUAUGGAUUGGAUGAGAUUUAAAAUCUAUAAUGAUUUUUCACUUGUUGUUAAUUGUUAGAAUUUUUUCACAACGCGCUUUUGUUGGACGUUCUUUCACAACACACUUCCACCGAUCGUUGUUAAAUGGACUUUUGUUUUUUUUUUUGAAAUAAUUACAAAUUAUCACAAUCUACAGAUACAUUAAAAUUUAUUAUACACUAGAUACAUGCAUUCAAUUUUUAUUAUAGCUUAGAUGUCUUCCAAGCACUAUAGCCCGGAAAUCUGCUCCCGGUAAUUUUGAGGAGACAUUUGUGCUAUACAAUCAACUUUUUGUUGAUAAUUAUUUUGAGAUUUGUUAAUUUUUUUUUCGUAACAGUACUUUAUAACUAUAACAAAUAAAUUUUUUAAUUGAAUUAGUUUGAUUAAACAAAGUUUUUAUCUUCUUCUAUAGUCUUGAUUAUUUUGAGUGUUAAAGCUCAACAUCACGAUACUGUUUUGAUUAUAGUCAUAAAAAAUUAUGAUUAGUUUUUUUAGAUUCUAUCUUAGAAAACUUGCCUGCACAUAAUAAGAAUUAUAUGUAAAUUUCAAAAAAAUAUAUGCUAUGUUACACCAAAAUUUAAGAUAGAAUAAAAUAUUUUUCAAAAGUUGCUUGGAUUAAUGAUUUAUUCUUUAGAGUUGUUACCAUGUCAUUAUAUGAUAUUUAUAGAAAUUACAUUCACAGAAAAGUAUUAAAGAGAAUGCAAAAGUUUAGACUUUUAAGAUAACUUUGCAUUUUCCCAAUCGUAUAAGAUUGAUGUAGUGCAUACUCCCUAUGUCACUUGGACUAAAGAUAACUAAGUCAAACCAAUAAUUUUUGUAACUACAUCUGUAGUAAGUUAUAACCUACUCAAAGUGGAAAAAAAAAAAAGUUUCGUCCUAGUAUUAUGACAAUAGAAAGAUUUCACUAUGUAUAUAACUUUGUACAUUACCACAAACCAUAGAUUAAUUUGAGAAUCUUGCCAUAAAUAUAAAAAUAUAUAUAUCUCAGGGAGAUUGUCAAUAUUCCCCUAUUGAAAUUAGUAUAUAUCACGUAUCUGUUUACUGUUUUCAUAAUAGCCAAUAACUCAUGUGACAUAGAAAAUUUAAAGGAAAAGAAGGAUGAAUAGGUCAUUUGCUUGAUGGAUCUCUGAAAUAUAAGUAUAAAAAAUAGCAAAAAGUAUAAGAAAAAUAUCUUAUUAUUAAUUUUUUUAUUCAUACUAAAACCUAUAAUAUUUUUAAUUUAUAAUAAAUAUUAGUAGAAUGUAUUUGAAAAUAUUAAUAACAUUGUAAAAUGAUGGUGACAUAGGAAGUAUUGGUAUUAUGAAAAUAAUAAAGAAAAAACCGAUAUCUAUUAAUUUUUGUUGGAGAAAAUCUACUUGUUAGAGAGAUUACAUGAAUCAAUUAUUAGAAACUUUUCAACAAUAUAUUCUGCAGAACAUCACAAAAUUGAACAUCUAUUAGAAGCUUGCCGAUCCUGCACAUUGAAAGUGUUUAUAACAACAUUCUUUUGGAUGUAGCCAUUUAUUAAAAUUGCUAUACAACGCACUUUCACUAACCGUUGUUAAAUGGAUUUUUUUUUUGAAAUAAUUACAAUGUGAAAAUGAGGAUUACCUUCUAUUUGUCUAGGAAAAUUAAGCAAAACCCCUCCUUAUUUUUUAAUAUAUUCAAAUCUCCUGCAAUUAUAAUGGUGUUAGUUUUAUUUAUCAUUUUACUAUUCUAUUCUUACUAUCGAUAUUAGCCAUAAAAUUUAGAUAUUUUGAGAAAUUUUUUAAGCAAAAUGACUUACAUAUCCUCAACAAUUAAAUAAAUUUAUUAACCUAUUGCAAAGCAUGAAGAAAAAUUACAAUUUACAAGUAGAGGAAAUAUCAUAUAUACCCCUAAUACUUAUAUAAAGUAUUCGUUUAAAUGAAUGUAACAAGUUUGAUAUAUUUAAUUUGCUUCUUAAUCUGGCACACGAUCAGUUGUUUUAUUAGAGAAGCAUAGGCUAGGCCAUACCGUUGCCAUUGUAAUUGUUGUUUGCUUACUUGCUUAUGCUAAUUAAAUGCUCGUAAUUAAUUAUUUCUCAUCAAAUAGUCGCAAGUACGUAUAAUUUAUUGUUUUGUUAGUAGUUGCCUAUAUAUCCCUUUCCUAUAGUGAUUCUUUUUCUUUAAUUUAUCAUAUAUUAUUCAUUUGCAGUCUGGGUGAAUUUAUUGCAUUUAGUCCAAUUAUCUAUUUGUCCUUUAUUUGAAUGUAUAUUUGGAUAUUUCCUUCAAUCGUUUUAUUUUAUGUUUUCUGAGAUAUAUUUAGAAUCUUGGACUUCAUACACUUAGGACACAUUUAUACAACUAGUAGGAAUUAUGUCAUUUCCUCUACUUGUAAUUUUUCUCCAUAAUUUGCAAUUUGUUAUUAAAUAAAUUUAAUCGUUAAGGAAAUAUAAGUCACUUUGCUUAAAAGAAAAUCUUCAAAAAUUUUAUGACUAAUAUCAAUACUAGAGAUAGGAUAGUAAAAUGAUAUAUAAAACUAACACCGUCAUAACUGCAGGGUGUUUGGACAUAUUUUAAAAUAUGAAAGGAUUUCGCUUAAUUUAUCUAGAUAAUAGGGUUAACCCUCAUUUUCCUUUAUUACAAUCUAUAGAUAUAUUAUUUAGAUACAUACAUUUGUAGUACAACCGAGAUGCCCUUGGGCAUGAGCUCAAAAAUCUGUUUUCACUAAUAUUAGGGAGACAUAUCUAUCCUAUCAAAUCUAUCUUUUGAUGGUAAUUACUAAUUAGUUUGAAAUGUAUAAAAUUUGUUUUUCAAAAGUACUUUAUAACUAUAACAGAUAAAAUUUUAGUUAGAUUAGUUAAAUAAAACAGGUCUUUAUCUUCUUUUAUAAUUUUGAUUAUUUUGAGUAUUAAUGCUUAACACUAAGAUAUUCUUUGCAACUUUGCGUAUUCUAAUUUUUGUGUAAGUACGUAAAACAAGUUUUUAAUGUAAUAAAUAGGACUUUUGUAAGCAAAGUUAAAUUUAUGAAUUUUUUUGUCAUUAAUAUGUGUAUUUAUUAUAAUUAUAUGGCUUAUAUAGAAACACUUUAAAAAAAUUUGUACCAAAAAAACGACAAAUAAAUAACAAUUAUACAACAUGCCAGCCCCUCCAAGGGCGUGGUCGGGUUGGUUGCAGUGCAGCUGUAUCCUCUAUCAAAACUCGGGUUCGAUUCUUGAGGAUUGUAAGGGGGGUAAAAAUUGUAUUUGGGGUUGCCCACCCCCUAUACCCUUAAGGGAAAAAAAAAAACAGGGCUUGCCCACACCCUUUAUCUUUAAGGGGAAAAAAAAAAACAUGCCGGCGAAUGUACGUAUUUGAACUUGCUGGCACGCUAGAAUUCCCUCACAAGAGGGAAGAUGUACUCCUUUUUUUUAUUUUUUAUGAAUAUAAUAUCUUUGUCCUACUAAGACUUACAAAUUAUAUGCUUUGAAAAUCUCAGAGAAAAAUAAAUCGCAUGCACUUCUCUGCUGCCUAUAUAUAUAUAUAUAUAACCUUGUGCUUACACUACAUCUUUAUGUCCAAUGUCUUGCAUUGUUCCAUCAACCUCGUUUACCUCUGUAAAUGGUUUCAAAUGUCCUCCUCUUGCAACAAAUCGAGCAGCCAUCAGAAUCAUUACCAUAAAUAAGCCAGUCCAAUGCCUUGUCAGCGUCAAAUAUGAUAAUUUGACAGUUGACAGGAGAUCAGCAAACUACCAACCUUCAAUUUCGGACCAUGAUUUUUUGCAGUCACUGAAUAGUCACUAUACGGUAUACAUUAUUAUUAUUACAUAUUAAUUUCCUUUGUUCAUUUCAAAUUGGGACCAUGAAUAACUAAAAACUAAAUGCCGUUCAUGGACAGGAUGAAACAUACAAAAGACGAGCAGAAGAGCUGAAGGGAAAAGUAAUGAAAACGAUUAAUAAGGAUGUAACCGAGGCUCUGGAUCAGUUGGAGCUGAUUGACAACUUGCAAAGACUUGGAUUGGCUUAUCAUUUUGAGACUGAGAUUCGGAACAUAUUGCAUAAUAUCUACAACAAUAAUAAAGAUUAUAAUUGGAGAAAAGAAAAUCUGUAUGCAACCUCCCUCGAGUUUAGACUACUUAGACAACAUGGCUAUCCUGUUUCUCAAGGUACAUUUCAUUAACUCGCCUUUUUUUGUCAUGCGCAUGCAAGGUCUGAAUAUUUGAAUCGAUCUCUCUGUUUUUUUCCUUUUUUUUUUCAAUUUAAAAGAGUGGACAACACCCAAAUCAAUUUUUUAAUUCUCUAUCUCCAGAGAAUUCGAACUCGACAAGGCCGCUGAGACACUUAAAGCAUUCUCUAAUUAGCAUAUGUAAGCGAAAAUUUUGAUGAAUGUAGUUCUUUUUUGUUGAGCACUGCAGACGUUUUCAAUGGUUUUACAGACGACAAGGGAGGCUUCAUUUGUAAUGAUUUCAAGGGAAUAAUGAGCUUGCAUGAAGCCUCGUAUUACAGCUUAGAAGGAGAAAGCAUCAUGGAGGAGGCCUGGCAAUUCACCAGUAAACAUCUAAAAGAAGUGAUGAUCAGCAAGAGCAAGCAAGGGGAUGUCUUUGUGGCAGAACAAGCAAAGCGUGCACUGGAGCUCCCUCUGCAUUGGAAAGUUCCAAUGUUAGAGGCAAGGUGGUUCAUAGACGUUUAUGAGAAAAGAGAGGACAAGAACCACCUUUUACUUGAGCUCGCUAAGUUGGAAUUCAACGUUUUGCAGGCAAUUUACUAGGAAGAACCUAAAGAUGUUUCAAGGUAUCCAUGCUUGGUUGCAUAACUCAUAUUUAUGUAUGUAUCAAAGAUUUGAGUUUAUGAAAUACAUAACUUGUACAAAUUAAUCAUAUGCAUAUUAAAUUAUUCUCAGGUGCAGACUACACCUUUUACAGUAGUGUAAAGGUCUGAGUCUGCACUUUAUAAAAUACAGAGGUUUGCACCAGAGAUUGACUCUAAGGAAUCUUGGACUAGAAGAUGACUCUAUAAUAGAUGUAUUGUAAAGCUACGAGUCAUAAUAUUCGUUUUAAUUUCCUCUGAAGGUGGUGGAAGGAUAUAGGUCUUGGAGAGAAACUGAGCUUUGCGAGGGACAGCUUGGUAGCAUCCUUCGUAUGGAGCAUGGGGAUAGUGUUUGAGCCUCAAUUCGCCUACUGUAGGAGAAUACUCACAAUCACAUUUGCUCUAAUUUCAGUGAUUGAUGAUAUUUAUGAUGUUUAUGGAGCUUUGGAUGAACUUGAGCUAUUUGCUGAUGCUGUUGAGAGGUUUGUUGGCAAAUUAAUGUUAUACCUAAUUGAUUAAUUCAACUGCUAGGUAGCUGCUUGCUACUUCUCAAAUUAAUAGACCAGUCAUAUGAAUUUUGUUUUUUUUUUCGUUUUCUACAGGUGGGACAUCAAUUAUGCUUUGAACCACCUUCCGGACUAUAUGAAAAUCUGUUUUCUUGCGCUUUACAACUUGGUUAAUGAAUUUACUUAUUACGUACUCAAACAACAGGAUUUUGAUAUACUUCGAAGUAUAAAAAAUGCGGUACGUAAAAUAUUAGUUGCACCUCUGCCGCCAUUCCUUUCGUUUGAUUUAUCCUAUUUAAAUUACGAUGUUUUUGUCGCAAAAAAAAAAAAAAAAAAAAUAUAUAUAUAUAUAUAUAUAUAUAUAAGUUGUAACUACUACUAUUUUCUGUGUCUUGUGCUUCAGUGGCUUCGCAAUAUACAAGCCUACUUAGUGGAGGCGAAAUGGUACCAUGGUAAGUACACGCCAACUCUGGGAGAAUUCUUGGAAAAUGGAUUGGUAUCAAUAGAAGGCCCUAUGGUUACAAUGACUGCAUACCUUUCUUGGACAAAUCCAAUCAUUGAGAAGGAACUAGAAUUUUUAGAAAGUAAUCGAGAUAUAAUUCACUGGUCAUUCAAGAUUCUUCGUCUUCAAGAUGAUUUGGGAACUUCAUCGGUAUUUUUUCUUUUUUCUUUUUUUAACAAGACAGAAAUUGAAUUAAUCCUCUAUAUAUGAAUUGAUUGUAGAUUUUUUUUACCCAAUAAUUCAUCAGGAUGAGAUACAGAGAGGGGAUGUUCCGAAAUCAAUCCAGUGUUACAUGCGCGAAACUGGUGCCUCGGAGGAAGUUGCUCAUGAACACAUCAAGGAUAUGAUGAGACAGAUGUGGAAGAAGGUGAAUGCAUACAGAGCUGAUAAAGAUUCUCCCUUAUCGCAAACUACCGUCUGUACGGAAACGCAGGUUGAGUAAUUACUAAUACUGCGACUUAGAAAUAUAAAUGUGGUGAUAAAUAAAUGCGAAGAAAAUAUGACACAAUAAUUUAGACAAUGCUCAAACUUGAUCGUCGUCACCACCUUAGUCAACAUAUCUGCGGGAUUCUCUGUAGUCUUGAUUUUCUGAAGAAGAAUCUUCCCCUCAUCAACAAUUUCCCGCACAAAGUGAAAUUGUACAUCGAUGUGCUUCGUACGCGCAUGUUAAACUUGAUUUUUUGUUAAAUGAAUAGCACUCUAACUGUCGCAAUACACAUUAAUGUGCUCCUAUGCAAAUCCCAAGUUUUCAAGCAAGCCUUGUAACCAAAUAGCCUCUUCAACAGCCUCUGUAAUUGCCAUGUACUCGGCCUUUAUGGUCGUCAGUGCAACUGUAGAUUGUAGUGUAGACUUCCAACUGAUUGGCCCUCCAGCAAAAGUAAAUACAUACCUGGUGGUUGGCCGUCGUUUGUCCAAAUUACCAGCAUAAUCAGAAUCAACGUACCCGAUCACACAUUGACCAAGUGUAUCGUCUCUCUCAAAUAGUAAACCAACAUCCACAGUCUUCUAAAUGUACCGUAGAAUCCAUUUCACAGCUUGCCAAUGUCCUUUACCAGGAUUAUGCAUAUACCUGCUCACUAUACCAACUGCAUGUGAAAUGUCAGGCCUUGUACACACCAUUGCAUACAUCAAGCUACCCACUGCAUUUGAAUACAGAACUUGUAACAUGUAUUCUCGUUCUGCAUCUGUUGAAGGAGAUAGUUGUGCAGAAAGCUUGAAAUGAUAAGCCAAUGGGGUACUCACAGGUUUUGUCUGCUCAGUCAUGCCAAACUGUUGUAGUACCUUAUUCAAAUAUUGCUCUGAGACAAGCUUACUUUGCCACGAGCUCUAUCUCUACAUAUCUUUAUGCCAAGAAUCUUCUUAACUUCACCUAGAUCUUUCAUUUCAAAUUCUUGAUUGAGUUGAGUCUUCAACUUCUCAAUCUUAUCUUUGCUCUUUGAUGCUAUUAGCAUAUCAUCGACAUACAAUAGCAAAUAAAUGAAAGAUCCUUCUUGUAGCAUGCGAAAAUACACACAAUGAUCAAAUUUAUUUCUUGUGCACCUUCGCCCUUUUAUAAAUCGAUCAAAUCGCUUGUACCACUGCCUUGGAGAUUGUUUCAAUCCAUAAGCGACUUUGUCAAUUUGCAAACUCAAUUUUCUUUUCCAGCAACCUUGAAUCCAUCUGGCUAAGUCACGUAGAUUUCUUUUUCCAAAUCACCAUGUAAAAAUGCAGUUUUUACAUCAAGUUGAACUAGUUCAAGAUCAAAUUGCGCAACCAUGGCUAGCAAAAUUCGAAUAGAUGUUAUGCAAAUUUUAUUGAACUCGUAAGUGCACGAAUCUAUUGUAGUAUAGAUCAAUGGUGACGAGUGUCGAUCCCAUGAGGAGGUGGAUUUUAAUUGUGUGUAGAAUUAAUUUUUUAAAUGGGUGGUUGGAUUUGUGGUGAAAAUGAUUUAGAUUAUCUUAAAAUUCAAAUUAAAAUGGCAAGAAUAAAUUGAAGUGAAAAUAUAUUAAAAUGACGUACUUGGGUAUCUGGAUCUGCAUCAACAUGCCAAUUAAAUCAUGAGGGGGAAUUCACACCUCAUGAACUACACUCUAAUGAAUAUGGUGCUAAGGGCUUAUCGUGCCAAAUAAUAAUAACCUUGUACUAGAGGGGAAGAGAAAAUAAAUUAGAGGGGAAGAGAAAAUAAAUUUACCAAAUAAAGCCCAUGGCACAUGUUGAGACUUCACCUUCAACCCAAGCUUGAAAGAAAAUUAGCUACUCAUAAUUGAACUAGGGGCAAAAUGGGAAUUUAUUAAAAUACGUAGAAAAUAUAAGAUAGAGAGGGAAUUACAGAAAAUGGAGCCCAAAAAUGGAUUCAGAGAUCUAAAAUUAGGGGGGAGAGGUCCCCUUUUUAUAGAUACAUUGAGUAAAUCAUGGCCAUCAGAUUAAAAACAGUUUGGACGCUCAAGAUUGCGCCAUGUCAUCAAUCAACAGUAUGUGGUUUGGCCACGCGUUUUGAACAGUGACAUGGUUUGACCACGUGGUUUGAACAGUCAACCGGUUUGAACAUUGACGCGGUUUGGUUGAAAAUAAUCCUGUGUAUAUGCAUGUAUCAUACGCGUAAUUUUUGGUCCACUAACAUGCUGCCACGUCACCGAUCAAUAGUGCAUAAGAAUUCUCUCCAAUGGAAUCGUGACACCUCAUCAGUCAAUACCACAUCAUCGGUCAAUGCCACGUCAUCGAUCCGUCUAUGUGAAUAGUGUCAUGAACAGUAACGUAGACAAUACCGUACAUGUGAACAAUGACAUUUUUCCUUUUAUGCUCCUCCUAAGGUUUUCGACUGUCCUGAGUUCAAAAGUGAUGUCCGUUUUGCCAUCUGAUUUCUCGUUCAUUGUGAAAUGACCAUGAUGCCCCUAAAAUACAUAAAAUACUUAAUUAAAAUAAAGCACACAUAAUUAAAUUACAAGAAGCUUAAAUACAUAGAAGUAAGGGUGUUAGUAAAACUUGAAGUGUAAAAUGACGAUUUUCGCCUUUAUAAAUAUACAUUUUCUAACACUCAACACCCCCCCCAACCAGCUUAUUGCUAGUCUCUAGCAAAUAUAAUGAAAACAAAAUUCAAAUCCAAAAUGAUUUUUUUUUUUAACAAUCAUGUUUAUUCAAUCAGACUAAUGAUAGUAAUCAAAUAAAAGUAUAAGCAUUAUAUACAGUCUAAAGAAACAUUACACCCACAUCAACCAUCCACAUGAAUUAACCCAGUAGACUUUGUCACAGUUACUUUCAAGAAUGACAUGUUAAACCCCAAAAUCUCACUGGAAAUAGUGACACUCUCACAAAGAAAUUAAACCCAAUAAAAAUAGUCACUCCAAUGAAUGGUAAUUGAGAGAAAAUAAUUAAGAAAUGAUAUCACAUGCUCUCACCAAGAUGAAAGAAAUAUGCCCUUAGCUUAGAAAUAAUACGAUCUCAAGUCAAACAAAAAUACUAGUCAACCCAAUUUAUUUAUUUAUUUUUAUUAUGCACUACUACAUCUUUUUAGCCCAUAUAACUAGCUUCUGCUUCAGACUAUAGUUCCCUAAAAUCAUUAAGGACUUUUAUUAGGACGUAACGUAGGCUAGGGACAUGGCUAACAAAUGAGAAAAAAUAAGGAAAACAAAGUGUAUGUUUGAGAAAAAUGCAGAGAUUUUUUUUUUUAAAGUUGCAAGGUGGAUUUCACCUAUUAUUGUUAUUUAUUUAUUUUUUUAACAACAAUUUUUUUUUUUGCUUUUGUUUGGCACAACUUCACUGAACAAAAUAAUUAUUUACAUUUUUCUCAAACAUAAAUAGGUGAUGGAACUUGUAAGAUAUCGGGUAAUACUUCAAAUCGGAGUGGGUCAAGAUGAUAAGUUUGACAAAGAAAAAGUUUUUUUUUUAAAAGGCUCAAAAGGGUUAAUUAUGGAUAUUUCACAAAAGGGAUGGCUAGAAAGGCUCAAACGGAUCAAAGAUGGCCUUUCCAUCGUCUUUUAGGGCUCUAAAUAAUCUUCCAUAUCUACAGUUAGAUGGGCAUCCAGAUGUAGCAACACACAUUUUUUUCUUCUUUUUUUUUUAAUUUUACAACUUUUUUUUUAAGGGUUAAUUCAAAAGAAAUCUAGAGAUCGUGUAUAAAAUAAUAAACUGUUAAACUGUAUGAAGAAUGGGCAAAAUGGUUACUCUCCAAGAAAAAUGAUAGGCUCAAAAACUCACUUGUUACUUAUUCCGACAUGUUCAUUCCUUCAAGCAACUCAUAUUUAUCUCCGACAUCAACAUGUAGAGUAGCAAACAUGGCAUAACAUCACUUAAGACCAAAGAUAAUACAAAUACUAAAAUUUAAAAUUCAUCAUGUCAUCCAAUGUUAAAACAAAUCACACAAUUUUUUUUUCAAACAACAUUCUACCCCCCAACCUAUUCUAAACAUGAAAGGAAAAUAUGCAUGCAGAAAUGUGAAAAUGAUGCAGAAAAACUAAUUAGAAAAGUUACACUUAAAAUGAUAGAAAAAGAAAAUAGUUUUUUUUUUUUAACUAAGAAGAUGCGUUUCUAGAGGCACUACACUCCAUAUUCAGCUAUCUUCGACUCAAAAAUUUGAAAAUGUAUAUUUAUAAAGGAGAAAUUAAAAAGAAGAAGUAAAAAAAAAUGAAUAUCAAAGCUUAAUAAAGAAAAAGAAAAUGUCUGGAAUUUUUUUUUUUUUAACGAAGAAGAUGUGUUUCUAGAGUAACUACACUCCAUAUUCAGCCAUCUUCAACACAAAAAGUUAGCAACAAUUAGUUUUUACAACAAAAAAUCAGUAAAAACUUAACCAAGAUUCCACAAUUGUCGACUAUUCCCUACCCCCAACCGGAACGAGACAUUGUCCUCAAUGUUUUAAAGGAAAUAAGUAGAGUUUAGAAGACAUCACCUGGGUGGUGCAACAUAGAAGAAAAAUAUUUACGGGCGGAGAGUUAAAUCUAAUUUGUACUUCUUACUGCGGCUACUAUUACCAUCAUUAUUUGGACGCUCCAACACAAAGGUCUAGGGGUCUGGCUCUGGUCUAUAAGCUUGUAACAGAUCAAGUAGCUUAUUAGCAGUGUGAGCACAAAUAAAAAGAUUUUUCGUUGUGGAAGGAAUGAAAUAGUUUUUUAUUGCAUGGUUAAGAAAUACGAUGAAGCCAUCAUAAAAGUUAUUGACAUUUAACAAACCGAUGGGUUUCUGGUGAAUGUGCAGAUGAGCCCAAGAUACUAGUGUGAUAAGUGCCUCUAGUGUUGCAAGAUCUCCUAGAAGGAAAAUAAAAGCAUCAGCCUGAUUAAGCAUUUCAAUUAUUCUUUCUUGCAUAUCUGAGACGACUAACUCUUCUUCAAUCGGUGAGUUAGACAAACUGCCCAAAGAUUUUAGAGCUCUUGGGAUGAUGCCUAGCACUUGACUUCCUCUGAAAAAAGCAGCUUCUGAGACCAAUUUUGAUAACCCUCGGUUACCUCCUCCAUACACCAAGUGUAAUUUUCUCUCUGCUAUGCUUCGACCAAGAUCUAUGGCUGCCUCAACGAACUCUUUAUGUUUGCCAUAGUUAAAUCCAGAAAGCACACAAAUGUUCUUGAAUUGUCUAUUGGGAGUAGCUGCCAUUGGAAUAUUUCUAAAAAAUAAUUUGUGUGUGCUUAACAAAAAGUCAUAUUUAAGAAUCUUGGUGACAAUGGGUCACAACUGUGUAUGAGGUGGCAUGUCAGUGUCAAAUAACGCGUAAAGCACAUGGCUCGCGAGUCAAAAAGGAAACAGUAAAAAGAGAAAGAAACAAUGAUAAAAUAAAAUUAGUAAAGACAAUAAUGCAAAUGAUAAAACAACAGUGAAAUAAAAUAACAGUGAAGUAAAAGGAUAUUUACAGGUAGUUGUGAUUGUGGCUCAAAUCUUCCUUUGGUUUUACGUCUAAAAACGGCUUGAACGCCCUCUAUAGGUCGAGGAUAGGCUUCCCAUCCAGUUUUCUUGUAAACUGGCAAACAAGGUCGUUUAUAGUCAGAUUCUCGAGACUAUAUCGUGCAUGCUCUUUCUGGAAUAAUGGUCAUAACUGGAGAAUUGCUCCUUGUACAUAUCCACUGGGAUGCGUUUCAAGAGACAAAAUGAUAUCAUCCAAUGACUCCUUAUUCAAGCCAUCCCUAAUGAAUUGAAUCUUAUUUUCCCUGUUAUCAGACACCAUUCCUAAAGAACAUGGAUUUUUAUUGCAUCUCAUUCUGGCACAUUUAUGACAAGCAACCGAAAUUCUUCGAGCUCUUCAUUUUCUUGCAUAAUUUCCUUUACCACAACCAGGCAUGUAUGCAAUAAAUUUUAGAGGUAACUCACCUGCCAAUCGUACUUUAGCCUCGAUUAACCAACGGAUGUCAGCAGGUAUGUUAUUCCUCAUGAGCAAUCGCAUGCGUUCAGACCGAGCUUUAUAGAUUGUAAGGACGGCAUUCUGAGGAAGUGAAGGGAAUCGAUUGUGAAGCUUUACUAGAAUCUCGUUUCUGUCCAUACCUUUGCCUCAGAAUAUCAGUUAUUAUGGGAAACUGAAGUAACCGACUUGAUUGUCACGGAGUACCGUUAUCCGCCACUUCACCGGGGUAACAAACUAAAGCACACAAACAAAGAAAAACAAACUAAAACACAUAAAGAAAAUUACAAUUAUCCUCUUAUUGAAUUUACCUCAAGCUCCAACUGGAUAUUGUAGACACUUCUCUCAAUGUCUCUGAGUUGGCUUUUUAAAUCCUCAACAUAGGAUACUAACUCUGGUGGUUGCAGAGCUCAAAUACGAUGUGUUUUCCUAAAUCGAAUCUGCAUUUUGAGAUGAGAUUUUAGACGUUGAAGUGGUUUAAGAAUGUCCAGGAGGAAUUGUUUAGCUAUGGAACUCAUGAUUAACAAUGAUAAGAGAAAACUUAAUGGUUAAACAAACACACUUAUGCAAAAAUAAUUUCAAUUAGCAAAAGAAUAAUAAAAAGAAAGAAAAAAAAUCAAAUCACCGAAAAGAAAGAAAGAAAAAACUCAAUUCAAAUCUGGUGGGUCACUCAAAUUUAUUUCGGUGUCCUCUCCAUGUGGUUGGUACUCUAGAUAUAGCUUUAAUCUUUGACCAUUAACUUUAAACGUGACACCGUUCUUUGGGUCCUUAAUUUCAAUUGCCCCAUAAGGAAAAACAGUAUGAACAAUAAAGGGGUUAGACCAUCGAGAGCGUAACUUACCUGGGAAUAGGUGCAAGCGAGAAUUGAAUAAAAGCACUUUCUGACUUGGAGUGAAAGAUUUUCUCAUAAUUAGCUUGUCAUGGAAGACUUUCAUUCGUUGCUUGUAAAUUUUGGCAUUUUCGUAUGCAUCAUUGCGAAUUUCUUCAAGUUCUAUCAGUUGUAAUCUUCUUUCUGAGCUAGCUUGCUGCAUAUCAAAGUUGAAUUUCUUGAUGGCCCAAUAUGCACGAUGCUCGAGGUCCACAAGUAGGUGGCAAGCUUUUCCAAACACUAGCCUGUAGGGUGACAUCCCAAUCGGGGUCUUGAAAGCCGUUCUAUAUGCCCAUAAUGCAUCAUCAAGUCUUAAUGACCAAUCUUUCCUGUCUGGCCUCACCGUCUUUUCUAAUAUGUGCUUUAUUUCUCGAUUGAAGAUCUCAACUUGGCCACUGGUUUGCGGAUGAUAUGGGGUCGCCACUUUGUGAGUGAUUGAAUACUUUGUCAAAAGAGCUUUGAAUGCUUUGUUACAAAAGUGGGCACCACCAUCACUGAUUAUCGCUCAAGGGAAUCCAAAGCGUGAAACAAUGUUGCUUUUCAAAAAUCCUAUCACCACCUUGUGAUCAUUGGUUCUACAUGAAAUUGCUUCUACCCAUUUCGAUACGUAGUCAACAACAACCAAUAUGUAUUGAUGGCCAAAAGAAGGGGGAAAGGGUCCCAUGAAGUCGAUACCCCAUAUGUCAAAAAUCUCAACCACUAAAAUUGAAUUUAGUGGCAUCAUGUUCCUUCGUGUAAUGCUUCCCAUUCGUUGACACCUAUCACAUGAAGAAUAGAAAGUGUAAGCGUCUCGAAAUAUAGUUGGCCAAUAGAAACCACAUUGUAAAACUUUAGUAGCUAUUUUUUUAGUACUGAAAUGACCUCCACAAGCUUAUUCAUGGAAAAAUGAAAGAAUAUUCUGAAUUUCAUUUUCUGGGACACAUCGUCUAACAAUUUGAUUUGCACAAUACUUGAUCAAAUACGGGUCAUCCCAAAAGAAAUUCUUUAUUUCUGCAAAAAAAAUGGCCUUGUCUUGCUUGGUCCAAUGCUCUGGAAGUUGACCUGUAACAAGAUAAUUCACGAUGUCACCAUACCAUGGUAAUACUUCCACAUUCAUUAAUUGUUCAUCUGGAAAUGACUCAUUCAAUGUUAAUGGUUCUGUAAUUGUGUCAAAAUGGAGACGAGAGAGAUGGUCAGCCACAACAUUUUCUGUGCCUUUCUUAUCUUUAAAUUCCAAGUCAAAUUCUUGCAAAAGUAACACCCAACGAAUUAGUCUAGCUUUUGCAUCUUUCUUUGUGAGAAGAUAUUUAAGAGCAGCAUGAUCUGUGAAUAUAAUUAUUUUAUAACCAAUGAGAUAAGAUUGAAAUUUCUCUAAUGCAAACACUACUGCUAACAUUUUUUUUUCAGUAGUUGAAUAGUUCAACUGUGUAUCAUUCAAUGUCAAACUAGCAUAGUAAAUAACAUGGGAAUUCGAUCAACUCUUUGUCCUAAUACUGCUCUUACUGCAUAAUCAGAUGUAUCACACAUGAGCUCAAAUGGUAAGUUCCAGUUUGGGGGCUGAAUGAUGGGUGAUGAUGUCAACAACUGCUUUAAUUUUUUAAAUGCCACAAUACAUGAAUCUUCAAAGAUAAAAGGUACAUCCUUAGCAAGUAUAUUGCAUAAGGGUCUAGAAACUUUGCUAAAAUCUUUAAUGAAAUGUCGAUAAAAACCAGCAUGCCCAAGGAAAGUCUUACUUCUCUGACUGUUUUAGGUGGAGGAAGAUUGGAAAUGAGAUCCACAUUGGCUUUGUCAGCCUCAAUACCUUUGCUCGAAAUGAUGUGACCGAGAACAAUACCUUGUUUUACCAUAAAAUGACACUUCUCCCAAUUUAAGAUUAAGUUCUUCUCGAUACAUCUCUGCAGAACUAGUGUUAGAUGAUGUAAACAUUGAUCAAACGAGUCACCAAAAAUAGAAAAGUCAUCCAUAAAGACUUCAAAUAAUCUUUCAACCAUAUCAGAAAAAAUGCUUAACAUGCAUCGUUGAAAUGUAGCAGGUGCAUUACAUAAUCCAAAUGACAUCCUCCUAUAUGCAAAAGUGCCAAAAGGUCAAGUGAAAGUGGUCUUCUCUUGAUCUUUUGGUGCUAUGGGAAUCUAAUUAUAUCCUGAGUAGCCAUCUAGAAAGCAAUAAAAUUCAUGACUUGCUAAUAUAUUCAUCAUUUGAUCGAGAAAUGAUAAAGGAAAAUGGUCUUUACGUGUGACAGAAUUCAACUUUCUAUAAUCAAUGCAUACACGCCAUCCUGUAGUCACUCUAGUGGGUAUCAAUUCAUUAUCAGCAUUGGUAACUACUGUGAUUCCUGACUUUUUGGGGACAACUUGUACAUGAUUGACCCAUGAACUAUCAGAAAUUAGGUAAAUGAUACUUGCAUCUGAUAGCUUAAGGACUUCAGUUCUAACAACUCUUUUCAUAUUAGGAUUUAACCGACGUUGCAUUUCCCUAGUAGGUUUAGCAUUUUCAUCAAGGUGAAUGUAAUGCAUGCAGUCUAUUGGGUUUAUACCUUUUAUGUCCGCUAUGGUCCAUCCUAAUACUCCUUUGUGCUCUUUUAAAACAUCCAACAACUUCCCUUUUUGUUCAUCAUUUAGGGAUGAUGAGAUGAUUACCAGUAUAGUGCUUUCUUCUCCCAAAAAUGUAUAUUCCAAAGUGUUGGGUAAUGGUUAAAGCUCGAGUUUCGGUGGUGAUUCUGAUGAUGGGAUGAGUUUUUUCUCUGAUGGUGCUAGUUGUUCAACUCUUGACUUCCAUUUAUUAGUAUCCAUGGAUGCUGCUGAGUCAAGUAGAGCAUUAACCCCAUCGACUGAUCUGUCAAUAUCAAAAUCCAAACCAAAAUGAGUUUAAAAUGUUUGUAAAGGAUCAUCACUAAGGUUUGAAAGAAAAAUAUUAUCAACUAAUGCUUCUAUUAAAUCCACAUCAACAAUUUCAUCAUCUGCAUUGUGAGGUUGUUUGGCAAUGUUGAAGAUGUUUAGCUCCAUAGUCAUGUUGUCAAAGGACAACUGCAUAUUUCUAGUUCUGCAUUGAAUGUGAGCAUCCGCAGUUGCCAAGAAAUGUCGACCUAGAAUAAUGAGGAUGUGCUUCCUUGAAUCCUGUAUUGGUUGAGUGUCAAUUACAAUGAAAUCAACAUGAAAAUAAAAUUUGUCUACCUGGAUAAGCACGUCCUCCACAAUACCACGAGGUAUUUUCGUGGACCGAUCUGCAAGUUGUAACACCAUUGGAGUUGGGUGUAAUUCUCCCAGUCCAAGUUUCACAAAUACUGAAUAAGGCAACAGAUUUACACUAGCUCCUAAAUCCAACAAAGCAUUCUCAAUUGUGUGGUUCCCUAUACUAUAUGAAAUAAUGGGGGAGCCUGGGUCUUUGCAUUUUAGAGAAAUUUUAUGUUGGAGUAUAGAACUAACGUUUUCUGUUAAAAAUGCCUUCUUUUGAACGUGAAUGUUUUUCUUUUUAGUACAAAGGUCUUUAAGAAACUUGGCAUAAGAUGGAACUUAUUUUAUAGCAUCAAGUAAAGGGAUGUUAACACUUACCUGUUUGAAGAUUUCAAGAAUCUCACCUGUGGAUUUUCCCUUCUUUCCUUUAGCUAACCUAUGAGGAAAUGGAGCUUUGGGAACAUAUUCUCGUGGGUUGGUUUCUUAUUUCUCUUCCGAUAGUGAAUCCUCAACAUUCAUAGGUACAAUUUGAUUUUCUUUUGUCACCGGCAUCUCCACUUUGUUAUCGACUUCUUUUCAUUUUUGCAAGGUCAUGACUGCUUUGACCUCUCCAUGCUGUUGUGGUUAACUGGUACUUACUUCAUGCACUCCUUUAGGAUUAGGCACUGGUUGACUUGGAAAUUUACCUUUCUCAACAGUCAUUGCCAAGGUCUGAACUAAAGAAGCAAGUUGUCCCACCAUCUUCUCGAGGCUUGAAAUUGAUUGGGCUUGUGAGUUGAAGCCUGCUCUCAUCUCAUUUCGUAGUCCAUCAAUGGUGCGGUUCUGUUGUUCAAUCGUAGAGUGAGUAACAUUCUUGAAAUUCUGGAAUGCAUCCUCCCAUGGUCUGGGUUGAGAGUAGUUCUGGUUCUGAUUGUAUGGUCUAAAUGGUGGUUGAGAGGCUUGAGGAAUUUGAGGAAUUGGUUGCAUUGGUGGAGCUGGAGCUGCUGGUCCAUUCUAUUGGAAUCCUUGAGACCAUGAAAAAUUGGGGUGGUCUCUCCAUCCAUGGUUAUAUGUAUUGGAGUAUGGGUUGUAAUUUGAUGGUUUUCUCAUUACACCUAUGGCGUUGACUUGAUCGGAGUAUGAGUCAUGGUCAUGUGGCUCCGUUGAUUUAGCAGUCGAUAACGAUGGAAUUUGUCGAGAGAGACUUUCAAUUAUCGCUUUGACUUCUUUAAUUUCUGAACUUGACUCGCCAAUGUGAACCUCAUUCACUCCCUUAAUUCUUCUAGUAUUCCUGAGUGAUCGACUCCGUUGUUGGGAAUUAUCCGCUUGUCGCUGGAAGAAUUCCUAAAUCUCUGAUGUACUUUUUGACAUUAACUCUCCUCCACUUGUUGCCAUUAGCUAUUCUUGAACGUUCGGCAAUAAUCCCUCCAAAACGUAUUGACAUUGGUGUCAUUUCUCGUACCCAUGAUGUGAACACUUCAAGAGUAGCCCAUUGAAUCGCUCCCGUGUUUCGAAAAACUACUCGUCUUCUCUCUGGGUAAACUCUGAGAUUUCCCUGCGAAUAACAUUAGUUUUAUGCACUAGGAAAUUUUUAUUCAAAAAUUUAGUUACCAUUUGUUCCCAUGAUGUAAUGCUAUUAGCAGGCAAAAUAUUUAACCAUGAACGAGCUCUAUCCUUUAGAGAAAAUGGGAAUAAUCUAAGUUUAACAUCAUCUUCUGAAAAAUUCUCAUAUUUAAAAGUUUGACAAACAGCAUGAAAAUCAUUCAGAUGAUUAUAUGGGUCCUCAUUUUCUAAGCCAUAGAAUGUUGGGAGACAAUUUAGCCAUGGCAAGAAUAAAUUGAAGUGAAAAUCUAUUAAAAUGACGUACUUGGGUAUCUGGAUCUACAUCAACAUGCUUCAUGGGCUAAAUAUUCCUUAUUAAUGCCAAUUAAAUCAUGAGGGGGAAUCCACACCUCAUGAACCACACUCUAAUCAAUAUGGUGCUAAGGGCUUAUCGUGCCAAAUAAUAAUAACCUUGUACUAGGGAGCCGGUGAAAUCAGGGUGGUAUCUAGACAAGAUUAUUAUUAUUCGUUGACGAAAAGUCAAAACGUCCACAAAAAUUAGAGAGGAAGAGAAAAUAAAUUUACCAAAUAAAGCUCAUGGCACAUGUUGAGACUUCACCUUCAACCCAAGCAUGAAAGAAAACUAGCUACUCAUAAUUGAACAAGGGGCAAAAUAGAAAUUUAUUAAGAUACGUAGAAAAUACAAGAUAAAGAGAGAAUUACAGAAAAUGGAGCCCAAAAAUGUAUUUAGAGAUCUAAAAUUAGGGGGGAGAGGUCCCCUUUUUAUAGAUACAUUGAGUAAAUCAUGGCCAUCGGAUUAAAAACAGUUUGGACGCUCAGGAUUGCGCCAUAUCAUCAGUCAACAGUACGCGGUUUGACCACGCGGUUUGAACAGUGAAACGGUUUGACCACGCGGUUUGAACAGUGAUGUUGUUUGGUUGAAAAUAACCUUGUGUAUAUGCAUGUAUCGUACGCGCAAUUUUUGGUCCACUAACAUACUGCCACGUCACCGAUCAACUGUCCAUAAGAAUUCUCUCUAAUGGAAUCGUGAAACCUCAUUAGUUAAUACCACAUCAUUGGUCAAUGCCACGUCAUCGAUUCGUCUAUGUGAACAGUGUCGUGAACAGUAAUAUAGACAAUACCGUACAUGUGAAUAGUACAGUACAUGUGAACAGUGACAUUUUUCCUUUUAUGCUCCUCCUAAGGUUUUCGACUGUCCUGAGUUCAAAAGUGAUGUCCGUUUUGCCGUCUGAUUUCUCGUUCAUUGUGAAAUGACCAUGAUGCCCCUAAAAUACAUAAAAUACUUAAUUAAAAUAAAGCACACAUAAUUAAAUCACAAGAAGCUUAAAUACAUAGAAGUAAAGGUAUUAGUAAAACUUGAAGUGUAAAAUGACGAUUUUCUCCUUUAUAAAUAUACAUUUUCUAACACUCAACAAUAGAUGAGUGUUUCACAACUGGAGAAAAUACCUCAUUGUAGUCUAUCCCUUCCUUUUGAGCGUAACCCUUCGCUACCAAUCUAGCCUUGUAUCGAAUUUCAUUUUUACGAGGAAAUCCUUCCUUUUUUGCAUAUACUCAUUUGCACCCAAUUGCCUUUUUUUCCUUGGGUACUGUAACUAACUCCCAAGUUUUAUUUUUGUGAAGAGAUUGUAUUUCUUCAUUCAUUGCUCUCUUCCACUGUAUACUUUCUGGAUUACUUAUUGAUUCUCUGUAAGUGGAAGGAACAUCAUCAUCUACAAUUAGAAGUGCAUAGGCCACCAUAUCAACAAAGCGAGCAGGUCUGCGAAUCUCUCUGCAUGGCCUUCUAUAUGUGUUGGUGAUUUUUUAAUCAAAUGCUAUUAAUGCCAAUGUGCAAGUGUACACAACAAGUAAUAAAGUGAUGAAUAUUCAAGAUCGUCUCCACAGGGAUUGAUGUUACUAGAAUUGCUACAGCAAUCAUAAUAGUGCAAUCUACCUUUAUUCCGAGAUGAACAAAUGUAAAGUUGGUUACUAUUGAAAUUGAUAAUUGUGAGAGAAUAAAAUGAAACAAAGCAGUGAGAAAUAAAUUAAAUAAAAAUGCGUCGAAGAAUCAAAUGAGAAUAAGGUAGUUGAAUGAUCAAACUCUCUUUAUGGGCUGACUGCUUUUCAUCAAUUUAACACCAGUUGCUACAACAAUUUCUAUAGCACUGGGCAUAAUUAUUUUGCAUCCUCGGCUGUCGCAUAUUGGAAUUCUCAUACCCAUAAGUAUCUUAGCAAUGACCAGUUGCUAUUCUACCUACAGCAUGACACUAUGAACAUCCAUUCUCUCCACCCUACAAGGUGAAUACCUAUGUCUAGUUUAUCACAAUUCUUAACUUCAAGUAUGGCCCUUAUGGGAUUCAAGAUAAACUUAAUCCAGGAAACUUAAAUUAAGAUCAAGUAUUACUCUAAUAAUAUCCACUAAGACAUGCCCUUUUGCGGCUCUAUCUUAACUUGAACCAUUAAAUGGUUGGUCAACCGAAAUAACAGUUAUAAUAAUAACUACUAGAGCAAAAUGCUACAGCAAUUAUAUAACAACUCAUAAGAACAAUCAAGAACCCAUUAGAUUGUUUGUCACUCAACUAGAAGCAAGGUUAGUUCAUAUUCUUAAAGAGAAAAACAAACAGCAACAUAUUGGUCACGAAAUGCAUUGGUUUAAUCAAAGAGUGAAGAAAGAAUAAGUGAAGAAUGAUAGAUAGUGAAUCCAAAUAACUCUGCUGGAUUCUUCAAUGAUGCAGCCUCGAUUCCCUUGAAUUUUGAUCUUCUUAUUCUCUUUCUCUCUAAUUUCCCCAAUGAUAAUUCCUUGCCGCUGUUUUAUGUGAUACGCGCCUCUUUUUAUAACUAAAAACUAGGGUAAACAAAGGCCUCGGGCAUACAUGAGUCAAAUUAGAAAACUGUAUAUCGCAAUUCUACAGCUAACCCGCGCUAAGUUUUCUCCCUCGGUGUUCCAAGAUUGCUACAACAAUGGUCGCUCCAGCAACGACUAUAACACUAUACUGUUCCCGGUUGUGUUUCACUUCUUUUGUGGCCAUAUUCUUUCUUCUUCUUACUAGCCUAAUAUCUCAGCAUCCCUUCAUGGAUUAUAAACUUCUGAAAACCUACAAUUAUGCACAUGUUUUGAGCACAAAUUACUUUAAAUCAAGCAAAACUUAUUAAGACUAAACUAAAAUGGAUGUUUAUGCAAAACAUAACCAAAAUAUAAUAAAAACACAUCUUUUACUCUCUAAGUAGUCUUGAUUUAAGUCUAGAAUUGCCGUAAUAACUCUCAUUUCAUAGAGUUAUCACACCCCCAAACUUAAACCGUUACUUGUCCUUAAGUAAUGACAACAUACUAACACUUUACGCACACAAUUAUGCAACACACAACUUAGCUCUGUUAUCAAAUUUGCAAGGAUUCUUCCACCUUCAGAUCACAAUCUCAAUCAUGCCAAAUGCCCAUAGUACAUUAGUUAUAGACUUAAGCUUCCUUCUGUCCAAAGUGUGUGUGUGCUAUUUUAAUUGAAUUCCAGAAAUGCUACAACAUUACCAAGAGAUUGCCUGUAAUUCAGAGGUAGCACCAUUUUAUUCACAUAUAGGGCAACAUAAAUCUCACAUACUCAAACUGUGCUCUAUUCAAGAAUGAAAGCUUAAGAGUACUCAACCCUCUUCACUGCGACAUUUAUUUUUCAUGUGAAUGUCAAUUAAUUGUAAUGAUGACACCCAAUUACUCAAGCCAUACAAAAAUCAGAGUUGUUGUAGCAAUAUCUGUAACAUAAUCUUAUCUAGAGAUGUCUUUUAACUCAAGGCUAAACAUAGGGUUUAUGAACAGACCUGGCUACUCAAUAUCCUAGACAGAGGACUUCCUCUUUUUAUUGUCUCACUUUUUUUUUUUAACAGUCAAUAUAGCAGAUGCUACAACACUGCUCAUAACUCUUGUUGCCUUUGGAUGCAAAUCUGAAUUUGGGGUACAUACUCAACUCUAGUUACUCAGCAACUUGAGCCAUUGGAGCAGAAUUUAUUUCAUAGCAAGCACAGUCCAGCAAAAUUUUCCCCCAAACUUAAGAUAUUUUCUAUUCUUUUGGCUAUGCUACAACAUUCUCAUAAAACUCCACCAAAGUUUAGGUGUCAGGACAGAAUUUCACUCUCCAUCUAUAACUAUCUCUACUCGGCAUUGUGUACUGUUUGCACAAUUCUUGUGGGUUGAGGUGGGAAUUGAAACCUUUUUUCUUCCAGAAUCUUGAGCGGUUCAAUGAACUCUUCAUAUUUUUCUUCCGCGUGGUAACUUUGGAAGCGUGAAGGAUAUUUGAGUCGGCUGGCUAUUCUUUUAUACCUUGGCAUUGCUAUAACAGUAAGAAUUCGAUGGUAAUAUGCUCUUCUCCAAUAGUUGCUGGCAUGUGGCUUGCCUCUGUAUUCUGUCAACAAUACAACCCCAAUUAUUAGUAUGAAAUCCAUUUGUCACACAUAUUUCCCUCGAGAAAUUUAAAAAUAGAUAAAAUCAAUCCUAAGAAAUUAAAAAUAAAGACAUAAAACGACAACAAAAAUAAAGGUUCAAUAAUCUGAAAUAAUGAAAAUAAAAAUAAAUAACAAUAAGUGAAUAACAAAAUUAAAAUGAAAUAAAAAGGAAGAGCCUUCAACAAAACCAGAGAGGGUCAAGCUCAGUUGAAGUGACUGCCCCCGCAAUGGGUUGCCUCCCAUUGAGUGCUUGAUUUAAGGUCUUUCAGUCUGACCUUCUUUGAUUGCUCAAUAGCUUGGUUCUUUAAGGAGUAAGACCUCCUUUGAACAAUCUGCAGCUGAGUGUAUGUAAUGCUUAACUCUGUGCCCAUUGACUUUAAAUUCUUGGCCUGUCUUUUCAUCUAGGAGAUCAACAGUCCCAUGAGGAUAAAUUCUGAGCAGCUUGAAAGGUCCAGACCAUCGAGAUUUUAGUUUUCCUGGAAAUAGUCUUAGCCUUGUAUUAUGGAGCACCACUAGUUGACUAGGGCUUAAUUUCCUGUGUUGGAUAUGCUUGUCAUGCUAGUGUUUUGUCCUCUCUUUAUAGAUUCUUGCAUUUUCAUAUGAGAACAGUCGUAAUUCAUCAAGCUCACAUAGUUGAAGCUUCCUUUGCUCUGCUGCAGCAUGUAUAUCCCAAUUUAAUUGCUUCAGUGCCCAGUAUGCUUUAUGUUCUAGCUCAAGUGGCAAGUGACAAGCCUUCCCAUAAACAAUUCGGUAGGGAGACAUGUGAAGUGGUGUUUUGUAUGUUGUUCUGUAAACCCAUAGGGAGUCAUGUAAACUCAAGGACCAAUCCUUCCUUGAUGGAUUCACCAUUUUUUCUAAGAUCUUCUUAAUCUCUCUAUUGGACACUUCUGCCUGGCCAUUGGAUUGUGGCUGAUAUGCUGUUGCUACUUUGUGCCUGACUCCAUAUUUUACCAUACCUGCAGUAAAUAUUUUGUUGGAAAAAUGAGUACCAUCAUCACUGAUAAUUGCUCUUGGAGUGCCAAACCUGGAAAAAAUAUUUUUCUAAAGAAAGUCCACCACUACUUUAGCAUCAUUGGUAGGUAAUGCUGCAGCUUCUACCCAUUUAGAGACAUAAUCUACAGCAACCAGGAUAUAUAAUUUCCCAAAGGACGGUGGAAAAUGAUGCAUGAAAUCUAUUCCCCUUACAUUAAAAACUUCAACUUCCAGAAUAUUUGUCAAUGGCAUUUCAUGUCUUUGAGUUAUGUUCCCUGUCCUUUGACACAUGUCACACCAUUUAGCAAAUUCAUAAGCAUAUUUCAAAAUAGAAGGCCAGUAAUAACCUGAUUGCAGAACUUUAGCAGUUGUUCUGUGACCACCAAAAUGUCCUUCAUAUGCUGCAACAUGGCAUAAAUCCAGUAUGUGGGGAAUCUCUUCCUCUAAAGCACAUGUUUUGAGCACAAAUUACUUUAAAUCAAGCAAAACUUAUUAAGACUAAACUAAAAUGGAUGUUUAUACAAAACAUAACCAAAAUAUAAUAAAAACACAUCUUUUACUCUCUAAGUGGUCUUGAUUUAAGUCUAGAAUUACCGUAAUAACUCUUAUUUCAUAGAGUUAUCAAUAUGCAAUUGAAUCUUGUUGUUGUGAAGGUUCCUGGGUCAGAACCUCUUCAUCAUCUUCGGUCGAUGAAGAAUCACUAUUCAUCUCAUUGACACCAGCUAGAUCAGAUUUAACCUUUUCAAACUCCACCUGCUGCAAAGUUCCACUGGUCUUGUCAUCCUCUUGAGAAUCUUUUUGUUUCAACAUGGUUGAUUCAUCAAAAGUUACAUCUCUGUUGAAAAUAAUCAUCUUCAUAACAGGACACCAGAGACGGUAUCCUUUUACUCCACCAAUUAUACCCAUGAAUAAUACUUUUUUUGCUCUUGGGUUUAACUUAGAUUCUUUUACAUGAUAAUAAGUAGUGGAACCAAAAACAUGUAAAGAAUUAUAAUCAGUAGCGGGAUUACCAGUCCACAUCUCUAUGAGUGUUUUGCCCUCAAUUGCAGCUGAUGGCAAACAGUUGAUCUAAGUUAGACCCAAGAGUUGAUCUACCAAAACUUUCUCCAGUUGAUCUACCAAAACUCCUUGCCCAAUCCCGCAUUGGACAACAUACACCGAACUUUCUCCAGUAUAGUCCGGUUCAUGCGUUCUACCACCCCAUUCUGUUGUGGUGUAUCUCGAAUAGUGAAGUGUCGUACAAUGCCCUCAUCUUGGCAUAUUUGAAGAAAUGGAUCAUUCUUGUACUCACCACCAUUAUCUAAGCGAAGUCUUUUGACCUUUCGAGUAGUCUGAGCCUCGACCAUUUUGUUCCAUUUUAAAAAUAUGCCUAAAACUUCAUUUUUAUUCUUCAUUAAAUACACCCACACUUUUCUUGAAUAAUCAUCAACAAAAGUAACAAAAUAGUGCAUACCUCCCAAAGAAGCUGUUUUGGUAGGUCCCUACACAUCACUGUGAACAUAGUCCAGAAUUCCUUUUGUAUCGUGAAUUGCUGAAUUAAACUUUACCCUUGUCUGUUUGCCCAGAACAGAAUGUUCACAAAAUUCUAAUUUGCAAGAAUUUAUACCUUUCAAUAAGCCUUGCUUCACCAAAGUCUGCAAAGCUUUUUCACUAGCAUGUCCCAAACGUAUAUACCACAACUUGGUUGCUUCUGAAUUUACAUUGUUUUCCAGAAACUGUUGAUACUGAUCUAAUAACUGUACUUCCUUGGAAAUAGUACAAAUUAUUUCUUCUUGUGUCUUUCAUCACCGUUAUCUCCCUAGCUACUACCUUCAACAAUCCAUCUCUCAAAGCGAUUGUGAGCCCUUUAGAUUCUAGGACUCCUAAUGAGAUGAGAUUUUUCUUCAAACUUGGUAGAUAGCGAACAUCCGUCAAGACUUGGAUUGAGCCAUCAUGAUUCUUUAAUUGGAUUGUACCUAUUCCCAUGGUUUUACAAGCAUUGUCAUUGCCCAUAGAAACAACUCCACCGUCUAGCUCCCUAAAACUAGAAAACUAGGUCUUGUUAGGACACAUAUAAUAACUGCAACCCGAAUCCAAAAUCCAGUCAUCUGAGUGACGUAUCAAUGUCAUGCCAACCAGACUAAAGUCUGACUCCUCAUCAUGCUCUGCUACACACGCAUCAGAAGUAGCCUUGCCCUUUUGUAACUUAGGACAAUUCUUUUUCCAAUGCUCUUUCUCGCGACAAAAAGCACACUCAUCUUUGGCAGACCUCCCUUUAGACUUGCUUCUUUUUCCAGGUUUGCGACUUUGUGAACGGCCUCUCGCUGUCAAUGCUUCUGUAACUGUAUCUCUGUUAUCCUUUCUGUCUUUUUUUCUGGUCUCAGAGUUGUACAAUGCACUGCAUACAACAUUGAAUGUGACAUUGUCCUUCCUAUAAAGCAAAGUAGUGGUGAGAUGAUCAUGUUCAUUAGGAAGGGAAUUCAACAACAACAGUGCCUUAUCCUGAUCUUCAAAUUUCUCAUCCAAAUUUAGUAAAUUUCCCAAUAUUUUGUUGAAUGAGUUCACAUGGUCAUUUAUUGACAUGCCAGGUGUAUAUGUGAAAUGAUAGAGUUUCUUCUUCAUAUAAAGCCUAUUUUCAAGGCUUUUCUUCAUAUACUUUUCUUUCAGUGUCUCCUACAAUUUCUUUGCCAAUGUCUCCCUCAUGACAAAGUAUUUAUGAUCUUUAGCUAAGCAUAGGCGAAUAGUACUACAUGCCUGUCUGUUGAUCUUUAUCCACUCCUUGUCAUCCAUCAUGUCAGGCUUUUCUUCAAGAGCAACGUCCAACUUUUGCUGACACAAGACAUCCAACACCUCACAUUACCAUAUACCAAAAUUAUUGGUACCAUCGAAUUUCUCCACUUCAAACUUUGCAUUAGUCACAGUAGUCAUCGCUGAUGAAGACGACGACGAUGCCUCUGCCAUCCUUUUUAACUCAAAUGAUCAGUUUCGUCAACAACUAUUUACACUUGAAAAAAAACCUCUAUGAUGUUUAUUUCGGGUGAAUAAAUGCACCAAAAAAGUUCCCAGGAGAAUAGCGGGGUCACAACGGUCCCACUUAAAACCCAGACUCCUUAGGCUCUUAUCGCCUUGUUGUCAGAACUUUCCUAUACAUGCAAAAAUACACACUACUUACAAUAGACUAUCUCCCAAGUAUAAAUGGUCGUCUCCACCGUAUCAAUGAACAGUACCGUAUACAUGAACAGUACCAUAUCUGUGACCAGUUCCGUAUACGCGAACAAUGUCGUAUACAUGAACAGUGUCGUAUGCCCCAAGCACGAACCUUUAGCGCUGAUACCAAUUGUUGCGAAAAUGCGGGUUGAGCAAUUACUAAUACUGCGACUUCUUGAGAAAUAUAAAUGUGGUGACAAGAAAAUAUUACACAAUAAUUUACGUGGUUCGGCGUAAUGCCUACGUCCACAGGCAAAGAUUGGAAGAUAAUUUUACUAAUAAUGAGAAUUUACAAAAGUGGGAAAAAACUUACAAAACCCACAACUCCAAUACACCCAAAUGGAACAUCACUAGAACACUCUAGUGGAAGCUCUCUCAAAUUCUCUCAAAGAACUCACUUGCAAUUGCUCUCUACUUCUCUCAAAUUGGGAUGCUUUACAAAUGCAUUCUAGUACUCCUCUAUUUAUAGGCAAAGCUUACAAUAUGAAUGCAUGAAAAAAAAUUUGGCCAUUUUUUAAUUUUAAUGGCUUUGGUGUGACUUUUGAUGAAGAGAUCAUGCUAGCACAUGCAAUUAGAUCACGCUAGCUCAACAUUGGUGUGCUUGAAAUUUGCAUGCUAAGAAUUUGUCUUCAAAUUUGCCUCUCUAAAGUUGAAUGCAUGCAUGUGUAUUUGAAUUCCAAUUUUGAAUUUUUCAACACAGUCGAGUUCAUAUUGAAUGUUGUGAGAGUGUUCCAUUUUAUGUAUCUACAUGGAGAUGGGCAUAGGGCUCAAAACCAAGAGACAAUAGAUGUACUUUUUACAUUGCUUUUUCAACCAAUUCCCUUGGACGACAAACACAUGGUUGCCACAUCAUCACCUGGCACCAAAGGAUGAUGAAUUAUAGUUCAUGAUGCGUUACGAAUCCCCAGAGUGUAGUUUCAGUUGAUGUUGGCCUCAACUUUUCUUUUCAGUUUCUAUUUCUUUCUGAUGAUGAGAUCUCUUUUCGAUGAUUAUAAUAAAUUCCCUCACUCGUCGAGGUUUAUAAAUGAGACAAAAAUGUUAUAUAUGUUACUUUUAUUGAGAGUAAAAGUCGUCAUGAUGUGAGAACCAUUUUCUAGCAAAAGCAUGAGAAUGGCAGAAUGUGUUAUGUAUGCAGUUAUACUUUAUAUACAAACAUGGUUCAAAGCAUGUUAAGGCACAAUAGAUACUCAGUAUACAUGGUGUUGCGGAAACGUGGGUUGAUCAAUUUCUAAUACUGCAACUUCUGGAGAAAUAUAAAUAUGGUGAUAAACAAAUGCAAAGAAAAUAGGACACAAUAAUUUACGUGGUUCGGCGUAAUGCCUACAUCCACGGACAAAAACUGGAAGAUAAUUUUUCACUAACAAAUGGGAAUUUACAAAAGUGGGAAAAACUCACAAAAUCCACAACCCCAAUACACCCAAAUGGAACCUCACUAGAACACUCAAGUAGAAGCUCUCUCAAAUUCUCUCAAAGAACUCACUUGCAAUUGCUCUCUACUUCUCUCAAAUUGGGAUGCUUACAAUUGCAAAAUGCUUCUCUAUUUAUAGAGUGCAUUUUGCUCCAAGUUGGGUUCAAUUGGUCAAAACGUUGAGCUGGAUCUUGUAUUGCAUGCACAAGCUUUUCAACACCUAACUUUGUCUUUUGAAAUUAGCAAGCCGACCAACUUUGUUUUUUUGAAUUUGACAAAUCCACCAACUUUGCCUUUUGAAAUUGGCAACCAAUGAUUUGACUUUUCAACACAUGGCCCAUUUAAAUCGCAUGUGGCAAAUCAUACCCGUGAAAAAUGACAAUUUGCAGCGAACAGUGACAAACGCAACAACAACUAAGGAUAGAAAUCCGAGCUGUGACAUAAAAAGAAAUCACAAGGAUAAAAUAUUAAUAUAACCAAUUAAAAACACGAGUUCCUAGUUUUUAGGUUAGCUUAAAGACACGAGCACCUAAUUAUUCGGUUAGCCUUUUUUAUCUUUUAAUGUCGUAUUCACUUCUACAAUAAAUCUCUAACAAAGUCAUAUGAAUUUAAAGAAUAUAAGUGUAGUCACUGGGUUCAAUCAUAAACGUUUUGUUUUAUAGAAAGCUACUUGUCAUUUUUAGAAGCCUUUCACUAUCCAAUAUUUGAUUCAAGCAACGAUCAAAUUUAACAGCUUUCUUGUUCCUUCAAUUGAUAUACCUACAAAAAUGUCAUCUUAAAUUGCUUUAUUCACAGUAGUAUAAUGAGCAAAAAACGCAUUAUGUAUUUAUAUUAAAAAAUUACGAAAACAUAAAUUUAAAGAGAACUUUAAGAGAAAAAAUAACAAGUAUUAAAUUGACUUGUCUUUUCGAAAAAGAAAUAUAAUUAACAUAAGCAAAAACGUCACAACAGAGCAUAUAUAAUUAAGUAAUUAAAAGAAAAAAAAAAAUGAACCAAACGUACAUUUUAAAUGUCUCGCUCUUUUCCAUGCCCCACUCUUGAGUUUCUUCAUCACUGAAAUUUUGACAAAAAGUUAAAUUAAUAAAAUAGCAUAAUAAUACAGCAUAAUGUGAAUUAUAACUGGACUUUUUGGUUUCUUCAAUUAUAUAUCUGCCAUUGACGAUUGUAUUUUAGUGGAAAGUAUGCAUGGUGAUUACUUAGAGGAGAGUUGUUUAAACCGAAUGAAAGAUUGAGAGAGUCAAAUCAUAUUAAUUAUGGAGACAAAAUAAGAUGAAGUAGAAGAAAAAUAUUGAAUAAUAUAUUAGGGCCCAUUAAUUUUUAGUUUUGCUAUUAAUAAAAGUUACUUUUGUCAAAAUUUUGUAACCCAAUUUUUAUCAGAGUAGUAUUAAAGACACCAUUUUUUAAAAUCAAAAUAGUAUUAAAGAGAUCAUUAGGUAAUGUUAAAAGAUUAAGAAAGAGAUAGUUGAUCCUAUCUCAUAUGUAUAUUGGUGCACUAUUUGAACAAAUUGGACGUUGGUAUUCUAAGGUGUACCGCAAUUUUAUGAAUACAAUAUUUUUUCACUAUAUAUUAGGUUGUUUUCGGGAGCUUCGAUAAAUUGUGGGAUUCAAUUAGAUUUUGAGACUAACAAAAUAAUUUAAUCUAAGGUAUGUUUGGUUGUCAUGGACUAUUAGAGUAGACUUAAAUUUAGCCUACAACUAAUAGGAUUAUUAAUUCUUAUUUUUAUAGGGGUUUAGGUGAGAUAAGAUUAAAUAAAAACUGUGUCCUCUUUAUCACUUUUUUCUUUUUCAUUUAACCUAGUAUUUUAAUAUAAAUUAAAAAUAGAAGUGAAUUUCACGAAUUUUUAACCAAGUAAUUUUAUAUUGUAUAGAAUAUCAGAUUUUUUUAAAAUAAUUUAUUAAAUUAAAUUAACAUAGUUCAGUACGAUAUUGUAUCAAAUAAAAGAUAGUACUAAUAUAAGCUUUUAGGUUAACCACAAAUUUUGUUUCCCUCACGCAAAUGACUAUGCCCACUAUAUCAUGAUUUCAGCAUUCUGCCGGGGUGGGUGUUUUGAAGAGGCAAAUUGGCUGGGUAUUUUGAAGUCAGGUAUGACAAAUAUGAUUUAAAUUGCAUGCUUUAUGCCUACUGCAGAGCUGGUGAUGUUAUGAGGAAAUUAGACGAAUUAGUCUGGAUUACAAUACCCAUCACAUUCUAAUCAAACAUUUCUCCAAUAAGAAGUUUUAUAUGCUUGCUUAUCGGACUAUGAUGGACAAAGGCCACCAGCCUGAGGAGGUAUGAAAGUGGUCAUAGACAAAUGAACUUUUACUUCGGGAUUGCAGCGCGAAAGACUUAUCACAAGUAUUAGGGGUGUUCGCGGAUCGGACAUCAAUCCAUAUCCAAUCCACGAUUUUGCGGAUUAUGAAUUUUCAAUCCAAUCCAAUCCACGGAUUGGUUAAACUCAAUCCAAAUCCAAUCUAUAUGUUUGCGGAUCGGAUGCAGAUUUGACUCAAUCCAUAUCCAAUUCAUCAUUUUGCGGAUUGAUCUGCGGAUUACAAAUUUUUCAUUCCGUCCAAUCCACAAACUAAUAAAAUGAAAAAAAUAAUAUAAAAAUAAUUUUACUACCAAUCAAAUUCAAAAUUGAAUAAGAUUUAAAUAAAUUAAUUAUUUAAAUAAAACUAAAAUAAUGCAUUAAAGUUUUAAAAUACAAUAUACUGAAAUUAAUUGUUCAAAUGAAGCUAAAAUAAUACAUUUAAAGUUUCAAAAUAUAAUACAUUAAAAUUAAUUGUUCAAUUAAAGUUACAAUAAUACAUUUAAAGUAUCAAAUUAUGACACAUCAAAAAGAAAAAUGUUUGCUGCCAAUUUAUAUUUUGUACUUUAACCUGAACUAAAUAAACAUAAUUGAAAUAAAUAACAAAUAAAAUAAUUUUAUUGAAUAAAAAAUUAACAAAUAAAAUAAUUUUGUUCAAAUGACUGCUUGCACAGAGAUCAAGAAUUUGGAGAAGAUGGCCGAAGGAGAAGUUUAAAGCUAGUAAGAAUCUUUGGGUGCUGGUGGCUCUAUACUUGUGACAGGAAAGGAUAGGAAGUCAAGGGUUUUUUGUGUGCUUGUGACGGGAAAGUUUAAGAAGUCAAGGUUUUUUGUUUUCUUGUGGCUCCUUCGGUGAAGUGGCAUUUAGGAUAAAUGUUUUGUUUGGUUUAUAAUUUUUUAUUUUGUUUAAGAAUUUUUACAACUUAUCUUUGUAUAUUUUAAUUAUUUAAUUAUUUAUGUUAUUUUUGAAUAAUGGAUAAGGUAUCUUAUGGUGUUAAUAUAAGUAUGUAAUUACAUUUUACUUACUUAUUUAUUAGUAAUUUUACUUACUUAUUUAUUAGUAAUGUCAUAUUUAUAAUUUUUUUAAUUAAAAAAAUAUUUUUUUGCGGAUUGGCAGAUUUUUGCGGAUUUACAGAAGUGAAUCCAUAUCCAAUCCACCGGUUGCGGAUUUUUAAAUUUUUAAUCCAAUCCAAUCCAAUCCACCAAUCCACCGAUCGAAUUUUUACGGACCGAAUUUUUAUGGAUCGGACGGAUUGAGCAAAUCGGACCGGAUUCUAAACACUCCUAACAAGUAUGCUGUUUUGCAGGAACUCUGCUCCUUAAUUUUUCAUCUUGGUAAAAUGAGAACGACACUUAGAAGCACUCUCUGUUCACAACAUGUUAAUAGGCAGUAAAAGAUCGAUGUGCAAGGCCCUUCAUGAGAAAAUUCUUCAUAUUUUAAUAUCCAGAAAACUUUCCAUAUCAAACCAUUUUAGAUCGAUUCUUCAACUGUCAUUUUUAUACUUUUUUUAAUUGAAAAUACCCAACGGUGGUGGGGUUGGUGGGACCCCCUUACCUAUAGAUUAUUGAAAUAUAAACAAAAUUACGUAUGGAGGGGGAUGCAAACCAAAAUCUCCAAGUAAAGAAACAAAAAUAACCAACUAAUAAAAAAAGAACAAAAACAAUAAUAGAAUAAAUAAGAAGCUAAAGAUAAUUAAUUAAUGCAAACGCCGAUAAAGCUACUUACAAUACUUAUGACCAUUAACUAAUUUGAAACCUUUCUUAAAACUAUAGGAAUGCAGGCCACCAAUACUGAAGUCGGCGUCAAGAUCACGGCCCGCUAUACCCUCAGGCUUAGACGCAUAAUAAUCAUAACUUACAGGAUUUCCGUCACAGCUAAACUCCUCAUCCGACUGAUUAGGGAUAUCUGUAGAAUGGUAAUUAAAACUCACAACCAUGGAAUGAAUAUCAUCCACUGUAGACCUGAAAAAAGUAAAGCCUGUGGAAGCCCUCAGCGCACUCGGAUUAUCCAAAACAGGAGAAUUAGCAACCUCAGUGCAUCCAUCAGCAUCUCUCAAAGCAACAGUAUGUUGCAAACCAUCAUUAUCCGGAACUCACAGAGCAGAAAUCGAUUAGAUGCCCCGUCUGCAGUAUCCUGAGGAAAAAGAGCAGGCAGCCAGGCAACAUCAUCGAGGGGACCAGGCCCAAAGACUGACCUUGGACGAGAGCAGGCCUCUGUAGUCGAUUAUCCUUAGCAACCACAUACGUAGCACCACCCAUAGUAGGCCGGACAACAGCAUCAGUAAUAAGUAUCUUACUUGUAUCAUGAGCAACUAUAUCCUUCACCUGACCAAUAGGUUGUUGGAGCUUCUGGAGCCCAUGAUUAGUAACAAAACAAGCAUCAGCAAAUUGACAAGAUGCUUACACGAAGCACAAUAUAAUAGAACACGCUCAUAGAUGAUAUCUUGCCAAAACCCAUCAUCACUCUUACCAAUCUAAAGUCUUGGCAACAACAGCCAUGAAACAUCACACUCAAUGAGUACACGAGCCACCGAGGGCCUAUUAACAGCAGCAGUAUCACGGUCCACCCGUAAAGGCUUUUCAAUAGCAUUCACAAUAGAAAAUAAAACAUCUUUGCAAUGAAUGAAAUGCACAGGUAAAUAAGGUAAAUAAGGCAAAGACACCUAGACAAGAACAACUGAAACUCCUAAGAGUAUCAAAUAGAUGUAGACUACUUAAAAGUAUGCAUGGACCUGUCACUAAUAUACCAGGUCUGCCUAACCCAAAUACAAGAGUAAUCCUUUCCAAGCUAAAGCUUUAUCAAUUAUCUACUAAAGAAACCUGUGUACUACCUUUCAAACCCAAGAAAUAAAAAAAUUUACGAAUCACAUCUACAGGGGGGCGGCUAAAUAAAAACUUACUAAUAAGGGAAAGUUUGAAUGGUUCUGCCAUGGACUGGAUUUCUGCAGCUGAAAAGUGGAUAGCAUGAUUACCAUGAAAUAUUGAAACUGGCUUUACCCAAAUUGAAGAUUCUAGGGGGCCAGCAAUAGCAUCAACAAAAGACUUAGCAUUGGGGUUGAGGAUAACUCUAGGAUUAUAAUAGAUGCAUAAGAGGCCUUACAGGGUGGGUUGGAUGUACGACCAAGAGUGAGGGGUGGAAAAGGGUCAUGGGUUUGGGCUAGAUUUUUGGUUUAGUUUUGGGUUUGGAAAGCCGGAUGUUGGUUUGGGUUUCUUUGUUAUGGUUAACGUUUUUUGCAUAUGGCAGCUGGUCUCGGUUUUAAACAGCAGCCACCGUUGAGUUGAAGUAUGACGACGAGCGAGGCCUUGGGUGGGUUUGGGUGGGCAAAAGUGGCUGGUAUGAGGCGGCUAGCAGGUUGAUGGUGCCACUAACGGUGGCCAAAAGAGAGACAACGAGGUGUUGGUGAGAUAUAUGGCAGCUAGGGGGAUUUGUCUUGGUAAACUGAGUCACAGAUGGUAGCCAAUAAGUGGUGCCUGAGUUUUGGUUGUGUUCGUGCAUAUCUCUCUGUUAUGUAUUAAAACUCUAAUAUUUUACUACAUACAGCAGUAAACCAAGAAAGGAGGGAAAAAAAAGGAAAGAAAUACAUGGAAAUGAUAAUUUUACCUUUCAUCUUCAAGCUCCAAAGGCUUCGUAUGUAGGUCUUUCACUUGUAAAAGACGGUUUAUUUCUAUGUGCAAGUUAGCAUUUGGUUCAUUAGAAAAUUUGUCAAUAAAGUGUAAUGAAGCCGUAUUAUAGUUGUUACAAGAAUAUUUUUUGGAAAUCCAUGUAUCAUCUUCUCUUUCUCUCCUUGGAUGAGAGAGUAUCGGCAUUCCCUUAUUUUUCUUUUUUCUAAUUGAGUUUGAAUCCCCUUAUUUUAUUUUAUUUUUUUUUAACCGCCAUAUCAGUAAUUUAUUAACAAUUGCAGAGUUAGUGUGACACUUUAUUUGUAACUGCCAUAUCAUAGUCAGUUACUAACCAUUACAGAGCUAUAACAUCACUCGAAAUAGAAAUAUUGAGAUUCCUAAUAGUAUUUAUUCUAAUUAUUAGUUGUUCCUAAUAUUACUAUCGCUAGCUUGCAAUUAAUUCAGCUUAAGUUGUCAUUUUCUUAUAAACAAACAAGAUGGUCCAUCAUGCUUAGUUGUAAGGAUACAAACUAGGGAUGACAAUGGAUCAGGUUAGGCUCGGGCUUCGCUAAGCCCGAGCCUAAGCUUGUAACUGAAAUAAAGGGUUUGAGCUCAAAAAAGUCCGAUCCUUUGAAUUAAAGCCCGAGCCCAACCAUAAUUUUGUUUUGAUAAGGUGAGAUUCAUGGCAAGAGAGAGUGACUGAAACCCACAGCUAUUUCCUUGAUUAGUAUCACUUGUUGCAGUAGAUAUCUCAACAGAAGAAGAAGAAGCAAAUGGAGUUUGCUUAGCCAAGAAUUGAACCCAGCAAUAGAAGCUACAAUCUUUAAAGGAACAUGCUGAUGCUGAUGAAGAAAAUGAGGAUGGUACAUAAUAUCAUCGUGGUUAUGGGUAAAGCUAGGGUUUAAGGUUUGUGUUUGUGGGUGAUGAUGAUGUUGACUGUAGUGGUGGUGGAUGAUUGAAGAUGGGUGGCUCGUCAGAUCUUGAGCAAUGAUUUCUAAGUCAAAGUCUCCAUUAUUAUCAACAUUGAAGCAGCUGCUUGAUGCAAUAUUGACAUUCCAUUAUGUUGGUUUUGGUCAUUAGCAGGGUCAGUUGAUGUAGAGAUUGAGUAACAACAUGACCCUAAGAAAUCUUCAAGCUUUGGACAUGAUCCUCAUGACUUGCCCCACCAUUGGCAAAAAACCCUAUCAUAAUCUACAUAUCAAAUGCAAUUUACAUGACUUACUCCUAAUUAUAUUUCUACAUCGCCAGGUUCGAACACCUAAAUCGUCCCCAUUUUGCCAUAACCUAAAAAAGCUAAAGAUUGAAGCAUUACCUUAGGCUGUGAUAACUGUGCCGCCUUGUGAAUGGCUGUCACAGUUGUGUGAUGGCUGUCGGUGGUGGCGGUGAUGAUGUCUAGGUAUGGGUGAUGGUGGCUGUGAGUUGUGGAUGGCGAAUGGCAAUUUUAACUGCGGAUUGUGGUGGAUCGUGAAUGGCUGAACCUCGGUCGAUGAAAGAAAAGGGAAAAUAUUUGGCAAACAAAACGUUGUGUUUUUUCCUUUAAUGAAACGAUGCGUUUUGAGUUUUUGGAGUUUGACCCAUGGUUUGACCCGAUGCAAAUAUCAUUUUCAAUGUAUUUAUUAUUAUUUUUAUUUUUCAUGAGACUUAUCAAAUUUUGAUUUAAUGGUUAAUAAUUGUUUCAUAUUGCGUCAAAAAAGAGAGGCUCCCCGACAUGCCCUAUACCAACUAGUCUAGUUUUUCAUAAGCAUGUCGCUCAUGAGCUGCACCACAGUGUAAUGCAGCAAAAUCAAGAAAAAAAAAAGUGAAAUAUGCUAUUUCUCUUUUAAGAAAAAUUCUUGAAUACAUAAGAGGUAACAUAAUUAAUUUUUUUUAUAUAAACACCAGUUAUAUAUUAGUUCUUCAAAAUAAAUGUACUUAUACUAUAAAAUUAUUUGUUUAAUAUAUAAAUGACAUAGUACUUUAAAAGAAUUCUAAAAUUUCUCUUGUGCCUCGCUUGUCAUUUUCAACUAUUAGUCAAUGAGAUGGCAUUUUACAUGCAGAUAUGGUGCCCCGCAGAAACUCUUUUGUUUUGAGAUUGAUGAUCCCAAGGAAAUGGCACAAAUAUCACUUCUAAUGAUAUUUUACAGUAAAGUCCAGCUGUACAGGAAUUCUCUUUCGACAAAAGCUUGUUUAUUCCCAAUAUUUUUAGGUUAAUGUCCUUUUAGCCAUUAUAUUUUAAAAAAUUUCUCAAAACAUCCCUACUGUUAAAUUAUUAACACCACUGUUAGGGUUACUUUUUAUUCUCUUUAGCUUACUUUUAUAUAUUACUCUCUUACAAUAAUGUUUAUUUUUUGGACAUAAAUAAAAAAAAUUAGAUUAUCAAUUUAAUCCCAAAAAAUUAAUGUAGAAGACUCUACUAAGUAAAUAUAUUAAUUUUUUUACUGAUGUCCAAAAAAAUUGGUAACUUAAUUUUUUUACAAUAUUAAUUUUUUUGACAUAUGUAAUCUUCUUGGAAAAUUAAUAUAUAUUAUUUUUGUGGUUAAAUUAAUAAUUUAAUUUUUCCUUUUAAUUAAUGUCCAAAAAAAUCAUUGUAAGAGAGAUAAUAUUAUAAAAGUAAGCUAAAAAAAAAUAAUGACAGAUAUGUCAAUUGUUUAACAACCAGGAGUUUUGAGUUAUUUUUAAAAAUAUAAGAAAUCAAAAUAUAAUAAUUAAACGAGUUUCGACACAUUCUUUUUAGUGCUCUAUGACUCUUAUGGAAGUAUAACUUUGAUUAUUAAACACAUGCUUCUACACGUUUUUGUUCACCGUAGGACUGCCAUAAACAAAUAUCGACAUCAUUGAUUAUUAUAAACACAUGCAUUGGCACGUUAGAAUUCCCUCAUAAAAAAAUAUGACUACUUUUUGCAUUCUGGUUUGGUUCAUAGUUCCUAUUUUUUAUCCUUGGCCGCGAGGCUCAUAUUCUUAUGGAUCCUAUAUCCACACACUCUUUUGUUUCCCGUACUUUUGCUAUGCACAUAGGGGGAGAGCCUGAACUAUUAGAUUGUGGUUUAGUUGUUCGUACACCUACCGGAGAGUCAUUACUUGCUGAGAGUGUGUAUCGAGAUUGUAUGAUUGGAAUGGUUGAACAUGAAUUUGAGGCGAAUUUAAUUUCCUUAGACAUUCAUGACUUUGAUGCUAUUUUGGGCAUGGAUUGGCUUGAAUCUCAUUAUGCUACAGUGGAUUGUUUCAAAAAGGAAGUUGUGUUUAAAAAGCCAGGGAGGACUGAGGUGAAAUUCUGUGGGGAGUGCAAAGUUCUACCUUCAUGUGUUAUAUCUGCCAUUAGUGCAAGACGGUUGCUAAGAAAAGGAUGCUCGGCUUAUUUAGCUCAUGUGAUAGAUACAGAAGCUCGAGAAUUGAGAUUGGAGGAUAUUACAGUAGUCAAAGAAUUUCCAGAUGUAUUUCCAGAUGAACUUCCUAGGAUGCCACCUAACAGGGAAGUUGAGUUUUCUAUUGACUUAGUCUCUGAAACAUCUCCUAUAUCUAUGGCACCAUACAGGAUGGCUCCAGUAGAGUUGAAGGAACUGAAGGUUCAAUUGCAAGAGUUGGUGGAGAAACGGUUUAUUAGACCUAGUGUGUCCCUGUGGGGAGCUCCAGUCUUGUUUGUUAAGAAAAAUGAUGGGACUUUUAGACUCUGCAUUGACUAAAGGCAGUUGAACAAAGUUACGGUACGCAAUAAGUAUCCACUUCCGCGUAUUGAUGACUUGCUUGAUCAACUCCAGGGGGCAAAAGUAUUUUCUAAGAUCGAUUUGCGCUCGGGUUACCAUCAGCUUAGAAUUAAAGAUGUUGACGUUCCUAAAACAGCAUUUAGAACCCGUUAUGGGCACUAUGAGUUCUUAGUGAUGCCAUUUGGGUUGACAAAUGCUCCAGCUGCUUUUAUGGAUCUCAUGAAUAGGGUAUUUCGCUCGUACCUGGAUCGGUUUGUGAUUGUAUUUAUUGAUGAUAUCUUGGUGUAUUCCCGAAGCGAGGAGGUGCAUGCAGAGUAUUUGCGGACUAUUUUACAGACUUUGAGAUAGAAGCAGUUGUAUGCCAAGUUCAGCAAGUGCGAGUUCUGGUUGGACAGAGUAGUAUUUUUUGGCCAUGUGAUAUCAGCUGAAGGCAUUUAUGUCGAUCCUCAAAAGAUUAAAGCAGUUGUGCAAUGGGAACGACCUACAAAUGUCAUAGAGGUUCGGAGUUUCCUUGGAUUAGCUAGUUACUAUCGUAGAUUUGUGGAGGGAUUCUCUAAGAUUGCUACUCCUCUGACACGGUUAACGAGAAAGAAUGCUAAAUUCCAGUGGGAUGAUGAUUGUGAAAAGAGUUUUCAAGAACUUAAGACACGUUUGACCUCAGCACCAGUUCUUACACUUCCCUCUGGUAAUAAAGGAUUUGUGGUUUACAACGAUGCCUAUAGGCAGGGAUUGGGUUGUGUGUUGAUACAACAUGGGAAAGUGGUGGCUUAUGCUUCUAGACAACUUAAGAAGCAUGAGCAAAACUACCCAACACAUGACUUAGAGCUAGCAGCAGUGGUGUUCGCACUCAAGACAUGGCGGCAUUACUUAUAUGGGGCAACGUGUCAAAUUUUCACUGAUCAUAAGAGCCUGAAGUAUUUGUUUACUCAGAAGGAGUUGAAUUUGAGACAGAGGAGGUGGAUCGAGCUGAUUAAGGACUACGAUUGCACUAUUGAUUAUCAUCCGGGCAAAACAAAUAUGGUAGCUGAUGCACUAAGUAGAAAGUCUUCCAGCUCUAUAGCUCACUUGCGAGUGAAAUAUAUGCCUCUAUUGAUUGAGUUGAGAUCUUUGGGAAUCGAGUUGAACACUGACAAUUGUGGAGCUUUGAUAGCUAAGUUUCGAGUUAGGCCGACUUUGAUUGACAAAGUUCACCAGAUGCAAGCUCAGGACCCACAGUUAAUGAAGUUGAAAAAGGAUGUGCAAAAAGGUUUACGAACCAAUUUUACGGUGAGAGGCAAUGGAGUCUUAGUCAUGGGUAAUAGACUUUGUGUACCUGAUAUUAAAGAUCUAAAAGAAGAGAUUAUGGAAGAAGCUCAUUGUUCAGCAUAUGCGAUGCAUCCUGGUAGUACGAAGAUGUACUGCACCCUGAGGGAUCAUUAUUGGUGGCAGGGUAUGAAGAGAGAGAUAGCAGAAUUUGUUUCUCGAUGUUUAGUCUGUCAGCAGAUUAAGGCUAAACACCAGAGGCCUGCAGGGUGUUCUCAGCCGCUUCUUAUUCCUGAGUGGAAGUGGGAGCACAUCACCAUGGAUUUUGUAGCAGGACUUCCACGUACUCAGAAAGGACAUGAUAGUGUUUGGGUGGUUGUUGAUUGACUUACAAAAUCUGCUCACUUCUUACUAUUCAAAAUCACAUAUUCGAUGGACAAAUUAGGGAGUAUUUAUGUGGCUGAGAUAGUUCGACUUCAUAGAGUACCUGUGUCCAUAAUCUCAGAUAGAGAUUUUUGGUUUACUUCUAAGUUCUGGACCAGCUUACAAAAUGCUUUAGGCACCAAGUUGAACUUUAGUACAGCUUUUCAUCCACAGACUGAUAGAUAGUUAGAGCGUAAUAUUCAAACUCUGGAAGAUAUGUUGCGAGCUUGUGUUAUGGAGUUUAAAGGUAAUUGGGACAAUCAUUUACCUCUGAUGGAGUUUUCUUACAACAACAACUAUCAAGCUAGUAUUGAGAUGGCACCAUAUGAGGCUUUGUAUGGUAGAAAAUGUAGGACUCCAGUAUGUUGGGAUGAGGUUGGUGAACGGAGCUUAUUCGGUCCAGAACUAAUCCAGGAUACUAAUGAGAAGAUACAAUUGAUCCGGGAUAGAUUAAAAGUGGCCCAAGAUAGACAGAAGAGCUAUGCAGACAAGCGUAGGCGGGAACUUGAAUUCGAAGUUGGUGAUAGAGUUUUCAUACGGAUAUCUCCUUGGAAAGGGGUGCUUCGAUUUAGGAAACGUGGGAAGCUAAGUCCACGUUACAUUGGGCCAUAUGAGAUCAUUGAGCGCAUCGGUCCAUUAGCUUAUCGAUUAGCUCUACCACCCGAGUUAUCCAGAAUCAACGAUGUGUUUCAUGUCUCAAUGCUUCAGAAGUACAUCUAUGACCCGAGUCAUGUGUUAUCGAAGCAACCAAUUCAGUUGAAAGAAGAUUUGACUUACGAAGAUGAACCAGUGGAAGAUAAACACCAAGUUCUGUGUUCUAAGACCAUUCCUCUAGUAAACGUACGGUAGAGGAAUCAUACAAAGGAAUAGGCUACCUGGGAACGCGAGGACUUAAUGCGAGCUCAGUAUCCCUAUCUUUUCUUAUCAGGUACGUAAAUUUCGAGGACAAAAUUUUUAUAAGGGGGGAGGAUUGUAACAUAUGUGAAUUAAAAAUGAAUAAAAAGAGGCGGUUAAGAAGUUAACAAAAGAAGAAGCUGGAAAAUAGAGCAACAUAGAGCCACACGUGUGUGAGAGAGUGAGAGAGAGAAGCUGUCAACCAGACCCGAAAACCUGACCCGGAACCCGCGAACGUGACCUGACCAUAUCUCCCAUUUCCAGCCACUGUUUCGGCCGAGCUUGGUACCAAUUUGAAGCUUAGAAGCCGGCCAUUGUUCCCCUGCCAUCCUCGUUGCCGAAAAGCAACCAGAACGCCGGCGAUCGAAGCUUGGAAACCCAUGACUGUUUCGCUUUGUUCCGCCGGGAUUUUCACCGGUUUUGGGUGACACCACCAGUUGGAUUUUUGUUCCCCGCGACUCCCUCUUCCAUUUUCGACCAUCCACUGCCGCCGGGGACGUCGUUUUGCCGUUGAUCAGCCGUUGAAAGACUUACGGCUUUGGGAGCUCGAUCCGGAGCCAUCGCCGCGCAUGGGAGGUCACCACCACCACCGUUGCACUCAGUGUGGCCAGAACUUUCAGACUUGAGUUUCCCCGCCAGCGUUGACCAAAUUCCAAUGGCUGUUUAUCGGCAAGGGCAUUUCGGUAAUUUCACACUGCGAGGGCAAUUUUGUAAUUUCUGAGCCUGUGGAUAUUUUAGUAAUUCCUAGAAUUGAGCAUUGGGUGUAAUUACGAUUUCGAUGGUAAUUCGGUGAUUUACAAUUUCAAAGUAUUUUAAUAAUUUACGGACUUGAGGGUAUUUUAGUAACUUUAUCGACGCGGGAGUUGUAAAUUAUGGAUAGAUGUUCGUUUUGAUUUUAUUGCAUAAAUUUAGUCUUAAUUCCAAUUUACGGAAAAUAAUUAUGUCGUUUCCUUGAUUUAGGAGGAUCCGCGAGCGAGAACCGGUCUGCGAACAUGGACGAUAACCGAACGUGAACACCGUCACUGUGAGUGGAAUAUACAAAACCUAUUUUCAUAGUUAAUUAUGAUAGUAAUGCAUGUUUGCGAAAUAAGUAUUUUAAAUGUUCUGAUUUAAUGAUUUCUCGAAAUGGAUUUUAUUCACGCAUUGAUAUUAUAUUAAAAUAUUUGGUUAAUGAUUUUGUGUAUCGACUUUGAAUAAAGCAUGAUAGUAUUUUAAAGAUAAGAAAAGUGGAUUCAAAUGUGGUAUGAUUUAAAGUAUGGUUAAAAGGUAUGUGAAUAUAAGUAUAAUGAUUGUUUUUAAAAUCAUUAAACAGUAUCCUUCCCUUCCAGAUACAGUGAUGCAGAUGAUAUGAAAUGAGAGGCCUUUGGGGCCCGUCUGAACACACAGAGGUUUUGGGCCGUGUGUUUGGGCGCUUUUUCCUUUUGGGGGCAUAUGCAUGCGGUAUGAUGAUUACAGAGAUACAUAUAUGAGAUACAGACAGAUAUUGAGAUACAGGCCUUUGGGGCCCGUCUGAGCACACACAGAGGCUUUGGGCCGUGUGCUUGGACGCUUUUGUCCUUUGGGGACUAGAUUACAUGCACAGAUAUGAUGAGAUAUGAGAUGGUAUUUCCCUGUCUAUCCGUGUAGCUCCGGGGCGUGACGGUACCCAGAUAGUUCGUCAUUGCUCGUCCGUUGAGGUCCGGAUAUGAUGAGAUUAUUUCCCUGGGUCCUUGUUUGGUGAUGAUUUUCAUAUUUGUGUAUCCUAUAUGAUAUUGUGAUAUGAUUUCCAUGGUUAUUAAUCUAAUUUAAAUGUUAAAUGAUUUAUUACUGGUUUCUCGCAUAUGAUUUGAUGAAAUCGUGUUUGGAAAUGAUAUGAUUAUCUCUUUUAAAGUAAGAAUUAAUUUUCAAAAACUACUAUCCACUCACUGAUCUCACUGAGUUUUAAACUCACCCCAUUUUUUAUUAUAUCCCCCCCCCUCACCAGGAGGUUGCAGGUACACCAGACCGACCCAGCGAUUGUAAAUAUAUUUUGAUUCUUGGCCACGUGAUGGUGUUAGAAGAUAUAAAUGUUUUUGUUAGGACAUCUUGGUUAUCUCGUCCUGUUGGGAUUGUAUAAUUUUAUUAUAUUAUUCUUUUGGGAUUAAGAAUAAACUGAGAUAUUAAUAUUAGUUAUAAUAUUAUCUUUUGAGACUCUGGAGAUAUAAAACUCAGCAUUUUGGUUGAGGAUGUUAAUCACUGGAUUUUGUUGUAUAUUGAAUUAUACUGGGAGUGUUAUGUUCAUAUUUGUAGAUUGGGAGUGUUAUAUAUAUAAAGGAGACUCUGCUGAAUUUUCGCCAGAAUCCUUACUAAUUAGAUUAUUAUCAAGUCUGUUUUGAUGUGACUAGAUUGACUCGCCCGGGGGGGAUUCAGGGCGGGUCGUUUCAUACAGUUUCCCCUAUCACGCUAUAAGCUACCAUAUCUCUGAUAUGUGUUAAAACUCUAAUAUUUUACUGCAUAGACAGUUAAUCGAAGAAAAAGAAAAGAAGGGGGGGUGGUGGUGUUGGAAAAGAAAGAAAUCAGACAGAUUAAAAAGAUCUAGCAUUGAAGGUGACAAAAUUCUACUAUAAUUGGAAAUUAUGAAUUUACCCUUCAUCUUCAACCUCCCAAGGCUUCCAACGUAGGUCUUUAACUUCCAAAAGACAGUUUAUUGCUACGCGCAGGUAAGCAUUUGGUUCAUGAGAAAAUUUGUCAAUAAAGUGUAAUAAAGCUGUAUUAGAGUUGUUGCAAGAAUGUUGUUGUCUAGAGACCUACCUACCUAUCAUCUUCUCUUUCUCUCCCCUUGGAUGAGAGAGUGAUUGGAUUCACUUAUUAUUAGUAUUUUUUUUCCUUGAUAAGAGUAGCUUGGAUCCGCUUAUUAAUCAGCCUAAAUCUCGAAUUAUAGUCCCAAUUAUUCGUAAAUGCCAGAUCAGGUAAGUUAUUAAUCAUUACCAAAAAAAAAUGAAAUAUUGAGAUCCCUAGUUUUAUUAUUCUAAUUAUUAGUUCUUCCUAUUAUUACUAUCGCUAGCUGGCAAUAAGCUGUCAAUUUCCUAUAAGCAAACAAGACGGUCGUUGAGCGUACUUGUAAGGAUACUGACGCCUCUGUGGUUUAGUAAAGGAACAUGGAGACUCGUCGUAUUUUCAAAAAAGGUAUACAGACCUCAUUUUAGACAAACAAAAGAAGUUUUUUUUAUUUUUAUUUUUUUAAAGGCAAACUUUGGGGUUCAAUGUGAGACGGUGAUUGUUUUUUAACACAAAAGAUAUUUAAAAAAGUACGUCCCGAAUAAUUGCUAUUUGUGGAGGCUCGUCCUACACGUUUACAAGAAAUUGUUAGAACUUGUAGAAAACGACGAAAUCUCUAGUCAUGGAGAGCAUUGCCGUUUAUGGCUCAAUGUCCAAAAUGAAUUUAGUGAUUCAACUGAGAAUGACACUUUAGACUUUUGUAAUUUCAGCAUUUAUUUUUUGAUUUAUUGCUUUCAUCAAUAAUACUGGGAAUUCCAUGCUUUUGACUUUCAAAUGGAGUCUCAAUCAUGUGGUAGGUCGUAAAAACUUUUAUUCUUUUUCUGUAAUAGAUAAUUUGUCUCUCGUACAAUAAUAAAGAUACCAAAAUGUACAUUAUUAGUCACAUAUAUUUCUAUUAUUGAUCAAUAAAAGAUGCUUUACUUGAAUUAGAAGAAAUUAGUGAAUAUUCUAAAAUAAAUAGUGAAGCUAAGUGUUUAGCAACGUAUGAAUUAAAAGAUUUUGAAUUCAUAUUAGGUGUGAUUAUUUAGUUUGAUAUUAUUUGUUGUUAUUAUUUGCUGUAAGUAAGAUCUUGCAAAAAGAAGAUGUGCGUAUUGAUAUUGCCAUAGACCAGCUUAAAGGUUUUUUUAUUUUUCCCUUUGCAAGCCAUAGAGAAAAUGGAUUCACAUCUAUUAUGAUUUCAGCAAAAGAUAUUGCAAGUGAAAUGGAAAUAGAACCUAGAUUUCAUGAGAAAAGUAUAAUUCGCAGAAAAAAAAAAUAAAUUUGAUGAAAAUGUUAGUGAACAGGGAAUUUUGUCUCUUGAAGAGUCUUCUAGAAUUAAUUAUUUUGUAUAGUAGAUCAAGCUAUUUCAUCAAUAAGAAUAGAUUUGAAUAAUUUCAAAUGUAUGAUAAUAUGUUUGGAUUUUUGUUUAAUUUCAAAAAAUUACAAUUGUUAAGUGGCUAUGUUUUAAAAACUUAUUGUGUUAAUCUCAAAAAUGCUUUAAAACAUGAUACACUAUCUGACAUAGAUGGUUUAGAUUUGUCUUAAGAGUUGAGAAUUUUAAACGAAGUUUUUCUAGGUGAAAAAAUACUACUUAAUUAUUUUAAAAAAUUGAUUCUUUCCGAAAUGCAUCUAUUGCUCAUAGAAUAUUGUUAACAAUAUUAGUAGCAGUUGCUUCUGCAAAAAGAAGUUUUUUAAAUUAAAAUUAAUAAAAACUUAUUUAAGAUUAACAAUGUUGCAAGAAAGGUCAACUAAAUUAGCUAUAUUGUUUAUUAAGAAAAAUAUAUUAGCAAAAUUAGAAUAUAAAAAUUUGGUUAAUAAUUUCGAACCUCAAAAAAUUAAAAAAAUUAGCUUUAAAAAAUUAUAAUUUUGCAAAAUUUUAAUAAAAAUAACUGAAUUUAUUUAUUAAAAAUAUAAUUUGCAAAUUUUUAUUAAAAUAAUUGAAUUUAUUUAUUAAAAAAUAAAUCCAAAAAUUUAAAUAAUUUAGGGGAUUUUUAUUAAAUUCAAAAAUUUUGCAAUUAUUUUUAUAAUUAUAUUUUUAUUAAUAUAAUUUUUAGUAAAAAAUAAACACUUUAAUUUUGGAAUAUAUGUUUUAUUAAAUUUAGGGGUAUUUUAUGAUUAUAAUUUUUUUAUUUUUUAAAAUAAAAUGAUCUUUUAAUUUUUUUAGAGGUAAAAUUGUUAUUUCGUUUAAAUUAUUUAACAGUAUUAAUGCAAAAGUGGCUAAUUGAUACAAAUUUAAAAAGAAAGGUGGUGCAGAGAACAUGUUAAAAUUUUGUAGUGGUUGAAUGAACAUAAGACAAAAUAAAGGUGGUGCAAUGAUAAAUUUCUUUUUAAAAAAAAAAUACAAUCUAUAAUGCAAUUUUCUCCUAUAAAAAUUAUAUUGCAUAAGUGAGGCUAAAAAAAAAUAUUAGAUAAAUCAACUUUGUGAAUGCUACCAGUCAGGUUGCAUAAAUAAUGCAAAUGUUGAUCGGUCAACACCAUAAGCCUCCUCUCCUCUUGGCGCCUACCAGAAAACAAGAGAUUAAAUAUGGUAAUGGAAAUUGGAUCUAAAAUUUAGAACAUAAGAAAUUUAUAGCCUUAUCAUGAUUGUGUCUAUAGAAGUUAAAUCAUUGGAAAAACCUAGAUUAUGCCUACACACUCUGUAAUGAACUUAACUUUGUUGAAGCUAUCAUUUUGGAAAACAUGGUUGAACCUAUUUCAAUGUCAUGUUUCAUAAGUAAGAACUUGAGAAAGAGGAAUAAUUAAGCCAACAACAUAUUUGAAAAAUUUACUCUUUUCCCACUAAUUUAAUUCAGGGUCUUCUUAAUUUUCUAAUUAAAAUCUACAUGUCAAAUGCAAUUUACAUGACUUACGCCUAAUUAUAUUUCUACAUCGCCAGGUGCGAACACCUAAAUCGUCCCCAUUUUGCCAUAAUUUAAAAAAGCUAAAGAUUGAAGCAUUACCUUAGGCUGUGAUAACUGUGCUGCCUUGUGAAUGGUUAUCACUGUUGUGUGAUGUCUGUUGGUGGUGGCGGUGACGAUGGCUGGGUAUGGGUGAUGGUGGCUGUGAGUUGUGGAUGGCGAAUGGCAAUUUUAGAUGCGGAUUGCGGUGGAUCGUGAAUGGCUGGACCUCGGUCAAUGAAGGAAAAGAGAAAAUAUUUGGCAAACAAAACGCUGCGUUUUUGCCUGUGCGUUUUGAUUUUUCGAAGUUUGACCCAAGAUUUGACUCAAUGCAAAUAUCAUUUUCAAUGUAUUUAUUAUUAUUUUUAUUUUUCAUGAGACUUAUCAAAUUGUGAUUUAAUGGUUAAUAAUUGUUUCAUAUUGUGUCAAAAAAGAGAGGCUCCCCGAAUAAGCCUCGCACCAACUAGUCGAAGUUUGUAUGCGCAUGUGCUUAUGUAUUGCACACUGAAUCAUUGUGUCAAAAAGGAGAGGCUCUGACUCCCUAACAUGCCCUGUACCAACUAGUCUAAUUUUUCAUAAGCAUGUAGCUCAUGCGCUGCACCACAGUGUAAUGCAGCAAAAUCAAGAAAAAAAAGGUGAAAUAUGCUAUUUCUCUUUUAAGAGAAAUUCUAGAAUAUAUAAAAGGUAAUAUAAUUAAAUUUUUUAUAUAAGCACCAGUUAUAUGUUGGUUCUUCAAACUAAAUGUACUUAUACUAUAAAAUUAUUUAGUUAUUGUAUAAAUGACAUGGUACAUUAAAAGAAUUCUAAAAUUUCUCUUUCUACCCCCUUGUCAUUUUCAACUAUUAGUCAAUGAGAUGGCAUUUUACAUGCUGAUAUGUUGCCUAGCAGAAACUCUUAUGUUUUGAGAUUGAUGAUCCCAAGAAAAUGGCACAAAUAUCUCUUCUAAUGGUAUUUUACAGGUUGUUGACCAAAAGUUGCAUGUGUUUUGGAAGACCAAUGGUAUUUGCAUUUUGUUUGCAAAUUCUAGUAAAGUCCGGCUGUACAAGAAUUCUCUUUGGACAAAAGCUCGUUUAUUUCUAAUAUUUUUAGGCUAAUGUUCUUUUAGUCACUAUAUUUUAAAAAAUUCCUCAAAACAUCCCUAUUGUUAAAUUAUUGACACCAUUGUUAGGGUUACUUUUUAUUCUCUUAUAAUAAUGUUUAUUUUUUGGACAUUAAUAAAAAAAUUAGAUUAUCAAUUUAAUUCCAAAAAAUUAAUGUGGAAGACUCUAAUAAGUUAAUAUAUUAAAAUUUUUACUGAUGUCCAAAAAAAUUGGUAAUUUAAUUUUUUUACAAUAUUAAUUUUUUGACAUACAUAAUCUUCUUGGAAAAUUAAUAUAUAUUAUUUUUAUUUUUAUUUUAUUUUUGCGGUUAAAUUAAUAAUUUAAAUUUUAUUUUUAAUUAAUGUCCAAAAAAAUUAUUGUACGAGAGAUAAUAUUAUAAAAGCAAGCUAAAAAGAAAACAAUUACGACAGAUAUGUCAAUUGUUUAACGACCAAGAAUUUUGAGUUAUUUUUAAAAAUAUAAGAAAUCUAAAUAUAAGAAUUAAACGAGUUUUGACACAUUCUUUUUAGUGCUCUAUGACUCUUAUGGAAGUAUAACUUUGAUUAUUAAACACAUGCUUCUGCACGUCUCAGUUCACCGUAGGACUGCCAUGAACAAAUAUCGACAUCGUUGAUUAUUAUAAACACAUCCAUUGCACGUUAGAAUUCCCUCAUGAAAAAAUAUGACUACUUUUUGCGUUCUGGUUUGGUUCAUAGUUCCUAUUUUUGAUCCUUAAUUUUUAUGACUUCGACAAUUAAUUUCUGUAGUUGAAGUAAUAUUAAAUUGUACUAUAUAUGUACACACACACACACUUGCUUAUUACUGCGGAGGACUUGGGAUGUUUUAUUUGUAUGGAUUAAUCUUAACAUAAUUCUGAAGUGUUUUUAGUUACUGCAAGAAAUUGAACGAAUUAAAUUAAAAAAUUAAAGAAAUAAAUAUAUAGUUUUUAUUUUGCGACAUAUUAUAAUGAAAAAGAUCAUCUACUUGUGUUGGCUUUGUUUAGUUUUAAAAAACUUAUGUCACUUAAAGUCAUCUAUAUUAUUAAUCAUUUAUACUUUCUAUUGUUUUUAUCUUUACAAUCAACCUCCGAAUGCACAUUACUGUAUUGUCAACAUGCUCCAAGAAAAUAAGGUUUAGACAACAUGACUAUAACAACGUGUUAGAGUGUUCAAUCUAUUCAAUUCAUUUGAUCUGUAAAAAUCCCCUCGAUAAAAAUCCAAUCCAUGAAUUGACAGAUUAGAUGGAUUGAAAAAUUUUAAAAUCCACAAUUGAUGAAAUGGAUUGGCUUCUCCAAAUCCCUGAAAAUCAGCAAAUCCGUGUGUGUAUAUAAUUUAAAGAAUUUAAAAUUUAAAAAUGUUAUACUACUAGUAAAUAGGUUAAAAUCUAGUUAGGGUGGACGUUGACAACAAUUAAUUAUAUAAGCUUUCAAAUUUCAACUUUUGUAUUGAUUUAAUUCUAAAAUUUAAGUUGAUUUUCAUCCACUGAUCUAGAAACAUCAGGAUUUUUUAUUUUGGUGUGCUAAAGUUCGAAACUUUGAAUGGCAUCCUUAAAAAACGAAUGGUCUUUCAGUAGCUGUCGUCGUGUGUCAUCACCUCCAACCUAUCCUACACCGAAGCUGAAACCAAUUACUCCAGUGUUUUCAUAGUUUUAUUUAAGAGUGAUUAGGGAGUAAAGCUGAAAUGGUAUAUGGCUUCCGGAUUAUAUUUGUUUCAAAACGUAUGUUGAUUGAUUUAAUAGAUGUUGGGGUGGCGGCAUAAAGACCCUAUUAACAUAGCAUUCCUAAACCCGUAUUUAAACUAUUGAUUUAUUUAGAUCUUGUUUAAAUUUGAAUUUGAUUGGCAUGCAGUAAAAUUAUUUUUAUAAUUAAAAUUUUUAUUUAAUUAUUUUAUGAAUUGAAUAGAAAGAAAUUUUUUUUAAUCCGUAUUGAAUUCGCAAAAGUGGAAUGAAUAUGGAUUAUAUCAAAUCCACUUCUAAUCUGCAGAAUUAUGAAUUGAAUUUAGAUUAAUUUUACUAAUUCAUGGAUUGAAUGGGAUUAAAAAUUUAUAACGAUUUUACACUAGUUGUCAAUUAUUAGAAUUUUUUCACAACGCGCUUUUGUAGAAUGUUGUGAGAUUGAACAUCUAUUGAAGAGUUUUUAACAACAUUCUUUCGCUUGUUGUCAAAUAUUAAAAUUUUUUUACAACACACAUUCACCAACCGCUGUUAAAUGGAAGUUUUUUGAAAUUAUUACAAAUUAUCACAAUCUACAAUAUAUUAAAAUCCAGGGUCCAGCUACAUUACGUCAAGGGUUUGGUACCCCAGUCAUUUGUCCUUUUGCAAAUGACCAUUUAGAUCGUAAAGAAAGGUAAUCAACGGCUGAGGUUUAACACUUAGAAAAUGGGUAACCGGCUAUAGCUACAGUAUCAGUAAAAGGAAAACAAAAAGGAAGUAUAUAAUCCUUUGCUCCAGAAGACUCUAGACUUCGUCAAUGAGCCAAACGGAGACAACCGUUUGCUCCAGAAACUCCCCCUUUUGUACCUCCACGGCGACGCCGUUAUCGCCUCCGUCACCAUCCUCUCCGACGCAAGACUCCGCUCGAAUCCAAACGAAUACGACCACUUCAACAAAAAAUCACAGCCGUUGAAUCUCUCCUCCGAGUUGAAGUUCUUGCUGUUAAUCACCACCGCCACAUCAUCAACGCACGGCGUGAUUUCAGAACCGUUCGUGGAGGCGGCCCUCUUCGUCAGCAUUUGGAUUUCGGAUAGAGACUCAAGGGACGCAGUCGCGAGUUGUAGCAAUGAGCUGUCGUCGAGACUCGGUCGGAUUCUCGCCACCAUUAUGGGAACAAAUGGAGACUCGGUCAGAAAAAUUCCAGCUCGGCAUAAGGGAAUUGUGAAGAUGAAAAAAUUUCAGUUUGGCAGAAGGGACUUGUUUUUCAAAACAAACAAAUGUGCUUUUGGUAUUUAUUUUUGCUGAUGAAGCUUUUUUUUUUUAACAACAUCUGAUGUAGUAGGAAUUCAUAGGGCUAGGAUUAGAAGUUAAAAAUUUCAAAGUGGGUGACAAAGUUGUAGUUGUGCUUGUGAGUGCUAAUUUAUAUAUAUAUAUAUAUUUUCUUAUCCUUUUAUCUUUAAUUUAUUCGGAAUAAAUUUCUAGUCUUCUUUUACUACUAGGAAGAUUGAAAUUAAGGUCAUGGAGAAAUUUGGAUGACCAGGUAUUGAUGAUAGGCAACAAAAUAUCAUUUCUUCCAGUUAAGAGAACCCCCAUUUUAGUUAAUAUGGUUGUGGUUGCAACUAUGAUAAUUAGUAAAAUGUUGAAAACACAUUUCUGUUUUUUACACGGUUCAGGUUCUUGACCAUGCUAGCAACUCUGCUUUCCCUAUAAAAAUUUCUUUUUGUUACUGCAAUCUGGUGAUAUAGUGAAUUGAAUGAAUUUUUGGUACUUUCUUUGUUUCGUGCUUGGGUCAAUCAAUAAAAAUAAUUAUGUGGCAUUCCAAAGAUUUUAGUGUUGUCAGAUCAGAUUCAAAAAGAUAAGGUGUAAACUGCACGAUGUUGCUUUUGUUGGAUGAGGUUAUAGGCAUGUAUAGAGAUACCACCACUAUAAAUCUUUAUUUCCAAGUCAUAUUUGGUUUUUGGUACAUGUAGUUGGAUAUCUGAGAGCCUUCUGUCCUCAUUCAAAGUUCAUACAUCUUUGGCAUGUGAAGGGUUUAGUCUUUUCAUCUACGUGAGCGGAGAGGUGAUGCUGCUCCAUCAGGAUUCAGUCUAAUUUUGUAUAAGCUGAUUUCAUCUGUUCAUUUUGUUUUAGUUUUAAAUUUCCUUAUUGAUGACAGAGUGGAGGCAGACUAGCUGAGUUUGCUAUGGCCAAGGAGAGCUUGACAGUUGCUAGGCCGCAAGAAGUUUUUAAGUUUUUGCAGCUGAAGUUGCUGGCAUACCUUGUGCUGGUCUCUCUGCUCACCAGGCCCUCGCUCAGCUCCUUGGUGUCAACCUAGAUGGAAGUGGCUAGCAGAAAAACAUUAUGAUCACUGCUGCCUCAGGAGGUGUAGGUCUCUGUGUCGUUCAGUUGGCAAAGCUUGGAAACACAGGCAUGAUCUGCUUCAAAUGAGUGUGUGUGCGUGUUUUAAGAAUCAGUAGAUGAAGUCUGCAUGCUGCCUCAACCACCACUAACCGAGGACUUUCAUUUACGCAUCUCGUAUUUAGAUUACAAUAUAGUGUAAGCCAAGAACGUGGCAGUUUUUCUGUAAUUAGUUUGUUGUAUUGAUUACAGAAAGGCACCCUUUCAUAAGAUGUAUUUGGGUGCCUCUGCAUUUUCGACAUGGAAGGCUACUUGUUGGCAUUAUUAUAUCACAUAUUAUAUAUUUUACGCAUCUUCUUUCCCAUGUUGUUCGUUUUUAUAACUGUAAGAUAUAUUCUUUUGUAGAUGUUCUUGGAUCAGCAGUUGGGUUUGCAGUCUUCACAAUUGUUUUACUCUCAUGGGCAUUGACAUUUGCCAUCGGAGGGGAGCAUCUCUUUGGCUCUGCUUGGGAUAAACUAGUAAUGUAUAAUGUUGCUGAGAGAUUAGGUUUGAUAGGUUGGAGAUAGUCAUGAAUCUUAAAACUCAUUUCAAUUGUCCUGUAAAUAGUCUAGUGUUGAAACUUGAAACAACAUACAUUAUGUUGAAGGUAAUAUUGGAGCCAUUUUUCUCAAUUAGUAAAAGAACCUUUCCUGUGGCAGAUUCAUGCUUUUAUCUGAAAAAUAAUGUAUCAUCGCAUAUUUUUUUUAUUAAAAAAAUUAUAAACAUGAGAACUCCUGAACCUUUCUUUCGUAUGUAUUAACUUUGUUCGAUAAAAAAUUGUCUACCUUGAAUUUUGAAAUUUGAAACGGUUGCUUUAUUCUCAUCUGAUACGCUGCAAAAAUGCCUUGAUAAAGGGCAAUGUUAUGUGACCAAGUCAGUGACUCGCAACAUAUUAUUUGGAAAAAUAUGUUCUCUUUUAUUCAUUCAAUUUGAAAACAAAUAAUUUGUGCAAUAUUUAAUUGUGCACAGUUUUUAGUAUUAACAAUUGUUUAUUUACCAACCAAUAAUACUUUUAUUUUGUGCUUACUUGAUAAUUUAUAUUUGUUUUUAUGUAAUAUAUUAUGAUUUAUUUAUUAUGUCUUAACUAUAUUUAAUUACGUGCUUUUUUUUUGUCUAUGAUAUAAAAUAUUAAUUUCACAUUUUUUAAGUCUCCAAACAGAUAAAUGGAUAUUAAUGUUUUUUUGAACAUGUUUGAAAACCUUAACAUUAAUCAAGACUGCCUUAUAAUUGUGCUUCUGUAAAAAAGAUUUACAUUUUUUGUUGACUGGAACUGAUUUUAUGAUUACAUGAGCUUACAAUAGAUAUGAUUGCUUGGGAUAGAUGACAGUUUUGACUCAAUCUCAACUAUUCAUGAUUUAAUGGUCACGAUUGUCCCAUUUGACAAUGGUUGGUGAAGCAAGUUGUAGUGUUCGAAUCUUUGUAUUCCGGUCAACCCAUUCCACACAUUAACCCCGCAAAUCUCAAUCGUUCUUUGAUCGUAUCAGACGCUUCAAAUUAUGCCACGGGUACUGUUGACUUAAAACAAUACCAGCCGUUCACUCUCCGUCUAAUGGUUGUGAGGAAAACAUGCAUGAAGCUUAUGAUGGACCGUAAAUUACUACAUUAUAAAAUUAUUUUUCUAUCAAUAGAGCCUCAAUUUUUUUUUGGGCGUCUCUCUUCUUCUCAAUUUCUCUCAAACUGCUUGUAAUCUUAAUUUUCAGCUGUGUUUUAAUAUUUUCCAUAAUUUUUUAUAAAUAAAUUUUGUUUAAUUUUAUAUUUUAAUGUCAAUUACCAUACACAGUAGUCCAUUAUACAAUCUUAUCCUUCAUCUCAAUUAAGCCUAUAUUCCUUGGUUGGUGAUUUACUAUUUUUAAUUUUAUUGUUAUUAUUAUUACGCUAAUUAUCAUCAUCAUUAUCAUCGUUAUUUUGUUUUAAUAAUAAUAAUAAUAAUAAUAAUAAUAAUAAUAAUCUUCUUAUUCUUCUUCUUCUUAGCGACUCAGCGGCUUGUAUGUUAUAAUUCAUCUAAGUGCCAGCUGGAUUCCUUGCACAAAACACCCAUCCUGCGAAAAACUGUUGAUUAGAAAAUCUGCGAUAGGGUGUUUGGUUCAUCAAGCUCAAGAUAGUUUUCUCUUAGUUUUCUUCGGGUAAAAACUCAUUUAAUCCCUGUAUUUUAAGAUUAGUAUCCAUCUAGUCCCUAUAUUUUUAAAAAUGUCUUGAAACAUCCAUACCAUUAAAGUAUUGAUACCCCUACCAUUACUUUUACCCCUACCGUUACUUUUAUUUCUUUUGACUUGCUUUUACAAUAUUACCCUUUUAUAAUAAUUUUUUUGGACAUUAAUAAAAAGAAAAUAAUUAAAUUACCAAUUUAACCCUAGAAAAUUAAAAAAAUUAUAUUAAUUUUUUUGUAAGCACCAUUUGCACACUUGGUAGUUUGCAUACAAUUUUUUACAAUUAAAAAUUAAUAUAAUGUUUUUUAAAUUUUUAGGGUUAAAUUGGUAAUUUAAUUAUUUUCUUUUUUAUUAAUGUCCAAACAAAAAAGUUCUUAUAAAAGGGUAAUAUUAUAAAAGUAAGCGAAAAGAAAUAAAAAGUAACGGUAUGGGUAUUAAUACUUUAAUGGUAGGGAUGUUUCGAAGUAUUUUAAAAAAUAUAGGAACUAAAUGGAUACUAAUCUUAAAAUAUAGGGACUAAAUGAGCUUUUACCCAUUUUCUUCUUCUUUUAAUUUAUACUUUACCUCAAUUUAGACCGUCAUUUUUCAUUGAUCAAUAUUCAUUUAUUUAUAAUAAUAAUAAUAUUAUUAUUAUUAUCCGGUACAUAUUUUUUCUUCACAUUUUUUUUCCAAUCUAGUUUUCAUUUAUUUUACUCAUGCACAAAUUUUUCAGAAAAAAAUUAAUUAUAUGGUCACUUUACUGUAAAUUAAUAUCACGCCUCUUUCAUGAUUAAAUUUGAUAUUUCCCCUUCCCCCCCCCCCAGGUACGCAAUGCAAUACCUGACCCUACCUUUAAAUCCACUUCCUAAAAUUUUCGUCCCUAUUUUCAAAAAUUUCAAAUCCAUCUUACCCCAACCCAUACUUGCACGCUUCCAAUGUCUUGUUUUUAACCAUUACUUGCAUGCACCCUUUUUCCUUUAUUUGCAUGCGGUACUUAAUCACUUCCAACCCAUUACAGUCGUUCAUUUUUGGUCAAAAAGCGGAUCCCCUGCAGGUUAUCGGGCCAUUACCUUUUUGUCAGGUUACUAGCUACCGUGCUGUGUCUCUUCUUCAGCCAUUAGAUUAAAUCCAACGGUCACUCUGCUACAAGACAAAUGACUUGGGUACCAAACCCCUGAUGCAAAGUAGCUGCGCCCUAAAAUCCAUUAUCUCCAAUCAACUUUUUGUUGAUAAUCAUUUUAAAAUUUAUUAAUUUGUUUUCCGCAAAAGUACUUUAUAACUGUAACAGAUAGAAUUUCGAUGUUAGUGCUCAACAUUAAGAUAUUGUUUGCAACUUUGUAUGCCUUUUUUUUUCCUUAAAUUUACUUUGUAUAUUCUUAUUUCUACAUAAAACAAGAUUUUAAUGUAAUAAAUAGAACUUUUUUUAGUAGAAUUGAAUUUAUGAAUUUCUUGUCAUUUCUGCGUGCAUUUAUUGUGUAGUUUAUUGAAAGACUCUUUAAAAAAUUUGUAUGCAGGAAAAAAAAAGAUAAAUAAAUAAAGAUUAUACAACAUUCAUCGGAAUGUAUGGAUGAUGUAUGUGUCUUCUGGUACAAUAUUGACCUCGUUCGCACAGUAUGAUGUACUCCUUUUUUUUUCCCCCCAAAUGAAUAAAAUACUUUUGUACUAUUAAGACUUAAAAAUUAAACGCUUUCAAAACUCAAAUGAGUACGAAAAGUAAAUCACAUGAACUUCUCCUCUGCCUAUAUAUAUAUAUAACCUCGUACAUCACCACAAACCAUAGAUUAAUUUGAGAAUCUUUGCCAAGUAUAACUGUAAGCUAGCUUACUCUACAUCUAUAUAUCCAAUGUCUUCUUGCAUUAAUGCCUCAACCUUGGUUACCUCUGUAAAUGGUUUCAAAUGUCUUCCUCUUACAACAAAUAAAGCAGCCAUCAGAAUCAUGGCCAAAAAUAAGCCAGUCCAAUGCCUUGUCAGCGCCAAAUAUGAUAAUUUGACAGUUGAUAGGAGAUCAGCAAACUACCAACCUUCAAUUUGGGACCAUGAUUUUUUGCAGUCACUGAAUAGCAAGUAUACGGUAUUGAUUAUUAUUAUUAUUAUUAUUAAUACGUAUUAAUUUCCUUUGUUCAUUUCAAAUUGGGACCAUGAAUAACUAAAAACUAAAUGCUGUGCAUGUAACCGAGCCUGGAUCAGUUGGAGCUGAUUGAUAACUUGCAAAGACUUGGAUUGGCUUAUCGUUUUGAGACUGAGAUUAGGAACAUAUUGCACAAUAUCUACAACAGUAAUAAAGAUUAUGUUUGGAGAAAAGAAAAUCUGUAUGCAACGUCCCUUGAAUUAAGACUACUUAGACAACAUGGCUAUCCUGUUUCUCAAGGUACAUUUAAUUAAUUCGCUUCCUUCUUCAUGCACAUGCAUGAUCUGAAUACUUGAAUCGAUCUCUUUGUUUUUUUUUUUAUUAUUUAAAUGUAAAGAAAUGGACGAAACCCAAAUCAGUUUUAUAACUCUCUAUCUCCUGAGGGUGCCGCCCGCGCCCGGUCGUACUCAUAACCGCAUCAGGUCUCCAAGGUGAACAGCCUCUGGUCGAUGGAACAAUGUAGGCAAGGGAAGUCGGCAAAAUGGAUCCGUAACUUCGGGAAAAGGAUUGGCUCUGAGGGCUGGGCACGGGGGUCCCAGUCCCGAACCCGUCGGCUGUCGGCGGACUGCUCGAAAAGGGCGCCGCUGGGGAUACUUCAAUCAUUCUCUAAUUAAUAUAUGGAUGCAAAAAUUUUGACGAAUGCAACUUUUCUUGGUUGAAUGCUGCAGAGGUUUUCAAUGGUUUUAAAGACGACCAGGGAGGCUUCAUUUAUGAUGAUUUCAAGGGAAUAUUGAGCUUGCACGAAGCCUCGUAUUACAGCUUAGAAGGAGAAAGCAUCAUGGAGGAGGCCUGGCAAUUUACCAGUAAACAUCUUAAAGAAGUGAUGAUCAGGAAGAGCAUGUAUUUGUCGCAGAACAAGCGAAGCGUGCAGUGGAGCUCCCUCUGCAUUGGAAAGUCCCAAUGUUAGGGGCAAGGUGGUUCAUACACGUUUAUGAGAAAAGAGAGGACAAGAACCACCUUUUACUUGAGCUCGCUAAGUUGGAGUUUAACACUUUGCAGGCAAUUUACCAGGAAGAACUUAAAGACAUUUCAGGGUAUCCAUUUGAUUGCAUAACUCAUAUAUAUAUAGACAGACACACACACACACACAUCAAAGAUUUGAUUUUAUAAUUUACAUAACUUGUACAAUUUAAUCACAUGUAUAUUAAAUUAUUCUUAGGUGCAAACUCCGCCUUUUACAGAAGUUUAAAGGCAUGAGCUGUACUUUAUUUUUUUUUUUAUAUUAAUCACGAGGUAUCCUGGGGAGAGCCCCAACUGUGGGAAGCACCUUCGGAGUAUUAAAAAUUCAGUAUGUAAAAUGUUAAUUUCACCUCUCCCGCCGUUCCGUUCCUUUGAUUUAUCCUUUUUAAAUUACGAUGCUUUUGUCUCAAAAAUAAUAAAUUGUAAUUAGCUUUAUUUUCUAUGUCAUGUGCAUCAGUGACUUGGCUUACUACAAGCCUGCUUAGUGGAGGCAAAAUGGUACCAUAGUAAGUACACGCCAACGCUGGGAGAAUUCUUGGAAAAUGGAUUGGUAUCAAUAGGAGGCCCCAUGGGUACAAUGACUGCAUACCUUUCUGGGACAAAUCCAAUCAUUGAGAAGGAACUAGAAUUUUUAGAAAGUAAUCAAGAUAUAAUUCACUGGUCAUUCAAGAUUCUUCGUCUUCAAGAUGAUUUGGGAACUUCAUCGGUAUUUAUUCUUUUUUCCUUUUUUAACAAGACAGAAAUUGAAUUAAUCCUCUAUAUACGAUUUGAUUGUACUUUUUUUUACCCAAUAAUUCAUCAGGAUGAGAUACAGAGAGGGGAUGUUCCGAAAUCAAUCCAGUGUUACAUGCAUGAAACUGGUGCCUCGGAGGAAGUUGCUCGUGAACACAUCGAGGAUAUGAUGAGACAGAUGUGGAAGAAGGUGAAUGCAUACAGAGCUGAUAAAGAUUCUCCCUUAUCUCAAAAUACAGUUGACUUCAUGUUGAAUCUUGUGAGAAUGUCCCAUUUUAUGUAUCUACGUAGAGAUGGGCACGGUGCUCAAAACCAAGAGACUAUGGAUGUAGCUUCUACAUGGCUUUUUCAGCCCAUUCCCUUGGAGGACAACCACAUGGCUUCCACAGCACCAACGGCUGAUGAAUUCCCAGAGUGCAGUUUCAGUUGAUGUUAGCCAGACUUUUCUCUCUAUUGGGGGAUCGCUUUUCUAUAAUAUAAUAAACUCCCUCAUUCAUCGAGGUCUAUAAAUGAAAAGCAAAUGAUAUAUAUGUUGCUUUUAUUGAGAAUAAAAGUCGUCAGUAUAUGCAUAUACUUAAACACAAGAUGAGGAUGGAUGCAGUUAUACUCGAUUAUUCAAGCAUGGUUCAUAGCAUGUUAAACACAAGGGCUACUUUCAGUAUACAUGCAUCACCCAUUUAAAUCGCAUUUGACAAAUCGUACCCAUUUAAAUUAAAUGAGGAUAGAAAUUAGAUCUGUGGCAUUUAAAGAAAAAAGUUACAAGGAUCAAAAAGUAAAUAUAACAAAAAAAUGAGUUCCUAAUUAUUGGGUUAGCUUAAAGAAGGAGCGACUAAUUAUUGGAUUAGUCCAUUUUAAUUAUCUUCUAUUAGCAUAUUCAUUUCUAGAAACAAAUAUCCAACAAUGUCGAUUGUGUUUAUAAAAUAUGAGUGUAGAGACUUGGGUUCAAUCUUUCUAGUCUUCUCAAAACUUCGCCUCUAGCUACACAUUGCUAAAAUUCAAGAGUAUUGAAAAGGAUUAAAAGUUUUAUUGACUUCCCUUCUUAAGGAACAAGAUCGGGUAUUUAUACACGAGUAGAGGAACUAUAUAUGGAAGAAACAUUUUACAGAAAUUAUGGGAUUAAUUCUAAACUUAGUCGUUGACUAGCCGUUGGCUAAGAUAUGAAGAGAAUAUGGACUUGAAUAAUGGCUGGCCAUCUUUCUUUGGUGAGUUUGCAUGUCACGGGAUUGUGUGAGAUGAUUGUUGCAAGCCUUUGGCAAGAGCAAUACAGAUUGCCAUAUUUGUUUCCAACGGUUUGCAACUUGCCUUGUUAAUGUGGGAUUGAGUUGGUGUGCUGAUUUUUUCCAUGUUGGUGCGUGACCCAUGUGGCUGCAUGUGGUUCAUGUGUUGUGACUGUUCGAAUUCCACAUUUGGUGGGCAAUGUAUCUUAACAGCCCCCCUCAAGGUCGGCCGGGUCAUAGAGUGAACGCCGAGCUUUUGUCGAAAGAGAAAGAAAAGAUCUUUGCCCAAUGGUUUGGUAAGGAUAUAUGCAGCUUGCUGCAAGGAGGGAACAUGCGUGGCUUUAAGGGGGCCUUGAGAUACUUUUUCACGAACAAAAUGGACGUCAAUUUCGAUAUGCUUGCUGCGCGCAUGAAACACGGGGUUGCGAGUCAUAUAGAUGGCGCUCGUGUUAUCGCAAAGAAGGUGAGGAAUGUGUGAUAGUGAGACUCCAAUGUCCUGCAAUAAAGAAAGAAUCCAAGUUAGUUCAGCGGUAGUGGAAGAUAAAGCCCGAUAUUCUGCUUCAGCAGUGGAGCAUGCAACGAUGCUUUGUUUCUUGCUACACCAUGAGAUUAAGUUUGCCCCAAGGUAAACACAAAAGCCAGUCGUGCUACGUCUUGUUUCAAGGCAACCAGCCCAAUCGGAGUCCGAAAAGGCAUACAGUUGAUUGGAGCUUUGUUCAAGGAAUCGAAGUCCAAAGUCGAGAGUGCCUUUAAGAUAACGCAAAAUUCUUGUAAUAGCCUUGAGGUCUUGUUUAGUAGGGCUCUGAAAGUGUUGACAGACUUUAUUGACAGCAUGAGUGAUGUCUGGUCUGGUGAAUGUGAGAUAUUGUAGACUGCCGACAAGGGAACGAUAGUGAGUGGCGUGUAUGGGUUCUUGAUCGUCAUCAUAUGGUUGGGUUUUGACAGCCAUUGGGGUCCGAUUAGGGGUGCAAUCUAGUAAAGCAGCCUUGGUUAAUAAGUCACGAGUGUAUUUGGCUUGUGACAAAAAAAUGCCUCCUGGAAAGCGCCGAAUCUCGAUCCCUAAAAAACAGCUCAAUAAGCCUAAGUCUUUUAAUGCAAACCGAGUGCUGAGAUGACUGAUGAUGGAUUGAAUUAUAUCGGGAUUAUUUCCUGUAAUAAUUACAUCAUCUACAUACACCAACAACAAAAUAAGAAUAUCGUUAGCAUGAAAAAUAAAGAGGGAAGGAUCGGCUUUGCAGCUUGUAAAACCAAGCUCUAGAAGUGCUAAUGAUAAACAUUCAAACCAGGCACGUGGUGCUUGUUUGAGUCCAUAUAAGGACUUGUGGAGUAAGCAAACAUGGUCAGGAAGAUUUUGAUCAGUAAAGCCAGGUGGUUGCUCCAUGUAGGCAAUUUCUUUUAGUUGACCAUGAAGGAAGGCAUUUCGGACAUCCAGCUGUUUGAUAAGCCAUUUAGAACUAGUUGCAAGUGCUAAGACAAGCCUUAUGGUAGUUGGCUUAAUGACGGGGCUGAAAGUCUCGUUGAAGUCAAUGCCAGGAACUUGUGUGUACCCCUUCGCAACUAAACGGGCUUUUAACCGAUCUAUUGUACCAUCUUAUCUAUACUUGGUUUUAUAAACCCACUUCGAACCAAUAACAUUGGCAUCAUGAGGUCGAGGAACUAAGGUCCAUGUCUUAUUUUGAUGGAGGGCAGCAAGUUCUUCGGCCAUUGCUUGUAGCCAUAGAGGAUGCUUAAGAGCAGAUUUUAAUGUUUUUGGUUCGGUCACUAUGGCAUGAUCGGUUUGAAGAGCUAAGGUAGGAUUUUGUUUGAGCUUGUUGCGUGUCAGCAUAGGAUGUGUAUUUAGAGAUUCUGUUGUUUUGACAGGAGAGAUAUUUAGUUCAACGAACAACUUUCCUGAGAGAUCGUUUAAGGCAGAUGGAGCACGAUUGUCACUAUCUAAGGUUUGUUCGGAGGUCGUGUGGAUAUGUGUAUUAUCGGCAGAAGCAGCAGUCUUGUUAUUGGAUGAGGGGCUCUUUUGAGGUGAAUUUGUAGAGGAACUUUCGGGUAAAUAAGUGGGUAGUUCAUGAAGGUCUUCAAUUAUCACAAACUUUGUUUGGAGUGGGAGACAAUGGUUCAUUCGUAUUUGGAGAUGUGGCAGUGUAGUUUGGAUUAGCAACUUCAAUGUGCCCAAGAGAAGUGUUGUUGAAGGACUCUGUCCAAGUUGUUGGGAGCCAUUGUGACACAUUUGGAGUAGUGGGAACGCUACAAGCAUCCUGCAUAGGAGAAGAAUCUUUUAGAUUUUGAUAAGGAAAACAUAAUUCAUCAAAUGUUACAUGACGAGAAAUAUAAAUUCUAUUGUUUUGUGGAAAAAGACAGCGGUAUCCCUUGUGAGUGGGGCUGUAACCAACAAAAAUACAAGGGAGAGUUUUUUUGUCAAACUUCGUUUUAUUGUAAUCCCUCAGAGAGGGAAAACAACGGCAACCAAAAACUUUAAUUUCAUUGUAACUGGGAGUUUCCUUAAAAAGUAACUCAUGAGGUGUGUGCAUCUUAAUAAUUGUUUGUGGCAGUUUAUUAAUGAGAUAUACAGCUGUUAAAACAGUCUCCACCCAAUAUUUUAAUGGUAAUGAAGAUUCAAAUAACAUAGUAAGGGCAGUCUCCAUUAUAUGUCUAUGUUUCCUUUCGGCAACUCCAUUUUGUUGAGGAGUAUAAGGGCAUUAAGUUUGUUUGAUGAUUCCAGACUGUUGAAGAUGUUGUUGGAAAAUGAUAGAGCUAAAUUCUCCUCCGCCAUCACUUUGAAAAAUUUUGAUCUUUCGUUCCAUCUGAUUUUCCACCUGUUUUUGGAAUUUAAGAAAACACUCAAAAAAAUCAGAUUUUGAUUUUAAGGGAAAUAACCAACAAUAACGUGUACAAUCAUCCACAAACAAUACAUAGUAACGAAAACCUUGAUUAGAAGCAAUUGGAGCAGGACCCCAUAAAUCACAGUGAAUUUUAUCAAGAGGGAAAUCAGAAAUUUUAUUUGAUAAACUGAAUGGGAGUUUACAGUUUUUGCCUAAUUGGCAUGAAACACAAAUACUAGUGUUCUUAGUCCAAUCAGUUAUACUGAUAGACCCAUUAGCGCGCAAGACUUGUAAUAUUUUAGGACUUGGAUGGCCAAGUCUCUUAUGCCACAAGUCUUGGUUUUCUGAGUUUCUUCUUAUUGUUUGAAAAGCUAAGUUUCCUCCUUCAUUGAGCACGUACAAGUCCCCCUGCCUAGUUCCCUGAGCCAGUACCUGAUUCUCCUUGCUCUUUACAACAAAACCAAGAGAGUUAAAUUCCACAGAACAAUUUAUAUCAUCCACAAGUUUGCUUACUGACAGGAGGUUCUUUUUAGUUUGGGAACAACCAAAAUAUCUUUCAAGUUUAAUUUCCCAUGUGUGGUAUCACCGAUAUGAGAAAUAUGUAAGCUUUGGCCAUUCCUUACAAAAAUCUUAUCAGAACCUCCAUAGGGUAUAAAUUUCUUUAACUUACUAGUGCUAUUUACCAUGUGGGCAGUAGCACCUGAAUCAGUAUAAAGUUGUGGGUCAUUCUCGUCUUGCAGAUUCAUGGCCGCGACGGCUUGCGGUGCUUCCUCUUCAGGGGUAAAGUAGUCAUACGUGUGCCUACAAACUGCAGCACUGUGGUUAGUUUUACCACAAAUUUGACAGAUUAUACCUGAUUUGGAAUUGUGUUUUCGUUGAUCAACAUGUUCUGUACUGUAGUGUUUUGGUGCAGGUGGCAGAUUUGGGCCAUUAUUGUUGAACCUUGGUUGCGGCAGAGAGUUGUUAGAGGGUGAUUGAUUCAUAUUGAAAGAUUGAUUCAUAUUGCUGUGCCCAUUGUUAGAAGGAUAAUUUCCUCUUCCACGAAAGUUGUUGUUAAAGCCGCGUCCUUGUCCUUGUCCUUGUCCUUGAAAACUUUUCCCACGUCCACGUUGCCCAAAGAAGGCUUGCUGUGGAUCCGCUUCUUUGCCAUCAUUCUUCUGACCGAUCACAGUCUACUCAUGAUUCUGCAAGGCUGACAGGAAUAGUUUCAAACUUGGAUAAGGUGGCUUGGUUAGCAUAGCCAUUUUGAAGUCGGCAUACUUGGGUCCUAGUGCCCGUGCUAAUUGAAAGACUUUGUCAUCGUCCGUCAAGGGCUUUCCAAUGGCAGCGAGACUGUCACACAGUCCUCUAAAUUUGUUCAAGAAGUUAUCAAGCUUCAGGGAGCCUUUCUUUAAGGAGAAGAGAUUGUCUUUAAGCCAAGACUCUCACUCCUUGGUGGCUGGAAGCAUAUUUUCCUCAAUGGAGAGCCAAACUUCUUUCACUGUUUGUCCUCCAACUACCAGUGUAAGGACGUCUUCCACAUAACCAGGUAAGAAGCAACCCAUCAUUGUGUGCCCAAACUGAAAAGUCAGGGUUGGCAAUAGACUUUCCAUUACUGGAAAUUGUUUGGGGUGGUGAGUCAUCAGAGAUGUGAUUGUUGAGUCCUAGGUUACUGAUCAGGGGAAGGACUUGGGACCUCCAUAAGAGAUAGUUGUUGCUGGAGAGUUUAAUAUAUAUUAGAUUGGCACAUUGGUGGAUAGUUUGCAGGGAGAGUUUGGCCUCGGUUUGGAUAUUGGAUGAAGAAGCCAUAAGCUCUGAUACCAUGCUAAAAUUCAAGAGUAUUGAAAAGGAUUAAAAGUUUUUAUUGACUUCCCUUCUUAAGGAACAAGAUCGGGUAUUUAUACACGAGUAGAGGAACUAUAUAUGGAAGAAACAUUUUACAGAAAUUAUGGGAUUAAUUCUAAACUUAGUCGUUGACUAGCCGUUGGCUAAGAUAUGAAGAGAAUAUGGACUUGAAUAAUGGCUGGCCAUCUUUCUUUGGUGAGUUUGCAUGUCACGGGAUUGUGUGAGAUGAUUGUUGCAAGCCUUUGGCAAGAGCAGUACAGAUUGCCAUAUUUGUUUCCAACAGUUUGCAACUUGCCUUGUUAAUGUGGGAUUGAGUUGGUGUGCUGAUUUUUUCAAUGUUGGUGCGUGACUCAUGUGGCUGCAUGUGGUUCAUUUGUUAUGACUGUUCGAAUUCCACAUUUGGUGGGCAAUGUAUCUUAACAAACAUAAGUUAGGACUUAAAUCAAAAUUCAUAUAUUGAAACCUUUAUUUUUAUUUUUAUUUCAUUAUUUGUUUUAUGCCAAUAAGAAAAAUACAAAUAAUUUCUUUUCAUGAGCCUGACGGUACUGGAAAUUUACAAAGCGAUGAAGUUGAUUGUGACUGCUGCCAGUUAACCCAAGUCGAAAAGCCACAUGUAGCACCGACUCAAAACUAUUCUAACUAAAGGCUACAACUACUACGCACCAGUUCCAUUGAUAAACCCUAUAGAAUUAAAUAUAUGGACAAAAAUAAUAACCAUAGGAUUUAAAGCAUCGUACAAUUAACGGUUGAUGUUGAUUGAGGGAACCGGAAGAACUAGGACGUGGUGGUCCGGUUGAUGUUGAAGAGGCAAAUUGGCUGGGUAUUUUGAAGUCAAGUAUGACAAAUAUGAUUUAAAUUGCAUGCUUUAUGCCUACUGCAGAGCUGGUGCUAUGGAGAGCGUAAUGCAUGUUAUGGGGAAAUUGGACGAAUUAGUCCGGAUUACAAUACCCAUCAUACUCUAAUCAAACAUUUCUCCAAUAAGAAGUUUUAUAUGCUUGCUUAUCGGACUAUGAUGGACAUGCAUAGUAAAGGCCACCAGCCGGAGGAGGUAUGAAAGUGGUCAUAGACAAAUGAGCUUUUACUUCGGGAUUGCAACGCUAAAGACUUAUCACAGCUAUGCUGUUUUGCAGGAACUCUGCUCCUCCCUAAUUUUUCAUCUUGAUAAAAUGAGAGCGACACUCAGAAGCACUCUCUGUUCACAACAUGUUAAGAGGCAGCAAAAGAUCGAUGUGCAAGGCCAUUCAUGAGAAAAUUCUUCAUAUUUUAAUAUCCGGAAAACUUCCCAUGUCUUAUCAUUUUAGAUCGAUUCUUCAACUGUCAUUUUUAUGCUUUUUUUUAAUAAACAAUCUGUGAGGUGAUAACUCUAGGAAAUGAGAGUUAUUACAUCAAUUCUAGACUUGAAUCAAGGUCACUUAGAGAACAAAUAAGGUGUUUUUAUUACAUUUUAGUUACCUUUUGCAUAAACAUUCAUUUUAGUUGAGUCUUAAUAAGUUUUCCUUGAAUCAUAGUAAGUUGUGCUAAAAACAGGUUUUAAAUUGUAGGUGUUAAAUUCAUGAGAGGAUGUUGAGGCAUUAGAAGAGCAAGAGGAGGAAGGAAGAUGGCCACAAAAGAAGUAAAACACAAUCGGGAAUAAGGCAGUGUUGUAGCAGCUGUUAGAGCAACCAGUGUUGUAGCAAUCUAGGAGCAAUGCGGGAGAAAACUUAGGCGCGGGUCAGCCAUAAAAUCGCGAUCUGCAUGUUUCUUAAUUUAAACACAUGCACGCUCAUGGGCUUUGGUUUAACCUAAUUUGCAAUAUAAAAAGGAGAGGUGCACCACAUAGAGAGGCGGCAAGGAAAUUAUCAUUAGAAUGAUUAGAAGGAACGAAGAAGAAGAAGAUCAGAAUUGAAGAGUGUUGUUUCGGCAACAUUGGAGAAUCGUGCAAAAUUACUUGGCUUUGAUUUUCACCGUGCUCAACUUAUAUUUAUCUUCUUCCUUUAAUUGAUUUGAUGUAUUCCGAGACCAAUAUGUUUAUGUUUAUUUCUCUCAUUCAGAUUAUGAACUAAAUUUACUUGUAGUUGAGUGACAAAUAAUCCAAUGGGUUCUUGACUGUUCUUAUAUGUUGUAUGGUAUUGCUGUAGCAUUUUACUCUAAUAGCUUUUAUGAAUAUAACUAUUAUUUCGGUUAACCACCUAUUUAAUAGUUUUAGUUAAGAUAGAGCAGCAAAAGGGCAUAUCUUAGCGGACAUUAUUAGAGUAUUACUUAUUCUUAAGUCGAGUUUCCUGGAUUAGGUUAUCCUGAAUUCCAUAAGGGCAAUACUUGAAGUUAAGAUAUGUGACACUCUAGACAUAGGUGUUCACCUUGUAAGGUAGAAAGAUUAAAGGUUAUAAUGCCGUACCAUAAAUAUAUGAGCAACUGGUCAUUAUUAGUAGAUUUAAAGGUAUGAGACUUCCAACAUGCGAUAGCUGAGGAUGCCGAUUUAUUCUGCCCGGUGCUGCAGCACUUAUUCUAACAACUGGUGCUAAUUUGGUAAACAACAGUCACCCCAUUAGGAGAGUUUGAUCAUUCAACUACUAUAUUCUUAAGUGAAUCUUAGACACAGUUAAUCUAGUUUAUUUCAUUACAGUAUUGUCUUAUUUAGUUCUUAUUUCAAUUAUUGAUUACGAUAGAAAUUAUUUGACAAUUGUUUGUUUUGGUUUCAAGUUGAGUUGCGUUAUUGUGAGUGCUAUAGAAUUUUGAAUAACAUCAAUCCAUGUGGAGACGAUCUUGAAUACUUAUCACUUUAUUACUUGUUGUGUAUACUUGCACAUUAGCAUUGAUAGUUAUUGCUUAUAAAAUUCACCAACAAGUUUUUGGCUCCGUUGCCGGGGAUUGAUUGUUUAUUUUUGAAGUGUGAAGUAAAUCGUGAUAGCGCCGAAUUUGACUUGAUUCAUUCUAUUGAUUGGCAGAUCAGUACGUGCAUGCGCAAGGACAGAUCUGUGGUAUUUCAAUUCGAUCCUGAGAUUGAAAGGACUGUCAGGAGAUUGCGAAGAGAACAAAUAAAUUCAAAGACUGUUUCAGGCAUGAAUAAUUUACAGGAUGAGGGAAAUUUGAACCAUCACGGGCCCUUACAACCAGUCAACAUUCAAGAAGAACAUAAUGAACAGGCUAACGGGAGACAGCCAGGCAACAACAAUAUUCUUUACAUGGCUGAUGACAAAGACAGAGCCAUAAGAGAUUAUGCGGUGCUAACUCCUCAAGUUGUACAUCUUGGCAUCAUCAGACCUGAAGUAGACACUGUAAAUUUUGAGUUAAAGCCAGUGAUGUUUUAAAUGUUGCAAACAGUUGGGCAAUUCAACGGAUUGCCAAACGAAGAUCCUCAUCUCCAUCUUAAAUUGUUCUUGGAAGUAAGUGAUGCUUUCAAGAUUGCUAGAGCAACACAAGAUGCCUUAAGGUUGAGGCUUUUUCCUUAUUCCUUAAGAGAUCGAGCAAGAGCAUGGUUAAAUUCAUUACCAUCUAAUUCCAUCACUACAUGGAAUGAAUUGGCUGAUAAAUUCCUAAUGAAAUAUUUUCCACCAACAAAAAAUGCAAAGUUGCGGAAUGAGAUUACUUCAUUCCAUCAUCUGGAAGAUGAAAGUUUGUACGAGGCUUGGGAAAGAUUUAAGGAAUUGCUCAGAAGGUGUCCUCAUCAUGGUAUUCCUUGUUGCAUACAAUUGGAAACUUUCUACAAUGGGUUGAAUCCAAGUACAAGGUUAAUGGUGGAUGCUUCAGUAAAUGGAGCUCUGUUAUCCAAAUCUUACACUGAAGCUUAUGAAAUUUUAGAAAGAAUUGCGAAUAAUAAUUACCAGUGGCCUUCAGCCAGGCAAUUAGCAGCAAGAGGAUCAGUAGGGGUACAUAAUAUAGAUGCAAUCACAGCCUUAUCAGCACAAGUUACUUCAUUGACUAAUAUGGUAAAGGUCAUGACAUCUGCUCCAGCAACAGUAAAGCAAAUUACUGAACUCUCUUGUGUAUACUGUGGUGAGAAACAUGACUUUGAUAGUUGUCCUGGGAAUCCAGCUUCAGUAAACUAUGUGGGUAAUUUCAAUCGACAACCUCAGAACAACUCAUAUUCAAAUACUUACAACCCUGGCUGGAAACAACACCCAAAUUUCUCAUGGAGCAGUUAGAAUCGAAAUGCUCCAGCAUUAAAUGGACAGAAUAGAAACACAUAGCCACCUGGUUUUCAUCAGCAGAGUCAAGGGAAAAAGCAUAUCAGUCAGGAUCCAAUCACUUCAUUGGAAACACUGAUUAAGGAGUAUAUUGUAAAGAAUGAAGCAAUUGUGUAGAGUCAAGCUGUAUCCUUGAGAAACCUGGAGAAUCAAAUGGGACAACUAGCUACAGCAAUGAUCAGCAGAACUCAAGGAAGCCUACCUAGCAACACAAAAGACCCUAGGAGAGAGAGCAAAGAACACUGCAAAGUAAUUAGUUUGAGAUCUGGAAAGAAUGUUGAUAUCCCAGUUGAGAUUACCAAAAAGGGGAUAGAAUGCAAUUCAGCACAAAAAACCAACUCAAAAGGGAAGCCUGUUACAACAAACUCCCCAUCAAGACACUGAUUACAUGGGCCAAGCUACAGCAACUGCAGAAGAAAUUCAACCAGAACAUGCUAAAAAAGAAGUUGCAACACCAGUAGCCACAACCUACACCAACCUAAACAAACAAAGUUUGGUACCUCCUGAAUCUAACCAGCAGUUUAGACAUCCACCACCUUUCCCAAAAAGGUUCCAAAAGCAAAAACAGGACAAGCAGUUCAGCAAAUUCCUGGAAGUGCUGAAGCAAUUACAUAUAAACAUACCUUUUGUGGAAGCUUUAGCGCAAAUGCCAAAUUAUGUGAAAUUUCUAAAGGACAUCUUGGCAAGAAAAAGAAGGCUGGGAGAGUUUGAAACUGUUGCUUUAACACAGGAAAGCAGUCAUAUGCUCCAAAAUAAUAUUCCAGCAAAAGUGAAAGAUCCAGGGAGUUUCACAAUACCAUGCUCUAUAGGAACUAGGUAUGCUGGCAAAGCACUCUGUGACCUGGGAGCUAGCAUUAAUUUGAUGCCAUUAUCUGUAUUUAAGCAGCUUGGAGUAGGGGAAUGCAGACCAACAACAGUCACUCUGCAAUUGGCUGACAGAUCUCAUGUAUACCCUGAAGGAAAAAUAGAGGAUGUACUGGUCAAAGUUGAUAAAUUCAUCUUUCUAGUGGAUUUCAUUGUACUAGAUUUUGAAGCUGAUAAAGAGGUACCCAUUAUACUUGGAAGACCUUUUAUAGCAACUGGAAAAACUCUGAUAGAUGUGCAGAAAUGAGAGCUCACCAUGAGAGUGAAUGAUCAGCAAGUCACAUUUAAUGUACUAGAGGCUAUGAGAAACCCUGAUGAAGUAGAAGACUUCAAUUUCCUGAGUGUAGUGAAUUUUGUUGUAGCAGACAGAAUGGAUAGAUGCUGCAGUAAGGCAUUUGACAAAGUCAAUACCUUUGAUGAUGUAGAAGAGGAAGAUGUUGCAGCAAUUCAGACAGAUAGGAUGGAAGAAAAGCAAUCUGAUAGGCACACCAGGUUUAUUGAACAUCUGAAUCUUUCAGACAGGGAAGUAAAAAAAACUUUACCAUCUAUUGAAUCACCUCCUAGUAUUGAAUUAAAACUGUUACCUUCACAUUUAAAAUAUGCUUAUCUUGGUCAAAAUAACACACUCCCUGUAAUCAUCUCUUCUACUUUGGAUGCAGGUCAAAAACAGAGUUUAGUAGAUUUGCUUGGAAAAUACAAAAGAGCAAUUAGAUGGACCAUGGCAGAUAUAAAGGGGAUAAGCCCAUCAAUUUGCAUGCAUAAAAUCCUGCUAGAAGAUUGCUCCAGCAAUUCAGUUGAGCACCAGAGAAGGUUGAACCUUAUCAUGAAAGAAGUGGUGAAGAAGGAAAUCAUCAAAUGGUUGGAUGCUGGAAUCAUAUACCCAAUAUCAGACAGUUCAUGGGUGAGCCCAGUGCAAUGUAUUCCAAAGAAGGGAGGGAUAACAGUAAUAACUAAUGAGAAGAAUGAACUUAUUCCUACAAGGACAGUAACUGAAUGGAGAGUAUGUAUGGAUUACAAGAAGCUCAACAAAGCCACAAGGAAAUACCAUUUCCUACUUCUAUUUAUAGAUCAGAUGUUAGACAGACUUGCUGGAAAACAGUACUAUUGUUUCUUAGAUGGGUAUUCAGGCUAUAACCAGAUUGCUAUAGCUCCAGAAGAUCAGGAAAAGACAAUAUUUACUUGUCCUUAUGGAACAUUUGCCUUUAGAAGAAUGCCCUUUGGGUUAUGCAAUGCUCCAACAACUUUUCAGAGAUGCAUGAUGUCUAUAUUUUCUGACAUGGUAGAGCAGACUUUAGAAGUUUUCAUGGAUGACUUCUCAGUGUUUGGAGAAACAUACAAUGAUGGUUUGCACAACCUGGAAGAAGUUCUUAAAAGAUGUGAGAUGACCAACUUAGUACUCAAUUGGGAAAAAUGCCAUUUCAUGGUGCAAGAAGGAAUAAUGUUGGGUCACAAGGUAUCCAAGGAUGGCAUUGAGCUAUACAAAACCAAGAUAGAGGUAAUAGAUAAACUGCCACCUCCAACUUCAGUAAAAGGUAUUAGGAGUUUUUUGGGACAUGCUGGAUUUUACAGAAGAUUCAUUAAGGAUUUUUCCAAGGAGGCUAAACCAUUAUGCUCAUUACUGGAACAUGAUAAACCCUUUUACUUUGACAAAGAGUGUCAUCAAGCAUUUAGAGAAUUAAAGAAAGCUAUGAUCACUGCUCCAGUAAUCAUAUCUCCAGACUAGACUUUACCAUUUGAAUUGAUGUGUGAUGCUAGUGACCAUUCUGUGGGAGCAGUAUUAGGGCAAAGAAGGGAUAAGGUUUUUCACUCCAUAUACUAUGCAAGCAAAACUCUUACUCAAACUCAAAUCAAUUACACCACUACAGAGAAAGAAUUGCUAGCAGUAGUAUUUGAUUUUGACAAAUUCAGAGCUUACUUGGUGGGCACUAGAGUGAUUGUAUAUACAGACCAUGCAGCCAUCAAAUACUUAAUUUCAAAGAAACAUGCCAAGCCAAGAUUAAUCAGAUGGAUCUUAUUGCUACAAAAAUUUAAUCUGGAAAUUAAAUAUAGAAAGGGGACUGAGAAUCAAGUAGCAUAUCACCUGUCAAGGUUGGAAGCAGACGCAAGCACAUUGACAAGGAAAGACAUCACUGAAACUUUUCCUGAUGAACAGCUGUUGGUGGUACAACAAGCACAGAUGCUGCAGCGGUCAGAAUCUCUAUGGUAUGCAGAUUUUGCUAACUAUUUAGUAAGUGGAUUGUUACCACCCGAGCUGAAGUUUCAAGAGAAAAAGAAAUUUCUUCAUAAUGUUAGAAGCUACCAAUGGGAUGACCCACAUUUAUAUAAGCUAUGCCUAGACCAAGUAAUACGAAGAUGUGCUGCAGAAGGAGAGAUUCCCCAUAUACUGGAGUCAUGUCAUGCUGCAGCAUAUGGAGGACAUUUUGGUGGUCACAGAACAGCUGUUAAAGUAUUGCAAUCAGGUUAUUACUGGCCAACUAUUUUUAAAAAUGCUUAUGAGUUUGUUAAAUGUUGUGACAGGUGUCAAAGAACAGGGAACAUAACUAGCAGACAUGAAAUGCCAUUGACCAAUAUACUGGAAGUGGAAGUUUUUGAUGUCUGGGGAAUAGAUUUCAUAGGACCUUUUCCCCUAUCCUUUGGGAGCUUAUAUAUCAUUGUUGCUGUGGAUUAUGUCUCCAAGUGGGUAGAAGCUGCAGCAUUACUUGCCAAUGAACAGUGGUGGCUUUUCUUUAUAAAAAUAUUUUUUUCCAGAUUUGGCACUUCUAGAGCAAUUAUUAGUGACGAGGGUACACAUUUUUGCAACAAAGUCUUUGCUGCAGCAAUGGUAAAAUAUGGAGUCAGACACAAGGCAGCUACAACAUAUCACCCUCAAUCUAAUGGUCAGGCUGAAGUGUCCAACAGAGAAAUUCAAAAGAUCUUAGAAAAAGUGGUGAACCCAACAAUGAAGGAUUGGUCUUUACACUUACAUGAUUCUCUAUGGGCCUACAGAACAGCAUACAAAACUCCACUCGGCAUGUCCCCUUACCGAAUUGUUUAUGGAAAGGCUUGUCAUUUGCCACUAGAGCUAGAGCAUAAAGCACAUUGGGCACUGAACAAAUUAAAUUGGGAUAUUCAUGCUGCAGCAGAGCAAAGAAAGCUUCAGCUUUAUGAGCUUGAUGAAUUACGGCUAUUUUCAUAUGAAAAUGCAAGAAUUUAUAAAGAGAGGACAAAACACUGGCACGACAAGCAUAUUCAACACAGGCAACUUAGCCCUGGACAGUUAGUGUUGCUCCACAGUACAAGACUAAGAUUAUUUCCGGGAAAACUCAAGUCACGAUGGUCUGGCCCGUUUAAGCUGCUCAAAGUUUAUCCUCAUGGAGCUGUUGAUCUUUUAGAUGAACAAAUAUGUCAAGAAUUCAAGGUUAAUGGACAUAGGGUUAAGCACUACAUACAUCCAGCGGUAGAUUGUUCAAAGGAGGUGUUACUCCUUAAAGAACCUAGCUAUUGAGCAAUGAAAGAAGGUCAGACUGAAGGACCUUAAAUCAAGUGCUCCAUGGGAGGCAACCCAUUGGGGAGACAGCCACUUCAAACCAAUUAUGAUAUCCUUUGGUUUUGUAGACAACUCUCCCUCUUUACCAUCUUAUUUAAUUUUGUUUUUUCUAUAUUAGCCAUUUACUUCUAUCCUUUUACAUUAUUGCAUUUUUUAUUUUCACUCUAAUUCGAUCUAUUUAUUUCUUUUACUACUUUUAGAAUUAAUUUUAGUUUGAAGUAAGUGUGACAAUUGAAUUCCAUAUUGACAAGUGAGAGUGUAUGAUGGCAGAAUGCAGAGGUGAGCCACGUGUCAGAAGCUUUAGUGUGGAGUAUGUAUCCAUUGUUAGAACAAGCGAAUGGGUGCUGCAGCAACUAAUUUUACCGUUACAGUAAAUUAAAAGCUGGAGCCUUUCACUUACCGUUGGAGAUAAAAUCGUGACAGAUUGAUGCAUGGAUAUGGAUAGAAAAUUGCGGAAACAAAUCUCCGAAAUUAAAGCUUUAAUUUCACUGGCCGAUAAUUUUGGGGAUAUGCACAUUUAAUUCAAAUAUUUUAUUCCCUCAAUUAUCUCUAGUUACUGUAUUUAUCUUCAAAUUUAAGUCCAUUAUAAAAAAGAGUCACUGUGAUUAGUGCUCUACGCCACUAUUCCCCAUCUCCUUCGCAAGUACAACUCUCCUAAUUCUUACCUUCUCCUUCUCAUUUUACUUGCAGGCACAUUAGCUUCAAUUUGUUAAUGCUCAGCAAUGCCGAGGUAUAAGAAAAUAGCCGGCCGCCUCAAAGAUUCGUCAUGCUUCCAGAGCUACCACGCCGAAGAAAAAUAUGAAGAAUUCAUAAAGCCGCGUAAGAUUCUGGAAGAGAAAGGGUUUCAAUUUCCAGAACAACUCACUGGAAUUAUACAAACAAUUCAUAAUGCUGCAGCAAAGCGAGGAUGGUUAGAGUUUUGCAAUCACCCUCGUGAUCCUGUGCUUCAAGUAGUCAAAGCAUUUUACACCAAUUUGGUAAGCCCUAAUCAGCACAACAUUUGGGUAAGAAACACACUUGUUCUAUUAGAAUCCCGAGUUAUAAAUGCUUUUUAUAAUUUACCUACUGAAAUUAAUUGUGAGUAUGCCAAAUUGCGUGAUAAAUUGGCCCCGAAAAAGUGGACGACCAUUUUCACAACUCUUACCAUAGAAGGGGCAUCAUGGGCUAACGAGGAAGGGCGUGUAGUUAAUAGGAUAGAUUUGAAACCUAUUGCUAAGGUGUGGGUGAAAUUUUUUAAAUCUAGGCUUAUGCCCACCACUCACACUACUACGGUUUCGCAAGAGAGAUUGGUUUUGUUAUAUGUCCUUGUUCGAGGGCUUCCCAUAGAUGUGGGUAGCAUCAUUGCAAAAGAAAUCCGAGAUUGUGCAGUCAAGACUCACCGAACUGCUGCCUUACUAUUUCCCUCACUUGUCACUAGCAUUUGUGUAGUUUCAGCUAUUCGUCUUGACGCCAGAGAUGACCAUGUUAAGAAUGAUGGUGCCUUUACGGCACGUACAAUUGAGAGAGUUGCUGGUGAGAGUGCUGGAACAACCAUUGAACCAGCUAUUGUAACAGGAGCAAGACGAGUUAUUGGCUUAGAACAGACCAUCCAGGCACUCAGCACCAAUAUCACUCAAUGGGUGGAAGCUCAGCAGAGGGAAAAUAGUCGGUUUUGGGGUUAUCUACAGCACCUGGAUAACCAACUACACCAAUUUGCUCUGUACAUGAAACACACUCACCGGAACUUCCCUGAGUCAUUGCUCUAGCAGUACAAUUUUGACGCCAACACCACAAGUACUCCAGCAGCAGCCAGUGAAGAAGCCACUGCUAUAGAUGAACCAACAGAAGAAGCUGCCACUAAACCACAAGCAGAAGUCGACUCAGAAGAUGCUGAACCGUCUGACCCACCUGAGGACGAAGGUGACAAGUCUGAGACUGAUAGCUCACCCUCAGAGGCAGAGGACAAUUUAGAGAAAGAAAGUGAGGAACCAACCAUCCCAGCCCAGCCCAGCCUAAAACCAGAAAAAAACACAUUAUUCAAGAAGAGGAAGAGGAAGACCCUGAAGAGGAACCAUCUAUUCCAGUCCUUGCGAGCAAGGGAAAGGACAAGGGCAAAGCAAAAAUGGCAAUACCUCUAGACUCUACAGAUGAAAUGGAGCAAGUUGAUGCCGACCUAGCUGCUGCAGCAGCCAAAGUUACGCCUACACCUGAGCAAGCCAAACAACUACUGGCAAUCAUUGUGGCCAUCACAGCUGAGGGCCAGGCAGCUGAUGCAUCAACUCUAAUUCCUCCCCAGCAAACUCCUAGCCAGCCUGUUCGCACCAGCCCGCGACAGUCCAACAAAAGAAAAUGCAGUACUUCUAAAGGCCCUGCUACAGCAACCCCAUCCACAACUCCUCUCACCAGCCCCGCGACGAAAAAGGUAAAGACAUUGCCAGCUACUUCCCCACAAGCUUCACCAAAGGAUAAGCUGCGCAGUGCAUCCAAGAAGCGUUGAUAACAUCCCUUCAUGUGCUGCAAUCCCCAACACAGGGGAGUAUUCUGUCCUUACUAGUUCAUUUAAAAAAAAAAUUUUUUUUUCUUUCUUUUUUGUUUGUCAAUUUGUGUGGUAUUUUCUAAAGGUCUUCCAUAUCCUUGUCCAGUCGUGUGCAUUUGUUAUGUAUGCUUGUGAGGACACAACAUCUCUCAAGUUUGGGGGGGUUGUUUCUGAAUGCAUGUAUUUAUGUAUGUGUUAUGUGAAGCUCUGUUAUCUGUUAUUUGUGUAUGGAUUUGGAUACCUAAUGAAGAUAAAUUGAGUGUUAUUUAGUAUUUAUGAGAAUGCCAAGUAGAGAUAAGUUAUAGAUGAAAGUGAAAUUAUGUUCUGACACUUAGACUUUGGUUGAAUUGUAUGAGACUGCUAGAGCAAAGCCAAAAGAAUAGAAAAGAUCUUAAGUUUGGGGGGAGAAGCAAGUUUGAUUAACUGUGAUUUCUAUGAAAUACAAUUUGUUCCAAUGGCUCAAGUUGCUAACUAACCAGAUCUUAGUAUGUACCCCAUAUGCAGAAUUGUGUUCAAAGGUAGCAAGAGUUAUGAGCAAUGCUGUAGCUCUGUUCUUAAAAUUUUUUUUUUAAAAAAUCCUCUGUCUAAGGCAUUGAGUAGCCAGGUCUGUUCAUGAGCCCCAUGUUCAGCCUUGAGUAAAAGAUACCUUUAGAUAAGAUUACAUUAUAGUUACUGUUGCAGCAACUCUGAUCUGGGCAUGGUUUGAGUAAUUGGGUGUCAUCAUUACAAUUGAUUGACAUUCACAUGAAAGAUAAAUGUUACAGUGAGGAGGUUGAAUAUUCCCUAGUUUGUCAAAUCCUAAAAUUGUCACAGUUGAGUAUGUGAAAGUUUUGUUACCCCAUUUAUGAAUGAAGUAUUCUCACUACUGAAAUUCAUGCAGUCCCUUGGUGAUGUUAUAGCAUAUCUGGAAUUCAACCGAAAGAGCACACACACACUAUGGAUAGAAAGAAGCUUAAGUUUAGAACUGAUUUACUAUGGGCAUUUUGUAUGAUUGGGAUUGUGAUAUGAAGGUGGAAGAAUCCUUGCAAAUUUGAUAAAAGAGCUAAAGUUGUCUGCAUGUUUGUUUGCGGGAAAUGUUAGUAUGUGUCAUUACUUGAGGGCAAACAAUGGUUUAAGUUUGGGGGUGUGAUAACUCUAGGAAAUGAGAGUUAUUACAUCAAUUCUAGACUUGAAUCAAGGUCACUUAGAGAACAAAUAAGGUGUUUUUAUUACAUUUUGGUUACUUUUUGCAUAAACAUUCAUUUUAGUUGAGUCUUAAAAAGUUUUGCUUGAAUCAUAGUAAGUUGUGCUAAAAAAAGGUUUUAAAUUGUAGGUGUUAAAUUCAUGAGAGGAUGUUGAGGCAUUAAAAGAGCAAGAGGAGGAAUGAAGAUGGCUACAAAAAAAGUAAAGCACAAUCAGGAAUAAGGCAGUGUUGUAGCAGCUGUUAGAGCAACCAGUGUUGUAGCAAUCUGGGAGCAAUGCGGGACAAAACUUAGGCGCGGGUUAGCCAUAAAAUCGCGAUCUUCAUGUUUCCUAAUUUAAACACAUGCACGCUCAUGGGCUUUGGUUUAACUUAAUUUGCAAUAUAAAAAGGAGAGGUGCACCACAUAGAGAGGCGGCAAGGAAAUUAUCAUUAGAAUGAUUAGAAGGAACGAAGAAGAAGAAGAUCAGAAUUGAAGAGUGUUGUUUCGGUAACAUUGGAGAAUCGUGCAGAAUUACUUGGCUUUGAUUUUCACCGCGCUCAACUUAUAUUUAUCUUCUUCCUUUAAUUGAUUUGAUGUAUUCCGAGACCAAUAUGUUUAUGUUUAUUUCUCUCAUCCAGAUUAUGAACUAAAUUUACUUGUAGUUGAGUGACAAAUAAUCCAAUGGGUUCUUGACUGUUCUUAUAUGUUGUAUGGUAUGGCUGUAGCAUUUUACUCUAAUAGCUGUUAUGAAUAUAACUAUUAUUUCGGUUGAUCACCCAUUUAAUAGUUUUAGUUAAGACAGAGCAGCAAAAGGGGAUGUCUUAGCGGACAUUAUUAGAGUAUUACUUGUUCUUAAUUCGAGUGUCAUGGAUUAGGUUAUCCUAAAUCCCAUAAGGGCAAUACUUGAAGUUAAGAUACGUGACACUCUAGACAUAGGUGUUCACCUUGUAGGGUAGAAAGAUUAAAGGUUAUAGUGUCGUACCAUAAAUAUAUGAGCAACAGGUCAUUGUUAGUAGAUUUAAAGGUAUGAGACUUCCAACAUGCGAUAGCUGAAGAUGCCGAUUUAUUCUACCCGGUGUUGCAGAACUUAUUCUAACAACUGGUGCUAAUUUGGUAAACAACAGUCACCCCAUUAGGAGAGUUUGAUCAUUCAACUACUAUAUUCUCAAGUGAAUCUUAGACACAGUUAAUCUAGUUUAUUUCAUUACAGUAUUAUCUUAUUUAGUUCUUAGUUCAAUUAUUGAUUACGAUAGAAAUUAUUUGACAAUUGUUUGUUUUGGUUUCAAGUUGAGUUGCGUUAUUGUGAGUGCUAUAGCAUUUUGAAUAACAUCAAUCCAUGUGGAGACGAUCUUGAAUACUUAUCACUUUAUUACUUGUUGUGUAUACUUGCACAUUGGCAUUGAUAGUUAUUGCUUAUAAAAUUCACCAACAUGAGGCCUGGAGUAGUUAUAUUCUGUUAAGAGUGAAUGACGUGGCGUGCUGAGCUGGCAUUAGUGGGACCAUCUGCUGCUAAAGUCGUUAUUAUGUAUAACAACUCAUGCUUUUACUCUUUAAGAGAUAUAUAAGAGAAAUUGCAGCGUGCAGACUGGGGUCAAGAGAGUGAUGAUAUGAUAGUCUUAGUGAGAGAGAGAAAAAAAAUCUCAAUAGAGAAGAUUUAAUCUCUGUAAUCUCUUUUCAAAAAAAAAAUCUCUGUAAUCUCAAGAAUCUUUUGUAACUCAUAUCUUUCUAAUAAAGUUUCAAAGCAGAGCUGAUUUCAACUGUGGAUGUAGGCAUCUUGUUGCCGAACCACGUUAUAUGAUCUUGUUAUUUUUCUUUCCUUUUCUUUUAAUCUCUUGUUUGCUCGUUGUUCUGGUUUAUAUCAGUGUCUGUUUUCUUAGUUUGAUUCAAUCUUGGAAAGACUUUCUUUUGUUCAGAACUUAACAAACUGGUAUCAAAGCUUGGUAGUUUGCUGAUCUUGGAUCUACAAUGGCUACCACCAGAAUUGAUCUUGAAAAGUUCAAUGGGGAGACAACGAGGUAUUGGUGAGAUAUAUGGCAGCUAGGGGGAUUUGUCUCAGUGAAAGGAGUCACAGAUGGUGGGCAAUAAGUGGUGCCUGAGUUUUGGUUACGCUUGUGCAUACUGGUGCCUGAGGGGUUUGGUGGCAGCUGGAGGGUAAGAGGCUGCUGACAGCUGUUCGGAGUACAUAAGGUUCAGCGGUGGUUUCGUCAGCAAGUAAUCGCCACCAACAGAGGCAUGCAAUGUGGCGACGACGUGGAGCAUAUUUUGAAAGGUUUGUUACAGUCUAAGGUGGCGUUUGUUUUUUUAUCUGAAAUCUGAAUAGACCUGAAUUAAUCUGAAUUCUGAAUAGAUCUGAAUGUCUGAAUCUGAAUAAUAUAUUUAUUUUUUCGUCUGAAUCUUAGAAAAUAAGUAUUAAGUUGUUUGUUUUUUUCAAUUGAAAAAGCUAAAAAUAUGUACUUUUACAUUUGUAUCCUUAUUAAAUUUGAAUGUCAAAUAAAUAAUAUAUUAAAAACCACAAUAUUUUAACAUUUAUAAGUAAAACUAUAUUCAAGUGAAUACAUAAUGAUUUUGGAAUUUUAAUAGAUAAAAUACCAUAAAUUUCAAAUUUUAUCGUAUAUAAUAUAAGAAAGAAAAAACAGGGAUAUUUUCAUGUGGGGUAAAUGUCUAUGGGUGAGUUUUAGGAUAGACAUGAAAAAUAAAUUAUAAAACAUGGAUAUUUUUUACAUUAGUAAGUAAUUGACUUAAUUCAGAUUUCUCCAUUAAGGUGGCGUUUGUUUUUUAACUUAAUGACUUAAAGUGACUUAACUUAAUUAAUUAAGUUAAUUAGAAGUGUUUGUUUUUAUAACUUAAUGAGACUUUUUAGAUUAUUUUGACUUAAUAAAAUAAGCUAAUUUUUUUGGCUUUUUACUUAAUGGAGAAAUCUGAAUUAAGUCAAUUACUUGCUAAUGUAAAAAAUAUCCCUGUUUUAUAACUUAUUUUUCAUGUCUAUCCCAAAACUCACCAAUAGAUAUUUACCCCACAUAAAAAAAUCCAUGUUUUUUCUUUCUUAUAUUAUAUACGAUAAAAUUUAAAAUUUAUGGUAUUUUAUAUAUUAAAAUUCUAAAAUAAUUAUGUAUUCACUUGAAUAUAGUUUUACUUAUAAAUGUUAAAAUAUUGUGGUAUUUAAUAUAUUAUUUAUUUGACAUUUAAAUUUAAUAAGGAUACAAAUGUAAAAGGACAUAUUUUCAGCUUUUUAAGUUGAAAAAAACAAACAACUUAAUAUUUAUUUUCUGAUAUUCAGACGAAAAAACAAAUAUAUUAUUCAGAUUCAGACAUUCAGACCUAUUCAGAAUUCAGAUUAAUUCAGGUCUAUUCAGAUUUCAGACAAAAAAAACGCCACCUAAGUAAAAAACUAAAAAAAUCGGCUUAUUUUAUUAAGUCAAAAUUAUCUAAAAAGUCUCAUUAAAUUAUAAAAACAAACACCUCUAAUUAACUUAAUUAAUUAAGUUAAGUCACUUUAAGUUAUUAAGUUAAAAAACAAACGCCACCUAAGGUUUAUGGUUUGAAGUGUUAAUAGUUGUUGUGAGGGCUGCUGAUCAGUGGGGAUGUCGCUAGAAAUUAGAGGAGGUUCUGGUGGUAGAGAAUCACCGCCAUUGGCGGACGGUGUGGUCAUAGGAAUUAUCGCUUUCUAUAAUACGAUACUUGAUGCUUUUCAACCGUAGUUAUUCUCUUUUCAGGACAAUUUGGAGUCAAUUUCUCAUCGUGCUAUUAAGAAGUUUGCACUUGCAUUUCUGAAGUUGGGCAACAUUAACUUGGUCAAUGAUGUAAUGAAUGCAGUCCAUGCAACUGACUAUAUGAUUGAUCAAGUAAGCAAUCAAGAAUUUAAGCAAACACAAUCUCGCAUGCAUGCAGACACAGACACAUACACAUGAGUACUAGAAAUAAUAAUUUAGAAAUGUCUUUUAAUUCCUUUUCUUCUAUUUUCUCGGGGAAUAUUUCAUAUAGCAAUAUCAUGCUAUAUAGCGAAACCUGAGAAGAAGAGAUUGCUACUCAAAUUGCCAGAAUCGAUGACGGGUCAAGGUUAUGUUGUUGAUUCAUUAAUAGGAAGCCUGAUACUAAAAAGCUCACAGUUAUUCGGAUGGCAACUCAUUGUUGAUGUAUUGUCCUAGCAACAUAAGAUGUAAAAAUCGUUAAGAACUCUGAAAGAACGAGCAAUAUUACUUAUGGUUUACCAUAUCAUGCCAUAAGCUAGCAUAUCUCUCUGUUAUGUAUUAAAACUCUAAUAUUUUACUAUAUAGAGCAGUAAACCAAGAAAGGAGGGAAAAAAAGAAAAAAAGAAAAAAUCAGACACAUUAGAAAAUUUAGAAUUGAAGGUGAUAAAUCCUACUAUACGUGGAAAUGAUAAAUUUACCCUUCAUCUUCAGGCUCCGAAGGCUUCGAAUGUAGGACUUUCACUUGCGAAAGACGUUUUAUUUCUACGUGCAAGUUAGCAUUUGGUUUCGUUAGAAAAUUUGUCAAUAAAAUGUAAUGAAUCUAUAUCAGAGUUGUCGCAAGAAUGUUUUUCUGGAAAUCCACGUAUCAUCUUCUCUUUCUCUCCUUGGAUGAGAGAGUAUCUUUAUUCCCUUAUUUUUCAUUUUUCUAAUAGAGUUUAAAUCCCCUUAUUUUAUUUAUUUUUUUGUAACUGCCAUAUCACAGUAAGUUACUAACCAUUACAGAGCUAUAACUUCGCUCGAAAUGGAAAUAUUGAGAUUCCUAAUAGUAUUUAUUCUAAUUAUUAGUUGUUCCUAAUAUUACUAUCGCUAGCUUGCAAUUAAUUCAGCUUAAGUUGUCAUUUUCCUAUAAGCAAACAGGAUGGUCCAUCAUGCUUAGUUGUAAGGAUACAAAUUAGGAAUGACAAUGGGUCAGGUUAGGCUCGGGCUUUGCCAAGCCCGAGCCUAAUCUUGUAAUUAAAAUAAGGAGUCCGAGCUCAAAAAAGUCUGAUCCUUUGAAUUAAAGCCCGAGCCCAACCAUAAUUUUGUUCUGAUGAGGUGAGAUUCAUGGAAAGAGAGAGUGACUGAAACCCACAACUAUUUCCUUGAUUAUUAUCGCUUGUUGCAGCAUAUAUCUCAACAGAAGAAGAAGAAAAAGAAGAAGAAGAAGCAAAUGGAGUUUGCCUUAGCGAAAAAUUGAACCCAGCAACAAAAGCUGCAGUCUUUAAAGGAACAUGGUGAUGCUGAUGAAGAAAAUGAUGAUGGUAAAUAACAUCGUCGUGGUUAUGGAUAUAGCUAGGGCUUAAGGUUUGUGUUUGUAGGUGAUGAUGAUGUUGAAUGUACUGGUGGUGGAUGAUUGAAGAUGGGUGGCUCGUCAGAUCUUCAUCAAUGAUUUCUAAGUCAAUGUCUCCAUUAUUAUGAACAUUGAAGCAGCAGCUUGAUACUAUAUUGACAAUUUGACAUUGAUUCUAUUAUGUUGUUUUGGUCAUCAGCAAGGUUAGUUGAUAUAGAGAUUGAGUAACAAAUGACCCUAAGAAAUCUUCAAGCUUUGGACAUGAUCCUCAUGACUUGGCCCACCACUACUGUAAUUCUCAUAUCCCCAAUCUAAACUAAAGUGAAUCCAUAAAAAAAAUCAUGGCGAAAAACCCGAUCAUAAUCUUUUGUGAAUGUGUGAUGCGUGUGUAUGACUGCUUUUUUAGAAGGGUUAUGGUCGGGUCGAGUUGGGGGCAGGUAGAACCUGAACUCCGACCCGAAUUUGGUUGGCCCGAAUACUUAAGCCCUAACCCGACCCUUAAUCCUUAAAUUUUGAUCAAAACUUGAAAUUUUCAGGGCAGCUCAAUCGCACCAAAAAUGGAGUAGGAUUUUUUUUCCCAUCCCUAAUACAAACACCUUUAUAGUUUAGUAACAUGGAUAUAGAGACAAACAUAUUCUCAGAAGUAGUAUACAAACCCUUUUUUGGACAUAUAAAAUCUUUUUGUUGUAAGGAUACAAAUGUUAUUAUGUUAGUACUUGAAAUGCAAAAUGCAAUAUUUAAUAAUGUUAAGAAUUUAGAUCUAUUUUAACAAGUGUAGGCAAACUAAAACACUAGAUAAAUUAAUUUCCCUUAAUUUAUCAAUCUUGAAAUUACUGCUCAUAGAUUACUAUUCAAGUGAUACUAUUUUACGACUUACUGUUUACACAAUAAUGAUUAUAGUUACUAUUCAUAUGAUAUUGUGUAUGAGUCACUAUUUAUCUUUACAGUUCAUCUUAAUUGUUUAUCACACUGUUCACAUUGUUGUUCAUUCACCCAAAAUCUAUUAAAUAUGCUAGAAGUAGUAAACUACAGAAAUUAAAGCAUACAAAGCAUUUUUGCAUUGUUUGGAUCACAAUCCUACAUCCAAGUGGCACGUCUGGGCAUCAAGCAAUUUACUAAGUAAUGAAAAUAUUACAACCUAUUGAAUUCUUUCACAAUUUCAGACUCCAUCUUACACGGUCACCUUGUUAAAUGUAACUUAGUCAACCUUGCUUAGCGAACACCACUCGUCUUCAAUUAUGUUUGCUGCUUCCUUGAGAUCUCCUCAUCACAAUAAACAACCCCUUCAUUCUGAAGAGACCAAAGUAAAUAAUAAAGAAUGUCUAAUGAAAGACUUGAUAUGAAGAAAAUUUGAUGUGAGGAAGACUAAAACAUUAUAAAGAUAUGUAACAUCAUAUGCGGCUAGAUAAGGUUUCUUCUUGUUCUCUGUGUUGGCUGCUUCUCUAAUAUAAAAUAUGAUAUGUCUUUCAAUUUUCAAUAUGUGAAGUACUUCCCUUCAUAGAGGUGUAGGAUUUUACCCACACCCUAGUAGAGGAGUGCUAGGAUAUACUUUCUUAAGAGUUUAAUAUUCCAUAAAUACUUGAUAUACUUAUCAAUAUAGUAGUUAUUUUUAUUUGGAACUCUUUAGUAUAAAAUCCUACUUACACGCCAAUUUACUUCUGUACUCUAAAAAUAUUCUUCAGUAGUCCAUAUAAUCUAAUCUAAAUAAUUCCUAAGACUAGACAAAUUCCUAAUAAAAGGAAUAAAUAAAUUGUAAUAUUAUUGACACAAUGAUGCCAAUAAUAAAAUCCCUAACAAUCUCUCCAUUUGGCAUCUCCUUGUAGUCAAAACAUAAACUAGCCAAUUUUCUAGUCUUCAAAUGGCAUGCGUAGAAGCAAGGUAGAUCAUGAGCAAUAACAUACACAUAGAUAGAUCAUAAGUAAUAGAUAGAUCAUAAGUAAUAACCUACAUAUAGAUUAGAAGAACACACAAUGGAUUAACCAAAAAAAAAAUUAUUUGUCACCAAUAUUUCAGGAUAAAAUUCUUCUCUAGUAAAUAAAUGCUCAUGUCUAAGAUUCAAUUGAGAAAAGUAACUCUCCCCCUGCAAUCUCAUAUCAAUGUAUUUAGAAAGCAAUAAUAUAUGUCAAAGAAAACAAAAUAAUUAAUAAAGAUCACAUGCAAAUAAAAAAAGCCCCCCUUAGAGAAAGAAUGAAUAAACUCCCCCUACAAUUGAAAUCAAAUUGAAAUUGAGUUUGAAAAAAAUAAAGAAUUUCUGUCCCAAAAAAAAAAUCACUCUCCCUCUUUUAGGAUGCAAAGGAAGAAAUUCAAACCUACUAUCCCCCUGUUUGACAAAAGGUGCUAAAGAAAGGUAGAGAACAUAAAUGAAAAUUAAAAGAAGUUCUGGAGAUAUAGGCUGCUAUUUAGGUGAGAAAUAAUGACGAAAACGAGUUAAGCAAUAUCCCUUAAAGCAUCACCAAAUGACUUUUCUAAUUUAAUUCUUCAAAUAUUUAUUUACUUACACAUGUGACAAAUAGAAGAAUGAAAAAAUUAACCAUCUCCGAAAAGACUCUUCUAAUAUAUAAUUUCAAUCAAACUUUUUUCUCCACCAAAAUAUAACGUUAUAACACAUUUCUCCAUUCAAGAAUGAAAAUACAUAAAAAGUAAUAUAAUACUAAAUUGAAAGCACAAAAGAGCUCUUUAAGUGAGAUUCUUUAAAUAAGAUUAUUUCUCUCUCUCUUCAAUAUUAUUUUAAUCAAGCUUUUUUCUCUACCAAAAUAAUAACAUUUAUAACAUAUAUGCCCAUUCAACAAUUAAAAGAUAUUAAAGAGAGAGAAGGACAAUCUUAUUAGAUGAAUCUCAUUUAGAGAGCCUUUGGAAUACUUUUUUAUUUAUUAUGUGCCUCUUCAAAUGAUAUGUAAAAUUUUAGUCAAAGAGCCUUUUAGUGAUGAUGUACUUGUAUAGAGAUAUAAACCUAGACCUUAUAGAAGCAGGAAAGUGUAAAUAAUAAAAACUCAAAUAGGUCAUAGAAUCCUUGUAUAACUAUGUUAACUAAAAUAUACCUAAAAUAAAAAUCAUCAAUAUGGAUUAUUUUUUAGAAAAGUCGUAAGAAUGGCAAAAAUAAUGCAAAAUCAUGUCAAAAGGAUUGCAUUAUCAAUCACGUCAGAUUUUGGGAAAGAUCUUAAAUACAGGACAGUUGCGUGAUCAAUAAUAAGUUCACUUACAAGACAAUUACGGAAAUGUCCAUAAAGAUUACAAAAUGUAUGAACAGCCCUAUAUGGAUAAUUUUCAUCAAUUUAACCCCUAAAUCAUGAAAAGCCCUAAAAAUGAAAUGCAUGCAUACAUAUUUCAUGCAAGCAUCCAUGCAAAAAUGACCUGAAUGCCCUUUUGAUGAAUAAUGCACAGAAAAUUCUGUGAUGUAAUAGUUAAAAUUACUGCAUCAAUAUUAUGAAAAACAUAAAUUUUAUAAAUUACAUAUAAGAUUAGUAUAUAAAAAGUAAAACAAGUAAAUAAAUAUAAAAUUGGUAAAUCUAUGUUUUAAAAUUACAAUCAAAACAACCACUUAUAAAAUUAACCUUGUAAAUCAACAUUAAAUUUUAAUUUAAAAAUAGUUUAUUAAUUAAUUUAUUUAAGCCAAAAAAAAUCAUCAAUCGAAAACAAUUGGAAUAAGUUUUAUAAAUUGGUCUAACCAUAAAUUGAAUUUCUAUGCCAAGACAUUUAUUAAUUUUUUUCAUUUUCUAUCAUAAUAUUUGUUUAAUAUACAAGUUAAUUAAGCAAAAUUAUUUUUCUUUUGGAUCAAGUCAAAAUAAAAUAAAAAGACAUUCUUACAUUAUUAGAUAUAUAUGAAACAUCAAUAAAAUUGGAUCCAAUUUUUAGUUUUAAACAUAUUUCAUGUAGUUUCAAACUUUACUUCUUACUUACAUUAAAAGAUCAUUUAGAAUUGUUGUCGAGGAGGUUUAGAAGGAUCAAAAUCACUUAGCUAAAAAUAUGAAUUUUUUUUUCAAAAUUUGAUUUAGAAAAUAAAAUUUAUCCUUAAUAAAAUUUCACAUAUAUCAUCACAUAUAUUACAUAAACCUAAAAUUAUCAUUAUUCAAUUCCGAAAUAAAAACAGUAAACAUGUAAGGUAAUUAUUAUUAUAAUGAGUUUUUAUUUUACAUUUGUAAGUUUAUAUUCUUUUAGUAACCCUUAUAAUAUUUACUUGUUUUCCAUUUUAUUUGUAAGUCUUCUAUUUCAUUUAUAUAAUUUACACUUAAUGUUGAUUUACAAGUUUUAUGUUACAUCUAUAAGUGUGUGAUUUGUUUACUGAUAAUACAUCAUUUUAUCACUCAUAUGUUAAUUUUACUUGUUUUUUUAUUACUUAAUUUAUGUUUUAUUUUACACUUAAUUUUAAUUUACAAGUUUUGUGUUAUAUCUGUAAGUUUAUAUUUUGUUUAUCAACAAUACAUCAUUUUACCACUCUUGUGCUAAUUUACUUGUUUUACAUUCAAUUUAUAGGUCUUAUGCUUUAUUUACUUAAUUUAUCUUUUAUUUUAUAUUUAGUGUUAAUUUAUGAUGCAGGGCGGAAGCCAUACUAGAUUUUGUUCUAGUGUACGUUCUUGAAAACUUAAGAAAGUGAGCUCUCGCAAAGGAGAAAAUAUCUCAAUUGAGAAAUACUAAAUAUUAUUAAUGAAAAAACUUAUGUCAAGAAAUAAGCCUAUUUAUACUAAUUAGGAUUAUCUUAUCCUGAUAAAAUUAUGAUUCCUUGUAAGUAAAAAUAAUAUGACUUUAAUAAGAAAAUAUAAAGUAAUUCCUCAUUAAACUAGAAAACUUAUACUCCCAUUAUACUCUAAUAGGAUAAAUCCUAAUAGAGUAUUAAGUAUUUAAUUGACUCAAAUACUUUAAUUUUUGAUAUAUUCCAUCUUAUAUGCUUCUUACAUCAGUUUCCUCCUCUUCGAAAAACACUUGUCCUCACGUUUUGUUGAAAAUAAAGGACAAUCUGGAGGAUGAAGCUUGUAAUGGAGGAGUAAUUGAUCUUGCAAUGCAAAAAUGUAGCACUUUGCAUAAACUUUUCUUGAAACUCAAAAGUACCAAAACUUCAAUUUCUUCAUGUUUUUUAGUAUGGCUCUUCUAAAAAUUGUAGACUUGUAGGAGAAAACCAUUAAAAGUUCUCUUUUAAUUUGAGUCACAGGUAAGUUGGGUAGGCUAGCUUCGGGAUAUGAUCAAUUUGAUGCUGAAUAAUCCUCAUAGGAGGUAAUUUGUUAGGAAGCUCUUUAGGCACGAUAUCCUAAAAUUAGAGAGUAGCGAUUGGACUUGUUCAAGCAUCGAUUCUACUUCAGCUACCUCUUUUGGUACUAAAAGAUAGGUUCACUUGACUUUUAACUUCAUUGAAGCAAGGAUAAUCUUCAUGUUGUCUUUGUAGAACCUGUAUGUAUUAUCUUUUCAUGAUGUAUUGUAUUCAUAUCAAACUGCCAUGGUCUCCCAAGAAGCAUAUGGUGAGCAUUCAUGUCAACAAGAUCACAAUUACUUCAUCUUUGUAUCUUUCGAUGGAAAAAAAGAAUACAACACUGUUGAGUAACCUUGGUCUCUCCAACAUCUUUUAUCCAUCCAAUGCAAUAAGGAGAAAGAUGUUUGUGAGUUUUAAACUGUAACUUGUCAACUAUAAUCUUUGAAACUAUAUUCUCGCUAUUACCUCUGUCAAUAAUCAUAUCACAUACCCUCUCAUUGACUGUGCACCUUAUUUUGAAGAUACUAUGUCUAUGAGUGUCUUCGUCUUUCUUUGGUGUGUAUAACAAACGUUGUGUUAUUAGUGAUACUCAUGUGUCUUGAUAUGUCCACUCUUCCUCUUCUUCUAUUUCGUCGUUGUCUUUUUAUGGUUCAUCCUUAGGCUCUUCAUUUUCCUCUACAUGAGUUGCCAAAUUGGCUGUUUGUCGUCUUUGUUCUGGAAAUUUGGUUUGAUGUAUGGCCUGGUUAACAAGGAAAACAUUUGUCGCCUCGAGGAACUGCAUAAGGAUUACUACUACUUAAUGAAUCUUUCGCUGGCCAUAUAUUUUGCCUAUUACAAUUUUAUGUUGGCCUUCUAACGUUUUCUACAUGAGUUAUUUCCUUGUUAAUUUUGGACCUCUGCUCUUGUUGCUGGCCAGGAAUGAAUGAGCGUGAGGUGGAUUGAUUACGAGUCUUUUGUUUUUCAAGUUGCACUCCCACCUUUUUAGCUAGUCGAAUGGCGUUCCGCAAUGUAUGUACCGGUUGCAACCCAACUUGAUCUUCUAUUUCAAAACGUAAACCAUCCAAGAAUCGACCAACUAUUUAGGCUUCUGUCUUGUGGAGGUUAGUUCGUUCCACAAGCCUUUGAAAUUUAAGGGCAUAUUCUAUGAUUGUUUUGGCUCCUUGACGACAAUUUAUGUACUCACGAAAUAAAAUUGUUCUCUUAGCAGGUGAUGUACGUGAUGCCUUAUCUUGACCUUUCCUUUUCCUUGUAGCACAUGAGAAGUUUGCAGAUUGUCCCACCAAAUUGUAGUAAUGCCUUUGAGUUUAUACACUAUUGCUCUGACUUUCUUUGGUUCUGAAAAGUCUAUUGUUUCAAAGAAUCAUUCAACAACUGAUAGCCUAUUAAGAAACUGUUCAAUGCAUAAUUGUCCACUGAAUGAUGGGAGGUCAAUUUUGAUGCAGUAGUCAUUCUCAUGUGUUUCUUGUCGUUCAUUUUUUAUCUCCUCCUCAUCUGAAUCAUCUGAACUUGGAAAAGGUGGAGUAGCUUUUGUAUUCCCAUUAGAGCUACCUAUUUCUUUUGUUCCGUUGGUUUUCUUAUGCUCACCAAAAUUAUUUCCUAAAUCAACAAUGUCAAUACUCUUUGCUUCCUGAAUACUUCUUUGGGCAAGGAUAAUCUCUUUUAAUUCUUGUCUCACGCCAAGUAAUGAUUCUUUCAUCGUCGUAACAUGGCUUUGUAUUUACAGUAGGGCUUUCAUUGUUUCGUGCCAUGCUUCUGCUGAAUGGGUUUGUGAUUAUUCGAAUCACUCUAUCCUCCUUGUGAUUCGAUCUUCCAAUUGAACACCGCUUUCUUUAUAAACUAUUGCGUUUUUUUUUUGUUCUUUUGUUCUUUUUGUUUUUUUUGGCUUUUUUUGGGGUUUUUAAAAUGAACAAAAAAUUAUAAGGUAAGAGUGUAAUAAAAGAAAAGUAAUGGGCAAAAGUAUAAAUAAAUAAAAAUUUGUGUUGCCAGCGACGAUGAUCAGAAAAUGGAAUAAGGAUUGUCGAAUCUGGAAGAUUUAAGGUCGGUGAGUGUGAUGGUGGUGGUGGUGGUUUGACUCAAAUUGUUGUGAUUUGAUCGAAAAAUUGAAUUGAAGUGGCGGUUAGAGGCUAGGUUUCAGUUUUCAGUGAAUGGGCCAGUGGUUGGCAGCAAGAGUAGGCUGGAAAGAAAGGGCUGAUAAUGGUGGAUGAAUUGGUGGUAGUGUUGGCUGUUAAAUCACGAUAGAUUUUGGUGAAUCGUGUGGUGGUUUGUGUGGUAGUUGAGCGGUUAUUUGGUGCUGUUUACGGUGGCUAUGUUGGUGGGUUGGUGACGUUAGUACCUUGGAUAUGUUCGGUGGCGUGUGGGCUUUUGGUUGGGAGAGAGGAUCGACCAAAAAGAAGAAAAAUGGUGGCGGCAGUAGCCUUGUGUGGCGAUUGUAAAGGUGGUUCGGGUUUGGAUUUUUUUUUUUUUUCAGAUUUUUUAAAAUUGACGGAAUUAAUGGAUAAUGGAGGAAGAAUUUGUAUAUGGAGGAUGAUUGAUGGGCAGGAAAGCUCUGCUUGACACAAAGAAAGAUUGUGAUACCACUUGACACAGAGCGGAAGCGAUACUAGAUUUCGUUCUAGCAUACUUUUUUGAAAACUCAAGAAAGAUGACUCUCACAAGGGAGAGAAUAUCUCAAUUGAGAAAUACUAAAUAUUAUUAAUGAAAAAGCUUGUGUCAAGAAACAAACAUAACAAGCCUAUUUAUACUAGUUAGCAUUACCUUAUUCUUAAUAAAAUUAUGAUUCCUUAUAAGUAAAAGGAAUAUGACUUUAAUAAGAAAAUAUAAAGUAAUUCUUAAUUAAACUAGAAAACUAAUACUUCUAUUAUAAUUGGAGCAGGAUAAAUCCUAAUAGAAUAUUAAAUAUUAAAUUGACUUACACUAUAAUUUCUGAUAUAUUCUACCUUAUAUGCUUCCUACAUCAAUUUAAAAGUUUUAUACGAUAUUGAUAAGUUUUUAUUGUAUUUCCUAAUGAUAUGUCAAUUUACCACUUCUAUGUUAAUUUUGCUUAUUUUACUUUUCAUUUAUAAGUCUUAUGUUCCAUUUGCAUUAUUUGUAUUUUAUUUUACACUUAAUGUUGAUUUCCAUAUUUUACGUUAUAUCCAUAAGUUGUUUUUUGUUUUAUUUACUGAUAAUACAUUAAUUUACCACGCUUAUAUUGAUUUGCUUGUUUUACCUUACAUUUACAACUCUUAUGUUCCAUUUGCACCAUUUAUGUUUUGUUUUACAUUUAAUAUUGAUUUACAAGUUUUAUAUUUAUAUCUAUUUUUUUUGGUUUACUAGCAAUAAACCAAUUUACUUGUUUUACCUUUCGUUUGCAAGUCUUAUGUCCCAUUUAAAUAGUUCAUAUUUUGUUUUACACUUAAUUUUGAUUUACAAGUUUUGUAUUAAAUUUACAUUUCUUAUUUUUUAUUUACAUAAUUUAUAUUUAAUUACAAUAUUAAUGUUAAGAUUCUAAUCAUUGUAUUAUAGAAUAACCCAUAAGACACAUAUUAAAAACUUCAUGUAAUAAGACGCAAUGAUUUUUUUUUGAAAUUUUAAACAAAACAAACUAAUAUGCAAAUAUUUUAAAAAUUCAUAAAUAUUCAUACAAUACAAAAUCAAGAUAAUCAAACUUUAAUUACUCAAAUCAAUAGAAGAUUAGUGAAAUUUCAAUUUUAAUAUGUGUGUACAAAUCCUUCAGGACUCAAUCUCGAUUUUUCUCAAAAUAAAAAACUUUUGUAACAAAAAAUAGAAUGAACAAGUCAAACUAAUCUUAUCAUCGUGAUCUCCAAAUUGAUCACUUCAAUGUAACAAACAAUAUGAGAAGAGAUUGCAGUAAGAAAAUUCUUCCUUCUAUUACAUAUGUAAACUUUUCAAGAUUUUCUUCUUCAACACUUACAUCUUUUUUUUUCUUUUCCUUUUUAAGUGCUUAUAGUUAGUAGUUUUUACUCUACUUCUUAAGUAACCUUUUUCCCAUGGUAGUUCGUCAUCGGUCAUAUUUGUGAUAUGCAAACUCAGAUUACUCGAGCAUAACUUCACUCUUAGGAGUUAUAGGUAGCUAUUUCUAACUGAGGUGCCGUACAUCUUGAAAUCUAUAGUAGAGAUAAAAGUAAAAAAUAUAUAAUUAAUGUUCAAUCCAUUUAAUCUCAACAUCAAAAGUCUCAAAAUUGAAAAUCAAGUUAGAAUGAAGACUUCAAAAAUAUAUGUGCACAAAGAUAAGUCUAAAUUAAACCAAUCAAAAAUUGUUUCGAGCUUUCAAGUCAUUGAAUCAAGACUUUUAUGUACAUAGUAAUUUGAAUAAAGAGCACAUAUGCAAAAACACAUGCAAACAAUGUCUUAACAAUAUCAUGAGAAGCAAAAUUACAUGACAUAUAGAAGAUGUUGUACAACAUGACUAUAUGGAACCGAUACCUAAAGUUUUUUUGUUUUAAGGAAUCAAAUCUAGAUGCACCCAAAGCUUUCUUAAAGAUAUCUGCAAGCCAAUUUUCUAUUUUAAUAUAGUCUAGUGAUAAAGUUUUUCUAUCAGCUUAGUCAUGAAUAAAAUGAUAUCUAAUAUCAAUAUGCUUAGUUCUAGAAUGCUGAGUAGGAUUGUUAAAAAUAGGACUUGUGUUAUCACCAUUUACUAUAAAAAUAUCUUGAACAAUAUCAUAAUUUUCAAGCAUUUGCUUCAACCAAAUUAAUUGAGUACGACAACUGUUAGUAACAAUGUAUUCAGCCUUAGCAGUAGAUAAAGAAAUUGAGUUUGUUUCUUAAUGUGCUAAGAUACAAGAUUGUUAUCAAGGUAAAAACAAUCUUAAGUGGUACUUUUUUUAUCAUCAGUUUUACCUGCCUAAUCAGCAUCUAUAUCCUAUGAGGCUUGAAUUAGUAUCUUUAGAAUACCAAAUACCAUUAUUAAUAGUACUAUUACAAAAUGAAUGAUAUAUUUAACAGCAGAUAAAUGUGAUUCCAUUUGAUUUGCUAGGUGCCCAGCACAAACAACUAUAUAGAACGAAUAUCAAGUCUCUUGUAAUCAAAUAAAGUAAGCCACCAAUCAUACUUCUAUAAAGACUUAGAGAAUCAACCCCUAUCAUCUUUUGUGCUCAUAAGUGGUGUUCUUAUGUGUUAAGCCGAUUCUAGUCCCAAUUUUUUCACCAAAUUGUUGGCAUACUUAGUACUUACUUUGAGAAAUGAAAAUGCCAUUUCCAAGUUGUUCACUUUUAAUCUUAAAAAAUAGGUUAAUUCGUCGACCAAGCUCAUUUCAUAUUAAUUCUUCAUUUUAUCAACGAGUUCCUAAACAUGCACUAGAGAAAUAGAGCAAAAAAGAAUAUUAUUUAUGUAAAUUUGACCAAUCAAUAUUCCAGGAUUAAGAUUUUCAAUAAAUAAAGUCUUUGAAAUAAUAACUAGGCAACCCAAGAGGGAGGGUGAAUUGGGUUUUUAAAACUUAAACUAAGCAAACUACACAAUAAUUUAAUCUAAUGCUUUAAUGAAAUAAAAAACAAUAAAUUUAACAAUGGUAAAAAAUAAAAAGAGUAAGGGAGGAGAGAGCAAACAAAAAUACUUUUACGUGGUUCGGUAAUCCCCGCCUACGUCCACGCCUCAAAGCAAACAAAGCUUGAGGAUUUCACUAUCCAAGCGUCCCAAGGUUUCAAACGCUUACAAUUGACUUCCAAGGUGUCAAUGGACCUUUACAACAAGAGAUUGUCCCCAAUCUCUUCACCCAAGUGUAUCCCAACACUUUUAACCUCUCAACUUAAUUUUACAAAAAUGAUUACAAAUAAAUUUCCCUCACACAAUGUAUUUGAUUACAAAUGAAAGCUCAAUGUGUGUGAAUAAAUGAAAUGAAUACAAAUUUUAUGCUCAGAUUGCAGAGGAUGGCUCAAUGAUAACAAUAGUUGUAUCUCUUUGAUUGAAUUUGAUUUGAGCUAAUUUAUAGUUGAAGAAGAAAACUAGCAGUUACUGACUUUUUGGUUAUAUCCGGCUUGCCACUUUAUGUUACCGUUAUGUUCAAAGAUUUGAAUUUUUGUACAACCGAUUUGCCGCUUUAACUCCAGAGAGCUUCUGCUUGAUAACCGGUUUGCUGCUUUUGUGAAUUCGGUUAGCUUUUUUAUUCCAGAGAGCUUCUACCCAUAACCAGUUUGCCGCUUUGAUAAAUUCGGCUAGCCGCUUGCUACAGUGAAACUACUAUUUUCCAAAAUUAUAAUUUUACCCUAACACUUUAUAAAAUUAUACUAUGGACCAAAUAUUUAUAAAACUUUACAAAUAUGUCCAUUUUCAGAAUUUUAAAACAAUACUUGUUGAUUUCAAAGUUCUCAAAACUUUUCAAUUUAAACCAUAAACUUGAAAACAACUAAUUUCAUAAAAUCAUUUUCUUGUUAUAAAAACAUAAUAUGUAGUUCUUUAUUUGUUCAAAACAUAUAGUUUGUUAUUAUCAAAAUCACCAUUUUAUAGCCAUAUAGGCUAACAAUCUCCUCCUUUUUAAUGAUGAUAAAACACAUUAUAAAAGUUUUAUUUAGUUAUGAAAAAACUCCCCCUUAAAUAAAUGCAAGAUUAAAAACUGAUUUAAAAAGCUCCCUCUGCAUGAAUGCAUAUUUUUCAUAACAAACAAUUAUAUGUCAUAUCUCUCCCUUCAUCAUCAAAAAGAGUAGAAUGCUCCCCUUGAGUAUAUUAUAAGUUUAAACAAUUUGCCAAUGAACUAAAUUAACAACUUUAAAUACAUGUAUUCUUCUCCUCCUUCAUCAUAAAAAAGAAAACUUAGUGGAAAAGAAAAAGAGUAGCAAAUUUGUUACCCAUGUUGUCCAAAUAGAAAUUUCAACAAAAUCUCCCCCUAUCAACAAGCAUCACCUCAAAUACAAGUUUAGUAAUAUCACUCCCAAAUUAUCAUAAAUCAUGAUACAAACCAACUUCAUACACAAAUCAUCACACAAUCCAUCAACCAUAAAAAGAUCAUGAACCAUCAUUCCAUCAAUUACCAAAUUAGCAACUCAUAAAAUAAAAUCAUCAUAUAAAACAACCAUGUAAUCACAUCAUCAUCAUAUCUCAAAAUCAUCAAAAUCAUCACCAUAAUCAUAUAUCAACCAUCAAAAGAAUGCUCAAAGUGCAUGUUAUUCUCCCUCUUUUGACAUCAUCAAAAUGGUAUAUUACUUUGUCUCCCCCUUUCGAUAUCAUGUAAAGCAAGUAAUGCAUAUUCAACAAUACAUCAAUAAAGUACAAAAAUGCAUCCAUUUACCAAUCAUACAUCGUAUAAGAUCAAACUUCAUCAAAUACAAUGUAAUCAUCAAAGGACAUUUUUUAUCAUCAAAACUUAAGCAAAGCAUAAGUACAUAAUGGCAAUAUAUAGAUCAUCAAAAUCAAACAAAGGCAUCAUGAUAAGUUGCCAUGCUACUAUCAUAUAUAUUUAUCCAUGUAUCAUGAUUACACACAAUAAUAAUUCAAUUAUGUAAAUGUAAGAGCAUGCUUUUUUAAAUUCAAGCUAUUAUCCAUCCAACAUGAUCCAUUCAACAAAAUUAAUAUGGCAAGAAUUGUUACCAAAACAAUUAAAUCAUCUUACCAAUCAUUUUCUCUUAUAUCAUGCUUAAGUGAUUAUUCUCACAAGCUUUCAUUGAGGAACUCUCCACCAUUUCUUGAUUAUAGUACCUACAAAAAAGUAUUCAAGUUGUGCCUUUUGGUACCCAAAUACUCUUGGGUCCUUGAGUGUUAACAAUGGUUCCUUUUGGAACCCAACCACAUUUUACUCCAUAAUAUGUAUUUCUUUUAACUGGACAUCUAUACUUUAUGUGACCAUUUUGAUUACAAUGGUGACAUACAACUUCAUUAUUAAUGGAGGUACGCUUUACAAAAUAAUUCGUAUAAUACUUUUGUUUCAAAUUUGGCUUAUAUCCAAUACCUCAUUUGUCAAACAUACAUUUUUGUGAGUUAAGCAAGUUAUCCAACAUCUUUUGCCCAUUUGUAAAUUUUAAGACAACAUCACUAAGUUCUAUAUUCUUUUUCUUGAGCAUUUCAUUUUCUUUCAUCAAUUCAACAACAUGUGAUUUUUCAUGCUCAUGCGAAAUACGUUGUUUGUCUUUAAAUGAUGCAAUUUUGUCAUGCAAUGUUUGAUUAUCUAACUCAAGUCCUUUAAUCUUUUAAUUUAAUGAAUCGUUACAUUUUUGUAAAGCAUCCUUUUCAUUUGAAAGUUCUACCAUUUUCAUUUUAAGACGUACAUUCUUUUUACCAAUUUUUAUCCAAUUAUCAUGCAAUUCCUUAAAAGCAUCAUAUAACACAUUCUAGGUAGGAUCACUUGCCUCAUCAAGUUUGUCAACCGAUUCAUCUCCAAUUGCCAUAAGUGCCAAAUAUGACACUUUAUGAGAUUCCUCCUCGUUUGUAGUCUCCUCAUACACAACUUCAAGUUUUCUCCAAAUUUCAUAAGCAUUAGAACAAUUUGAAACUCUAUGAAAUUCUUUUUUAUCUAAGGCACAAAAUAAAACAUUCAUAACCUUGGAAUUUAAAGACAUCUUUUCGCUAUCCAACUCACUUAAAACAUUCUUCCUAGGAAUGAAUGAACCAUCACAAACUAUUUCCCAUAUUUCAUAGUCCAAGGCUUAUAAAAAGAUUCUCAUCCUAGUUUUCCAAUAAGGAUAGUCAUUACCAUAAAAAAGUGGAGGCUAGUGGUGGAUUGGCCUUCCAUGAAGGUUCAGCUAAUUUGAGUUGUUAUGGAUCUUUAACUCUAGACGGUUAAGUCUACACAAGAGCACCUCGCUCUGAUACCAAAUGAAAUAAUAACUAGGCAACCCAAAAGGGGGUGAAUUGGGUUUUUAAAACUAAAGCUAAGCAAAGCACACAACAAUUUAAUCUAAUGCCUUAAUGAAAUAAAAAAUAAUAAAUUUAACAAUGCUAAAAAAUAAAAAGAGUAAGGGAGGAGAGAGCAAACACAAAUAUUUUUACAUGAUUCGGCAAUCCCCGCCUACGUCCACGCCUCUAAGCAAACAAAGCUUGAGGAUUUCACUAUCCAAGCCUCCCAAGGCUUCAAACACUUACAAUUGACUUCUAAGGUGUUAAUGGACCUUUACAACAAGAGAUUAUCUCCGAUCUCUUCACUCAAGUGUAUGCCAACACUUACAACCUCUUAAUUUGAUUUUACAAAAAUGAUUACAAAUAAAUUUCCCUCACACAAUGUGUUUGAUUACAAAUGAAAGCUGAAUGUGUGAAUGAAUGAAAUGAAUACAAAUUUUAUGCUCAAAUUGCAGAGGAUGGCUCAAUGAUAACAAUAAUUGUUUCUCUUUGAUUGAAUUUGAUUUGAGCCAAUUUAUAGUUGAAGAAGAAAACUAGCCGUUGCUGACUUUUUAGUUAUAUUCGGCUUGCUGCUUUGUGUUACCAUUAUGUUUAAAGAUUUGAAUUUUUGCACAUCCGGUUUGCCACUAUUCAUUUUUCGGUUAGCCGCUUUUACUGCAAAGAGCUUCUACUUGAUAACUGGUUUGCCGCUUUUGUGAAUUCGGUUAGCUGCUUUUAUUCCAGAGAGCUUCUGCCCAUAACCGGUUUGCCGCUUUGAUAAAUCCGGUUAGCCGCUUGCUAUAGUGAAACAUCAAUUUUCCAAAAUUAUAGUUUUGCCUUAAUACUUUAUAAAAUUAUACUAUGGGCCAAAUAUUUAUAAAACUUUGCAAAUAAGUAUAUUUCUAGAAUUUUACAACAAUACUUGUUGAUUUCAAAGUUCUCAAAACUUUUCAAUUUAACCCAUAAACUUGAAAACAACUAAUUUCAUAAAAUCAUUUUCUUGUUGUAAAAACAUAAUGUGUAGUUCUUUAUUUAUCCAAAACAUGUGGUUUGUUAUUAUCAAAAUCAUCAUUUUAUAGCCAUAUAGGCUAAAAGUCUUUUCAAGUGCUCUAUCUUGCAGCCUUUUGCAACCAAGAAAUUGGUUAAUCUUUCAUACUAUACCCUAAAAACUUGUUUUAAUUCAUAUAAUGCCUUUUUCAAUUUGGAAACAUAAUUAGAAUGGUAUAGAUUUUCAAAGCCUUUGGGUUGUGACACAACUUAAAAGUGUUGAUUACUCUUAAGUAUAAGAGUUUCUAGGUAUAAUAUAACCCGGUGAUUCUGGGGUCGAACUAUAGGGAAUUAAGAAUCUAGUACUCAAUUAUUAAACAAAAAUUGAUUAUAGAAAAUAAAUUAAUAGUCUAAAAAGAGCUAAGAUUAUGGGAUCCAUUCUUGGUAUUCAAAUUAUGGUAAUAUUACUCUCUCAUAUUUAUUUUUUACUUUUAUUUUACUAGAUUAAAUAUUAAAUGGCUGAAUUAUUAAUUAACCACUUAUGGAUAAAUAUUGGGAUAAAGUAUAUAAUGUGCCACAACUGAAUUAGUGUGUCGAAAUUAUGUUUAAAUACCAUAUAGCUCCAAAGUAGAUCUACAAUCAUAGUUUAAAAUGAAAUGAAAAGAAUUUGUUAAGGAUACAAAUAAAAAAAAAAACGUAAGCUCACUUGAGAAGGCAAUUAAUUCUAUGGUUUGAGUCCCUAAGCUUCACCUUUCAUCUAAGUUUAGAAAUUUAGCCAUUCAUGUUUAAAAAUAAAACACUCAUUUUAUUUAAGAAUCUUAUAAUGUACAAUACAAGAAGAUUUAAAAUAAAAGAGAAGAGAAGAGAUUUUUCCUAAAAUUAACUCUUGAUUAACACUUAAAAAGCUCACCCCUAAAAUCCGCCAUACAAUUCUCUCUCCUUUCUUUCUUUCUCCCCAAUUCUUGCACACCCUAAUUUGUGAGAGCUCUUGUCUUUAAAUGGAAAAUUUUGAGUGAUCAAAUGUGGGCAUUUAUAUGAAAUUUUUGAGGAGCUUACAAUCACAACCUUAAGAUGGGAUUUAAUAGUACAAUCCAAGGGUCUGAAAUUGCAACCAUUAUAGAUAAUUGGAUUUAACAUAAUAAAUGGCUACAAUUAAAGUCAAUAUCUAAUCCUCCUUUGAACAUGAGCUCAGACACAUGGCACAAUCUCAUUUGUUAAAAAAUAAUGUUGGUUCAAAGGGAUUGCAAUUCUUCCAAGGGUUUUUAAGUCUCCAAAAUCCAAAUUUCUCCUCUAAAUUUUCAAUCCGAGCAUCAUGAUCUGGGGAUUUCAUACAAAGCAUAUAUAUCAUACUUAAAGACUAACAAAAAUAAUAAAAAAAAUUAUAGAAUAGGUUAUGGAUUUGCAAAUGUGAUGAAUUUGCUAUUGCUAUCAACACUAUAAGUGAAAAAUGAUGAUUUUAACAUUUAUUAAAGGUUCACUUUAUAAGUUAAUCACAUCUCUCAACUAGCUUAUUCUUAGUUCCUAGCAAUUAAAUUACUAACCAUAAUAAGUAAAAUUAAUGUAUAUGCUUGUAAAUGUUCUUCCCUUCUUCAAACAAUUUUAUAGGUAAACUUCCCUUUGAAAAGUAAAAUUAAAAAAUAAUUUGUAGAGUGGAUAUCAAUAACCUUCCUUUGUGUUCAAUUAUAAAUAAAUACAAAACUUAUGGGAUUUCAUCAAAAGAUCACAAUAUUUUAGUUUUACAAGUUCAUUAGGGUUUCUAUCAUUAGUAGUGAAUUAUUUAUAAAUAACUUAACGAACAAUAAAUCUCCAACCCAUGUAGUGAUUUUUGGGCAAGUAACUCUUAGACUAGUUGGCCUUAGGGCACUAGGUAUUGAACACCGCUAUAGGCUUAGUCACUCCGAUUUCAGAUAUAGCCAAAUUCAACACAUUUUUUCUUUUUAUUUUUGCAUUUCUUUUUACACGAGCAAUCAUUUCUAAUUAGGAAGAUCCUCAGUUACUAGGUAAAAUAAUGUUUUAUUGAUUUUUUUAAUUUUUAAACCAUUACCAUUUUACGCGAGCAGUCACUAUUGAUUAGGCAAGAUGCCUUAUUACUAUGUAAAAAUUUGAGUUUUUUUUUUUUAAUAGAACACAAGUUUUCCACUAUCUUAGAUGUCACCUCUAACAAACCAACAUAAUUAAAUAUUAAAUAUUUCAACUUCCAACACAUAAGUAUGUGUCAUGGGGGGUGUGUGUUGUGCUGGAAUGGUUUAGUACAUCCACCAAAUAAUUAAAUGGAACAAAAUGGAUGAGUAAAAGCUAUUAGAAAGAAGAACUCACAAAUUUAAUUAAUUUGAAGAGAAAAAAAUAAAAAUUAGCCAUUAUUAGAAAAUACAAAAUAGUAAAAAUGAUGCUUCUCAGGAGGAAUAAAAAGAACUCUUUAUUCCCUAGUCCGCAAACAAAGAAUGGUUAUUUUUUUUAAAAGAACACACAAAAAGAUAUCGAUAAGUGGAAAUAUUUUUCUUUCUUUUUGAAAAGAAAACACACAAAAAUAAAUAAAUACACAAAACAUAGGAUGUCAACUAUCCUUUUCCCCCAUCAGAUCAAGACAUUGUCCUCAAUAUCUAAAGAAAUAGAUGGUAAACUUAGAAGAAUACACCUGAUAAAUGUGAAGGAAAAUAAAUACCUAUAAACAAAUAAAACUACUAUAUAAGAAAAUUGAAAAAAGUUACACAUGAAGAUUUAGAUCCAGAAAAUAAAUACCUGUAAACAAAUAAAACUAGUAUAUAAGAAAAUUGAAAAAAGUUACAAAUAAAGAUUUAAAUCCAUCAUUUUGCCUUUUGGUCACUAUCAACAUAUGAUCAAUUAGUUGAGAAAUGAGUUGGUUGGUUUCAAGCUACUGUUCUUACAUUCAACCAAUUAAUUCUGUUGCGGUUUUAAAGUAGACAAGGAUUCUUCGUGACGUAGGCAAAAUGAAAUUGUGCUUCACAACACUAUCAAGAAAUAUCAUGAAGAGACCAUAAUAAUAAUUCACAUCCAAUGGCUCGAUAGGAUUGUAGUGGAUGUUUAGUUGUGCUCAUGAUGCAAUUGUAAUAUAAUUCUUCUGAGGUACCAAGUCAGCAUACCAGAAGAAUAAAAACAUCAACAUGUUCAAUCUUUGCAAUGAGACAUUCAUGCAUACCUGUAACAACGAGCUCUUCUCCAUUUGUUCUUCAAAUGAUCCCUCUAACCAAAGCUUUUGGGAUUAUACUCAAAACCUAACUUCCUCCAGUGUUUACAGCUUAUGAGACAUCCCUUAUUAGUCUAGGAUCACAAUUUUCAUAUAUUUAAUGUACAUUUCUAUUAAACAGUAACUUCCUAAGGUCCUUGGCAGCUUUAACAAAAUCUAGGGCAUGUCCAUAAGUUCAUCCAAAAAAUAGACAAUCAUUUUUAAGUUUCCAAUUAGAACCAUUGCCAUUAUGAUUCCUUUUCUUUUAAGGAUUUGGAUCAUGAAAGAAAGAGAUAUAUAUAAAAGGGUAUUUACAAAUCUAGGAGAAGUAAUGCAUCAAUGAUAAUAAUUGCAAAGGUUGAUAAUUGUUAAACAAAAUAUCUGAAACAAUAGAAAGGAUAAAGUAGUCAAAUGUUGUGGAAAUUUUCAAAUGAAAAGAGUUAGAACCAAAUAAUAAAAUAAUAACAAAAAUGUACUAGCAGUUUUGAUUGUGACUCAUAUCUUCCUCUGAUUUUAUGUCUGGUAAUAAAUUGAACAUCUUUUAUGAAUGGGGGAUAGGUUUUAAUCCAAUUUUCUUAAAAAUUGACAAAAAAGAUCUUUUAAAGUCAGAUUGCCAAGAUUAAAUUCUGCAUGUUCGUUUUGAAAUUGUGUCAUUAAUCCUUGGAUCUCGUUUUGUACAUAUCCAUGGGCUUGUGUCUCAAGAGUUGAUAAUAUAUUGUCAUGAAUCAACUUCCAACUGAAGUCAUGCCUAACAAAUUGAAUCUUGUCCACACGAUUAUCAGAUAAAUACCCCAAGGAGUCACAACCGGUGUCAUAAGCCAAGUGGGCAUAUUUAUAAUAGACACCUAACCCUUUAGCUUUGCGCUUUUCUGCAUAGGUGCUCUUCCUCAAGCCAGGCAUGUGAGAGAUAAAUGAUAAAUUAGAGAUUUUGCCAGCUACUUAAACUUAAGCUUCAAUAAGCCAAUGAAUAUCUUUAAAAAUUCCAUACAUCAUUAAUAACUUCAUUCUUUUAAAUUGUGAUUUAUAAAUAUUGAUAAGAGUGUAUAGAGAGAGCGAAGGAGAGAUUGAAUGUAGUUUCUUGAUAAUCUCUCCCAUGCUUUUUAACAAAGGGUUUCAAUGAUUGUGGGUAAACUGAAGAACCAACUAUAAAAGUUAGGAAGUACUGUUAUCUGCUAUCUGAAGGAGUAAAAAAGUUAACCUAAAAAGACACAAAACACAAAAGACAAAACAAAAGCAAAAUCAAACACUUUUAUUGCCCCAUACGGAUAUACAUUUUUCAAUCUUUGUCCAUUCACUUUGAAUUUAUUACCGUUCUUUGGAUUCUCAACUUCUAUUGCCCCAUAUGUAUAUAUACUUUUCACAAUAAAAGAGUCAUUCCAUUUUGACUUUAACUUUCUUGGAAAUAAAUACAGAUAAAAAUUCAGUAGCGACACUUUUUGACCGACCUCAAAUGUUUUACAAAAAUUCUCUUAUCAGGAAAAGCCUUGGUUCUUACCUUAAUAAUUCUAAAAUUCUCAUAUACAUCAUUUUGAGAUCCUCAAGUUCAUUUAACCGUAAGUUACACAUAUUACCAGCAUUAUCAAGAUUUGAAUUAACAAUUUUAAUAGCUCAAAAUUAAAUUCAAUUGAUAAGUGUCAAUGUUUACCAUAACCCAACCGACAGAAUAACAUGUCUAAAGAUGUCUUAAAUGCAGUGAAAUAGGCCCAAAGUGCAUCAAUAAGUCAAUGAGACCCAUCUUUAGGGUUUGGGUUAACCAUCUUUUCCAAAGUUUGCUGUAUCUCUUUAUUUGCUACUUUAACUUGACCACUUAUUUGAGAGUGAUAAAGAGUAAAAACCUUAUAUGUAAUGCCAUAUUUCUUCAUUAAUAUUUAAAUGACUUGUAAUAAAAAUGCUUACCUUUAUUAAUGAUAAUGGCUCGAAGGAUUCCAAGUUUGCUUAAAAGAUUUUCUUUUAAAAAAUGGAUCAAAGUUUUUUAAUUGUUGUGUUAAUAAGGAAUCACUUUAAUCCAUUUUAAAACAUAGCAAUAGCAAAUAAGAUAUAUACAUAUCCAAAUGAUGAUGGAAAAGGGCCCAUAAAAUCUAUUCCCUAAUAGUUAAAUAUUUCAAUGACAAAGAUGAGUUUAAAGGCAUCAUAUUUUUCUUUGAGAUGGACCCAACAUUUGACAAUUCUUACAUGUUUUAUAAAAUGCAUAUGAAUCUUUAAAUAAUAUGUGCUAGUAGAAUUCAUAUUGCCAAUUUUUUACAGCUAUCUUCUUCAGAGAAAAGUAGCCAUCACAUGCUUUUGAAUAGCAAAAUUUAACAACACUGUUUACUUUAUCGUCCGAAAUCUAUCUAUAAAAAAUUUGAUCAGUACAGUACUUGAACAAGAAUUGAUCAUCCUUGUGAAAGCUUUUCACCUCUAUUAAGAAUUUCUUAUUAUCUUGGAAGUUCAAAUUGGAUGACAUUUUACCUGUUGUAAAAUAAUUAACAAUGUUAGCAUACUAAGGCACAUUAUGUAUAGAAAACAAAAACUCAUUAGGAAAAGAAUCAUUGAUAGGUAUUGUGUUAAUUGAAAGCUCAUUUGUAAGUCUUAACAGAUAGCCUGCAAUAACAUUUUCGCCACCCAUUUUAUCUUUGAAUUCAUCAUUUUAAUCUUGGCAUGGCAUCCUGUUUAGACAUUAAAUAUCUAAUAGCAAUAUGAUAAAAAAAGACCAUAAUAGAUGAACUAAUUAAAUUUGUUUGAAAUUUAUUAAGUGUAAAUAUUACAGCAAGUAGUUCUAUUUCAGUUGUAGUAUAAGUCAUUUGGGCACUAUUAAAAAUUCUACUUGCAUAAUAGAUAACAAAUAGCUCACCUUUUUUUUUCUUUGUCCUAAAGCAGCUCCAACAUCAUAAUCGCUAGCAUUACACAUUAGUUCAAAAAGUAAAGGGCAAUAAGGGGAUUGCAUUAUAGGGGAUUAUGCUAAAAGACAUAUUAUCUUUUCAAAGUCUUUUUGACAAUCUUUGGUCCACUCAAAUAGUGUAUCUUUUAUAAAGAGAUUACAAAGUGGUCUAGAUAUGAUACUAAAGUCUCUUAUAAACCUCCUAUAAAAUUCGGCAUGUCCUUAAAAGGAACGAACUUCCUUAAUUGUCUUUGGUGAAGGUAAUUUUGAGGUGAUUUUGAAUGAACUUCCUUAACUGUCUUUGGUGAAGAUAAUUUUGAGGUGAUUUUAACUUUGACUUUAUCAACUUUGAUUUCAUUUAAAGGAAUUACAUGGCCCAAGACAAUUCUAAAAAUGGUCAUGAAACAACAUUUUGCCUAAUUUAAAAUAAAUCCUUUUUCUUUACAUCUUUCUAAAGCUCUUUCUAAAUUAUUAAGAGAUGUAUCAAAAAAAUUUCUUAAUAUAGUUAAAUUGUCCAUAAAAAAUUCUAAACAAUUUUCAACAAUCUCACUAAAAAUGCUUAGCAUGCAUCUCUGAAAUAUUGUGGGAGAAUUAUAGAGUCCAAAAGGCAUUCUUCUAAAUGUAAAUGUUUCAAAUAGGCAUGUGAAUAUUGUCUUUGCUUGGUCUUCUAAGGCUGUAGAAAUUUGCUGAAAGUUUGAGUAGCCAUCAAGAAAGUAGUAGCAGAAGUGUUUUGCUACUCUCGAGGAUUUGAUCUAAAAAUAAAAGAGGAAAAUGCUCCUUUCUAUUGGCAUUAUUUAAUUUUCUGUAGUCAAUGCACAUAUGUUGACUAGAUGGAACCCGUGUUGAGAUUAGUUCACUUUUUUAAUUUUUUACAGCGAUCAUUGCAGAUUUCUUUAGUACUACUUAUGUUGGACUUACCUAUUUACUAUCAGAGAUAAGAUAGAUAAUUCUUACAUCUAGUAGUUUAAAGAUCUAAUUUUUUACCACUUUUUUCAUAUGGGGGUUAAGUCUUCAUUGUGGUUAACGUGAGUUAUUUUGGCAUUUUCAUCUAAAAGUAUUAUGCGAAUACAAAAAAUUUCUUCAUUCUUAAAGAACUCAGUGAUCUCUCUUUAAACAAAAAAUUCUGCAAAAUCUUUAAAGUCAUCAAUAAUAACAUUGGUAGAUUCCAUAAUAGUUUGAGUUCUCAAAUUUUACAAUCGAAAAGCUUUAUUAUUAUUUGAAUAACAAAGAAAAAUGCCCUCAUCACUUUUUUAGUCAUACUUGCACAAGUAUUCACGAUCUUUCAAGAUGUAACAUGUAAUACCAAAGAUGUGAAAAUAAUUUAUAUUAGGUUCCUUACGUUUCCACAGUUCAUAAGAGGUUUUUUUAGUGGUUGGAUACAAAAAUAUUUAGUUCUUUUGCUGAAAGACAUUUAGUCAACUUAUUGGAGUUCAACAUCACACGUGCCAUCUCCUCUAAGGUUUUGUUCUUUCUUUAAAAAUUCCAUUUUGUUCAAGAGUAGUAGGUACUGAAAAUUCAUGUAUUAUACCAUGUUUAUCAAAAUAUUUUGCAAAAUUAGCAUUUUCAAAUUCGUUUUGAUGAUGACUUCUAAUUUUCCCAAUAUUAUGAUCUUCUAAUACAUAAUUUUUUAAACACAGCAAACAUAUCAGAUUUUUCUUUAAUAAAAUCAGCCCAUGUGCAUCUGAAGAAAUCAUCUAUGCAAAUAAAAGCAUACCAUUUUUCAGCAACACUUUUCACUUGCAUUGGACUAAUAAAAUUCAUAUGAAGGAAAUCAAGUACUUUAGAUGUGGUAAUAUGUUAAACAACUUUGUACGAUGUGCGAUGUUUUUUGUUGUUAGCCAAUUUGACAAGAAUUACAAGCUCUAGAUUGUUUCUUUUUGAGCUUAGGUCUUACAAUUUCUGCACUCACGAGUUAGUCAAUAAUUUAUAAUUAAAAUGACCAAGUUUUUGGGGCCUUAUUUCAAUUUGAUCAAUAGUAGUUUUAUGACAAGUAAUAAAUUGGAUCAAUUUAUAAUAAUGAUUCGAUGGUCUAAUUCCCUUAAGUAUAUACUUACCCUUGUUAUUAAACACUUGACAUUUGCUGCUAUUAAAAUUUAUCAUUAAGUUUUGAUAAUAAAUUUGACUAAUACUCAAAAGAUUAGCUCUCAAGUCUUCAACUUGUAAAGCAUUUUCAAGUCUAGGAGCACAUGACUUUUAAUACUGUCAGCAAAGGCCACAUGUUCUCAACUACAUUCUUCAUAAUUUAUUAAAGCACUAUAAUUACCAUUCAUGUGUCUAGAGCAACCACUAUCAAAACACUAUAAGUUAUUAAUAGAAGAUCGCAGAGAUGUAAAUGACACAUAUGCUUUUAAUUCAUAUUUCCUAAUCAAAUUUGGUUCAAUAAAGUUACCUUGAACAUUAAACUUAGGUUUAAGAUUAUAUCUAGGUUUACCAAAUGAAGAAAAAUUAAACGACACAAUUUUCUUUAUGUAAUUCAUGAACUUGAAGCAUCUAGCUCUUAUGUGUCCUUUAAUAUAACAAAGUGACAAGUAAGAACAAAACUUUCAUACUAACCAUGUGAGCUCAAUGUAUAAUGUGUCACAUAUUUACCUUUCAUUUCGUCAGAGAGUUUUGCCAUAGGUGGCGAUACUUUGGUUGUUGGUGAAGAGGCUUUACCAAAAAUAGUAUUUGAGCUUAAAGUAAUUCCUUUAUGAUACCCAAGACAAUAAUGAUCUAAAGUAGCUUUUCCCAUAGUCAAAAUCUUAUCAAAUUGCUUUGUUCUAGAAUUCAUCGUUCUCAAAGAUUUUUUAGUACUUUCUAGCUCAGUCAAAACUUCCUUCAAUUUCUCUUCUUUUCCAAAAACAGUAGUUUGAGGAUUGAUUACUUCACUUUCAAACCUUAACUUUUCAACAAUUUUUUUUUUAUAAUUCAGCAUGAAAUUUUCUUGCAUCUUUGUUUCAUUUUUACCCAUUCAAAAUAGGUGUAAUCAUCACUACUAGAAAAUAGUCUUCACUGAUACUUGUCUUGUGACACUUUAUUUGAAAGUAUUAGUAUGUACAUACAUUUGGACCAUUUUCUGCAUUUAACAGAUAAGUAUCACUAAUUACUAAUACUAAAGUAUCAAUAGCUUUAGCAAUAGCGAUCAAUGAUACUGAGGUAUCAACAAUAAAAAAUUAUCAUUUGAAAAGUGGCUGGUAUGAGGCGGCUAGCAGGUUGAUGGUGCCACUAACGGUGGCCAAAAGAGAGACAACGAGGUGUUGGUGAGAUAUAUGGCAGCUAGGGGGAUUUGUCUUGAUAAAAUGAGUCACAGAUGGUAGCCAAUAAGUGGUGCCUGAGUUUUGGUUGUGCUCGUGCAUAUCUCUCUGUUAUGUAUUAAAACUCUAAUAUUUUACUACAUACAGCAGUAAACCAAGAAAGGAGGGAAAAAAAAAAAGGAAAGAAAUCAGACACAGAUUAGAAAAUUUAGAAUUGAAGGUGAUAAAUCCUGCUAUACAUGGAAAUGAUAAUUUUACCUUUCAUCUUCAAGCUCCGAAGGCUUCGUAUGUAGGUCUUUCACUUGUAAAAGGCGGUUUACUUCUAUGUGCAAGUUAGCAUUUGGUUCAUUAGAAAAUUUGUCAAUAAAGUGUAAUGAAGCCGUAUCAGAGUUGUUACAAGAAUAUUUUUUGGAAAUCCAUGUAUCAUCUUCUCUUUCUCUCCUUGGAUGAGAGAGUAUCUGCAUUCCCUUAUUUUUCUUUUUUCUAAUUGAGUUUGAAUCCCCUUAUUUUAUUUUAUUUUUUUUGUAACCGCCAUACCAGUAAUUUAUUAACAAUUGCAGAGUUAGUGUGACACUUUAUUUGUAACUGCCAUAUCAUAGUCAGUUACUAACCAUUACAGAGCUAUAACAUCACUCGAAAUAGAAAUAUUGAGAUUCCUAAUAGUAUUUAUCCUAAUUAUUAGUUGUUCCUAAUAUUACUAUCGCUAGCUGCAAUUAAUUCAGCUUAAGUUGUCAUUUUCUUAUAAACAAACAAGAUGGUCCAUCAUGUUUAGUUGUAAGGAUACAAACUAGGGAUAACAAUGGGCCAGGUUAGGCUCGGGCUUACCUAAGCUUGUAACUAAAAUAAAGGGUUUGAGCUCAAAAAAGUCCGAUCCUUUGAAUUAAAGCCCGAGCCCAACCAUAAUUUUGUUUUGAUGAGGUGAGAUUCAUGUCAAGAGAGAGUGACUGAAACCCACAGCUAUUUCCUUGAUUAGUAUCACUUGUUGCAGCAGAUAUCUCAACAGAAGAAGAAGAAGCAAAUGGAGUUUGCUUAGCCAAGAAUUGAACCCAGCAAUAGAAGCUACAGUCUUUUAAGGAACAUGCUGAUGCUGAUGAAGAAAAUGAUGAUGGUACAUAAUAUCAUCGUGGUUAUGGGUAUAGCUAGGGUUUAAGGUUUGUGUUUGUGGGUGAUGAUGAUGUUGACUGUAGUGGUGGUGGAUGAUUGAAGAUGGGUGGCUCGUCAGAUCUUGAGCAAUGAUUUCUAAGUCAAAGUCUCCAUUAUUAUCAACAUUGAAGCAGCUGCUUGAUACAAUAUUGACAUUCCAUUAUGUUGGUUUUGGCAUCAGCAGGGUCAGUUGAUGUAUAGAUUGAGUAACAACAUGACCCUAAGAAAUCUUCAAGCUUUGGACAUGAUCCUCAUGACUUGCCCCACCACUACCAUAAUUUUCAUAUCCCCAAUCUAAACUAAAAGGAAACCAUAAAAAAAUUAAAAAAAUCACGGCAAAAAAACCUAUCAUAAUUUACAUGACUUACUCCUAAUUAUAUUUCUACAUCGCCAGGUGCGAACACCUAAAUCGUCCCCAUUUUGCCAUAACCUAAAAAAGCUAAAGAUUGAAGCAUUACCUUAGGCUGUGAUAACUGUGCCGCCUUGUGAAUGGCUGUCACUGUUGUGUGAUGGCUGUCAGUGGUGGCGGUGACGAUGUCUAGGUAUGGGUGAUGGUGGCUGUGAGUUGUGGAUGGCGAAUGGCAAUUUUAACUGCGGAUUGUGGUGGAUCAUGAAUGGCUGAACCUCGGUCGAUGAAAGAAAAGGGAAAAUAUUUGGCAAACAAAACGUUGUGUUUUUGCCUUUAAUGAAACGAUGCGUUUUGAGUUUUCGGAGUUUGACCCAUGGUUUGACCCGAUGCAAAUAUCAUUUUCAAUGUAUUUAUUAUUAUUUUUAUUUUUCAUGUGACUUAUCAAAUUUUGAUUUAAUGGUUAAUAAUUGUUUCAUAUUGCGUCAAAAAAGAGAGGCUCCCCGACAUGCCCUAUACCAACUAGUCUAAUUUUUCAUAAGCAUGUCGCUCAUGCGCUGCACCACAGUGUAAUGCAGCAAAAUCAAGAAAAAAAAAGUGAAAUAUGCUAUUUCUCUUUUAAGAAAAAUUCUCGAAUACAUAAGAGGUAACAUAAUUAAAUUUUUUUAUAUAAACACCAGUUAUAUAUUAGUUCUUCAAAAUAAAUGUACUUAUACUAUAAAAUUAUUUGUUUUUUAUAUAAAUGACAUAGUACUUUAAAAGAAUUCUAAAAUUUCUCUUGUGCCUCGCUUGUCAUUUUCAACUAUUAGUCAAUGAGAUGGCAUUUUACAUGCUGAUAUGGUGCCCCGCAGAAACUCUUUUGUUUUCAGAUUGAUGAUCCCAAGGAAAUGGCACAAAUAUCACUUCUAAUGGUAUUUUACAGUAAAGUCCGGCUGUACAGGAAUUCUCUUUCGACAAAGGCUUGUUUAUUCCCAAUAUUUUUAGGUUAAUGUCCUUUUAGUCAUUAUAUUUUAAAAAAAUUCUCAAAACAUCCCUACUGUUAAAUUAUUAACACCACUGUUAGGGUUACUUUUAAUUCUCUUUGGCUUACUUUUACAUAUUACUCUCUUACAAUAAUGUUUAUUUUUUGGACAUUAAUAAAAAAAAUUAGAUUAUCAAUUUAAUCCCAAAAAAUUAAUGUAGAAGACUCUACUAAGUUAUAUAUUAAAUUUUUUACUGAUGUCCAAAAAAAUUGGUAACUUAAUUUUUUUACAAUAUUAAUUUUUUUGACAUAUGUAAUCUUCUUGGAAAAUUAAUAUAUAUUAUUUUUAUUUUUAUUUUAUUUUUGUGGUUAAAUUAAUAAUUUAAUUUUUCCUUUUAAUUAAUGUCCAAAAAAAUCAUUGUAAGAGAGAUAAUAUUAUAAAAGUAAGCUAAAAAAAAAUAAUGACAGAUAUGUCAAUUGUUUAAUGACCAGGAGUUUUGAGUUAUUUUUAAAAAUAUAAGAACUCAAAAUAUAAGAAUUAAAUGAGUUUCGACACAUUCUUUUUAGUGCUCUAUGACUCUUAUGGAAGUAUAACUUUGAUUAUUAAACACACGCCUCUGCACGUUUUUGUUCACCGUAGGACUGCCAUAAACAAAUAUCGACAUCGUUGAUUAUUAUAAACACAUGCAUUGGCACGUUAGAAUUCCCUCAUGAAAAAAUAUGACUACUUUUUGCGUUCUGGUUUGGUUCAUAGUUCCUAUUUUUUAUCCUUGGCCGCGAGGCUCAUAUUCUUAUUGAUCCUAGAUCCACACACUCUUUUGUUUCCCGUACUUUUGCUAUGCACAUAGGGGGAGAGCCCGAACUAUUAGAUUGUGGUUUAGUUGUUCGUACACCUACCGGAAAGUCAUUACUUGCUGAGAGUGUGUAUCGAGAUUGUAUGAUUGGAAUGGUUGAACAUGAAUUUGAGGCGAAUUUAAUUUCCUUAGACAUUCAUGACUUUGAUGCUAUUUUGGGCAUGGAUUGGCUUGAAUCUCAUUAUGCUACAGUGGAUUGUUUCAAAAAGGAUGUUGUGUUUAAAAAGCCAGGGAAGACUGAGGUGAUAUUCUGUGGGGAGCGCAAAGUUCUACCUUCAUGUGUUAUAUCUGCCAUUAGUUCAAGACGGUUGCUAAGAAAAGGAUGCUCGGCUUAUUUAGCUCAUGUGAUAGAUACAGAAGCUCGAGAAUUGAGAUUGGAGGAUAUUGCAGUAGUCAAAGAAUUUCCAGAUGUAUUUCUAGACGAACUUCCUAGGAUGCCACCUAACAGGGAAGUUGAGUUUUCUAUUGACUUAGUCUCUGAAACAUCUCCUAUAUCUAUGGCACCAUACAGGAUGGCUCCAGUAGAGUUGAAGGAACUGAAGGUUCAAUUGCAAGAGUUGGUGGAGAAACGGUUUAUUAGACCUAGUGUGUCCCUGUGGGGAGCUCCAGUCUUGUUUGUUAAGAAAAAUGAUGGGACUUUUAGACUCUGCAUUGAUUACAGGCAGUUGAACAAAGUUACGGUACGCAAUAAGUAUCCACUUCCGCGUAUUGAUGACUUGCUUGAUCAACUCUAGGGGGUAAAAGUAUUUUCUAAGAUCGAUUUGCGCUUGGGUUACCAUCAGCUUAGAAUUAAAGAUGUUGACGUUCCUAAAACAGCAUUUAGAACUCGUUAUGGGCACUAUGAGUUCUUAGUGAUUCCAUUUGGGUUUACAAAUGCUCCAGCUGCUUUUAUGGAUCUCAUGAAUAGGGUAUUUCGCUCGUACCUGGAUCGGUUUGUGAUUGUAUUUAUUGAUGAUAUCUUGGUGUAUUCUCGAAGUGAGGAGGUGCAUGCAGAGUAUUUGCGGACUAUUUUACAGACUUUGAGACAGAAGCAGUUGUAUGCCAAGUUCAGCAAGUGCGAGUUCUGGUUGGACAGAGUAGUAUUUUUGGGCCAUGUGAUAUCAGCUGAAGGCAUUUAUGUCGAUCCUCAAAAGAUUGAAGCAGUUGUGCAAUGGGAACGACCUACAAAUGUCACAGAGGUUCGGAGUUUCCCUGGAUUAGCUGGUUACUAUCGUAGAUUUGUGGAGGGAUUCUCCAAGAUUGCUACUCCUCUGACACGGAUAACGAGAAAGAAUGCUAAAUUCCAGUGGGAUGAUGAUUGUGAAAAGAGUUUUCAAGAACUUAAGACACGUUUGACCUCAGCACUAGUUCUUACACUUCCAUCUGGUAAUGAAGGAUUUGUGGUUUACAGCGAUGCCUCUAGGCAGGGAUUGGGUUGUGUGUUGAUACAGCAUGGGAAAGUGGUGGCUUAUGCUUCUAGACAACUUAAGAAGCAUGAGCAAAACUACCCAACACAUGACUUAGAGCUAGCAGCAGUGGUGUUUGCACUCAAGACAUGGCGGCAUUACUUAUAUGGGGUAACGUGUCAGAUUUUCACUGAUCAUAAGAGCAUGAAGUAUUUGUUUACUCAGAAGGAGUUGAAUUUGAGACAGAUGAGGUGGAUCGAGCUGAUUAAGGACUACGAUUGCACUAUUGAUUAUCAUCCGGGCAAAACAAAUGUGGUAGCUGAUGCACUAAGUAGAAAGUCUCCCAACUCUAUUGCUCACUUGCGAGUGAAAUAUAUGCCUCUGUUGAUUGAGUUGAGAUCUUUGGGAAUCGAGUUGAACGCUGACAAUUGUGGAGCUUUGAUAGCUAAGUUUCGAGUUAGGCCGACUUUGAUUGACAAAGUUUACCAGAUGCAAGCUCAGGACCCACAGUUAAUGAAGUUGAAAAAGGAUGUGCAAAAAGGUUUACGAACCAAUUUUACGGUGAGAGGCAACGGAGUCUUAGUCAUGGGUAAUAGACCCUGUGUACCUGAUAUUAAAGAUCUAAAAGAAGAGAUUAUGGAAGAAGCUCAUUGUUCAGCAUAUGCGAUGCAUCCUGGUAGUACGAAGAUGUACCGCACCCUAAGGGAUCAUUAUUGGUGGCAGGGCAUGAAGAGAGAGAUAGCAUAAUUUGUUUCUCGAUGUUUAGUCUGUCAGUAGAUUAAGACUAAACACCAGAGGCCUGCAGGGUGUUCUCAGCCGCUUCCUAUUCCUGAGUGGAAGUGGGAGCACAUCACCAUGGAUUUUGUAGUAGGACUUCCACGUACUAAGAAAGGACAUGAUAGUGUUUGGGUGGUUGUUGAUCGACUUACAAAAUCUGCUCACUUCUUACCAUUCAAAAUCACCUAUUCGAUGGACAAGUUAGGGAGUAUUUAUGUGGCUGAGAUAGUUCGACUUCAUAGAGUACCUGUGUCCAUAAUCUCAGAUAGAGAUUUUCGGUUUACUUCUAAGUUCUGGACCAGCUUGCAAAAUGCUUUAGGCACCAAGUUGAACUUUAGUACAGCUUUUCAUCCACAGACUGAUAGACAGUCAGAGCGUACUAUUCAAACUCUGGAAGAUAUGUUGCGAGCUUGUGUUAUGGAGUUUAAAGGUAAUUGGGACAAUCAUUUACCUCUGAUGGAGUUUUCUUACAACAACAGCUAUCAAGCUAGUAUUGAGAUGGCACCAUAUGAGGCUUUGUAUGGUAGAAAAUGUAGGACUCCAGUAUGUUGGGAUGAGGUUGGUGAACGGAGGUUAUUCGGUCCAGAACUAAUCCAGGAUACUAAUGAGAAGAUACAAUUGAUCCGGGAUAGAUUAAAAGUGGCCCAAGAUAGACAGAAGAGCUAUGCAGACAAGCGUAGACGGGAACUUGAAUUCGAAGUUGGUGAUAGAGUUUUCAUACGGAUAUCUCCUUGGAAAGGGGUGCUUCGAUUUAGGAAACGUGGGAAGCUAAGUCCACGUUACAUUGGGCCAUAUGAGAUCAUUGAGCGCAUCGGUCCAUUAGCUUAUCGAUUAGCUCUACCACCCGAGUUAUCCAGAAUCCACGAUGUGUUUCAUGUCUCAAUGCUUCAGAAGUACAUAUAUGACCUGAGUCAUAUGUUAUCGAAGCAGCCAAUUCAGUUGAAAGAAGAUUUGACUUACAAAGAGGAACCAGUGGAGGUACUGGAAGAUAAACACCAAGUUCUGCGUUCUAAGACCAUUCCUCUAGUAAAAGUACGGUGGAGGAAUCAUACAAAGGAAGAGACUACCUGGGAACACGAGGACUUAAUGCGAGCUCAGUAUCCCUAUCUUUUCUUAUUAGGUACGUAAAUUUCGAGGAUGAAAUUUUUAUAAGGGGGGAGGAUUGUAACAUAUGUGAAUUAAAAAUGAAUAAAAAGAGGCGGUUAAGAAGUUAACAAAAGAAGAAGCUGGAAAACAAAGCAAAACAGAGCCACACGUGUGUGAGAGAGUGAGAGAGAGAAGCUGUCAACUAGACCCGAAAACCUGACCCGGAACCUGCGAACGUGACCCGGCCAUAUCUCCCAUUUCCGGCCACUGUUUCGGCCGAGCUUGGUACCAAUUUGAAGCUUAGAAGUCGGCCGUUGUUCCCCUGCCAUCCUCGUCGCCGAAAAGCAACCGGAACACCGGCAAUCGAGGCUUGGAAACCCGCGACUGUUUCGCUUUGUUCCGCUAGGAUUUUCACCGAUUUUGGGUGACACCACCAGUUGGAUUUUUGUUCCCCGCGACUCCCUCUUCCAUUUCCGACCAUCCACUGCCGCCCGGGACAUCGUUUUGCCGUUGAUCGGUCGUUGAAAGACUUACGGCUUUGGGAGCUCGAUCCGGGGCCAUCGCCGCGUGUGGGAGGUCACCACCACCACCGUUGCACUCAGUGUGGCUAGAACUUUCAGACUUGAGUUUUUCGGCCAGCAUUGACCAAAUUCCGGUGAUUGUUUAUCGGCAAGGGCAUUUCGAUAAUUUCACACUCUGAGGGCAAUUUUAUAAUUUCUGAGCCUGUGGAUAUUUUAGUAAUUCCUAGAAUUGAGGAUUGGGUGUAAUUACGAUUUUGAUGGUAAUUCGGUGAUUUACAAUUUUAGAGUAUUUUAAUAAUUUACGAACUCGAGGGUAUUUUAGUAAUUUUAUCGACGCGGGAGUUGUAAAUUAUGGAUAGAUGUUCGUUUCGAGUUUAUUGCAUAAAUUUAGUCUUAAUUCAGAUUUACGAAAAAUAAUUAUGUCAUUUCCUUGAUUUAGGAGGAUCCGCGAGCGAGAACCGGUCCGCGGACGUGGACGAUAACCGAACGUGAACACCGUUACUGUGAGUGGAAUAUACAAAACCUAUUUUCAUAGUUAAUUAUGAUAGUAAUGCAUGUUUGCGAAAUAAGUAUUUUAAAUGUUAUGAUUUAAUGAUUUCUCGAAAUGGAUUUUAUUCACGCAUUGAUGUUAUAUUAAAAUAUUUGGUUAAUGAUUUUUGUAUCGACUUUGAAUAAAGCAUGAUAAUAUUUUAAAGAUAAGAAAAAUGGAUUCAAAUGUGGUAUGAUUUAAAGUAUGGUUAAAAGGUAUGUGAAUAUGAGUAUAAUGAUUGUUUUUAAAAUCAUUAGACAGUACCCUUCCCCUCUAGAUACAAUGAUGCAGAUGAUAUGAAAUGAGAGGCCUUUGGGGCCCGUCUGAACACACAUAGAGGCUUUGGGCCAUGUGUUUGGGCGCUUUUGCCUUUUGGGGGCAUAUGCAUGAGGUAUGAUGAUUACAAAGAUACAGAUAUGAGAUACAGACAGAUAUUGAGAUACAGGCCUUUGGGGCCCGUCUGAGCACACACAGAGGCUUUGGGCCGUGUGCUUGGGCGCUUUUAUCCUUUGGGGACUAGAUUAUGCAUGCACAUAUAUGAUGAGAUAUGAGAUGGUAUUUCCCUGUCUAUCCGUGUAGCUCCAAGGCGUGACGGUACCCAGAUAGUACGUCAUUGCCCGUCCGUUGAGGUCCAGAUAUGAUGAGAUUAUUUCCCUGGGUACUUGUUUGGUGAUGAUUUUCAGAUUUGUGUAUCCUAUAUGAUAUUGUGAUAUGAUUUCCAUGGUUAUUAAUCUGAUUUAAAUGUUAAAUGAUUUAUUACUGGUUUCUCGCAUAUGAUUUGAUGAAAUCGUGUUUGGAAAUGAUAUGAUUAUCUCUUUUAAAGUGCUAUCCACUCACUAAUCUCACUGAGUUUUAAACUCACCCCUUUUUUUAUUAUAUUUCCCCCCCCCUCACCAGGAGGUUGCAGGUACACCAGACCGACCCAGCGAUUGUAAAUAGAUUUUGAGUCUUGGCCACGUGAUGGUGUUAGAAGAUAUAAAUGUUUUUGUUAGGACAUCUUGGUUAUCUCGUCCUGUUGGGAUUGUAUAAUUUUGUUAUAUUAUUCUUUUGGGAUUAAGAAUAAACUGAGAUAUUAAUAUUAGUUAUAAUAUUAUCUUUUGAGACUCUGGAGAUAUAAAACUCAGCAUUUUGGUUGAGGAUGUUGAUCACUGGAGUUUGUUGUAUAUUGAAUUAUAUUGGGAGUGUUAUAUUCAUAUUUGUAGAUUGAGAGUGUUAUAUAUAUAAAGGAGACUCUGCCGAAUUUUCGGUAGAAUCCUUACUAAUUAGAUUAUUAUUAAGUCUGUUUUGAUGUGAUUAGAUUGACUCGCCCGGGGGGAUUCAGGGCGGGUCGUUUCAUACGGUUUCCCCUAUCACGCUAUAAGCUACCAUAUCUCUGAUAUGUGUUAAAACUCUAAUAUUUGACUGCAUAGACAGUUAAUCGAAGAAAAAGAAAAGAAAGGGGAGGGGGGGUGGUGUUGGAAAAGAAAGAAAUCAGACAGAUUAAAAAGAUCUAGCAUUGAAGGUGACAAAAUUCUACUAUACUUGGAAAUUAUGAAUUUACCCUUCAUCUUCAACCUCCCAAGGCUUCCAACGUAGGUCUUUAACUUCCAAAAGACAGUUUAUUGCUACGGGCAGGUAAGCAUUUGGUUCAUGAGAAAAUUUGUCAAUAAAGUGUAAUAAAGCUGUAUUAGAGUUGUUGCAAGAAUGUUGUUGUCUAGAGACCUACCUACCUAUCAUUUCUCUCCCCUUGGAUGAGAGAGUGAUUCGAUUCACUUAUUAUUAGUAUUUUUUUUCCUUGAUAAGAGUAGCUUGGAUCCGCUUAUUAAUCAGCCUAAAUCUCGAAUUAUAGUCCCAAUUAUUCGUAAAUGCCAGAUCAGGUAAGUUAUUAAUCAUUACCAAAAAAAAAAAUGAAAUAUUGAGAUCCCUAGUUUUAUUAUUCUAAUUAUUAGUUGUUCCUAUUAUUACUAUCGCUAGCUGGCAAUAAGCUGUCAAUUUCCUAUAAGCAAACAAGACGGUCGUUGAGCGUACUUGUAAGGAUACUGACGCCUCUGUGGUUUAGUAAAGGAACAUGGAGACUCUCGUCGUAUUUUCAAAAAUGGUAUACAGACCUCAUUUUAGACAAACAAAAGAAGUUUUUUUUUUUUUUUUUUUUUUUUUUUAAAGGCAAACUUUGGGGUUCAAUGUGAGACGGUGAUUGUUUUUUAACACAAAAGAUAUUUAAAAAAGUACGUCCCGAAUAAUUGCUAUUUGUGGAGGCUCGUCCUACACGUUUACAAGAAAUUGUUAGAACUUGUAGAAAAGGACGAAAUCUCUAGUCAUGGAGAGCAUUGCCAUUUAUGGCUCAAUGUCCAAAAUGAAUUUAGUGAUUCAACUGAGAAUGAUACUUUAGACUUUUGUAAUUUCAGCAUUUAUUUUUUGAUUUAUUGAUUUCAUCAAUAAUACUGGGAAUUCCAUGCUUUUGACUUUCAAAUGGAGUCUCAAUCAUGUGGUAGGUCGUAAAAACUUUUAUUCUUUUUCUGUAAUAGAUAAUUUGACUCUCGUACAAUAAUAAAGAUCCCAAAAUGUACAUUAUUAGUCACAUAUAUUUCUAUUAUUGAUCAAUAUGAGGAUCAAUAAAAGAUGCUUUACUUGAAUUAGAAGAAAUUAGUGAAAAUUCUAAAAUAAAUAGUGAAGUUAAGUGUUUAGCAACGUAUGAAUUAAAAGAUUUUGAAUUCAUAUUAGGUGUGAUUAUUUAGUUUGAUAGUAUUUGUUGUUAUUAUUUGCUGUAAGUAAGAUCUUGCAAAAAGAAGAUGUGCGUAUUGAUAUUGCCAUAGACCAGCUUAAAGGUUUUUUUAUUUUUCCCUUUGAAAGCCAUAGAGAAAAUGGAUUCACAUCUAUUAUGAUUUUAGCAAAAGAUAUUGCAAGUGAAAUGGAAAUAGAACCUAGAUUUCAUGAGAAAAGUAUAAUUCACAGAAAAAAAAAUAAAUUUGAUGAAAAUGUUAGUGAACAGGGAAUUUUGUCUCUUGAAGAGUCUUCUAGAAUUAAUUAUUUUGUAUAUAUAGUAGAUCAAGCUAUUUCAUCAAUAAGAAUAGAUUUGAAUAAUUUCAAAUGUAUGAUAAUAUGUUUGGAUUUUUGUUUAAUUUCAAAAAAUUACAAUUGUUAAGUGACUAUGUUUUAAAAACUUAUUGUGUUAAUCUCAAAAAUGCUUUAAAACAUGAUACACUAUCUGACAUAGAUGGUUUAGAUUUGUCUUAAGAGUUGAGAAUUUUAAACGAAGUUUUUCCAGGUGAAAAAAUACUACUUAAUUAUUUAAAAAAAUUGAUUCUGUCCGAAAUGCAUAUAUUGCUCAUAGAAUAUUGUUAACAAUAUUAGUAGCAGUUGCUUCUGCAGAAAGAAGUUUUUUAAAAUUAAAAUUAAUAAAAACUUAUUCAAGAUUAACAAUGUUGCAAGAAAGGUCAGCUGAAUUAGCUAUAUUGUUUAUUAAGAAAAAUAUAUUAGUAAAAUUAGAAUAUAAAAAUUUGGUUAAUAAUUUCGAACCUCAAAAAAUUAAAAAAAUUAGCUUUAAAAAUUAUAAUUUUGCAAAAUUUUAAUAAAAAUAACUGAAUUUAUUUAUUAAAAAUAUAAUUUGCAAAUUUUUAUUAAAAUAAUUGAAUUUAUUUAUUAAAAAAUAAAUCCAAAAAUUUAAAUAAUUUAGGGGAUUUUUAUUAAAUUCAAAAAUUUUGCAAUUAUUUUUAUAAUUAUAUUUUUAUUAAUAUAAUUGUUAGUAAAAAAUAAAAACUUUAAUUUUGGGAUUUAUGUUUUAUUAAAUUUAGGGGUAUUUUAUGAUUAUAAUUUUUUUAUUUCUAAAAAUUUUUUAAAAUAAAAUGAUCUUUUAAUUUUUUAGAGGUAAACUUGUUAUUUCGUUUAAAUUAUGUAACAGUGUUAAUGCAAAAGUAGCUAAUUGAUACAAAUUUAAAAAGAAAGGUGGUGCAGAGAACAUGUUAAAAUUUUGUUGUGAUUGGAUGAACAUAAGACAAAAUAAAGGUGGUGCAAUUUCAAAAACUACUAUCCACUCACUGAUCUCACCGAGUUUUAAACUCACCCCAUUUUUUAUUAUAUUUCCCCCACCCCCCCCCCCCUCACCAGGAGGUUGCAGGUACACCAGACCGACCCAGCAAUUGUAAAUAGAUUUUGAGUCUUGGCCACAUGAUGGUGUUAGAAGAUAUAAAUGUUUUUGUUAGGACAUCUUGGUUAUCUCGUCCUGUUGGGAUUGUAUAAUUUUGUUAUAUUAUUCUUUUGGGAUAAACUGAGAUAUUAAUAUUAGUUAUAAUAUUAUCUUUUGAGACUCUGGAGAUAUAAAACUCAGCAUUUUGGUUGAGGAUAUUGAUCACUGGAGUUUGUUGUAUAUUGAAUUAUAUUGGGAGUGUUAUAUUCAUAUUUGUAGAUUGGGAGUGUUAUAUAUAUAAAGAAGACUCUGCCGAAUUUUCGGCAGAAUCCUUACUAAUUAGAUUAUUAUCAAGUCUGUUUUGAUGUGAUUAGAUUGACUCGCCCGGGGGGAUUUAGGGCGGGUCGUUUCAUACGGUUUCCCCUAUCACGCUAUAACCUACCAUAUCUCUGAUAUGUGUUAAAACUCUAAUAUUUGACUGCAUAGACAGUUAAUCGACGAAAAAGAAAAGAAAGGGGGGGGGGGGGGUGGUGUUGGAAAAGAAAGAAAUCAGACAGAUUAAAAAGAUCUAGCAUUGAAGGUGACAAAAUUCUACUAUACUUGGAAAUUAUGAAUUUACCCUUCAUCUUCAACCUCCCAAGGCUUCCAACGUAGGUCUUUAACUUCCAAAAGACAGUUUAUUGCUACGCGCAGGUAAGCAUUUGGUUCAUGAGAAAAUUUGUCAAUAAAGUGUAAUAAAGCUGUAUUAGAGUUGUUGCAAGAAUGUUGUUGUCUAGAGACCUACCUACCUAUCAUUUCUCUCCCCUUGGAUGAGAGAGUGAUUGGAUUCACUUAUUUUUUUUCCUUGAUAAGAGUAGCUUGGAUCCGCUUAUUAAUCAGCCUAAAUCUCGAAUUAUAGUCCCAAUUAUUCGUAAAUGCCAGAUCAGGUAAGUUAUUAAUCAUUACCAAAAAAAAAAUGAAAUAUUGAGAUCCCUAGUUUUAUUAUUCUAAUUAUUAGUUGUUCCUAUUAUUACUAUCGCUAGCUGGCAAUAAGCUGUCAAUUUCCUAUAAGCAAACAAGACGGUCGUUGAGCGUACUUGUAAGGAUACUGACGCCUCUGUGGUUUAGUAAAGGAACAUGGAGACUCUCGUCGUAUUUUCAAAAAUGGUAUACAGACCUCAUUUUAGACAAACAAAAGAAGUUUUUUUUUUAUUUUUAUUUUUUUAAAGGCAAACUUUGGGGUUCAAUGUGAGACGGUGAUUGUUUUUUAACACAAAAGAUAUUUAAAAAAGUACGUCCCGAAUAAUUGCUAUUUGUGGAGGCUCGUCCUACACGUUUACAAGAAAUUGUUAGAACUUGUAGAAAAGGACGAAAUCUCUAGUCAUGGAGAGCAUUGCCAUUUAUGGCUCAAUGUCCAAAAUGAAUUUAGUGAUUCAACUGAGAAUGAUACUUUAGACUUUUGUAAUUUCAGCAUUUAUUUUUUGAUUUAUUGAUUUCAUCAAUAAUACUGGGAAUUCCAUGCUUUUGACUUUCGAAUGGAGUCUCAAUCAUGUGGUAGGUCGUAAAAACUUUUAUUCUUUUUCUGUAAUAGAUAAUUUGUCUCUCGUACAAUAAUAAAGAUCCCAAAAUGUACAUUAUUAUUCACAUAUAUUUCUAUUAUUGAUCAAUAUGAGGAUCAAUAAAAGAUGCUUUACUUGAAUUAGAAGAAAUUAGUGAAAAUUCUAAAAUAAAUAGUGAAGCUAAGUGUUUAGCAAUGUAUGAAUUAAAAGAUUUUGAAUUCAUAUUAGGUGUGAUUAUUUAGUUUGAUAUUAUUUGUUGUUAUUAUUUGCUGUAAGUAAGAUCUUGCAAAAAGAAGAUGUGCGUAUUGAUAUUGCCAUAGACCAGCUUAAAGGUUUUUUUAUUUUUCCCUUUGAAAGCCAUAGAGAAAAUGGAUUCACAUCUAUUAUGAUUUCAGCAAAAGAUAUUGCAAGUGAAAUGGAAAUAGAACCUAGAUUUCAUGAGAAAAGUAUAAUUCGCAGAAAAAAAAAUAAAUUUGAUGAAAAUGUUAGUGAACAGGGAAUUUUGUCUCUUGAAGAGUCUUCUAGAAUUAAUUAUUUUGUAUAUAUAGUAGAUCAAGCUAUUUCAUCAAUAAGAAUAGAUUUGAAUAAUUUCAAAUGUAUGAUAAUAUGUUUGGAUUUUUGUUUAAUUUCAAAAAAUUACAAUUGUUAAGUGACUAUGUUUUAAAAACUUAUUGUGUUAAUCUCAAAAAUGCUUUAAAACAUGAUACACUAUCUGACAUAGAUGGUUUAGAUUUGUCUUAAGAGUUGAGAAUUUUAAACGAAGUUUUUCCAGGUGAAAAAAUACUACUUAAUUAUUUAAAAAAAUUGUUUCUUUCCGAAAUGCAUAUAUUGCUCAUAGAAUAUUGUUAACAAUAUUAGUAGCAGUUGCUUCUGCAGAAAGAAGUUUUUUAAAAUUAAAAUUAAUAAAAACUUAUUUAAUAUUUACAAUGUUGCAAGAAAGGUCAGCUGAAUUAGCUAUAUUGUUUAUUAAGAAAAAUAUAUUAGUAAAAUUAGAAUAUAAAAAUUUGGUUAAUAAUUUCGAACCUCAAAAAAUUAAAAAAAUUAGCUUUAAAAAUUAUAAUUUUGCAAAAUUUUAAUAAAAAUAACUGAAUUUAUUUAUUAAAAAUAUAAUUUGCAAAUUUUUAUUAAAAUAAUUGAAUUUAUUUAUUAAAAAAUAAAUCCAAAAAUUUAAAUAAUUUAGGGGAUUUUUAUUAAAUUCAAAAAUUUUGCAAUUAUUUUUAUAAUUAUAUUUUUAUUAAUAUAAUUUUUAGUAAAAAAUAAAAACUUUAAUUUUGGGAUUUAUGUUUUAUUAAAUUUAGGGGUAUUUUAUGAUUAUAAUUUUUUAUUUUUUAAAAUUUUUUAAAAUAAAAUGAUCUUUUAAUUUUUUAGAGGUAAACUUGUUAUUUCGUUUAAAUUAUUUAACAGUGUUAAUACAAAAGUGGCUAAUUGAUACAAAUUUAAAAAGAAAUGUGGUGCAGAGAACAUGUUAAAAUUUUGUAGUGGUUGGAUGAACAUAAGACAAAAUAAAGUUGGUGCAAUGAUAAAUUUCUUUUUUAAAAAAAAAAAUACAAUCCAUAAUGCAAUUUUCUCCUAUAAAAAUUAUACUGCAUAAGUGAGGCUAAAAAAAUAAAAUAUUAGAUAAAUGAACUUUGUGAAUGCUACCAGUCAGGUUGCAUAAAUAAUGCAAAUGUUGAUCGGUCAACACCAUAAGCCUCCUCUCCUCUUGGCGCCUACCAGAAAACAAGAGAUUAAAUAUUGUAAUCGAAAUUGGAUCUAAAAUUUAGAACAUAAGAAAUUUAUAGCCUUAUCAUGAUUGUGUCUAUAGAAGUUAAAUCAUUGGAAAAACCUAGAUUAUUCCUACACACUCUGUAAUGAACUUAACUUUGUUGAAGCUAUCAUUUUGGAAAACAUGGUUGAACCUAUUUCAAUGUCAUGUUUCAGAAGUAAGAACUUGAGAAAGAGGAAUAAUUAAGCGAACAACAUAUUCAAAAAAUUUACUCUUUUCCCACUAAUUUAAUUCAGGGUCUUCUUAAUUUUCUAAUUAAAAUCUACAUGUCAAAUGCAAUUUACAUGAAUUACGCCUAAUUAUAUUUCUACAUUGCCAGGUGCGAACACCUAAAUCGUCCCCAUUUUGCCAUAAUCUAAAAAAGCUAAAGAUUGAAGCAUUACCUUAGGCUGUGAUAACUGUGCUGCCUUGUGAAUGGCUAUCACUGUUGUGUGAUGGCUGUUGGUGGUGGCGGCGACGAUGGCUGGGUAUGGGUGAUGGUGGCUGUGAGUUGUGGAUGGCGAAUGGCAAUUUCAGAUGUGAAUUGCGGUGGAUCGUGAAUGGCUGGACCUCGGUCAAUGAAGGAAAAGAGAAAAUAUUUGGCAAACAAAACGCUGCGUUUUGCCUGUGCGUUUUGAUUUUUCGAAGUUUGACCCAGGAUUUGACUCGAUGCAAAUAUCAUUUUCAAUUUAUUUAUUAUUAUUUUUAUUUUUCAUGAGACUUAUCAAAUUGUGAUUUAAUGGUUAAUAGUUGUUUCAUAUUGUGUCAAAAAAGAGAGGCUCCCCGAAUAAGCCUCGCACCAACUAGUCGAAGUUUGUAUGCGCAUGUGCUUAUGUAUUGCACACUGAAUCAUUGUGUCAAAAAGGAGAGGCUCUGACUCCCUAACAUGCCCUGUACCAACUAGUCUAAUUUUUCAUAAGCAUGUAGCUCAUGCGCUGCACCACAGUGUAAUGCAUCAAAAUCAAGAAAAAAAAGGUGAAAUAUGCUAUUUCUCUUUUAAGAGAAAUUCUAAAAUAUAUAAGAGGUAAUAUAAUUAAAUUUUUUAUAUAAGCACCAGUUAUAUGUUGGUUCUUCAAACUAAAUGUACUUAUACUAUAAAAUUAUUUAGUUAUUGUAUAAAUGACAUGGUACAUUAAAAGAAUUCUAAAAUUUCUCUUUCUGCCCCCCUUGUCAUUUUCAACUAUUAGUCAAUGAGAUGGCAUUUUACAUGCUGAUAUGUUGCCUAGCAGAAACUCUUAUGUUUCGAGAUUGAUGAUCCCAAGAAAAUGGCACAAAUAUCUCUUCUAAUGGUAUUUUACAGGUUGUUGACCAAAAGUUGCAUGUGUUUUGGAAGACCAAUGGUAUUUGCAUUUUGUUUGCAAAUUCUAGUAAAGUCCGGCUGUACAAGAAUUCUCUUUGGACAAAAGCUCGUUUAUUUCUAAUAUUUUUAGGUUAAUGUUCUUUUAAUCACUAUAUUUUAAAAAAUUCCUCAAAACAUCCCUAUUGUUAAAUUAUUGACACCAUUGUUAGGGUUACUUUUUGUUCUCAUAUAAUAAUGUUUAUUUUUUGGACAUUAAUAAAAAAAUUAGAUUAUCAAUUUAAUCCCAAAAAUUUAAUGUGGAAGACUCUACUAAGUUAAUAUAUUAAAAUUUUUACUGAUGUCCAAAAAAAUUGGUAAUUUAAUUUUUUUACAAUAUUAAUUUUUUGACAUACAUAAUCUUCUUAGAAAAUUAAUAUAUAUUAUUUGUUUAUUAUUUUUUUGCGGCUAAAUUAAUAAUUUAAAUUUUAUUUUUAAUUAAUGUCCAAAAAAAUUAUUGUAAGAGAGAUAAUAUUAUAAAAGCAAGCUAAAAAGAAAAAAAUAACGACAGAUAUGUCAAUUGUUUAACAACCAAGAAUUUUGAGUUAUUUUUAAAAAUAUAAGAACUCAAAAUAUAAGAAUUAAACGAGUUUUGACACAUUCUUUUUAGUGCUCUAUGACUCUUAUGGAAGUAUAACUUUGAUUAUUAAACACAUGCUUCUGCACGUUUCUGUUCACCGUAGGACUGCCAUGAACAAAUAUCGACAUCGUUGAUUAUUAUAAACACAUGCAUUUGGCACGUUAGAAUUCCCUCAUGAAAAAAUAUGACUACUUUUUGCGUUCUGGUUUGGUUCAUAGUUCCUAUUUUUGAUCCUUAAUUUUUAUGACUUCGACAAUUAAUUUCUGUAGUUGAAGUAAUAUUAAAUUGUACUAUAUAUGUACACACACACACUUGCUUAUUACUGCGGAGGACUUGGGAUGUUUUAUUUGUAUGGAUUAAUCUUAACAUAAUUCUGAAGUGGUUUUAGUUACUGCAAGAAAUUGAACGAAUUAAAUUAAAAAUUUAAAGAAAUAAAUAAUAGUUUUUAUUUUGCGACAUAUUAUAAUGAAAAAGAUCAUCUACUUGUGUUGGCUUUGUUUAGUUUUAAAAAGCUUAUGUCACUUAAAGUCAUCUAUAUUAUUAAUCAUUUAUACUUUCUAUUGUUUUUAUCUUUACAAUCAACCUCCGAAUGCACAUUACUGUAUUGUCAACAUGCUCCAAGAAAAUAAGGUUUAGACAACAUGACUAUAACAACGUGUUAGAGUGUUCAAUCUAUUCAAUUCAUUUGAUCUGUAAAAAUCCCCUCGAUAAAAAUCCAAUCCAUGAAUUGACAGAUUAGAUGGAUUGAAAAAUUUUAAAAUCCACAAUUGAUGAAAUGGAUUUGCUUCUCCAAAUCCCUGAAAAUCAGCAAAUCCGUGUGUGUAUAUAAUUUAAAGAAUUUAAAAUUUAAAAAUGUUAUACUACUAGUAAAUAGGUUAAAAUCUAGUUAGGGUGGACGUUGACAACAAUUAAUUAUAUAAGCUUUCAAAUUUCAACUUUUGUAUUGAUUUAAUUCUAAAACUUAAGUUGAUUUUCUUCCACUGAUCUAGAAACAUCAGGAUUUUUUAUUUUGGUGUGCUAAAGUUCGAAACUUUGAAUGGCAUCCUUAAAAAACGAAUGGUCUUUCAGUAGUUGUCGUCGUGUGUCAUCACCUCCAACCUAUCCUACACCGAAGCUGAAACCAACUACUCCAGUGUUUUCAUAGUUUUUUAUUUAAGAGAGAAUAGGGAGUAAAGCUGAAAUGGUAUAUGGCUUCCGGAUUAUAUUUGUUUCAAAACGUAUGUUGAUUGAUUUAAUAGAUGUUGGGGUGGCGGUAUAAAGACCCUAUUAACAUAGCAUACCUAAACCCGUAUUUAAACUAUUGAUUUAUUUAGAUCUUGUUUAAAUUUGAAUUUGAUUGGCAUGCAGUAAAAUUAUUUUUAUAAUUAAAAUUUUUAUUUAAUUAUUUUAUGAAUUGAAUAGAAAGAAAUUUUUUUUAAUCCGUAUUGAAUUCGCAAAAGUGGAAUGAAUAUGGAUUAUAUCAAAUCCACUUCUAAUCUGAAGAAUUAUGAAUUGAAUUUAGAUUAAUUUUACUAAUUCAUGGAUUGAAUGGGAUUAAAAAUUUAUAACGAUUUUACACUAGUUGUCAAUUAUUAGAAUUUUUUCACAACGCGCUUUUGUAGAAUGUUGUGAGAUUGAACAUCUAUUGAAGAGUUUUUAACAACAUUCUUUCGCUUGUUGUCAAAUAUUAAAAUUAUUUUACAACACACAUUCACCAACCGCUGUUAAAUGGAAGUUUUUUGAAAUUAUUACAAAUUAUCACAAUCUACAAUAUAUUAAAAUCCAUUAUCUCCAAUCAACUUUUUGUUGAUAAUCAUUUUAAAAUUUAUUAAUUUGUUUUCCGCAAAAGUACUUUAUAACUGUAACAGAUAGAAUUUCGAUGUUAGUGCUCAACAUUAAGAUAUUGUUUGCAACUUUGUAUGCCUUUUUUUUUUCCUUAAAUUUACUUUGUAUAUUCUUAUUUCUACAUAAAACAAGAUUUUAAUGUAAUAAAUAGAACUUUUAUUAGUAGAAUUGAAUUUAUGAAUUUCUUGUCAUUUCUGCGUGCAUUUAUUGUGUAGUUUAUUGAAAGACUCUUUAAAAAAUUUGUAUGCAGGAAAAAAAAAGAUAAAUAAAUAAAGAUUAUACAACAUUCAUCGGAAUGUAUGGAUGAUGUAUGUGUCUUCUGGUACAAUAUUGACCUCGUUCGCACAGUAUGAUGUACUCCUUUUUUUUUCCCCCCAAAUGAAUAAAAUAAUUUUGUACUAUUAAGACUUAAAAAUUAAACGCUUUCAAAACUCAAAUGAGUACGAAAAGUAAAUCACAUGAACUUCUCCUCUGCCUAUAUAUAUAUAUAACCUCGUACAUCACCACAAACCAUAGAUUAAUUUGAGAAUCUUUGCCAAGUAUAACUGUAAGCUAGCUUACUCUACAUCUAUAUAUCCAAUGUCUUCUUGCAUUAAUGCCUCAACCUUGGUUACCUCUGUAAAUGGUUUCAAAUGUCUUCCUCUUACAACAAAUAAAGCAGCCAUCAGAAUCAUGGCCAAAAAUAAGCCAGUCCAAUGCCUUGUCAGCGCCAAAUAUGAUAAUUUGACAGUUGAUAGGAGAUCAGCAAACUACCAACCUUCAAUUUGGGACCAUGAUUUUUUGCAGUCACUGAAUAGCAAGUAUACGGUAUUGAUUAUUAUUAUUAUUAUUAUUAUUACGCAUUAAUUUCCUUUGUUCAUUUCAAAUUGGGCCCAUGAAUAACUAAAAACUAAAUGCUGUGCGUGUACAGGAUGAAGCAUACAAAAGACGAGCAGAAGAGCUGAAGGGAAAAGUGAAGAUAGCGAUUAAGGAUGUAAUCGAGCCUCUGGAUCAGUUGGAGCUGAUUGAUAACUUGCAAAGACUUGGAUUGGCUCAUCGUUUUGAGACUGAGAUUAGGAACAUAUUGAAUAAUAUCUACAACAAUAAUAAAGAUUAUAAUUGGAGAAAAGAAAAUCUGUAUGCAACCUCCCUUGAAUUCAGACUACUUAGACAACAUGGCUAUCCUGUUUCUCAAGGUACAUUUCAUUAAUUCGCUUCCUUCUUCAUGCACAUGCAUGAUCUGAAUACUUGAAUCGAUCUCUCCGUUUUUUUUUUCUUUUUUUUUUAAAUGUAAAGAAAUGGACGAAACCCAAAUCAGUUUUUUUUCUCUAUCUGUCUAAUUAAUAGAUGGAUCAAAAAUUUUGACGAAUGUAACGUUUUUUGGUUGAGUGCUGCAGAGGUUUUCAAUGGUUUAAAAGACGGCCAGGGAGGCUUCAUUUGUGAUGAUUUCAAGGGAAUACUGAGCUUGCACGAAGCCUCGUAUUACAGCUUAGAAGGAGAAAGCAUCAUGGAGGAGGCCUGGCAAUUUACCAGUAAACAUCUUAAAGAAGUGGUGAUCAGCAAGAGCAAGGAAGAGCAUGUAUUUGUAGCAGAACAAGCGAAGCGUGCACUAGAGCUCCCUCUGCAUUGGAAAGUGCCAAUGUUAGAGGCAAGGUGGUUCAUACACGUUUAUGAGAAAAGAGAGGACAAGAACCACCUUUUACUUGAGCUCGCUAAGUUGGAGUUUAACACUUUGCAGGCAAUUUACCAGGAAGAACUUAAAGACAUUUCAGGGUAUCCAUUUGAUUGCAUAACUCAUAUAUAUAUAGACAGACACACACACACACACACACAUCAAAGAUUUGAUUUUAUAAUUUACAUAACUUGUACAAUUUAAUCACAUGUAUAUUAAAUUAUUCUUAGGUGCAAACUCCGCCUUUUACAGAAGUUUAAAGGCAUGAGCUGUACUUUAUAUAGUGCAGACAUUGCGCCAGAGUAUGACUCUAUAUAUCGGUGUAUUGUAAAGCCUUUAUACACUUUAUAAAGUGCUAUUGUCUGCAUUACAGAAAGACUCUUCAGAAUUCCAGAUUGAAAGCUGACUCUAUAUAUAUAGAUAUAUAUAACAUGUAUCGUAAUAUUCGUUUCAAUUUCCCUAUGAAGGUGGUGGAAGGAUACAGGUCUUGGAGAGAAAUUGAGCUUUGCGAGGGACAGCUUGGUAGCAUCCUUCUUAUGGAGCAUGGGGAUAGGGUCUGAGCCUCAAUUCGCCUAUUGCAGGAGAAUAGUCACAAUUGCAAUAGCUCUAAUUACAGUGAUUGAUGACAUUUAUGAUGUUUAUGGAACUUUGGACGAACUUGAGCUAUUCACUGCUGCUGUUGAGAGGUUUGUUGGCAAACUAAUGUUAUAUUUAAUCGAUUGAUUCAAUUGCAAGCUAGCUGCCUGCUACUUCUCAAAUUAGUAGACCAUUUAUAAUUUUUUUUUUUUCUCUUUUCUACAGGUGGGACAUCCAUUAUGCUUUGAACCACCUUCCGGACUACAUGAAAUUGUGUUUUUUUUGCGCUUUACAACUUUGUUAAUGAAUUUGCUUAUUACGUACUCAAACAACAGGAUUUUGAUAUGCUUCGGAGUAUUAAAAAUUCAGUAUGUAAAAUGUUAAUUUCACCUCUCCCGCCGUUCCGUUCCUUUGAUUUAUCCUUUUUAAAUUACUAUGCUUUUGUCUCAAAAGUAAUAAAUUGUAACUAGCUUUAUUUUCUAUGUCAUGUGCAUCAGUGGCUGGGCUUACUACAAGCCUGCUUAGUGGAGGCAAAAUGGUACCAUAGUAAGUACACGCCAACGCUGGGAGAAUUCUUGGAAAAUGGAUUGGUAUCAAUAGGAGGCCCUAUGGGUACAAUGACUGCAUACCUUUCUGGGACAAAUCCAAUCAUUGAGAAGGAACUAGAAUUUUUAGAAAGUAAUCAAGAUAUAAUUCACUGGUCGUGCAAGAUUUUUCGUCUUCAGGAUGAUUUGGGAACUUCGUCGGUAUGUUUUCUUUUAUUUUCUUUUGAUUUUUAAGAAGAUAGAAAUUGAAUUAAUCCUCUAUAUACGAAUUGAUUGUGUAUUUUUUUCCCCAAUAAUUCAUCAGGAUGAGAUACAGAGAGGGGAUGUUCCGAAAUCAAUCCAGUGUUACAUGCAUGAAACUGGUGCCUCGGAGGAAGUUGCUCGUGAACACAUCAAGGAUAUGAUGAGACAGAUGUGGAAGAAGGUGAAUGCAUACAGAGCUGAUAAAGAUUCUCCCUUAUCUCAAAAUACAGUUGACUUCAUGUUGAAUCUUGUGAGAAUGUCCCAUUUUAUGUAUCUACGUGGAGAUGGGCACGGUGCUCAAAACCAAGAGACUAUGGAUGUAGCUUCUAUAUGGCUUUUUCAGCCCAUUCCCUUGGAGGACAAACACAUGGCUUUCACAGCACCAAAGGCUGAUGAAUUCCCAGAGUACAGUUUCAGUUGAUGUUGGCCAGACUUUUCUCCCUAUUGGGGGAUCGCUUUUCUAUAAUAUAAUAAACUCCCUCAUUCAUCGAGGUCUAUAAAUGAAAAGCAAAUGAUAUAUAUGUUGCUUUUAUUGAGAAUAAAAGUCGUCAGUAUAUGCAUAUACUUAAGUCAGGCUCAUUCCAAUUCCUACAAGAUGAGGAUGGAUGCAGUUAUACUCGAUUAUUCAAGCAUGGUUCAUAGCAUGUUAAGCACAAGGGCUACUUUCAGUAUACAUGCAUCACCCAUUUAAAUCGCAUUUGACAAAUCGUACCCAUUUAAAUUAAAUGAGGAUAGAAAUUAGAGCUGUGGCAUUUAAAGAAAAAAGUUACAAGGAUCAAAAAGUAAAUAUAACAAAAAAAUGAGUUCCUAAUUAUUGGGUUAGCUUAAAGAAGGAGCGCCUAAUUAUUGGAUUAGUCCAUUUUAAUUAUCUUCUAUUAUCAUAGUCAUUCCUAGAAACAAAUAUCCAACAAUGUCGUUUGUGUUUAUAAAAUAUGAGCGUAGAGACUUGGGUUCAAUCUUUCUAGUCUUCUCCAAACUUCGCCUCUAGCUACACAUAAGUUAGGACUUAAAUCAAAAUUCAAAUAUUAAAUUCUGUAUUUUUAUUUUUAUUUCAUUAUUUAUUUUAUGCCAAUAAGAAAAAUACAAAUAAUUUCCUUUCAUGAGCCUGACUGUUGACUCUGUGGUACUGGAAAUUUACAAAGCGAUGAAGUUGAUUGUGACUGCUGCCAGUUAACCCAAGUCAAAAAGCCACAUGUAGCACCGACUCAAAACUAUUCUAACUAGAAAUAAUUAAAGGCCACCAGCCGGAGGAGGUAUGAAAGUGGUCAUAGACAAAUGAACUUUUACUUCGGGAUUGCAACGCGAAAGACUUAUCACAGCUACGCUGUUUUGCAGGAACUCUGCUCCUCCGUAAUUUUUCAUCUUGGUAAAGUGAGAGCGACACUCAGAAGUACUCUCUGUUCACAACAUUUUAGAUCGAUUCUUCAAUGACCAUUUUUAUGCUUUUUUUAAUUAAAAAUACCCAAAGUUGGUGGGGUUAGGCAGGACCCCUUACCUGUAAAUUAUUGAAUAUAAAUAAAAUUACACAUGGAGGAGGACACAGAUCAAAAUCUACAGGAGGGCGGCUAAACAAAAGCUUACUAACAAGGGAAAGUUUGAAUGGUUAUGCCAUGGACUAGAUUUCUGCAGCUGAAAAGUGGAUAACAGGUUUACCAUGAAAUAUUAAAACCAGCUUUUCCCAAAUUGAAGAUUCCAGGGGGCCAGCAAUAGCAUCAACAAAAGACUUAGCAUUGGGGUUGAGGAUAACUGCAGGAUUAGUAAUAGAUGCAUAAGUAUAAUGGAGCGAAGAUGGAUGGCGUGAUGUAUGGUGUUAGUGAAACUGAUUAAAUGAGAAGAAGCAGAGCAGUCGUAUUCAUGCUGUUAUUAUAUGCUUGACAGUAGCUAAUCAGCUCACUUAAGUUGACGUGGAUUAGUUAGUUAUUUGUGUUAGCUCCCGCGUGUCUAUAACAACUUGUAACAAGCACAGAUAUGCUUGAAUAUAUAAUUGUGUGUAAGCUGCACUGAGUAGAUUAAUUAGAAUAUUCUAUAAGUUUCCAUAAUGAAAAUCUCUUUCACUUUCUUUUAUUUUCUUUAGCUUUCUCGACUGCCAAACACUAUUACUUUAGUUUUCUAUCAUGGUAUCAGAGCCAACAAUGGCAAAUAUUACACAAUCCAAUGCUUCCUUUAGCUUCAUUACACCAGUUAAGCUGGAUCAAAACAAUUUCAUUUUGUGGAGGACUCAAGUCUUGACAUCAAUCAAAGGGAAUAGUCUCGAAAGGUUCGUUAAUGGUGAUCGAAAAUGUCCAGAGCAGUUUCUUUCACUCUUCAACACUGAAGAAGCUUCAGGAUCAGACGUUAGUGAGUCUAGAUCUGUAAAUCCAGAGUUCGUUGCUUGGAUGAAAACAGAUCAACUCCUCUUGAGUUGGAUGAUGUCCUCUAUCCAGCAAAGUCUACUGUCUACGGUAAUUGAUUGUACAACUUCAAAACAACUGUGGGAAUCACUUAGCAGUAUGUUCAUUUCUCAAUCACAAGCUAGAAUUCAAACUCUUAGAAUGCAAAUUCAAACUGUUAAGAAAGGACCUAUGAGUAUGGCUGGUUACUUUGCUAAAAUAAAAUGUAUAGCAGAUACCUUAGCCUUAGCAAGGAAACUAGUUAAGCUUAAUGAUUUUGUUAUGCAUGUGCUGAAUGGUCUUGACUCCUCAGAUUGUGAAUCUUUGAUAACUACUGUUCUAGCAAGGGAAGGAACUAUUACUCUAGAUGAUUUGUAUUCACUGCUUCUAAAUCAUGAAAAUAGAAUUGAACAAAAGAAAUGAAAAAUUGCUAGUGAAGUCAUGCAUCAUAUGUCUGCAAAUGUUGCUCAAAAAGGUCAAUAUUCUGGCAAAAAUAAUAAUGGUUAUCAGAAAAACACUGGAGGUAGUUUUGGAAAUGAUAACAGUGGCUUUCAGAACAACAAUACUCCUCAGUUUCCUGGUGCUAGAAACUCUUCAGAUAUUAUCUGUCAAAUUUGCUUCAUUCCUGGACAUGGAGCAAACAAAUGCAGAAACAAGUUUAAUCCUUCAUUUGUUCCUCAGAAGAAUUUUGGCAAAGGAAAUUUCAGAGGUCAAUAUGGCAGAGGCAGGUCAUUCAAUGAUUUUGGUAGAGGUUUAAUGUUUCUUAGACAAAAUUUUAUGAAUCCUUAUGUGCCAAGAGGAGCAGCAUUUCAAGCCAAUAUGGCUUACUCAGAUCUUGCUUUCAUAACAGGCUACACACCUUUUAAUCCCUAUAACACUUUUACUCUUGGUUUCACUUAUGGUGUUUCUCCAUAUUUUCCUGGAAAUGUCACUAAUGGAAUGUCUAGUACUUCAGCACUACCAGCUCAAGCUCAAGCUACUUGUGUUGCAAAUCCUGAGAUCAUUGAAGAUCCUUCCUGGUAUAUUGACAGUGGAGCAACCAAUCAUAUCACAAAUGAUUUAGGGUCCAACAUAAGCUUUCAUUGGAUACAGCUCAAAUCAUAAGGGUUACCAGUGUCUUUACUCAUCUGGAAGAGUCUACAUUUCUAAUCAUGUGGUCUUUGAUGAGAAGUUUUUUCCUUAUGUCUCUGGUAUUGAUUCCUCUUCAGUCCUAGUGUCUUCUCAAACAGCCUCUGAGUGUCCUUCUUCUGUUAUUCAAAUUUCAGAUCCUUUAGCAACAACUUCAGCAUUUGAUUCUGCAGCUCCAGUAUCAACUACUUCUCAACCUCAGGUAUCAUCUCCAUCUUUUUCUCUGCCCUCAACUUCAAAUAUUUUACCUCAUCCAAAUGCUACACCUCUUUCUCAACAGCAUUCUUCAUCUUCCUUGAAUGAUAAUCCACCACAUAUUCUCCCUGCACCACCUCAUAUUGGUCAUCCUAUGCUAACUAGAUCUAAGCAUGGUAUCUUCAAACCAAAGUCUUAUCUGAACCUUAUUCUGUCACUCAAGCUUUAUCUGAUCCAUUAUGGUUCAAAGCUAUACAAGAAGAGUUCCAAGCUUUGCAAGCUAAUCAUACAUGGGAACUGGUGUUGCCUAUUGCUCCUGUUAAGGUUGUUGGAAAUAAAUGGGUCUUUAGGAUAAAAUAUAAUCCUAAUGGCUCUAUAUUAAAGUACAAAGCAAGGCUGGUGGCUAAAGGUUUUCAUCAGAUUUAUGGUGUUGAUUAUACUGAAACCUUUAGCCCAGUGGUAAAAGCUUCUAUUGUCUGGGUUGUUUUAAGUAUUGCAAUCAUGAAUAAUUGGAUGCUUCGACAAGUAGAUGUGAACAAUGUGUUUUUAAAUGGCAUUCUUGAUGAAGAAGUUUAUAUGGCACAGCCUGAAGGGUUUAUCAAUUCUCAUAAACCAUAGCAUAUUUGCAAGUUAAAGAAAGUACUAUAUGGCUUGAAGCUGGCUCCAAGAGCUUGGUUUGCUAGAUUCAAAACAACCAUGCUUUCUCAGUGGCAAUUUCAGAAUUCUAAGUCAGACAAUUCACUUUUCUACAAGAGAGAAAAUGGUCACUUGCUUUUGGUGUUGGUAUAUGUCGAUGACAUUAUCAUCACAAGUUCUAGCUCAGAUAAAGUUCAGCAAGUUAUUCAAGAUAUGCAGAAGACAUUUGCCUUGAAAGAUCUUGGAGAACUCAGUUAUUUCUUAGGUAUUGAAGUUUCAAACUUGCAGAAUGGACUUCAUUUAUCUCAAGCAAAAUUUAUUGCUGAUGUUUUAGCAAAGCAUGACUUGGUCCAUUGCAGUCCAGUUCCUACACCAAUGUCUACAGGUCAGUAUCUCACUAAAGCCUCAGGGACUGAUAUUCCAAAUGUUUCUCAGUAUAGAAGUCUUAUUAGGGCACUACAAUAUGUCACACUUACUAGACCAGAGAUAGCUUUCACUGUAAACAAACUUAGUCAGUUUUUAUCUAAUCCUAAAACUUCUCACUAGGAUGCUUGCAAAAGACUAUUACGGUAUCUCAAAGGCAUAAUUCAUUUUGGACUCCAAUUUUAUAACUGUAGAGCUAUACAAAUAAACUGUUUUUCAGGCUCAGAUUGGGCUUGUGAUCGAGAUGAUCGGAAAUCAGUGGCUGGUUUUGCUGUGUAUCUUGGUUCCAAUUUGGUUUCAUGGUCUUCCAAGAAACAAUAUACUGUCUCACGGUCUAGUACAGAAGCUGAAUAUAGAGCUCUAGCUCAUGCUACCUCAGAGGUUAUUUGGAUUCAAUCUCUGCUUGCUGAACUUUAAAUCAAGCUGAGCACAACCCCAAUUAUGUGGUGUGACAACCAAGGUGCAAUUGCUUUAGCCUACAAUCCAGUGUAUCAUGCAAAAACAAAGCAUGUAGAGUUGGAUAUUCAUUUUAUCAGAGACAGAGGUGCUUCAAAAGAAAUCACAGUGUGUUAUGUGCCAAGUGAAGAUCAAACAGCAGAUGUAUUGACCAAGGCUCUUACUUUUACUCAAUUUCAUCACUUGCGAAGUAAGUUAAAUGUUCAUCCUAGAUGCUCCAGUUUCAGAGGGGAUGUCAGUGAAAUUGAUGAAAUAAGACAAGAAGAGGAAGAUCAGAGUUGGCAUGGCUGGUCAAAUGAGAAAGAUCAGAGUAGACAUGACAAGAAGAGAAAUCCAGUUCAAGAGGGGAUGUUAGUGAAACUGAUUAAAUGAGAAGAAGCAGAGCAGUCAUAUUCAUGUUGUUAUUAUGUGCUUGACAGUAGUUAAUCAGCUCACUUAAGCUGACGUGGAUUAGUUAGUUAUUUGUGUUAGCUCUCACGUGUCUAUAACAACUUGGCUAACGAAUUGUAAUAAGCACAACUAUGCUUGAAUAUAUAAGUGUGUGUAAGCUGCACUGAGUAGAUUAAUUAAAAUAUUCUAUAAGUUUCCAUAAUGAAAAUCUCUUUCACUUUCUUUUAUUUUCUUUAGCUUUCUCGACUGCCAAACACUAUUACUUUAGUUUUCUAUCAUAUGGGAUACUUUUGGCCAUUUGUGCUUCAAAUAAUCUAUGUGCCAAAGCUCAGAACUAUUUUAACCAGAUGAAAGUUGAAGGCCAUUCGCCUAACGUAUAUCACUACAGCUCUUUGCUUAAUGCUUACUCCUCUGGUGGAGACUACAAGAAGGCUGAUGAAUUAAUUCAGGAUAUGAAAUCUUCAGGGUUAGUACCAAAUAAGGUUUGUUUCAUGUUUAUAUGGCCAUCCUAGUUUCAGGAGUUACUGGUGCAUUACUUAACAGUUGAGUUUUGCUCAUCUUGAAAUAGGAAAAAUGAAAAUUGAUGUAUACAUGUGAAUUUGGUAGAAUAGAGAAUUUGUACCGAAUUUCAAAUGACAAAAGAUCCGUGUUCUUCAAAAUUUAAGUUAUGAUACAUAGUUAUCACGGUGAAUUGAGCCCUACCCAACCUCAUUCUGUCUAUGCUUUCAAAAGCAAGUGUAAUUGUUUUGGUGCAGCAAAAAUGUAAUAGUAUUAUGGUACUUGGAUGCUAUCCUAAUUAGAGGAUGCUAUUUUAAAGUUAAGGACCAUGGGGUUUAUUCCCAAAGAUUAGUUGGUUUGUUUGGCCUUUUUCAGUGGAAGCAAGAAGUUAAGGGAUCAAGUCUAAAGGGAUACUUUAUAUUUGAUGACAAUGCUAUAUUUGCUGCAGGAUUUGAGCAAAAAUAAAAACAGUAUGAUUUGAUUAUGCUGUCAAUAAAAUCCUGCAAGAUUGUAGGAAACAUUUGUUUUUGAAUUUUAUGAUAUCAGAUAUAUGUUAAAGAUAUAUAGGCAGAUUUUUUGGCUUUGUUUUUUUCUUUUCUUGUAUAAAUUCAAAUAUUGCAUCAAUGAAUGUAAUGCAAUCAACAGCCCCAAUUUCUCUGUGUUCUCUUUUCUUUGUUUAAAACAAACAAAGUGGUAUCAGAGCCCUUAUUCUUAAGGGACCUGUAACGUGAUUAGAGAGGCUUCCUACACUUCAAUAUGGCAGGAAAUGGUUUCUUAUCUGCUCCUGCAGUUUUCACAGGUGAAAAUUAUCAAAUAUGGGCUGUGAAAAUGGAAUCUCACCUGGAAGCAUGUGACCUAUGGGACUUGGUGGAAGCAGAUCCGGAGGAUCCACCAUUAGCUCGUAUGAGGAAUAACAGGGAUGAAAGAAAAAGGAGAUAUAAGGCCAAGACAUGCAUUCACUCUGCAGUUUCAGAGACAAAUUUUACAAAGAUCAUGACCUGUGAAACAGCGAAACAUGCAUGGGAUCUUUGGAAGCAAGAAUAUCAGGGGAAUGUCAGGAUAAAAAAAAUGCAGGUCUUGAACCUAAGAAAGGAAUUUGAAAUGUAGAAAAUGAAGGAGACAAACAGUUAAUGACUAUAAAGACAAGUUGAUGAUGAUUGCUAAUAAAAUUAGAAUGCUUGGGGAAGAGUUUUCUGAUAGAAGGAUUGUAGAGAAGAUUUUGGUGACCUUGCCUGAGAGAUUUGAAUCUAAAAUCUCUUCACUUGAAGAGUCUAGAGAUAUGUCAACAAUAACAUUGGUAGAGCUUGUCAAUGCACUACAAGCUCAAGAACAAAGGAGAGCUUACAAAAAUGAGGAGAUGAUUGAAGGAGCAUUUCAAGUGAAAAAGGCUGAUCAAGCCUAGGGAGGCAGCAAAGAAAAGAAACAAUGGAGUAAGAAGAAUUACAAGAAGGGGGAAAGUAGCAUCAAUGAAGGCAACAAGGGCAAGGGCAAGCACUCCCCGUGUCCUCACUGUAAGAAAACCUCUCAUCCACAAAAGAAAUGUUGGUUUAGGCUUGACAUUCAAUGCAGGGCAUGCAAGCAAAUGGGGCAUAUGGAGAGGGUGUGUAAAAAUAAACAACAAGAAAGACACCAAGCUCAAGCAGUAGAACAACAACAAGAUGAGCAACUUUUUGUUGUAUCUUGUUUUUUGAGUAACAGUUCGAGUGAUGAUUGGCUCAUAGACAGCGGAUGCACAAAUCACAUGUCUUUCGAUGAAUCUCUUUUCAAAGAAGUAAACAAGUCAGAAGUGUCAAGAGUUAAAGUUGGCAAUGAGCAGUAUAUUGAAGUGAAAGGUAAAGGGACAGUUGCAAUAAAAAGCUCAGCAUGUAUCAAGUUAAUUUCUGAUGUAUUACUUGUUCAUAAAAUUGAUCGAAAUCUGCUGAGUGUGGGACAAUUGCUUGAGAAAGGUUAUUCUGUUGUUUUUAAGAAUAACAUGUGUGUCAUUACUGACCCAAAUGGUGUAGUGUUGUUCUGUGAAAAUGAACAGCAAAAGCUUCAGCUUAAGUUGGAACAAGGAUGAAUGUAGUGCAUAUCAAUGUACUUUGAACCAGGCUAAGUUAUGGCACAAGAGGAUGGGGCAUUUUCAUUAUUCUGCAUUAGAUUACAUGCAGAAAAAUGAUCUUGUGCAAGGAAUGACUUUCAAUGGAGGAGGAGCAUCAGUGUGUGGAGUCUGUCAGCUGGGACAACAAGCUAGAUUGUCAUUCCCUAUUAAUAAGGCAUGGAGAGCAGUUGAGAAGCUUCAGUUGAUCCACACAGAUGUUUGUGGACUUAUGAGGACUGCAUCCUUAAAUGGUAACAGGUACUUUAUGGUUCUUAUUGAUGAUUUUAGCAGAAUGUGUUGGGUUUACUUUCUCAAACAAAAGUCUGAAGUUGCUAGUGUGUUUUCGAAGUUUAAAACAUGGAUUGAAAAUCAAAGUGGCUGUAAAAUCAAGGUGAUUAGGUCUGAUAAUGGGACUGAAUAUACAACUGAUAAAUUUGCUAAGUUUUGUGAAGCUGCAGGGAUUGAACAUCAGCUUACAACAACCUAUACACCUCAACAAAAUGGAGUCAGUGAGAGGAAAAAACAGGACAAUCAUGGAGAUGGCUAGAUGUCUGUUGUUUGAGAAGGAAAUGCCAAAACCGUUUUGGGCGCUGAGGCUGUUAAUACUGCUGUAUUUCUGCAAAACAGGUUACCAACAAAGGCUUUAAAGGGAAAAACACCUUUUGAAGCCUGGUUUGGUUUUAAACCCCCUAUUCAUAACUUGAGAAUUUUUUGUUGCUUAUGUUUUACUCAUGUUCCAGAUGCAAAAAGAGAGAAGUUGGAUCAAAAGGCAGAAUAUGGAGUUUUUGUAGGAUACAACACUCUCACCAAAGGUUGUAGAGUUUAUCAACCUUUGACGGGAAGAAUCAUAGUGAGUGGAGAUGUUAAAUUUGAUGAAGCCGGAGGAUGGAAUUGGACAACAGCUGAACCAAAACAAGUUUAUGCAGAAGAAAAAGCACCAGAAUUGCAAGAUGAUGAUAUAAUUAAUGAUGAGCCAAUAAGAGGUACCAGACCACUUACAAAAAUUUAUCAAAAGUGCAAUAUGGUUGUGCUUGAACCUGCAGGGUAUGAUGAGGCUGCUAAAGAUCCAAAGUGGCUUGAAGCAAUGGAAGAUGAGAUCAAGAUGAUUCACAAGAAUCAAACUUGGGAGUUGGUGGACAGACCACUACACAAGAAGACUAUUGGUGUGAAAUGGGUUUAUAGAACCAAACUCAAUGUUGAUGGUUCUGUAAACAAAUUCAAAGCAAGGCUGGUUGUAAAAGGGAAUGCUCAACUAUUUGGUGUUGACUUUUUUGAAACUUUUGCACCUGUAGCACAGCUGGACACCAUCAGAUUGCUUCUAGCACUUGCAGCACAAAAGCAGUGGAAAAUCUACCAGUUUGAUUUCAAAGUCAAGAUUUGAGUUGUUGAAGAAAAGAAUUGGUGUCUGCAGCAAAAAUAGCAAGGAGGAGUGAUGACAAUGCUAUAUUUGCUGCAGGAUUUGAGCAAAAAUAAAAACAGCAAGAUUUGAUUAUGCUGUCAAUAAAAUCCUGCAAGAUUGUAGGAAAAAUUUGUUUUUGAAUUUUAUGAUAUCAGAUAUAUGUUAAAGAUAUGUAGGCAGAUUUUUUGGCUUUGUUUGUUUGUUUCUUGUAUAAAUUCAAAUACUGCAGCAAUGAAUGUAAUGCAAUUAACAGCCCCAAUUUCUCUGUGUUCUCUUUUCUUUGUUUAAAACCAACAAUAUUUGGGUUGAAACGAAACUAUAAAAGAAUAAAAAAGCACCAUGGGGGUUUGGAUUUCAUGCUAUAAGAGAUUAUUGUAAAGGAAUGAAUUGGUGCUUUUCAAUAUAUGCCAAAUCUAUUUUCAUGGGUAUCUAGGUCAAAAUAGCGCAUAAAGUAGUGAGUUUCUUGUUAUCUCUUUUCUUUUUGUUCUGUGCAUUUUCAAUAAUUUGCUUUGUUUCUAUUUGCUGUAAACACGUGUUGGCAAUUGUGUGCUUUUCUUAUGUUUUCUUUUUUAGGGUAAAUCAUUCUUUUUGCAAGUAAUACUGACAACAUUGCUGAAGGUAGUCGUCAGAGGAGGUUUGUUUGAAAAAUCAAGGCUGAACUGGACACUUUAGGCUAUGCUGAAAAUGAGGUACAUUGAUGAAUUUUUACCUUUCAUAUGUAUGUUCAAAUAUCAAUCUUGUUGAAGAUAUGAUAUUUAGUUUUAAUAUUUUGUUUCGGAGUAGAAUAUGUUAUUUAUUACCUUCAGGAUCAUAGCAGAUCCUGAUAAGGAAGUUGGGAAUUCAGACAGAAAUGAGCAUAACAAAUUGGGCUGAAGUUCAACAUGUUCAAAAUUUUUUGUUUCUUUGCUAAACUUUAUUUUUUUAAUUCAUAGGUUGGUAUUACGAUUUAUAAUAACGCAUGAUUCGGCUAGGUCUGCUUAUUCUUCUUUUAAUUUAUUUUUAUUUAAAUUCUAAAUUUUAAUUUUUUAAUAGAAAACUGAAAUGAUUUAAGGUGAAAACGAAAUACGAAACUGAACCAGACUGGUGGGUAAUUUAUUAUAACAGUCAUAAAUUUCCUUAAGAACACUGCUCCUUUUUGAGGUUUUCGGGUGAAAAACAGACUUCCAAACAUCCACAUUGUUGAUUCAUUGUUGUGUGGUGCAAAUUGCAACUUGAUUUGUUUAUAAUGAUUUUGCUUGCCCCAAUGUUGGCACAAGUUCUUCUUUAUGUAACGUAUGGCUUUGUUCACAUGUGUCUAUAUUCUCAUCUACAAUUUUUUUUUUUGAAAGAAUUCUUUGGAAUAACUCUUCUGCAGCUUAAGGUACACAUGCCAUUUUGCAGAUGCUCUAUUGUUUACUUAUGGAUGGUCUUUCUAAGGCUGGUCGUUUAGAUGAAGCAAGAGUAGUUUUUAACGAAAUGCAGGAAAAAUGCGUUAAAUCUGGUAUGUUUCCCAUUUGAUAAGGGACCUUCUAGCAAGCUGUUAGUUUCAAAUAUUUAUUAUUAUUAUUUUUUCUCUUUACCUUAGAAACAAGAACAUUCUCAAAAAUUAAAUCAUUCAUUUGACCAUUGUUGACAAAUGCAGUGUUGUACAUGUCAAUUCAAUGCCAUGCCAAAAGAAUGGGGAUUACUUUGGAAAUUAAGUUAAAUUUCUUUUUCCUUAAUCUAAAAGAAAAAUAAACUAUCUGAUUAUAGUUAUAAAGCUUUAUUUUCACCUUAAACUCACAUCCGUUUUAGUUCUGCCUUUAAUUAUUUCUAAUGCCCCCGAGAAAAUCUAACUUCUAUGUUUGUUGGACAUGCUAUGAACUCCCUAGUUGCAUUUUCCUAGAUUUGAAGGCUAGGGAGAAACAUUGUUAUUCCUAUAUGAGAGGUGAGUAGCCUGUAUAAUUUGAUUAGUUCACGUCUGUUUUACUUGAAUCAAGAAUAGAGCGGCCUAAUCUGAUCUCUGUCUUUGUUGGCAUUAUUUAUGCGUUGAAGAAUGCUGUAUUGAGGUAUAUUCAUUGUAUUUCGCUAAAUAAAUUUUGUUAAACUUGACUUGGAAGUCUGAAAAAUACUUGCGAUGUUUUCUUACCUAAUAGCUUAAGCAUAUGGAUCAAGGGAUUUUACUAACUUGUGUUGCUCUAUCUCAAUUGAUUUUGAAAAAGAUAUCUCUUUCAAAUCAAGGUCCUUACCUUACCGCUUAAGCUUUUAGGUUAAGCACAAGUUUUGUUUCCCUCACGGAGAUGGCUAUGCCCAUAGUAUCAUGAUUUCAGCAUUCUGCCGAGGUGGGUGUUUUGAAGAGGCAAAGCAGCUGGCUGGGGAUUUUGAAGCCAAGUAUGACAAAUAUGAUGUUGUUCUGUUAAUGGUGGACAUGCAUAGGAAAGGCCACCAACCUGAGGAGGUACGUCACAUAAAUUUAUUACUUCUUGUCAAGGAUUUACUCUAGUCCCUUGCAAUUCUAGAGGCCUUCGUUACUACUGUGAUUUUAGAUAAUGAAAGUGGUCAUAGACAAAUGAACUUUCACUUCGGGACUGCAACGCGAAAGACUUAUCACAUAUAUGCUGUUUUGCAGGAACUCUGCUCCUCCCUAAUUUUUCAUCUUGGUAAAAUGAGAGCACACUCAGAAGCUCUCUCUGUUUACAACAUGUUAAGAUAUAGCAAAAGAUCGAUUUGCAAGGCCCUUCAUGAGAAAAUUCUUCAUAUUUUAAUAUCCGGAAAGCUUCUCAAAGGUGCUUAUGUAGUGGUUAAGGUCUGCUAUAUUGUCUUACCAUUUUAGAUUGAUUUUUCAACUGUCCUUUAUAUGCUUAUCAAUCUAAAUAUUGAUUUUUCAACUGUCCUUUAUAUGCUUAUCAAUCUAAACUACUCUCUUUUCAGGACAAUUCGGACUCAAUUUCUCAUCCUGAUAUUAAGAAGUUUGCAUCUGCAUUUGUGAGGUUAGGAAAUAUUAACUUGGUUAAUGAUGUAAUGAAGGCAAUCCAUGCAACUGGCUACAGGAUUGAUCAAGUAAGCAAUCAAGGAUUUGUAAAACAAACACAAGCUCGCAUGCGCACGCGCGCACACACACAAGAGUGGAAGUAAUAAUUUAGAAAUGCCCUGUAAUUCCUUUUCUUCUAUUAUCUCAGGGAAUAUUUCAUAUAGCAAUAGCACGAUAUAUAGCAGAACGUGAGAAGAAGGAAUUGCUGCUCAAGUUGCUAGAAUGGAUGACGGGUCAAGGUUAUGUUGUUGAUUCAUCAACAAGAAACCUGAUACUCAAAAACUCACACUUAUUCGGACGGCAACUCAUUGCUGAUAUACUGUCCAAGCAACAUAUGAAGUCAAAAUCGUCAAGAACUCUGAAAGAAUGAGCAAUUUGAUAUUAAUUAAUGCUCGAGUUCUAGAUAAAGAAAUGAAUAUGGCUUACCGUUUACCCUAUCAUGCUAUAAGCUAGCAUGUCUCAGUUAUGUGUUAAAAGUUAAAACUCUAAUAUUUUACUACAUAGAGCAGUUAAUCAAAAAAUAAAAGAAAAAAGAAGGGGGGAGGGGGGGAGUAGUUGUUGGGAAAGAAAGAAAUCAGACAGAGAUUAAAAAGAUAUAGCAUUGAAGGUGAUGAAAUCCUACUAUACUUGGAAAUUAUGAAUUUACUCUUCAUCUUCAAGCUCCUAAGGCCUGCAACGUAGGUCUUUAACUUGCAAAAGACAGUUUAUUGCUACGCGCAAGUUAGCAUUUGGUUCAUGAGAAAAUUUGUCAAUAAAGUGCAAUGAAGCUGUAACAGAGUUGUAGCAAGAAUGUUUCUCUAGAGACCUACCUAUCACUACAAGAAAAAUGACCUAUAAUGACAGUUACUCAUGUGACAGUUUUUGGCUAAAAGGCUUUAUAUCUUAUAAGUACGACAUACAUGUGACAUAAAUUUUUUCUAUAAAAAAUUUAUGAUAAAUAUAUGAUAGAAUUUACUGUUGUCAAAUACUUAUGACCAACUAAUGAUUUAUAUUUUCUCUAUCAAGAAAUUAUGAUAGAAUUUUAUUUUUACUUUAGAUUUGACCGAAAUUUAAAAAAUUCUAAGUAAUAAAAAAAUAUAACAAAGAAAGAAGUGAAACAACGUUGUUUCAUACCUUUAUUAGUAUUUCAACCUCUUUUUUACCCCAAGUGUUAAGGCCACACUCAUUACUCUAAAACUUCUCUCUCGAAUGUAGCUCGCUUCUCACUGACAAUGACAACCCUUACUGUCGUUGGCUCGCCGCUGACCCGCCACAGUCUUUCUUUGCCCCAGUGGAAUCAAAUUCAGUCCUAAAUCGAAACCAAAACUUUACCUGUCGACAACAGCCGAAACCCUAACCAUCAAGAAUCCCUGAAAGCCACACUCAUUCGCAAGCAAGCUUUACCUAUUUCUCAGCGAUUUCUAGCAAGUGAUAGUGAGCUUCGCCGUUAUCUCAACUAUCUUCGACGCGAGCUUCAAAGUUCUCAUCUCUUUUAAACCCUAAGUAUGAUUUUUUUUUGUGGGUUUCAAUUUUUAGUUUUUUUUGCAUUAUUGUUUUGUGAUUAUAAAUUUAUAUAUAGUAUAGGAUGUUGUUCCGACUCUUGCAUUAAUGAUAUAUUUUUUACAUAUGGGUUUUGCAUUCCAUGUGUUUGUUGAAGGUUCUAUUACAUUUCUGGGUAAUCUUGUGUUUAAGUAUUACAAAAAUUCAUUAUAGAAUUUUCUCAUUUAUUAAAUUUUAGAAACAUUUCUUGAGCUGCUUUAUUAAUCGGCUAAAUUGAUUUAGACGGGGAUGAGUAGAACAGUGAGGCCGGAACUGAUAGCUUUAUACAAAUGAACUUCUCCAUUUUAGGAUUCAAGAAAUUUAUAAAUCUAGUUAAUAAUGUUCGUUUGGGCUUUUAAUGAUAGGAUUACAUUUUAUUCUACAAUUCAGCCUUCUUUUGGAUUGAAAAGUCUUGUACAACUUGUGACAAUUGAUUAAGUUGCUACUCAAGUAAUGCCCUGUGUUUGCAUUUUGGCUCAUAAUGCUUGAUCCUUCAAUGGGAAUUAAAAGAAUAUUGAAAAAUUGCUGCAAAAUCUAAUUAAUAUUAUCUGCAAAAGUUUCUUGAAUAAUUUGCGGAGUGAAUCUCUUAAUCGUCAUUAGUAAUUUAGUUAACUGCAGACUUUGAAGUUUCCAAUUAUUUAUUCAUUGAAUAUAAUUUUUUCACUAGUGCAACAUCAGGUGGAAUUCUUAAUAAAGCUAUUGAAGCAGAGGAAAAGACGCAUGGAGACUUCUUAAGGCUGGUGAUGUUUCUUUCUUUUUCCUUUGAUGCUCUUGUUGGUGUUUAUUCACAAUCCUGUUAGUCUUAAAAUAUAUUUCAAAAAUUCUGAUAAAUCUUCCUCAUUUGUUUGUUGGGACUAUACAUACCAUAACAUAUAAACGGAUACUUGGAAUUGUCAGCCAAGACAAAAACUUAUUUUUGCUACAGAUUUUUCCAAGGGGGGUGCAGAAUUUUGUAGGUGAGGGGGCUCGAGAGAAGUGAGGGAAUCCCUAUCCCGUGGCAUCAAAGUUGAUGAUGAUGUUCAUGUAAAUUUGGGUAAGGAAACUUUGUUAUGUUUAUUUUUAUUCUGAAAUGUGAUAUCAAGCUUUUCAAGUUAGGAAUUGCUUAUAUUAGUUGUUCUUUGAUUCUUGUUUUUCUUUUUAGUCUCUUUUUUGGGUAUGCAAACAUUGAUUGAUAAGUUUGCUGAGGCUGAGCAUGCAAUGCAUUAAUCUUAAAGAGUUAUAAUUCUAGCAUUCACUCAAAUUCUUGGUAUAUUCUAAUUCAAAACAGUAUUAAACAUUAAUUAAGGCAUGAGAUGAUUACCAGUAGGAAGGCAUGCUAAAGAGAACAAAACUUAAAGAAUCAUGAACUUAAGUACAUAUAAAUUUGAUUUGGCCUAAGAAUUACAUAGCUAUUGAUUUUAAUUUUAUUUAUAUAUCAUUACUUAUUGACAGGAAACUGCAUAACGCAAAGAUUACUGUGGAUGCUUUGUCUAUGUGGUAGGUGUUAUACACAACUAAUAGUACUAUAUAAUUUAUAUUUUUAUUUAUUUUGUUGCAUAAAUUUCUUCAAUCCUUUUUAAUGCCUUACUUUAGAGAAGGGAAAAAAUGGGUCUGGCCUUGUUCUUCAUUGAAUAUUUUCAUAUUCAAUUAAUUUCAUGUGUAAAUACUUAUUUUUCUGGAUAUUUUCGAUUGAUGAAAUGGGGUACAUUUUACUUGGCUUAGGGGCUGCUGGAUUUUGCUGCUAGAAAAAGACCACAUUUGCGAUACAUUUUCUAUUGCUGAAUGUUGCCGAAUGCCAAGUGCUUCACUCAAUUCUUCUUAAUGCAGCCUUAUAUACUUACACUUUUGUUUAGACCUUAUGGAAUUCUUAUAAUUGAUAUGACAACCUCUACUAUGCAUUACUUGGAUUCAAUAGUUAGUGUAGCACACAUGCAUGCAAUUAGAGCGGCUAGCUGCAUGUUACCAAAAAGCUGUGCAUAUCAUAAAAGAAGCUCCAUCGCAUCACAUCAGUGAGCUUUCAAAAAAGUCUGUGGUAAUUGCAAGGGAGAUGUUUUAAGAUCAUUUUACCCACCAUGUUUUGAUGAUGUUAUAUUUACUUGUGCAGUUACCUAGCUUGUUACACUUGCUAUGUGGGAAUUUGAUGAAGAUGGUGGGUAUUGCUGGAGUUGGCCAUCUUUUUUCUUUGAUGCAAAAAUAGGUCAUGAGUAUUGGUGCAUCUUUGCACGUUUUUAGCUUCUUCUUAGAUUGGUAUUUGCUGUAUGCUUCACUAAAACUGCUAGAAUGAAUUUUUUUUUUCCGGUCUGAUCAGUGUUGUUGGCUUUGUUGUGUUGCUGGAAACGAACUGAUCAUGGUUCAUUAGUCUCAAAACUGCUAGUUUUCUACAUGUUGCUGAAAUUUGGUUUUUACUUCUAUUUAUGUUGGACUUGUCACUUGUAUUUGGUUAAAUUAUGUUUGUUGACAAUUAUCAAUAAUUAUUCAGUGUUAUUCAUUUCAUUUUCUUUGUUAGUGAAUUUUUAAUUGCAAUAUUCAUUUUAACAAUCUAAUUAAUUAACUAAAUUAUGAAAUUUUAAUUUCUAAAUCAAUUGCAAGAUUUUUAUUAAAAUGAUAAGCAUUUCAUGGUAGUAACAAAAUAGUAAUUUUUAUUAAUUAUAAAUUUAAUUUCAGAAUUAAUUGUAAAAAAAAUUCAAUUAGUUAUAAUUUUCAUUUUCGCGCCAAAUUUAAGAUUUCUUGCUAAAUAUUCAAAAUAUAGCAUGCGAAAUAAAAAAAAAAGGUCAAAUUCAAAAUUAUUAUAUUUCCCUCUAAAUAAACUUAUGAUAGUUGUGUGACUGGUUAUAUCCAUCACAAGCUAUGACGGGUAUUGUUCUGUCAUCAAUUCUUGACGCUGGCUACAAUGAUGGUAUGAACAACUGUCAUGCACCCCCUACUAUGACAGUUUUACCUGUCAUAGUAGAUCCUUUUUCUUGUAGUGUAUCGUCUUCUCUUUCUCUCCUUGGAUGGGAGAGUGUUUGGAUUCACUUAUUUUUUUAAUUUUUUUUUAUCUUUCUGGUAGAGUCGCUUGGAUCCCCUUAUUAAUCAUCCUAAAUCUGGAUUUAUGGUCCCAAUUAGUUUGACACUUUUAUUUGUAACUGCCAUAUCAAGUAAGUUAUAAAUCAUUACAGAGAAAAUUGAAGCACUGAGAUCCCUAGUUUUAAUAUUCUAAUUAUAGUUGUUGCUAAUAUUACUAUCGCUAGCUUGCAAUUAAUUCCGCUUAAGUUGUCAAUUUCCUAUAAGCAAAAAAGAUGGUCAUUGAGCGUACUUGUAUGGAUACCUCUGUAAAGGAACUUGGAGACCCUCAUAUUUUCUAAAAAAGGAUGCAGACCUCUUUUUGGACAUACAAAAAAGUUUUUUUAGACAAACUUUGGGGUUCAAUGUGGGACGAUGAUUGUAUUUGAACACAAAAGAUAUUUAAGAAAGUAUGUUCCGAAUAAUUGCUAUUUGUGGAGGCUCGUCCUAGAAGUUUACAAGAAAUUGUUAGAAGUUUUAGGAAAGGACGAAAUCUCUAGUCAUAAGAGAGCAUUGCCACUUAUGGAUCAAUGUCCAAAUGAAUUUAGAGGUUCAACUCAGAAUGACACUUUAGGCUUUUAUAAUUUCAAUAUUUAUUUUAUAAUUUAUUGAUUUCAUCAAUCAUUCUAGGAAUUCUAGGUUUUGAGUCGCAAAUGGAAUCUCAAUCAUGUGACAGUGUCAUGAAAACUUUUAUUCUUUUUCUAUAAUUGGGAGGAGAUAAUUUUUCUCUCCUACAAGACUCGUGAUAAUAAAGAUACCAAAAUGUACAUUAUUAGUCAAAUAUAUUUCUAUUAUUGAUCAAUAUGAGGAUCAACAAGAGAUGUUUUACUUGAAUUAGAAGAAAUUAGUGAAGAUUCUAAAAUAAAGAGUGAAGCUAAGUGAUUAGCAACAUAUGAAUUAAAAGAUUUUGAACUCAUAUUAGAUGUGAUCAUUUAGUAUGAUAUUAUUUGUUGUUAACUCUAUAAGAUCGAUCUUGCAAAAAGAAGAUAUGCAUAUUAAUAUUGCCAUAGAUCAGCUUAAAGGUAUUUUUUUCUUUCUUUGAAAGAAAAUAGAGAAAAUGGAUCCAUGUCUACUAUAAUUUGAGCUAAAGAAAUUGCAAGUUAAAUGGAAAUAGAACCUAAAAUGUAUAAUAGAUCAAGCCAUCUCUUCAAUAAUAAUAGAUUUGAAUCAUUUAAAAUGUAUGAUAAUUUAUUUGGGUUUUUGUAUAAUUUCAAAAAAUUACAACUGUCAAGUGACUAUGUUUUAAAAACUUAUUGUGUUAAUCUUGAAAAUACUUUAAAACAUGAUACGCUUUUUGAUAUAGAUAGUUUAGAUUUGUUUUGAGAGUUGAGAAUUUUAGUUUUGAGAGUUGAGAAUUUUAAACAAGUUUUUCAAGGUGAAAAAAUACUGUUUAUUUAUUUGAAAAAAAAUUGAUUAUUUUCCAAAUGCAUAUAUUACUUAUAGAAUAUUAUUAACAAUACUAGUAACAGUUGCUUCUCUAGAUAGAAGUUUUUCAAAACUUAUUUAAGAUUAACAAUGAUGCAAGAAGAUUAAAUGGACUAACUAUAUUGUUUAUUGAGAAAAAUAUAUUAAUAAAAUUAGAAUAUAAAAAAUUGAUCAAUAAUUUUGCAUCUAUAAAAACUAAAAAAAUUGAUUUUAAAUAAAUAAGUUUUAGUAAAAUUAAUACAUAUAUUUAACCUUAAAUUUUUUAAAAAUCUAAUUGAAACAAUUCCCCUAAAAACCCAUAAUUGAUUGAGCCGUUACUGUCUACAAGACUCGUAAAAACAAAGACACCAAAGUGUACAUUGUUAGUCACAUGUAUUUUUGUUAUUUUUAUUUUUCAUGAGACUUCUCAAGUUGUGAUUUGAUGGUUAAUAAUUUGCUUCAUCUUGUGUCAAAAAAGAGAGGCUCCCCGAACAAGCUCACACCAACUAGUCUAAUUUUGUAUGCGCAUGUGCUUAUGUAGUAUGUACUGCACACUGAUGAAGUACGUUAUCAUUGUGUCAAAAAGGAGAGGCUCUGACUCCUUGACACGCCCAAUACCGACUAGACUAAUUUUUCAUACGCACGUGGCUCAUGCACUGCACUACAGUGUAAUGUGGCAAAAUUAAGAAGAAAAAAAUAAAUAUUGAGAAAUUUUAAAAUACAUAAAAAAUUAUAUAAUUACUAUAUAUAUAUAUAUAUAUAUAUAUUAUAACUACUAAUUAUAUAUCAGUUCUUUCAAAUAAAUAUACUUAUAUUAUAAAUUUAUUUAUUUAUUGUAUGAAUGGCAUAAUAUCUUAAAGGUAUUUUUAAAAUUUCUUUAUGUCCUUGUCAUUUUCGACUACUAGCCAAUGCGGUGGCAUUUUACAAGCUGAUAUGGUGCCUCACAGAAACUCUUUUGUUUUGAGUUUGAUGAUCCCUAGGAAAUGGCACAAAUAUCUCUUCUAAUGGUAUUUUACAUGCUGUUGAUGAAAAGUAGCAUAUGUUUUGGGAGACUAAUGGUAUUUGCAUUUUGUUUGCAAAUUCUAGUAAAGUCGGGCAAUACAAGAUUUUUGAAUAAAAGCUUGUUUAAUCUCUAUAUUUUGAGGUUAAUAUCUUUUUAGUUAAGAAAUAUAUCAAAAUAUUUCUAAUAUUAAAUUAUUGAUACCCUGACUUUAUUAGUUGUUCCCUUUUCGCUUGCUUUUACAUACUAUCAUAUUACAAUAAUGUUUAUUUUUUGGAUAUUAAUAAAAAGAAAAAAAAAUUAAAAUACCCAUUUAAUCCCAAAAAAUUAAUGUUGAAUACUCUACCGAGGAGUUACUAUAUUAAUUUUUUUAUUAAUGUCCAAAAAAAUUGGUAAUUUAUUUUUUUUUACAUUAUUAAUUUUUUUGACAUACAUGAGCUUCCAGAAAAAUUAAUUUAUGUUUUUUAUUUUUAUUUUACUUUUAGGGUUAAAUUGAUAAUUUAAUUUUUCAUUUUUAUUAAUGUUCAAAAAGAAUUAUUGUAAGAGAGUAAUAUUAUAAAAGUAAGAUAAAAGACACAAAAGGUAACGGCAGAGAUGUCAAUAUUUUAACGACAGGAAACUUUGAGGUAUUUUUAAAAAUAUAGAUAUUAAAACAGAUACAAAACUCAAAAUACAGAGAUUAAACAACCUUUUUAUGCAUUCUUUUUGGUGCUCCAUAACUCUUAUGGAAAUAGUUUCGUUGAUUAUUAAACACAUGCUUCUACACGUUUCUGUUCACUGUAGGACUAUUAUAAAGAAAUACCGACAUCGUUGAUUAUUAUAAACCCAUGCAUCGGCAAGUUAGAAUUCCCUCAUGAAAAAAUAUGAUUAUUUUUUGCCUUCUGGUUGGGGUUCAUAGUUCCUUCUUUUCAUUCUUAAUUUUUAUGACUUCCACAAUUAAUUUUUGUAGUUGAAGUAAUAUUAAAUUGUACUAUGUGUAUGCAUGUGUGUAUAUGUUGCUUAUUACUUCGGAGGACUUAGGAUGUUUUCUUUGUGUGGAUUAAUCCUUAUAUAAUUAUGAAGUGUUUUUUAGUUACUGUAAGAAAUAGAACGAAUUAAAUUAAAAAAAGAAAUAAAUAUAUAGUUUUUAUGUUGCGACAUAUUAUAAUGAAAUUCCUUUAAUAAAAACUAUCACCUAUAAUCCAGAAACAUUCAUGUUGUAUCACUAAAUAUUUAUGCAAAAGCGUACUUGAAUCUAUAAUGAUUAAUUGUCCUCUGGAGUUGCGUCGUUGGCUAUGCAGAUCUACACGUUCUCCUAAAAAAUACUUUAAAUUUCUCAUUACUCUCUCUGAUGAUGGGAUGUCAGAAAGAAUAGAAAGAUAUAUGUGACCUGUGGACCAUAACCACUUAUAUAGACAAUUUUUUUUCCUGUUGUCAUUAGGUUAUAUGCCCACACCUUAUUAGAUACAUUAAAACUUAUAAUACCGAAAACCUUAAUGGAUUACUUUUAAUUGGGCUUAACCUUAUAUGACAGUUUGCGACACAUAAUUAUUAACACAUUAGCCCAAUGUUGGAUUAACGAUCUGACAAUGCUAGAUUAAAAAAUCCACCAAUCUCCCAUUUGGGCUAUAUGUGUAACCUUAUAAUUAUGCUUUGCAAAAAUAACUGUACGAGCUCAACCUUACUGUCAUUAUCAAAAUGUAUCUAUAACUAAUUCGAUUAAUUAAUCAUACCAAUAUAGGUUCAAAGCAGCCUUUGUUACAACUAUCGUAAUUUGACCCAUCAAUGGUCACUAUGCCAAUACAAUUGAAUGACAUGGAUCAUAAUGUGGAUGUGUAGCAUAGAAAUUUCAUGCAAUGUGAUAUUGACAUGCCUAUUUCCAACUGGUCCAUCUUAAACCUUAGUGAAAUCAAGCUAUACCAAAAAUCAGAUUGUGAAUAAACUAAAACUUUAUUUCUGCAAAAAAUGACCCUAAAUAUCCAUAAACUAAAAUAAUUGAAAAAUAUCUAUAUUAUAAGAGCAUCCAAAAUCACAAACUCCCACUAAAUCUGAAAAGUAUAUUCAUUUUGCUUAAAAGAAUAUUCUCAAAAUAUUUAAAUUUUAUGACUAGUAUCAAUAUAUACUAGGGAUAAAAUAGAAAAAUGAUAUUUAAAGCUAACAUCAUCAUAACUACCAGGGGGUUUGGACCUAUUUGAGGCUCCGUUUGGUAUAACUUUUAAAGUGGAGUUUAAUUGAGUAGAGCUUUUAUUAGUAUAACUUUUUAUAAGUAGAGAUUUUACCCAAAAAAAAUUAGUUGUUUGGUUGACAAUGAGAAUUUUUAUUAAAAAUUAUAAAAUUACUUUGAUAGAUAAGUUUUUAAAGUUAUGUUAUUAAAAAAAUAAAAUAUGAUUGUUAAAUAAGCAAAAGGUAUUUUGGAUAUUUUAACAUUUAAAAAAAACUUUUCAACCUCUAUUCCCAAAGGCCAAAAUUCAAGUUUUUACUAAUAGAGGUAAAAUAGCUUAUAUAAUUUUUAAAAACUUCAUGAAAAAAAAAAAAACAACAACAAAUAUUUUGAUAAGAACUUAUAAAAUUAAAUAAGCACUUAUGACCAUUAGAUAAGUCAUACUAAGAGCUUGUUUGGUAUGGCUUAUCUAAUGGUCAUAAGUGCUUAUUUAAUCCCAUAAGCUCUUAUCAUAAUUUUUAUUGUUGUUUGGUUGUUUUUUUAGUAGAGCCUUUAGAGCUUAAAUAAGUUAUUUUGCCUCUAUUAGGAAAAGCUCAAAUUUUGGGCUUUUGGGAGUAGAGGUUGAAUUUUUUUUUUAAAUGUUAACAUAUCUUCUACUUAUUUGACAAUCUUAAUUUAUUUUUUUAUAACAUAACUUUAAAAAAUUGUCUAUUAAAGUAAUUUCAUAAAUUUUUAAUAAAAGCUUUUAUUGACAGCCAAACAACUAAAAUUUUUAGGUAAAAGCUCUAUUUGUAAAAACUCUACUAUCAAAAGCUCUAUUUAAAUAAGCUCUACUUGAGUUUUGCUUAAUUUGUCUAAGGCAAAAGGACACCUACACCCCCAAGGUUUGCGGAAAUGUCACCAAUAUCCCCAAGUUUUCAAAAAAAGAUACCAAAACCCUCUCUUGACCAUUAUACGCUUUACCUCUAUUAUCUCAAACAAAUUGACAUAAAAUUUUUAAUAAUUGCAAAUACUAUAUAAAUAAUGUAAUCUAUGUAGAUGACUAAUGAUAUGAAAAUAUUUUAAUAAAUUUAAAUAUGUAAAUUAUUAUAUUUAUUUAAUAAUAAAUUGUAGAUAUUUUAAAUAAAUAUUUGCAUUAAAUACAUUCUACAAUUAAAAAAAAUCUCACAUAGCAAUAAUGUUAAAAUUAUCAUUUUACAUAAUAUUCAAAAUAAUUCAAGUUUAAUACUUUUAUUUUAAUAUUAUGAUUCUAUUUAUUAUAAAAUUUACUUUAACAUAAUAAAAUAUAUCUAAUAGAUUGUAAAGUAUUAAAAUAUUUUUUGAAUUUUGAAAUUAUUUUAGAAUGUAUAUAUUAUUACAGUUAUUUUAAUGUUAUAUUCUGUUCAUUAUCAAAUAUUAGAGACAAUAUUUUUUGGAAUAAUGAAGGUAAAGGGUAUUAUGGUCAAAAGAAGGUCUUGGUAUCCCAUUUUUGAAAACCUAAAAGUGUUGGUGACAAUUUCUUCAAACUUUAGGGGUGUGAAUAUCGUUUUCCUUUUAUCUGAAUAACAAGGUAAUCCUUAUUUUCCCUUAUUAUAAUCUACAUAUAUAUUAAAAUUUGAUAUCUAUUAAGAUACGCACAUUUGUAGUACAAUCAGAUGCCUUUUAAGCACUAACUCAGAAAUCUACUUUCACUAUUAUUAGGGUCACAUGUGUAUCCUAUCCAAUCUACCUUUUGUUGAUUAUAUUUUGAAAUAAAUAAAAUUCGUUUUUCAUAAAGUACUUUAUAAUUGUAACAAACGAAAAUUUAAUUAAAUUAAUUUCAAACAAUUUUUUAUCUUCUUUACAAUUUUGAUUAUUUUGAGUAUUAAUGCUCAACAUUACGAUAUUGACAUAUUGUUUGUAACUUUCCAUAUUCGUAUUUCUAUGUAAGUAUGUAAAACAAGUUUUUAAUGAAAUAAAUAAAGCUUUUACUAGUAGAAUUAAAUUUAAGAUUUUUUUAAUCAUGAGUGCGUGUAUUUAUUGUGUAGUGUAUAGAAAGAUUCUGUAAAAAUUUUGUACGGAAAAAAAUCAAUAAAUAAAGAUUAUACAACAUGCAUCCGAAUGUAUGCUUGAUGUAUGUCUGCACGUAAGAUUUCUCACAAGACGAAAAACUUCUAGAAUACAUUGAAGGUAUAAUGCCAACCAUAUAAUAAACAAAUGAUGAUAUGACAUAUAUUUAUUUAUUUCAAAGAACCACCAUGCAAGUGAUAGUUAUAUUAAAUUCAAUUAUAUAUGUCAUACAUACGUUAAUUAGUUUGAUUACAUUUGAUGUAUUAUAAGGAUGUACUCUUUUUCUUUUCUGAAUAUAAUAUCUUUGUCGUAUUAAGACUUACAAAUUAAACGCAAAUGAAUAAGAAAAAUAAAUGAUAUGCACUGCUCCUCUGCCUAUAUAUAUACAUAUAUAUAACGUUGUAGAUCACCACAAACCAAAGAUUAAUUUGAGAAUAUCUCCUAAGUGUGAGCUUGCACUGCAUCUGUAAAUCCAAUGUCUUCUUGCACUACUCCCUCAACCUUGUUUAUCCCUUCAAAUGGUUUCAAAUGUCCUCCACUUGCAACAAAUAGAUCAGCCAUCAGAAUCAAUACUAAAAAUAAGCUAGUCUGUUGCCUUGCCAGCGCCAAGUAUGAUCACUUGACUGUUGACAGGAGAUCAGCAAACUACCAACCUUCAAUUUGGGACCGUGAUUUUUUGCUGUCAUUGAAUAGCGACUAUACGGUAUUGAUUAUUAUUACUAUUACAUAUUAAUUUCCUUUGUUCGUUUCAAAUUGGGACCACGAAUUCUCUGCAGUCAUGUACAACUAAAAGCUAAACGCUGUGCAUUUACAGGAUGAAAUAUACAAAAGACGAGCAUGUAAAGAAUCGUGGAAGUGCUCAAAAUUGUAUAUUAUUUGUUGCUGUGUACAAGAUCCUUAUAUACAAAAAAUACUAGAAUCAUCUAAGGCAAGUACUAAACGGUCAAAUAAUAGAAAAGGAAAGAAUAUAAAGGAGAAUGAAUAUUACAAUGAAGUAAAUAUGCUAAGUUAGUGGCUAAGAUCAAGGACCGAUUGAUUUUUGUUCUAAUACUCCCCCUCAAGUUGGGAAGUGAAGAUCCGUAACUCCCAACUUGCCAAGAAGAUAUUGAAACUGAUCUUUACCAAGAGCUUUGGUAAAAAUGUCAGCCAAUUGUUGUCGUGAAGGCACAUAAGUUAAGGAAAUGAUUUUGGCAUGAAGCUUUUCACGAACAAGAUGGCAGUCUAUUUCUAUGUGCUUGGUGCGCUCAUGGAAGAUGGGAUUAGUAGCAAUAUGAAGCGCAGCUUGAUUGUCACAAUGUAAAGUUAUAGGCAUUGGUUGGGUCACAUGGAGAUCACGAAGUAGAGUUUUCAACCAAACCAAUUCACAUGUUGUUGUCGCCAUGGCUCAAUAUUCGGCUUUAGCUGAAGAGCGUGAUACAACUGGUUGCUUCUUGGUUUUCUAAGAAAUAGGACUGUUGCCGAGCAUGAUAAAAUAUCCUGUGGUGGAUCGACGAGUCAUAGGGCAACUUGCCCAAUCUGAACCUGAGAAGGCUGAGAGUUCCAAAGAGCUAGUGGAGGACAAGAGGAUAUCAACGCCUGGAGAAGAUUUGAUAUAACGUAAGACACGCAGGGCAGCAUCAUAAUGUGGUCGUCUUGGAGUGUGCAUAAAUUGACUAAGUGUGUUCAUAGCAUAUGUAAUUUCUGACCGGGUGAUUGUCAAAUAUAAGAGACGUCCUACGAGUCGUCGGUUUUGGCCAGGAUUUUGACAAAGCGUUCCUUGUUCGUUGGAGAGCUUCAAGUUUUGUUCCAUUGGAAAAGAAGAUGGCCGUGUGCCUAAUUGUCCACUGUCUUGAAGUAUAUCUAAAGCAUAUUUCCGUUGAUUUAAGAAAAUCCCUUGCUUUGAACAAGCCACUUCAAUUCCUAAAAAAUAUUUCAAGGUUCCCAAGUCUUUAAUAUGAAAUUGAGCCUGCAAAAACAUCUUCAAUGCAGUUAUAGUGUCAAGAUGGUUACCAGCGAUUAUUAUAUCAUCAACAUACACAAGCACCAAUGUAAAAUGAGAAUCGUGCACAUUAGUAAAUAAACAAGAAUCAUCAUAAGAUUGAAUGUGACCAAUUUUUUAAAGAGCGGAUGAGAAUUUUUCAAACCAAUUUCGAGAAGCUUGCUUGAGACCAUAAAGGGACUUGUUUAACUGACAAAAUUGAGAAGACUCCCCCUGUUUACGAACUCCUGGAGGUAAGGUCAUAUAAAUUUCCUCAUGCAAGUCUCCAUGAAGAAAUGCAUUAUGAACAUCCAAUUGAAAUAAUAACCACCCUCAAAUAGCUGCCACUGCCAAUACACAUCUAACAGUCACAAGUUUUGCAACAGGUGCAAAUGUCUCGUGGUAAUCCAAACCUUCAGUUUGUGUGUAUCCUUUAGCAACAAGGCGUGCUUUGUAUCUCUCAAUAGAACUAUCAGCUUUUAUUUUAAUUUUGUACACCCAUUUACAACCAAUUGGUUUCUUUCCGGGAGGUAGAUCUUGUAUUGUCCAAGUGUUAUUUUGCUCCAAAGCAUUAAUCUCUAUAUCCAUAGCAUUGCGCCAAUGAGCAUGUUGAACGGCUUGAGAAUAUGUAGUUGGUUCAACAUCGGGAGAUAUGGCUGAAAGAAAGGCUACAUGAUCACUAGAAAACUUGUCAUAUGAUAAAUACUUAGAUAAUGGAUAUAAAGAAUUUACCGAGGGUGGAUGAUUAGUAAAAGUAUUAGAGUUGCCAAAUGUACCAUGAAGUGCAGUAGAGAAAAUAUAAUUCUGAAGAUAAUGUGGAUGGCAAGACUGUCGUUGGGACCGUCGAAGAGGUGGAGAAGGGAUAACUAUUGAAUCAGAUGUACCUUGGUGGAGUGACUUCUCAUUGGAAGAAGUUGGAAGGAGUGGUGCAUUUUCAUUGGUAGGAAGUAUGAUAGAAAGAGGUAAAGCAUUGGUAUUUUCUUGUUGAUUUGUGAUAGUUUUGAAUGGGAAUUCAGUUUCCACAAAAGUAACAUCACGAGAAAUGAAAGUCUUUCUAUUAAUGAUAUCAUAAACUUUGUAUCCGGGAUACCCAAAUGGGUAACCAACAAAUAUACACUUGGUGGCACGAGGAGCAAAUUUAUGACCAUUAGCACUGUUGGUAUGAGCAUAACAAAGACAGCCAAAGACACGAAGACGAUCAUAGUGAGGUUUAGUCUUAAAAAGCAUUUCAUAAGAAGAUUGACCACCAAGAUUAGGAGUGGGUAUACGAUUAAUCAAAUGGGUUGCAGUUAAAAUACAAUCUCCCCAGAAAGACAAAGGUAAAUGUGCUUGAAAACAUAAUACACGUGCAACUUCUAAAAUAUGUCGGUGUUUGCGUUCCGCUACCCCAUUUUGUUGAGGUGUUUCAACACAAGUGCGUUCAUGCAAGAUGCCAUGCUCAUGAAAAAAAGAUUGCAUCUGAUUUGAUAAAAAUUCACUUCCUUGAUCAGUACGAAUUUUUUUAAUUUGUGUGUGAAAUUGUGUCUUGAUCAAGAAGUAAAAGUUUUUUAAUAACUGAAAAGCUUCAAACUUGUGCCGCAUGAGGUAAACCCAAGUACGUCGGGUAUGGUCAUCAACAACAGUAAGAAAAUAAUGUGCUCUCAUAUAUGUAGAUGUGCAAUGAGGCCCCCAAAUAUCACAAAAAAUUAAUUGAAAUGGCAUAUCUGAACGUUUUUUAUUCAACUGAAAUGAACUUCUAGUGUUUUUUGAAAGUUGACAAAUUUCACAACAAGAAUUAAAUGAUGCAAUAUCAAAAAUAAAAGACAAACGCUGCAUUCGGUCUUUAGAAGGGUGACCGAGUCGCAAAUGCCAAAGAUUGGAAUUGGGUUCCUUUGCAACAUUCAUUACUGAAGGAAGGGAAGAAUGACCAUUGAUAUGCUCAUAAUAAUAUAGUCCAUCCCGAACUUCACCCUUUCCAAUCAGUUUCUUCGUUGAAAGGUCCUGAAAAACACAAAAUGAAGGGAAAAAUAUAGCAGCAUAGUUCAAAUCCUUGGUUAGCUUGCUUACAGAUAAUAGAUUAAAAUUAAAAUGAGGAACUAAUAAGGCAUUAUUUAAAGUCAAAGAGGAUGAUAAUUUAAUGGAUCCAUAUUUUGUUGUAGGAAUAGUCGUGCCAUUUGGUAGUCUCAUGGGUUUGACAUGAGACAUGGGCACAAAAUUUUUAAAGGAAGAAAUAUUAGGGGUCAUGUGAUCAGAUGCCCCACUAUCAAUUAUCCAAGAAUCAUUAUGCGAGUUAAUAGCAGAAUUGCAAGAAGGAAGGAUUUUACCAGCUAAGUUUGCAGUAGAUGGUUGCUCAUUUGUUGAAAGUAUAGAUAAUAACUGUUGAUAUUGUUCAACUGUGAGACCGAGAAUUUGGAUAGUAGGCUGAGAUGAUGAAUUCUUGUCUGUUGGAAGGGAAUGAUCGUUUAGUUGUUGUGGCUUUGUGGUUGCAGGGGCAGCUACAUGCGAUCGAUUUGAAUGUUUCCAGUUUGGUGGGUAGCCAACAAUUUUGUAACAUUUGGCUUUUACAUGCCCAUAUUUUUCACAAUGAUCGCAAAAAGGUCUACCCCGUCCUUGUGUCUCUUGUACUCCAUGCAAAUGGCUAGGAUGUGAAUGAUUUUGACGAUUGGUCAUUUGAGUCUUAUUAUUGGCUGUCAAAGCUGUUGAUUCAAUGGAUGGUUGACUGGAAACAUGGAGAAGUCGUUGAUGUUCUUCCUGAUGAAUAAUUGAAUAUGCUUUUCCAACAUUUGGAAGCGGCUCCAUGGCUAAGAUUUGACUUUGUACAGAAGAAUAUGAGUCAUUGAGACCCAUUAGGAAUUGAAACACCUUUUCAGUCUCUAGUAAUCCUUGCAAUUCAUUUGAAGAAAUAGUGGUUAAUGUGGACAAUUCAUCCCAAUAAAAUUUGAAAGUAUUAAAAUAAAUCACUAAUGGGUUUUGCUCUUGCUGGUGAUUGCAUAUGGCUCUCUUAAAUUCAUAAAUCUGUAGAUUAUUACUUUGUGAAAAACGUUCUUCCAACCCAAGCCCAAGAGAGCGUGGAGUAUCACAAUAAAUGAGGCUGCUGGCAAGAUUUUUCUCUAUUCCAUUGAGCAUCCAUGAAAGGACCAUGUCAUUGCAUCGCUCCCACGUUUUUAAAUCUUGUGAGGUCGAUGAAGGUUUUAGUAUGCUUCCAUCAAUAAAACCCAAUUUGUUUUUAGCAUUCAAUGCCAUCUUCAUGGAUCUUUUCCAUGUUUAAUAAUUAUCACCUGUUAGCACAUUAGAUACAAGAAUGGCUCCAGGAUGAUCAGAUGAAUAAAGAAAGUAUGGUGAAGAAACAUCGGUAAUGAGGGAAUUUGAUGUUUCGGAUAUUGGAUUUAAACUACUAGACAUGAUUGUCAAAGAUAAAAACAGAAAUGAGCAAAACCUUGCUGUGAUACCAUGUAAAGAAUUGUGGAAGUGCUCAAAAUUGUAUAUUAUUUGUUGCUGUGUACAAGAUCCUUAUAUACAAAAAAUACUAGAAUCAUCUAAGGCAAGUACUAAAUGGUCAAAUAAUAGAAAAGGAAAGAAUAUAAAGGAGAAUGAAUAUUACAAUGAAGUAAAUAUGCUAAGUUAGUGGCUAAGAUCAAGGACCAAUUGAUUCUUGUUCUAAUAGAGCAGAAGAGCUGAAGGGAAAAGUAAAGACAACGAUUAAGUAUGUAACCGAGCCACUGGAUCAGUUGGAGCAGAUUGACAACUUGCAAAGACUUGGAUUGGCUUAUCAUUUUCAGACUGAAAUUAGGAACAUAUUGCAUGGUAUCUACAACAAUAAUAAGGAUGAUAAUUGGAGAAACAAGAAUGUGUAUGCAGCCUCCGUUGAAUUUAGACUACUUCGACAACAUGGCUAUAAUGUCUCUCAAGGUACAUUUCAUCAAUUCACUUGCUUUGUCGUGCACAUGCAUGAUCUGGAUACUUGAAUCUCUGUUGUUGUUUUCUUCUUUUUUUCCUCCUAAAAAAUAUAGAAGAAUAGACAAAGCCCAAAUCAAUUUUUUGACUUGCUAUCUCCCGAGAAUUUGAACUUGACCAGGCCACUAGGACCACUCAAAUUAUUUUCUAAUUAACAUACACAUAGAGUACUUCUUUAGUAAAGGCAUUCACACUUUGUUAAAGUGAGGAUGCACACUAAAAUAUAAAAAAAACCUAGAUUUUAAUGCAAUGUGUUUUUUUUUAUGUUAUUGUAUUAAAAUUUGUGUUUUUUUGUCUAUUAGUAGUAUCCUCAUUUUGUUAAAAUGAGGAUGUCCUCACUAGAGAAUUAUUACACACACACACACACACACACACGCAUAUAUAUAGACGAAGCUACAGUGCACGGGUGCAUGGUACCCCUAAUUUUAAUAAAUUACUUUGUGGUCCCUCUUAUUUGUUGAAAAGUGAAAAAAUUAGAAGUUUUAAAAUUUUAAGAGAUGAGUCCAAUAUAUUUCUAUUAUUUACACUUAGAGUAUAUUCCUAUUAGUGUAAGUGUAAAUAAUAGAAAUAUAUUGUUAUUUGUUCAUAUUAUUAUUAAUAAUUUAAUUUUUAUAAUAUAUUUAAAUUAUUUAUAAUUGAUUAAAUAUAUUUUAUGUUGUUUCCAAAAAAUAGAUUAAUAUUAUUGAUAAAUUAAUAUACUUUUAUUGUAUAUUUAAAUUAUUUAUUAUAGAUUAAAUCAAUAUUAUGUAGUUUUAUAAAAAAAUAUUUUAUGUUCUAAAAAGUUUUACAAGUUAUUGUCCUUAUAUUAUCAUUAAUUCUAAGAGUCAAAUUGGGUCAAUGGAUCAAAAUAUAAAAAUUUAAUAUAAUUUAAAAUUAGGUGUCAAUUUUUUUUUUACUCUUUUGCUUUUUAAAAAAACAUCAGGGACAUCAAUGUUAAAAAUCAGAAAAUAUAUCCAUAUUAUUGAAGCAAGUUCUAUGUUUGAUCUAAUGGACAACUCAUAUAUAGACAAAAUGAUGGGUACCAUGCACCAAAUGCACGGUAGCUGGACCCUAUAUAUAGUGGAUUUCCAAUAAGCGAUUCCUGACCGUAUUAAAAUUAGGGAUGAGAUAAAAAAUAAAAAAAAAUUACAAAUUUCAAUAUACUACUAGACAAGUUACAUUGUAUUGGAGUCUAUGUUUUUUUGUUUGUUAGUUUAUUCCUGAAUUUAAUACGGUUAGGGAUCCCUGAUUGGAACAUUUAUAUAUAUAAAUACCUAAAAAUUUUGAUGAAUCUAAUUUGAUUUGGCUGAAUACUGCAGAGGUUUUCAAUGGUUUUAAAGACGACAAAGGAGGCUUCAUUUGUGAUGAUUUCAAGGGAAUAUUGAGCUUGCAUGAGGCCUCGUAUUACAGCUUAGAAGGAGAAAGGAUCAUGGAGGAGGCCUGGCAAUUUACCAGUAAACAUCUUAAAGAAGUGAUGAUCAGCAAGAGAAAGGAAGAGCAUGUAUUUGUAGCAAAACAAGCGAAGCGUGCACUGGAGCUCCCUCUGCAUUGGAAAGUGCCAAUGUUAGAGGCAAGGUGGUUCAUACACGUUUAUGAGAAAAGAGAGGACAAGAACCACCUUUUACUUGAGCUCGCUAAGUUGGAGUUUAACACUUUGCAGGCAAUUUACCAGGAAGAACUCAAAGACAUUUCGGGGUAUCCAUGCCUUGACUGCGUAACUCAUAUUUAUACAUAUAUCAAAGAUUUCAUUUUAUCAAAUGCAUAACUUGUACAAUUUAAUCAUGUGUAUUAAAAUAUUCUCAAGUGUAGACUCCACAACUUUUACAGUAAUGUAAAGGCAUGAGUCUGCACGUUAUAAAGUGCAGAUGUUUGCAGUAGAGAAUGACACUAAGGAAUCUUGGACUAGAAGAUGACUCUAUAUAUAAAUUAUUGGAAAGCCACGAGUCAUGCGCUUUAUAAAAUGGGAAUGUUUGCAUCAGAGAAAGAGUCUUCAGAAUUCCAGAUUGAAAGCUAACUCUCUAUAUAUAGAUAUAUGUAACGUGUGUCCUAAAUCGUAAUAUUCGUUUUAAUUUUCCCAUGAAGGUGGUGGAAGGAUACGGGUAUUGGAGAAAAAUUGAGCUCUGCGAGGAACUGGUUCGUAGCAUCCUUCUUAUGGAGCAUGGGGAUAGGAUCUGAGCCUCGAUUGGCCUACUGCAGGAGAAUACUCACAAUCUUGAUUUCUAUAAUUACAGUGAUUGAUGACAUUUAUGAUGUUUAUGGAACUCUGGAUGAACUUGAGCGAUUCACCGAUGCUGUUGAGAGGUUUGCUGGCAAAUUAAUGUUAUAUCUAAUUGAUUAAUUCAACUGCAAGUUAGCUGCAUGCUGCUUCUCAGAUUAAUAGACCAUUUAUAUGAUUUUUUUGUGUCCCCCUUUUCUACAGGUGGGACAUCAAUUAUGCUUUCAACCACCUUCCGGACUAUAUGAAAUUGAGUUAUUUUGCUCUUUACAGCUUUGUUAAUGAAUUUGCUUAUUACGUGCUCAAGCAACAGGAUUUUGAUAUGCUUCGGAGUAUAAAAAAAGCAGUACGCAAAAUGUUAAUUUCACCUCUCCUGCCGUUCCUUUCCUUUGAUUUAUCCUUUUUAAAUUAUAAUGUUUUUGUCUCGAAAAUUAUAAAUUGUGACUAGUUUUAUUUUCUGUGUCAUGUGCAUCAGUGGCUUGGCUUAAUACAAGCCUACUUAGUGGAGGCGAAAUGGUACCAUAGUAAGUACACACCAACACUGGGAGAAUUCUUGGAAAAUGGACUGGUAUCAAUAGCAGGCCCAAUAGUCACAAUAAGUGCAUACCUUUCUGGUACAAAUCCGAUCAUUGAGAAGGAGCUAGAAUUUCUAGAAAGUAAUCCAGAUUUAGUUCACUGGUCAUGCAAGAUUUUUCGUCUUCAAGAUGAUUUGGGAACUGCAUCGGUAUGAUUUUUUUUUUUUAAAGAAGACAAAAGUUGAAUUAAUCCUCUAUAUAUGAAUUGAUCGUACUUUUUUCCCCCACAAUAAUUCAUCAGCACGAGAUACAUAGAGGGGAUGUUCCGAAAUCAAUCCAGUGUUACAUGCAUGAAACUGGUGCCUCGGAGGAAGUUGCUCGUGAACACAUCAAGGAUGUGAUGAGACAGAUGUGGAAGAAGGUGAAUGCAUACAGAGCUGAUAAAGAUUCUCCCUUAUCUCAAACUACAGUUGACUUCAUCUUGAAUCUUGUGAGAAUGUCCCAUUUUAUGUAUCUAGAUGGAGAUAGGCAUGGAAUUCGAAACCAAGAGAAUAUGGAUGUAGGUUUUACAUGGCUUUUUCAGCCUGUUCCCUUGGAGGACAAACACAUGGCUUUCACAGCAUCUCCUGGCACCAAAGGCUGACGCAUGAUGCGUUUCCAGAGUAUAAUUUCAGUUGACGUUGGCCUCAGAUUUUCUUCUGAGUUUCUUUUCUUUCUGAUGAGGAGGUCUCAUUUUGAUGGUUUUAAUAAAUUCCCUCGUUCGUCGAGGUCUACAAAUGAAAUAAAAAUGUUACUUUUAUUGAGAGUAGAAGUCGUCAGGAUAUGAGAACUAUUUUCUAGCCAACGCAUGAGAAUGUCAGAAUUUGUUAUGUAUGCUAUUAUACUUUAUAUUCAAGCAUGGUUCAUAGCAUGUUAAGGCACAACAGAUACUCAGUAUACAUGAACCAUUUAAAUCGCAUACGACAAAUCAUACCCACGAAAAAUGAUAAUAAGCAGCGAACAGUGACAAACGCAACAACAAUUAAGGAUGGAAAUCAGAGCUGUGCAAUAAAAAAGAAAAUCACAAGGGUAAAAAAUUUAAUAUAACCAAUUAAAAACAGGAGUUCCUAAUUUUUGGAUUAGCAUAAAGACAGGAGCACCUAAUUAUUCGAUUACCCCAUUUUAUCUUUUAAUGUCGUAUGAGUUUAGAGAAUAUGAGUGUAGAGAGUUGGGUUCAAUCUUUCUCACUACUCAAAAGGAAAGGACUCUAGUGGAACCGACUUGGUACACACUGCUAACUGCCGAGAAAAUCAAAUCAUGAAAAGCUCAAGUUACAAACAGUGCUCAAAAGAAAGCACCAAACUGGUUUCAUAAAUUAUUAUGUGACCUUGAAGUACUGAGGUUAGUAAAAUUAUGAUUAAAUUAAAAAAUAAUAUUUGGGGUAUGAUAAGAUAAAAGGAGAGGUCUAAAAUUUAAAUGACUUUGCUCUUUAUUGAAAUAGGGUUCGGACAUUCAGUGGGCUGUCUUAGUCAAUGGGCUGUUUAAUCAUCGAUUGGUCGUUUGCUGUUGGUGGAGGCUCAUCCAACACGUUUAAAAGCUUGUCGAACAUAACGAAUCUCUCUAGUCAAGUAAAAAUUUUUGUAUAGCCCUCUAAAAGCUCUAAAAGCUUCCACUGCACAUGAAUUUAAAUUAAUUUAAUAUUAUUUUUCUUUUAUUAUUUCUUUUUUGUUAAUGAGAAAAAACAAAUAUUUUCUUUUCAUGAUAGCCUGACUUGAAUGACUGGCUUUAAACCUUAUUGGAAAUUUACAAUGCGGGAUGAAGCUGACUGUGAGGGUUGCUCACGCUGCUAAUUAAUCAAGUCAAACAGCCAGGUCGUGCUAUAUUACAUCAUGUGGAAUAUACAACAACUCUUGAACUAUCAUCCAAAAUAAAAAAAACCACGACAUAUGAAAUAAUGAAAUAAUUAAAUUGUCAUAGAUAACAACUCGUGGGUUUGCUAAUAUAAAACAUAGUCUAAGCCCAAAAAACCACAUAUAGCACUGACUGAAAAUUAUUUGUUCUAAUAACAGUGAUCGAAUUUAACAGCUACUUGUCAUUAUUUGUUGAAAGAAGCCUUUCUUGUUGAACAUGCGCGUGCAUGUGUCAACUUUUGACUUUUGGCAUAAUUUGUUGAGUAAGUGGAAGACAUGAGUAAGUGAGAGGGUAGCACACAAAUUUGACUUCCGCAUCAAAAUGGAGAGUUAAAUGAAAAUAUAUAUUAUUUUAAAGCCCACUAUUUUGAUUUUUGGGCAUUGCUUGGCCUAUGAAUAGAGGCUUCACUUUCAUUUACCCUCUUCAUUCAUCCCAUUUUCUUCAAUUCUCAAUCUAAUUGAGAAGUAAGAGAGCCAUGAGUUAGAGAUUGAGAAUGCCCUGACAGCUUUAAGUUGUUGUUUUAGUGAUUUGAGAGUUUGGGUAUAGUGGGGUUUUAGGUUGUGAGACAAAAUACUACAAUACUUGUAACACAUUUUCACUAGUAAAAUAUUCUCUUUUAUGUUUGCCCGUAGACGUAGGCUAAAAGCCGGACCAGUUAAAUUCUAGUAUCCCUAUGUGAUCAUUGUUUCUUAAUUUCACUUUAGUUGUGUGUCUACUUCACCCGUUAAUUUCCUAAUAGUGAUAUCAGAGCCAUUGGUUGUUUUUUUUUUUUUUUUUGGAGUCGGGAUAGUGAUAAUAUAUAUGAUACUAUUCACGUGAAACGGCGAGAGCGAUCCAAGAAUUAUGUGGUUCAAAGCAGGGAAUAGUGGUAUGAGUGGAAGUAAUUGCGUGGUCUUGUACAUGCCUAGAAAAGUUCUAUCACAAAGGCAAUAAGAGCUUAAGGAGCCUGAGUUUUAAAUUGGACCGUCGUGACCCAUAUAGUCUUUCCUGAGAACUUGCCUGAUGUGUAUUUUCACACGUGCGAUCACUUAUAACUAUACAAGGUGGUACACUAACUUGUGCACGGUAUUUAUCAACAAAAUAACAGUAAAGUUUGAAAUUAAGAAGUUCAAUAGAAGUAAUUUCUUGUUGUGGAAAAUGAAAAUGCAAUCAAUCUUAAGGAAAAAUAAUUGUUUAGAAGCAAUUGGAGAAAGAACUGCUGAAAUAACUGAUGACAAGUGGAAUGAGAUGGACGGUAACGCAAUAGUUGAUCUUCACUUGACACUUGCGGAUGGGGUGUUAUCCAGUGUGGUGGAAGAAAAGACAGCAAAGGAUAUAUGGAAUACUCUCACAAAACUGUACGAGGCCAAGUUGCUACACAAUAAGUUCUUCUUAAAGAGGAGACUCUACACUCUUCGAAUGGCAGAAACCACAUCGGUGACCAACCAUAUUAAGACUCUAAAAACUAUGUUUUCAUAACUUACAAUGUUGGGUUAUAAAAUAGAAGAAACUGAACAUGCGGAGCUUCUACUACAAAGUCUACUUGACUCGUAUGAUCAACUCAUCAUCAAUUUGACGAUCAAUAUCCUUACAGAAUACCUAGUCUUCGAUGAUGUUGCAGUCUCUCUUUUAAAGGAAGAGGGUACGCAUAAGAACAAAGAAGACAAGCAAGUAAGUUUGUAGCAAGUGGAAGCACUAAUGAUGGUGAGAGAGAGAUCAGUGGAACAUGGUCCCAGUGGGUGUUAUAAUCAUGGCAUAUCAAAGUCAAGAACUAAGAAGAAAAUCAAGUGCUACAAAUGUGGCAAAAUAGAGCAUCUCAAGAAAGAGUGUUGGAGUAACUAAAAGAGAAGAGAGGGUAAAGAUCCUGAGUCAUUAAAUACCUCAGAUGAUGGUGAUGUUUUAUACAGCUAGGCAACAAUGGUUGCAGAAGGAAGAAAAUAACUAUUUGAUGUUUGGCUUACAGACUUAAGAGCCACCUGCCACAUGACCUCUUAGAGAGAAGGGUUCCAUAAAUAUGUACUUAUCUUAGGGGGAUUUAUAUACAUGGGUGAUGAUCAUGCCUUGGAGAUCGCUAAUAUUGCUACUGUCAAAAUAAAAAUGUUUGAUGGUAUAAUAUGCACUAUUCAUGAGGUACGACAUGUCAAAGACUUGAAAAAAAUCUAUUGUCUUUUAGACAAAUAAAUAGUCUUGCCUGUAAAACUCAUGUGGAAAAUGAGAUCAUAAAAAUUGUCAGUCGUGUGCUUGUGUUAAUGAAGGCGGAAAAGAUUAGUGCCAAUUUAUUCAUGCUUAAGGGGGAAAUACUGCAGGAAGCUAAUGUGUGGUCGUGUCAAAUGGAGAAGAGUAGGCAACGAUGUGACAUCUUAAACUCAACCACAUGUUCGAACAAGGUUUGAAGAUUCUCUUUGAGUGAAAGUUGCUUCCGGGACUUAAAUCAAUGAACUUACUGUUUUGCGAGUACUGUGUUAUGUUGUGCAAAUUUUAUUGAACUCGCAAGUGCACGAAUCUAUUGUAGAAUAGAUCAAUGGUGACGAGUGUCGAUCCCACGAGGAGGUGGAUUUUAAUUGUGUGUAGAAUUAAUUUUCUAAAUGGGUGGUUGGAUUUGUGGUGAAAAUGAUUUGGAUUAUCCUAAAAUUCGAAUUAAAAUGGCAAGAAUAAAUUGAAGUGAAAAUUAUAAUAAUUGAAGUGCUUGGGUAUCUGGAUCCGCAUCAACAUGCACCAUGGGCUAAAUAUUCCUUAUUAGUGCCAAUUAAAUCAUGAGGGGGGAAUCCACACCUCAUGAACCACACUCUAAUCAAUAUGGUGCUAAGGGCUUAUCGUGCCAAAUAAUAAUAACCAUGUACUAGAGAGCCGGUGAAACCAAGGCGGUAUCUAGACAAGAUUAUUAUUAUUUGUCGACGAGAAGUCAAAGCAUCCACAAAAACUAGAGGGGAAUAGAAAAUAAAUUUACCAAAAUAAAGCCCAUGACACAUGUUGAGACUUCACCUUCAACCCAAGCUUGAAAGAAAAUUAGCUACUCAUAAUUGAACUAGGGGCAAAAAGAGAAUUUAUUAAAAUACGUAGAAAAUACAAGAUGGAGAAGGAAUUACAAAAAAUGGAGUCCAAAAAUGGAUUCAGAGAUAUCAAAUUAUGGGGGGAGAGCCCCCUUUUUAUAGAUACAUUGAGUAAAUCAUGGCCAUCAGAUCAAAAAUAUUUCGGACGCUCAGGAUUGCGCCACGUCAUCUGUCAACAGUACGCGGUUUGAACAGUAACACGGUUUGACCCGGGUUGAACAGUGACGCGGUUUGGUUGAAAAUAAUCCUAUGUAAUGCAUGUACCGUACGCAAGAUUUCUGGUCCACUGAUAUGCUGCCACGUCAUUGAUCAGCAGUGCAUAAGAAUUUUAUUCCAACAGGAUUGUGACACCUCAUCAGUCAAUGCCACAUCAUCGGUCAAUGCCACGUCAUCGAUCCGUCUAUGUGAACAGUGUCGUGAACAGUAACGUAGACAGUAUCGUACAUGUGAAUAGUAUCGUACAUGCGAACAAUGCCAUUUUUCCUUUUAUGCUCCUCCUAAGGUUUUCGACCAUCCUGAGUUCAAAAGUGAUGUCCGUUUUUCCGUCUGAUCUCUCGUUCACUGUGAAAUGACUGUGAUGCCCCCUAAAAUACAUAAAAUACUUAAUUAUAAUACAACACACAUAAUUAAAUGACAAAAAGUUUAAAUACAUAAAAGUAAGGGUGUUAGUAAAACUUGAAGUGUAAAAUGACGAUUUUCUCCUUUAUAAAUAUACAUUUUCUAACACUCAACACACCCCCCAACCAGCUUAUUGCUAGUUCUUAGCAAAUAAAGUGAAAACAAAAUUCAAAUCCAAAAUGAUUUAUUUUAAUUUUUUAACAAUCAUGUUUAUUCAAUCAGACUAAUGAUAGUAAUCAAAUAAAAGUAUAAGCAUUAUCUCCAGUCUAAAGAAACAUCACACCUACAUCAACCAUCCACAUGAAUUAGCCCAAUGGACUUUGUCAUAGCUACUUUCAAGAAUGACAUGUCAAACCCCAAAAUCUCACUGGAAUUAGUGACACUCUCACAAAUAAAUUAAACCCAAUAAAAAUAGUUACUCCAAUGAAUGGUAAUUGAGAGAAAAUAAUAAAGAAAUGAUGUCACAUGCUCUCACCAAGAUGAAAGAAAUAUGCCCUCAACUUAGAAAUAAUACGAUCUCAAGUCAAACAAAAAUGCUAGUCAACCCACUUUAUUUAUCUUUUUUUUUUCUUUUUUUUUAUUUUGCAUCACUACAUCUUUUUAGCCCAUAUAACUAGCUUCUACUUCAGACUAUAGUUCCCUAAAAUCAAGAAGGACUUUUAUUAGGACGUAACGUAGGCUAGGGACAUGGCUAACAAAGGAGGGAAAAUAAGGAAAACAAAGUGUAUGUUUGAGAAAAAUGUAGAAUUUUUUUUUUUUUAGGAGUUGCAAGGUAGAUUUCACCUAUUAUUGUUUUUUUUUAAACAACAAUUUUUUUCUUUUUUUUUUUUGGCACAACUUCACUGAACAAAAUAAUUAUUUACUCAAACAUAAAUAUGUGAUGAAACAUGUAAGAUAUUGGGUAAUACUACAAAUCGGAGUGGGUCAAGAUGAUAAGUUUGACAAAGAAAAAAAAAAAAUAUAUAUAUAUAUAUUUUAAAGGCUCAAAAGGGUUAACUAUGGAUAUUUCAUAAGAGGGAUGGCUAGAAAGGCUCAAACGGAUCAAAGAUGAUCUUUCCAUCAUCUUUUAGGGCUAUAAAUAAUCUUCCAUAUAGACUAGUUAGAUGGGCCUCCAAAUGUAGCAACACACAUUUUUUUCUCUUUUUUUUUAUUUUACAAUUUUUUUUUAAGGGUUAACUCAAAAGAAAUCUAGAGAUCGUGUAUAAAAUAAUAAACUGCUAAAAAAUUGGCCUUGUCUUGCUUGGUCCAAUGCUCUGGAAGUUGACCUGUAACAAGAUAAUUAACGAUAUCAGCAUACCAUGGUAAUACUUCCACACUCAUCAAUUGUUCAUCUGGGAAUGACUCAUUCAAUGGUAAUGUUUCCAUAAUUGUGUCAAAAUGGAGACGAGAGAGAUGGUCUGCCACAAUAUUUUUUGUGCCUUUCUUAUCUUUAAAUUCCAAGUCGAAUUCCUGCAAAAGUAACACCCAACGAAUUAGUCUAGCUUUUGCAUCUUUCUUUGUGAGAAGAUAUUUAAGAGCAACAUGAUCCGUAAAUACAAUUAUUUUACAACCAAUGAGAUAAGAUCGAAAUUUUUCUAAUGUAAACACUACUGCUAGCAUUUCUUUUUCAGUAGUUGAAUAGUUCAACUGUGCAUAAUUCAAUGUCAUACUAGCAUAGUAAAUAACAUGGGGAAUUCGUUCAACUCUUUGUCAUAACACUGCUCCUACUGCAUAAUCAGAUGCAUCACACAUGAGUUCAAAUGGUAAGCUCCAGUUUGGGGGCUGAAUGAUGGGUGAUGAUGUCAACAACCGCUUUAAUUUUUCAAAUGCCACAAGACAUGAAUCAUUAAAGACAAAAGGUACAUCCUUAGCAAGUAGAUUGCAUAAGGGUCUAGAAACUUGGCUAAAAUCUUUAAUGAAACGUCUAUAAAAACCAGCAUGCCCAAGGAAAGAUCUUACUUCUCUGACUGUUUUGGGUGGAGGAAGAUUAGAAAUGAGAUCCACCUUGGCUUUGUCAACCCCAAUACCUUUGCUUGAAAUGAUGUGACCGAGAACAAUACAUUGUUUUACCAUAAAAUGACAUUUUCCCCAAUUUAAGACCAAGUUCUUCUUGAUACAUCUCUGUAGAAUUAGUGUUAGAUGAUGUAAACAUUGAUCAAAUGAAUCACCAAAGAUAGAAAAGUCAUCCAUAAAGACUUCAAGAAAUCGUUCAACCAUAUCAGAAAAAAUAUUUAACAUGCAUCGUUGAAAUGUAGCAGGUGCAUUACAUAAUCCAAAUGACAUUCUCCUAUAUGCAAAAGUGCUAAAAGGGCAAGUGAAAGUGGUUUUCUCUUGAUCUUUUGGUGCUAUGGGAAUCUGAUUAUAUCCUGAGUAACCAUCUAGAAAGCAAUAAAAUUCAUGGCCUGUUAAUCUAUUAAGCAUUUGAUAGAUAAAUGGUAAAGGGAAAUGGUCUUUACGUGUGACAGAAUUCAACUUUCUAUAAUCAAUGCAAACACGCCAUCCUGUAGUUACUCUAGUGGGUAUCAAUUCAUUAUCGGCAUUCAUAACUACUGUGACUCCUGACUUUUUAGGGACAACUUGUACAGGACUGACCCAUGAACUAUCAGAAAUGGGGUAAAUGAUACCUGCAUCUAAUAGCUUAAGGACUUCAGUUCUAACAACUUCUUUCAUGUUAGGAUUUAAUCGACGUUGCAUUUCCCUAGUAGGUUUAACAUUUUCAUCAAAGUGAAUGUAAUGCAUGCAGUCUACUGGGUUUAUACCUUUUAUGUCUGCUAUGGUCCAUCAUAAUGCUCCUUUAUGCUCUUUUAAAACAUCCAACAACUUACUUUUUUGUUCGUCAUUUAGGGAUGAUGAGAUGAUUACCGGCAUAGUACUUUCUUCUCCCAAAAAUGCGUAUUCCAAUGUGUUGGGUAAUGGUUUGAGCUCGAGUUUCGGUGGUGAUUCUGAUGAUGGGAUGAGUUUCUUCUCUGAUGGUGCUAGUUGUUCAACUCUUGACUUCCAUUUAUUAGUGUCCAUGGAUGAUGCUGAGUCAAGUAGGGCGUUGACCUCAUCGAUCGAUCUGUCAAUAUCAAAAUCCAAACCAAAGUGAGUUAAACAUGUUUGUAAAGGAUCAUCACUAAGGUUUGAAAGAAAAGUAUUAUCAACUAUUGUUUCUAUUAAAUCCACAUCAACAAUUCCAUCAUCUGCAUUGUGAGGUUGUUUGGCAAUGUUGAAGAUGUUUAGCUCCAUAGUCAUGUUGCCGAAGGACAACUGCAUAUUUCCAGUCCUGCAUUGAAUGUGAGCAUCCGCAGUUGCCAAGAAAGGUCGGCUUAGAAUAAUGGGGAUGUGCUUCCUUGAAUCCUGUAUUGGUUGAGUGUCAAUUACAAUAAAAUCAACAGGAAAAUAAAACUUGUCUACCUGGAUAAGAACGUCCUCCACAAUACCACGAGGUAUUUUCAUGGACCGAUCUGCAAGUUGUAACAGCACUGGAGUUGGGUGUAAUUCUCCCAGUCCAAGUUUCACGAAAACUGAGUAAGGUAACAGAUUUACACUAGCUCCUAAAUCCAACAAAGUAUUCUUAAUUGUGUGGUUCCCUAUACUACAUGAGAUAGUGGGGGAGCCUGGGUCUUUGCAUUUUAGAGGAAUUUAAUAUUGGAGUAUAGAACUAACGUUUUCUGUUAAAAAUACCUUCUUUUGAACAUGAAUAUUUCUCUUUUUAGUACAAAGGUCUUUAAGAAACUUGGCAUAAGAUGAAACUUGUUUUAUAGCAUCAAGCAAAGGGAUGUUAACACUUACCUGUUUGAAGAUUUCAAGAAUCUCACCUGUGGAUUUUCCCUUCUUUCCUUUAGCUAACCUCUGAGGAAAUGGAGCUUUGGGAACAUAUUCUUGUGAGUUGGUUUCUUCUCUCUCCUCCGGUGAUGAGUCCUCAACAUUCACAUGUACAAUUUGAUUUUCUUUUGUCACUGGCAUCUCCACUUUGUUGUCGACUUCUUUUCCUUUUCGCAAGGUCAUGAUUGCUUUGACCUCUCCAUGCUGCUGUGGUGAACUGGUACUUGCUUCAUGUACUCCUUUAGGAUUACACACUAGUUGAAUUGGAAAUUUACCUUUUUCAACAGUCAUUGCCAAGGUCUGAACAGAAGAAGCAAGUUGUCCCACCAUCUUGUCCAGGCUUGAAACUGAUUGGGCUUGUGAGUUGAAACAUGCUCUCAACUCAUUUCGUAGUCCAUUAAUGGUGCGAUUCUGUUGCUCAAUCGUAGAGUGAGUAACAUUCUUGAAAUUAUGGAAUGCAUCCUCCCAUGGUCUGGGUUGAGAGUAGUUUUGGUUUUGAUUGUAUGGUCUAAAUGGUGGCUGAGAGGCUUGAGGAAUUUGAGGAAUUGGUUGCAUUGGUAGAGCUGGAGCUGCUGGUCCAUUCUGUUGGAAUCCUUGAGACCAUGAAAAAUUGGGGUGGUCUCUCCAUCCAGGGUUAUAUAUGUUGGAGUAUGGGUUGUAAUUUGAUGGUUUUCUCAUUACACCUAUGGCAUUGGCUUGAUCUGAGUAUGAGUCAUGGUCAUGUGGUUCUGUUGAUUUAGCAGUCGAUAACGAUGCUAUUUGUCGAGCGAGACCUUCAACCAUCUCUUUAACUUCUUUGAUUCCCGAAGUUGACUCGCUAAUGUGAACCUCAUUCACUCCUUUAAUUCUUUUAGUAUUCCUGAGUGACCGACUACGUUGUUGGGAAUUAUCCGCUUGUCGCUGGAAGAAUUCCCAAAUCUCUGAUGCACUUUUUGACAUUAGCUCUCCUCCACUUGUUGCCAUUAGCCAUUCUUGCACAUUCGGCAAUAAUCCCUCCAAAAAGUAUUGGCAUUGGUGCCAUUUCUCGUACCCAUGAUGUGGACACUUCAAGAGUAGCCCAUUGAAUCGCUCCCAUGUUUCGAAAUACUGCUCGUCUUCUCUCUGGGCAAACUCUAAAAUUUCCCUGCGAAUAGCAUUGGUUUUAUACACUAGAAAAUAUUUAUUAAAAAAUUUUGUUACCAUUUAUUCCCAUGAUGUGAUGCUAUUAGCAGGCAAUGUAUUGAGCCAUGAACGAGCUCUAUCCUUUAAAGAAAAUGGGAAUUGUCUAAGUUUAACAUCAUCAUCUGAAAAAUUCUCAUAUCUAAAUGUUUGACAAACAGCAUGAAAAUCAUUCAAAUGAUUAUAUGGGUCCUCAUUUUCUAAGCCAUAGAAUGCGGGGAGACAAUUUAGCACACUAGGUUUUAGUUCAAAACUCCUAGCAGCUACAUUUGGGUAUCUUAUACAUGAUGUGCUCAAAUUAGCUAAGGGACUAAAAUUGUCCUUAAAUGGCCUCUCCUGUGGUGCUUGUAAAUCCAUUCCAAAUUUAUUUUUAACGUGCUUGUGUGUGCGAAAUAUUUUUUCUAGUUCAAGGUCUAUAGGUUCAUGAUUAUGUAAUAAUGACCUACGACCAUACAUGUAAGAAACACAAAAAUAAAUGGGAACAAAACAAAUAAAAAUAAAGAAGAAGGAGAAAUUACGUUACUAACCUUAUCACGCUGUUAAAACCUUUCUAUAAAAAUACACAAAAAUAAAUACGUGAAAUAAAUUAACUAAAAAAAAAAUUAGUAAGAUAAACAAAAAUUACAAAGAAGAAAAAAAAUAACUUGAAAUUAAAUUACAGAAUUUUAAAGAAGAGAAAAAGAAAAGAAAUACUAACCUCUAGAUGCAGAUUCACUUUUUUUUUCUUUUUUUUAAUAAGAAAAAAAUACAAGAAAACAAUUAAAAGAAAUUAUUCACAAAAAUUAAUUCUACAAAUUAAAAUUACUUACCUCCCCGGCAACGGCGCCAAAAACUUGUUGUGCAAAUUUUAUUGAACUCGCAAGUGCACGAAUCUAUUGUAGAAUAGAUCAAUGGUGACGAGUGUCGAUCCCACGAGGAGGUGGAUUUUAAUUGUGUGUAGAAUUAAUUUUCUAAAUUGGUGGUUGGAUUUGUGGUGAAAAUGAUUUGGAUUAUCCUAAAAUUCGAAUUAAAAUGGCAAGAAUAACUUGAAGUGAAAAUUAUAAUAAUUGAAGCGCUUGGGUAUCUGGAUCCGCAUCAACAUGCAUCAUGGGCUAAAUAUUCCUUAUUAGUGCCAAUUAAAUCAUGAGGGGGGAAUCCACACCUCAUGAACCACACUCUAAUCAAUAUGGUGCGAAUGGCUUAUCGUGCCAAAUAAUAAUAACCUUGUACUAGAGAGCCGGUGAAACCAAGGCGGUAUCUAGACAAGAUUAUUAUUAUUUGUCGACGAGAAGUCAAAACAUCCACAAAAACUAGAGGGGAAGAGAAAAUAAAUUUACCAAAAUAAAGCCCAUGACACAUGUUGAGACUUCACCUUCAACCCAAGCUUGAAAGAAAAUUAGCUACUCAUAAUUGAACUAGGGGAAAAAAGGAAAUUUAUUAAAAUACGUAGAAAAUACAAGAUGGAGAAUGAAUUACAGAAAAUGGAGUCCAAAAAUGGAUUCAGAGAUAUCAAAUUAGGGGGGAGAGCCCCCUUUUUAUAGAUACAUUGAGUAAAUCAUGGCCAUCGGAUCAAAAACAUUUCGGACACUCAGGAUUGUGCCACGUCAUCAGUCAACAGUACGCGGUUUGACCACGCGGUUUGAACAGUAACACGGUUUGACCCGGGUUGAACAGUGACGCGGUUUGGUUGAAAAUAAUCCUAUGUAAUGCAUGUACCGUAUGCGAGAUUUUUGGUCCACUGAUAUGCUGCCACGUCAUCGAUCAACAGUGCAUAAGACUUUUAGUCCAACAGGAUCGUGACACCUCAUCAGUCAAUGCCACAUCAUCGGCCAAUGCCACAUCAUCGAUCCGUCUAUGUGAACAGUGUCGUGAACAGUAACGUAGACAAUACCAUACAUGUGAAUAGUAUCGUACAUGUGAACAGUGUCAUUUUUCUUUUUAUGCUCCUCCUAAGGUUUUCGACCAUCCUGAGUUUAAAAGUGAUGUCCGUUUUACCGUCUGAUCUCUCGUUCAUUGUGAAAUGAAUGUGAUGCCCUAAAAUAUAUAAAAUAUUUAAUUAUAAUACAGCACACAUAAUUAAAUGACAAAAAGUUUAAAUACAUAAAAGUAAGGGUGUUAGUAAAACUUGAAGUGUAAAAUGACGAUUUUCUCCUUUAUAAAUAUACAUUUUCUAACACUUAACAUGUUACAAGCAAGCAUAAUAGAUUGAAGUUUAGCAGAUCUGAUGCCAAAAGUAAAUGCAUUCUAAUCCUGGUUUAUUCUGAUGUUUGGGAAUCACUGGAUAUGUCUCUGGGAGGUACAAAGUACAUGGUGACUUUCAUUGAUGAUUAUUUCAAGAGAUGUUAGGUGUUUCUAAUCAAGAAACAGUCAGAUGCAUUUUUAGUGUUCAAAGAAUAGAAAACGCAAGUGGAACUUGAAUUCGGGAUAAAGUUGAAGUGUUUGAGGACAAAUAAUAGUGGAGAGUAUACAGAUGAUGAGUUCCUUGCAUACUGUAAGUAAGAAGGUAUUUAGAGAUAGUUCAUGGUGGCACUCCUUAACAGAGUGGAGUAGCGGAGCUAACAAAUGAGACUUCUAUAGAAAGAAUAAGAGCUAUGUUGAGGACUGCUAGUCUACCAAACUCAUUUUGGGCAGAAGCAGCCAAAAUCGCUUGUUAUAUGGUUAAUUAGUCUCCAUUAACAACAAUUGAGUUGAAGACACCAAUGGAGAUGUGGACUGGGAAGUUAGCUAAUUACUCUCAUUUGAAUGCAUUUAGAUGUCCUGUAUAUGUUAAGUACAAUACCCACGAAAGAAUAAAGUUUGAUCCAAAAUCUAAGAGAUGUAUCUUCUUGGGAUAUGUUGAUACAGUGAAGGGAUAUUGUUGGAUAAUUUCUAUUGCUAUGGGUGUCAAUGUGCAAGUGUACACAACAAGUAAUGUACUAAUGAGUAUUUAGAUCGUCUCUAUAGGGAUUGAUGUUAUCAGAUUUGCUACAGCAAUCUUAACAGUGCAAUUUUGUUCUAAAUUAAAAUAAGACAAUUUAUGAAACUAAUAAACUAAUUAAACUAAAAAUGUAAUAAAUAAAAUGCAAUUAAGAAAAUCUCACGUCAAACACAAGGAUGCAACCAAUAAGAAUAGAGUAGUUGAGUGAAUAAACUCACUUAAUGACUUUGACUAUUUUUCAAUUAUAGUAUUGUUGCUAUAGCAUUUACUACAGCACAGGGCAAAAUCCCUCAUGCAUUCUCAGUUGUCGCCUGUUGGAUAUCUUAUAUCUAAUGCAACCUAACAGUGACCAAUUGUUAUGCUAACAUUAGAUAUAACAUUUAAUGUUCUAAGUUCUAAUUACCCUACAAGAUGAAUCUGUAUAUUAUCUAGUUCUUCACUAAUUUUUGAUUAAGUAUGACCCUAUUCAAAUUGAGAUUCACUCAACUUGGGAAACCCAAUCUAAAACCAAGUAUUGUCUUAAUUUGAUCCACUGAGUUAGACUUUUUUUAGGCUCUUCCACUAGGUCAGACCUUUUUUAGACUCUUUCUUAGCUUGUAUCCACAAAUGAUUGGUCAGCCGAAAUAGAGAAUUGAAAUAAAUACAAUUAAGACAAAAUGCUAUAGCAAACACAGAGCAACACACGUAUAUCAGUCAAACAUCUAUUAAGAUCGUUUAUCACUUAACUACACUAAAAUUUAGUUCAUAAUUUGUGAUAGAACAACAAAUACAAUUGUUAUAGCCAUCCAAUACAUUCCCAUAAGUAAAUAGAAAACCAAAAAAUAAGAAUAAGAACUGAAGUCUGCUUGGUCUUUGUGAUUUCACCUCUGUUUCCUUCUUGAAUCUAUUGUUACAGCCCUCAAAACUAUCUUUUAAUUUCUACUUUCUUAUUAUUUAUGUUCGGUGAUCUCCUUGGGUGACAACUCUCUCUUUUUCUUUUCAUGCGUGUUUCUUUUAUAACACAGAAUUAGGGCAACUAAAAGUGUGUGGCACGUAUCCUCCAUUUUAGAAACUUUAGAUUGCAAUCUUUUAGUUGUUGCGUGCGAAAUCCAGUCUGUCAUUGCUUCAAGAUUGCUACAACAACGGCAACAGCAUCUACACUGUUCCAGACUUGUUUUAAUUCCUCUGUACCUAAGUUUUUUCAUUGUCUCUGUAAGUCUGUUGCGGCAUGCAUUUCUUCCUUAAAACUUGAGCUUUUAGGCAGCUAUAAUUAUUUAUAUAAUCUAAAUACAAAUUAUUCUAAAACAACUCAAUUUAUUAAAAAUAAACUAAAAUGGAUGCUCAUGCAAAUUGUAACUAAAAUGAAAUAAAAGCACAUAAUUUAUUCUCUAAGUAUUAUUAAGUUAAGUCUAAAAGUGUCAUGAUAACUCUCAUUUCAUAGAGUUAUCAGGUAUCGUAUGUGGGAUCCUACUGCCCACAAGAUAGUCAUCAGCAGAAUUAUUAUCUUUGUAGAAGAUUGAGUACAAAGAAAAGAUGAGAAUGAUAGCACUGUAAAGAAAACGUCAGAGAUUGUACUGGUAUAUAUGGAAAAUAAUUUAUAAAGAAAAGAUUCAGGUUUUUCUAAAGCAACCCUAGAGCAUAAGGAACAAGAAUCAGUCGAAUCCGAGGCUCUAGAACUUUGUCGGUCAACUUAUGAGAGACGAUCACUAGUGUGGCACUCGAAGUAUGUUAUAAAGAUCAAUAUUGCGUACUGUCUUCUAACAAAGGAUAGAUAGCCAUCUGAUAACUCUAUGAAAUGAGAGUUAUCAUGGCACUUUUAGACUUAAAUUAAUAAUACUUUGAGAGUAAAUGACAUGUUUUUAUUGCAUUUUAGUUUAUUUUGUAUGAAUAACUAUUUUAGUUUAUUUUUAAUAAAUUACAUUAUUUUAGAAUAAUUUGCGUGGAUAAAUCAUAUGCAUAAUUGUAGGUGUUCGGAAGCUCAAAUUUCAAGGAAGGAAUACUGAUGCAAUAGGCUUGCAAAAAUAAGGAAAGAACAUAGCUACAAAAGAAUUGAAACAAAUCUGGAAUAGUGCAGUUGCUGUAGCCGUUGCUGUAGCAGCCGUUGCUGUAGCAACCAUUGUUGUAGCAAUCCUGGAACAACGACAGAGAAAAUUCUGUGUGGGAUACUUGCAGAAUUGUGAUCUGCAGUUUCCUAAUCUGACUUAUGCGCACCCUACGCUUCCCUUUACCCUAAUUUUUAGCUAUAAAAGAAGCACACAUAAUAAGGAAUAGGGAGAGCCGUCACCCAAGGAGAAAGACAGAAAGAAACAAAAGAACAACAAGAUUCAAGAGAGAGAUUAAGGGCUGCACAAGAGCAAAAAUUGUAGAAAUCAAUUGAGAGCUCAAUCCUUCUUAUCAUUCUCUUGUUUUCGUGUUUUCUAUUUAUUCAUGGGGAUGUGUUUCAUGGCCGAAACUUUGUUCUUUAUUUUUCUUUUGCAAACCAUGAACUAAAUUUAUUUGUAGUUGAGUGAUAAACAAUCUUGAUGGUUUAUUUACUGAAAAUAUGAGUUGCUGCAUGUUUGUUGUAUCAUUUUGUUUUGAUAGCAUUUAUUUUUAUUCAUUAUUUCGAUUGAUCACUCAUUUAAUAAUACAAGUUAGGGGAGAGCCACAAAAGGGCCUAUCUUAGUGGAACAUAUCAGAGCAAUACUUGGUCUUAGAUUAGGUUUCCUGGAUUGAGUUUUACUUGAGUCCAAAAGGGCCAUGCUUGAUCUAAGAUUAGUGAUGAAUUAGACAUAGGGAUUCACCUUGUAUGGUAAAUAGAACCUAAGCGUACUGUAAUGCUACAUCUUAUGUUGGCAUAACAACUGAUAACUGUUAGGUUGCAUAUAGAUAUAAGAUAUCCAAUAUCCGACGGUUGAAGAUACAUAAGGAUUCUGCCCAGUGCUGUAGCAACCAAGCCAAACAUUAGAAAAAUAGUCAAAACCAUUAAGAGAGUUUAUUCACUCAACUACUAUAUAUUCCCAUUGAUUUUAUCCUUGAGCUUGACGUGAUAAUUUACUUUGUUGCAUUUUAUUUAUUGUGUUUUUUAUUUUAAUUAGUAUAUUAAUUUCGUUAAUUAUUUUUUCUUAAUUUAGAACAAAAUUUGCACUGUUAAGAUUGUUGUAGCAAGUCUGAUAACAUCAAUCCCUGUGGAUUGAUGUUGCCGGGGAUUGAUUGCACAUUGACACUAAUAGCAUUUGAAUUUAUACCCAACAAGUUUUUAGCACAGUUGCCGGAGAUUGAUUGUUCAUUGUGAUUUGUGAAAUUAGUUUUAACGGUGCUAAUUUUUAAUUUUAUUUUGAUUUGUUUAUUUUGUUGACAUAGGUGAUCUAGCAACCCUUGCAUGGGCAAAUAUAAAUAUGUUAAAUUCCAAUUUGAUCCAGAAAUUGAAAGAACCGCAAGGAGAUUAAGAAGAGAGUGUCGGGAAUUACAAACUGCUGUAGUAAUGGAUGAUUUGCAAGAUAUAAGGAAUUUGAACCCCUGAGGAGAAAUACAACCAGUAAUUGCUCAAGGAGGUCAAGAAGGUCAGAAUGGGUAGAAUAUUCAUGGGAAACCAGGCCAUAACAAUAUUAUUUACAUGACAGACGAUAUAGAUAGAGCCAUUCGAGACUAUGAAGUGUUGACUCCUCAAGCCAUGCAUCUUGGAAUAGUUAGACCCGACGUUCAAGCUGACAAUUUUGAGCUUAAGCCAGUGAUGUUUCAGAUGCUGCAAACAGUGGGGCAAUUUAAUGGACUGGCAUAAGAAGAUCAUCAUCUACAUCUUAAGCUAUUUUUGGAAGUGAGUGAUGCUUUCAAGAUUGCUAGAGCAUCGCAGGAAGCAUUGAGACUCAGACUUUUUCCAUUUUCUUUUAGAGAUCGAGCAAGAGUAUGGUUGAAUUCUCUACCACCAGAUUCUAUCACUGCAUGGAAUGAUUUGGCUGACAAAUUUUUGAUGAAAUACUUCUUGCCAACCAAGAAUUCAAUGUUGAGGAAUGAGAUCACAUCUUUCCAUCAACUUGAAGAUGAGAGCUUGUGUGAUGCAUGUGAGAGAUUUAAGGAGUUAUUCAGAAGAUGUCCUCAUCAUGGCAUUCCUUGCUGCGUACAGUUGGAAACUUUCUAUAAUGGUCCCAACCCAAGCACUAGAUUGAUGGUGGAUGCUUCAGCAAAUAGGGCCUUGUUAUCUAAGUCUUACAAUGAGGCUUUUGAAAUUUUGGAGAGGAUAGCCAACAAUAAUUAUCAGUGGCCAUCAACCAGACAAGCUACAGCAAUAAGAGUAGCAGGAGUCCAUAACGUAGAUGCCUUGACAGCAUUGUCAGCCCAAGUAACUUCUUUAACAAAUAUGGUAAAGACUAUGACUACUGCUCCAGCAAUUGUUAACCAAAUUUCUCAUGUGUCUUGCGUUUAUUAUGGAGAAGGGCAUUUAUUUGACAAUUGUCCUAGUAAUCCAGCUUCGGUUAACUAUAUGGGCAGCUUCAACAGACAGAACUAGAGUAAUCCAUAUUCAAACACUUACAACCCUGGAUGGAGACAACAUCUGUACUUUUCAUGGAGUUAUCAAAACCAGACAGUACCCAGUGGAUUUAUCAGAAAAAUCAAGAGCAAAGAAGCAUCAACAAUGAUAAACUCAACUCUCUUGAAGAUUUGAUUAAGGAUUAUACUGUGAAGAAUAAAGCAGUUGUCUAAAGUAAUAUUGUAUCUUUGAGAAACUUGAAAAAUCAAAUUGGACAGCUUGCUACAGUAUUGAGCAACAGACCUCAAAGUAGUUUACCCAGUAAUACAGAGGACUUAAGAAGAGAAGGGAAAGAGCACUGUAAAUUGAUUAACUUGAGAUUUGGAAAGGAUGUUCAUAGUCCCUGUUGGUGUACCAAAAAGAAGAGCUGAGUCCAUUUCAAUCCAGAAAGAAACUCACAUUGAAAAAGAGCCACAAUCCUUCAUUUCACAGCACACUGGUGAGACCAGUCAAGCUACAACAUUUGUCGAAAAUGAUGAUCCAACACUUGUGGAUAACGAGGUUGUAGCACCAACCCAGAACAUGGCAAAAGAGAAGCAGUCUGCACAACCUAUUGCAGCACAGCAGUUUAGGCACCCACCACCUUUCCCUCAAAGAUUUCAGAAGCAGCAACAAGACAAGCAGUUCAGCAAAAUCUUGGGAGUGCUGAAACAACUACAUAUCAAUAUCCCUUUUGUGGAAGCUCUAGAGCAAAUGCCAAACUAUGCGAAAUUUUUGAAGGAUAUCUUGACAAAGAAAAGAAGAUUUGGAGAAUCUGAGACAAUUGCUCUAAUACAAGAGUACGCCCAAAUGCUUCGGAGUAAGAUACCGCAGAAGAUGAAAGAUCCUAGAAGCUUUACAAUCCCUUGCUCCAUAGGCACUAAAUACAGUGGUAAAGCACUUUGUGAUCUGGGGGCUAGCAUCAAUCUCAUGCCUUUAUCAAUGUUUAAGCAAUUGGGAGUUGGUGAAUGUAGACCAACAACAGUGACUUUACAACUUGCUGACAGAUUUCAUGCAUAUCCAGAAGGGAAGAUUGAAGAUGUGUUGGUGAAGGUGGAUAAAUUUAUUUUUCCGGUAGAUUUUUUUGCGUUAGACUUUGAGGCAGACAAAGAAGUGCUAAUCAUUCUAUGGAGACCUUUCUUAGCCACGGGAAAGACUUUAAUUGAUGUUCAAAAAGGAGAAUUAAACAUAAGGGUGAGUGACCAGCAAGUUACAUUCAAUGUGCUGGAUGCCAUGAAGAGUCCCAAUGAGAUUGAAGAUUGUAAUUUUAUCAGUGUUGUGGACUUUGUUGUAGCAGAGAGAUUACACAGUUGCUGCAGUAAGGAAGAAAUCAAUGUUGUAACAUUUGAAGAACUUGAUGAUGAAGAUCGUGGAGCAGUUAACAUAACAUGGUCAGGGGAGAAGCAACCCUUCAGAAUUUAUGAGCAAAUCCAACAAAGGGAACUCACUCCAAACCAACAAGAAUUCAAGGUUAAUGGGCUGAGAGUGAAGCGCUCUAUGGGAGCUGAUGUGAACAGCCUAAAGAAGGAUCGGUUCUUGAAGGAUUCAGGUUGAGCGAACAAGAAAGGUCAAGCUGAAAGACCUAAAAUCAAGCCCUAAUUGGGAGGCAACCCAAUAAGGGAAGUUGUUUCAAGUUUUUAAGGCAUUGAAUUUAGCUUUUAAAUUAUUUAAUUUGUCUUUUCGAUAUUUUAAGUGUGCAUCUAAUUUUUUAUGUCUUUGUGUUAAAUUGCAGCACGUAAAAAAAAUGUGGGCAAAAAGAGCAAGAGGGAAUUGCUGCAGCAUCACUUACAGCAUGACAUAUAACAGAAGAUUCUUAAACAACAAAGGCAUUUCUUGCUUUUGCAACAGCAAAUGGAUUGAUAAGAUUUUAUGAUAAGGAGCGUUUGAGAAGUGGAUCAAAGAAGAAGUGACCCUUUACAGACUGUGCUGCAGCAGUGCUUCCAGCAACAGGGCAGUACCCCCUACCAGCUAGUUUAUCUUACUUUUUUCUGCAAAACUUUUCUUUCAUUUAGUUUUAAUUUUUUGAUUCAUUCUGCAUGUCCUUUUAUUUAGUGUAUGCAUUUCUGGUUUAUAUGGUUUUGUUUUGUGUGCUUGUGAGGACACAACACCACUCAAGUUUGGCGGGGUUGUGUUUAUGAGUGCAUGUGUUUAUGCUUGUGUUGUGUGUUGUGUGUUGUGUGAGGCUCUGUUAUCUAGUAUGUAACACCCUAGUUUGAAUUCCAAGGGCAAAUAUGUUCACAACUCACAUAUGAAUUUAAAUAACUCUAUACAAACGAUAGAAUUUGAGCCUCAAAUACAAAAACCAGCGGAAUAAUUUAAAAAUUUAGCCAAACCAUCUACCAUCUUCAACUUCUCACUCAUCACAAAUCAAUCUUGACUUCUGAAAACUGAAUCACAAUAAACUAUAAUGAGUAUAAAACUCAGUAAGCAAACUAGUUUUUUUCUUAUACGAAAGUACAUACAUACUUAUACAUAAUGCAGAUGAAUGAUAUGUCAUGAUCUUUUGGAAAUAUUGUAAAACAAAUUCAGCAAAAUCUCUUUCUCUCGCUUUCAAACUUUCAUAUUUUCUUUCAAUAAAAUACGUAUCCUGCAAUGUGGCACUUUGUGCUGCGCGUGGCACUUUAGGGCGCUUUGGCCCUCAAGAGGUGGCCCCCACAGUCUCAAGAGGUGGCCCCCACACAACUUCAAGAGGUGGCCCCCAAUGCAAAAUCUCAUAAAACAAAAAUCCCAUUUGCUAAAAUCCACUUUUUCAUUCAUAGAAAAUUCAAUGCAUUUUCGUGCUCAUGCCAAUGAACCAUCACACAUACAUAUGCCCAUGUACAUAAUCACGCCCAAUAUAUAACAACACAUCACAUAAACACAUGAGACACAUAAAUCCAUAUUUGUACAUAUCAAAAUAGGCUUUUCACACAAGUCAAACAUAUAUAUUGUUUAUUGUGAUUCAUUUAAAAGUCUAGUUUACUUACCUCUUAGCAUCCUCAUGUAACAAAUUCGUAUUGAUAUCAUCAACCUAAAAUCAUCAAUAAAUUUCUCAUAAGAUAUAAUCGAGUCUCAAUCAUAAACUCUAAUGUCCUGAAAUAUCUCAAUUUAAACAUCUCCUAAACUCAACCUCAAAUCUCCUCAAUAAUCAACCCUCAAAACAGAACAGUCCAUAAUCUCUGAUUUUUUAAUAAAUUAUUCCCUCAUUGGAAAACUCUCAAAUUUUACACACCAUAUGCUGACAUAUUGAAAGUUCAUUUAAAAAAAUUUCAUAACUUGAUUCCUUUCAAAACUAUUGAAAAUAAUUGACGUUUUAGACAUCAUCAAUGUUGUCAAAUAAUUUUCUGUUUUGCACACACUUGCUUUAAAAAUACAAAACAAUUUAUUGAUUUAUCAUAAAAUCAUGAAAAUUUACAUAAUCAUACAGACAUAUAUAAAAAUCACUGAUCAAAAUUUCAUAAUUUUUGAAGAAGUCUAGUUAUGGUAAAAAUAAUUUCGUAAUUCACGUUGUGCACUGAAAUCAGAAAUUUUCAGGCUUUCAGACUUGAAUUUGAAAAAUCGUAACUACUUGAAAUCUUAUCUAAUUAACUUGAAACAAGUUUCAAAACAUUCUAGACGAUGUCUACUUUAACAUAUCCAAAAAUCAGAAUCAAAAUCAAUUUGUACAAAUUACUAAGAUUUUCGUAAUAAUUCACUGUCAGCAUAUUUAUGCAAAAUCUUAAGUUUCUACUUCUAUUGCAAUCAUGCUUCUCCAUAACGAAUUAAUAAAAACCAAGAAUUAAAACUUACCUCCAAAUCCAAAUCUUCUCUCAACAAUACCUAAUUCAAAUUAUGCAAUUUGAUCUCAUGUGUUGUCAUGGCAGAACAAAGAAGAAGAAGAAGACUUUCUUCUUCUCUUUUUCUUUUCUUUUCUCUCUUUUCUCUCCAUCUCUCUCUCUUUUGGGCUUUUUUUUUUGUUUUAGCCGAUUUCUCCUUCUUCCUCUCUCAUAAUGGAAAAGACAUUUUGUUCUAUUUAUACUAGGGUAUAAGGGAUCACUAAAAACUAAAAAGACUUAAAUACCCUUAGGAGAUUUGGAGUAUUACAUAGUAUUUGUGUAUGGAUUUGAAAACCUAAUGAAGAUAAAUUGAGUGUUAUUCAGUAUUUAUGAGAAUGCCUAAUAGGGAUAAUUAUAGUUGGAGGUUGAAAUUUUGUCUCGACACUUAGACUUUGGUUGAGUUUUAUGAGAAUGUUGUAGCAGAGUCAAGAAAACAAAAAAGAAUAGAAAAUAUCUCAAGUUUGGAGGAAAAUUUUUGUUGAACUGUGCUUGUUAUGAAAUAAAUUUUGCUCCAAUGGCUUAAGUUACCGAGUAACCAGGGCUGAGUAUGUACCCCAUAUGCAGACUUGAGUCCAAAGGCAACAAGAGUUAUGAGCAUUGCUGUAGCAUCUAUAGCUGAAAAAAAACACAAAAAAGGUCCUCUGUAUGAGAUAUUGAGUAGCCAGGUCUGUUUAUGAGCCCCAUGUUCAUCCUUGCGUUAAAAAUAUUUUUAGAUAAGACUAUGUUAUGAGUAUUGCUACAGCAACUCUGAUAUGUGCAUUGGUUGAGUAAUUGAGUAUCUCGACAUUCACGUGAAAAAUCAAUGUUACAUUGAAGAGGGUUGAAGUAAAACAAAAAAAAAAAAAUUAUUAUUGUUGUAGCACAGUUUGAGUAUAUUUGUGAUUUUUGCUCCCCAAUAUGUGAAUAUAUUUGUGUUCUACCUCUGAAUUAUAUGCAAUGUUUGUGUAAUAUUGUAGCACCUAUGGAAUCUGAUCAAAGUGGCACACACACACUUUGGACAGAAUGAUGCCUAAGUUUAGAAUUGGACUGUUAUGGCUAUUUUGCAUGAUUAAGAGUGUGAUCUGAGGGUGGAAGAAUCCUUGCAAAUUUGAUGACAUAACUAAGUCCUUUGUUGCAUGAUUGUGUAGUGUUGUUGUCAUUACUUGAGGACAAGUAAUUGUUUAAGUUUGGGGGUGUGAUAACUCUAUGAAAUGAGAGUUAUCAUGGCACUUUUAGACUAAAAUCAAUAAUACUUUGAGAGUAAAUGACAUAUUUUUAUUGCAUUUUAGUUUUAUUUUGUAUGAAUAAAUAUUUUAGUUUAUUUUUAAUAAAUUGAAUUGUUUUAGAACAAUUUGCGUGCUUAAAUUAUAUGCAUAAUUGUCGGUGUCCGGAAGCUCAAAUUUCAAGGAAGGAAAGCUGAUGCAAUAGGCUUGCAAAAAUAAGGAAAGAAUAUGGCUACAAAAGAAUUGAAACAAAUCUGGAACAGUAUAGUUGCUGUAGCAGUCGUUGAUGUAGCAGUUGUUGCUGUAGCAACCAUUGCUGUAGCAAUCCUGGAACAACGACAGGAAAAAUUCCGCGUGGGAUACUUGUAGAAUUGCGAUCUGCAGUUUCCUAAUCUGACUUAUGCGUGCCCUAGGCUUCCAUUUACCCUAAUUUUCAGCUAUAAAAGAAGCACACAUCAUAAGGAAUAAGGGGAGCCGUCACCCAAGGAGAAAAACACAAAGAAACAAAAGAAAAACAAGAUUCAAGAGAAAGAUUAAGGGCUGCACAAGAGGAAAAAUUGUAGAGAUCAAUUGGGAACUCAAUCCUUCUUAUCAUUCUCUUGUUUUCGUGUUUUCUAUUUAUUCAUGGGGAUGUGUUUUAUGGCUGAAACCUUGUUCUUUACUUUUCUUUUGCAAACAAUUAACUAAAUUUAUUUGUAGUUGAGUGAUAAACAAUCUUGAUGGUUUAUUUACUGAAAAUAUGAGUUGUUGCAUGUUUGUUGUAGCAUUUUAUUUUGAUAGCAUUUAUUUUUAUUAUUAUUUCGGUUGAUCACCCAUUUAAUGAUACAAGUUAGGAGAGAGCCACAAAAGGGCCUAUCUUAGUGGAACAUAUCAGAGCAAUACUUAGUCUUAGAUUGGGUUUCCUGGAUUGAGUUUUACUUGAGUCCAAAAGGGCCAUGCUUGAUCUAAGAUUAGUGAUGAACUAGACAUAAGGAUUCACCUUGUAUGGUAAAUAGAACCUAAGCGUGUAAUGCUACAUCUUAUGUUGGCAUAACAACUGAUCACUGUUAGGUUGCAUAUAGAUAUAAGAUAUCCAACAUGCGACGGCUGAUGAUACAUAAGGAUUCUUCUCAGUGCUGUAGCAGAUGCUGUAGCAACCGAGCCAAACAUAGAAAAAUAGUCAAAACCAUUAAGAGAGUUUAUUCACUUAACUACUGUAUAUUCCCAUUGGUUUUAUCCUUGAGCUUGACGUGAUAAUUUACUUUGUUGCAUUUUAUUUAUUGCGUUUUUUAUUUUAAUUAGUAUAUUAAUUUCGUUAAUUGUUUUAUCUUAAUUUAGAACAAAAUCUGCACUGUUAAGAUUGUUGUAGCAAGUCUGAUAACAUCAAUCCCUGUGUAGACGAUCUUGAAUACUCAUCACUUUAUUACUUGUUGUGUACACUUGCACAUUGACACUAAUAAUAUUUGAAUUUAUACCCAACACCAUCAACUUUCCAUGAUGCUUUAAACAACUCAUAUGUUACUUUGUGGAUGAUAGCAAUGUAGGAAGAAAUUGAAGCUCUACAUAAGAAUAAGACAUGGGAACUUAUACCACUACCACGUGGAAGAAAAGUCAUUGGAAAUAAAUGGAUCUACCAGAUCAACUGUGAUGGCAAUGAUCAAGUGGAGCGAUAUCGUGCAAGAUUGGUGGUGAAGGUAUAUGCUUAGAAAGAAAGUAUUAACUUCAACAAGAUAUUUUCUCCGAUAGUUCGACUCACGACAGUUAAGGCCUAGCAACGUUUGCUAUAUUCUACCUACACUUAGAGCAAUUGGCUAUGAAAACUACAUUUCUUCAUAGAGAACUUAAAGAAGAAAUUUAUAUGUUCCAACCAGAAGGUUUUGCUGAAACAGGUAAGGAGAACUUAGUUUUCAGGUUAAACAAAUCUUUAUGCGGUCUUAAACAGGUGCCAAGGUGUUGGUAUAAAAGAUUUAAUUCCUUCAUCAUGACCUUUAGAUACAAUAGUAUAUGUUUAGACCAUUAUGCAUACUACAAGAGGUUUGACGAUAAUGAUUUUAUCAUUCUGCUGUUGUGUUUGGAUGACAUGUUGGUAGUAGGGCACAACAAAUAUCGAGUCCAAGAAUUAAAGGAAUAAUUGAAUAAGGAAUUUGAAAUGAAGGACUUGGGACCAACAAACAAGAUUCUAGGGAUACAAAUUUACAGAGAUAGUAAUAAUAGGAACAUUUGGCUUUCUCUGGAGAAAUACUUGAAAAACAUUUUGCAGUACUUUAACAUGCAAGAUUGUAAGCCAAUUUCUACCCCACUUCCUGUUAAUUUCAAGUUAUCCUUAAAAAUGUGUCCUUGCAAUGAAGCAGAGAUGAAAUAGAUGUCUCGAGUACUGUUUACUUCAAUAACAAGAAGUUUGAUGUUCGUUAUGAUAUGUACUAGACCAGCUAUUGUACAAGCAGUGGGAACAGUCAGUAGAUAUAUGGUGAAUCCUAGUGGAGAGCGUUAGAAAAUUGUAAAGAGGGUUCUUAGAUACAUUAGAGGAACCUUAGAUGUUGUAUUAUGUUAUGGAGGAUGAAAAUUUAUUGUGAGGGGCUAUGUGAAUUUAGAUUUUAUAGGAGACCUUGAUAAAAGAAAAUCCACUACUGACUAUAUAUGUUUACACUUACAGGAGGAGCUAUAAGCUGGGUUUUAAAACUGCAAACUAUUGUGGCUUUAUCUACAACAGAAGCAGAAUACAUAGUAGCUACACAGUCUUGCAAAGAAGUUAUUUGGAUACAAAGGUUAUUGAAGGAGCUCGAGCACAAACAAGAGAAUAUUUCUAUGUUUUGUGACAAUUAUAGUGACUUGCAUAUUACAAGGAAUCCUGUCUUUUAUUCUAGGACAAAGCACAUAAGUGAUUAGUAUUAAAAAUUGUAUGAUUAUCAAGCGAUAAAAAUAUUAUUUUGUCCUUAUAUUAUAAAUUAUAUUUGUGUUUAUGCAAUAUAUUAAGAAUUAUUAAUUAUGUCUUAACUAUAUUUAAUUUUGUGUAUUUUUGUGUGUUUAUUAAGUAAAAUAUUAAAUUCGUUUAACUCGAGGCUCCAAACAGAUAAACGGAUGGCAAAUUCAGAUUCCGAAGGUCCGAAAACCUUAAGAUGAGUCAAAACCGACUUAAAAUUAAGGUUGUGUAAAAUAGUUGACUUUUCCUACUGAUCGAGCACUGAUUGGAUGAUAAAAUGAGCUUACAAUAGAUGUGAGUGCAUUGAAUAGCUAGUAAUUUUGACUAAAUCUCAAUCGUUCAUAAUUCAAUGGCCAUAAUUGUGCCACAUGGCAAUGGUUGGUGAAGAGUGUUGUAGGAUCUGAAUCUUUGUAUUCGAGUCAACCCGAUCCACCCAUUAGCCCACCAAAUCUCAACCAUUUUUUGACCAAAUCGGACGCGUCAAAUGAUGUCACGUGUAAUGUUAACUUUUGAAGUUUGACUAGUCGUUGGAUCGUGAUCUAAUGGCUGUGAGGAGGGCAUGCAUAAAGCUUAUGAUGGGCCGCAAAACACUGUCUUAACUAAAGCUUAUGAUCGUGUAAUGUUUAUUUUUCUAUAAACAAAGCCUCAUUUUUAUGUUUUUGAUCAUCUGUCUACAUCUCUCUUCUUCUGAAUUUCUCUUAAUUUCCCUAUAAUCUUGUUUUUCAAGUGUGUUUUUAAUAUUUUGUAUAAUUAUUUUUAUAAAUAAAUUUAGUUUUAUUUUCAAUUUUAGUUGUUUUUAUUAUUUUUAAUUAUGAGUAAUUUAAUUUUAAUAAUUAUUUUUAUUUCAAUUAUGCUUAACUAAACAAUAAUAGUUAGGGUAAGGUCAAACUCUUAGGAAAUAAAUAUGAUUUAAUGAAAUUCUAUUUUUAUUUAUAUAAAUUAAAUUAUUUUCUAUUUAAUUUUAUACAUAUUUUAUAUUUUGAAAGUUUGAUGUAUUAUACACAAAUAAGGGAGUUUGGCACAAUAAAUUCUCAAUAUCUUAAUAUAAGGUAUGGUAAAAUGAUAUUUUGACUUAUUGUAGACAAAUUAAAUUUUGGUACAAUAAAUACUUUGUCCGUAAUAAAAUUAAUGGAAAAAUAAUAAUAAUUUAUAUAAUUAAUCUUUUGAGCAAUAAAUCUAAAAAAAUGACAAAAAGAAUUUAUUAAAUUUUAUUUACUACUAAGUGUGGAUCCAUAACUCUAGUGGAUCUAUAACCCUUACUAAUUCAAUUUCAUAGUUUCAUUUAAAUUAAGUUGUAUAAGUUUUAUUUUCAUUUUUAGAUAAAGUAAAUAAACAAAGUAAAUGUUUUCUCUGUGGAUCGAUCUCGGACUCACUGAGCUAUAAUAUAAUAAGACACUCUUAUACUUGAGAGUUAGAAAUCACUUUUAAAAGUUGCCAAAUUUUUUGCGCCGUUGCCGGGAAAAGUUUUUAUUUUGUUUUUUUUUUUGUAAAUUUUCAUUGACACCCUUUUCCUCUUCUUAAAUUGUGUUUUGUCCAUAAAAUCUUUCAGAAUCUUUAGUUUCACCCCAUAUGGCUUUGUUCUAAGCCUUUAAAAAUUGUUGUGUGACCAUAAAAUUAUAAAGAAUUUGUAAAAAGAUCCCUAGACGAAAUUUCUUAUAUAAUUAGACUUAGACUUACAGCUUGGAAUUAUUUGGACUAAGCAAAUUGAAUAUUGACUCUUAAUUUUUUUUAGUUAUUUAAUUUUCAUUUUUAUUUUAUUUUCUUUUAUUUUAUUAUAUUAUAUGGUUGGUUUGACAGCCUAAAUUGUUAUUUAAUUUUCAUUUUUUUAUUAUUUUGCAUUUAUUUUAUGCUUUAUUUUAUAUUGUUAAUUUAUAUGGUGGGUUCAACCACCUAAAUUGUUAUUUAAUUUUAAUUGUAUUCUUUGUACACUUAUAUUAUUUGCAUAUUAAUUUUCAUUUUCUUUUGUGCAAUUUUCAUUUAGUUCUAUUGUUACUAAUUUGUUUGAAUAUUACCUUUGUGACAUAAUCAUUGCAUGAGAUGUUGGUCCUGAACUUCAAGUGGCAGGUUAAUUCAUAGAUUUCAAUCACCACCAUCAAUUAUAGAUGAGAUCCAAGAUGAAAACUUUUUGGGCGAACCUAAUCUUCAGAUUGACCAGGGAGAUAACCAUUCUCAACAUAAUGCACGUGAUCAAAAUCAACCAAGAACUCUGAAAGACUACAUGAAUCCAACUAGAACUAGAGCACCGCCGUGUAUAGUAUUUCCUCCAGAAGCAUCUCCAUUCAACUUCAAACCAGGUAUUAUCCAACUUUUACCAAUAUUUAAUGGUUUAGAAUAUGAGAAUCCAUACUUACACAUAAGUGAUUUUGAGGAAGUUUGUAAUACAUAUACAUACCAAAAUUGUAGCACGAACCUAAUUAGAUUAAAGGUUUUUCCUUUUUUGUUAAAAAAUAAAGCUAAAACUUGGUUACAAAACCUUACAUCUAGAUCAAUAAGAACUUGGAAUAACAUACAAGAACAAUUUUUGAAAAAAAAUUGUUUCCACCUCAUAGAACAAAUUCUUUUAAAAGACAAAUUACUUCUUUCACUAAACAAAAUAGAGAGACAUUAUACCAAUGUUGGGAUAGGUUUAAAGAAUUGCUUAACAUAUGUCCACACCAUGGUUUUGAAACUUUGCGAUUGGUCACUUAUUUCUACGAGGGCUUAAUACCCAAAGUAGACAGGUUGUUAAAAUGAUGUGUAAUGGUGAAUUUAGGGAUAAAAAUCCUGAAGAUGCACUAGAUUACCUUGAACAAUUAGCUGAAAAUGCACAACAUUAGGAUAUUGUUGGAACUUUUGAAUUGACAAAUAAACCACAAUCAUCUCCAUCUAGUGGAGGAAUCCAUAACCUUAGGAAAGACCAUGAUUUACAAGCAAAAUUUGCAUCCCUAGUUAGAAAAUUGAAGCUUUGGAGCAUAAAAAGAGUGAUCAAGUAAAAUCUAUUCAAGAAAUUGUAUGUAAUACUUGUAGUUCGAAUGAUCAUUUCACUCAAGAUUGUCUCGCUCUGCCUGUACUUAAAGAAUGUCUACAUGAUCAAGCUAAUGCCAUUAACACUUUUAAUAAGUCAAACCCAUAUUCACAGACUUAUAAUCCUGGUUGGAGAAAUCAUCUAAAUUUCAGUUGGAGGAAUAAUGAUAAUGCACAAUCUUCACAAGCACCACCUCUACAAAAUUUCAAAAUGCUAAGCCUUAUGCACUAUAUGUUCCACUACCAUGGAAAAAUCUUGAAGACACAGUGCAUUCAUUCACCAGAAAGCAAGAUGUUAUUAACAAUCAAAAUGCACAAACAUUUUCUGAUUUGAAAGAUGAUCUUGCUAAAAUUGCUUCUGCACUCACAAUUAAAAAAAAGGAAAAUAUCCAGCUCAACCACAACCAAAUCCUAAGAUUCAACAAAAUCCACCCAUGGACCAAGUCAAGUCAGUUAUAACUCUUCAUGGUGGUAAGGUUAUUGAUAGAUCUAUUCCUGAACCUUCGUGGUGGUAAGGUUAUUGAUAGAUCUAUUCCUGAACCUUGUGAAGAUGAUGAAAAUUCAAAGAGUAAGGAAGGAUUAAAUGAACUUACACCUAGUGAAUAAAUAACUAGUGUUCCACAUGAACCACCAUUUCCGCAUGCAUUGAAUAAAUCAAACCACUCUUCUAAAAUUUAUGAAAUUUUUAAGCAAGUGAAAGUUAACAUUCCUCUAUUAGAUGCAAUUAAGCAGGUACCUUCAUAUGCCAAAUUUUUGAAAGACUUGUGCACUGUCAAGAGGAAAUUAAAAGUAAGAAAGAAAGCUUUCAUGGCUGAACAGGUAAGUACAAUUUUGUCUGCUUUACUAAAUCUUGGUGCUAGUGUUAAUUUGCUUCCAUAUUCAGUUUAUCUUCAACUUAAUCUUGGUGAGUUAAAAUCAACUUCAACUACACUUUUGCUUGUCGAUAGAUCAGUUAAAGUACCAAAAGGAAUAGUGGAAGAUGUUUUAGUACAAGUUGAUAAAUUUAUAUACCCUGUGGAUUUUAUUGUCUUAGAAAUUAAACCUAUUAUGAAUGAUUAUAAACCAAUUCCUGUAAUUUUAGGUCGACCAUUUUUAGCAACUGCUAAUACUUUGAUUAAUUGUAGGAAUGGUUUAAUGAAUUUAUCCUUUGGAAAUAUGACUUUAGAAUUGAAUGUUUUCAACAUGUGCAGGCAACCUAAUGAAGAAAGUGAGAAUGAAGAUGAUAUUGAUGAACAAAAGGAAUUGCUUGAAUCUUGUAUAGAGAAAAAUAUUCAAAAAAAAGGAUUUUUUUAAACUCUGAUGUUUGUUUAAUUAAUUCAAUUGAGUCAAAUAAGCAAUUUGAACUUGAUUUUUUGCAUAAUUAUGAUGAAGAGCCAAAAUUUGAGGAGCUUGCAAGUAUUGAAAAGAUAGAACAACAAGAAGCACUUAAACUGGAAUUGAAACCUUUGCCUAAAGGAUUGAAGUAUGCUUUUCUUGGAGAAGAACAAACUUAUCAUGUUGUGAUUUUUUCUACUUUAACAAGCGACUAAGAAGGUAAGUUAUUAACUGUUCUUAAAAAGCAUAAAAAUGCAAUUGGAUGGACUUUAAAUGAUAUUAAAGGCAUUAAUCCCUUAAUUUGCACACAUAGAAUUAAUUUGGAAGAAAAUGCUAAAACAUGUCAACAAUCUCAAAGAAGAUUAAACCCACUCAUGAAAACGGUAGUUAAAAUAGAAGUCCUUAAAUUGCUUGAUGUGGGAAUUAUCUACCAUAUUUCUAAUAGUAAAUGGGUAAGUUCUACACAAGUAAUGCCCAAAAAAUCUGGAAUCACUGUUGUUAAAAAUGAAAAAGGUGAAUUAAUUCCAACACGAAUUACAUCUAGGUGGCACAUGUGCAUUGAUUAUAGAAAGUUAAAUGAAGCCACUAGAAAAUAUCAUUUUCCAUUACUAUUUCUUGACCAAAUCUUAGAAAGAGUAGUUGGACAUCCUUACUACUGCUUUUUAGAUGGAUAUUCAGGUUAUUAUCAAAUUCCUAUAGCACUUGAGGACCAAGAAAGACCUCAUUUACAUGUCCUUUUAGAACAUUUACAUUUAAAAGAAUGUCAUUUGGGCUUUGUAAUGCUCAUGCAACAUUUCAAAGAUGUAUGCUAAGUAUUUUCUGUGAUAUGGUGGAACAUUGUUUGGAGGUCUUUAUGGAUGAUUUGACUGUGUUUAAGAAUUCUUUGAAUGAUUUCCUUGAUAAUUUGGAGAAAGUUUUAAAAAGAUGUGUUGAAAAAGACCUUUUGUUGAAUUGGGAAAAAUGUCACUACAUGGUUACUUCUGGAAUUAUUUUGGGUCAUAUUGUAUCUGUUAAAGGAAUUGAAGUUGACAAAGUAAAAAUAGAAGUCAUAUCUAAAUUGCCACAACAAAAAACAGUUAGAGAUGUGCGAUCCUUUUUAGGACAUGUAGGAUUUUAUUGGAGGUUUAUAAAAAUUUUUAGUACCAUAUCUAAACCACUUUGUAACCUCUUAUUAAAAAAUGCACCAUUUGAAUGAACUAAUGAUUGCCAAAAAUCUUUUGAGGAAAUAAUUUUUCUUUUAACAUCUGCACCUAUUAUGAAAUCUCCUUAUUGGUUUUUACCUUUUGAAUUGAUGUGUGAUGCAUGUGAUUUUGCUGUUGGUGUUGUUUUAGGACAAAAAAUGGAUGGUAAGCCCUUUAUGAUUUAUUAUGCGAGUAAGACUUUGAAUAAUGCCCAAAUGAAUUAUUCUUCAAUUGAAAAGGAAUUACUUACUAUGGUAUUUGCAUUAAACAAAUUUCGUUCAUAUUUGCUUGGCUCCAAAUCUGUUGUUUUUACUUACCACGCAGCUGUGAGAUAUUUGAUGAGUAAACAACAUGCCAAACCGAGAUUAAUUCGUUGGAUUUUGUUGCUUUAAGAAUUUGACCUUACUAUCAAAGAUAAAAAGGGUGUCGAAAAUGUCGUUGAUAAUUUAUCAAGACUCACAUCCAAAUUCUGCACUGAUAUAACACCCAUUAAUGAUUUUUUCCCUGAUGAAUUUUUAUUUUCUAUUACUUUAAUGCCAUGGUAUGCUAACAUUGUUAAUUUCCUUGUUACAAGUAAAAUGCCUUUGCAAUUGAAUGCUCAAGAGAAGAAGAAAUGUUUUGUUGAAGUAAAGAAAUUUUAUUCGGAUGAUCCUUAUUUGUUCAAAUAUUGCCCAUAUAAAAAUUUUCUGCGACGUAUUCCUAAUAAUGAGGUCAGGAGUGUCGUUAAUGUUUUUCAUUAUGAAGCAUGUGGUGAACACUUUUCAUCAAGAAAAAUUACAGCUAAAAUUUUGUAAUGUGGAUUUUAUUGGCCUACUAUAUUCAAAGACACAUAUAAAUUUUGUAAAACUUGUGAAAAAUGUCAAAAAUUGGGAUCAAUUACUAAAAGAAACAUGAUGCCCUUAAAUCCUAUACUUGAGAUUGAAAUAUUUGAUUGUUGAGGAAUUGAUUUCAUGGGUUUGUUUCCAUCAUCUUUUGGAUUUGUGUAUAUAUUAGUUGCAGUUGAUUAUGUCUCAAAAUUGAUUGAAGCAAUUUCUUGUCGAAAUAAUGAUAGUAAAAAUGUAGUUAAAUUUUUAAGAGAAAACAUUUUAAAUCGAUUUAGAAUCCCUCGAGCCAUUAUUAGUGAUAGAGGUAAGCAUUUUUGUAAUAAGUCAUUUGAGUCUUUAAGGGAGAAAUACAAAAUUACACAUAAAGUUGCUACCCCUUAUCAUCCUCAAACAAAUGGUCAAGUUGAAUUAACAAAUAGGGAGAUAAAACAAAUUUUGGAAAAAAAGGUUAACCUAAACAGAAAAGAUUGGUCUCUUAGACUUAAUGAUGCAUUUUGCGCCUACCAUACUGCAUUUAAGACGUCAUUAGGAAUGUCACCCUAUCGGCUAGUUUAUGGUAAACCUUGUCACUUACCUGUUGAACUUGAACAUAAAUCAUUUUGGGCUAUUAAAGUUUUUAAUUCAAAUUUGGAUGAUGUUGGUAAUGUGCGAAAAUUGUAAUUGAAUGAACUUAAGGAAUUAAAGAAUAAUGAAUAUGAAAAUUCAAGAAUUAUUAAAGUAAGAACAAAAGCUUUUCAUGAUAAAAGAAUUUUUCAAAAAAUAUUUGAGAUUGGUCAAAAAGUGUUGCUUUAUAAUUCUCGUCUUCAUUUGUUUCCAAGGAAGUUAAAGUCAAAGUGGAGUGGUCCAUUUGUUGUAAAAAAUGUACAUUCAUAUGGGGCCAUAGAAAUUGAGAAUCCAAAGAACGGUGUCAUAUUUAAAGUUAAUGGUCAAAGAUUAAAACCAUAUUUGGAACAUCAACCACGUGAAGAAGACACCGAAAUCAAUUUGGGUGACCCACCAAAUCUUGAUUAAGUCUUUAAUUUUAAUGAGUGAUUCAAUUUUUUUUGUUUUACUGUUAUUUUGUUGUUUUAUUGUUUGAUUUUUUUCUCGAUUGAUGUGCACCAUACAUUUUUUUAGCAUUAUAUUUCUUGUAUAAGCGUGUUUGUUUGACAAUUGUAUUUCUCUUAUCAAUUUUGAUUAGAUGUCAUGAGUACCUUAAUAAGAAAGUUCUUGCUCACACAUCUUUAAAAUAUUUUGCGUGUGAAAUCUCACUUGAGAGGCCUGAUACAAAGCUGUAAAUCACAUCCACUUUGGGAUCUGCAACCACUAACAUUAGUGUCCUACGUUAAAGACCUAGAAAGACAACUCAGAGCAAUAGAGAGUGGUAUAUAUGAAUUUCAAUUGGAGCUUGAGGUUAACUCAUAAAAAGGACAAAUGUAAGUUCCUUUUUCUUUUUUCUUUAUGUGAUUUCGUUUUUUGUUUUGUUCACUUUUCAUGUUUGAUUUGAUUUUGCAGUUUUGAUUCUCUUUAUUUUAGUGUGUUUUGAUUUAUUUUCCCGUAUAAAUGGCGGAUAACGGUACCCCAUGACUGCUUAAGUCGGUAUCUUCAGUUUCCCACAAUAAUUGAUCCCCAAAAUCAAACAUGGAAGAAAUAUAACAUAAAAUGCAUAAGCAUUUUCCCUCUCUCCCUCAGAAUGCCCUCAGGAAAAUUUACAAAGCUCGUUGUGAACAACUGCGUUUGUUAAUGAUCAAUGGCAUUCCUUCUGACGUUCGUUGGUUAAUUGAAGCAAAGGUCUGAUUAGCAGGUGAGUUUUCUGCUCCAUUUGUUUGUUACAUGUCUGGUUUUGAUAAAAACAUAUUUGCUAAAAAAGGAAGAGCUAAAAGACUUGUCUCAGAAUGUCAUAACUGUGUACGACUUAGUUGCUGACGAGAAAUUUGUAAAUCUUUAGGAAUGGUUUCUGAUUGUGAAGAUAAAAUUAAAUUUGUUAAAGAUGGAUGAGUAAAGAAUCGUUGGAUGAUAUCUUACAAUCUCUUGAGACACAUCGAAGCGGAUAUGUGCAACGUGAGAUUCAUAAUUUGUGGAUACUAUUCCAAAAAAAAAGUGCACAGUUUAGUUUUAGGAAUCUGACUCAAAAAGAUAUUGUUUACAAAUUUAUAAGAAAACUAGAUGGGAAGCCUAUCCUCGACCUAUAAAGGGAGUUCAAGUCAUUACUGGAUGUAAAAUUAGUGGAAGAUGUUAGCCACAACCACAACUACCAGUAAAUAUCCUUUUAUUUUACUGUUCUUUUAUCAUUUGCUUUAAUGGUGUGAUUUUGUAUUUAAUAAUUAUUUAUUUUAUGUUUGCUUUUUCGAAUCACCAUUUUCUUAUUCUAUUUACUGUUUACUUUUGAAUUAUUGAGCCACGACCUUUACACGUCAUUUGACAAAUAUGCCAACCCAUUUAUAGUUGUUUCUCAUUAUUUUUGUCACCAAGAUCUUUAAAUAUGAGCUUCUUUUUCAAACACUCACAACUUGUUUUUCAAGAUUAUUCUAAUGGCAGCAUCUUCUAGUAAACAAUUCAAAAAUAUUUGUGUGCUUUCUGGGUUUCACUGUGGAAAGUACAAGGAGUUCGUUCAGGCAGUUGUAGAUCUUGGUCAUGUCAUAGCAGAGAGGAAACUACACCUUGUAUAUGGAGGAGGUGAACGAGGGUUAUCAAGGCUUGUCUCAAAAGCUGUUUUUACUCGAGGAAGCCAAGUACUAGGCAUUAUUCCAAAAGCCAUUAAACCUCUAGGAUGCCUAUUUGGCCCACCAAUUAAAGAAGAAUUAGUGGUAUCAAGUAUGCAAGAGAGAAUAUCAAAAAUGUUAAAUCAUGCUGAUGCUUUUAUUUUCUUGCCAGGAGAUCUUGCAACUCUUGAGGCACUGAUUACAUUUAUAUCUUAGGCCAAUUUGGACAUUCAUAAAAAACCCAUCAAUUUGUUAAAUGUUAAUAAUUGUUAUGAUGGCUUGCUAACUUUUAUUAACAAUGCCAUUAAAAAUCCUUUUGUUCCACACUCUGUAAAAAAAAAACUCUUUAUUUGUGCUUUCACUGCUAAUGAGUUACUUGAUCUUUUGCAAGCUUAUGCAUCAGAGCUAGAUCCCAAGACUUAUGCACUGGAUUGGUCGACUGAUGAUGGUAGCAGUAGCAGUGAUAAGAAGUGUUGUUGGGUAUAAAUACUAAUGCUAUUGGUGUCAAUGUGCAAGUGUACACAACAAGUAAUAAAGUGAUGAGUAUUCAAGAUCGUCUCCACAGGGAUUGAUGUUAUUAGACUUGCUACAGCAAUCUUAACAGUGCAGAUUUUGUGUAUAAAUUAAGAUAAACAAUUUAUGAAACUAAUUUACUAAUUAAAAAAAAAAACACAAUAAAUAAAAUGCAACAAAGUAGAUUAUUACGUCAAACUCAAGGAUAAAAACAAUGAGAAUAUAGAGUAGUUGAGUGAAUAAACUCUCUUAAUGGUCUUGACUAUUUUUCUAAUGUUUGGCUCGGUUGCUACAGCAUUAGGCAGAAUCCUUAUGUAUCCUCAGCCGUCGCAUGUUGGAUAUCUUAUAUCUAUAUGCAACCUAACAGUGAUCCGUUGCUAUGCCAACAUAAGAUAUAGCAUUACACGUUUAGGUUCUAUUUACCCUACAAGGUGAAUCCUUAUGUCUAGUUCAUCACUAAUCUUAAAUCAAGCAUGGCCCUUUUGGGACUCAAGUAAAACUCAAUCCGAGAAACUCAAUUUAAGAUCAAGUAUUGUUCUGAUAUGCUCCACUAAGAUAGGCCCUUUUGCGGCUCUUCAUUAGCUAGUAUCAUUAAAUGGGUGAUCAACCGAAAUAACGAAUAAAAUAAAUACUAUCAAAACAAACUGCUAAAGCAAACAUGCAGCAACACAUAUUUCCAGUCAAUAAACCAUCAAGAUUGUUUAUCACUAAACUACAAAUAAAUUUAGUUCAUGAUUUGCAAAAGAAAAAUAAAGAACAAAGUUUCAGCCAUGAAACACAUCUCUAUAAAUAAAUAGAAAACGAGAAAACAAGAGAAGAAUAAGAAGGAUUGAGCUCCCAAUUGACCUCUGCAAUUUUUCCUCUUGUGCAACCCUUAAUCUCCCUCUUGAAUCUUGUUUUUUUAUUUUAUUUCUUUGUGUUUUUCUCCUUGGGUGACGACCCUCUCAUUCCUUAUGAUGUGUGCUUAUUUUAUAGUUGAAAAUUAGGGUAAACGAAAGCCUAAGGCGUGUAUAAGUCAGAUUAGGAAACUGCAGAUCGCAAUUCUACAAGUAUCCCACGCGGAAUUUUCUCUGUCGUUGUUCCAGGAUUGCUACAGCAACGGUUACAGCAAUUGUUGCUACAGCAAUUGCACUGUUCCAGAUUUGUUUCAAUUCUUUUGUAGCUAAGUUCUUCCUCAUUUUUGCAAGCCUAUUGCAGCAGCAUUCCUUCCAUGAAUUAUAAGCUUCUGGAAACCUACAAUUAUGCACACAAUUUAACCACGAAUUACUUUAAAUUAAGUAAAACUCAUUAAGACUAAACUAAAAUGAAUAUUUAUGCAAAAUGUAACAAAAAUGCAAUAGAAACACAUCAUUUACUCUCUAAGUAUUAUUGAUUUAAGUCUAAAAGUGUCAUGAUAACUCUCAUUUUAUAGAGUUAUCAAGUGCAAAUUAGAUUUAACUCUCUGUUUGUAAAUAUUUUUCGUUGUAGUGUUCAUGUGAUGUCUUCUAAACUCUUUCUCUUUCUUUUUAAAACAUUUAGGAUAAUGUCUCGUUCAGGUUGGGGGGAGGGAAUAGGGAUGGCAACCAAACCCGGACCCGGAUUGAACUCGAAAAAUUCGGUCUUGGUUCAACCCGCACCGGAACAAUUUUUAUGCGGAAUUCGGAUUAGUUUUUCAGAACCUGUAUAUUUCCGGUCCGAAUCUGGGUUCAGGUGAACCCGCAAAUUUGGAACCCGGAUCCAGAUAAUAUUUAUAUUUAAUAAAAAAUAUUAAUUUUUUAGAAAUUAUUAAAUAUAAAUAGAAAAUUUAAAAAAAAAAAAACCCUAGCCCUCUCAAUCUCUCAUCUGUUCCUUUCUCAAUCUCUUAGACUCUCACUCAUUCCUCUCUCUCACUCUCACUCUCUUCAACUCUAUUGUAAUUUCUCUUCUCUCAUUCUCUCAUUUGUACUUCUCUCAAUCUCUCUCACUCGUUCCUCACUCAAUCUCUCUCACUCUCUCUUCAACUCUCCUGUAAUUUAUCUUCUUCAGAUCAGAUCCUUCGCGGCGUGGCUGUUAUCACCGUCACAGUGCGGCUGUGUUCGUUUCAUCACUCAUCAGCAUCAGCAUCACUCGUCUCAUCUCUCACUCUGUCGCAGCCAGCAAAAGGGGGUGGAUUUCGCGACUAUGUCCUGUGUUCAUCAGCAUAUACUUAAGCUGCCGCUGUGAAUAUUUGUGAGUCUCGCCUCUUCUCUUUACAAUUGAUGCUCUAUUACGCGUUGAUUAUUCCCUCUUUACAAUUUAAUUAUAUUGUCUUGACAAUUUACGUGCUGUUAUGCUCUAAUUAUACUCUCUUUGGAAUUUAAUUAUAUUGUCUUUGUAAUUUAUGUGUUAUUAUGCUCUGAUUAUACUAUCUUCACAAUUUAAUUAGAUUGUGUUUGCAAUUUUAAUAUCUAUACUUUGUAACUUUAAUAGCUAAACUCUGUGAUUUUUAAUAUCUAUACUCUAUUAUGCUUCAAUUUUAUUAUUUAUAGUUUAUUUAUUUUUUAAUUAUUUUUUAUUGUUGCUGUUAAUAGAAUAGAAAUGGUGUCUCUAAAAUAUUUAUAGCUUUUACGGUUAGACAUAGCAUAUAAAUUGGAAGAAGUUACUGGAAUUUAUGAUGUCUUGACAUAAUUUUUGUACAGUGAAAAAUUGAUAUGGAAAAUGAACAAAGAAUCAACUUGGAUGCCUCUGAAAAAAGUGAUGAAAGUGUUUGUGUGAGAGUUAGGACAGAAUCAGAAAAUAAUAAUGAUACAGUUGUUGAAUUAGAACCAAAUUCAACAGCAGCAGUUCAGGGGAGUAGUCGUGGCCGUAGAGAUAAUAGUAAUCCUGUCACUUCACAAAAAUGAGGUGGUGGUGGUAGAGUAGUCUCUGAUGCUUGGAAUCAUUUCAAAAAAGUUAAGUUGGGUGAGGAAGUUCAGGCGAUUUGCAAUUACUGUGGGUUAGUUAUGCAAGGACAUUAUUCGAGGGGUACUAAUCACUUAAUAAAGCAUGUUAAACGUUGUCCUAUAAGGUCAUUCAAGAAUGUAAGCAAAUGCACCUAUCUUUUUCUUCUAAAGAUGAUGGAACCACUUCACUUAGUAAUUAUAGCUCUGAAUCAAAAUGGAAUAUGGCUAUAGUAAAACUUUUUGUGGCUAGAAUGAUUGUACUACAUGAGCUCCCCUUGGCAUUUGUUGAGUACGUUGGGUUUUAUGACUUGUUGAAGCUACUCCAACCUUCUAUUGAGACUAUUAGUAGAAACACCACCAGAGCUGAAAUUUUGAAGCUUUAUGAUGUUGAAAAGAAAACGACAAUGGGUAUUUUCGAAGUUUGUGAGAGUAGAAUCGCAAUUACUACAGAUAUGUGGACUGCUAGUAACAAAAAAAAAAAAGGAUACAUGGUUAUUACGGCACAUUACAUUGAUAGCUCAUGGGUGUUGCGAAGUCAUAUUAUGAGGUAAUAUUCUUGAAACUUUUUUUUUUUUUUUGGUUUAAGCAUAAAUUAAUGUCCUGUCUAAUAUUUUAAGGGAAAAUGACAAACACACCCCCAACGUUUAGGCAAAGGGACAAAAAACCCCAUAACGUUUCAAAAUAGACAUUUACACCCCAAUUUAUUAUAAUUUUACCAUUAUACCCUUCUAGCAUAUAAAAUAAAAUUACUAGAUUAUACAAUUUGUCUAUCUAUUGUUAAUAAAAUUAUAAAUAUACCCUUAUUGCCUCAUUCUUCUAUUUAAAUUUUUAUCAAUAACCAAUUUUCAAAAAAGACAUCUACACACUUUAAAAAAAUUGUAAAUAAAUUAUAAUUUUAAAAAUAAAAUUGGUUAUUAAUACCAUAAUAAAUAACAUAGAAAAUUAGUUAUAAAUAUACAAGUUUAAAUGAUUGACAUGUGGAGAAUUGUUAAAUAUAAAAGUUUAAAGUUUAAAUAAAAUUGGUUAUUAAUAACCAAUUUUAUUUUUAAAAUUAUAAUUUAUUUACAAUUUUUUUAGGUGUAUAGAUUUUUUUUUUUGAAAAUUGAUUAUUGAUAAAAAUUAAAAUAGAGGAAUUGGGCAAUGAGGGUAUAUUUAUAAUUUUUUUUAUAAUAUCCAACUUGUCUAUUUAUAAUUUUUAUUAACAAUAUAUAGACAAAUUAGAUAAUCUAAUAUUUUUUUUUAUAUGCUAGAAGGGUAUAAUGGUAAAAUUAUAAUAAAUUGGGGUGUAAAUGUCUUUUUUGAAACGUUAGGGGGGUUUUUGUCCCUUUACCUAAACGUUGGGGGUGUGCUUGUCCUUUUCCCAUAUUUUAAUUAUUUUUCACAUUGUUAGGUUUAUAUAUGUGCUAGCUCCACAUAGUGCUGAGGUAAUGUGUAAUGAGUUAUAUGAUUGUUUGAUGGAUUGGAAUAUAGAUAGAAAGUUGUGCACUGUAACUGCUGAUAAUUGUGCUGCAAAUGAUUCUAUGAUUGCCUUGUUGUUGGGCAAAUUUUCUACUAGUUCAAUGAUUAUGGGUGGCAAAUUCUUUCAUAUGCGUUGUUGUGCUCAUAUAUUGAACUUGAUAGUUAGAGAUGGUUUAUCUGUGAUACAAAAGGGAGUUGAGAAAAUUAGAAAUAGUGUUCAUUAUUGGACAACAACACCUACUAGAGUUGAAAAAUUUGAGAAUGCAAAAAAACAAUUAAGUAUUAAGGAAACCAAAAACUUGGUACUUGAUUGUAAAACUAAAUGGAACUCCACUUACUUGAUGCUUAGGACUGCAUUGUUGUUUAAAGAUGUAUUUGAUCGUUUAAAGGAAUAUGAGAGAAAUUAUACAUCUUUACCUAGUGAGUCAGAGUGAAAUUUGUCAAAACUUAUGUGUGAGUAUCUAAAAAGCUUUUAUAAGUUAACAGAACGUUUUUCGGGGACACGAUAUCCGACAUCUAAUUUAUUUUUUGCCAAGAUUUGUGAAAUUAGAUUGUCAAUUAAUGCAUGGUUGCAAUCACCAAUUGAGGGGAUAAAAAUAUGGCCACUAGGAUGAUUGCGAAGUAUGAAAAAUAUUGGGAUGAUAUUCAUGGAGUUCUUGCAGUGGGGACUAUGUUAGAUCCUAAGCGUAAAAUGUUACUGAUUAACUUUUUAUUUCCUAAAAUAUAUGGGGAAAAAGCUGAAUUUGAAAUUGAAAGAGUGCGUAAGUUAUUUGUUGAUUUAGUGCAUGAGUAUAAAGUUACUGAUUAACUUUUUAUUUCCUAAAAUAUAUGGGGAAAAAGCUGAAUUCGAAAUUGAAAGAGUGCGUAAGUUAUUUGUUGAUUUAGUGCAUGAGUAUAAAGUUACUGAUUAACUUUUUAUUUCCUAAAAUAUAUGGGGAAAAAGCUGAAUUCGAAAUUGAAAGAGUGCGUAAGUUAUUUGUUGAUUUAGUGCAUGAGUAUAAAGUAAAGCAUCUAUCAAAUUCAAGUGAGGGAGUUAAUGGUGCCAAUUCUCAAGCUGCUACAUGAGGGGAUUCUAUUAUGUUGGACUUGGAUUUGGAUGAAAUGACUGAUGAGUGGGCAUUAUUUAGAAAUGAAAACACAUAGAAUACUCAUUCCAAAUUAGAAUUAGAGCUUUAUCUUGAGGAGAGUACUUUGCCUUCAACUAGUCAAUUUGACAUUUUGUCAUGGUGGAAGAAUAAUCAAGGCAAAUAUCAUAUACUUGCAAAGAUCGCAAGGGACUUUUUGGCCAUUCAUGUAUCAACAGUUGCUUUGGAGUCCGCUUUUAGCACUGGAGGUAGACAUUUGAGCCCUCAUCCCUAGUAGACUUCACCCAUCCACAGUGGAGGCAUUAGUGUGCACUCAAAAUUGGUUUUGGCUUGAACAAAACCUAAAAGGUAUGAAAGUUUUAUUUAUUAGAAUCAAAUUAUUUUUUAUAUUGUUCUUAUUAUCAAAUUAUCACUAAUUGGUUGUCUUGUUCAUUAUGUUUAUGAUUUACACAUUUUUUAUAGAUGGAAUUUUAGAGGAACCAAUACUUUCUGUUGAGCAUUUGAUUGAUGAAGUUGGAUGAGUGAGCAACAGUCAAAUGAAGUGGAUGAUUGAAAGUUUAGUCUUUAGCACUAGUGGUUUGAAAUUUGAACUUUAAAUUGUAGAAUUAUGUAAUGGAUUUGUAUUUGUGGAUGUUUAUUACUUUAAAACUUUGAAUUUUAGAUUUUAUAUUGUGUUGUAAUUGUUUUAGAACCUGGAUAAGUUAUAUGUUUUGUAUUUGAAAUUUUGUUGAACUAAAGUAAAGCAAUCCGGAAGCAAUCUGGUUCUGGUUUGUGUUCUUUUUGUUUUCCUUUUUCCAGCAAGUUAACAACUUAAGUAAAGCAAUCUGGGUUGAAAACCCAGAAUCUGGAAACCCGGAUGUUUCUAGGUUGAACCCGGACUGGACCCGGAUUGACAAAAAAUGGGUUCAAUGCGGGCCCGGUAAUGAGAAAUUUGUGUCCAGGUCCAGAUUCAGAACGGCCAAACCCGAACCCGGACCCAGAAAUUGCCAUCCCUAGGAGGGAAUAGUUGAUAAUUGUGGAAUGUCUUAGUCCUAGUGUUGUUUUUACAAAGUUUUGCUGUAAAGACUAACUUUGGACUAAAUUUGAGUCGAAGAUGGUUGGAUAUGGAGAGUCCAGUACCUCUAAAAACGUAUCUUCUUAAUCUUAGAGUUUUAUUAAAAAACAAAGUAACAUAUGUGUGUUCUUUGUCAUCUUCUUUUAAGCUUCUGCAUCGAGUUCAAGUGAGAUCUCCCCCUCUUCUUCUUUUAUUAUAUAUAUAUUUUUUGCAUGCAUAUCUGUAAUAUUAUAAAAUGUUGAGAUAAUGUUUAGAUUAAGUUGGAGGGUGGGGAUAGUUGACAUGUGUUUUUAAAUAUGUGUGUUUGUUUUUCUCUUUUCUUUUUAUUUUAGAAAAACAAAUUUGUCUAGGAUGGUUGUCUAUGUUGUAUUAUAUUUUGAUUUUGAAAUUCAUAGUAAGUUGUUUUUGUUUCUUUUUCUUUAAAUUACUCAAAUUUGUGAACUCUUCAAUUAGCUAUUAAGUCAUUUAAUUGUUUACUCAUUUAACAGGUAUUAUUGAAUCAUUCUUAACACACACACUAUGACACAUACUAGUGGGUUGUAAGUUAAAAUUUUUGCAACAUUUAGUUCUUUUGAUUUGUUAGGGAUAAUAUCAAAGGUAGUAAAAAGUGCAUAUUUUAAAACAAAAAAAAAGAAAAAAAUUUGAAUAUGUUUAAUUUUGUUAUAUCUAGAACCCGAGUAAUUAAGUCUGUAGGGGUAUUUCAACACCUAGUGUCCUAAGGCCAACUGGUCUGGGAGUUACUGGCCCAAAACUCGCUACAUGAGUUAUAAAUAUAUAGUUUGCUUAUUAGAAACCUGAGUAAUUAAGUAUGUAGGGGUGUUUCAACACCUAGUGCCCUAAGGCCAACAGGUCUCAAAGUCACUGGCCUCAAGCUUGCUACAUGGGUUAAAAAUGUAAUAUUUUUAAUUUAUAUGUGUGAAUAAUCUACUGCCUAAAGAUAUAAUUUCUAAUAAAUUUUUGAACAAAAAUGUUGUUUUUCUUUUAAUGAAGCCCCAUAAGUAUUGUGUUAAUUACUUGAGCACAAAAUAAGGUUUGAUGAUAUUCUGGAUAAUGAGUGAACGACAAAGAGGUAAGGAAAUAUGGGAGAGUUUAUUUAUUUGAUAGUUUAGAGGAUAAAUGAACAACUAUUAACUUGCAUGUGAAUUUUAUAAAUCUUAAUUUAAUAUAACUCUUUAAUUGCUAGGGGCUAGCAAUAAGGUGGUUGGGGGGUAUGAUUGGUAUUAAAAAUUGUUUGAUUAUCAGGCGAUAAACAAAUUAUUUUGCGCUUCUAUUAUAAUUUAUAUUUGUGUUUAUGCAAUAUAUUAAGAAUUAUUAAUUAUGUCUUAACUAUAUUUAAUUUUGUGUAAUUUUGUGUGUUUAUAAGGCAAAAUAUUAAAUUCGUGUAAUUCGAGGCUCUAAACAGAUAAAUGGAUGACGAAUUUGGAUUCCGAAGGUUCGAAAACCUUCGAUGAGUUAAAACUGUCUUAAAAUUAAGGUUGUGCAAAAGAGUUGACUUUUUCUGUUGACCGAGUACUUAUUGGAUGAUAAAAUGAGCUUACAAUAGAUAUGAGUGCGUUAGAUAGCUGGUAAUUUUGAUUAAAUCUCAACCGUUAUAAUUCAAUGGCCACGAUUGUGCCACAUGGCAAUGAUUGGUGAAGCAAGUUGUAGGAUCCGAAUAUUUGUAUUCGGGUUGACCCAAUCCACCCAUUAACUCGCCAAAUCUCAACCAUUCUUUGAUCGAAUCGGAUGCAUCAAAUGAUGCCACGUGUAAUGUUGACUUUUGAAGUUUGACCAGCCGUUGGAUUGUGAUCUAAUGGCUGUGAGGAGCGCAUGCAUAAAGCUCAUAAUGGGCCGCGAAACACUGGAUUAUGAAUUUAUUUUUCUAUAAAUAGAGCCCCAUUUUUAUGCUUUUGAUCAUCUCUCUUCUUCUCAAUUUCUCUCAAUUUCCCUUUAAUCUUGUUUUUCAAGUGUGUUUUUAAUAUUUUGUAUAAAUUGUUAUACAUAAAUUUAGUUUUAUUUUCAAUUUUAGUUGUUUCUAUUACUUUUAAUUAUGAGUAAUUUAAUUUUAAUAAUUAUUUUUAUUUCAAUUAUGCUUAACUAAAUAAUAAUAGUUAGGGUAAGGUGAAACUCUUAGGAAAUAAAUAUGAUUUAAUGAAAUUCUAUUUUAUUUAUAUAAAUUAUUUUCUAUUUAAUUUUAUACAUAUUUUAUAUUUUGAAAGUUUGAUUUAUUAUACACAAAUAAGGGAGUUUGGCACAAUAAAUUCUUAAUAUCUUAAUAUAAGGUAUGGUAAAAUGAUAUUUUGACUUAUUGUAGACAAAUUAAAUUUUGGCACAAUAAAUACUUAAUCCAUAAUAAAAUUAAUAGAAAAAUAAUAAUAAUUUAUAUAAUUAAUGUUUUGAGCAAUAAAUAUAAAAAAAAAUGACAAAAAGAAUUUAUUAAAUUUUAUUUACUACUAAAAGUGAAUCCAUAACCCUAACUAAUUCAAUUUCAUAGUUUCAUUUAAGUUAAGUUGUAUAAGUUUUAUUUUCAUUUUUAGAUAAAGUAAAAUAAAAAAGUAAAUAUUUUCUCUAUGGAUCGACUUCGAACUCACCGAACUAUAAUAUAACUAGACACUCUUAUACUUGGGAGUUAGAAAUCAUUUUUAAGUUGUGUCAAUUAGGGUACAAUAUCAAUUCGUUCGAGAGGUAGUGGAAGACGGAAAUGUGGAUUUACAGAAAAUUCAUACCAAGGAGAACCUAGCAGAUGUUUUGACAAGCCAAUCAAUGCUGACAAGUUUGUAUGGAGUAGAUCCUCUUAUGACUUUGUAGAGACGUAAGCAACAUGAUAAUGACGAAAAAGAAUGAAUGGCGUAGAGUCAUGAUUGGUUCUUAAUCAAGUCUCCAAAUGGGAGAUUUGUUGAACAUGUGCAUGCAUGUGGCAAACAAUUGCUCGUGGAAACUUUUGACUUUUGACACAAUUUGUUGAGUAAGUGGGAGGCUAGCACAAAACUUUUGACUUUGGCACCAAAGUAGAAUGUUAAAUGAAAAUAUAUAUCAUUUUAAAGCCCACAAUUAUUCUUUUUUUGGUCAUUGCUUGACUUAUAAAUAAAGGCUUCAUUUGCCCUUUUCAUUCAUCAAAUUUGUUUUUUUCAAUCCUCAAUCUAAUUAAGAAGUAAAAGAGCCAAGAGUUGGAGAUUGAGAGUGUCCUGAGAGCUUUAAACUCUUGUUUUAGUGAAAUGAGAGUUUGGGUGUAUUAGAUUUUGAGUUGUGAAACAAAAUACUACAAUAUUUGUUACUCAUUUUCACUAGCAAAAUAUUUCCUUCUAUCUUUGCCCAUGAAUGUAGGCUAAAAGUCAAACCACGUAAAUUCUGUUGCUCCUAUGUGAUCACUGUUUCUCAAUUUCACUUUAAUUGUGUGUCUUCUUCACCCAUCAAUUUCCCAACAUUUCUCUAUCCAAUAAUUGAUUCCAACAACGAUCGAAUUUAACCGCUUUCUUGUUCCUUCAAUUGAUAUACCCACAAAAAUGUCAUCUUAAAUUGCCUUAUUCGCAGCAGUAUAAUGAGUAGAAAAUGCAUCAUAUAUUUAUAUUACAAAAUUACGAAAACAAAAAUUUAAAGAGAAAAAAUAACAAAUAUUAAUUUGGCUUGUCUUUUCAAAAAAAGUUAUGAUUAAUUAUAAGCAAAAACGUUACAACAGAGCAUAUAAUAAUAAAAAGAAAGAAAAUAAAUGAAUCAAACGUGCAUUUUAAGUGUCUUGCUAUUGUGCAACUCCACUGUUGUAUUUCUUCAUUCUUUGAAGUCUUGACAAACAAAUAAUUAAUAAUACAACAUAAUUUGAAUUAUAAUCUGAUUUUUUGUUUUGUUCUUUCUUUUUAUAUUUAAGUAUCUGCCAUUGACGAUUGCAUUUCAGUGGAAAAUAUGUAUGGUGAUACUUAGAGGAGAGUUAUUUAAAGCAAAUGAAAGAUUGAAAGAAUCAAAUCAUAUUAAUUAUGGAGAGAAAAUAGGAGGAAAUAGAAGAAAAAUAUUUGAUAAUAUGCUAGGGCCUAUUAAUUUUUACUUAUGAUAUUAUUGAAAAAUUGCCUUUUGUCAAAAUUUUGUAAUCUUUUUUUUUUUCCUUAAGAGAGGUCAGGGGUUCAAGCCCCGCUCUCGUAUGGAGUCACCGCUUUGACCAGCACUUUACCCCUUACGGGGUGACCCGGUGCGAGCGGGAAUUAGUUUGGGUUGUGGUACGAGCUUAAAGGUGCCUCUCACAGUUGGGGCCCACUCAGGACCACCUCGUGGUUCAGACAAAAAAAAAGACACCAUUGUUUUUUAAUCAAUUUAGUAUUAAAGACACCAUUGGUUAAUGCUAAAAUGUUAAGGUUUUGUGUACAUUAUCAAAAAGGAUUGCUAAUUCUAUCUCAUAUAUAUAUUGGUGCACUAUUUGAACAGCCUAGCGCAUUGGAAUACAAUAUUUUUGUAAUUACUAGGCUAUGUUUGGGAGGUUGGAUAAAUUGUGAGAUUGGAUUAGAUUUUGGGACUAACAAAAAUAAUUUAAUUUAAGGUAUGUUUGGUUGUCAUGAACUAGUAAGGCCAAAACAAAUAGGAUUGUUAAUCCUUAUUUGUUUUAUGGGUUUAGGUGGGAAGGAUUAAAUAAAAAGUCUGUAUCAUCUUUAUCACUCUUUUUUUUUAACCAAGUAAGUUAUUAACCAUUAUAGAGUUACAACAUUAGUUGAAAUUGAAAUAUCGAGAUCCGUAACAGUAUUAUUCUAAUUAUUAGUUGUUCUUAAUAUUACUGUCGCUAGCUUGCAAUUAAGUCAAUUUCUUAUAAGCAAACAAGAUGGUCGAUUCAGAGUAGUUGUAAGGACACAUACACCUCCGUAGUUUGAUAAAAUAAACGUAAAGACUCCUAUAUUUUCAGAAAUAGCAUACAAAUCCCUUUUUAGAAAUACAAAAUCUUUUCUUUUUUGUUUUUCAAUAUAAAUCUUGGGUUGUGAUUGAUUUUGAACACAAAGCAUGUUUUGAAUAAUUGCUAUUUGUGGAGGCUCGUCCUACACGUUUUCAAGAAAUUGUUAGCUUGUAGAAAAGGACGAAAACUCUAGACAUGGAGAGCAUUGCCAUUUGUUGAUCAAUAAACGUGGUCCAAGAUUGAUUUAUUGAUUCAACUGAAAUUGACACUUCGGACAUUUACAAUUUCAGUAUAUCUAUUUUAAUGCAUUGAUUUCAUCAAUAGUGCCAGUCUUAAAUGGAGACUCAAUCAUGUGGCAAGUCUCAUAGACUUUUAUUCUUCUUCCGUUAUUGGGUAGGAUGUACCACCCCAAUUUGACAUACGUUGAACAAAUGCCAAAGCAGAAUAUUGCUGAGCUCAACAUUAACUUGUAUUGUAAUUUCUAAAUGUACUUAAUUAAUAUCCAGAAAACUUAGAAAAUAAUCUCUCAUUAUUACAAUUAUUUUCUAAGCUAAUUAUUGAACCAUAAGUUUUUUUUAUUCCUUAUACAUCUACAUCGAAGCUCCUGUCUCCCAAUAGCCUAGCAUUGAGAAGCCUUGAUUAUUCGAAUUCCAUAAAACCUCAAUCUCAAUCUAAAAAAUAUUAAUGAUGAGGGGUGAGCCGCCAACUCAGUAAAUAAACUCAUUUAUAGUGUUAAAAACAUUAAAAAGAAUUUAUUUUACCCUCUUCACAAAUAAAAAAUUUAUAACUUAAUUUUCUGUAUGAUAAAAUUUCAUAAUUAAGUAUAAUAAUACUAAUAAUAAAGAAAAACAAAACUUUAACACUUGUGAUCAUGCCACGUAGUAUCAACUGCAAUGGGGUGACCCGAUCAAACAAUAAUAUAUUCCCCGAAAAAUCCAGUCAUAGCGAUUCCUCAAUAACAUUGAUCAUAACAAUAAUAGUAAAUAUGUGCACAAACAAUAAUCCAGCAUGAGCUGUUAGUAACUGUAAUAAUAGUAACAAGACAAUGAGCUAAAAUAAUUUCAUAUUUAAUAUAACUUAUUGACCAAUAGCUUUUGUAACUCUUGAAUCAUAGAGAACUAUUUACUUUUGGAAUAAAUGUAGUUAAUUUUAAAAUUUUAAUUAAUUUACUCAAACAAAAAUUGCCUGGAAGACUUCUUAGUUUGACAGAUUAUAAAACAAUUUUCCUUUAAACUUAGUCGAUUAUAUUAUCUUAAUUAAAACUUAAUGAAAACAAACACUUUGCUGUUAAAUGCACCCAUAUUAUGAACGAAUUUACUUACAUGGGAAAACAAAAACAAUCCUUAAAUCUCUAUGGACUCAGAAGAUAACUGCCUCCUAAGCUGAUGAAGACUUUCAGCACCAGAACCUCUCUCCUUGUCUCUUUGCCUUCUUAUCUCUCCGUCCUCUUUUCUUAUGUGCAAAUAAAAUUAAUUACGUCUAACUUAGGAUUUUAGAAGAACGAAUACAAUGAAUUCCAAAAUGAAACUAAGCAUUAACCGCCAUCUUAAUAAACUUCAAUUUAAUGGCAGAUAACUAAACGAAACAUUAAGCUAUUUUCUAUUCUAAAUCUCCUUAAUUAAUCUCUCGAUUUACUUCAAUUAAUUAGAUGGUUAACUAAAAGAAGAUAAUUUCACUUUUUAAAUAAACAAUCAAUAACGCAAUUCUUAACUCACGUUUGUUAAUGAUAUCUUAAUUCUUAACAUGAUAUCUUAAGAUAAUUUUUAAAAUGAUAUCUUAAUUCUUAGUUUCUUCUAUUACUAUCAACGGAAGUUGGGUUUUACAUAGGGAUAAUUAUUCUCUCCUAUAAGACUCAUGAUAAUAAAGGUGCCAAAAUAUACAUUAUUAGUCACAUGUAUCUCUAUUAUUUUUUAUUUUUCACGAAACUUAUCAAAUUGUGAUUUGAUGGUUAACAAUUUGUGUUAAGAGAGGCUCCCCGAACAAGCCACUUACUAACUAGUCUAAUUUGUUAUGCGCAUAUGCUAAUGUGCAGCACCCUGUUGUACUAUGCUCCUCACUCUCCCCGACAUGCUCCAUACCAACUAGUCUAAUUUUUCAUGCGCAUGUGGCUCAUGUGCUGCACUUCUGUGUAAUGCAGCCAAAACCAAGAAGAAAAAAUGAAAUAUGCUGGCUCUUUGCCAUGAUAAAUUUUAAAAUAAGUAAUACAACUAAUUAUAAUAUAUAUAUAUAUAUAUAAUAUACAUAUUUAAAUUUUAUAUAACCAUAAAUUACAUAUUAAUUUUUUAAAAUAAAUACAUACGUUCACUACUUUUCUUAUCAUUUUUAGCCGCUAAUCAGUGAAGUAGCAGACUCAUCUGUCACAUCAUGUUAAACAUUAAAAUUAAUGUGAGACUUGACAGUUAUAAGCUUGCUAACUCUAGGUGGAUUUCAAUGCUAUUCUAGGUGCUUUUGCGCAUGAAUGGCGGUUGCUUUCAAGUUGGGUUUCUUGUAAUAAUUUGUAUUUGUAGGGUUUUAUUCUGAUUGGUGGUAUAUUGCAAAUGCCGUCUGCAGGUUUAGACUUUAUUUGGUUCAUUAGAAAGUUGAUAUCGUUUGCUGACUUUGAUCCAAGCCCUAAUUAAACCCCUUCCACACAACUAGAAAAAUAGGCUAUCAUGACAGAAUUUAUGUGAUAAAUAUUAGAAAAUUAGUCAUUUAUCACAAAAAUAUGAUAGACACAUGAUUGAAUUUUCAUACAUCAUAAAGACACGACAGAUUUGUGAUAGAGUUUUUAUCUAUCAGAUAAACAUGAUAGCAUAUUAAUAUUUAAUGAAACCGUGAGUUUAUGAUGGAUUAAUUUGGGCAUGAAACGAGAAUUUUUAACAGAUUUAAAAAAAAAUUUAAAUAAAAAAAUUUAUUUAACAUUUAAAUGCUACCGUUUAACUAUAAUGACUAAACCACAAAAAAAAUUCUAAGUGUUGGCACCUUUGACUUUUUACUCCACUGGCAAAGGGUUGAGAAACCUAAGCAUUGAAACCCCUCAAAAUCUAGAAUUAACCUAAUUUAAUCUACAAAUUGGUUUUGAAAUCUAUUGCAUGCAAACCAAAAUCAUAGUAUAUGCUAUUGAAGGAGCCACUUCAUUAUAAGUUUUUAGGCACAAAAUCACCAUUUAUGCUCAUUGUUACGCCUUCGUGUCUACUAUUGAAGCCGCCGGUGUCACUACUUUGCAUUGUUCAAUCAGCGUUGGAGAAGCCAUCCUUGUAAUUGCUGAAUCCCUAGGUUUUUCGUCAAUUAACUUUUUUAAUUUUUAUUCUGAAUAAAUCAUUGGCCAUUAUAAAAUUAAUUGUUAGUUUUAUUGUUAUCUCCCUUAUUUGUUCAUAAUUUACGCCCUGUUUUGAGAGUUAUAUCAUGAAUGGUUUAUCUUUAUUAUUUAUUUUUUUAAUUCUUGUUUGUUUCUAUUGUUAUUUUUUUUAUUCAAGAAACUUAUACUUUGUCCUUUUAUUAAAUCUAGAAAUUGCUCAAACAUUUAAUUUAGCAUGUCCUCUUCUUUAAAAAAAAAAAAUUGUUCUGAAUCGAAGGAUUUCACUGCCCUGUUCCCUUUCAAACUCAACUUCUAACAUCAAGUUUGUUCAAUUUUUUACUUGCCUUUCCGUUCAAUGUUUAAAAAAUGUUUGUUGGCAAUGGUUUGUCUCAAUAUUGUUAUAUUCUGUAAUUUUUUAGUCAAAGCUUGCAUGUGUGUAAAGUGAUUUUGCUUGAUGAUAUAGCACUUUUCAUUGACUAGUGUCUUUUUAUUGGGAUGAAUCCGAAACUGUGGUCCAAUGCUGUUGACAUUUUUAAAAAUGAUUGUGACCUAGAUUUUGUGUAUUUUAUUGAGUUGAAAAGUGAGGCUCCCUUUUUCAGUUGUCUUUUUUAUGUUUGAAGGAAAUUGUAUCAUGUGGGGGCAAGUUUGGUCAUGGGGACCAAGUAAUCUUUAGUUGCUUAUAUAUAUAUAAUCUUGUGGUCUAUGAAAUGCUCGGUUGUUAGAUUUUUUUUUUAAAUAAAUGUUAAAUGUAUGUGGGCCAAGUUAUUUAGGAUAUUAUUGGUUGGGUAUUGUUAGUUGGUGGUUUGGUGUAAAGUUGUUAAGAUAUUAUGCUGCACACAUUUAAAUUUGUUUCCUGUUGUUUUCGAAUAAGGCUAUUAUGUUUGUCUAAGUAGCGCUAAAAAAUGCUCAAAACUUAAUUUGGCUUGAAUUUGUUUCUGUUAAGUUGGAUAUUUUUAAUGAGUUUAAUUUAUGCGACAAUAACCAUCAACAGGGCAUGAAUGCAACUGGGCUUCUUUCCUUUUGUAGUAUUUAUGAUAUUCCAAAAGAUAUAGUGUCAAAGUCCUGUUGAUUAGGAAGAACAAUUGAAUUCCAAGGUUCCCAAGAGGUUAUAUUUGGUGUUUUCUGUUGUUUUCUCUCGUCAAAGUAACCGGUUUCAAUUGAUUUGGUGCUCCUUACUAAUUUUUUGUCACUUAAGGUUAAUGAUGCAAGUAUUUAUGUUUUCAGCCUUUACUGGCUUACUUUUUUAUGGUUUUCCAAGCAUGGAAUACAUGGCAUUAAUAUGUUAUAUAAGCCGGUUUUUAUUUGAUUAUUGGUUUUUCCUUUUGCAUUAUCUGCCUGAAAUGUGUAUUUGUAUUAUUUAUUUGUUCCUCACUCAAUGGCUCAUGAUAAGUUUCAGUUCCAGAUUUUGUGUCACACGUGGCAAGAUUUUUUUCAAUCUUUCUGAGUCAUGACUUCAUGGCUUGUCGUGCCUAGUUAAGAAAUCAAUUAAUUUGUUUUUACAUCAAUGCUCUGUGGCUAUUGUAUGUGUGUACCUUUUCUCUAAUACCUUUACUGUUUGAAUAAUUGCUCAUAGAGUUAAAAUUCAGUUAACCAGAUUUUCACAAAGUAAUUUUCAGAAUUGUAAUAUCACACAAGAUUUUCUUCAUCUGGUUGUUUUCCUUGCCUCAAAAUUUUGAGGCUGAGGCGACCAUAAUAGUGUGACUGACUAUCAAUUAAAGUCAUGACCAUGAACAUCGUUGCUCAUACCAUAACUUGUCAGCUUGCACUUCAAAAUUAGGAUUUUUUUUUUUAAAUUAAUUUUUAUGUUCUAUCUUUUCUAGAAACUAAUUGGUCUGCAAUCUGCUAAUAAAAUUAAUUUUACAAUGUUACUGUCAUAUAUUUCUAAUAUCUCUGAAUGUCGGUACAUUAUGUUGAAAUUGUCUCAAUUAUAUGUCAGGUACUAGACAAAAAAUGGAUAAAUCUUGGCUCAAAUAUGAUAGAUUGUCCGAUGAGUAUGAGGCUGACUGCAGUUGAAAGUAAUCAAGAAAUUAGUGUUGUUAGGUGUCCAUGUGAUAAAUGUCAGAAUUUAGCAUUUCAUAGGCCUAAAGAAGUAAAAGAUCAUUUAAUUAUAUGGGGUUUUGAUAUGUCAUACAAAAUAUGGGUUUGGCAUGGGGAAGAUAUCGGCAACAAAUCUCCUGACAACAUAAGUUGCCAAAAUGACAGUGGAUAUAUGGAUUAUGAUGGUGGUAAUACUAUUGAAAUGGUUGAAGAUGCUUUUAAGGAUUGUAAUAGUGAUCCUAAAGCAUUCAAAAAAUUAUUAGAAGAUUCUGAGAAGCCUUUGUACCCUGGAUCAAACAAAUUUACCAAGUUAUCAGCUUUAGUUAAAUUAUGCAAUAUAAAGGACAGAUAUGGGUGGUCUGAUAGUAGCUUUUCAGAUUUAUUGAGUGCUCUUUCUUAAAUGUAACCGGAAGGAAAUGAAUUGCAUGUAUCAAUGUAUGAGGCCAAAAAGACAAUGAGUGCUUUAGGCUUAGAGUAUAUCAAAAUUCAUGCUUGUCCAAAUGAUUGUAUACUCUAUAGAAAUGAAAGCCUUUUUAAUUGUCCUACGUGCGGUGAAUAUAGGUGGAAGAAAAGAGAUGGUAGUGUUGCUGCUUAUUGUUGUGCAAAUUUUAUUGAACUCGCAAGCGCACGAAUCUAUUGUAGAAUAGAUUAAUGGUGACGAGUGUCGAUCCCACGAGGAGGUCGAUUUUAAUUAUGUGUAGAAUUAGUUUUCUAAGUGGGUGAUUGGAUUUGUGGUUGAAGUGAUCUAGAUUAUCCUAAAAUUUAAAUUAAAAUGGCGGAAAUAAAUUAAAGCAAAAUCUAUUGAAAUGAAGCACUUGGGUAUCUGGAUCUGUAUCAACAUGCAACAUGUGCUAAAUAUUCCUUAUUAAUGCCAAUUAAAUCAUGAGGGGGAUUUCCACUCCUCAAGAACCACACUCUAAUAAAUAUGGUGCUAAGGUCUUAUCAUACCAAAUAAUAAUAACCUUAUACUAGGGAGCCGAUGAAACCAGGGCGGUAUCUAGACAAGAUUAUUACUAUUUCUCGACGAAAAGUCAAAACAUCCACAAUAAUUAGAGGGGAAGAGAAAGUAAAUUUACCAAAUAAAGCCCAUGACACAUGUUGAGACUUCACCUUCAACCCAAGUUUAAAAGAAAAUUAGCUACUCAUAAUUGAAGUAAGGGUAAAAUGAAAAUUUAUUAAAAUACGUAGAAAAUACAAGAUGGAGAAGGAAUUACAGAAAAUGAAACUAAAAAAUGAAUUCAUGGAUGCCAAAUUAGGGGCGGAGAGCCCCUUUUUUAUAGAUACACUGAUUAAAAACAUUUUGGAUGCUCAGGAUUGCGCCACGUCAUCAGUCAAUAGUACGCGGUUUGACCAUGCGGUUUGAAUAGUGACACGGUUUGACCACGCGGUUUGAACAGUCAGGUGGCUUGAAUAGUGACGCAGUUUGGUUGUAAAUAAUCCUGUAUAUAUGCAUGUACCGUACUCACGGUUUUUGGUCCACUGACAUGCUGCCACGUCAUCGAUCAACAGUACAUAAGAAUUUUAGUCCAAUAAGAUCGUGACAUCUCAUCAGUCAAUGCCACAUCAUCGGUCAAUGCCACAUCAUCAUUCCAUAUAUGUGAAUAGUGUCAUGAACAGUAACAUGGACAAUACCGUACAUGUGAACAAUGUCAUUUUUCCUUUUAUGCUCCUCCUAAGGUUUUCGACUAUCCUGAGUUCAAAAGUGAUGUCCGUUUUCCUGCCAGAUCUCUCAUUCAUUGUGAAAUGACCAUGAUGCCCCUAAAAUACAUAAAAUACUUAAUUAAAAUAAAACACACAUAAUUACUUAAUUAAAAUAAAACACACAUAAUUAAAUUACAAAAGACUUAAAUGCAUAAAAGUAUGAAUGUUAAUGAAACUUGAGGUGUAAAAUGACGAUUUUCUCCUUUAUAAAUAUACACUUUCUAACACUCAACACACCCCCCAACCAGCUUAUUGCUAGUCCCUAGCAAUUAAAGUGAAAACAAAAUUCAAACCGAAAAUGAUUUUUUUUUAAAACACUCGUGUUUAUUCAAUCAGACUAAUGAUAACAAUCAAAUAAAAGUAUAAGCAUUAUCUCCAGUCUAAAGAAAUAUCACUCCUACAUCAACCAUCCACAUGAAUCAACCCAGUAGACUUUGUCACAAAUACUUUCAAGAAUGACAUGUCAAACCCCAAAAUCUCACCGGUAGUAGUGACACUCUCAAAAAGAAAUUAAACCCAAUAAAAAUAGUCACUUCAAUGAAUGGUAAAUUGAGAGAAAAAUAAUAAGGAAAUAAUAUCACACGCUCUCACCAAGAUGAAAGAAAUAUGCCCGCAGCUUAGAAAUAAUAUGAUCUUUAAGUCAAACAAAAUACUAGUCAACCCAAUUUAUUUAUUUAUUUAUUUAUUUUUUAUUUUUUUAUUUUUACUUUUCUUUUUUUUUCUCUUUUUUUUUAUGCACCACUACAUCUUUUUAGCCCAUAUAACUAGCUUCUUCUUCAGACUAUAGCUCCCUAAAAUCAGGAAGGACUUUUAUUAGGAUGUAACGUAGGCUAGGGUCAUGGCUAAUAAAAAAAAAGGGUAAUAGGAAAACAAAAAUGUAUGUUUGAAAAAUAGGGGACUUUUUGGAGAUUACAAGAUGCUUUAUUUAUUUAUUUUUUUGGAAUUUUCUUUUCUUUUCUUUCAUUUUUUUUCAUUGUAUAUAUAUAUAUAUAUCUUUUUUUUUUCAUAGCACCAUUAUUAGGAAUACAUAAUUAUCCCUAUUUUCAAACAUAAUUGGGUGGUGGAAAACGUGAAACAUAAGGUGAUACUCCACAUUGGAGUAAGAAAAUAUGAUAGGUUACCAAAGAAAUUUUUUUUUUUAAUAUAUAGGCUCAAAGGGGUUAAUUAUGGAUACUUUAUAAUAGGAUUGGCUAGAAAGGCUCAAACGGAUCAAAGAUGGCCUUUCCAUCGUCUUUUAAGACUCUAAAUAAUCUUCUAUAUCUACUAGUUAGAUAGACAUUCAGAUGUAGCAACACACAUUUUUUUCUUUUACAAUUUUUUUAAAGGGUUGACUCAAAAGAAAUCUAGAGAUCGUGUAUAAAAUAAUAAACUGAUAACCUGUAUGAAGAAUGGGCAAAAAAGGUUACUCUCCAAGAAAAAUGACAGGCUCAAAACCUCACUUGGAAUUUAUUAUGACAUGUGCAUUCCUUUAAGCAACUCAUAUUUGUCUCUGACAUCAACAUGUAGAGUAGCAAACAUGGCAUAACAUCACUUAAGACCAAAGAUAAUACAAAUAUUAAAAUUUGAAAGUCAUCAUGUCAUCCAAUGUUAAAAACAAAUAACACAAUUUUAUUUUUUUUGGUUCAAACGACAUUCUACCCCCAACCUAUUCUAAACAUGAAAAGAAAAUAUGCAUGCAGAAAGGUGAAAAUGAUGCAGAAAAAUUAAUUAGAAAAUUUACACUUAAAAUGAUAGAAAAAGAAAAUGGUUUUUUUUUUAACUAAGAAGAUGCAUUUCUAGAGUAACUACACUCUAUAUUCAGCCAUCUUCGACUCAAAAUUUUGAAAGUGUAUAUUUAUAAAGGAUAAAUUAGAAAGAAGGAGAAAAAUGAUUGUCAAAACUUAAUAAAGAAAAAGAAAAUGUCUGGAAAAAUUUUUUAAUUUUUUUUUCAAACGAAGAAGAUGCGUUUCUAGAGUCACUACACUUCAUGUUCAGCCAUCUUCAACACAAAAUGUUAGCCACGGUUAGUCUCUACAACAAAAAAUCAGUAAAAACUUAACCAAGAUUCCACAAUUGUCGAUUAGUCCCUCCCCCCAACCAGAACGAAACAUUGUCCUCAAUGUUUGAAGGGAAAAAAGUAGAGUUUAGAAGACAUCACCUGGGUGGUACAACAUAGAAGAAAAUAUUUACAAGCAGAGAGUUAAAUCUAAUUUGUACUUCUUACUGCGGCUACUGUUACCAGCAUUAUUUGGACACUCCAACACAAAGGUCCUGGGUCUGGCUCUGGUUUAUAAGCUUGUAACAGAUCAAGUAGCUCAUUGGCAGUGUGAACACAAAUAAAAAGUUUUUUUCGCUGUGGAAGGAAUGAAAUAGUUUUUUAUUGUAUGGUUAAGAAAUGCGAUAAAGCCAUCAUAAAAGUUAUUGACAUUUAACAAACCAAUGGGUUUCUGGUGAAUGUGCAGAUGGGCCUAAGAUGCUAAUGUGAUAAGUGCCUCUAGAGUUGUAAGAUCUCCUGGUAGGAAAAUAAAAGCAUCAACAUGAUUAAGCAUUUCAAUUAUUCUUUCUUGCAUACCUGAGACGACUAACUCUUCUCCAAUCGGUGAGUUAGACAAACUGCCCAAAGGUUUUAGGGCUCUUAGGAUGAUGCCUAACACUUGGCUUCCUCUGACAAAAGCAGCUUCUGAGACCAAUUUUGAUAACCCUCGGUUACCUCCUCCAUACACAAAGUGUAAUUUUCUCUCUGCUAUGCUUCGACUAAGAUCUAUGGCUGCCUCAACGAACUCUUUAUGUUUGCCAUAGUUAAAUCCAAAAAGCACACAAAUGUUCUUGAAUUGUUUAUUGAGAGUAGCUGCCAUUGGGAUACUUCUCAAAAACAAUUUGUGAGUGCUUAACAAAACAAAUCAUAUUUAAGAAUCUUGGUGACAGUGGGACAUAGCUGUGUAUGAGGUAGCAUGUCAGUGUCAAUUAACGCGUAAAGCACAUGGCUCGAGAGUAAAAAAGGAAAUAGCAAAAAGGAAAAAGUAAACAGUGAUAAAAUAAAAUUAUUAAAGACAAUAAUGCAAAUGAUAAAACAACCGUGAAUAAAAGGAUAUUUACAGGUAGUUGCGACUGUGGCUCACAUCUUCCUCUAGUUUUACGUCCAGAAACGGCUUGAACGCCCUCUAUAGGUCGAGGAUAGGCUUCCCAUCCAGUUUUCUUAUAAACUGGAAAAACAGAGUCGUUUAUAGUCAGAUUCCCGAGACUAUAUCGUGCAUGCUCUUUCUGGAAUAAUGGCCAUAACUAGAGAAUCGCACCUUGUAUAUAUCCACUGGGAUGUGUUUCAAGAGAUAAAAGGAUAUCAUCCAAUGACUCCUUAUUCAAGCCAUCCCUAAUGAGUUGAAUCUUAUCUUCCCUGUUAUCAAACAUAAUUCCUAAAUAACAUGAUUUUUUAUCGCAUCUCAUUCUGGCGCACUUAUGACAAGCAACAGAAAUUCUUCGAGCUCUUCGUUUUCUUGCAUAAUUUCAUUUACCACAACCAGACAUGUAUGCAAUAAAUUUAGGAGGCAACUCACCUGCCAAUUGCACUUUGGCCUCGAUUAACCAGCGGAUGUCAGCAGGUAUGUUAUUCCUCUUGAACAAUUGCAUCCGUUCAGACCGAGUUUUAUAGAUUAUAAGGAGGGCAUUCUGAGGAAGUGAAGGGAAUCAAUUGUGAAGCUUUGCUAAAAUCUCAUUUCUGUCCAUACCUUCGCCUCAGAAUAUCAGUUAUUAUGGGAAACUAAAGUAACUGACUUGAUUGUCACGGAGUACCAUUAUCCGCCACUUCACCAGGGUAACAAACUAAAGCACACAAACAGAAAAAAAAAAACUAAAACAAAAAAAGAAAAUUACAAUCGUCCUCUUAUUGAAUUUACCUCAAGCUCUAACUGGAUGUUAUAGACACUUCCCUCAAUGUCUUUGAGUUGGCUUUCUAAAUCCUCAACAUGGGAUACUAACUCUGGUGGUUGUAGAGCCCAAAUAUGAUGUGUUUUACAAAAUCGAAUUUACCUUUUGAGAUGAGAUUUUACACGUUGACGUUGUCUAAAAAUGUUCAGGAGGAGCUGUUUAGCUGAGGCACUCAUGAUUAACAAUGAUAAGAGAAAACUUAAUGGUUAAACAAACAUACUUAUGCAAAAAUAAUUUCAAUUAGCAAAAGAAUAGUAAAAAGAAAGAAAAAAAUCAAAUCACCGAAAAGAAAGAAAAAUCUCAAUUCAAAUCUAGUGGGUCACUCAAAUUUAUUUUGGUGUCCUCUCCAUGUGGUUGGUACUCUAGAUAUGGCUUUAAUAUUUGACCAUUAACUUUAAAAGUGACACCGUUCUUUGGGUCUUUAACUUCAAUUGCCCCGUGUCGAAAAACAGUGUGAACAAUAAAUGGGCCAGACUAUCGAGAGCGUAACUUACCAAGGAAUAGGUGCAAGUGAGAAUUGAAUAAAAGCACUUUCUGACCUGGAGUGAAAGAUUUUCUCAUAAUUUUCUUGUCAUGAAAGAUUUUCAUUCGCUGCUUGUAAAUCUUGGCAUUUUCGUAUGCAUCAUUAUGAAUUUCUUCAAGUUCUGCCAGCUGUAAUCUUCUUUCUGAGCUAGCUUGCUGUAUGUCAAAGUUGAAUUUCUUGAUGGCCCAAUACGCACGAUGCUGGAGUUUCACAGUUAGGUGGCAAGCUUUUUCAUACACUAGCCUAUAGGGUGACAUCCCAAUCGGGGUCUUGAAAGCCAUUCUAUACACCCAUAAUGUAUUAUCGAGUCUUAAUGACCAAUCUUUUCUGUCUAGCCUCACCGUCUUUUCUAAUAUGUGCUUUAUUUCUCGAUUGGAGAUAUCAACUUGGCCACUGGUUUGCGGAUGAUAUGGGGUCGCCACUUUAUGAGUGAUGGAAUACUUUGUCAAAAGUGCUUUAAAUGCUUUGUUACAAAAGUGGGCACCACCAUCACUGAUUAUUGCUCGAGGGAAUCCAAACUGUGAAAUAAUGUUGCUUUUCAAAAAUCCUAUCACCACUUUGUGAUCAUUGGUUCUACAUGGAAUUGCUUCUACCCAUUUCGAUACAUAGUCAACAACAACCAAUAUGUAUUGAUGGCCAAAAAAAGGGGGAAAGGGUCCCAUGAAGUCCAUGCCUCAUACAUCAAAUAUCUCAACCACUAAAAUUGGAUUUAGUGGCAUCAUAUUCCUUCGUGUAAUGCUCCCCAUUCGAUGACACCUAUCACAUGAAGAACAGAAAGUGUAAGCAUCUCGAAAUAUAGUUGGCCAAUAGAAACCACAUUGUAAAAUUUUAGUAGCUGUUUUCUUAGCGCUGAAAUGGCCUCUACAAGCUUGUUCAUAGCAGAAUGAAAAGAUAUUAUGAAUUUCACUUUCUGGGACACAUCGUCUAACAAUUUGAUCUGCACAAUACUUUAACAGAUAAAGGUCAUCCCAAAAGAAAUUCUUUAUUUCCGCAAAAAUAUUGGCUUUGUCUUGCUUGGUCCAAAGCUCUGGAAGUUGACAUGUUACAAUAUAAUUCACGAUAUCAGCAUACCAUGGUAAUACUUCCACACUCAUCAAUUGUUCAUCUGGAAAUGACCCAUUCAAUGUUAAUGGUUCUGUAAUUGUGUCAAAAUUGAGACGAGAGAGAUGGUCAGCCACAACAUUUUCUGUGCCUUUCUUAUCUUUGAAUUCCAAGUCGAAUUCCUGCAAAAGUAACAUCCAACGAAUUAGUCUAACUUUUGCAACUUUCUUUGUGAGAAGAUAUUUAAGAGCAGCAUUAUUUGUGAACACAAUUAUUUUACAACUAAUGAGAUAAUAUCAAAAUUUCUCUAAUGCAAACACUAUUGUUAGCAUUUCUUUUUUAGUAGUUGAAUAGUUCAAUUGUGCAUCAUUCAAUGUCAUACUAGCAUAGUAAAUAACAUGGGGAAUUCGAUCUACUCUUUGUCCUAAUACUGCUCCUACUGCAUAAUCAGAUGCAUCACACAUGAGCUCAAAUGGUAAGUUCUAGUUUGGGGGUUGAAUGAUGGGUGAUGAUGUCAACAAUUGCUUUAGUUUUUCAAAUGCCACAAGGCAUGAAUCAUCAAAGAUAAAAGGUACAUCCUUAGCAAGUAGAUUGCAUAAGGGUCUAGAAACUUUGCUAAAAUCUUUAAUAAAACGUCGAUAAAAACCAGCAUGCCUAAGGAAAGAUCUUACUUCUCUGACUGUUUUAGGUGGAGAAAGAUUGGAAAUGAGAUCCACCUUUACUUUGUCAACCUCAAUACCUUUGCUCGAAAUGAUGUGAUCGAGAACAAUACCUUAUUUUACCAUAAAAUGACACUUCGCCCAAUUAAAGACUAAGUUCUUUUCUAUACAUCUCUACAGAACUAGUGUUAGAUGAUGUAAAUAUUGAUCAAAUGAAUCACCAAAGACAGAAAAGUCAUCCAUAAAGACUUCAAGGAAUCGUUCAACAAUAUCAGAAAAAAUGCUCAACAUGCAUCGUUGAAAUGUAGCAGGUGCAUUACAUGAUCCAAAUGGCAUCUUCCUAUAUGCAAAUGUGCCAAAAGGGCAAGUGAAAGUGGUUUUCUCUUUAUCUUUUGGUGUUAUGGGAAUCUAAUUAUAUCCUGAGUAACCAUCUAGAAAACAAUAAAAUUCAUGGCCUGCUAAUCUAUCAAGCAUUUGAUCAAUAAAUGGUAAAGGAAAAUAGUCUUUACGUGUGACAGAAUUCAACUUUCUAUAAUCAAUGCAUACACGUCAUCCUGUAGUCACUCUAGUGGGUAUGAAUUCAUUAUCAGCAUUGGUAACUACUGUGACUCCUGACGUUUUCGGGACAACUUGCACAUGACUGACCCAUGAACUAUCAGAAAUGGGGUAAAUGAUACCUGCAUCUAAUAGUUUAGGGACUUUAGUUCUAACAACUUCUUUCAUGUUAGGAUUUAACCGACGUUGCAUUCCCUAGUAGGUUUAGCAUUUUCAUCAAGGUAAAUGUAAUGCAUGCAGUCUACUAGGUUUAUACCUUUUAUGUUGGCUAUGGUCCAUCUUAAUGCUCAUUUGUGCUCUUUUAAAACAUCCAACAACUUGCCUUUUUGUUCCUCAUUUAGGGAUGUUGAGAUGAUUACUGGUAGAGUACUUUCUUCUCCCAAAAAUGCAUAUUUCAAAGUGUUGGGUAAUGAUUUGAGCUCGAGUUUCGGUGGUGAUUCUGAUGAUGGGCUGAGUUUUUUCUCUGAUGGUGCUAGUUGUUCAACUCUUGACUUCCAUUUAUUAGUGUCCAUGGAUGGUGCUGAGUCAAGUAAGGUGUUGACCUCAUCGACUGAUCUGUCAAUAUCAAAAUUCAAACCAAAGUGAGUUAAACAUAUUUGUAAAGGGUCAUCACUAAGGUUUGAAAGAAAAGUAUUAUCAACUAAUGUUUCUAUUAAAUCCACAUCAAUAAUUUCAUCAUCUACAUUGUGAGGUUGUUUGGCAAUGUUGAAAAUGUUUAGCUCCAUAGUCAUACUGCCAAAGGAUAACUACAUAUUUCCAGUCCUGCAUUGAAUGUGAACAUCGGCAGUUGCCAAGAAAGGUCGACCUAGGAUAAUAGGGAUGUGCUUCCUUGAAUCAUGGAUUGGUUGAGUGUUAAUUACAAUGAAAUCAACAGGAAAAUAAAACUUGUCUACCUGGAUAAGCACGUCCUCCACAAUACUACGAGGUAUUUUUGUGAACCGAUCUGCAAGCUGUAACACUAUUAAAGUUGGGUGUAAUUCUCCCAGUCCAAGUUUCACGAAUACUGAGUAGGUAACAUAUUUACACUAGCUCCUAAAUCCAACAAAGCAUUCUCAAUUGUGUGGUUCCCUAUACUACAUGAGAUGGUGGGGGAGCCUGGGUCUUUGCAUUUUAGAGAAAUUUUGUGUUGGAGUAUAGAGCUAACGUUUUCUGUUAAAAAGGCCUUCCUUUGAACGUGAAUGUUUCUCUUUUUAGUACAAAGGUCUUUAAGAAACUUAGCAUAAGAUGACACUUAUUUUAUAGCAUCAUGCAAAUGGAUGUUAACACUUACUUGUUUGAAGAUUUCAAGAAUCUCACCUGUGCAUUUUCCCUUCUUUCCUUUAGCUACCCUCUGAGGAAAAAGAGCUUUAGGAAAAUAUUCUCGUGGGUUGGUUUCUUCUUUUUCCUCCAAUGAUCGUCGGCAUUUACAUGUACAAUUUGGUUCAUUUUCAUCAUCGGCAUCUCCACUUUGUCGUCGACUUAUUUCCCUUUUCGUAAGGUCAUGACAGCUUUGACCUCUUCAUGCUGCUGUGGUGAACUGGUACUUACGUCAUGCACUCCUUUAGGGUUAAGCACUGGUUGACUUGGAAAUUUACCUUUCUCAACAGUCAUUGCCAAUGUUUGAAUUGAAGAAGCAAGUUGUCCCACCAUCUUCUCAAGAUUUGAAACUGAUUGGGCUUGUGAGUUGAAGUCUGCUCUCAACUUAUUUCGUAGUUCAUCAAUGAUGCGGUUCUGCUGCUCAAUUGUGUAGUGAGUAACAUUCCUAAAAUUCUACAAUGCAUCCUCCCAUGGUCUGGGUUGAGAGUACUUCUGGUUCUGAUUGUAUGGUCUAAAUGGUGGUUGAGAGGCUUGAGGAACUUGAGGAAUUGGUUGCAUUGGUGGAGCUGGAGCUACUGGUCCAUUUUGUUGGAAUCCUUGAGACCAUGAAAAAUUAGGGUGGUCUCUCCAUCCAGGAUUAUAUGUAUUGGAGUAUGGGUUGUAAUUUGAUGGCUUUCUCAUUACACCUAUGGCAUUGGCUUGAUCUGGAUAUGAGUCAUGUUUAUGUGGUUAUGUUGAUUUAGCAGUCGUUAAUGAUGCUAUUUAUCGGGAAAGACCUUAAAUUAUCUCUUUAACUUCUUUAAUUCCCGAACUUGACUCGCCAAUGUAAACCUUAUUCACUCCCUUAAUUCUUUUAGUAUUCCUGAGUGAUCGACUCCGUUGUUGGGAAUUAUUCGCUUGUCGCUGGAAGAAAUCUCAAAUCUCUGAUGCACUUUUUGACAUUAGCUCUCCUCCACUUGUUGCCAUUAGCCAUUCUUGCACAUGUGGCAAUAAUCCCUUCAAAAAGUAUUAGCAUUGGUGUCAUUUCUCGUACUCAUGAUGUGGACACUUCAAAAGUAGCCUAUUGAAUCGCUCCUAUGCUUCGAAAAACUGCUUGUCUUCUCUCUGGAUAAACUCUGAGAUUUCCCUUCGAAUAACAUUGGUUUUAUGCAUUGGGAAGCAUUUAUUCAAAAAUUUUGUUACCAUUUGUUCCCAUGAUGUAAUGUUAUUAGCAGGCAAUGUAUUGAGCCAUGAACGAGCUCGAUCCUUUAAAGAAAAUGGGAAUAGUUUAAGUUUAACAUCAUUAUCUGAAAAAUUCUCAUAUUUAAAAGUUUGACAAACAGUAUGAAAAUCAUUCAAAUGAUUAUAUGGGUCCUCAUUUUCUAGGCUAUAGAAUGUUGGGAGACAAUUUAGCACACUAGGUUUUAACUCAAAACUCCUAGCAACUAUAUUUGGGUAUCUUAUGCAUGAUGUGCUCAAAUUAGCUAAGUGACUAAAGGAGUCCUUAAAUGGCCUCUCCUGUGGUGGUGGUUGUUGUUGCAAAUCCAUUUCAAUUUUAUUUUUAACGUGUUUGUGUGUGCGCAGUGUUUUUUCUAGUUCAAGGUCUAUAGGCUCAAGAUUAGGUAAUAAUGACAUUCGACCAUGCAUACAAAGAACACAAAAAUAAAUGAGAACAAAAUAAAUAAAAAUAAAGAAGAAGAAGAAAUUACGGUACUAACUUUAUAACGUUAUUACAACAUUUCUAUAAAAACGCACUAAAAAAAUAAGUGAAAUAAAUUAAGUAAAAAUAAAUUAAUAAGAUAAACAAAAAAUUACAAAGAGAAAAAUAACUUGAAAAUUAAAUUAAAAAAUUUUAAAGAAGAGAAAAAGAAAAGAAAUUAUUACCUUUAAAUGCAGAUUCACUUUUUGAAAAAAUAAGAAAAACAAUUACAAGAAAAUAACUAAAAGAAAUUAUUUACAAAAAUUAAUUCUACAAAUUAAAAUAACUUACCUCUCCGACAACGGCGCCAAAAACUUGUUGUGCAAAUUUUAUUGAACUCGCAAGCGUACGAAUCUAUUGUAGAAUAGAUUAAUGGUGACGAGUGUCGAUCCCACGAGGAGGUGGAUUUUAAUUAUGUGUAGAAUUAAUUUUCCAAGUGGGUGAUUGGAUUUUUGGUUGAAGUGAUCUAGAUUAUCCUAAAAUUUAAAUUAAAAUGGCGGAAAUAAAUUAAAGCAAAAUCUAUUGAAAUAAAGCACUUUGGUAUCUAGAUCUGCAUCAACAUGCAUCAUGGGCUAAAUAUUCUUUAUUAAUGCCAAUUAAAUCAUGAGAGGGAUUUCUACUCUUCAAGAACCACACUCUAAUCAAUAUGGUGCUAAGGGCUUAUCGUGCCAAAUAAUAAUAACUUUGUACUAGGGAGCCGAUGAAAUCAGGGCGGUAUCUAGACAAGAUUAUUACUAUUUCUCGAUGAAAAGUUAAAACAUCCACAAUAAUUAGAGGGGAAGAGAAAGUAAAUUUACCAAAUAAAGCCCAUGACACAUGUUGAGACUUCACCUUCAACCCAAACUUAAAAGAAAAUUAGCUACUCAUAAUUGAACUAGGGGUCAAAUGGAAAUUUAUUAAAAUAAGUAGAAAAUAGAAGAUGGAGAAGGAAUUACAGAAAAUGGAACUAAAAAAUAAAUUCAAGGAUGCCAAAUUAGGGGGGGAGAGCCCCAUUUUUAAAGAUACAUUGAGUAAAUCAUGACCAUCGAAUUAAAAAUAUUUUGGAUGCUUAGGAUUGCACCACAUCAUCAGUCAACAGUACGCGGUUUGACCACGCGGUUUGAACAGUCAGAGAAAAGUAGCCAUCACAUGCUUUUGAAUAUCAAAAUUUAACAACACUGUUUACUUUAUCGUCCGACAUCUAUCUGUAAAAAAUUUGAUCAGUAUAAUACUUGAACAAGAAUGGAUCAUCCUUGUAAAAGCUUUUCACCUCUAUUAAGAAUUUCUUAUUAUCUUGGAAGUUCAAAUUGGAUGACAUUUUACCUGUUGUAAAAUAAUUAACAAUGUUAGCAUACUAAGGCACAUUAUGUAUAGAAAACAAAAACUCAUUAGGAAAAGAAUCAUUGAUAGGUAUUGUGUUAAUUGAAAGCUCAUUUGUAAGUCUUAACAGAUAGCCUGCAGUAACAUUUUCGCCACCCUUUUUAUCUUUGAAUUCAUCAUUUUAAUCUUGGCAUGGCAUCUUGUUUAGACAUUAAAUAUCUAAUAGCAAUAUGAUAAAAAAAAGACCAUAAUAGAUGAACUAAUUAAAUUUGUUUGAAAUUUAUUCAGUGUAAAUAUUACAGCAAGUAGUUCUAUUUAAGUGGUAGUAUAAGUCAUUUGGGCACUAUUUAAAAUUCUGCUUGCAUAAUAGAUAACAAAGAGCUCACCUUUUUUUUUUCUUUGUCCUAAAGCAGCUCCAACAUCAUAAUCGCUAGCAAUAGCAUUACACAUUAGUUCAAAAAGUAAAGGGCAAUCAGGGGAUUGCAUUAUAGGGGAUUAUGCUAAAAGACAUAUUAUCUUUUCAAAGUCUUUUUGACAAUCUUUGGUCCACUCAAAUAGUGUAUCUUUUAUAAAGAGAUUACAAAGUAGUCUAGAUAUGAUACUAAAGUCUCUUAUUAACCUCCUAUAAAAUUCGGCAUGUCCUUAAAAGGAACGAACUUCCUUAAUUGUCUUUGGUGAAGGUAAUUUUGAGGUGAUUUUGAACGAACUUCCUUAACUGUCUUUGGUGAAGAUAAUUUUGAGGUGAUUUUAACUUUGACUUUAUCAACUUUGAUUUCAUUUAAAGGAAUUACAUGGCCUAAGACAAUUCUAAAAAUGGUCAUGAAACAACAUUUUGCCUAAUUUAAAAUAAAUCCUUUUUCUUUACACCUUUCUAAAGCUCUUUCUAAAUUAUUAAGAGAUGUAUCAAAAAAAUUUCUUAAUAUAGUUAAAUUGUCCAUAAAAACUUCUAAACAAUUUUCAACAAUCUCACCUAAAAAUGCUUAGCAUGCAUCUCUGAAAUAUUGCAGGAGAAUUAUAGAGUCCAAAAGGCAUUCUUCUAAAUGUAAAUGUUUCAAAUAGGCAUGUGAAUAUGGUAUUUUCUUGGCCUUCUAAGGCUGUAGAAAUUUGCUGAAAGUUUGAGUAGCCAUCAAGAAAGUAGUAGCAGAAGUGUUCUGCUACUCUCGAGGAUUUGAUCUAAAAGUAAAAGAGGAAAAUGCUCCUUUCUAUUGGCAUUAUUUAAUUUUCUGUAGUCAAUGCACAUAUGUUGACUAGAUGGAACCCGUGUUGAGAUUAGUUCACUUUUUUAAUUUUGUACAGUGAUCAUUGCAGAUUUCUUUAGUACUACUUAUGUUGGACUUACCUAUUUACAAUCAAAGAUAAGAUUGAUAAUUCUUACAUCUAGUAGUUUAAAGAUCUAAUUUUUUACCACUUUUUUUCAUAUGGGGGUUAAGUCUUCAUUGUGGUUAACGCGAGUUAUUUUGGCAUUUUCAUCUAAAAGUAUUAUGCAUAUACAAAAAAUUUCUUCAUUCUUAAUGAACUCAGUGAUCUCUCUUUAAACAAAAAAUUCUGCAAAAUCUUUAAAGUCAUCAAUAAUAACAUUGGUAGAUUCCAUAAUAGUUUGAGUUCCCAAAUUUUACAAUCGAAAAGCUUUAUUAUUAUUUGAAUAACAAAGAAAAAUGCCCUCAUCAUUUUUUUAGUCAUACUUACACAAGUAUUCACGAUCUUUCAAGAUGUAACAUGUAAUACCAAAGAUGUGAAAAUAAUUUAUAUUAGGUUCCUUACAUUUCCACAGUUCAUAAGAGGUUUUUUUAGUGCUUGGAUACAAAAAUAUUUAGUUCUUUUGCUGAAAGACAUUUAGUCAACUUAUUGGAGUUCAACAUCACACGUGCCAUCUCCUCUAAGGUUUUGUUCUUUCUUUAAAAAAUUCCAUUUUGUUCAAGAGUAGUAGGUACUGAAAAUUCAUGUAUUAUACCAUGUUUAUCAAAAUAUUUUGCAAAAUUAGCAUUUUCAAAUUCGUUUUGAUGAUGACUUCUAAUUUUCCCAAUAUUAUGAUCUUCUAAUACAUAAUUUUUUAAACACACCAAACAUAUCAGAUUUUUCUUUAAUAAAAUCAGCCCAUGUGCAUCUGAAGAAAUCAUCUAUGCAAAUAAAAGCAUACCAUUGUUCAGCAACACUUUUCACUUGCAUUGGACUAAUAAAAUUCAUAUGAAGGAAAUCAAGUACUUUAGAUGUGGUAAUAUGUUAAACAACUUUGUACGAUGUGCGAUGUUUUUUGUUGUUAGCCAAUUUGACAAGAAUUACAAGCUCUAGAUUGUUUCUUUUUGAGCUUAGGUAUUCCUCUUACAAUUUCUGCACUCACGAGUUAGUCAAUAAUUUAUAAUUAAAAUGACCAAGUUUUUGGGGCCUUAUUUCAAUUUGAUCAAUAGUAGUUUUAUGACAAGUAAUAAAUUGGAUCAAUUUAUAAUAAUGAUUCGAUGGUCUAAUUCCCUUAAGUAUAUACUUACCCUUGUUAUUAAACACUUGACAUUUGCUGCUAUUAAAAUUUAUCAUUACGUUUUGAUAAUAAAUUUGAUCAAUACUCAAAAGAUUAGCUCUCAAGUCUUCAACUUGUAAAGCAUUUUCAAGUCUAGGAGCACAUGACUUUUAAUACUGUCAGCAAAGGCCACAUGUUCUCAACUACAUUCUUCAUAAUUUAUUAAAGCACUAUAAUCACCAUUCAUGUGUCUAGAGCAACCACUAUCAAAACACUAUAAGUUAUUAAUACAAGAUCGCAGAGAUGUAAAUGACACAUAUGCUUUUAAUUCAUAUUUCCUAAUCCAAUUUGGUUCAAUAAAGUUACCUUGAGCAUUAAGCUUAGGUUUAAGAGUAUAUCUAGGUUUACCAAAUGAAGAAAAAUUAAACGACACAAUUUUCUUUAUGUAAUUCAUGAACCUAAAGCAUCUAGCUCUUAUGUGUCCUUUAAUAUAACAAAGUGACAAGUAAGAACAAAACUUUCAUACUAACCAUGUGAGCUCGAUGUAUAAUGUGUCACAUAUUUACCUUUCAUUUCAUCAGAGAGUUUUGCCAUUGGUAGCGAUACUUUGGUUGUUGGUGAAGAGGCUUUACCAAAAAUAGUAUUUGAGCUUAAAGUAAUUCCUUUAUGAUACCCAAGACAAUAAUGAUCUAAAGUAGCUUUUCCCAUAGUCAAAAUCUUAUCAAAUUGCUUUGUUCUAGAAUUCAUCAUUCUCAAAGAUUUUUUAGUACUUUCUAGCUUAGUCAAAACUUCCUUCAAUUUCUCUUUUUUUUCCAAAAACAGUAGUUUGAGGAUUGAUUACUUCACUUUCAAACCUUAACUUUUCAACAAUAUUUUUUUGAUAAUUCAGCAUGAAUUUUUCUUGCAUCUUUUUUUCAUUUUUACCCAUUUAGAAUAUAUGUAAUCAUCACUACUAGAAAAUAGUCUUCACUGAUACUUGUCUUGUGACACUUUAUUUGAAAGUAUUAGAUGUACAUACAUUUGGACCAUUUUUUGCAUUUAACAGAUAAGUAUCACUAAUUACUAAUACUAAAGUAUCAAUAGCUUUAGCAAUAGCGAUCAAUGAUACUAAGGUAUCAACAAUAAAAAAUUAUCAUUUGAAAUUUGUUACAAUCCGAAUUCAAACCGAAGACCUCUUAAACCUAAAGCUUCUACAUUGAAUCAAAAGACUAGUAGACUACGAAUUAUUUUUAGUUUUUUUAAAGCAGUGCUUUUUAAGCGGAUAAAAACAAAACAAAUGGACAAGUCUUAUCCAAAAUAUAACAAAAAAUUUUCAACUCCCUCUACCAAAAUAUCCGUUCCCUCCUAAGCUCCCCAGAUCUAAAAAAUCCCCAACAUCCAAAUUGUCAAAAAGUGCUCGGCCAUGAUUCUAUCGAACCGGCGGCACAUGUCCGCCAUUUGCCUUCAAUAUCCUAACUUCUUCUUUCUUUUCUUAUUUUAUGAUUUUGGGUCUCUAUUAUUUUCAUCAGAUCUUGAGUUUUUUUUUUUCAAUUUUUCUUUUAGGUUUAAAUAAGUGAUUUAGAGAAGAGCUUCUAUGUUUCUUUAGCUACUUGGAAGAAACUAGAAGGUAAAGAUUCGGCUUUCAUUGUGUUUUUUUCUUUGCUACUUUCUUUUCUUUUAUUGGCACUAGAUAGCCUUUAUUGUAUCUACUUUGGAAAAUAUUGUGUUUAGGGUGAUUGUCACUAUAAGGUUUACUUUAUUUCGCUGAUGAACGAUAUUAAACAUUUUUUACACUAAAACCCUAAAAUUUUCUAAUAUGGGAAUUCUUAAGAGCAGCAUGAUUGUGCUAAAAUUGAUGGUUUAUAUUGGUUCAUAGUGGUUCUAUGUUGAUAUAACUUAUUGCUUAUUAACCAUUUCUUCAUGUGUUAUUAGUUUUUUUUUUCAAAAGCAAUCAUUUCAUUCUAUUUUUCGGCUAUUAUUUUUGGGUUCUGUUCAAUAUAAAUAGUUUCAUUGAAUGAUUACUUUUAUAAAGGAAAAGUUUGAAGUAUGUGGCUUAGGUUGAGAAAUGAGGUGUCUUUAUCAUUUCUUUGAUGGAUAUGUUUAUAGGGCAAAACAUAAAUUUGUUUCUUCAGUUCAUUAAUAAGGCAAUAUUAGAUUGGUUUUAUUUAUUUUUAUAUUCAUAAUAAGGCAAUAUCUGCUUCAGUUGUUUUAUUUUUCUUAUUUAUAUUUAUAUGAUUCAUGGCUAAAAUCAUAAGACUUGUUUACAGGGCAAAUGGGAAUUUUUGUUUUGGUUGAAAAUUUUCUAAGAAAUUUUGGUGUAGAGAUAACCAUGAAUUUUGCAGCAAAUUAAUGUUUGAUGAAUUAUUGUAUAUGAUAGAAUUAUCCUAGUUUAAGACUUUGAAGGUUUUCAAGAAAUUAUUUUGGAUAAUAAGCAUCCGAGUAAUAGCUUGAAAAUUAAUUUAUUGCAUCUGUAUAGUGUAUUAAUUUUAAGAACUAUGGAUUAUUUAAUGAAUGUUCUAGAAAAAAAUAUUAUGUUACAUAUUGCAUGUCUUAACAUAUAAUGAUUAUAUUUUAAAGUUUGUUAUCUUUUUUCCCCCUUUCUAGGUUUAGGAAGAAUGUUGAAAGUGAAAUGAGACUACUAUUGGGUGAUGAUGUCAAUCAAGUUUAAGAAACGUUACUUGUGAGUGGAAAUAUAUAAUGAUUAUAUUAUAAUUCCAUUUUUAAUUUCUUUUAUCUUUUUUAAGUUUUAUAUUCAGGGAAAACUAAUAAUGCUUAAUUACAAUAAAGGGUGAUAUUCUUUAAAUGGUUUGUGUAAUCAUAUUUAAGUUGUAUAAUAAAUUCAUAUUUACUUUACAAAGGCUUAGCUAGGUUUGCAAAUAUUAUUUUUUAAGAAGUAAUGAUUUUGGAAUGAACUCUCAAAUUAUUGAAAUAUUUUGUCCAAACUUUACCAUAUGUUUGAAAUAAUUAAAGUUAAAUGUGUAUGUUUCAGUUUUGGAAAAUUUGGAAUGAAUUGGGUUUGUAACUGAUUUUUAAUCGAUUUUUCAAAAUGGUUGGUUGCUGUCUAAUUUUUCAUAAAUUACUCAUGUAUCAUGUUUGGUGGUGCAAAACAAUAGUCUAAAAGUGUCCGAAUGAGCUGAAAUUUGGAGAAACUAAAGUUCUAUAUGCAUACUUCAAAUCUGAAAAUUUUCAUGUUGAUUGAACUUGCAGGUUAUUUUUAAUGAUUUUUCAAACUCCGCUGCUCUGAAGCAAGUUCUUUUGACAGAAUUGUUUAUUAACUUUUGAUCUUACAAAACACUAGCAUAAUAAUGUCAGAUAGCUGGAGAUGGACAUUCAUAACAAUUAUCUAAGCUUUCCAAUUUCAACUUUUUUGUUGAUUUAAUUUUAAAAUUUAAGUUAAUUUUCAUGUACUUAUCUCAAAAUAUUAGGAUUUUUUCUUUUUAGUGUGUUAAAGUUUGAAAAUUUGAAUGACAUCCUUAAACAAAAGAGUGGUCUUUCAGGAGUGGUCGCUGUGUGCACCUAUCCUACAUGGAAGUGGAAACCACAUUACUUCAGUGUUUCCAUAGUUUUAUUUAAGAGAGAAUAGGGAGUAAUGUUGGAAUGGUAUAUGGCUUCCAAAUUAUGUUCUUUCUAAAAUGUAUGUUGAUUGAUUUAAUGGAUGUUGCGUGAGGGCAUAAAGAUCCUAUGAGCAUACCAUUUCUAAACACUUAUUUAUACUAUUGAUUUAUUUAGAUUUUAUUUAAAUUUAAAUUUGAUCAGCAAUAAAAUUAUUUUUAUGUUAAAUUUUUAUUUUUUAUGGAUUCAAUAGAAAGAAACUUUUUGAUCCGUAUCGAAUCUGCAAAACAUUGGAUUGGAUGUAGAUUAUGUCAAAACUGAAUCUAAUCCGCAGACUUAUACAUUGGAUUUGAAUUAAUUUUAUAUGGAUUGGAUGAGAUUUAAAAUCUAUAACGAUUUUUCACUUGUUGUCAAUUGUUAGAAUUUUUUCACAACGCGCUUUUGUUGGACGUUCUUUCACAACACACUUCCACCGAUCGUUGUUAAAUGGACUUUUGUUUUUUUUUUUAAAUAAUUACAAAUCAUCACAAUCUACAGAUACAUUAAAAUGUAUUAUACACUAGAUACAUGCAUUCAAUUUUUAUUAUAGCUUAGAUGUCUUCCAAGCACUAUAGCCCGGAAAUCUGCUCCCGGUAAUUUUGAGGAGACAUUUGUGCUAUACAAUCAACUUUUUGUUGAUAAUUAUUUUGAGAUUUGUUAAUUUUUUUUCGUAACAGUACUUUAUAUCUAUAACAAAUAAAUUUUUUAAUUGAAUUAGUUUGAUUAAACAAAGUUUUUAUCUUCUUCUGUAGUCUUGAUUAUUUUGAGUGUUAAAGCUCAACAUCACGAUACUGUUUUGAUUAUAGUCAUAAAAAAUUAUGAUUAGUUUUUUUAGAUUCUAUCUUAGAAAACUUUCCUGCACAUAAUAAUAAUUAUAUGUAAAUUUCAAAAAAUAUAUGCUAUGUUACACCAAAAUUUAAGAUAGAAUAAAAUAUUUUUCGAAAGUUGCUUGGAUUAAUGAUUUAUUCUUUAGAGUUGUUACCAUGUCAUUAUAUGAUAUUUAUAGAAAUUACAUUCAGAGAAAAGUAUUAAAGAGAAUGCAAAAGUUUAGACUUUUAAGAUAACUUUGCAUUUUCCCAAUCGUAUAAGAUUGAUGUAGUGCAUACUCCCUAUGUCACUUGGACUAAAGAUAACUAAGUCAAACCGAUAAUUUUUGUAACUACAUCUGUAGUAAGUUAUAACCUACUCAAAGUGGAAAAAAAAAAGUUUGGUCCUAGUAUAAUGACAAUAGAAAGAUUUCACUAUGUAUAUAACUUUGUACAUUACCACAAACCAUAGAUUAAUUUGAGAAUCUUGCCAUAAAUAAAUAAAUAUAUAUAUAUAUAUAUAUAUAUAUAUAUAUAUAUAUAUAUAUAUAUAUAUAUAUAUAUAUAUAUAUCUCAGGGAGAUUGUCAAUAUUCCCCUAUUGAAAUUAGUAUAUAUCACGUAUCUGUUUAAUAUUUUCAUAAUAGCCAAUAACUCCUGUGACAUAGAAAAUUUAAAGGAAAAGAGGGAUGAAUAGGUCAUUUGCUUGAUGGAUCUCUGAAAUAUAAGUAUAAAAAAUAGCAAAAAGUAUAAGAAAAAUAUCUUAUUAUUAAUUUUUUUAAUUUAUAAGAAAUAUUAGUAGAAUGUAUUUGAAAAUAUUAAUAACAUUGUAAAAUGAUGGUGACAUAGGAAGUAUUGGUAUUAUGAAAAUAAUAAAGAAAAAACCGAUAUCUAUUAAUUUUUGUUGGAGAAAAUCUACUUGUUAGAGAGAUUACAUGAAUCAAUUAUUAGAAAUUUUUCAACAAUAUAUUGAGCAGAACAUCACACAAUUGAACAUCUAUUAGAAGCUUGCCGAUCCUGCACAUUGAAAGUGUUUAUAACAACAUUCUUUCGGAUGUAGCCAUUUAUUAAAAUUGCUAUACAACGCACUUUCACUAACCGUUGUUAAAUGGAAUUUAUUUUUGAAAUUAUUACAAUGUGAAAAUGAGGAUUACCUUCUAUUUGUCUAGGAAAAUUAAGCAAAACCCCUCCUUAUUUUUUAAUAUAUUCAAAUCUCCUGCAAUUAUAAUGGAGUUAGUUUUAUUUAUCAUUUUACUAUUCCAUUCUCACUAUCGAUAUUAGCCAUAAAAUUUAGAUAUUUUGAGAAAUUUUUUAAGCAAAAUGAGUUACAUAUCCUCAACAAUUAAAUAAAUUUAUUAACCUAUUACAAAGCAUGAAGAAAAAUUACAAUUUACAAGUAGAGGAAAUAUCAUAUAUACCCCUAAUAAUUAUAUAAAGUAUUUGUUUAAAUGAAUGUAACAAGUUUGAUAUAUUUAAUUUGCUUCUUAAUCUGGCACACGAUCAGUUGUUUUAUUCGAGAAGCAUAGGCUAGGCCAUACCGUUGCCAUUCUUAAUCUGCCUAAUAAUUAUAUAAAAUUUUGAUGAAUGUAGUUCUUUUUUGUUGAGCACUGCAGACGUUUUCAAUGGUUUUACAGACGACAAGGGAGGCUUCAUUUGUAAUGAUUUCAAGGGAAUAAUGAGCUUGCAUGAAGCCUCGUAUUACAGCUUAGAAGGAGAAAGCAUCAUGGAGGAGGCCUGGCAAUUCACCAGUAAACAUCUAAAAGAAGUGAUGAUCAGCAAGAGCAAGCAAGGGGAUGUCUUUGUGGCAGAACAAGCAAAGCGUGCACUGGAGCUCCCUCUGCAUUGGAAAGUUCCAAUGUUAGAGGCAAGGUAGUUCAUAGACGUUUAUGAGAAAAGAGAGGACAAGAACCACCUUUUACUUGAGCUCGCUAAGUUGGAAUUCAACGUUUUGCAGGCAAUUUACCAGGAAGAACUUAAAGAUGUUUCAAGGUAUCCAUGCUUGGUUGCAUAACUCAUAUUUAUGUAUGUAUCAAAGAUUUGAGUUUAUGAAAUACAUAACUUGUACAAAUUAAUCAUAUGCAUAUUAAAUUAUUCUCAGGUGCAGACUACACCUUUUACAGUAGUGUAAAGGUCUGAGUCUGCACUUUAUAAAAUACAGAGGUUUGCACCAGAGAUUGACUCUAAGGAAUCUUGGACUAGAAGAUGACUCUAUAAUAGAUGUAUUGUAAAGCUACGAGUCAUAAUAUUCGUUUUAAUUUUCCUAUGAAGGUGGUGGAAGGAUAUAGGUCUUGGAGAGAAACUGAGCUUUGCGAGGGACAGCUUGGUAGCAUCCUUCGUAUGGAGCAUGGGGAUAGUGUUUGAGCCUCAAUUCGCCUACUGUAGGAGAAUACUCACAAUCACAUUUGCUCUAAUUUCAGUGAUUGAUGAUAUUUAUGAUGUUUAUGGAACUUUGGAUGAACUUGAGCUAUUUGCUGAUGCUGUUGAGAGGUUUGUUGGCAAAUUAAUGUUAUACCUAAUUGAUUAAUUCAACUGCUAGCUAGCUGCUUGCUACUUCUCAAAUUAAUAGACCAGUCAUGAAUUUUUUUUUUUUUUUUUCGUUUUCUACAGGUGGGACAUCAAUUAUGCUUUGAACCACCUUCCGGACUAUAUGAAAAUCUGUUUUCUUGCGCUUUACAACUUGGUUAAUGAAUUUACUUAUUACGUACUCAAACAACAGGAUUUUGAUAUACUUCGAAGUAUAAAAAAUGCGGUACGUAAAAUAUUAGUUGCACCUCUGCCGCCAUUCAUUUCGUUUGAUUUAUCCUAUUUAAAUUACGAUGUUUUUGUCGCAAAAAAAAAAUAUAUAUAUACAUGUAUAUAUAUAUAUAUAUAUAUAUGUAAGUUGUAACUACUACUAUUUUCUGUGUCUUGUGCAUCAGUGGCUUGGCAAUAUACAAGCCUACUUUGUGGAGGCGAAAUGGUACCAUGGUAAGUACACGCCAACUCUGGGAGAAUUCUUGGAAAAUGGAUUGGUAUCAAUAGGAGGCCCUAUGGUUACAAUGACUGCAUACCUUUCUGGGACAAAUCCAAUCAUUGAGAAGGAACUAGAAUUUUUAGAAAGUAAUCGAGAUAUAAUUCACUGGUCAUUCAAGAUUCUUCGUCUUCAAGAUGAUUUGGGAACGUCAUCGGUAUUUUUUCUUUUUUCUUUUUUUGACAAGACAGAAAUUGAAUUAAUCCUCUAUAUAUGAAUUGAUUGACAUUUUUUUUACCCAAUAAUUCAUCAGGAUGAGAUACAGAGAGGGGAUGUUCCGAAAUCAAUCCAGUGUUACAUGCACGAAACUGGUGCCUCGGAGGAAGUUGCUCAUGAACACAUCAAGGAUAUGAUGAGACAGAUGUGGAAGAAGGUGAAUGCAUACAGAGCUGAUAAAGAUUCUCCCUUAUAGCAAACUACAGUCUGUUGCGAAAACGCGGGUUAAGUAAUUACUAAUACUGCGACUUCUAAAGAAAUAUAAAUGUGGUGAUAAACAAAUGCAAAGAAAAUAUGACACAAUAACUUAGACAAUGCUCAAAUUUGAUCGUCGUCACCACCUUAGUCAACAUAUCUGCGAGAUUCUCUGCAGUUUUAAUUUUCUGAAGAAGAAUCUUCCCCUCAUCAACAAUUUCCCGUACAAAGUGAAAUCGUACAUCGAUGUACUUUGUACGCGCAUGUUAAACUUGAGUUUUUGUUAAAUGAAUAGCACUCUGACUGUCGCAAUACACAUUAAUGUGCUCCUGUGCAAAUCCCAAGUUUUCAAGCAAGCCUUGUAACCAAAUAGCCUCUUCAACAGCCUCUGUAAUUGCCAUGUACUUGGCCUUUGUGGUUGACGGUGCAACUGUAAACUGUAGUGUAGACUUCCAACUGAUUGGCCCUCCAGCAAAAGUAAAUACAUAUCUGGUGGUUGACCAUCGUUUGUCCAAAUUACCAGCAUAAUCAGAAUCAACAUACCUGAUCACACCUUGACCAAGUGUAUCGUCUCUCUCAAAUAGUAAACCAACAUCCACGGUCUUCUAAAUUUACCGUAGAAUCCAUUUCACAGCUUGCCAAUGUCCUUUACCAGGAUUAUGCAUAUACUUGCUCACUAUACCAACUGCAUGUGAAAUGUCAGGCCUUGUACACACCAUUGCAUACAUCAAGCUACCCACUGCAUUUGAAUACAGAACUUGUAACAUGUAUUCUCGUUCCGCAUCUGUUGAAGGAGAUAGUUGUGCAGAAAGCUUGAAAUGAUAAGCCAAUGGGGUACUCACAGGUUUUGUCUGCUCAAUCAUGCCAAACUGUUGUAGUACCUUAUUCAAAUAUUGCUCUGAGACAAGCUUACUUUGCCAUGAGCUCUAUCUCUGCAUAUCUUCAUGCCAAGAAUCUUCUUAACUUCACCUAGAUCUUUCAUUUCAAAUUCUUGAUUGAGUUGAGUCUUCAACUUCUCAAUCUCAUCUUUGCUCUUCGAUGUUAUUAGCAUAUCAUCAACAUACAAUAGCAAAUAAAUGAAAGAUCCUUCUUGUAGCUUGCGAAAAUACACACAAUGAUCAAAUUUAUUUCUUGUGCACCUUCGCCCUUUUAUAAAUCGAUCAAAUCGCUUGUACCACUGCCUUGAAGAUUGUUUCAAUCCAUAAGCAACUUUGUCAAUUUGCAAACCCAAUUUUCUUUUCCAGCAACCUUGAAUCCAUCUGGCUGAGUCAUGUAGAUUUCCUUUUCCAAAUCACCAUGUAAAAAUGCAGUUUUUACAUCAAGUUGAACUAGUUCAAGAUCAAAGUGAACCAUGGCUAGCAAAAUUCAAAUAGACGAGUGUUUCACAACUGGAGAAAAUACCUCAUUGUAGUCUAUCCCUUCCUUUUGAGCGUAACCCUUUGCUACCAAUCUAGCCUUGUAUCGAAUUUCAUUUUUACGAGGAAAUCCUUUCUUUUUUGCAUAUACCCAUUUGCACCCAAUUGCCUUCUUUUCCUUGGGUACUGUAACUAACUCCCAAGUUUCAUUUUUGUGAAGAGACUGUAUUUCUUCGUUCAUUGCUCUCUUCCACUGUAUACUUUCUGGAUUACUUACUGCUUCUCUGUAAGUGGAAGGAACAUCAUCAUCUACAAUUAGAAGUGCAUAGGCCACCAUAUAAAAAAAGCGAGCAGGUCUGCGAAUCUCUCUGCAUGGCCUUCUAUAUGUGUUGGUGAUUUUUUAAUCAAAUGUUAUUGAUGCCAAUGUGCAAGUGUACACAACAAGUAAUAAAGUGAUGAAUAUUCAAGAUCGUCUUCACAAGGAUUGAUGUUACUAGAAUUGCUACAGCAAUCACAAUAGUGCAAUAUACCUUUAUUCCGAUAUGAACAAAUGUAAAGUUGGUUACUAUUGAAAUUGAUAAUUGUGAGAGAAUAAAAUGAAACAAAGCAGUGAUGAAAUAAAUUAAAUAAAAAUGCGUCGAAGAAUCAAAUGAGAAUAAGGUAGUUGAAUGAUCAAACUCUCUUUAUGGGCUGACUGCUUUUCAUCAAGUUAACACCAGUUGCUACAGCAAUUUCUAUAGCACUAAGCAUAAUUAUUUUGCACCAUCAGCUGUCGCAUAUUGGAAUUCUCAUACCCUUAAGUAUCUUAGCAAUGACCAGUUGCUAUUCUACCUACAGCAUGGCACUAUGAACAUCCAUUCUCUCCACCCUACAAGGUGAAUACCUAUGUCUAGUUUAUCACAAAUCUUAACUUCAAGUAUGGCCCUUAUUGGAUUCAAGAUAAACUUAAUCCAGGAAACUUAAAUGAAGAUCAAGUAUUACUCUAAUAAUAUCCACUAAGACAUGCUCUUUUGCGGCUCUAUCUUAACUUGAACCAUUAAAUGGGUAGUCAAUCGAAAUAACAGUUAUAAUAAUAACUACUAGAGUAAAAUGCUACAACAAUUAUAUAGUAAUUCAUAAGAACAGUCAAGAACCCAUUAGAUUGUUUGUCACUCAACUACAAGUAAGUUUAGUUCAUAUUCUGAAAGAGAAAAACAAACAACAACAUAUUGGUCACGAAAUACAUUGGUUUAAUCAAAGAGUGAAGAAAGAAUAAGUGAAGAACGAUAGAUAGUGAAUCCAAAUAACUCUGCUGGAUUCUUCAAUGAUGCGGCCUCGGUUCCCUUGAAUUCUGAUCUUCUUAUUCCCUUUCUCUCUAAUUUCCCCAAUGAUAAUUCCUUGCCGCUGUUUUAUGUGAUACACGCCUCUUUUUAUAACUGAAAACUAGGGUAAACAAAGGCCUUGGGCAUACAUGAGUCAAAUUAGGAAAUUACAUAUCGCAAUUCUGCAGCUAACCCGCGCUAAUUUUUCUCCCUCGGUGUUUGGUAUGUCAGCAGAUUAAAGCUGAACACCAGAGGCCUACAUAGUGUUCUCAGCCGCUUCCUAUUCGUGAGUGGAAGUGGGAGCACAUCACCAUGGAUUUUGUAGCAGGACUUCCACGUACUCAGAAAGGACAUGAUAGUGUUUGGGUGGUUGUUAAUCGACUUACAAAAUCUGCUCACUUCUUACCAUUCAAAAUCACCUAUUCGAUGGACAAGUUAGGGAGUAUUUAUGUGGCUGAGAUAGUUCGACUUCACGGAGUACCUGUGUCCAUAAUCUCAGAUAGAGAUUCUCGAUUUACUUCUAAGUUUUGGACCAACUUGCAAAAUGCUUUAGGCACCAAGUUGAACUUUAGUACAGCUUUUCAUCCACAGACUGAUGGACAGUCAGACCGUACUAUUCAAACUCUGGAGGAUAUGUUGCGAGCUUGUGUUAUGGAGUUUAAAGGUAAUUUGGACAAUCAUUUACCUCUGAUGGAGUUUACUUACAACAACAGCUAUCAAGCUAGUAUUGAGAUGGCACCAUAUGAGGCUUUGUAUGGUAGAAAAUGUAGGACUCCAGUAUGUUGGGAUGAGGUUGGUGAGCGGAGGUUAUUCGGUCCAAAACUAAUCCAGGAUACUAAUGAGAAGAUACAAUUGAUCCGGGAUAGAUUAAAAGUGGCCCAAGAUAGACAGAAGAGCUAUGCAGACAAGCAUAGGCGGGAACUUGAAUUCGAAGUUGGUUAUAGAGUUUUCAUACGGAUAUCUCCUUGGAAAGAGGUGCUUGGAUUUAGGAAACGUGGGAAGCUAAGUCCACGUUACAUUGGGCCAUAUGAGAUCAUUGAGCGCAUCGGUCCAUUAGCUUAUCGAUUAGCUCUACCACCCGAGUUAUCCAGAAUCCAUGAUGUGUUUCAUGUCUCAAUGCUUCGGAAGUACAUAUAUGACCCGAGUCAUGUGUUAUCGAAGCAACCAAUUCAGUUGAAAGAAGAUUUGACUUACGAAGAGGAACCAGUGGAGAUACUAGAAGAGAAACACCAAGUUCUACGUUCUAAGACCAUUCCUCUAGUAAAAGUACGGUGGAGGAAUCAUACAAAGGAAGAGGCUACCUGGGAACACGAGGACUUAAUGCGAGCUCAAUAUCCCUAUCUUUUCUUAUCAGGUACGUAAAUUUCGAGGAUGAAAUUUUUAUAAGGGGGGAGGAUUGUAACAUAUGUGAAUUAAAAAUGAAUAAAAAGAGGCGGUUAAGAAGUUAACAAAAGAAGAAGCUGGAAAACAGAACAACACAUAGCCACAUGCGUGUGUGAGAGUGAGAGAGAGAAGCUAUCAACUAGACCCGAAAACCCGAAUCGAAACCCACGAAUGUGACCCGGCCAUAUCUCCCAUUUUCGGCCACUGUUUCGGCCGAGCUUGGUACCAAUCUGAAGCUUAGAAGUCGGUCGUCGUUCCCCUGCCAUCCUCACAGCCGAAAAGCAACCAGAACGCCGACAAUCAAAGCUUGGAAACUCGCGACUGUUUUGGGUGACACUACCGGUUGGAUUUUUGUUCCCCGCAACUCCCUCCUCCAUUUCCGACCAUCCACUGCCGCCAGGGACAUUGUUUUGCCGUUGAUCGGCCGUUGAAAGACUUACGGCUUUAGGAGCUCGAUCCGAAGCCAUUGCCGCGCUUGGGAGGUCACCACCACCACCGUUGGACUCAGUGUGGCUAGCACUUUCAGACUUGAGCUUCCCGGCCAGUGUUGACCAAAUUUCGGUGACCAUUUAUCGGCAAGAUCAUUUCAGUAAUUUCACACUCCGAGGGCAAUUUUGUAAUUUCUGAGCCUGUGGAUAUUUUAGUAAUUCCUAUAAUUGAGGAUUGGGUGUAAUUACGAUUCCGAUGGUAAUUCGGUGAUUUACAAUUUCGGAGUAUUUUAAUAAUUUACAAACUCGAGGCUAUUUUAGUAAUCUUAUCGACGCGGGAGUUGUAAAUUAUGGAUAGAUGUUCGUUUCAAGUUUAUUGCAUAAAUUUAGUCUUAAUUCCGAUUUACGAAAAAUAAUUAUGUCGUUUCCUUGAUUUAGGAGGAUCCGCGAGCGAGAACCGGUCCGCGGACGUGGACGAUAACCGAACGUGAACACUGUCACUGUGAGUGGAAUAUACAAAACCUAUUUUCAUAGUUAAUUAUGAUAUUAAUGCAUGUUUGAGAAAUAAGUAUUUUAAAUGUUCUGAUUUAAUGAUUUCUCGAAAUGGAUUUUAUUCACGCAUUGAUAUUAUAUUAAAAUGUUUGGUUAAUGAUUUUGUGUAUCGACUUUGAAUAAAGCAUGAUAGUAUUUUAAAGAUAAGAAAAGUGGAUUCAAAUGUGGUAUGAUUUAAAGUAUGGUUAAAAGGUAUGUGAAUAUGAGUAUAAUGAUUAUUUUCAAAAUCAUUAGACAAUACCCUUCCCCUCCAGAUACAGUGAUGUAGAUGAUAUGAAAUGAGAGGCCUUUGGGGCCCAUCUGAACACACAUAGAGGCUUUGGGUUGUGUGUUUGGGCGCUUUUGCCUUUUGGGGGCAUAUGCAUGCGGUAUGAUGAUUACAAAGAUACAGAUAUGAGAUACAUAUAGAUAUUGAGAUACAGGCCUUUGGGGCCCGUCUGAGCACAUACAGAGGCUUUGGGCCAUGUGCUUGGGCGCUUUUGUCCUUUGGGGACUAGAUUAUGCAUGCACAGAUAUGAUGAGAUAUGAGAUGGUAUUUCCCUGUCUAUCCGUGUAGCUCCAGGGCGUGAUGGUACCCAGAUAGUACGUCAUUGCCCAUCCGUUGAGGUCUGGAUAUGAUGAGAUUAUUUCCCUGGGUACUUGUUUGGUGAUGUUUUUCAGAUUUGUGUAUCUUAUAUGAUAUUGUGAUAUGAUUUCCAUGGUUAGUAAUCUGAUUUAAAUGUUAAAUGAUUUAUUACUGGUUUCUCGCAUAUGAUUUGAUGAAAUCGUGUUUGGAAAUGAUAUGAUUAUCUCAAAAGAAAUGAUUUAUUACUACUAUCCACUCACUGAUCUCACUGAGUUUUAAACUCGCCCCAUUUUUAUUAUAUUUUCCCCCCCUCACCAGGAGAUUGCAGGUACACCAGACCGACCCAGCGACUGUAAAUAUAUUUUGAGUCUUGGCCACGUGUUGGUGUUAGAAGAUAUAAAUUUUUUUGUUAGGACAUCUUGGUUAUCUCGUCUUGUUGGGAUAUAUUAUUCUUUUGGGAUUAAGAAUAAAUUGAGAUAUUAAUAUUAGUUAUAAUAUUAUCUUUUGAGAAUCUGGAGAUAUAAAACUCAGCAUUUUGGUUGAGGAUGUUGAUUACUGGAGUUUGUUAUACAUUGAAUUAUAUUGGGAGUGUUAUAUUCAUAUUUGUAGAUUGGGAGUGUUAUAUAUAUAAAGGAGACUCUGCCGAAUUUUCAGCAGAAUCCUUACUAAUUAGAUUAUUAUCAAGUCCGUUUUGAUGAGACUAGAUUGAUUCGCCCGGGGGGAAUUCAGGGCGGGUCGUUUCAUACGGUUUCCCCUAUGCUAUAAGCUACCAUAUCUCUUAUCUGUGUUAAAACUCUAAUAUUUUACUGCAUAGACAGUUAAUCGAAGAAAAAUAAAAGAAGGGGGGGUGGUGGUGGUGUUGGAAAAGAAAGAAAUCAGACAGAUUAAAAAGAUCUAGCAUUGAAGGUGACGAAAUUCUACUAUACUUGGAAAUUAUGAAUUAACCCUUCAUCUUCAACCUCCCAAGGCUUCCAACGUAGGUCUUUAACUUCCAAAAGACAGUUUAUUGCUACGCGCAAGUAAGCAUUUGGUUCAUGAGAAAAUUUGUCAAUAAAGUGUAAUAAAGCUGUAUUAGAGUUGUUGCAAGAAUGUUGUUGUCUAGAGACCUACCUACCUAUCAUCUUCUCUUUCUCUCCCCUUGGAUGAGAGAGUGAUUGGAUUCACUUAUUAUUAGUAUUUUUUUUUCCUUGAUAAGAGUAGCUUGGAUCCGCUUAUUAAUCAGCCUAAAUCUCGAAUUAUAGUCCCAAUUAUUCGUAAAUGCUAGAUCAGGUAAGUUAUUAAUCAUUACAAAAAAAAAAUGAAAUAUUGAGAUCCCUAGUUUUAUUAUUCUAACUAGAAAAUAGAACCGCGCUUCACGCGACUUUAAAAAAAGAAUUUAGUAUUAUCCUUUUUUCUUACUUUACACUUGAUGAAACUGAUAAAAAAUAUGAAUUGAUUUUUUUUAAGAUGAGGCAGCCUUAUAAAAAAUAAAAGAAGCUAUUAACCAGCAAUACAAAUAAAGAAGUAACGCAAGAUAAAGAAUAAAAUGAAAGAAUAUAUUAUAAAGUAAUUUUAUUCAUUCCAAUUGUGUGUGUACAAAACAAAAAGAUGAGCUCUUCUUUUAUAGUUACAUAAUCACUCCAUGAAAUUAAUGAAAAAUUAUGGAUAAUAAUUCCUUUUGAGAUAGUGAGAGUUAUAGGGAAGCUAAAUGUUACUAAUGGGAGAUAGUGGGGAGACUAAGAGAUAUAUGUUAUGAACAUCUACAUUUAUUUAAAUAAAUUCAUAACACUCCCCCUUGGAUGUUCAUUACAAAGAAUAUACUUCAUUAAAAUCUUUACAUAAUUGUUAUUGUGUAAUAACAAUCAAAUUAAUUAUGAGAAGAUGAAAAGACAAAUCUAAAAGAAAAUUUCUCUAUUUAUUAGAUAAUAGAGAAUAUACAAAAAUGAGAAAUGGUAAUGCAACAUCACAUCCUCAAGUCUCAGCUUUAUAUAUAUAUAUAUAUAGAUUAUUAGUUGUUCCUAUUAUUACUAUCGCUAGCUGGCAAUAAGCUGUCAAUUUCCUAUAAGCAAACAAGACGGUCGUUGAGCGUACUAAGGAUACUGACGCCUCUGUGGUUUAGUAAAGGAACAUGGAGACUCUCGUCGUAUUUUCAAAAAUGGUAUACAGACCUUAUUUUAGACAAACAAAAGAAGUUUUUUUUUUUUAAAGGCAAACUUUGGGGUUCAAUGUGAGACGGUGAUUGUUUUUUAACGCAAAAGAUAUUUAAAAAAGUACGUCCCGAAUAAUUGCUAUUUGUGGAGGCUCGUCCUACACGAUUACAAGAAAUUGUUAGAACUUGUAGAAAAGGACGAAAUCUCUAGUCAUGGAGAGCAUUGCCAUUUAUGGCUCAAUGUCCAAAAUGAAUUUUGUGAUUCAACUGAGAAUGACACUUUAGACUUUUGUAAUUUCAGCAUUUAUUUUUUGAUUUAUUGAUUUCAUCAAUAAUACUGGGAAUUCCAUGCUUUUGACUUUCAAAUGGAGUCUCAAUCAUGUGGUAGGUCGUAAAAACUUUAUUCUUUUUCUGUAAUAGAUAAUUUGUCUCUCGUACAAUAAUAAAGAUACCAAAAUGUACAUUAUUAGUCACAUAUAUUUCCAUUAUUGAUCAAUAGGAGGAUCAAUAAAAGAUGCUUUACUUGAAUUAGAAGAAAUUAGUGAAGAUUCUAAAAUAAAUAGUGAAGCUAAGUGUUUAGCAAUGUAUGAAUUAAAAGAUUUUGAAUUCAUAUUAGGUGUGAUUAUUUAGUUUGAUAUUAUUUGUUGUUAUUAUUUGCUGUAAGUAAGAUCUUGCAAAAAGAAGAUGUGCGUAUUGAUAUUGCCAUAGACCAGCUUAAAGGUUUUUUUUUUUCCUUUGAAAGCCAUAGAGAAAAUGGAUUCACAUCUAUUAUAUUUUCAGCAAAAGAAAUUGCAAGUGAAAUGGAAAUAGAACCUAGAUUUCAUGAGAAAAGUAUAAUUCGCAGAAAAAAAAUAAAUUUGAUGAAAAUGUUAGUGAACAGGGAAUUUUGUCUCUUGAAGAGUCUUCUAGAAUUAAUUAAUUUGUGUAUAUAGUAGAUCAAGUUAUUUCAUCAAUAAGAAUAGAUUUGAAUAAUUUCAAAUGUAUGAUAAUAUGUUUGGAUUUUUGUUUAAUUUAAAAAAAUUACAAUUGGUAAGUGACUAUGUUUUAAAAACUUAUUGUGUUAAUCUAAAAAAUGCUUUAAAACAUGAUACACUAUCGGACAUAGAUGGUUUAGAUUUGUCUUAAGAGUUGAGAAUUUUAAACGAAGUUUUUCCAGGUGAAAAAAUACUACUUAAUUAUUUUAAAAAAUUGAUUCUUUCCGAAAUGCAUAUAUUGCUCAUAGAAUAUUGUUAACAAUAUUAGUAGCAGUUGCUUCUGCAGAAAGAAGUUUUUUAAAAUUAAAAUUAAUAAAAACUUAUUUAAGAUUAACAAUGUUGCAAAAAAGGUCAACUGAAUUAGCUAUAUUGUUUAUUAAGAAAAAUAUAUUAGUAAAAUUAGAAUAUAAAAAUUUGGUUAAUAAUUUCGAACCUCAAAAAAUUAGAAAAAUUAGCUUUAAAAAUUUAUAAUUUUGCAAAAUUUUAAUAAAAAUAACUGAAUUUAUUUAUUAAAAAUAUAAUUUACAAAUUUUUAUUAAAAUAAUUGAAUUUAUUUAUUAAAAAAUAAAUCCAAAUAUUUAAAUAAUUUAGGGGAUUUUUAUUAAAUUCAAAAAUUUUGCAAUUAUUUUUAUAAUUAUAUUUUUAUUAAUAUAAUUUUUAGUAUAAAGGCCCUAUUAACAUAGCAUUCCUAAACCCGUAUUUAAACUAUUGAUUUAUUUAGAUCUUGUUUAAAUUUGAAUUUGAUUGGCAUGCAGUAAAAUUAUUUUUAUAAUUAAAAUUUUUAUUUAAUUAUUUUAUGAAUUGAAUAGAAAUAAAUUUUUUUUAAUCCGUAUCGAAUUCGCAAAAGUGGAAUGAAUAUGGAUUAUAUCAAAUCCACUUCUAAUCUGCAGAAUUAUGAAUUGAAUUUAGAUUAAUUUUACUAAUUCAUGGAUUGAAUGGGAUUAAAAAUUUAUAACGAUUUUAAACUAGUUGUCAAUUAUUAGAAUUUUUUCACAAUGCGCUUUUGUAGAACGUUGUGAGAUUGAACAUCUAUUGAAGAGUUUUUAACAACAUUAUUUCGCUUGUUGUCAAAUAUUAAAAUUAUUUUACAACACACAUUCACCAACCGCUGUUAAAUGGAAGUUUUUUGAAAUUAUUACAAAUUAUCACAAUCUACAAUAUAUUAAAAUCCAUUAUCUCCAAUCAACUUUUUGUUGAUAAUCAUUUUGAAAUUUAUUAAUUUGUUUUCCGCAAAAGUACUUUAUAACUGUAACAGAUAGAAUUUGGAUGUUAGUGCUCAACAUUAAGAUAUUGUUUGCAACUUUGUAUGCCUUUUUUUUUUCCUUAAAUUUACUUUGUAUAUUCUUAUUUCUACAUAAAACAAGAUUUUAAUGUAAUAAAUAAAACUUUUAUUAGUAGAAUUGAAUUUAUGAAUUUCUUGUCAUUUCUGUGUGCAUUUAUUGUGUAGUUUAUUGAAAGACUCUUUAAAAAAUUUGUAUGCAGGAAAAAAAAAAGAUAAAUAAAAAAAGAUUAUACAACAUUCAUCAGAAUGUAUGGAUGAUGUAUGUGUCUUCUGGUACAAUAUUGACCUCGUUCGCACAGUAUGAUGUACUCCUUUUUUUUUCCCCCCAAAUGAAUAAAAUACUUUUGUACUAUUAAGACUUAAAAAUUAAACGCUUUCAAAACUCAGAAAAAAUGAGUACGAAAAAUAAAUCACAUGAACUUCUCCUCUGCCUAUAUAUAUAUAUAACUUCGUACAUCACCACAAACCAUAGAUUAAUUUGAGAAUCUUUGCCAAGUAUAACUGUAAGCUAGCUUACUCUACAUCUGUAUAUCCAGUGUCUUCUUGCAUUAAUCCCUCAACCUCGGUUACCUCUGUAAAUGGUUUCAAAUGUCUUCCUCUUACAACAAAUAAAGCAGUCAUCAGAAUCAUGGCCAAAAAUAAGCCAGUCCAAUGCCUUGUCAGCGCCAAAUAUGAUAAUUUGACAGUUGAUAGGAGAUCAGCAAACUACCAACCUUCAAUUUGGGACCAUGAUUUUUUGCAGUCACUGAAUAGCAAGUAUACGGUAUUGAUUAUUAUUAUUAUUACGUAUUAAUUUCCUUUGUUCAUUUAAAAUUGGGACCAUGAAUAACUAAAAACUAAAUGCUGUGCGUGUACAGGAUGAAGCAUACAAAAGACGAGCAGAAGAGCUGAAGGGAAAAGUGAAGAUAGCGAUUAAGGAUGUAAUCGAGCCUCUGGAUCAGUUGGAGCUGAUUGAUAACUUGCAAAGACUUGGAUUGGCUCAUCGUUUUGAGACUGAGAUUAGGAACAUAUUGAAUAAUAUCUACAACAAUAAUAAAGAUUAUAAUUGGAGAAAAGAAAAUCUGUAUGCAACCUCCCUUGAAUUCAGACUACUUAGACUACAUGGCUAUCCUGUUUCUCAAGGUACAUUUCAUUAAUUCGCUUCCUUCUUCAUGCACAUGCAUGAUCUGAAUACUUGAAUCGAUCUCUCUGUUUUUUUUUCUUUUUUUUUUUAAUGUAAAGAAAUGGACGAAACCCAAAUCAGUUUUUUUUUCUCUAUCUCUCUAAUUAAUAGAUGGAUCAAAAAUUUUGACGAAUGUAACGUUUUUUGGUUGAGUGCUGCAGAGGUUUUCAAUGGUUUAAAAGACGACCAGGGAGGCUUCAUUUGUGAUGAUUUCAAGGGAAUACUGAGCAUGCACGAAGCCUCGUAUUACAGCUUAGAAGGAGAAAGCAUCAUGGAGGAGGCCUGGCAAUUUACCAGUAAACAUCUUAAAGAAGUGAUGAUCAGCAAGAGCAAGGAAGAGCAUGUAUUUGUAGCAGAACAAGCGAAGCGUACACUGGAGCUCCCUCUGCAUUGGAAUGUGCCAAUGUUAGAGGCAAGGUGGUUCAUACACGUUUAUGAGAAAAGAGAGGACAAGAACCACCUUUUACUUGAGCUCGCUAAGUUGGAGUUUAACACUUUGCAGGCAAUUUACCAGGAAGAACUUAAAGACAUUUCAGGGUAUCCAUUUGAUUGCAUAACUCAUAUAUAUAUAGACAGACACACACACACACACACACAUCAAAGAUUUGAUUUAAUAAUUUACAUAACUUGUAAAAUUUAAUCACAUGUAUAUUAAAUUAUUCUUAGGUGCAAACUCCGCCUUUUACAGAAGUUUAAAGGCAUGAGCUGUACUUUAUAUAGUGCAGACAUUGCACCAGAGUAUGACUCUAUAUAUCGGUGUAUUGUAAAGCCUUUAUACACUUUAUAAAGUGCUAUUGUCUGCAUUACAGAAAGACUCUUCAGAAUUCCAGAUUGAAAGCUGACUCUAUAUAUAUAGAUAUAUAUAACAUGUAUCGUAAUAUUCGUUUCAAUUUCCCUAUGAAGGUGGUGGAAGGACACAUGUCUUGGAGAGAAAUUGAGCUUUGCGAGGGACAGCUUGGUAGCAUCCUUCUUAUGGAGCAUGGGGAUAGGGUCUGAGCCUCAAUUCGCCUAUUGCAGGAGAAUAGUCACAAUUGCAAUAGCUCUAAUUACAGUGAUUGAUGACAUUUAUGAUGUUUAUGGAACUUUGGACGGACUUGAGCUAUUCACUGCUGCUGUUGAGAGGUUUGUUGGCAAACUAAUGUUAUAUUUAAUCGAUUGAUUCAAUUGCAAGCUAUCUGCCUGCUACUUCUCAAAUUAGUAGACCAUUUAUAAUAAUUUUUUUUCUCUUUUCUACAGGUGGGACAUCCAUUAUGCUUUGAACCACCUUCCGGACUCAUGAAAUUGUGUUUUUUUGCGCUUUACAACUUUGUUAAUGAAUUUGCUUAUUACGUACUCAAACAACAGGAUUUUGAUAUGCUUCGGAGUAUUAAAAAUUCAGUAUGUAAAAUGUUAAUUUCACCUCUCCCGCCGUUCCGUUCCUUUGAUUUAUCCUUUUUAAAUUACGAUGCUUUUGUCUCAAAAAUAAUAAAUGGUAACUAGCUUUAUUUUCUAUGUCAUGUGCAUCAGUGGCUUGGCUUACUACAAGCCUGCUUAGUGGAGGCAAAAUGGUACCAUAGUAAGUACACGCCAACGCUGGGAGAAUUCAUGGAAAAUGGAUUGGUAUCAAUAGGAGGCCCUAUGGGUACAAUGACUGCAUACCUUUCUGGGACAAAUCCAAUCAUUGAGAAGGAACUAGAAUUUUUAGAAAGUAAUCAAGAUAUAAUUCACUGGUCGUGCAAGAUUUUUCGUCUUCAAGAUGAUUUGGGAACUUCGUCGGUAUGUUUUCUUUUAUUUUCUUUUGAUUUUUAAGAAGAUAGAAAUUGAAAUAAUCCUCUAUAUGCGAAUUGAUUGUGUAUUUUUUUCCCCAAUAAUUCAUCAGGAUGAGAUACAGAGAGGGGAUGUUCCGAAAUCAAUCCAGUGUUACAUGCAUGAAACUGGUGCCUCGGAGGAAGUUGCUCGUGAACACAUCAAGGAUAUGAUGAGACAGAUGUGGAAGAAGGUGAAUGCAUACAGAGCUGAUAAAGAUUCUCCCUUAUCUCAAAAUACAGUUGACUUCAUGUUGAAUCUUGUGAGAAUGUCCCAUUUUAUGUAUCUACGUGGAGAUGGGCACGGUGCUCAAAACAAAGAGACUAUGGAUGUAGCUUCUACAUGGCUUUUUCAGCCCAUUCCCUUAGAGGACAAACACAUGGCUUUCACAGCACCAAAGGCUGAUGAAUUCCCAGAGUGCAGUUUCAGUUGAUGUUGGCCAGACUUUUCUCUCUAUUGGGGGAUCGCUUUUCUAUAAUAUAAUAAACUCCCUCAUUCAUCGAGGUCUAUAAAUGAAAAGCAAAUGAUAUAUAUGGUUCUUUUAUUGAGAAUAAAAGUCGUCAGUAUAUGCAUAUACUUAAGUGAGGCUCAUUCCAAUUCCUACAAGAUGAGGAUGGAUGCAGUUAUACUCGAUUAUUCAAGCAUGGUUCAUAUCAUGUUAAGCACAAGGGCUACUUUCAGUAUACAUGCAUCACCCAUUUAAAUCGCAUUUGAGAAAUCGUACCCAUUUAAAUUAAAUGAGGAUAGAAAUUAGAGCUGUGGCAUUUAAAGAAAAAAGUUACAAGGAUCAAAAAGUAAAUAUAACAAAAAAAUGAGUUCCUAAUUAUUGGGUUAGCUUAAAGAAGGAGCGCCUAAUUAUUGGAUUAGUCCAUUUUAAUUAUCUUCUAUUAUCAUAGUCAUUCCUAGAAACAAAUAUCCAACAAUGUCGUUUGUGUUUAUAAAAUAUGAGCGUAGAGACUUGGGUUCAAUCUUUCUAGUCUUCUCAAAACUUCGCCUCUAGCUACACAUAAGUUAGGACUUAAAUGAAAAUUCAAAUAUUAAAUUCUUUAUUUUUAUUUUUAUUUCAUUAUUUAUUUUAUGCCAAUAAGAAAAAUACAAAUAAUUUCCUUUCAUGAGCCUGACUGUUGACUCUGUGGUACUGGAAAUUUACAAAGCGAUGAAGUUGAUUGUGACUGCUGCCAGUUAGCCCAAGUCAAAAAGCCACAUGUAGCACCGACUCAAAACUAUUCUAACUAGAAAUAAUUAAAGGCCACCAGCCGGAGGAGGUAUGAAAGUGGUCAUAGACAAAUGAACUUUUACUUCGGGAUUGCAACGCGAAAGACUUAUCACAGCUACGCUGUUUUGCAGGAACUCUGCUCCUCCGUAAUUUUUCAUCUUGGUAAAGUGAGAGCGACCCUCAGAAGCACUCUCUGUUCACAACAUGUUAAGAGGCAGCAAAAAGAUCGAUGUGCAAGGCCCUUCAUGAGAAAAUUCUUCAUAUUUUAACAUUCGGAAAAAUUCCCAUGUCUUACCAUUUUAGAUCGAUUCUUCAAUGAUCAUUUUUAUGCUUUUUUUAAUUAAAAAUACCCAAAGUUGGUGGGGUUAGGCAGGACCCCUUACCUAUGAAUUAUUGAAAUAUAAAUAAAAUUACACAUGGAGGGGGACACAUAUCAAAAUCUACAGGAGGGCGGCUAAACAAAAGCUUACUAACAAGCGAAAGUUUGAAUGGUUAUGCCAUGGACUAGAUUUCUGCAGCUGAAAAGUGGAUAACAGGUUUACCAUGAAAUAUUGAAACCAGCUUUUCCCAAAUUGAAGAUUCUAGGGGGCCAGCAAUAGCAUCAACAAAAGACUUAGCAUUGGGGUUGAGGAUAACUUCAGGAUUAGUAAUAGAUGCAUAAGAGGCCUUGGAAGGUGGGUUGGAUGUACGACCAAGAGUGAGGGGGUGGAAAAGGGUCACGGGUUUGGGCUUGAUUUUUGGUCUAGUUUUGGGUUUGGAAAGCCGGAUGUUGGUCAGGGUUUCUUUUUUCAUCUUGGUAAAAUGAGAGCGACACUCAGAAGCACUCUCUAUUCACAACAUGUUAAGAGGCAGCAAAAGAUCGAUGUGCAAGGCCCUUCAUGAGAAAAUUCUUCAUAUUUUAAUAUCCGGAAAACUUCCCAUGUCUUACCAUUUUAGAUCGAUUCUUCAUUUGUAUGCUUUCUUUAAUUAAAAAUCUGUGAGGCCUGGAGUAGUUAUAUUCUGUUAAGAGUGAAUAAGGUGGCAUGCUGAGCUGGCAUUAGUGGGACCAUCUGUUGUUACAGUCGUUAUUAAAUAAUAACAACUCAUGCUUUUACUCUUUAAGAGAUAUACAAGAGGAAUUGCAGCGUGCAGACUGGUGUCAAGGAGUGAUGAUAUGAUAGUCUUAGUGAGAGAGAUAGAAAAAAUCUCAAUAGAGAAGAUUUAAUCUCUGUAAUCUCAAGAAUCUUCUGUAACUCAUCUCUUUCUAAUAAAGUUUCAAAGCAGAGUUGAUUUCAAUCGUGGAUGUAGGCAUCUUGUUGCCGAACCACGUUAUAUGAUCUUGUUAUUUUUCUUUCCUUUUCUUUUAAUCUCUUGUUUGCUCGUUGUUCUGGUUUAUAUCAGUUUCUGUUUUCUUGGUUUGAUUCAAUCUUUGAAAGACUUUCUUUUGUUCAGAACUUAACAAACUGGUAUCAGAGCUUGGUAGUUUGCUGAUCUUGGAUCUACAAUGGCUACCACCAGAUUUGAUCUUGAAAAGUUCAAUGGGGAGACAACGAGGUGUUGGUGAGAUAUAUGGCAGCUAGGGGGAUUUGUCUCAGUCAAAGGAGUCAAAGAUGGUGGGCAAUAAGUGGUGCCUGAGUUUUGGUUGUGCUCGUUCGUAUUGGUGCCUGAGGGGGUUGGUGGCAGCUGGAGGGUGUAAGGCAGCUGACAGUGUUGGGAGUACAAUAAGGUUCAACGGUGGUCCGUCAGCAAGUAAUCGCCACCAACGGAGGCAGGCAAUGUGGUUGUCUUCAUUACAUUUGUCUUUUGUCUUCCAUAGCUGCUUACAGGUUGCACUAAGGGUAAAAAUGGCUAUUCUAAAGCAUUAGAGAUGGUUCAGGAACUUAAGUAUAAUAGAGCGAAGAUGGAUGGCGUGAUGUAUGGGAUACUUUUGGCCAUUUGUGCUUCAAAUAAUCUAUGUGCCGAAGCUCAGAGCUAUUUUAACCAGAUGAAAGUUGAAGGCCAUUCACCUAACGUAUAUCACUAUAGCUCUUUGCUUAAUGCUUACUCCUCUGGUGGAGACUACAAGAAGGCUGAUGAAUUAAUUUACGAUAUGAAAUCUUCAGGGUUAGUACCAAAUAAGGUUUGUUUCAUGUUUAUAUGGCCAUCCUAGUUUCAAGAGUUACUAGUGCAUUACUUAAUAGUUGAGUUUUGUUCAUCUUGAAAUAGGAAAGAAUGAAAAUCGAUGUAUACAUGUGAAUUUGGUAGAAUAGAGAAUUUGUACUGAAUUUCAAAUGACAAAAGACCUGUGUUCUUCAAAAUUUAAGUUAUGAUACAUAGUUAUCAUGCUGAAUUGAGGCCUACCCAACCUCAUUUUGUCUAUGCUUUCAAAAGCAAGUGUAAUUGUUUUAGUGCAGAAAAAAUGUAAUAGUAUUAUGAUACUUGGAUGCUAUCCUGAUUGGAGGAUGCUAUUUUAAAGUUAAGGACCAUGGGGUUUAUUCCUAAAGAUUACUUGGUUUGUUUGGCCUUUUUCAGUGGAAGCAAGAAGUUAAGGGAUCAAGUCUAAAGGGAUACUUUAUAUUUGAUGACAAUGCUAUAUUUGCUGCAGGAUUUGAGCAAAAAUAAAAACAGCAUGAUUUGAUUAUGCUGUCAAUAAAAUCCUGCAAGAUUGUAGGAAAAAAUUAUUUUUGAAUUUUAUGAUAUCAGAUAUAUGUUAAAGAUAUGUAGGCAGAUUUUUUGGCUUUGUUUGUUUCUUUUCUUGUAUAAAUUCAAAUACUGCAGCAAUGAAUGUAAUGCAAUCAAUAGUCCCAAUUUCUCUGUGUUCUCUUUUCUUUGUUUAAAACAAACAAAGUGGUAUAAGAGCCCUCAUUCUUAAGGGACCUGUAACAUGAUUAGAGAGGCUUCCUACACUUCAAUAUGGCAGGAAAUGGUUUCUUAUCUGCUCCUGCAGUUUUCACAGGUGAAAAUUAUCAAAUAUGGGCUGUGAAAAUGGAAUCUUACUUGGAAGCAUGUGACCUAUGGGACUUAGUGGAAGCAGAUCCGAAGGAUCCACCAUUAGCUCAUAUGAGGAAUAACAAGGAUGAAAGAAAAAGGAGAUAUAAGGCCAAUACAUGCAUUCACUCUGCAGUUUUAGAGAAAAAUUUUACAAAGAUCAUGACCUGUGAAACAGCGAAACAGGCAUGGGAUCUUUGGAAGCAAGAAUAUCAGGGGAAUGUCAGGACAAAACAAAUGCAGGUCUUGAACCUGAGAAGGGAAUUUGAAAUGUAGAAAAUGAAGGAGACAGAAAUAGUUAAUGACUAUAAAGACAAGUUGAUGAUGAUUGCCAAUAAAAUUAGAAUGCUUGGGGAAGAGUUUUCUGAUAGAAGGAUUGUAGAGAAGAUUUUGGUGACCUUGCCUGAGAGAUUUGAAUCUAAAAUCUCUUCACUUGAAGAGUCCAGAGAUAUGUCAACAAUAACAUUGGCAGAGCUUGUCAAUGCACUGCAAGCUCAAGAACGAAUGAGAGCUUACAGAAAGGAGGAGAUGAUUGAAGGAGCAUUUCAAGUGAAAGAGCAUUUCAAGAAACGAAAUGGUGGAGUAAGAAGAAUUACAAGAAGGGGGAAAGUAGCAUCAAUGAAGGCAACAAGGGCAAGCACUCCCUCUGCCUCACUGUAAGAAAACCUCUCAUCCGCAAAAGAAAUGUUGGUUUAGGCCUGACAUUCAAUGCAGGGCAUGCAAGCAAAUGGGGCAUAUGGAGAGGGUGUGUAAAAAAAAACAGCAAGAAGGACACCAAGCUCAAGCAGCAGAACAACAACAGGAUGAGCAACUUUUUGUUGUAUCUUAUUUUUCAAGUAACAGUUCGAGUGAUGAUUGGCUCAUAGACAGCGGAUGCACAAAUCACAUGUCUUUCGAUGAAUCUCUUUCAAAGAAGUAAACAAGUCAGAAGUGUCAAGAGUUAAAGUUGGCAAUGGGCAAUAUAUUGAAGUGAAAGGUAAAAGGGACAGUUGCAAUAAAAAGCUCAGCAGGUAUCAAGUUAAUUUCUGAUGUAUUACUUGUUCAUAAAAUUGAUCGAAAUCUGCUGAGUGUGGGACAAUUGCUUGAGAAAGGUUAUUCUGUUGUAUUUAAGAAUAACAUGUGUGUCAUUACUGACCCAAAUGGUGUAGUGUUGUUCUCUGUAAAUAUGAACAGCAAAAGCUUCAACUUAAGUUGGAACAAGGAUUAAUGUAGUGCAUAUCAAUGUACUUUGAACCAGGCUGAGUUAUGGCACAAGCGGAUGGGCAUUUUCAUUAUUCUACAUUAGAUUACAUGUAGAAAAAUGAUCUUGUGCAAGAAAUUACUUUCAAUGGAGGAGGAGCAUCAAUGUGUGGAGUCUGUCAGCUGGGAAAACAAGCUAGAUUGUCAUUCCCUGUUAAUAAGGCAUGGAGAGCAGUUGAGAAGCUUCAGUUGAUCCACACAGAUGUUUGUGGACCUAUGAGGACUGCAUCCUUAAAUGGUAACAGGUACUUUAUGGUUCUUAUUGAUGAUUUUAGCAGAAUGUGUUGGGUUUACUUUCUCAAACAAAAGUCUGAAGUUGCUAGUGUGUUUUGGAAGUUUAAAACAUGGAUUGAAACUCAAAGUGGCUGUAAAAUCAAGGUGAUUAGGUCUGAUAAUGGGACUGAAUAUACAGCUGAUAAAUUUGCUAAGUUUUGUGAAGCUGCAGGGAUUGAACAUCAGCUUACAGCAACCUAUACACCUCAACAAAAUAGAGUCAGUGAGAGGAAAAAAACAGGACAAUCAUGGAGAUGGCUAGAUGUCUGUUGUUUGAGAAGGAAAUGCAAAAAACGUUUUGGGCUGAGGCUGUUAAUACUGAUGUAUUUCUGCAAAACAGGUUACCAACAAAGGCUUUAAAGGGAAAAACACCUUUUGAAGCCUGGUUUGGUUUUAAACCCUCUAUUCAUAACUUGAGAAUUUUUGGUUGCUUGUGUUUUACUCAUGUUCUAGAUGCAAAAAGAGAUAAGUUGGAUCAAAAGGCAGAAUAUGGAGUUUUUGUAGGAUACAACACUCUCACCAAAGGUUAUAGAGUUUAUCAACCUUUGGCGGGAAGAAUCAUAGUGAUUGGAGAUGUUAAAUUUGAUGAAGCCGAAGGAUGGAAUUGGACAACAACUGAACCAAAACAAGUUUAUGCAGAAGAAAAAGCACCAGAAUUGCAAGAUAAUGAUAUAAUUGAUGAUGAGCCAAUAAGAGGUACCAGACCAAUUACAUAAAUUUAUCAAAAGUGCAAUAUGGUUGUGCUUGAACCUGCAGGGUAUGAUGAGGGUGCUAAAGAUCCAAAGUGGCUUGAAGCAAUGGAAGAUGAGAUCAAGAUGAUUGACAAGAAUCAAACUUGGGAGUUGGUGGAUAGACCACUACACAAGAAGACUAUUGGUGUGAAAUGCGUUUAUAGAACCAAACUCAAUGCUGAUGGUUCUGUAAACAAAUUCAAAGUAAGGCUGGUUGUAAAAGGGUAUGCUCAACUAUUUGGUGUUGACUUUUCUGAAACUUUUGCACCUGUGGCACAGCUGGACACCAUCAGAUUGCUUCUAGCACUUGCAGCACAAAGCAGUGGAAAAUCUACCAGCUUGAUGUUAAAUCAACCUUUUUAAAUGGCUAUUUGGAUGAAGAAAUCUUUGUUGAGCAGCUUGAGGGUUUUGUUGCAGAUCCGAAGAAAGUAUAUUUGUUAAAAAAAUGCAUUAUAUGGCUUGAAGCAGGCUCUAAGAGCUUGGUACAGCAGGAUUGAUGAUCAUUUGUUGAACAUAGGCUUCAACAAGAGCAUGAGUGAAUCAACUUUGUAUAUUCAAGUAAUUAAUCAUGAAUUGAUUGUUGUUUCACUUUAUGUUGAUGAUUUUCUUGUCACAGGAAGCAAUGAAGAAUUGGUGAAGCAGUUUAAGGUUCAAAUGAUGCAAGCAUUUGAAAUGACUGAUCUAAGAGAGAUGGCUUUCUUUUUAGGUCUGGAGAUUCAAAAGUCACAGCAAAGGGAUCUUUAUUGGACAACAAAAAUAUGCUAAAGAAGUGCUAAAGAAAUUCAACAUGGAGGAUUGCAAAUAUAUGCAUUGUGCAAGUGAAUUUCACUACAAGGCUGCUAAAAGGGUGCUAAGGUAUAUCAAGGGAACUUUGGAUCAUGGAAUAAAAUUUGAAAAGGAAGACAAGUUGGUCUUGCAUGGUUUUGCUGAUAGUGAUUGGGCAGGAUCAUGUGAUGAUAUAAGGAGCACGUCAGGCUACUUGUUUAGUCUUGGUUCAGGUUGUUUCUGUUGGAGUUCAAAGAAGUAGGAAAUCGUAGCUCAGUCUACGGCUGAGGCUGAGUAUGUUGCAGCUGCUGCUGCAGUCAAUCAAGCCUUAUGGCUAAGGAAGCUUAUGGCAGAUUUGAAAAUGAUUCAGGAUUAUGCAACUGAAAUCUUUGCUGAUAAUCAAGCUGCCACAACAAUUUCUAACAAUCCAGUGUUCCAUGGGAAGACAAAACAUUUCAAAAUUAAGUAUUAUUUUGUUAGAGAAGUCCAGAAGAAUGAUGAAGUUGUUGGAUCAUAAACUUGAUCCAAGAUGAGUAAAUCAAGCCCAACUCAUGGAAGGUUCCAUGAGUAGGUAUGGUUGGUGAGCUUUGAAUUAUUUGUGUUAGGUGUGUUAGGUGUGGUUGGUGAAGUAGGUGAGUGGUAGGUUUUAAUGGAUGGUGAGGAUUUGUGUAUUAAUUGAAUAAAUGAAUGGUUGUGAUUAGUUUGUUUCAUGUAUAAAUACCCCCUCUCCCCUUUGGUUUAAUCAUCAAGUGAAGUAGCAAAAUCUCUAAGGUGUAGAGAGUGAAAAAUAAGAGUUGUAAUUGGUGAGGAGUGUUGUUGAAGAAAUAAAAUAGUGUUUUUUGUGUGUUUUAUUUUGUUAAUUCUCCAACAAAGUGGUAUCAGAGCUAUUACGUGAUGCUAUAUAUGGUCAUAUAGCAUAUCAAAUCGAAGAUCUCGAUGAGAGGAAAGUGACGCCGCAAAAAUUAUCCCGAUCGGAGACCGGACGCGCCCACACUUGCCGCCGGAAGUUUUCUGCCCUAAAGCUGAGUCGACUCACCGAGUUGAACCAAGCCGAACCGAGCUGAACCGAAUCAAGUCGAACCGAGCCAACUCGAGCUGAACCAAUCCGGACCGAACCAAGACUACCAAGCCGGUGUUGACCGUUGACCGACGUUGACCGUUGACCAGCGUUGACCGUUGACCGAAAAUUGACUCGAGUCAUUCCCAAGGUUUUUCGACGUGCUGGAUCCAUUUGUGCUUUCAGAAUCUCCAAAUUCUCACUCAAUUUGUGAGUUAUGGAAAACGGUGGUAUGAUGUCAUUUCAAGUUCCACAAUUAAAGGGAAGUAAGUUUGACAAUUGGAGUAUUAAAAUGAAGGCUCUAUUGGGCGCACAUGACGUAUGGGAUGUCGUGGAAAAAGGCUUUAUUGUGCCAGAAAAUGAAGCCACUUUAACUGCGGCGCAGAAGGAGAAUUUAAAAGACUUGAAGAAGAAAGAGAAUAAAGCAAAGUAUCUCAUCUUUCAAUCAUUAGAUGAAGAUGCUUUUGAAAAAAUUGCUGGUACAACCUCCUCAAAAGAAGCAUGGGAGAAACUAGAGACCUCUUACAAAGGAGCGGAACAAGUUAAGAAGGUUCGUCUCCAAACAUUACGAGGAGAAUUUGAGUCCUUACACAUGAAGGCGUCAGAGUCAAUUUCUGACUACGUUACUCGGGUUGUGACUGUUUCCAAUGAAUUAAAAAGAAAUGGCGAGGAGUUAAAAGAGGUAAGGAUCAUUGAAAAGAUACUUCGAUCAGUAGAGUCGAAGUUUGACCAUAUUGUUGUGACAAUUGAAGAAACAAGAGAUCUGGAGGAUAUGACGAUCGAGCAACUUCAAGGAAGGUUGCAAGCCUAUGAAGAAAAACAAAAAAAGAGGCAAGGAAUCGAAGAACAACUUCUCAAGAUGGAAGUCAAUCCAAAGAAAAGAGAAGAAAGCUCCGACAAUGAGAGAAGGCACUAUGUCCGAGGUAGAGGUCGUGGUCAUGGACGAGGUAGAGGUCGUGGUCAUGGACGAGGUUGGAAUUUCAACAACAACAACUCCAAUUAUGCCAAAGGAGAAAGCUCAACCAGAGGACGAGGCAGAGGCAAUCCAAGAUCGAGGUAUGACAAAUCCCAAGUACAGUGCUAUAAUUGUCAAAAGUUUGGGCAUUAUGCUUCAGAAUGCAGAGCUCCAAGCACCAGAAUUGAAGAGAGAGUGAACUAUGCUGAAGAGAAAAAUAGUGAAGAUGGCACACUUUUACUAGCACGCAAUGACACAAGUGGAGGUCAAGAAAAUACAUGGUAUCUUGACACAGGUGCUAGCAAUCAUAUGAGUGGAAACAUAAACAUGUUCGUGCAACUAAGUGAAUCUGUGAAUGGCAGUGUCGCUUUUGGAGAUGAUUCAAAAGUACCAGUGAAGGGUAGAGGUAACAUUCUUUUUCGUGCAAAAGAUGGUAGUCACCAAAUAAUUUCGAAUGUUUACUAUGUGCCCAAUAUGAAAAGCAACAUUCUUAGUUUGGGUCAACUUUUAGAAAAAGGCUAUGAUAUUCACUUAAAAGAUUAUAGUCUUUUCCUAAAAGAUGACAAAGGAAAUCUAAUUACAAAGGUGAAAAUGUCGAAGAAUAGAAUGUUUCCAUUAAAUAUUCAAAAUGAUGUUGCAAAAUGUCUCAAAGCCUGUCACAAAGAUCAAUCCUGGACUUGGCAUCUUCGAUAUGGGCAUCUCAACUUUGGAGGAUUGGAGCUACUAUUCAAGAAGAACAUGGUGAAAGGCUUACCAUACAUCAAUCACCCUGAUCAACUUUGUGAAGGAUGUUUACUUGGCAAGCAAUUCAGAAAGAGCUUUCCAAAGAAGUCAAACUCAAGAGCUCAGAAGCCACUCGAGCUCAUUCAUACUGAUGUGUGCGGUCCAUUCAAACCAAACUCCCUUGGUAAAAGUAACUACUUCCUUCUCUUCAUAGAUGAUUUUUCAAGAAAAACUUGGGUGUAUUUUUUGAAGCAAAAAUCAGAAGUUUUUGAAGCUUUCAAGAAGUUUAAAGCUGCAGUGGAAAAAGAAAGUGGAUACCAGAUUAAAGCCAUGAGAUCUGAUCGAGGUGGAGAGUUCACUUCCAAAGAAUUUUUAGAGUUUUGUGAAGCAAAUGGAAUUCGACGCCCUUUGACAGUUCCAAGAUCCCCUCAACAAAAUGGUGUUGCAGAAAGGAAGAACAGAACCAUCCUCGACAUGGCAAGAAGCAUGCUUAAGAGUAAGAGGCUACCUAAAGAAUUUUGGGCUGAAGCUGUUGCAUGUGCAGUCUACUUAUCCAAUCGAUCUCCAACAAGAAGCGUGUGGGGCAAGACGCCACAAGAAGCUUGGAGUGGAAGAAAACCCGGCAUCACCCAUCUAAGAGUUUUCGGAAGCAUUGCCCAUGUACAUGUACCAGAUGAAAGUAGAGCCAAGCUGGAUGACAAAAGUGAAAAGUUCAUCUUCAUCGGCUACGACAACAACUCCAAAGGAUACAAGCUUUACAAUCCAAACAACGGGAAGAUCGUGAUCAGUCGAGAUGUAGUUUUUGAUGAAGAAGGAGAAUGAGAUUUUGGCUCUGGUGUGGAUGACUUCAACUUCUUUCCCAUUGAAGAAGAUGAUCAUACACAGAUAAAACAAGUAGACGAACAACAAGAGCCUGCCACUCCACUUAUCUCACCGGUACCAACCACAUGCGGAGAUUCACCGCCGCCUUUCUUAAAUGAAAGAACCGAAGAACGUACAAGGAGUCUUCAAGAUCUCUAUGAGAUAACUGAGAGACAUGAUAAUCUCACUCUCUUUUGCCUCUUUGCUGAUUGUGAGCCAGUCAACUUCCAAGAAGCUACACUAGAUGAGAAGUGGAGAAUUGCAAUGGAUGAAGAAAUCAAAGCCAUUGUGAAGAAUGAUACUUGGGAGCUUACUACUCUUCCAAAAGGUCAUAAGGCGAUCGGUGUCAAAUGGGUGUAUAAAACAAAAAGAAAUGCGAAUGGAGAAAUUGAAAGGCACAAGGCGAGGCUAGUUGCAAAAGGCUAUAGUCAAAAGGCUGGCAUAGACUAUGACGAGGUAUUUGCUCCUGUAGCUCGACUUGAAACUAUUAGACUUAUUAUUUCUUUGGCUGCUCAGAACAAAUGGAAGAUUUUUCAAAUGGAUGUGAAGUCUGCUUUCUUGAAUGGAUUCCUUGAAGAAGAAGUUUACAUCAAACAACCAUUAGGCUAUAUGGUGAAAGGACAUGAAGACAAAGUUUUGAGAUUGAAGAAAGCUCUUUACGGGUUAAAGCAAGCACCAAGGGCAUGGAAUAGCAGAAUUGACAAGUAUUUUCAAGAGAAAGGCUUCACCAAAUGCCCAUAUGAACAUGCUCUCUACGUCAAAGAAAAAGAUGGAGAUAUUUUGAUUGUGUGCCUGUAUGUGGAUGAUCUCAUCUUCACUGGAAGUAAUCCAAGCUUGUUUGAAGAGUUCAAAAGAGUGAUGAUCAAAGAGUUCGAGAUGACUGACAUCGGACUGAUGACAUAUUACCUCGGCAUUGAAGUCAAGCAAAAGGAAGAAGACAUAUUUAUCUCCCAAGAAAGUUAUGCAAAGGAGAUUCUCAAAAGGUUCAAGAUGAAUGAUUGCAAGCCUAUAAGCACGCCAGUGGAAUGCAGAGUCAAGUUAUCCAAAUAUGAUGAAGGCGAAGAUAUAGAUCCAACAUUCUUUAAAAGUUUGGUUGGAAGCCUACGUUAUUUGACAUGCACAAGACCAGAUAUUCUUUAUGCUGUUGGACUUGUGAGCCGAUACAUGGAGAAUCCAAAGACCACUCAUUUUAAAGCUGCAAAAAGAAUCCUUCGCUAUAUCAAAGGUACAAUUAAUUUCGGCUUGUUAUACUCAUUUUCUAAUGACUACAAGCUUAUUGGAUAUAGCGAUAGCGAUUAGGGUGGAGAUGUAGAUGAUCGAAAGAGCACAACAGGAUUUGUGUUCUUCAUGGGAGAUACUGCUUUCACAUGGAUGUCAAAGAAGCAACCAAUUGUCACUCUAUCCACCUGUGAAGCUGAAUAUGUAGCUGCCACAUCAAGUGUUUGUCAUGCAAUUUGGCUCAGAAAUUUGCUGAAGGAGUUGAGUUUGGCACAAGAAGAGCCAACCGAGAUUUGUGUUGAUAACAAAUCAGCAAUUGCCCUAUCCAAGAAUCCAGUCUUUCAUGAUCGAAGUAAACACAUAGACACUCGCUAUCAUUUCAUAAGAGAGUGUAUUGCAAGAAAAGAAGUGCAAAUCAAGUAUGUAAAAUCACAAGAUCAAGCAGCUGAUAUCUUCACUAAACCACUCAAGCAAGAAGACUUUGUAAGAUUCAGAAGUUUGCUUGGUGUCACAGGAUCAAGUUUAAGGGGAGGUGUUGGAUCAUAAACUUGAUCCAAGAUGAGUAAAUCAAGCCCAACUCAUGGAAGGUUCCAUGAGUAGGUAUGGUUGGUGAGCUUUGAAUUAUUUGUGUUAGGUGUGUUAGGUGUGGUUGGUGAAGUAGGUGAGUGGUAGGUUUUAAUGGAUGGUGAGGAUUUGUGUAUUAAUUGAAUAAAUGAAUGGUUGUGAUUAGUUUGUUUCAUGUAUAAAUACCCCCUCUCCCCUUUGGUUUAAUCAUCAAGUGAAGUAGCAAAAUCUCUAAGGUGUAGAGAGUGAAAAAUAAGAGUUGUAAUUGGUGAGGAGUGUUGUUGAAGAAAUAAAAUAGUGUUUUUUGUGUGUUUUAUUUUGUUAAUUCUCCAACAGAAGUAAGGCUCGUGUAUUGUAGGACUGAAGAUCAGCUAGCUGACAUUUUGACAAAGGGACUGUCAAAGUCAAGAUUUGAGUUGUUGAAGAAAAAAAUUGGUGUCUGCAGCAAAAAUAGAAAGGAGGAGUGAUGACAAUGCUAUAUUUGCUGCAGGAUUUGAGCAAAAAUAAAAACAGCAAGAUUUGACUAUGCUGUCAAUAAAAUCCUACAAGAUUGUAGGAAAAAAUUGUUUUUGAAUUUUAUGAUAUCAGAUAUAUGUUAAAGAUAUGUAGGCAGAUUUUUUGGCUUUGUUUGUUUGUUUCUUGUAUAAAUUCAAAUACUGCAGCAAUGAAUGUAAUGCAAUUAACAGCCCCAAUUUCUCUGUGUUCUCUUUUCUUUGUUUAAAACCAACAAUAUUUGGGUUGAAACGCAACUAUAAAAGAAUAAAAAAGCACCAUGGGGGUUUGGAUUUCAUGCUAUAAGAGAUUAUUGUAAAGGAAUGAAUUGGUGCUUUUCAAUAUAUGCCAAAUCUAUUUUCAUGGGUAUCUAGGUCAAAAUAGCGCAUAAAGUAGUGAGUUUCUUGUUAUCUCUUUUCUUUUUGUUCUGUGCAUUUUCAAUAAUUUGCUUUGUUUCUAUUUGCUGUAAACACAUGUGUUGGCAAUUGUGUGCUUUUCUUAUGUUUUCUUUUUGAGGGUAAAUCAUUCUUUUUGCAGGUAAUACUGACAACAUUGCUGAAGGUAUACGUCAGAGGAGGUUUGUUUGAAAAAUCAAGGCUGAACUGGACACUUUAGGCUAUGCUGAAAAUGAGGUACAUUGAUGAAUUUUUACCUUUCAUAUGUAUGUUCAAAUAUCAAUCUUGUUGAAGAUAUGAUAUUUAGUUUUAAUAUUGUGUUUCGGAGUAGAAUAUGUUAUUUAUUACGUUCAGGAUCAUAGCAGAUCCUGAUAAGGAAGUUGGGAAUUCAGACAGAAAUGAGCAUAACAAAUUGGGCUGAAGUUCAACAUGUUCAAAAUUUUUUGUUUCUUUGCUUAACUUUAUUUUUUUAAUUCAUAGGUUGGUAUUACGAUUUAUAAUAACGCAUGAUUCGGCUGGGUCUGCUUAUUCUUCUUUUAAUUUAUUUUUAUUUAAAUUCUAAAUUUUAAUUUUUUAAUAGAAAACUGAAAUGAUUUAAGGUGAAAACGAAAUACGAAACUGAACCAGACUGGUGGGUAAUUUAUUAUAACAGUCAUAAAUUUCCUUAAGAACACUGCUCCUUUUUGAGGUUUUCGAGUGAAAAACAGACUUCCAAACAUCCACAUUGUUGAUUCAUUGUUGUGUGGUGCGUUUGCUUGCCCCAAUGUUGGCACAAGUUCUUCUUUAUGUAACGAAUGGCUUUGUUCAUAUGUGUCUAUAUUCUCAUCUACAAUUAUUUUUUUGAAAGAAUUCUUUGGAAUAACUCUUCUGCAGCUUAAGGUACACAUGCCAUUUUGCAGAUGUCCUAUUGUUUACUUAUGGAUGGUCUUUCUAAGGCUGGUCGUUUAGAUGAAGCAAGAGUAGUUUUUAACGAAAUGCAGGAAAAAUGCGUUAAAUCCGGUAUGUUUCCCAUUUGAUAAGGGUCCUUCUAGCACGCUGUUAGUUUCAAAUAUUUAUUAUUAUUAUUUUUUCUCUUUACCUAAGAAACAAGAACAUUCUCAAAAGUUAAAUCCUUCAUUUGACCAUUGUUGAAAAAUGCAGUGUUGUACAUGUCAUUUCAAUGCCAUGCCAAAAGAAUGGGGAUUGCUUUGGAAAUUAAGUUAAAUUUCUUUUUCCUUAAUCUAAAAGAAAAAUAAACUAUCUGAUUCUAGUUAUAAAGCUUUAUUUUCACCGUAAACUCACAUCUGUUUUAGUUCUGCCUUUAAUUAUUUCUAAUGCCCCCGAGAAAAUCUAACUUCUAUGUUUGUUGGACAUGCUAUGAACUCCCUAGUUGCCUUUUCCUAGAUUUGAAGGCUAGGGAGAAACAUUGUUAUUCCUAUAUUAGAGGUGAGUAGCCUGUAUAAUUUGAUUAGUUCACGUCUGUUUUACUUGAAUCAAGAAUAGAGCGGCCUAAUCUGAUCUCUGUCUUUGUUGGCAUUAUUUAUGCGUUGAAGAAUGCUGUAUUGAGGUAUAUUCAUUGUAUUUUGCUAAAUAAAUUUUGUUAGACUUGACUUGAAGUCUGAAAAAUACUUGCGAUGUUUUCUUACCUAAUAGCUUAAGCAUAUGGAUCAAGGGAUUUUACUAACUUGUGUUGCUCUAUCUCAAUUGAUUUUGAAAAAUAUAUCUCUUUCAAACCAAGGUCCUUACCUUACGGCUUAAGCUUUUAGGUUAAGCACAAAUUUUGUUUCCCUCACGCAGAUGGCUAUGCCCAUAGUAUCAUGAUUUCAGCAUUCUGCCGAGGUGGGUUUUUUGAAGAGGCAAAGCAGCUGGCUGGGGAUUUUGAAGCCAAGUAUGACAAAUAUGAUGUUGUUCUGUUAAUGGUGGACAUGCAUAGGAAAGGCCACCAACCUGAGGAGGUACGUCACAUAAAUUUAUUACUUCUUGUCAAGGAUUUACUCUAGUCCCUUGCAAUUCCACAGGCCUUCGUUACUACUGUGAUUUUAGAUAAUGAAAGUGGUCAUAGACAAAUGAACUUUCACUUCGGGACUGCAACACGAAAGACUUAUCACAUAUAUGCUGUUUUGCAGGAACUCUGCUCCUCCCUAAUUUUUCAUCUUGGUAAAAUGAGAGCACACUCAGAAGCUCUCUCUGUUUACAACAUGUUAAGAUAUAGCAAAAUAUCGAUUUGCAAGGCCCUUCAUGAGAAAAUUCUUCAUACUUUAAUAUCCGGAAAGCUUCUCAAAGAUGCUUAUGUAGUGGUUAAGGUCUGCUAUAUUGUCUUACCAUUUUAGAUUGAUUUUUCAACUGUCCUUUAUAUGCUUAUCAAUCUAAAUUACUCUCUUUUCAGGACAAUUCGGAGUCAAUUUCUCAUCCUGCUAUUAAAAAGUUUGCAUCUGCAUUUGAGAGGUUAGGAAAUAUUAACUUGGUUAAUGAUGUAAUGAAGGCAAUCCACGCAACUGGCUACAGGAUUGAUCAAGUAAGCAAUCAAGGAUUUGUAAAACAAACACAAGCUCGCAUGCGCGCGCGCGCACACACACACAAGAGUGGAAGUAAUAAUUUAGAAAUGCCCUGUAAUUCCUUUUCUUCUAUUAUCUCAGGGAAUAUUUCAUAUAGCAAUAGCACGAUAUAUAGCAGAACGUGAGAAGAAGGAAUUGCUGCUCAAGUUGCUAGAAUGGAUGACGGGUCAAGGUUAUGUUGUUGAUUCAUCAACAAGAAACCUGAUACUCAAAAACUCACACUUAUUCGGACGGCAACUCAUUGUUGAUAAACUGUCCAAGCAACAUAUGAAAUCAAAAUCGUCAAGAACUCUGAAAGAAUGAGCAAUUUGAUAUUAAUUAAUGCUCGAGUUCUAGAUAAAGAAAUGAAUAUGGCUUACGGUUUACCCUAUCAUGCUAUAAGCUAGCAUGUCUCAGUUAUGUGUUAAAAGUUAAAACUCUAAUAUUUUACUACAUAGAGCAGUUAAUCAAAAAAUAAAAGAAAAAAGAAGGGGGGACCGCGGGGGGGGGGGGGGGGGGGGAGUAGUUUUUGGGAAAGAAAGAAAUCAGACAGAGAUUAAAACGAUGUAGCAUUGAAGGUGAUGAAAUCCUACUAUACUUAUAAAUUAUGAAUUUACCGUUCAUCUUCAAGCUCCCAAGGUCUGCAACGUAGGUCUUUAACUUGCAAAAGACAGUUUAUUGCUACGCGCAAGUUAGCAUUUGGUUCAUGAGAAAAUUUGUCAAUAAAGUGUAAUGAAGCUGUACCAGAGUUGUAGCAAGAAUGUUUCUCUAGAGACCUACCUAUCGUCUUCUCUUUCUCUCCUUGGAUGGGAGAGUGUUUGGAUUCACUUAUUUUUUUAAUUUUUUUUUAAUUUUUCUGGUAGAGUCGCUUGGAUCCCCUUAUUAAUCAUCCUAAAUCUGGAUUUAUGGUCCCAAUUAGUUUGACACUUUUAUUUGUAACUGCCAUAUCAAGUAAGUUAUAAAUCAUUACAGAGAAAAUUGAAGCACUGAGAUCCCUAGUUUUAAUAUUCUAAUUAUAGUUGUUGCUAAUAUUACUAUCGCUAGCUUGCAAUUAAUUCCGCUUAAGUUGUCAAUUUCCUAUAAGCAAAAAAGAUGGUCAUUGAGCGUACUUGUAUGGAUACCUCUGUAAAGGAACUUGGAGACCCUCAUAUUUUCUAAAAGAGGAUGCAGACCUCUUUUUGGACAUACAAAAAAGUUUUUUUAGACAAACUUUGGGGUUUAAUGUGAGACGAUGAUUGUAUUUGAACACAAAAGAUAUUUAAGAAAGUAUGUUCCGAAUAAUUGCUAUUUGUGGAGGCUCGCCCUAGAAGUUUACAAGAAAUUGUUAGAAGUUUUAGGAAAGGACGAAAUCUCUAGUCAUAAGAGAGCAUUGCCACUUAUGGAUCAAUGUCCAAAUGAAUUUAGAGGUUCAACUCAGAAUGACACUUUAGGCUUUUAUAAUUUCAGUAUUUAUUUUAUAAUUUAUUGAUUUCAUCAAUCACUCUAGGAAUUCUAGGUUUUGAGUCGCAAAUGGAGUCUCAAUCAUGUGACAGUGUCAUGAAAACUUUUAUUCUUUAUCUAUAAUUGGGAGGGGAUAAUUUUUCUCUCCUACAAGACUCGUGAUAAUAAAGAUACCAAAAUGUACAUUAUUAGUCAAAUGUAUUUCUAUUAUUGAUCAAUAUGAGGAUCAACAAGAGAUGUUUUACUUGAAUUAGAAGAAAUUAGUGAAGAUUCUAAAAUAAAGAGUGAAACUAAGUGAUUAGCAACAUAUGAAUUAAAAGAUUUUGAACUCAUAUUAGAUGUGAUUAUUUAGUAUGAUAUUAUUUGUUGUUAACUCUAUAAGAUCGAUCUUGCAAAAAGAAGAUAUGCAUAUUAAUAUUGCCAUAGAUCAGCUUAAAGGUAUUUUUUCUUUCUUUGAAAGAAAAUAGAGAAAAUGGAUCCAUGUCUACUAUAAUUUGAGUUAAAGAAAUUGCAAGUUAAAUGGAAAUAGAACCUAAAAUGUAUAAUAGAUCAAGCCAUCUCUUCAAUAAUAAUAGAUUUGAAUAAUUUAAAAUGUAUGAUAAUUUAUUUGGGUUUUUGUAUAAUUUCAAAAAAUUACAACUGUCAAGUGACUAUGUUUUAAAAACUUAUUGUGUUAAUCUUGAAAAUACUUUAAAACAUGAUACACUUUUUGAUAUAGAUAGUUUAGAUUUGUUUUGAGAGUUGAGAAUUUUAAACAAGUUUUUCAAGGUGAAAAAAUAAUGUUUAUUUAUUUGAAAAAAAUUGAUUCUUUUCCAAAUGCAUAUAUUACUUAUAGAAUAUUAUUAACAAUACUAGUAACAGUUGCUUUUGUAGAAAGAAGUUUUUCAAAAUUAAAAUUGAUAAAAACUUAUUUAAGAUUAACAAUGAUGCAAGAAGAUUAAAUGGACUAACUAUAUUGUUUACUGAGAAAAAUAUAUUAAUAAAAUUAGAAUAUAAAAAUUUGAUCAAUAAUUUUGCAUCUAAAAAAACUAAAAAAAUUGAUUUUAAAUAAAUAAGUUUUAGUAAAAUUAAUACAUAUAUUUAACCUUAAAUUUUUGAAUAGUCUAAUUGAAACAAUUCCCCUAAAAACCCAUAAUUGAUUGAGCCGUUACUGUCUACAAGACUGGUAAAAACAAAGACAUCAAAGUGUACAUUGUUAGUCACAUGUAUUUUUAUUAUUUUUAUUUUUCAUGACACUUCUCAAGUUGUGAUUUGAUGGUUAAUAAUUUGCUUCAUCUUGUGUCAAAAAAGAGAGGCUCCCCGAACAAGCUCACACCAACUAGUCUAAUUUUGUAUGCGCAUGUGCUUAUGUAGUAUGUACUGCACACUGAUGUAGUACGUUAUCAUUGUGUCAAAAAGAAGAGGCUCUGACUCCUUGACACGCCCAAUACCGACUAGACUAAUUUUUCAUACGCACGUGGCUCAUGCACUGCACUACAGUGUAAUGUGGCAAAAUUAAGAAGAAAAAAAUAAAUAUUGAGAAAUUUUAAAAUACAUAAAAAAUUAUAUAAUUACUAUAUAUAUAUAUAUAUAUAUAUAUAACAUGUAUAUUUAAAUUUUAUAUAACUACUAAUUAUAUAUCAGUUCUUUCAAAUAAAUAUAUUUAUAUUAUAAAAUUAUUUAUUUAUUGUAUGAAUGGCAUAAUAUCUUAAAGGUAUUUUUAAAAUUUCUUUUAUGUCCGUUUUGUCAUUUUCGACUACCAGCCAAUGCGGUGGCAUUUUAUAAGCUGAUAUGGUGCCUCACAGAAACUCUUUUGUUUUGAGUUUGAUGAUCCCUAGGAAAUGGCACAAAUAUCUCUUCUAAUGGUAUUUUACAGGCUGUUGAUGAAAAGUAGCAUAUGUUUUGGAAGACUAAUGGUAUUUGCAUUUUGUUUGCAAAUUCUAGUAAAGUCGGGCAAUACAAGAUUUUUGAAUAAAAACUUGUUUAAUCUCUAUAUUUUGAGGUUAAUGUCUUUUUAGUUAAGAAAUAUAUCAAAAUAUUUUUAUUAUUAAAUUAUUGAUACUGUGACGUUAUUUUUUGUUCCUUUUCGAUUGCUUUUACAUACUAUCAUAUUACAAUAAUGUUUAUUUUUUGGAUAUUAAUAAAAAGAAAAAAAAAAUUAAAAUACCCAUUUAAUCCCAAAAAAUUAAUGUUGAAUACUCUACCGAGGAGUUACUAUAUUAAUUUUUUUAUUAAUGUCCAAAAAAAUUGGUAAUUUAUUUAUUUUUACAUUAUUAAUUUUUUUGACAUACAUGAGCUUCCAGAAAAUUAAUUUAUGUUUUUUAUUUUUAUUUUACUUUUAGGGUUAAAUUGAUAAUUUAAUUUUUCAUUUUUAUUAAUGUUCAAAAAGAAUUAUUGUAAGAGAGUAAUAUUAUAAAAGUAAGAUAAAAUACACAAAAGGUAACGGUAGAGGUGUCAAUAUUUUAACGACAUGAAACUUUGAGGUAUUUUUAAAAAUAUAGAGAUUAAAACAGAUACAAAACUCAAAAUACAGAGAUUAAACAACCUUUUUAUGCAUUCUUUUUGGUGCUCUAUAACUCUUAUGGAAAUAGUUUUGUUGAUUAUUAAACACAUGCUUCUACACGUUUCUGUUCACUGUAGGACUAUUAUAAAGAAAUACCGACAUCGUUGAUUAUUAUAAACACAUGCAUCGGCAAGUUAGAAUUACCUCAUGAAAAAAUAUGAUUAUUUUUUGCCUUCUGGUUGGGGUUCAUAGUUCCUUCUUUUCAUUCUUAAUUUUUAUGACUUCCACAAUUAAUUUUUGUAGUUGAAGUAAUAUUAAAUUGUACUAUGUGUAUGCAUGUGUGUAUAUGUUGCUUAUUACUUCGGAGGACUUGGGAUGUUUUCUUUGUGUGGAUUAAUCCUUAUAUAAUUAUGAAGUGUUUUUAGUUACUAUAAGAAAUAGAACGAAUUAAAUUAAAAAAAGAAAUAAAUAUAUAGUUUUUAUUUUGCGACAUAUUAUAAUGAAAUUCCUUUAAUAAAAACUAUCACCUAUAAUCCAGAAACAUUCAUAUUGUAUCACCAAAUAUUUAUGCAAAAGCGUACUUGAAUCUAUAUUGAUUAAUUGUCCUCUGGAGUUGCGUCAUUGGCUAUGCAGAUCUACACAUUCUCCUAAAAAUUACUUUAAAUUUCUCAUUCCUCUCUCUGAUUCAAAUAUUUAUGCAAAAGCGUACUUGAAUCUAUAAUGAUUAAUUGUCAUCUGGAGUUGCGUCGUUGGCUAUGCAGAUCUACACGUUCUCCUAAAAAAUACUUUAAAUUUCUCAUUGCUCUCUCUGAUGAUGGGAUGUCAGAAAGAAUAGAAAGAUAUAUGUGACCUGUGGACUAUAACCACUUAUAUAGAUAAUUUUUUUUCCUGUUGUCAUUAGGUUAUAUGCCCACACCUUAUUAAAUACAUUAAAACUUAUAAUACCGAAAACCUUAAUGGAUUACUUUUAAUUGGGCUUAACCUUAUAUGACAGUUUGCGACACAUAAUUAUUAACACAUUAGCCCAAUGUUGGAUUAAGGAUCUGACAAUGCUAGAUUAAAAAAUCCACCAAUCUCCCAUUUGGACUAUAUGUGUAACCUUAUAAUUAUGCUUUGCAAAAAUAAUUGUACGAGCUCAACCUUACUGUUAUUAUCAAAAUGUAUCUAUAACUAAUUUGAUCAAUUAAUCAUACCAAUAUAGGAUCAAAGCAGCCUUUGUUACAACUAUCGUAACUCAACCCAUCAAUGGUCACUAUGCCAAUACAUUUGAAUGACAUAGAUCAUAAUGUGGAUGUGUAGCAUGGAAAUUUCAUGCAAUGUGAUAUUGACAUGCCUAUUUCCAACUGGUCCAUCUUAAACCUUAGUGAAAUCAAGCUAUACCAAAAAUCAGAUUGUGAAUAAACUAAAACUUUAUUUCUGCAGAAAAUGACCCUAAAUAUCCAUAAACUAAAAUAAUUGAAAAAUAUCUAUAUUAUAAGAGCAUCCAAAAUCACAAACUCCCACUAAAUCUGAAAAGUAUAUUCAUUUUGCUUAAAAGAAUAUUCUCAAAAUAUUUAAAUUUUAUGAGUAGUAUCAAUAUAUACUAGGGAUAAAAUAGAAAAAUGAUAUUUAAAGCUAACAUCAUCAUAACUACCUACCAGGGGUUUUGGACAUAUUUUAGGCUCCGUUUGGUAUAACGUUUUAAGUGGAGUUUAAUUGAGUAGAGCUUUUAUUAGUAUAACUUUUUAUAAGUAGAGAUUUUACCCAAAAAAAAUUAGUUGUCUGGUUGUCAAUGAGAGUUUUUAUUAAAAAUUAUAAAAUUACUUUAAUAGAUAAGUUUUUAAAGUUAUGUUAUGAAAAGAAUAAAAUAAGAUUGUUAAAUAAGAAAAAUGUAUUUUGGAUAUUUAAACAUUUAAAAAAAACUUUUCAACCUCUAUUCCCAAAGGCCAAAAUUCAAGUUUUUACUAAUAGAGGUAAAAUAGCUUAUAUAAUUUUUAAAAACUUCAUUAAAAAAACAAAUAAACAACAACAAAUAUUUUGAUAAGAGCUUAUAAAAUUAAAUAAGCACUUAUGAUCAUUAGAUAAGUCAUACUAAGAGCUUGUUUGGUAUGGCUUAUCUAAUGGUCAUAAGUGCUUAUUUAAUCCCAUAAGCUCUUAUCAUAAUUUUUAUUGUUGUUUGGUUAUUUUUUUAGUAGAGCUUUUAGAGCUUAAAUAAGCUAUUUUACCUUUAUUAGCAAAAGCUCAAAUUUUGGGCUUUUGGGAGUAGAGGUUGAAAAACUUUUUUUAAAUGUUAAAAUAUUUUCUACUUAUUUGACAAUCUUAUUUUAUUUUUUUAUAUCAUAACUUUAAAAAUUUGUCUAUUAAAGUAAUUUUAUAAAAUUUUAAUAAAAGCUUUUAUUGACAGCCAAACAACUAAAUUUUUUAGGUAAAAGCUCUAUUUGUAAAAACUCUACUCUCAAAAGCUCUAUUUAAAUAAGCUCUACUUGAGUUUUGCUUAAUUUGUCUAAGGCAAAAGGACACCUACACCCCCAAGGUUUGCGGAAAUGUCGCCAACAUCCAUAAGUUUUCAAAAAAAUAUACCAAAACCCUCUCUUGACCAUUAUAUGCUUUACCUCUAUUAUCUCAAAAAAAUUGACAUAAAAUUUUUAAUAAAUGCAAAUACUAUGUAAAUAAUGUAAUCUAUGUAGAUGACUAAUGAUAUGAAAAUAUUUUAAUAAAUUUAAAUAUUGAAACUGAUCUUUACCAAGAGGUUUAGUAAAAAUGUCAGCCAAUUGUUGUCGUGAAGGCACAUAAGUUAAGGAAAUGAUUUUGGCAUGAAGCUUUUCAAGAACAAGAUGGCAGUCUAUUUCUAUGUGCUUGGUACGCUCAUGGAAGAUGGGAUUAGCAGCGAUAUAAAGCGCAGCUUGAUUGUCACAAUGUAAAGCUAUAGGCAUUGGUUGGGUCACAUGGAGAUCACGAAGUAGAGUUUUCAACCAAACCAAUUCACAUGUUGUUGUCGCCAUGGCUCGAUAUUCGGCUUUAGCUGAAGAGUGCGAUACAACUGGUUGCUUCUUGGUUUUCCAAGAAAUAGGAUUGUUGCCGAGCAUGAUAAAAUAUCCUGUGGUGGAUCGACGAGUCAUAGGGCAACUUGCCCAAUCUGAAUCUGAGAAGGCUGAGAGUUCCAAAGAGCUAGUGGAGGACAAGAGGAUACUAGCGCCUGGUGAAGAUUUGAUAUAACGUAAGACACGCAGGGCAGCAUCAUAAUGUGGUCGUCUUGGAGUGUGCAUAAAUUGACUAAGUGUGUUCACAGCAUAUGUAAUUUAUGACUCGGUGAUUGUCAAAUAUAUGAGACGUCCUACGAGUCGUCGGUUUUGGCCAGGAUUUUGACAAAGGGUUCCUUGUUCGUUGGAGUGCUUCAAGUUUUGUUCCAUUGGAAAAGAAGAUGGCAGUGUGCCUAAUUGUCCACUGUCUUGAAGUAUAUCUAAAGCAUAUUUCCGUUGAUUUAAGAAAAUCCCUUGCUUUGAACGAGCCACUUCAAUUCCUAAAAAAUAUUUCAAAGUUCCCAAGUCUUUAAUAUGAAAUUGAGCCUAUAAAAACAUCUUCAAUGCAGUUAUAAUGUCAAGAUGGUUACCAGCAACUAUUAUAUCAUCAAGAUACACAAGCACCAAUGUAAAAUGAGAAUCGUGCACAUUAGUGAAUAAACAAGAAUCAGCAUAAGAUUGAAUGUAACCAAUUUUUUAAAGAGCGGAUGAGAAUUUUUCAAACCAAUUUCGAGAAGUUUGCUUGAGACCAUAAAGGGACUUGUUUGACCGACAAAAUUGAGAAGACUCCCCCUGUUUAUGAACUCCUGGAGGUAAGGUCAUAUAAAUUUCCUCAUGCAAGUCUCCAUGAAGAAAUGCAUUAUGAACAUCUAAUUGAUUUAAUAACCACCCUUGAAUAGUUGCCACUGCCAAUACACAUCUAACAGUCACAAGUUUUGCAACAGGUGCAAAUGUCUCGUGUUAAUCGAAACCUUCAGUUUGUGUGUAUCCUUUAGCAACAAGGUGUGCUUUGUAUCUCUCAAUAGAACCAUCAGCUUUUCUUGUAAUUUUGUACACCCAUUUACAACCAAUUGGUUUCUUGCCGGGAGGUAGAUCUUGUAUUGUCCAAGUGUUAUUUUGCUCCAAAGCAUUAAUCUCUAUAUCCAUAGCAUUGUGCCAAUGAGCAUGUUGAACGGCUUGAGAAUAUGUAGUUGGUUCAACAUCGGGAGAUAUGGCUGAAAGAAAGGCUACAUGAUCACUAGAAAACUUGUCAUAUGAUAAAUACUUAGAUAAUGGAUAUCAAGAACUUACCAAAGGUGGAUGAUUAGUAAAAGUAUUAGAGUUGGCAAAUGUACUAUGAAGUGCAGUAGAGCAAAUAUAAUUAUGAAGAUAAUGUGGAUGGCAAGACUGUCGUUGGGACCGUCGAAGAGGUGGAGAAGAGACAACUAUUGAAUCAGAUGUACCUUGGUGGAGUGACUUCUCAUUGAAAGAAGUUGGAAGGAGUGGUGCAUUUUCAUUGGUAGGAAGUAUGAUAGGAAGAGGUAAAGCACUGUUAUUUUCUUGUUGAUUUGUGAUAGUUUUGAAUGGGAAUUCAGUUUCCACAAAAGUAACAUCACGAGAAAUGAAAGUCUUUCUAUUAAUGAUAUCAUAAACUUUAUAUCCGGGAUCCCCAAAUGGGUAACCAACAAAUAUACACUUGGUGGCACGAGGAGCAAAUUUAUGACGAUUAGCACUGUUGGUAUGAGCAUAACAAAGACAGCCAAAGACACGAAGACGAUCAUAGUGAGGUUUAGUCUUAAAAAGCAUUUCACAAGGAGAUUGACCACCAAGAUUAGGAGUGGGUAUACGAUUAAUCAAAUGGGUUGCAGUUAAAACACAAUCUCCCCAGAAAGACAAAGGUAAAUGUGCUUGAAAACAUAAUACACGUGCAACUUCUAAAAUAUGUCGGUGCUUGCGUUUCGCUACCCCAUUUUGUUGAGGUGUUUCAACACAAGUGUGUUCAUGCAAGAUGCCAUGCUCAUGAAAAAAAGAUUGCAUCUGAUUUGACAAAAAUUCACUUCCUUGAUCAGUACAAAUUUUUUUAAAUUGUGUGUGAAAUUGUGUCUUGAUCAAGAAGUAAAAGUUUUUUAAUAAUUGAAAAGCUUCAAACUUGUGCCGCAUGAGGUAAAUCCAAGUACAAUGGGUAUGGUCAUCAACAAUAGUAAGAAAAUAAUGUGCUCCCGUAUAUGUAGAUGUGUGAUGAGGCCCCCAAAUAUCACAAAAAAUUAAUUGAAAUGGCAUAUCUAAACGUUUUUUAUUCAACUGAAAUGAACUUCUAGUGUUUUUUGAAAGUUGAAAAAUUUCACAACAAGAAUUAAAUGUUGCAAUAUAAAAAAUAAACGCUGCAUUCGGUCUUUAGAAGGGUGACCGAGUCGCAAAUGCCAAAGAUUGGAAUUGGGUUCCUUUGCAACGUUCAUUACUGAAGGAAGGGAAGAAUGACCAUUGAUAUGCUCAUAAUAAUAUAGUCCAUCCCGAACUUCACCCUUUCCAAUCAGCUUCUUCGUUGAAAGGUCAUGAAAAACACAAAAUGAAGGGAAAAAUAUAGCAGCACAUUUCAAAUCCUUGGUUAGCUUGCUUACAGAUAAUAGAUUAAAAUUAAAAUGAGGAACCAAUACUGCAUUAUUUAAAGUCAAAGAGGAUGAUAAUUUAAUGGAUCCACAUUUUUUUGUAGGAACAGUCGUGCCAUUUGGUAGUCUCAUGGGUUUGACAUGAGACAUGGGCAUAAAAUUUUUAAAGGAAUAAAUAUUAUGGGUCAUGUGAUCAGAUGCCCCACGAUCAAUUAUCCAAGAAUCAUUAUGCUAGUUAAUAGCAUAAUUGCAAGAAUGAAGGAUUUUACCAGCUAAGUUUGCAGUAGAUGGUUGCUCACUUGUUGAAAGUAUAGAUAAUAACUGUUGAUAUUGUUCAGCCGUGAGACCGGGAAUUUGGAUAGUAGGCUAAGAUGAUGAAUUCUUGUCUGUUGGAAGGGGAUGAUCGUUUAGUUGUUGUGGCUUUGUGGUUGCAGGAGCAGCUACAUGCGAUCGAUUUGAAUGUUUCCAGUUUGGUGGGUAGCCAACAAUUUUGUAACAUUUGGCUUUUACAUGCCCAUAUUUUUCACAAUGAUCGCAAAAAGGUCUACCCCAUCCUUGUGUCUCUUGUACUCCAUGCAAAUGGCUAGGAUGUGAAUGAUUUUGAUGAUUGGUCAUUUGAGUCUUAUUAUUGGCUGUCAAAGUUGUUGAUUCAAUGGAUGGUUGACUGGAAACAUGGAGAAGUCGUUGACGUUCUUCCUGAUGAAUAAUUGAAUAUGCUUUUCCAACAUUUGGAAGUGGUUCCAUGGCUAAGAUUUGACUUCGUACUGAAGAAUAUGAGUCAUUGAGACCCAUUAGGAAUUGAAACACCUUUUCAGUCUCUAGUAAUCCCUGCAAUUCAUUUGAAGUUUCACACUUGAAAGAAGAAAUAGUGGUUAAUGUGGACAAUUCAUCCAAAUAAAAUUUCAAAGUAUUAAAAUAAAUCACUAAUGGUUUUUGCUCUUGCUGGUGAUUUCAUAUGGCUCUCUUAAGUUCAUAAAUCCGUAGAUUAUUACUUUGUGAAAAACGUUCUUCCAACCCAAGCCAAAGAGAGCGUGGAGUAUCACAAUAAAUGAGGCUGCUGGCAAGAUUUUUCUCUAUUCCAUUGAGCAUCCAUGAAAGGACCAUGUCAUUGCAUCGCUCCCACGUUUUUAAAUCUUGUGAGGUCGAUUAAGGUUUUUGUAUGCUUCCAUCAAUAAAACCCAAUUUGUUUUUGGCAUUCAAUACCAUCUUCAUGGAUCUUUUCCAUGUUGAAUAAUUAUCCCUUGUUAGCACAUUAGAUUCAAAAAUAGCUCUAGAUGAUCAGAUGAAUAAAGAAAGUAUGGUGAAGAAACAUUGGUAAGGAGGGAAUUUGAUGUUUCUGAUAUUGGAUUUAAACUACUAGACAUGAUUGUCAAAGAUAAAAACAGAAAUGAGCAAAACCUUGCUCUCAUACCAUGUAAAGAAUGUGGAAGUGCUCAAAAUUGUAUAUUAUUUGCUGCUGUGUACAAGAUCCUUAUAUACAAAAAAAUACUAGAAUCAUCUAAGGCAAGUACUAAACGGUCAAAUAAUAGAAAAGGAAAGAAUAUAAAGGAGAAUGAUAUUACAAUGAAGUAAAUAUGCUAAGUUAGUGACUAAGAUCAAGGACCGAUUGAUUCUUGUUCUAAUAGAGCAGAAGAGCUGAAGGGAAAAGUAAAGACAACGAUUAAGUAUGUAACCGAGCCAAUGGAUCAGUUGGAGCUGAUUGACAACUGGCAAAGACUUGGAUUGGCUUAUCAUUUUCAGACUGAAAUUAGGAACAUAUUGCAUGGUAUCUACAACAAUAAUAAGGAUGAUAAUUGGAGAAAGGAGAAUGUGUAUGCAGCCUCCCUUGAAUUUAGACUACUUCGACAACAUGGCUAUAAUGUCUCCCAAGGUACAUUUCAUCAAUUCACUUGCUUUGUCGUGCACAUGCAUGAUCUGGAUACUUGAAUCUCUGUUGUUGUUUUCUUCUUUUUUUCCUCCUAAAAAAUAUAGAAGAAUAGACAAAGCCCAAAUCAAUUUUUUGACUUGCUAUCUCCCGAGAAUUUGAACUUGUCCAGGCCACUAGGACCACUCAAAUUAUUUUCUAAUUAACAUACACAUAGAGUCCUUCUCUAGUAAAGGCAUUCACACUUUAUUAAAGUGAGGAUGCACACUAAAAUAUAAAAAAAACAUAGAUUUUAAUGCAAUGUGUUUUUUUUUUUAUGUUAUUGUAUUAAAAUUUGUGUUUUUUUGUCUAUUAGUAGUAUCCUCACUUUGGUUAAAUGAGGAUGUCCUCACUAGAGAAUUAUUACACACACACACACACAUAUAUAUAUAGACAAAGCUACGGUGCACGGGUGCAUGGUACCCCUAAUUUUUAGUAAAUUACUUUGCGGUCCCUCUUAUUUGUUGAAAAGUGAAAAAAUUAGAAGUUUUAAAAUUUUAAGAGAUGAGUCCAAUAUAUUUCUAUUAUUUACACUUAGAGUAUAUUCCUAUUGUUUAUAUUUAAAUACUAAACCAUAGUUGAUAAUUAUGAAAUUUUUUACAUUGUUAUUUGUUCAUAUUAUUAUUAAUAAUUUAAUUUUUAUAAUAUAUUUAAAUUAUUUAUAAUUGAUUAAAUAGAUUUUAUGCUGUUUCAAAAAAUAGAUUAAUAUUAUUGAUAAAUUAUUAUACUUUUAUUGUAUAUUUAAAUUAUUUAUUAUAGAUUAAAUUGAUAUUAUGUAGUUUUAUAAAAAAUAUUUUAUGUUCUAAAAUGUUUUACAAGUUAUUGUCCUUAUAUAUAAUUAAUUCUAAGAGUCAAAUUGGGUCAAUGGAUCAAAAUAUAAAAAUUUAAAAUAAUUUAAAAUUAGGUGUCAAUUUUUUUUUUACUCUUUUGCUUUUUUAAAAAACAUCAGGGACAUCAUGAAACGAUCUGCCCCGAAUCCCCCUAGGCGCGUCUAUCUAGUCUCAUCAAAACAGACUUGAUAAUAAUUUUAUUCGUACAGAUUCUGCCGAAAAUUCGGUAGAGUCUCCUUUAUAUAUAUAACACUCUCAAUCUACAAAUAUGAAUAUAACACUCCCAAUACAAUUCAAUAUACAACAAACUCCAGUGCUCAACAUCCUCAACCAAAAUGAUGAGUUUUAUAUCUCCAGAGUUUUAUUCUUAAUCCUAAAAGAAUAAUAUAACAAAAUUAUACAAUCCCAACAGGACAAGAUAACCAAGAUGUCCUAACAAAAAUAUUUAUAUCGUCUAACACCAUCACGUGGCCAAGACUCAAAAUAUAUUUACAGUCGCUGGGUCGAUCUGGUGUACCUGCAACCUCCUAGUGAGGGGGGAAAAUAUAAUAAAAACGGGAUGAGUUUAAAACUCAGUGAGAUCAGUGAAUGGAUAGUAGUUUUAAAAAUUAAUUCUUACUUUAAAAGAAAUAAUCAUACCAUUUACAAACACGCUUUCAUUAAACCAUAAGCGAGAAACCAGUAAUAAAUCAUUAAACAUUUAAAUCAGAUACUAACCAUGGAAAUCAUAUCACAAUAUCAUAUAGAAUUCACAAAUCUGGAAAUCAUCACCAAACAAGUACCCAGGGAAAUAAUCUCGUCAUAUCCGGACCUCAACGGACGGGCAACGACGUACUAUCUGGGUAACGUCACGCCCCGGAGCUACACGAAUAGACAGGGAAAUACCAUCUCAUAUCUCAUCAUAUCUGUGCAUGCAUAAUGUAGUCCCCAAAGGACAAAAGCGCCCAAGCACAUGGCCCAAAGCCUCUUUGUGUACUCAGACGGGCCCCAAAGGCUUGUAUUUCAUCUGUAUCAUUUGUAUCUCAAUAUCUAUUUGUAUCUCAUAUAUGUAUCUCUGUAAUCAUCAUACCGGAUGCAUAUGCCCCCAAAAGGCAAAAGCGCUCAAACACAUGGCCAAAAGCCUUUAUGUGUAUUCAGACAGGCCCCAAAGGCCUCUCAUCUCAUAUCACCUGUAUCACUGUAUCUGGAGGGAAGGGUACUGUAUAAUGAUUUCAAAAACAAUCAUUAUACUCAUAUUCACAUACCUCUUAACCAUAUUUUUAAAUCAUACCACAUUUGAAUCCACUUUUCUUAUUUUUAAAAUACUAUCAUGCUCAUUCAAAGUCGAUAUGCAAAAUCAUUAAUCAAACACUUUAAUAAUAUACCAAUGCGUGAAUAACAUGUAGUUCGAGGAAGUCAUUAAAUCAGAAUAUUUAAAAUACUUAUUUCGCAAACAUGAUUUACUAUCAUAAUUAACUAUGAAAAUAGGUUUUGUAUAUUCCACUCAUAGUGACGGUGUUCACGGUCGGUUAUCGUCCACGUCCGCGGACCGGUUCUCGCUCGCGGAUCCUCAUAAAUUAAAGAAACGACAUAAUUAUUUUCCGUAAAUCGGAAUUACGACUAACUUUAUGCAAUAAACUCGAAACGAACAUCUAUCCAUAAUUGACAACUCCCGUAUCCAUAAAAUUACUAAAAUGCCCUUGAGUUCGUAAAUCAUUAACACAUACUCUAAAAUUGUACAACACCGAAUUAUCCUCGGAAUCGUAAUUACACCCACUCCUCAAUUAUAGGAAUUACUAAAAUAUCCACAGGCUCAGAAAUUACAAAAUUGCCCUCAUAGUGUGAAAUUACCAAAAUGCCAUUGCCGGUCAACGGUCACCGGGAAGCUCAAAUCUAAAAGUUCCAAUCACGCUAAGUUCAAUGGUACCGGCGGUGAGCUCCAACGCGCGGCAACGGCGCCGGAAUCGAGCUCGGCAGCCGUGAAUUCCAACAAUCGACCGGCGGCAAAACAGUGACUCUCAGUGCCUAUGGAUGGUCGGAAAUGGAAGAGGGAGUUGUGUGGAGCAAGAUCCAACCGGUGGUGUCACCCAAAACCGGCGAAAAUCCCGGCGGAGUAAAGUGAAACAGUCGCGGGUUCAAGCUUCGAUUGCCGGCGUUCCGGUUGGUUUUCGGUGGCGAGGAUGGUAGGGGAACGACGGUCGGCUUCUAAGCUUCAGAUUGGUACCAAGCUCGGCCGAAACGGUGGCCGGAAAUGGGAGAUAUGGUCGGGUCAAGGUAGCGGGUUCCGGGUCGGCUUUUCGGGUCUGUAGUUGGGUCGGUUUGGCAGCUUCCCUUCACUCUCUCUCACACGUGCAUGUUUUUACCCUGUUUCCAGCUUAUUCUUUUACUUAUAAACUCCUUAACCGCCUCAUUUUCAUUUUGAAAUUCACAUAUGUUACACAUCAAUGUUAAAAAUCAGAAAAUAUAUCCAUGUCAUUUAAGCAAGUUCUAUGUUUGAUCUAACGGACAACUCAUAUAUAGACAAAAUGAGGGGUACCAUACACCAAAUGCACGGUAGCUGGACCUAUAUAUAGUGGAUUUCCAAUAAGCAAUUCCCGACCGUAUUAAAAUUAGGGAUGAGAUAAAAAAUAAAAAAAAUUACAAAUUUCAAUAUACUACAAGACAAGUUACAUUGCAUUGGAGUCUGUUUUUUUGUUUGUUAGUUUAUUCCUGACUUUAAUACGGUUAGGGAUCCUUGAUUGGAACAUAUAUAUAUAUAUAUAUACCUAAAAAUUUUGAUGAAUCUAAUUUGAUUUGGCUGAAUAGUGCAGAGGUUUUCAAUGGUUUUAAAGACGACAAAGGAGGCUUCAUUUGUGAUGAUUUCAAGGGAAUACUGAGCUUGCAUGAAGCCUCGUAUUACAGCUUAGAAGGAGAAAGCAUCAUGGAGGAGGCCUGGCAAUUUACCAGUAAACAUCUUAAAGAAGUGAUGAUCAGCAAGAGCAAGGAAGAGCAUGUAUUUGUAGCAGAACAAGCGAAGCGUGUCCUGGAGCUCCCUCUGCAUUGGAAAGUGCCAAUGUUAGAGGCAAGGUGGUUCAUACACGUUUAUGAGAAAAGAGAGGACAAGAAUCACCUUUUACUUGAGCUCGCUAAGUUGGAGUUUAACACUUUGCAGGCAAUUUACCAGGAAGAACUCAAAGACAUUUCGGGGUAUCCAUGCCUUGACUGCGUAACUCAUAUUUAUACAUAUAUCAAAGAUUUGAUUUUAUCAAAUGCAUAACUUGUACAAUUUAAUCAUGUGUAUUAAAAUAUUCUCAAGUGUAGACUCCACACCUUUUACAGUAAUGUAAAGGCAUGAGUCUGCACGUUAUAAACUGCAGAUGUUUGCACUAGAGAAUGACACUAAGGAAUCUUGGACUAGAAGAUGACUCUAUAUAUAAAUUAUUGGAAAGCCACGAGUCAUGCGCUUUAUAAAAUGGGAAUGUUUGCAUCAGAGAAAGAGUCUUCAGAAUUCCAGAUUGAAAGCUAACUCUCUAUAUAUAGAUAUAUGUAACGUGUGUCGUAAAUCGUAAUAUUCGUUUUAAUUUUCCCAUGAAGGUGGUGGAAGGAUACAGGUAUUGGAGAAAAAUUGAGCUUUGCGAGGAACUAGUUGGUAGCGUCCUUCUUAUGGAGCAUGGGGAUAGGAUCUGAGCCUCGAUUGGCCUACUGCAGGACAAUACUCACAAUCUUGAUUUCUAUAAUUACAGUGAUUGAUGACAUUUAUGAUGUUUAUGGAACUCUGCAUGAACUUGAGCGAUUCACCGAUGCUGUUGAGAGGUUUGCUGGCAAAUUAAUGUUCUAUCUAAUUGAUUAAUUCAACUGCAAGUUAGUUGCAUGCUGCUCCUCAGAUUAAUAGACCAUUUAUAUGAUUUUUUUGUUUCCCCCUUUUCUACAGGUGGGACAUCAAUUAUGCUUUGAACCACCUUCUGGACUAUAUGAAAUUGAGUUAUUUUGCUCUUUACAACUUUGUUAAUGAAUUUGCUUAUUACAUACUGUGAAAUGACCCGCCCCGAAUCCCCCCAGGCGAGUCUAUCUAGUCUCAUAAAAAUAAACUUGAUAAAAAUUCUAUUAGUAAAGAUUCUGCCGAAAAUUCGACAGAGUCUCCUUUAUAUAUAUAACACUCUCAAUCUACAAAUAUGAAUAUAACACUCCCAAUACAAUUCAAUAUACAACAAACUCCAGUGAUCAACAUCCUCAACCAAAAUGCUGAGUUUUAUAUCUCUAGAGUCUCAAAAGAUAAUAUUAUAACUAAUAUUAAUAUCUCAAUUUAUUCUUAAUCCCAAAAAGAAUAAUAUAACAAAAGUAUAUAAUCCCAAAAGAACAAGAUGACCAAGAUGUCCUAACAAAAACAUCUAUAUCUUCUAACACCAUCACGUGACCAAGACUCAAAAUAUAUUUACAGUCGCUGGGUUGGUCUGGUGUACCUACAACCUCUUGGUGAGGGGGAAAAAAUAUAAUAAAAACGGGGUGAGUUUAAAACUCAGUGAGAUCAGUGAGUGGAUAGUAGUUUUUAAAAAAUUAAUUAUUACUUUAAAAGAAAUAAUCAUACCAUUUCCAAACACGAUUUCAUCAAACCAUAUACAAGAAACCAGUAGUAAAUCAUUUAACAUUUAAAUCAGAUUUCUAACCAUGGAAAUCAUAUCACAAUAUCAUAUAGAAUUCACAAAUCUGAAAAUCAUCACCAAACAAGUACCCAGGGAAAUAAUCUCAUCAUAUCCGGACCUCAACGGACGGGCAAUGACGUACUAUCUGGGUAACGUCACGCUCCGGAGCUACACGGAUGGACAGGGAAACACCAUCUCAUAUCUCAUCAUAUCUGUGCAUGCAUAAUCUAGUCCCCAAGGGACAAAAGCACCCAAGCACACGGCCCAAAGCCUCUGUGUGUACUCAGACGGGCCCCAAAGGCCUGUAACUCAUCUGUAUCAUUUGUAUCUCAAUAUCUGUCUAUAUCUCAUAUAUGUAUCUCUGUAAUCAUCAUACCGGAUGCAUAUGCCCCCAAAAGGCAAAAGCGCCCAAACACACGGCCAAAAGCCUCUAUGUGUGUUCAGACGGGCCCCAAAGGCCUCUCAUCUCAUAUCACCUGUAUCACUGUAUCUAGAGGGAAGGGUACUGUAUAAUGAUUUCAAAAACAAUCAUUAUACUCAUAUUCACAUAACUCUUAACCAUAUUUUUAAAUCAUACCACAUUUGAAUCCACUUUUCUUAUUUUUAAAAUACUAUCAUGCUCAUUCAAAGUCGAUACGCAAAAUCAUUAAUCAAAUACUUUAAUAAUAUACCAAUGCGUGAAUAACAUCUAGUUCGAGGAAGUCAUUAAAUCAGAAUAUUUAAAAUACUUAUUUCGCAAACAUGAUUUACUAUCAUAAUUAACUAUGAAAAUAGGUUUUGUAUAUUCCACUCACAGUGACGGUGUUCACGGUCGGUUAUCGUCCACGUCCGCGGACCGAUUCUCGCUCGUGGAUCCUCCUAAAUCAAGGAAACGACAUAAUGAUUUUCAGUAAAUCGGAAUUAUGACUAAAUUUUAUGCAAUAAACUCGAAACGAACAUCUAUCCAUAAUUGACAACUCCCGUGUCCAUAAAAUUACUAAAAUGCCCUUGAGUUCGUAAAUUAUUAACACAUACUCUGAAAUCGUACAUCAUCGAAUUACCCUCGGAAUCGUAAUUACACCCAAUCCUCAAUUCUAGGAAUUACUAAAAUAUCCACAGGCUCAGAAAUUACAAAAUUGCCCUCAUAGUGUGAAAUUACCAAAAUGCCCUUGCCGGUCAACGGUCACCGGAAUUUGGUCAACGCUGGCGCCGGAAUCGAGCUCGGCAGCCGUGAAUUCCAACAAUCGACCGGCGGAAAAACAGUGACUCUCGGUGCCUAUGGAUGGUCGGAAAUGGAAGAGGGAGUCGUGGGGAACAGGAUCCAACCGGUCGUGUCACCCAAAACCGGCGAAAAUCCCGGCGAAGCAAAGUGAAACAGUCGCGGGUUUCAAGCUUCGAUCGCCGGCGGUCCGGUUAGUUUUCGGCGACGAGGAUGGCAGGGGAACGACGUUCGGCUUCUAAGCUUCAGAUUGGUACCAAGCUCGGCCGAAACUGUGGCCGGAAAUGGGAGUUAUGGCCGGGUCAAGGUUCCGGGUUCCGGGUCGGGUUUUCCGGACUGUAGUUGGGUCGGUUUGGCAGCUUCCCUUCACUCUCUCUCACACGUGCAUGUUUUUACCCUGUUUCCAGCUUAUUCUUUUACUUAUAAACUCCUUAACCGCCUCAUUUUCAUUUUGAAAUUCACAUAUGUUACAUACUCAAGCAACAGGAUUUUGAUAUGCUUCGGAGUAUUAAAAAAGCAGUACGCAAAAUAUUAAUUUUACCUCUCCUGCCGUUCCUUUCCUUUGAUUUAUCCUUUUUAAAUUACGAUGUUUUUGUCUCAAAAAUUAUAAAUUGUGACUAGUUUUAUUUUCUGUGUCAUGUGCAUCAGUGGCUUGGUAAGUACACACCAACACUGGGAGGAUUCUUGGAAAAUGGACUGGUAUCAAUAGCAGGCCCAAUAGUCACAAUAAGUGAAUACCUUUCUGGUACAAAUCCGAUCAUUGAGAAGGAGCUAGAAUUUCUAGAAAGUAAUCCAGAUUUAGUUCACUGGUCAUGCAAGAUUUUUCGUCUUCAAGAUGAUUUGGGAACUGCAUCGGUAUGAUUUUUUUUUUUUUAAAGAAGACAAAAGUUGAAUUAAUCCUCUAUAUAUGAAUUGAUCGUACUUUUUUCCCCCCACAAUAAUUCAUCAGCACGAGAUACAUAGAGGGGAUGUUCCGAAAUCAAUCCAGUGUUACAUGCAUGAAACUGGUGCCUCGGAGGAAGUUACUCGUGAACACAUCAAGGAUGUGAUGAGACAGAUGUGGAAGAAGGUGAAUGCAUACAGAGCUGAUAAAGAUUCUCCCUUAUCUCAAACUACAGUUGACUUCAUCUUGAAUCUUGUGAGAAUGUCCCAUUUUAUGUAUCUAGAUGGAGAUAGGCAUGGAAUUCGAAACCAAGAGAAUAUGGAUGUAGGUUUUACAUGGCUUUUUCAGCCCGUUCCGUUGGAGGACAAACACAUGGCUUUCACAGCAUCUCCUGGCACCAAAGGCUGACGCAUGAUGCGUUUCCAGAGUAUAGUUUCAGUUGACGUUGGCCUCAGAUUUUCUUCUGAGUUUCUUUUUCUUUCUGAUGAGGAGGUCUCAUUUUGAUGGUUUUAAUAAAUUCCCUCGUUCGUCGAGGUUUACAAAUGAAAUAAAAAUAUUACUUUUAUUGAGAGUAGAAGUCGUCAGGAUAUGAGAACUAUUUUCUAGCCAACGCAUGAGAAUGUCAGAAUUUGUUAUGUAUGCUAUUAUACUUUAUAUUCAAGCAUGGUUCAUAGCAUGUUAAGGCACAACAGAUACUCAGUAUACAUGAACCAUUUAAAUCGCAUACGACAAAUCAUACCCACGAAAAAUGAUAAUAAGCAGCGAACAGUGACAAACGCAACAACAGUUAAGGAUGGAAAUCAGAGCUCUGCAAUAAAAAAGGAAAUCACAAGGGUAAAAAAUUUAAUAUAACCAAUUAAAAACAGGAGUUCCUAAUUUUUGGAUUAGCAUAAAGACAGGAGCACCUAAUUAUUCGAUUACCCUAUUUUAUCUUUUAAUGUCGUAUGAGUUUAGAGAAUAUGAGUGUAGAGAGUUGGAUUCAAUCUUUCUCACUACUCAAAAGGAGAGGACUCUAGUGGAACCGACUUGGUACACACUGCUAACUGCCGAGAAAAUCAAAUCAUGAAAAGCUCAAGUUACAAACAGCGCUCAAAAGAAAGCACCAAACUGGUUUCAUAAAUUAUUAUGUGACCUUGAAGUACUGAGGUUAGUAAAAUUAUGAUUAAAUUAAAAAAUAAUAUUUGGGGUAUGAUAAGAUAAAAGGAGAGGUCUAAAAUUUAAAUGACUUUGCUCUUUAUUGAAAUACAGUUCGGACAUUCAGUGGGCUGUCUUAGUCAAUGGGCUGUUUAAUCAUCGAUUGGUCGUUUGUUGUUGGUGGAGGCUCAUCCAACACGUGUAAAAGCUUGUCGAACAUAACGAAUCUCUCUAGUCAAGUAAAAAAUUUUGUAUAGCCCUCUAAAAGCUCUAAAAGCUUCCACUGCACAUGAAUUUAAAUUAACUUAAUAUUAUUUUUCUUUUAUUAUUUCUUUUUUGUUAAUGAGAAAAAACAAAUAUUUUCUUUUCAUGAUAGCCUGACUUGAAUGACUGGCUUUAAACCUUAUUGGAAAUUUACAAUGCGGGAUGAAGCUGACUGUGAGGGUUGCUCACGCUGCUAAUUAAUCAAGUCAAACAGCCAGGUCGUGCUAUAUUACAUCAUGUGGAAUAUACAACAACUCUUGAACUAUCAUCCAAAAUAAAAAAAACCACGACAUAUGAAAUAAUGAAAUAAUUAAAUUGUCAUAGAUAACAACUCGUGGGUUUGCUAAUAUAAAACAUAGUCUAACCCCAAAAAACCACAUAUAGCACUGACUGAAAAUUAUUUGUUCUAAUAACAGUGAUCGAAUUUAACAGCUACUUGUCAUUAUUUGUUGAAAGAAGCCUUUCUUGUUGAACAUGCGUGUGCAUGUGUCAACUUUUGACUUUUGGCAUAAUUUGUUGACACUACUAGAAAAAUGGUCUUUACUGAUAUUUAGUUCGUGACACUUUAUUAAAAAGUAUCAGUAUUUACAUAUAUAUGGACCAUUUUUCGUGUUUAACAUAUAAGUAUCACAAAAUACUAAUACUAUGGUGUCUCUAAAUUAAACAUCAGAGAUUACUGACACUAAAGUAUCUGUAAAAAAUUUAAAGUAAUUCUGAUAUUGUUCCCGAUAAAACUCGAACCCAAGACCUAUAAAAAUUAAGCUUUUAAGUUUUAAACAAAAGCCAUUAUAAUUUUUUGCAAUGACACUAAGGUAUCGCUAACUAUUAAAAAAAAACAAAAACAAAAACACACGCACACAUUCACACAUGACACCUCACCCCACACACUCACAAGACGCAAAAACAAACCCUAAGUCCUUAACAAUUAACAUUACAAUACUUUGAAAGAGAGAGAGAGCGCCGCUACUCUCGAUCCAGUGCUCCAACACCGGCUCAGAUCUCUUGCUUUUAUAUCACCGCGUCAAGCCUCUCCGUCACGCCGUCAAGCCUCAAUCAAGUGUCACUGCUUCAAGCCUCCAUCAAGUGUCACUGCGUCAAGCCUCUCUGUCAUGCCGUCAAGCUUCCAUCAUGUGUCACCGCGUCAAGCCUCUCUCCGCUGUCAUAAGUCACCGAUGCGGCACCGCACCAUCACUAGCCAACCAGCCACCAAAAUUGACAGUCGUGCUAGCUACCCACCACCACAAUACCCUGCCACUGCCUGCUAAUACUCCACAAAAUCUUCUCAAAACUUCGAGCCACAGUGUCCAGGUCUGCUUUUUCAAGUCUUCUUCUUUAAGUUUUUAGUAUCAUCAAGUCUUGCUUCUUCAAGUCUUAAAAGGUUAAAACAACAAUUUUAGAUUUCAAAUCUUGUUUCUUCAAGUCUUAAAGUGUAUCUUUAGUCACCAAUUAUAUUUAUGGGUAUUCACUGGUUCGUUGAGUAAUUUUUUCAAACAUAUGGGGUAUCGCGUCAUAACAGCCUUGUAUAUUUCUAUAUCUAACAUUGAAUGAAUGAAUGAAUCUAUGUGUAGCUUACGAAAUGCAAAAUCAAGAGUAGUAACAAUUAAAGAACAAUAAAAAAUGAAAUGAAAGCAUAAUCACAAGUUGUCUGUUGAUUUACCUUUCAAUAAAUCUCUCUCUCACACUCACACACUCUACUCUCUAACCUACCUUCUUGACUUGGCUCCCAAAAAAUAAUAAAGUAAAAUUUUGGUCCCAAGAAAGUUUGAUUUCUAAACAAAGGGGAAAAAAAUUUAAAAGAAAGUAAGAUUUAUUUUACAAAUUUUACGGUGCUUAUCUUUUAGAACUGUAUGUAUAAAUAAUAAUAAUAAUAAUAUGAGUUUCAUAGAAAAUUUAGUUUAUUUGAUCAUGUUCAUUGAUAUGCUUUAACAAUGCUUUAUUAAUUCUUUUUAUUUCUUUAGGAAAGAUUGAUAGAGUGGAUAAUAUCUAACUAAUUUUAUGAUAAAGGGCAAAACGUGUGGAAUAUAAUUGGAAAAUGAUUGAAAUAAUUUAUUUCAGAUUUUUAUGUCCUCUUGUGUUAGUUUAUUGGAUAUGCUUUUAUUAAAUGUCCAUAAUUUACUUUGUUUAGGCCAAAUAAAAUAUUUUUUGUUGGAUGGGGCAAUAUAUAGUAUAGAUGGCCUAAUGUAACUCACCAGAAGCUGCAAAUUCUCUGUAAUUUGCAGAAUCUAUUUUUUUUUUUUUUUUAUCUGAGGUACAUGCACAAAUAUUUGGGUGCAUCCACUUCACACUUAUCAUUACAAAAGAAACCACGUAGCACAUAUUAAAAUCACAUGUACUUCACUUUUUCAAAGAUUUAAUUCAACAAUAAAAAAAUUUCAGAUUUAAUCCAACAUCACAUGCAAGUGGAGUUAAGUUCCCAAAUUCAUUAACUGAAAACCAUGUCCCAAAUUUGAUUUACAAGAAAUGCUUUUACAAGAGAGGACAAGGAGAAAUUUGAAGUAAUCUGGAAUUCUCCAUAGUCUUGGUUUCCUUGAUUUGCUAUUUGGCUUGUUGGCAUUCUCCAAUAUGUAAUAUGUUUGUACUAUUUUUGUAGAAGUUACGAAAAGACGAUGACUUCUACUUGAUUUGCUAUUUGGCAGGUUGCUAUCCAGCGCUGUGAGCCCUCUUGGUAAGGAUUGCAUUAUUUCAUCCAUGAAAGCAGUAAGUUGCCCAAUUAAUUCAUUUGCUUGCAUCAAUUUGCUAGAUUGUUUUAUGUAGGUAUCAAUUGUUAUGUGUUAAAUGUCCCAAAGUAUAAGAAACCAAAAGAGAGAAGAGUACAAAGACAUGGGGUGUGUAUUAAACAGACUAAUUUAUUGCGUCAAAUUGGAUAUUACAACCUACAGAAUCAGUAGAGAAUCAAUUAAAAAAAAAUGAAAUGACAUGAAAAAUGAAAAAUGUUUAUGGCAUGUUUUGUUGGCUUGUUGAACAUGUACAUGUAUUUAAGUGACUGUAAACAAACAAAACAUGGCUUUGUUUUGCAAUUUGUAUCUUUUAUUUAAACUUGAAAAGUUUAAUCUUUCAUUAUGUCUACAGGGCGUUAACACCUAUGUUAGAUUAAUUACAUGCUUGGUAACCCAAACUUUAAUUCAUUAAAAAAAAUAUAUUUAUCAUUUAGCUAUGAAGCUUAGGAGUAUUCAUGCACAUGUAAGAAGUUCAUGUAUCUAGUCUCUAUACUUUUUUCUUGGGGCUUAAAUUUCAAAUAGGGUUUAAAAUUUUAAUCUUAAUACUUUUUUCUGUUCUAUAAAUGUGCAGCAAAAUUCUUCAGCAAACUGUGAAUGAAGUCAAAAGAAAUCCUUCCUAGCUAGCACAUGCCGACUUUUAUGAAACUUGCAUUUUUUUUCUCGUCUCCCAUGGGGAGUAGCUGAACCCAUUGAGGUAAUGCUUAAUUCAAUCAUUUCUUGAUGGUUUAUUAACAUAUAGCAUAUAUGUUUUAUUGUCUUAUAUUCUGUACUUGUAUUUUGGAUUUGGAAUUUCUAUUAAUAGACUUCACUUUCUACCCAUAAAAUGAGAAUAUAAUUAUACUUUUGUAGCUAUUUUGAGCCACAAACAUAAAGAAUGUUCACCUUAGCAAAAAUAAGCUCCACCAUUUUUUAAAUAAUUGAUAGUGCACCGUGUCUAAGUGAAUGAUUGAGAGAUCUUUGUAAUUGAUCCAGUGAUCUUUCUUUAAUCUUUCCUUUUGGUUUCUUCAUCUCAAUGACCUUAAGUCAUUUUUUAUUCCUUUACCUUAAUAAAUGAAUAUGUUUAGUUUCUUUUUGUAAAAGUGAAGUUUCUAAAAAGCUGGUGUUGUAUUUUGACCCCAAAUUGUUAUAAUUGUGUCUCGAAGAUUUGAUAGGAAAUUGGAAAGUACCACAAGAGUUUGAUACUAUACAUUUUUUUCUCAAGAAUACUUAUUUAAUUCAUCAGUGAUACCCUAAGAAUACUUAAGAUGAAAAGGAUUAAUAUCAAUUCUGAGCUUGUUAGGGAUCCUUGGUAAUUACUGUUAGGUGUGCUAUGUGCUGGUUCUGUUUAUUUCCAUGUUCUUGCUUUUCGUAAUUUCUAGAAAAUGUUGAGUGGUUGGUUACAGAUUAUUGUUUUAGUUAUAUUGACUUGUUAGUAAUUGGAUUUGAAGUUGGAUGUGAUGAGUACACACUAUGGAUGAUCUUUCGUAACUUCUUGAUGAGUGGGCCGCAUAUGUUGCCAAGUUAUUUGUAGCAUACGAUAAUCAUAUAAUGUAUGAGUAUAUUUUUUAUUGUAAAUGUCCAAGACUUAAUUUGUCUGGCAUACUAAUUAAUUCUAUAUGUUACACUUGUAGGUGGGAAAACAAUGAAGUUUAAGGUGUAGAGGCAUUGAGGAAAAUUUUGUUGCCAACUAAAUACUUGUAUUUUUCUCAAAUCGAAUGUCUACUUGUGUGUCUUUCAAAACCAAGAGGUGGGCUUGGAAGCAGCCAUCCUUUGAAGAAAGCUUAAUAGUUCACUAGUCUAGCUCCAUGGCACCGAAAAUGAAUCAGGGCUCCUAUAUUUGAGAUAUUCUGAAUUUAUAUGUUUCUUUAAUACUUGUUUGAAUUUGUAUUUGAUACAAUUGUAAUAAUAUAUAUACUACCAAUAUUUAAAUAUGAAUUGAAAGAUUUUACAAUAUGAAUCGAGGUGUUUUUUUUUUUUAGAUUUGUGGUGCCUUUUAAUUUUACCAACAAAUCAAUUAGUAAUGAGACAAUUUAAAUUUUUAUUUUUCUAAAUAAAUUAAAUAGUGAUACCAUGGUAAUAGUAAUCAUAGACACUAAUAUUAUAUCAACAAUUACUAAUACUAUAGCAUCAUAAUAUUAGUGAUACUAUAGUAACAAUAAUCACUAACACCAAUUACAAGUGUCACUAUUUUUCUGACUCCCAGAUUACUGACACAAUUAAUAAGUGUCACUAAAAGUAAUUGCUGACACUAUUCUAAUGUCAGUAAAGACCAUUUUUCUAGUAGUGUGAGUAAGUGGAAGACAUGAGUAAGUGAGAGGGUAGCACACAAAUUUGACUUCCGCAUCAAAAUGGAGAGUUGAAUGAAAAUAUAUAUUAUUUUAAAGUCCAUUAUUGUUGAUUUUUUGGGCAUUGCUUGGCCUAUGAAUAGAGGCUUCACCUUCAUUUACCCUCUUCAUUCAUCCCAUUUUCUUCAAUUCUCAAUCUAAUUGAGAAAUAAGAGAGCCAUAAGUUGGAGAUUGAGAAUGCCCUGACAGCUUUAAGUUGUUGUUUUAGUGAUUUGAGAGUUUGGGUAUAGUGGGGUUUUGGGUUAUAAGACAAAAUACUACAAUACUUAUAACACAUUUUCACUAGUAAAAUAUUCUCUUUUAUAUUUGCCCGUAGACGUAGGCUAAAAGUCGGACCACUUAAAUUCUAGUAUCUCUAUGUGAUCAUUGUUUCUUAAUUUUACUUUAGUUGUGUGUCUACUUCACCCGUUAAUUUCCUAAUAGUGAUAUCAGAGCCAUUGGUUGUUUUUUUUUGGGAGUCGGGGUAGUGAUAAUAUAUAUGAUACUAUUCACGUGAAAUGGCGAGAGCGAUCUAAGAAUUAUGUGGUUCAAAGCAGGGAAUAGUAGUAUGAGUGGAAGUAAUCGCGUGGCCUUGUACAUGCCUAGAAAAGUUCUGUCACAAGGGCAAUAAGAGUCUAAGGAGCCUGAGUUUUAAAUUGGACCGUCCUGACCCAUAUAGUCUUUCCUGAGAACUUCCCUGAUGUGCAUUUUCACACGUACGAUCACUCAUAACUAUACAAAGUGGUCACUAACUUGUGCACGGUAUUUAUCAACAAAAUAACAGUAAAGUUUGAAAUUAAGAAGUUCAAUAAAAGUAAUUUCUUGUUGUGGAAAAUGAAAAUGCAAUCAAUCUUGAGGAAAAAUAAUUGUUUAGAAGCAAUUGGAGAAAGAACUGCUGAAAGAACUGAUGACAAGUGGAAUGAGAUGGACGGUAACGCAAUUGUUGAUCUUCACUUGACACUUGCGGAUGGGGUGUUAUCCAGUGUGGUGGAAGAAAAGACAGCAAAGGAUAUAUGGAAUACUCUCACAAAACUGUACGAGGCCAAGUCGCUACACAAUAAGAUCUUCUUAAAGAGGGGACUCUAUACUCUUCGAAUGGCAGAAACCACAUCGGUGACUGUUGGUAAAUUUUAUAAUCAAAUGCUACUAAUGCCAAUGUGCAAGUAUACACAAUAAGUAAUAAAGUGAUAAAUAUUCAAGAUCGUCUCCACAGGGAUUGAUGUCACUUGAAAUGCUACAUAUAGCAGUCACAAUAGUGCAAACUAACUUAAGUCCGAAGUUAACAAACGUAACGUAUGUUCUAUCGUAAUUGAUGAUUGUGAAAGAAUAAAAUAAAACAAUAUCGUAAUGAAAUAAACUAAAUUAAAUGUGUCUAAGAUUCAAUUGAGACUAUGGUAGUUGAAUGAUCAAACUCUCCUUAUGGGCUGACUGUUUAUCAUCAAGUUAACAUUAGUUGUUACGGCAAGUGCUGCAGCACUGGGCAUAAUUAAUCUGCAUCCUCAGCUAUCACAUAUUGGAACUCUCAUACCCUUAAAUCUAUUAACAAUGACCAGUUGCUAAUCUACUUAUGAUAUGGCAUUAUGACCCUUUAAUCUCUCCACCCUAGAAGGUGAGCACCUAUGUCUAAUGUGUCACAAAUCUUAACUUCAAGUAUAGCCCUUAUGAGAUUCAAGAUAACUUAAGCCAAGAAACGUAAAUUAAGAUCGAGUAAUACUCUAAUAAUAUCUACUAAGACAUGCCCUUUUGCGACUCUAUCUUAACUUGAACUAUUAAAUGAGUGGUCAACAGAAAUAACAGUUAUAUUAAUAAUAACUACUAGAGUAAAAUACUACAGCAACGACAUAACAACACAUAAGAACAAUCAAGAACCCAUUGGAUUAUUUGUCACUCAACUACAAGCAAAUCUAGUUCAUAUUCUAAAUGAGAAAAACAAACAGAAAUAUUUUGUUCACGGGAUACAUCAGAACAAUCAAAUAAAGAAGAGAAGUAUAAGUUGAGAACGGUAAAAAGCAAAUCCAAAUAACUCUGCACGAUUCCUCAAUGCUGCCGAAACUGCACUUGUCAAUUGUAAUCUUCUUCUCCUUUAUUCUCUAAUGAUUUCACGAUAAUUCCCUUGCCGCCUUUCUAUGUGGUGUGCCCCCCCCCUUUUAUACUGCAAAUUAGGGUAAAUAAAAGUCUGUGGGCGUACAUGAGUUAAAUUAUGAAACAUGCAGAUUGCGAUUCUGCAGCUGGCCCGUGCCUAAGUUUUCUCCCUCAUUGCUCCCAGAUUGCUACAGCACUGGUUGCUCUAACAACAACUACAACACUGCACUGUUCUCGAUUGUACUUUACUUCUUUUGCAGCCAUCUUCUUUCCUCCUCUUGCUAAUCUAAUGUCUCAGCAUCCCUUCAUGAGUUAAGACUUUCUGAAAACCUACAAUUAUGCAUCUGUUUUGAGCACAAAUUACUUUGAUUCAAGCAAAACUUAUUAAGACUCAAUUAAAAUGAAUGUUUAUGCAAAAUAUAAAUAAAAACACCUUAUUUGCUCUCUAAGUAAUCUUGAUUUAAGUCUAGAAUUGAUGUAAUAACUCUCAUUUCAUAGAGUUAUCACACCCCCAAACUUAAACCUUUACUUGUCCUCAAGUAAUGACAACAUACUAACACUUCACGCAAACAAUCAUGCAACACAACUUUAGCUCUUUUAUCAAAUUUACAUGGAUUCUUCCACCUUCAUAUCACAAUCCCAAUCAUGCAAAGUAACCACAGUAAAUCAGUUCUAGACUUAAGCUUCCUUCUGUCCACAGUGUGUGUGUGCUACUGUGAUUGAAUUCCAGAAAUGCUAUAACAUCACCAAAAGAUUGCAUGUAAUUCAGCAGUAACAAAAUUUCAUUCAUAUAUGGGGUAGCAUAAAUUUCACAUACUCAAACUGUGAUGAUUUUAAGAUUGAAAACUUGAGGAUAUUCAACCUCCUCACUGCAACAUUUAUUUUUCAUGUGAAUGUCGCUCAAUUGUAAUGAUGACACCCAAUUACUCAAACCAUGCACAGAUCAGAGUUGCUGUAGCAAUAUCUGUAAUAUAAUCUUGUCUAGAGAUAUCUUUUACUCAAGGCUGAACAUAGGGCUCAUGAACAGACCUGGCUACUCAAUGCCUUAGACAUAGGACUUUCUUGUUUUAUUAUCUUACUUUCCUUUUCUUUUCUUUUUUUUCUUUUUUUAUUUUUUAUAAAAUGCUACAGCAUUGCUCAUAACUCUUGUUACCUUUGAACACAACUCUGCAUAUGGGGUACAUACUCAGAUCUGGUUAUUCAGCAACUUGAGCCAUUGGAACAUAGUUUAUUUCAUAGAUAUCACAAUCAAUCAAACUUGCUUUCCCCCCAAACUUAAGAUCUUUUGGCUCUGCUCUAGCAGUCUCAUACAAUUCAACUAAAGUCUAAGUGUCAGGACAGAAUUUCAACCUCCAUCUAUAACUAUCUCUACUUUGCAUUCUCAUAAAUACUGAAUAACACUCAAUUUGUCUUCAUUAGGUUUUCAAAUCCACACACAAAUAUUAUAUAAUAGAGCUUUACACAACACACAAGCAUAAACACAUGCACUCAGAAACACAACCUCCCCAAACUUGAGAGGUGCUGUGUCCUCACAAGCAUACACAACAAAGUCACACAAGUUGACAAGGACAUGGAAUACCUUAGAAAAUACCACACAAAUUGAAAAACAGAAUGAAAGAAAAGUUUUUUUUUUUAAAAUGAACUAAAUUGACUAGCGAGGAUGGAAUAAUUCCCUGUGGUUGGUACUGUUGCAACAUGACGGGAAGACAUCAGCGCUUCUUGGAUGCACUGCGCAGCUUAUCAUUUGGUGAAACUUGUGGGGAAGUAGCUGACGACGUCUUUGUCUUUUUCUUCACUGGGCUGGUGAGAGGAGUUACGGCUGGGGUAGCUGGUAUGGUUGACACCGAUCUGGUCCGUUUUGGUGGUGUUGAUGCUGCUGUAGCAGUGCCUCUAGACGUACUGCCCUUUUUUUUACUGGAUUGUCACAGACUGGUACGAACAGGUUGGCUAGGAGUUUGCUGUGGAGGAGUUGGGGUUGAUGCAUCAGCUGCCUGGCCCUCAGUUGUGAUGACAGCAAUGAUAUCAAGUACUUGCUUGGCUUCUGUAGGUGUAGGAGUAACUCUAGUUGCUGCAGCAGCCAGCUCUACAUCAACUUGCUCCAUUUCAUCUUCAAAGGCUGGAGGUGUUGCUAUUUUUUCCUUGCCCUUGCCCUUGCCUGAAAGGACUGGAAUGGAGGGUUCCUCUUCAGGGUCCUCCUAUUCCUCCUCUUGAAUAAUGUGCCUUUUUCUGGUUUUGGAAUGGGUAUGGAUUGAGGGUUCCUCACGUUCUUUCUUAAAGUCGUCCUCUGCCUCUGUGGGUGAGCUGUCAGUCCCAGACUUGUCACCGUCUUCUUCUGGUCGAUUAGAUGGUUCAGCAUCUUUUGAUUCUACCUCUGCUUGUGGUUCGGCUGCAGCUUCUGCUUCUGGUUCAUCUAUGGCAGUGGCUUUUUCACUGGCUUCUGUUGGAGCACCUGUGGUGUUAGUGUCAAAAUUGUACUGCUGGAGCAAUGAAUCAGGGAAGUUUCAGUGAGUGCAUUUCGUGUAAAGAGCAAAUUCGUGUAGUUGGUUGUCCAGGUGUUGUAGAUAGCUCCAAAACCGAUCGUUUUCCCUCUACUGAGCCUCAACAUAUUGAGUUAUACUGGUGCUUAGUGCCUAGAUUGUCUGUUCUAAACCAAUAGCUCGUCGUGCUCCUAUUACAGUAGCUGGUUCAGUUGUUGUUCCAGCACUCUCACCAGCAACUCUCUCAAUGGUACGUGCCGUAAAGGCACCAUCAUUCUUGACAUGUUCAUCUUUCGCGUCAAGACGAACACCAGAUACUACACAGAUGCUGGUGAUGAGUGAAGGAAAUAGCAAGGCAGCAGUUUUGUGAUUCUUGACUGUACAAUCUCUGAUUUCUUUUUCGAUGAUGCUACCCACACCUUAGCAAUAGGUUUUAAAUCUACCAUAUUAACUACACGCCCUUCCUCAUUAGUCCAUGAUGCCCCCUCUAUUGUAAGAGUUGUGAAGAUGGUGUUCCAUUUUUCGGGGUCAAUUUAUCAAGGAACUUGGCAUACUCACAAUUAAUUUCCGCAGGUAAAUUAUAAAAAGCAUUUAUAACGUGGGAGUCUAAUGGAACAAGUGUGUUUCUUACCCAAAUGUUGUGCUGGUCAGGGCUUACCAAAUUGGCGUAAAAUUCCUUGACUACUGGUAGCACAAGAUCUCGAGGGUGGUUGCAAAACUCUAACCAUCCACGCUUUGCUGCAGCAUUGCGUAUUGUUUGUACAAUUCCGGUGAGUUGGCCUGGAAAUUGAAACCCUUUUUCUUCCAUAAUCUUCCGCGGCUCAAUGAAUUCUUCAUAUUUUCCUUCGGUGUGGUAACUCUGGAAGCGUGAAGGAUCUUUGAGUCGGCUGGCUGUUUUCUUAUACCUUGGCAUGGCUAUAGCAGUAACAAAGUGAGGAUAAUGUCCCUGAGAGUAAAAUAAGAAAAUGAGGAUAAGAAUUAUUAGAGUUGUGCUUGCGAAGGAGAGGGGGAAUAGUGUCGUAGGUCACUACGCACAGUGAUUCCCUUCUAUAGUUGAAUUUAAAUCAAGAUAAAUCCGGUAAAUAAAGAUAAAUUAGGGAAGAUAAUAUUUUGAAUAUAAUGAGUAUAUCCCAAAAACAUAGGCCAGCGAAAUUAAUGCAUUAAUUUUAGAGAUUUUUUCUCAAUUGCUAUCCAAAUUCAUGCAGCCAUAUGUCAUGAUUUAUCUCCGACGGUAAGUGAGAGGCUCCAAUUUUUAAUUUACUGUAACGGUAAUAUUUGUUGCUGCAGCACCCAUUUGCUUGCUCUAGCAACGGUUAUAUACUCCACUCCAAUACCCACUGACACGUGGCUUGCCUCUGCACUCUGCCACCAUACAACCCCACUUGUCAAAAAUGGAAUUCAAUUGCCACACAUACUUCCCACAAAAACCAAUUCUAAAAAUAAUUAAAAAGAAAGAGAUCAAAUGAUAGCAAAAGUAAAGAGUGCAAUAAUGUGAAAAGAUAAACUAAAUAACUUGAAUUGAAGAACAAAAUUAAAUAAAAUGGAAGAGAGGGAGAGCCGUCAACAAAACCAAAAAGGAUCAAACUUGGUUUGAGGUGGCUGUCUCCACAAUGGGUUGCCUCCCAUUGAGCGCUUGAUUUAAGGUCCUUCAGCCUGACCUUCUUUCACUGCUCAAUAGUUGGGUUCUUUAAGGAGUAAAACCUCCUUUGAACAAUCUGCCACUGGGUGUAAGUAAUGCUUAACCCUGUGUCCAUUAACUUUAAAUUCGUGACCUGUUUGUUCAUCUAGAAGAUCAACAGCUCCAUGAGGAUAAAAUUUCAACAUCUUAAAAGGUCCAGCCAUCGUGAUUUUAGCUUUCCCGAAAAUAAUCUUAGUCUUGUAUUAUAGAGCAGCAUUAAUUGACCAGGACUGAAUUGCCUGUUUUAAAUAUACUUGUCGUGCCAGUGUUUUGUUUUCUACUUAUAGAUUCUUGCAUUUUCAUAUGAAAAUAGCCGUAAUUCAUCAAGCUCAUAAAGUUAAAGCUUCCUUUGCUCUGUUGCAGCAUGAAUAUCCCAAUUUAAUUUCUUCAGUGCCUAGUGUACUUUAGCUCUAGCUCUAGUGGCAAGUGACAAGCCUUCCUAUAGACAAUUCGGUAAGGAGACAUGCCAAGUGGAGUUUUGUAUGUUGUUCUGUAGGCCCAUAGAGAGUCAUGUAACUACAAAGACCAAUCCUUCCUUGUUGGGUUCACUUUUUCUAAGAUCUUUUUAAUUUCUCUAUUGGACACUUCAGCCUGACCAUUGGAUUGUGGGUGAUAUGUUGUAGCUACCUUGUGUCUGACUCCACAUUUUACCAUAGCUGCAGCAAAGACUUUAUUGCAAAAAUGAGUACCCUCAUCACUAAUAAUUGCUCUAGGAGUGCCAAAUCUGGAAAAAAAAUAUUUUUUUGAAGAAAAGCCACCACUUUUUUAGCAUCAUUGGUAGGUAAUGCUGCAGCUUCUACCCACUUGGAGACAUAAUCCACAGCAACAUGAAUAUACAAAUUCUCAAAGGAUGGUGGAAAAGGUCCCAUGAAAUCUAUUUCCCAGACAUCAAAAACUUCCACUUCCAGAAUGUUGGUCAAUGGCAUUUCAUGUCUUUUAGUUAUGUUCCCUGUCCUUUGACACAUGUCACAACAUUUAACAAAUUCAUAAGCAUCUUUAAAAAUAGUAGGCCAGUAAUAACCUGAUUACAGAACUUUAGCAGUUGUUCUGUGACCACCAAAAUGUCAUCCAUAUGCUGCAGCAUGGCAUGACUCCAGUAUGUGGGGAAUUUCUCCUACUAAAGCACAUCUUAUAUAAAUGUGGGUCAUCCCACUGAUAACUACUAACAACAUGAAGAAAUUUCUUUUUCUCCUGAAACUUCAGCUUAGGUGGUAGCAACUCACUUACUAAGUAGUUAGCAAAAUCUGCAUACCAUGGAGAUCCUGACUGCUGCAUCAUUUGUGCUUGCUGUACUACCAAUAGCUGUUCAUCAGGAAAAGUUUCAGUGAUGUCCCUCAUUGUCAAUGUACUUGUGUCUGCUUCCAGCCGUGACAAGUGGUCUGCUACUUGAUUCUCAGUCCCUUUUCUAUAUUAAAUUUCUAGAUCAAAUUCCUGAAGCAAUAAAAUCCAUUUGAUUAAUCUUGGUUUGGCAUCCUUCUUUGAAAUUAAGUAUUUGAUGGCUGCAUGGUCUGUGUAUACAGUCACUUUAGUACCCACCAAGUAAGCUCUGAAUUUAUCAAAAGCAAAUACUACUGCUAGCAACUCUUUGUCUAUAGUGGUGUAAUUGAUUUGAGUUUGAGUAAGAGUUUUGCUUGCAUAGUAUAUGGAGUGAAAAACCUUAUCCUUUCUUUGCCUUAAUACUGCUCCCACAAAAUGGUCACUAGCAUCACACAUCAGUUCAAAUGGCAGAGUCCAAUAUGGAGAUAUAACCAUUGGUGCAGUGAUCGGAGCUUUCUUUAAUUCUCCAAAUGCUUGAAGACAAUGUUUGUCAAAGUGAAAAGGCUUGUCAUUUUCCAGCAAUAAGCAUAAUGGUUUAGCUACCUUGGAAAAAUCCUUAAUGAAUCUUCUGUAAAAUCCAGCAUGACACAAAAAACUCCUAAUACCCUUUAUUGAAGUGGGAGGUGGCAGUUUAUCUAUUACCUCUAUCUUGGCUUUGUCUACCUCAAUACCUUUCUUGGACACUUUAUGACCCAACACUAUUCCUUUUUGCACUAUGAAAUGGCAUUUUUCCCAAUUGAGUACUAAGUUAGUCUUCUUACAUCUUUUAAGAACUUCUUCCAAGUUAUGUAAACAAUCAUUGUAUGUCUCUCCAAAAAUUGAGAAGUCAUCCACGAAAACUUCUAAAGUCUGCUAUACCAUAUCAGAAAAAAUAGACAUCAUGCAUCUCUGAAACGUUGCUGGAGCAUUGCACAAACCAAAGGGCAUUCUUCUGAAGGCAAAUGUUCCAUAAGGACAGGUAAAUGUAGUUUUCUCCUGAUCUUCUGGAGCUAUAGCAAUCUAGUUGUAGCCUGAAUACCCAUCUAGGAAGUAAUAAUAUUGUUUUCCAGCAAGUCUGUCCUACAUCUGAUCUAUGUAUGGGAGUGGGAAGUGAUCUUUCCUUGUGGCUUUGUUGAGCUUCCUGUAAUCCAUACAUACCCUCCAUCUAGUCAUUGUCUUUGUAGGAAUACGUUCAUCCUUCUCAUUUGCUAUCAUUGUUAUCCUUCCCUUCUUUGGAACACAUUGAACUGGGCUCACCCAUGAACUAUCUGAUAUUAGAUAUAUGAUUCCAGUAUCCAACCAUUUGAUGAUUUCCUUUUUCACCACUUCUUUUAUGAUAGGGUUUAACAUUCUCUGAUGCUCCAUCGAAUUGCUGUGGCAAUCCUCUAAUAGGAUUUUAUGCAUGCAUAUUGAUGGGCUUAUCCCCUUGAUGUCUGCCAUGGUCCAUCUAAUUGCUCUUCUGUAUCUUCCAAGCAAAUCUACCAGACUCUGUUCUUGACCUGCAUUCAAGGUAGAAGAAAUGAUUACAGGGAGUGUGUUGUUUUGACCAAGAUAAACAUAUUUCAAAUGUGAAGGUAAUAAUUUUAAUUCAAGACUAGGAGGUGAUUCAAUAGAUGGUAAAGUUGUUUUAACUUCCCUGUCUGAAAGAUUCAGAUGCUCAAUAAACAUGUUAUGCCUAUCAGAUUGCUUUUCUUCUGUUUAAUCUAUCUGUUUGGCUGCAACAUCUUCCUCUUCUAAUCCUUCAAAGGUGGUGACUUUGCUGAUCUCAUUACUGCAGCAUCUGUCCAUUCUGUCUGCUACAACAAAAUCCACAACAUUUAGGAAAUUGCAAUCUUCUACUUCAUCAGGGUUCUUCGUAGCCUCUAGUACAUUAAAUGUGACUUGCUGAUCAUUCACUCUCAUGGUGAGCUCUCAUUUCUGCACAUCUAUCAAAGUCUUUCAGUUGCUAGGAAAUGUCUUCCAAGUAUAAUGGGUACCUCUUUAUCAGCUUCAAAGUCCAGUACAAUGAAGUCUACUAGGAAGAUGAAUUUGUCCACCUUCACCAGUACAUCCUCAAUUUUUCCUUCAGGAUAUGCAUGAGAUCUGUCAGCUAAUUGCAGAGUGACUGUUGUUGGUCUGCAUUCCCCUACUCCCAGCUGUUUAAAUACAGACAAUGGCAUCAGAUUAAUGCUGGCUCCCAAGUCAUAAAGUGCUCUGCCAGUGUACCUAGUUCCUAUAGAGCAGGGUAUUGUGAAACUUCCUGGAUCCUUUACUUUUGUAGGAAUCUUACUUUGGAGCAUAUGACUGCUUUCCUGUGUUAAAGUAACAGUUUCAAAUUCUCCCAGCCUUCUCUUUCGUGCCAAGAUGUCUUUUAGAAAUUUCACAUAAUUAGGCAUUUGUUCCAAAGCUUCCAUAAAAGGUAUGUUAAUGUGUAAUUGCUUCAGCACUUCUAGGAAUUUGCUGAACUGCUUGUCUUGUUUUUGUUUCUGGAAUCUCUGUGGGAAAGGUGGUGGAUGUCUAAACUGCUGGGUAGCUUCAGGAGGUACCAAACUUUGCUUGUUUGGUUUGUUGUAGGUCGUGGCUACUGGUAUUGCAACUUCGUUUUCAGCAUCCAUUGUUUGAGUUCAUUCUUUAGUUGUUGUAGCUUGAUGGUUGGGUUGUUGUAACAUGCUUCCAUCUUGAGGUGGGUUUUGUGAGGAAUUAACUUCCAUCCCCUUUUCAGUCACAUCUACUAGGAUAACAACAUUCUUUCCAGAUCUGAAAUUAAUUACUUUGCAGUGUUCUUUGCCCUCUCUGCUAGGGUCUUCUGUGUUGCUAGGUAAGCUUCCUUGAGUCCUGCUAUUCAUUGCUGUGGCAAGUUGCCCUAUUUGGUUUUCCAGGUUCCUCAAGGAUACGACUUGACUCUGCACAAUUGCUUCAUUUUUUGCAAUGUAUUCCUUAAUCAGUGCUUCCAAUGAAGUGAUUAGAUCCUGACUGAUAUGUUUUUGCCCUUGACUCUGCUGAUGAAAACCAGAUGGUUGAGUGUUCUUAUUUUGUCCAUUUAAUGCUGAAGCAUUUCGAUUAUGACUGUUCCAUGAAAAAUUUGGGUGUUGUUUCUGUUGUGCAAUAUUUUAAUGUACUCGCAAGCGCACGAAUCUAUUGUAGUAUGACUAAUGGUGACGAGUGUCGAUCCCACGAGGAGGUGGAUUUUUAAUUAUAUAUAGAAUUAAUUUUGUAAAUGGGUGGUUGGAAUUAUGGUGGAAGUGAUUUAAAAUAUGCUAAAAUUGGAAUUGCAAUGGCGAGAAUAAAUUGUAGAGAAAAUCGAUUAAAUUGACGUACUUGGGUAUCUGGAUCCGUAUCAACAUGCAUCAUGGGCUAAAUAAUCCGUAUUAAUGUCAAUUAAAUCAUGAGGGGGGAAUCCAUACCUCAUGAACCACGCUCUAAUCAAUAUGGUGCUAAGGGCUUAUCGUGCCAAAUAAUAAUAACCUUAUACUAGAGAGCCGGUGUAACCAAGGCGGUAUCUAGACAAGAUUAUUAUUAUUUAUCGACGAGAAGUCAAAACACCCACAAAAACUAGAGCGGAAGAGAAAAUAAAUUUACCAAAUUAAGCCCAUGACACAUGUUGAGACUUCACCUUCAACCUAAGCUUGAAAGGAAAUUAGCUACUCAUAAUUGAACUAGGGGCAAAAUGGGAAUUUAUUAAAAUACAAAGAAAAUACAAGAUGGAGAAGGAAUUACAGAAAAUGGAUCCCAAAAAUGGAUUCAGAGCUAUCAAAUUAGGGGGGAGAGGCCCCCUUUUUAUAAAUUCAUGGAGUAAAUUAUGGCCAUCGGAUUAAAAACAGUUUGGACGCUCAGGAUUGCGCCACGUCAUCAGUCAACAGUCCACGGUUUGACCACGUGGAUGAACAGUAACAUGAUUUGACCCGGAUGAGCAGUAACGCGGUUUGGUUGAAAAUAAUCCUGUGUGAUGCAUGCACCGUACGCGAGAUUUUUCGUCCACUAAUAUGCUGCCACGUCACCAUCAACAAUACAUAAGAAUUUUAGUCCAACAGGAUCGUGACACCUCAUCAGUCAAUGCCACAUCAUCGGUCAAUGCCAUGUCAUCGUCCGUCUAUGUGAACAGUAUCGUGAACAGUAACGUAUAUAGUACCGUACACGUGAAUAGUACCGUACAUGUGAAUAGUGCCAUUUUUCCUUUUAUGCCCCUCCUAAGGUUUUCGACCGUCCUGAGUUCAAAAGUGAUGUCCGUUUUGCCGUCUGAUCUCUCCUUUAUUGUGAAAUGACUAUAAUACCCCUAAAAUACAUAAAAUACUUAAUUAAAAUAACACACGCGUAAUUACAUCACAAGAAGGUUAAAUACAUAAAAGUAAGAGUUGUUAGUAAGACUUGAAAUAUAAAAUGAUGGUUUUCUCCUUUAUAAAUAUGCAUUUUCUAACACUCAACACACCCCCCAACCAGCUUAUUGCUAGUCCCUAGCAAAUAAAGCGAAAACAAAAUUCAAAUUCAAAAUAUAUAAAUUUUUUUAGAAACACUCGUGUUUAUUCAAUUAGAUUAAUGAUAGCAAUCAAAUAAAAGUAUAAGCAUUAUCUCCAGUCUAAAGCAAUAUCACACUCACAUCAACCAUCCACAUGAAUCGGCCCAGUAGACUUUGUUAUAGCUACUUUCAAGAAUGACAUGUCACACCCCAAAAUCUCACUGGAAGUAGUGACGCUCUCACAAAGAAAUUAAACCCAAUAAAAAUAGUCACUCCAAUGAAUGGUAAUUGAGAGAAAAUAAUAAAGAAAUGAUAUCACAUGCUCUCACCAAAAUGAAAUAAAUAUGCCCUCAGCUUAGAAAUAAUACGAUCUCAAGUUAAUUAAAAAAAAUGUUAGUCAACCCACUUUAUUUAUUUUUUUAUAUGCACCACUACAUCUUUUUAGCCCAUAUAACUAGCUUCUACUUCAAACUAUAGUUCCCUAAAAUCAAGAAGAACUUUUAUUAGGACGUAACGUAGGCUAGGGAUAUGGCUAACAAAGAAAGGAAAUAAGGAAAACAAAGUGUAUGUUUGAGAAAAAUGUAGAAAUUUUUUUUUUUUUUUUGAAGUUGCAAGGUGGAUUUCACCUAUUAUUGUUAUUUUAUUCUUUUGAAACAAUAACUUUUGUUUUUUUGUUUUUUUGCUUUUAUUUGGCAUAACUUCACUGAACAACAUAAUUAUUUACAUUUUCUCAAACAUAAAUAGGUGAUGGAACUUAAAAGACAUUGGGUAAUACUCCAAAUCGGAGUGGGUCAAGAUGAUAAGUUGACAAAGAAAAGGUUUUUGUUCUUUUUUUUUUUUUUUAAAGGCUCAAAAGGGGUAACUGUUGUGCAAAUUUUAAUGUACUCGCAAGCGCACGAAUCUAUUGUAGUGUAGAUCAAUGGUGACGAGUGUCGAUCCCACGAGGAGGUGGAUUUUUAAUUAUAUAUAGAAUUAAUUUUGUAAAUGGGUGGUUGGAAUUGUGGUGGAAGUGAUUUAAAAUAUGCUAAAAUUGGAAUUGCAAUGGCGAGAAUAAAUUGUAGAGAAAAUCGAUUAAAUUGACGUACUUGGGUAUCUGGAUCCGUAUCAACAUGCAUCAUGGGCUAAAUAAUCCUUAUUAAUGCUAAUUAAAUCAUGAGGGGGGAAUCCACACCUUAUGAACCACGCUCUAAUCAAUAUGGUGCUAAGGGCUUAUCGUGCCAAAUAAUAAUAACCUUAUACUAGAGAGCCGGUGUAACCAAGGCGGUAUCUAGACAAGAUCAGUAUUAUUUGUCGACGAUAAGUCAAAUCAUCCACAAAAACUAGAGGGGAAAAGAAAAUAAAUUUACCAAAUAAAGCCCAUGACACAUGUUGAGACUUCACCUUCAACCCAAGCUUGAAAGAAAAUUAGCUACUCAUAAUUGAACUAGGGGCAAAAUGGGAAUUUAUUAAAAUACGAAGAAAAUACAAGAUGGAGAAGGAAUUACAGAAAAUGGAUCCCAAAAAUGGAUUCAGAGAUAUCAAAUUAGGGGGGGAAGGCCCCCUUUUUAUAGAUACAUGGAGUAAAUCAUGGCCAUCGGAUUAAAAACAGUUUGGACGCUCAGGAUUGCGCCACGUCAUCAGUCAACAGUCCACGGUUUGACCACGUGGAUGAACAGUAACACGGUUUGACCCGGAUGAACAGUAACGCGGUUUGGUUGAAAAUAAUCCUGUGUGAUGCAUGCACCGUACGCGAGAUUUUUCGUCCACUGAUAUGCUGCCACGUCACCAUCAAUAGUACAUAAGAAUUUUAGUCCAACAAGAUCGUGACACCUCAUCAGUCAAUGCCACAUCAUCGUCCGUCUAUGUGAACAGUAUCGUGAACAGUAACGUACACGUGAAUAGUACCGUACAUGUGAAUAGUGCCAUUUUUCCUUUUAUGCCCCUCCUAAGGUUUUCGACCGUCCUGAGUUCAAAAGUGAUGUCCGUUUUGCCAUCUGAUCUCUCCUUUAUUGUGAAAUGACUAUAAUGCCCCUAAAAUACAUAAAAUACUUAAUUAAAAUAACACACGCGUAAUUACAUCACAAGAAGGUUAAAUACAUAAAAGUAAGAGUUGUUAGUAAGACUUGAAAUGUAAAAUGAUGGUUUUCUCCUUUAUAAAUAUGCAUUUUCUGACACUCAACAGUAACUAUGGAUAUUUAAUAAAAGGGAUGGCUAGAAAGGCUCAAACGGAUCAAAGAUGGCCUUUCCAUCGUCUUUUAGGGCUCUAAAUAAUUAUCCAUAUCUACUAGUUAGAUGGGCCUCCCAAUGUAGCAACACACAUUUUUUUCUUUUUUCUUUUUUUUAAUUUUACCAUUUUUUUUCAAAGGGUUAACUUAAAAGAAAUCUAGAGAUCGUGUAUAAAAAUAAACUGCUAAGCUGUAUAGAGAAUGGGCAAAAGAGUUACUCUCCAAGAAAAUGAUAGGCUCAACAACUCACUUGGCACUUAUUUAUGACAUGUUCAUUCCUUCAAGCAACUCAUAUUUGUCUCCGACAUCAACAUGUAAAGUAGCAAACAUAGCGUAACAUCACUUAAGAGCAAAGAUAAUACAAAUACUAAAAUUUGAAAUUAAUCAUGUCAUCCAAUGUUAAAACAAAUAAUACAAUUUUUUUUUUAAACAACAUUCUACCCCCCAACCUAUUCUAAACAUGAAAAGAAAAUAUGCAUGCAGAAAUGUGAAAAUGAUGUAGAAAAAUUAAUUAGAAAAAGAUUUUUUUUUUUAAACUAAGAAGAUGCGUUUCUAGAGGCACUACACUCCAUAUUCAGCCAUCUUCGACUCAAAAGUUGGAAAAUGUAUAUUUAUAGAGGAGAAAAUAAAAAGAAGAAGAAAAAUGAACAUCAAAACUUAAUAAAGAAAAAGAAUUUUUUUUUUUCGAACAAUGAAGAUGCGUUUCUAGAGUAACUACACUCCAUAUUCAGCCAUCUUCAACACAAAAAGUUAGCAACAGUUAGUUUCUACAACAAAAAAUUAGUAAAAACUUAACCAAGAUUCCACAAUUGUCCACUAUUCCCUCCCCCCAACCAGAACGAAACAUUGUCCUCAAUGUUUUAAAGGAAAGAGGUAGAGUUUAGAAGACAUCACCUGGGUGGUGCAACACAGAAGAAAAUAUUUACAGGCGGAGAGUUAAAUCUAAUUUGUACUUCUUACUGCGGCUAUUGUUACCAUCAUGAUUUGGUCGCUCCAACACAAAGGUCCAGGGGUCUGGCUCCGGUUUAUAAGCUUGUAACAUAUCAAGUAGCUCAUUAGCAGUGUGAGCACAAAUAAAGAGUUUUUUCACAUUAGAAGGAAUGAAAUAAUUUUUUAUUGCAUGGUUAAAAAAUGCGAUAAAGUCAUCAUAAAAGUUAUUGACAUUUAACAAACCGAUAGGUUUCUGGUGGAUGUGCAGAUGGGCCCAAGAUGCUAGUGUCAUAAGUGCUUCUAGUGUUGCAAGAUCUCCUGGAAGGAAAAUAAAAGCAUCAGCAUGAUUAAGCAUUUCAGUUAUUCUUUCUUGCAUACCUGAGACGACUAACUCUUCUCCAGUUGAUGAGUCAGACGAACUGCCCAAUGGUUUUAGGACUCUUGGGAUGAUGCCUAACACUUGACUUCCUCUGAUAAAAGCUUCUUCUGAGACCAUUUUUGAUAACCCUCGGUUACCUCCUCCAUACACCAAGUGUAAUUUUCUCGCUGCUAUGCUUCGACCAAGAUCUAUGGCUGCCUCAACAAACUCUUUAUGUUUGCCAUAGGUAAAUCCAGAAAGCACACAAAUGUUCUUGAAUUGUCUAUUAGGAGUAGCUGCCAUUGUGAUACUUCUCAAAAACAAUUUGUGAGUGCUUGACAAAAGAUAAAUCACAUUUAAGAGUCUUGGUGACAGUGGGUCAUAGCUGUGUAUGAGGUAGCAUGUCAGUGUCAAAUAACGCGUAAAGCACGUGGCUCGCGAGUCAAAAAGGAAACAGUAAAAAAAAGAAAAAGCAAACAGUAACAAAAUUAUUAAAGACAAUAAUAAAACAACAGUGAAAUGAAAUAAAAUAACAGUAAAGUAAAAGGAUAUUUACACGUAGUUGCGACUGUGGCUCACAUCUUCCUCUGGUUUUACGUCCAGAAACGGCUUGAACGCCCUCUAUGGGUCGAGGAUAGGCUUCCUAUCCAGUUUUCUUAUAAACUGGCAAAUAGGGUCGUUUAUAGUCAGAUUCCCGAGACUAUAUCGUGCAUGCUCUUUCUGGAAUAAUGGCCAUAACUGGAGAAUUGCUCCUUGCACAUAUCCACUAGGAUGCGUUUCAAGAGACAAAAGGAUAUCAUCCAAUGACUCCUUAUUCAAGCCAUCCCUAAUGAAUUGAAUCUUAUCUUCCCUGUUAUCAGACACCAUUCCUAAAGAACAUGGGUUUCUAUCGCAACUCAUUCUGGCACACUUAUGACAAGCAACAGAAAUUCUUCGAGCUCGUCGUUUUCUUGCAUAAUUUCCUUUACCACAACCAGGCAUGAAUGCAAUAAAUUUUGGAGGUAACUCACCUGCCGAUCGUACUUUAGCCUCGAUUAACCAACGGAUGUCAGCAGGUAUGUUAUUCUUCAUGAGUAAUCGCAUGCGUUCGGACCGAGCUUUAUAGAUCGUAAGGAGGGCAUUCUGAGGAAGUGAAGGGAAUCGCUUGUGAAGCUUCGCUAGAAUCUCGUUUCUGUCCAUAUUUUCGCCUCAGAAUGUCAGUUAUUAUGGGAAACUGAAGUAACCGACUUGAUUGUCACGGAGUACCGUUAUCCGCCACUUCACCGGGGUAACAAACUAAAGCACACAAACAGAAAAAAAAAUUAAAACACACAAAGAAAAUUAAAAUCGUCCUCUUAUUGAAUUUACCUCAAGCUCCAACUGGAUGUCGUAAACACUUCUCUCAAUGUCUCUGAGUUGGCGUUCUAAACCCUCAACAUAGGCUACUAACUCUGGUGGUUGUAGAGCCCAAAUGCGAUGUGUUUUACAAAAUUGAAUCUGCUUUUUGAGAUGAGUUUUGACACGUUGAAGUGGUUUAAGAAUGUUCAGGAGGAACGGUCUAAGCAAGGUACUCAUGAUUAAAAAUGAUAAGAGAAAACUUAAUAGUUAAACAAACACACUUAUGCAAAAAUAAUUUCAAUUAGCAGAAGAAUAAUAUAAAGAAAGAAAACAAAAUCAAAUCAACGAAAAGAAAAAAAAAAUCAAUUCAAAUCUGGUGGGUCACUCAAAUUUAUUUCGGUGUCUUCUCCAUGUGGUUGGUACUCUAGAUAUGGCUUUAAUCUUUGACCAUUAACUUUAAACGUGACACCGUUCUUUGGGUCUUUAAUUUCAAUUGCCCCAUGUGGAAAAACAGUACGAACAAUAAAGGGACCAGACCAUCGAGAGCGUAACUUACCUGGGAAUAGGUGCAAGCGAGAAUUGAAUAAAAGCACUUUAUGACCUGGAGUGAACGAUUUUCUCAUAAUGUGCUUGUCAUGAAAGAUUUUCAUUCGUUGCUUGUAAAUCUUGGCAUUUUCGUAUGCAUCAUUGCGAAUUUCUUCAAGUUAUGUCAGUUGUAAUCUUCUUUCUGAGCUGGCUUGCUGCAUGUCAAAGUUGAAUUUCUUGAUGGCCCAAUAUGCACGAUGCUCGAGUUCCACAGGUAGGUGGCAAGCUUUUCCAUACACUAGCCUGUAGGGUGACAUCCCAAUCGGGGUCUUGAAAGCCGUUCUAUAUGCCCAUAAUGUAUCAUCAAGUCUUAAUGACCAAUCUUUUCUGUCUAGCCUCACCGUGUUUUCUAAUAUGUGCUUGAUUUCUUGAUUGGAGAUCUCAACUUGGCCACUGGUUUGCGGAUGAUACAGGGUCGCCACUUUGUGUGUGAUUGAAUACUUUGUCAAAAGAGCUUUGAAUGCUUUGUUACAAAAGUGGGCACCACCAUCACUGAUUAUCGCUCGAGGGAAUCCAAAGCGCGAAACAAUAUUGCUUUUCAAAAAUCCUAUCACCACUUUGUGAUCAUUGGUUCUGCAUGGAAUUGCUUCCACCCAUUUCGAUACGUAGUCAACACCAACCAAUAUGUAUUGAUGGCCAAAAGAAGGGGGAAAGGGUCCCAUGAAGUCGAUACCCCAUACGUCAAAAAUCUCAACGACUAAAAUUGGAUUUAGUGGCAUCAUGUUCCUUCGUGUAAUGCUCCCCAUUCGUUGACACCUAUCACAUGAAGAACAGAAAGUGUAAGCAUCUCGAAAUAUAGUUGGCCAAUAGAAACCACAUUGUAAAACUUUAGUCGCUGUUUUCUUAGCACUGAACUGGCCUCCACAAGCUUGUUCAUGGCAGAAUGAAAGGAUAUUCUGAAUUUCACUUUCAGGGACACAUCGUCUAACAAUUUGGUCUGCACAAUACUUGAACAAAUAUGGGUCAUCCCAAAAGAAAUUCUUUAUUUCCGCAAAGAAUUUAGCCUUGUCUUGCUUGGUCCAAUGCUCUGGAAAUUUACCUGUAACAAGAUAAUUAACUAUAUCAGCAUACCAAGGUAAUACUUCCACACUCAUUAAUUGUUCAUCUGGAAAUGACUCAUUUAAUAUUAAUGGCUCUGUAUUGUGUCAAAAUGGAGACGAGAGAGAUGGUCCGCCACAACAUUUUCUGUCCCUUUCUUAUCUUUGAAUUCCAAGUCAAAUUCCUGCAAAAGUAACACCCAACGAAUUAGUCUAGCUUUUGCAUCUUUCUUUGUGAGAAGAUGUUUAAGAGCAGCAUGAUCUGUGAAUAUAAUUAUUUUACAACCAAUGAGAUAAGAUCGAAAAUUUUCCAAUGCAAACACUACUGCUAGCAUUUCUUUUUCAGUAGUUGAAUAGUUCAACUGUGCAUCAUUCAAUGUCAUACUAGCAUAGUAAAUAACAUGAGGAAUUCGAUCAACUCUUUGUCCUAAAACUGCUCCUACUGCAUAAUCAGAUGCAUCACACAUAAGCUCAAAUGGUAAGCUCCAGUUUGGGGCCUGAAUGAUGGGUGAUGAUGUCAAUAAUUGCUUUAAUUUUUCAAAAGCCAUAAGACAUGAAUCAUUAAAGAUAAAAGGUACAUCCUUAGCAAGUAAAUUGCAUAAGAGUCUAGAAACUUUGCUAAAAUCUUUAAUGAAACGUCUAUAGAAACCAGCAUGCCCAAGGAAAGAUCUUACUUCUCUGACUGUUUUGGGUGGAGGAAGAUUAGAAAUGAGAUCCACCUUGGCUUUGUCAACCUCAAUACCUUUGCUUGAAAUGAUGUGACCGAGAACAAUACCUUGUUUUACCAUAAAAUGACACUUCUCCCAAUUUAAGACUAAGCUCUUCUCGGUACAUCUCUACAGAACUAGCGUUAGAUGAUGUAAACAUUGAUCAAACGAGUCACCAAAGACAGAAAAAUCAUCCAUAAAGACUUCAAGGAAUCGUUCAACCAUAUCAGAAAAAAUGCUCAACAUGCAUCGUUGAAAUGUAGCAGGUGCAUUACAUAAUCCAAAUGGCAUUCUCCUAUAUGCAAAUGUGCCAAAAGGGCAAGUGAAAGUGGUCUUCUCUUGAUCUUUUGGUGCUAUGGGAAUCUGAUUAUAUCCUGAGUAGCCAUCUAGAAAGCAAUAAAAUUCAUGGCCUGCUAAUCUAUCAAGCAUUUGAUCAAUAAAUGGUAAAGGAAAAUGGUCUUUACGUGUGACAGAAUUCAACUUUCUAUAAUCAAUGCAUACACGCCAUCCUGUAGUUACUCUAGUUGGUAUCAAUUCAUUAUCAGCAUUGGUAACUACUGUGACUCCUGACUUUUUGGGGACAACUUGUACAGGACUGACCCAUGAACUAUCAGAAAUUGGGUAAAUGAUACCUGCGUCUAAUAGCUUAAGGACUUCUGUUCUAACAACUUCUUUCAUAUUAGGAUUUAACCGACGUUGCAUUUCCCUAGUAGAUUUAGCAUUUUCAUCAAGGUGAAUGUAAUGCAUGCAGUCUACUGGGUUUAUACCUUUUAUGUCCGCUAUGGUCCAUCCUAAUGUUCCUUUGUGCUCUUUUAAAACAUCCAACAACUUACCUUUUUGUUCGUCAUUGAGGGAUGAUGAGAUGAUUACCGGCAGAGUGCUUUCUUCUCCAAAAAACGCAUAUUCCAAAGUGUUGGGUAAUGGUUUGAGCUCGAGUUUUGGUGGUGAUUCUGAUGAUGGGAUGAGUUUCUUUUCUGAUGGUGCUAGUUGUUCAACUCUUGACUUCCAUUUAUUAGUGUCCAUGGAUGGUGCUGAGUCAAGUAGAGCAUUGACCUCAUCGACCGAUCUUAUGCAUGAUGUGCUCAAAUUAGCUAAGGGACUAAAAUAGUCCUUAAAUGGCCUCUCCUGUGGUGCUUGUAAAUCCAUUCUAUUUUUAAAUUGUUUGUGUGUGCGAAGUGUUUUUUCUAAUUCAAGGUCUAUAGGUUCAAGAUUUGGUAAUAAUGACCUACGACCAUGCAUGCAAAAUAAAUAAAAUAAAAAUAAAGAUGGGAACAAAAACAAAUAAAAAUAAAGAAGAGGGAGAAAUUACGAUACUAACCUUAUUGCGCUAUUACAACCUUUCUAUAAAAAUACACAAAAACAAAUACGUGAAAUAAAUUAACUAAAAAUUAAAUUAAUAAAAUAAACAAAAAUUACAAAGAAAAAAUAAAUUGAAAAUUAAAUUACAGAAUUUUAAAGAAGAGAAAAAGAAAAGAGAUACUAACCUCUAAAUACGGAUUCACUUUUUUUUUUUUUAUAAAAAAUACAAGAAAACAAAUAAAAGAAAUUAUUCACAAAAAUUAAUUCUAUGAAUUAAAAUUACUUACCUCCCCGGCAACGGCGCCAAAAACUUGUUGUGCAAAUUUUAAUGUACUCGCAAGCGCACGAAUCUAUUGUAGUGUAGAUCAAUGGUGACUAGUGUCGAUCCCACGAGGAGGUGGAUUUUUAAUUAUAUAUAGAAUUAAUUUUGUAAAUGGGUGGUUGGAAUUGUGGUGGAAGUGAUUUAAAAUAUGCUAAAAUUGGAAUUGCAAUGGCGAGAAUAAAUUGUAGAGAAAAUUGAUUAAAUUGACGUACUUGGGUAUCUGGAUCCGUAUCAACAUGCAUCAUGGGCUAAAUAAUCCUUAUUAAUGCCAAUUAAAUCAUGAUGGGGGAAUCCACACCUCAUGAACCACGCUCUAAUCAAUAUGGUGCUAAGGGCUUAUCGUGCCAAAUAAUAAUAACCUUAUACUAGAGAGCCGGUGUAACCAAGGCGGUAUCUAGACAAGAUCAGUAUUAUUUGUCGACGAUAAGUCAAAUCAUCCACAAAAACUAAAGGGGAAAAGAAAAUAAAUUUACCAAAUAAAGCCCAUGACACAUGUUGAGACUUCACCUUCAACCCAAGCUUGAAAGAAAAUUAGCUACUCAUAAUUGAACUAAGGGCAAAAUGGGAAUUUAUUAAAAUACGAAGAAAAUACAAGAUGGAGAAGGAAUUACAGAAAAUGGAUCCCAAAAAUGGAUUCAGAGCUAUCAAAUUAGGGGGAGAGGCCCCCUUUUUAUAGAUACAUGGAGUAAAUCAUGGCCAUCGGAUUAAAAACAGUUUGGACGCUCAGGAUUGCGCCACGUCAUCAGUCAACAGUCCACGGUUUUACCACGUGGAUGAACAGUAACACGGUUUGACCCGGAUGAACAGUAACACGGUUUGGUUGAAAAUAAUCCUGUGUGAUGCAUGCACCGUACGCGAAAUUUUUCGUCUACUGAUAUGCUGCCACGUCACCAUCAACAGUACAUAAGAAUUUUAGUCCAACAGGAUCGUGACACCUCAUCAGUCAAUGCCACAUCAUCGGUCAAUGCCACGUCAUCGUCCGUCUAUGUGAACAGUAUCGUGAACAGUAACGUACACGUGAAUAGUACCGUACAUGUGAAUAGUGCCAUUUUUCCUUUUAUGCCCCUCCUAAGGUUUUCGACCGUCCUGAGUUCAAAAGUGAUGUCCGUUUUGCCGUCUGAUCUCUCCUUUAUUGUGAAAUGACUAUAAUGCCCCUAAAAUACAUAAAAUACUUAAUUAAAAUAACACACGCGUAAUUACAUCACAAGAAGGUUAAAUACAUAAAAGUAAGAGUUGUUAGUAAGACUUGAAAUGUAAAAUGAUGGUUUUCUCCUUUAUAAAUAUGCAUUUUCUGACACUCAACAGUAACUAUGGAUAUUUAAUAAAAGGGAUGGCUAGAAAGGCUCAAACGGAUCAAAGAUGGCCUUUCCAUCGUCUUUUAUGGCUCUAAAUAAUUAUCCAUAUCUACUAGUUAGAUGGGCCUCCCAAUGUAGCAACACACAUUUUUUUCUUUUUUCUUUUUUUUUAAUUUUACCAUUUUUUUUAAAGGGUUAACUUAAAAGAAAUCUAGAGAUCGUGUAUAAAAAUAAACUACUAAGCUGUAUAGAGAAUGGGCAAAAGAGUUACUCUCCAAGAAAAUGAUAGGCUUAACAACUCACUUGGCACUUAUUUAUGACAUGUUCAUUCCUUCAAGCAACUCAUAUUUGUCUCCGACAUCAACAUGUAAAGUAGCAAACAUAGCGUAACAUCACUUAAGAGCAAAGAUAAUACAAAUACUAAAAUUUGAAAUUAAUCAUGUCAUCCAAUGUUAAAACAAAUCACACAAAAUAUUUUUUUUUUUUUUUGAACUACAUUCUACCCCCCAACCUAUUCUAAACAUGAAAGGAAAAUAUGCAUGCAGAAAUGUGAAAAUGAUGCAUAAAAACUAAUUAGAAAAGUUACACGUAAAAUGAUAGAAAAAGAAAAUGGGUUUUUUUUUUUUUUUUUUUUUUUUUUUUUUUAACUAUGAAGAUGCGUUUAUAGAGUAACUACACUCCAUAUUCAGCCAUCUUCAACACAAAACGUUAGCAACAGUUAGUUUCAACAAAAAAUCAGUAAAAACUUAACCAAGAUUCCACAAUUGUCGACUAAUCCCUCCCCCCAACCAAAACGAAACAUUGUCCUCAAUGUUUUAAAGGAAAGAAGUAGAGUUUAGAAGACAUCACCUGGGUGGUGCAACACAGAAGAAAAUAUUUACAGGCGGAGAGUUAAAUCUAAUUUGUACUUCUUACUGCGGCUACUGUUACCAUCAUUAUUUGGUCGCUCUAACACAAAGGUCCAGGGGUCUGGCUCCGGUUUAUAAGCUUGUAACAUAUCAAGUAGCUCAUUAGCAGUGUGAGCACAAAUAAAGAGUUUUUUCACAUUAGAAAGAAUGAAAUAAUUUUUUAUUGCAUGGUUAAGAAAUGUGAUAAAGGCAUCAUAAAAGUUAUUGACAUUUAACAAACCGAUAGGUUUCUGGUGGAUGUGCAGAUGGGCCCAAAAUGCUAGUGUCAUAAGUGCCUCUAGUGUUGCAAGAUCUCCUGGAAGGAAAAUAAAAGCAUCAGCAUGAUUAAGCAUUUCAGUUAUUCUUUCUUGCAUACCUGAGACGACUAACUCUUCUCCAGUUGAUGAGUCAGACGAACUGCCCAAUGGUUUUAGGACUAUUGGGAUGAUGCCUAACACUUGACUUCCUCUGAUAAAAGCUGCUUCUGAGACCAUUUUUGAUAAUCCUCGGUUACCUCCUCCAUACACCAAGUGUAAUUUUCUCGCUGCUAUACUUCGACCAAGAUCUAUGGCUGCCUCCACGAACUAUUUAUGUUUGCCAUAGGUAAAUCCAGAAAGCACACAAAUGUUCUUGAAUUGUCUAUUGGGAGUAGCUGCCAUUGUGAUACUUCUCAAAAAUAAUUUGUGAGUGCUUGACAAAAGAUAAAUCACAUUUAAGAAUCUUGGUGACAGUAGAUCACAGCUGUGAAUGAGGUAACAUGUCAGUGUCAAAUAACGCGUAAAGCACGUGGCUCGCGAGUCAAAAAGAAAACAGUAAAAAGGACAAAGCAAACAGUAAUAAAAUUAUUAAAGGCAAUAAUGCAAACGAUAAAACAAUAGUGAAAUAAAAUAACAGAAAGUAAAAGGAUAUUUACACGUAGUUGCGACUGUGGCUCACAUCUUCCUCUGGUUUUACGUCAAAAAACUUGUUGUGCAAUAUUUUAAUGUACUCGCAAGCGCACGAAUCUAUUGUAGUAUAGACUAAUGGUGACGAGUGUCGAUCCCACGAGGAGGUGGAUUUUUAAUUAUAUAUAGAAUUAAUUUUGUAAAUGGGUUGGUUUCUUCUUUUUCCUCCGGUGGUGAGUCCUCAACAUUCACAGGUACAAUUUGAUUUUCUUUUGUCACCGACAUCUCCACUUUGUUGUCGACUUCUUUUCCUUUUCGCAAGGUCAUGACUGCUUUGACCUCUCCAUGCUGCUGUGGUGAACUAGUACUUGCUUCAUGUACUCCUUUAGGAUUAGGCAUUGGUUGACUUGGAAAUUUGCCUCUCUCAACAGUCAUUGCCAAGGUUUGAACUGAAGAAGCAAGUUGUCCCACCAUCUUCUCGAGGCUUGAAACUGAUUGGGCUUGUGAAUUGAAGCCUGCUCUCAACUCAUUUCGUAGUCCAUCAAUGGUGCGAUUCUGUUGCUCAAUUGUGGAGUGAGUAAGAUUCUUGAGAUUCUGGAAUGAAUCCUCCCAUGGUCUGGGUUGAGAGUAGUUUUGGUUUUGAUUGUAUGGUCUAAAUGGUGGCUGAGAGGCUUGAGGAUUUUGAGGUAUUGGUUGCAUUGGUGGAGCUGGAGCUGCUGGUCCAUUCUGUUGGAAUCCUUGAGACCAUGAAAAAUUAGGGUGGUCUCUCCAUCCAGGGUUAUAUGUGUUGGAGUAUGGGUUGUAAUUUGAUGGUUUUCUCAUUACACCUAUGGCAUUGGCUUGAUCGGAGUAUGAGUCAUGGUCAUGUGGUUCUGUUGAUUUAGCAGUCGACAACGAUGCUAUUUGUCGAGAGAGACCUUCUAUUAUUGCUUUGACUUCUUUGAAUUCUGAAUUUGACUCGCCAAUUUGAACCUCAUUCACUCCUUUAAUUCUUCUAGUAUUCCUGAGUGAUCGACUCCGUUGUUGGGAGUUAUCCGCUUGUCGCUGGAAGAAUUCCCAAAUCUCUGUUGCGCUUUUUGACAUUAGCUCUCCUCCACUUGUUGCCAUUAGCCAUUCUUGCACAUUCGGCAAUAAUCCCUCCAAAAAGUAUUGGCAUUGGUGCCAUUUCUCGUACCCAUGAUGUGGACACUUCAAGAGUAGCCCAUUGAAUCGCUCCCAUGUUUCGAAAAACUGCUCGUCCUCUCUUUGGGUAAACUCCGAGAUUUCCCUGCGAAUAACAUUGGUUUUAUGCACUGGGAAAUAUUUAUUCAAAAAAUUUUUAACCAUUUGUUCCCAUGAUGCAAUGCUAUUAGCAGGCAAAGUAUUUAACCAUGAACGAGCUCUAUCCUUUAAAGAAAAUGGGAAUAGUCUAAGUUUAACAUCAUCAUCUGAAAUUUUUUCAUAUUUAAAAGUUUGACAAAUUGCAUGAAAAUCAUUCAGAUGAUUAUAUGGGUCCUCAUUUUCUAAGCCAUAGAAUGUGGGGAGACAAUUUAGCACACUAGGUUUGAGUUCAAAACUCCUAGCAGCUACAUUUGGGUAUCUUAUACAUGAUGUGCUCAAAUUAGAUAAGGGACUAAAAUAGUCCUUAAAUGGCCUCUCCUGUGGUGCUUGUAAAUCCAUUCCAAAUUUAUUAAUGUGCUUUUGUGUGCGAAGUGUUUUCUCAAGUUCAAGGUCUAUAGGUUCAAGAUUAGGUAAUAAUGACCUACGACCAUGCAUGCAAAACAAAUAAAAUAAAAAUAAAGAUGGGAACAAAACAAAUAAAAAUAAAGAAGAGGGAGAAAUUACGAUACUAACCUUAUUGCACUGUUACAACUUUUCUAUAAAAAUACACAAAAACAAAUACGUGAAAUAAAUUAACUAAAAAUUAAUUUAAUAAAAUAAACAAAAAUUACAAAGAAAAAAAAAUAUAUUGAAAAUUAAAUUACAGAAUUUUAAAGAAGAGAAAAAGAAAAGAAAUACUAACCUUUAAAUGUAGAUUCACUUUUUUUCUUUUUUUUAAUUAAAAAAAAUACAAGAAAACAAUUUUAAAAAAAUUAUUCACAAAAAUUAAUUCUAUGAAUUAAAAUUACUUACCUCCCCGGCAACGGCGCCAAAAACUUGUUGUGCAAUAUUUUAAUGUACUCGCAAGCGCACGAAUCUAUUGUAGUAUAGACUAAUGAUGACGAGUGUCGAUCCCACGAGGAGGUGGAUUUUUAAUUAUAUAUAGAAUUAAUUUUGUAAAUGGGUGGUUGGAAUUAUGGUGGAAGUGAUUUAAAAUAUGCUAAAAUUGGAAUUGCAUUGGCGAGAAUAAAUUGUAGAGAAAAUCGAUUAAAUUGACGUACUUGGGUAUCUGGAUCCGUAUCAACAUGCAUCAUGGGCUAAAUAAUCCUUAUUAAUGCCAAUUAAAUCAUGAGGGGGGAAUCCACACCUCAUGAACCACGCUCUAAUCAAUAUGGUGCUAAGGGCUUAUUGUGCCAAAUAAUAAUAACCUUAUACUAGAGAGCCGGUGUAACCAAGGCGGUAUCUAGACAAGAUUAUUAUUAUUUGUCGACGAGAAGUCAAAACAUCCACAAAAACUAGAGGGGAAGAGAAAAUAAAUUUACCAAAUUAAGCCCAUGACACAUGUUGAGACUUCACCUUCAACCCAAGCUUGAAAGGAAAUUAGCUACUCAUAAUUGAACUAGGGACAAAAUGGGAAUUUAUUAAAAUACGAAGAAAAUACAAGAUGGAGAAGGAAUUACAGAAAAUGGAUCCCAAAAAUGGAUUCAGAGCUAUCAAAUUAGGGGGGAGAGACCCCCUUUUUAUAGAUACAUGGAGUAAAUCAUGGCCAUCGGAUUAAAAACAGUUUGGACGCUCAGGAUUGCGCCACGUCAUCAGUCAACAGUCCACGGUUUGACCACGUGGAUGAACAGUAACACGGUUUGACCCGGAUGAACAGUAACGCGGUUUGGUUGAAAAUAAUCCUGUGUGAUGCAUGCACCGUACGCGAGAUUUUUCGUCCACUGAUAUGCUGCCACGUCACCAUCAACAGUACAUAAGAAUUUUAGUCCAACAGGAUCGUGACACCUCAUCAGUCAAUGCCACAUCAUCGGUCAAUGCCACGUCAUCGUCCGUCUAUGUGAACAGUAUCAUGAACAGUAACGUAUACAGUACCGUACACGUGAAUAGUACCGUACAUGUGAAUAGUGCCAUUUUUCCUUUUAUGCCCCUCCUAAGGUUUUUGACCGUCCUGAGUUCAAAAGUGAUGUCCGUUUUGCCGUCUGAUCUCUCCUUUAUUGUGAAAUGACUAUAAUGCCCCUAAAAUACAUAAAAUACUUAAUUAAAAUAACACACGCGUAAUUACAUCACAAGAAGGUUAAAUACAUAAAAGUAAGAGCUGUUAGUAAGACUUGAAAUGUAAAAUGAUGGUUUUCUCCUUUAUAAAUAUGCAUUUUCUAACACUCAACAGUUUCCACCCAGGGUUGUAAGUAUUUGAAUAUGAGUUGUUCUGAGGCUGUCGAUUGAAAUUACCCACAUAGUUUACUGAAGCUGGAUUUCCAGGACAAUUAUCAAAGUCAUGUUCUUCACCACAGUACAAACAAGAAAGUUCAGCAACUUGCUUCAUUACUGCUGGAGCAGAUGUCAUGGCCUUUACUAUGUUAGUCAAUGAGGUUACUUGUGCUGAUAAGACUGUAAUUGCAUCUAUGUUAUGUACCCUUGUUGUUCCUUUUGCCAUUGGUUGCCUGAUUGAUGACCACUGAUAAUUAUUAUUGGCAAUUCUCUCCAGAAUUUCAUAAGCUUCAGUAUAAGAUUUGGAUAACAUUAAUCUUGUACUCGGAUUUAACCCAUUGUAGAAAGUUUCCAAUUGAAUGCAACAAGGAAUGCCAUGAUGAAGACACCUUCUAAGAAGUUCUUUGAAUCUUUCUCAAGCCUCAUACAAACUCCAAUCUUCAAGUUGAUGGAAAGAAGUAAUCUCAUUCCGCAAUUUUACAUUUUUUGUCGAUGGGAAAUAUUUCAUUAGGAAUUUAUCAGCUAACUCAUUCCAUGUAGUGAUGGAAUCAGAUGGUAAUGAAUUUAACCAUGCUCUUGCUCGAUCUCUUAAGGAAUAAGGAAAAAGCCUCAGUCUUAAGGCAUCUUGUGUUGCUCCAGCAAUCUUGAAAGCAUCACUCACUUCCAGGAACAACUUAAGAUAGAGAUGAGGAUCUUCAUUUGGCAAUCCAUUGAAUUGCCCAACUGUUUGCAACAUUUGAAACAUCACUGGCUUCAAUUCAAAGUUUGCAGCUUCUACUUCAGUUCUGAUUAUCCCAGGAUCUACAACUUGAGGAGUUAACACAACAUAAUCUCUAAUAGCUCUAUCUCUGUCAUCAGCCAUGUAAAUAAUGUUGUUAUUGCCUGGCUGUCUCUCGUUAGCUUGUUCAUUCUGCUCUUCUUGAAUGUUGAUUGGUUGUAAGGGCCCGUGAGGGUCCAAAUUUUCCACAUUCUGCAAAUUAUUCAUGCCUGAAACAAUUUUUGAAUUCCUUUGUUCUCUUCGUAGUCUCCUAACAGUCAUUUCAAUCUCAGGAUCGAAUUGGAAUACCACAGAUCUUUCUUUGCGCAUGUAAGUAUUGAUCUGCCAAUAAAUAGAAUGAUUCAAAUCAAAUUGCCGCUAUCAAGAUUUACUUCACACUUUAAAAAUAAACAAUCAAUCCCCGGCAACGGCGCCAAAAACUUGUUGGUAAAUUUUAUAAUCAAAUGCUACUAAUGCCAAUGUGCAAGUAUACACAACAAGUAAUAAAGUGAUGAAUAUUCAAGAUCGUCUCCACAGGGAUUGAUGUCACUUGAAAUGCUAUAUAUAGCAAUCACAAUAGUGCAAACUAACUUAAGUCCGAAGUUAACAAACGUAACAUAUGUUCUAUCGUAAUUGAUGAUUGUGAAAGAAUAAAAUAAAACAAUACCGUAAUGAAAUAAACUAAAUUAAAUGUGUCUAAGAUUUAAUUGAGACUAUGGUAGUUGAAUGAUCAAACUCUGCUUAUGGGCUGACUGUUUAUCAUCAAGUUAACACCAGCUAUUACGGCAAGUGCUGCAGCACUAGCCAGAAUUAAUAUGCAUCCUCAGCUGUCGCAUAUUGGAACUCUCAUACCCUUAAAUCUAUUAACAAUGACCAGUUGUUAAUCUACUUAUGAUAUGGCAUUAUGACCCUUUAAGCUCUCCACCAUACAAGGUGACCACCUAUGUCCAAUGUGUCACAAAUCUUAACUUUAAGUAUAGCCCUUAUGGGAUUCAGGAUAACUUAAUCUAGGAAACUUAAAUUAAGAUCAAGUAAUACUCUAAUAAUAUCCACUAAGACAUGCCCUUUUGCGGCUAUAUCUUAACUUGAACUAUUAAUUGGGUGGUCAACCGAAAUAACAGUUAUAUUAAUAAUAACUACUAGAGUAAAAUGCUACAGCAACGACAUAACAACACAUAAGAACAGUCAAGAACCCAUUGGAUUGUUUGUCACUCAACUACAAGCAAAUCUAGUUCAUUUUCUGAAUGAGAAAAACAAACAUAAAUAUUUUGUUCACGGGAUACAUCAGAACAAUCAAAUAAAGAAGAAAAGUAUAAGUUGAGAACGGUAAAAAGCAAAUCCAAAUAACUCUGCACGAUUCCCCAAUGCUGUCGAAACUGCACUCGUCAAUUCUAAUCUUCUUCUCCUUUCUUUUCUAAUGAUUUCACGAUAAUUCCCUUGCCGCCUUUCUAUGUGGUGCGCGCCCCCCUUUUAUACUGCAAACUAGGGUAAAUAAAAGUCUGUGGGCGUGCAUGAGUUAAAUUAGGAAACAUGCAGAUUGCGAUUCUACAGCUGGCGCGCGCCUAAGUUUUCUCCCUCAUUGCUCCCAGAUUGCUACAGCACUGGUUGCUCUAACAACAGCUACAACACUGCACUGUUCCUGAUUGUGUUUUACUUCUUUUGCGGCCAUUUUCUUUCCUCCUCUUGCUAAUCUAUUGUCUCAACAUCCCUUCAUUAGUUAAGACUUUCUAAAAACCUACAAUUAUGCACCUGUUUUGAGCACAAAUUACUUUGAUUCAAGCAAAACUUAUUAAGACUCAACUAAAAUGAAUGUUUAUGCAAAAUAUAACCAAAAUGUAAUAAAAACAUCUUAUUUGCUCUCUAUAUAAUCUUGAUUUAAGUUUAGAAUUGAUAUAAUAACUGUCAUUUCAUAGAGUUAUCAGUGACCAACCAUAUUAAGACUCUGAAAACUAUGUUUUCAUAAUUUACAAUGUUGGGUUAUAAAAUAGAAGAAACUGAACAUGCAGAGCUUCUACUUCAAGUCUACUUGACUCGUAUGAUCAACUCAUUAUCAAUUUGACGAUCAAUAUCCUUGCAGAAUACCUAGUCUUUGAUGAUGUUGCAGUCUCUGUAUUAAAGGAAGAGGGUACGCAUAAGAAGAAAGAAGACAAGCAAGUAAGUUUGUAGCAAGUGGAAGCACUAAUGAUGGUGAGAGGGAGAUCAGUGGAACAUGGUCCCAGUGGGUGUUAUAAUCAUGACAUAUCAAAGUCAAGAACUAAGAAGAAAAUCAAGUGCUACAAAUGUGGCAAAAUAGAGCAUCUCAAGAAAGAGUGUUGGAGUAACCAAAAGAGAAGAGAGGGUAAAGAUCCCGAGUCAUUAAAUACCUCAGAUGCUGGUUAUGUUUAUACAACUAGGCAACGAUGGUUGCAGAAGGAAGAAAAUAACUAUUUAAUGUUUGGCUUAUAGACUUAAGAGCCACCUACCACAUGACCUCUUAGAGAGAAGGGUUCCAUAAAUAUGUACUUAUCUUAGGGGGAUUUAUAUACAUGGGUGAUGAUCAUACCUUGGAGAUCGCUCAUAUUGCUACUGUCAAAAUAAAAAUGUUUGAUGGUAUAAUAUGCAUUAUUCAUAAGGUACGACAUGUCAAAGACUUGAAAAAAAAUCUAUUGUCUUUUAGACAAAUAAAUAGUCUUGCCUGUAAAACUCAUGUGGAAAAUGAGAUCAUAAAAAUUGUCAGUCGUGUGCUUGUGUUAAUGAAGGCAGAAAAGAUUAGUGCCAAUUUAUUCAUGCUUAAGAGGGAAAUACUACAGGAAGCUAAUGUGUGGUCGUGUCAAAUGGAGAAGAGUAGGCAACGAUGUGACAUCUUAAACUCAACCACAUGUUCGAACAAGGUUUGAAGAUCUCUCUAAGUGAAAAUUGCUUCCGGGGCUUAAAUCAAUGAACUUACUGUUUUGCGAGUACUGUGUUACAAGCAAGCAUAAUAGAUUGAAGUUUAGCAGAUCUGAUGCCAAAAGUAAAUGCAUUCUAAUCCUGGUUUAUUUUGAUGUUUGGGAAUCAUUGGAUAUGUCUCUAGGAGGUGCAAAGUACAUGGUGACUUUCAUUGAUGAUUAUUUCAAAAGAUGUUAGGUGUAUCUAAUCAAGAAACAGUCAGAUGCAUUUUUAGUGUUCAAAGAAUACAAAAAACAAGUGGAACUUGAAUUCGGGAUAAGGUUCAAGUGUUUGAGGACAAAUAAUAGUGGAGAGUAUACAGAUGAUGAGUUUCUUGCAUACUGUAAGUAAUAAGGUAUUUAGAGAUAGGUCAUGAUGGCACUCCUCAAUAGAGUGGACUAGCAGAGCGAACGAAUGAGACUUAUAUAGAAAGAAUAAGAGCUAUGUUGAGGAUUGCUAGUCUAUCAAACUCAUUUUGGGCAGAAGCAGCCAAAAUCGCUUGUUAUGUGGUUAAUUAGUCUCCAUUAACAACAAUUGAGUUGAAGACACCAACGGAGAUGUGGACUGGGAAGUUAGCUAAUGUUGUGCAAAUUUUAAUGUACUCGCAAGCGCACGAAUCUAUUGUAGAAUAGACUAAUGGUGACGAGUGUCGAUCCCACGAGGAGGUGGAUUUUAAUUGUGUAUAGAAUUAAUUUUGUAAAUGGGUGAUUGGAUUUGUGGUGGAAAUGAUUUGGAAUAUGCUAAAACUUAAAUUAAAAUGGCGAGAAUAAAUUCUAAAAUUGGAAUUGAAAUAGCGAGAAUAAAUUGAAGAGAAUUCUAUUGAAAUGACGUACUUGGGUAUCUGGAUCCGUAUAACCAUGCAUCAUGGGCUAAAUAAUCCUUAUUAAUGCCAAUUAAAUCAUGAGGGGGAAUCCACACCUCAUGAACCACGCUCUAAUCAAUAUGGUGCUAAGGGCUUAUCGUGCCAAAUAAUAAUAACCUUAUACUAGAGAGCCGGUGUAACCAAGGCGGUAUCUAGACAAGAUUAUUAUUAUUUGUCGACGAGAAGUCAAAACAUCCACAAAAACUAGAGGGGAAGAGAAAAUAAAUUUACCAAAUUAAGCCCAUGACACAUGUUGAGACUUCACCUUCAACCCAAGCUUGAAAGGAAAUUAGCUACUCAUAAUUGAACUAGGGGCAAAAUGGAAAUUUAUUAAAAUACGAAGAAAAUACAAGAUGGAGAAGGAAUUACAGAAAAUGGAUCCCAAAAAUGGAUUCAGAGAUAUCAAAUUAGGGGGGGAAGGCCCCCUUUUUAUAGAUACAUGGAGUAAAUCAUGGCCAUCGGAUUAAAAACAGUUUGGACGCUCAGGAUUGCGCCACGUCAUCAGUCAACAGUCCACGCUUGACCACGCGGAUGAACAGUAAUACGGUUUGACCUGGAUGAACAGUAACGCGGUUUGGUUGAAAAUAAUCCUGUGUGAUGCAUGCACCGUACGCGAGAUUUUUCGUCCAUUGAUAUGCUGCCACGUCACCAUCAACAGUACAUAAGAAUUUUAGUCCAACAGGAUCGUGAUACCUCAUCAGUCAAUGCCACAUCAUCGAUCCGUUUAUGUGAACAGUGCCGUGAACAGUAACAUAUACAGUACCGUAUAUGUGAAUAGUACCGUACAUGUGAAUAGUGUCAUUUUUCCUUUUAUGCUCCUCCUAAGGUUUUCGACCGUCCUGAGUUCAAAAGUGAUGUCCGUUUUGCCGUCUGAUCUCUCCUUUAUUGUGAAAUGACUAUAAUGUCCCUAAAAUACAUAAAAUACUUAAUUAAAAUAACACACACGUAAUUACAUCACAAGAAGGUUAAAUACAUAAAAGUAAGAGUUGUUAGUAAGACUUAAAAUGUAAAAUGAUGGUUUUCUCCUUUAUAAAUAUGCAUUUUCUAACACUCAACACACCCCCCAACCAGCUUAUUGCUAGUCCCUAGCAAAUAAAGCGAAAACAAAAUUCAAAUUCAAAAUGAUUUUUUUUUUUUAAACACUCAUGUUUAUUCAAUCAGAUUAAUGAUAAUAAUCAAAUAAAAGUAUAAGCAUUAUCUCCAGUCUAAAGCAACAUCACAUCCACAUCGACCAUCCACAUGAAUUAGCCCAGUAGACUUUGUUAUAGCUAGUUUCAAGAAUGACAUGUCAAACCCCAAAAUCUCACUGGAAGUAGUGACACUCUCACAUAGAAAUUAAAACCUAAUAAACAUAGUCACUCCAAUGAAUGGUAAUUGAGAGAGAAAAUAAUAAAGAAAUGAUAUCACAUGCUCUCAACUUAGAAAUAAUACGAUCUCAAGUCAAAUAAAAUGUUAGUCAACCCACUUUAUUUAUCUUUUUUUUUUUAUUAUGCAUCACUACAUCUUUUUAGGCCAUAUAACUAGCUUCUACUUCAAACUAUAGUUCCCUAAAAUCAAGGACUUUUAUUAGGACGUAACGUAGGCUAGGGAUAUGGCUAACAAAGAAAGGAAAUAAGGAAAACAAAGUGUAUGUUUGAGAAAAAUGCAGAGAAUUUUUUUUUUUUUUUUAAGUUGCAAGGUGUAUUUCACAUAUUGUUGUUAUUUUUAUUCUUUUGAAACAACAAUUUUUUUUUUUUUGCUUUUAUUUGGUAUAACUUCACUGAACAACAUAAUUAUUUACAUUUUCUCAAACAUAAAUAGGUGAUGGAACUUAUAAGACAUCGGGUAAUACUCCAAAUCGGAGUGGGUCAAGAUGAUAAGUUGACAAAGAAAAGGUUUUUUUUUUUUUUUUUUUUUAAAGGCUCAAAAGGGGUAACUAUGGAUAUUUAAUAAAAGGGAUGGCUAGAAAGGCUCAAACGGAUCAAAGAUGGCCUUUCCAUCGUCUUUUAGGGCUCUAAAUAAUUAUCCAUAUCUACUAGUUAGAUGGGCCUCCCAAUGUAGCAACACACAUUUUUUUUUUAAUUUUACCAUUUUUUUUUAAAGGGUUAACUCAAAAGAAAUCUAGAGAUCGUGUAUAAAAUAAUAAACUGCUAAGCUGUAUAGAAAAUGGGCAAAAGGGUUACUCUCCAAGAAAAUGAUAGGCUCAACAACUCACUUGGCACUUAUUUAUGACAUGUUCAUUCCUUCAAGCAACUCAUAUUUGUCUCCGACAUCAACAUGUAAAGUAGCAAACAUAGCGUAACAUCACUUAAGACCAAAGAUAAUACAAAUACUAAAAUUUGAAAUUAAUCAUGUCAUCCAAUGUUAAAACAAAUCACACAAAAUAUUUUUUUUUUUUUGAACUACAUUCUACCCCCCAACCUAUUUUAAACAUGAAAGGAAAAUAUGCAUGCAGAAAUGUGAAAAUGAUGUAGAAAAAUUAAUUAGAAAAAGAAUUUUUUUUUUUUUUUAACUAAGAAGAUGCGUUUCUAGAGGCACUACGCUCCAUAUUCAGCCAUCUUCGACUUAAAAAUUUGAAAAUAUAUAUUUAUAAAGGAGAAAGAGGAAGAAAACGAGUUUUUUUUUUUUUUAAACGAUGAAGAUGCGUUUCUAGAGUAACUUCUCUCCAUAUUCAGCCAUCUUCAACACAAAACGUUAGCAACAGUUAGUUUCUACAACAAAAAAUCAGUAAAAACUUAACCAAGAUUCCACAAUUGUCGACUAUUCCCUCCCCCCAACCAGAACGAAACAUUGUCCUCAAUGUUUUAAAGGAAAGAAGUAGAGUUUAGAAGACAUCACCUGGGUGGUGAAACACAGAAGAAAAUAUUUACAGGAGGAGAGUUAAAUCUAAUUUGUACUUCUUACUGCGGCUACGGUUACCAUCAUUAUUUGGGCACUCCAACACAAAGGUCCAGGGGUCUGGCUCCGGUUUAUAAGCUUGUAACAUAUCAAGUAGCUCAUUAGCAGUGUGAGCACAAAUAAAGAGUUUUUUCACAUUAGAAGGAAUGAAAUAGUUUUUUAUUGCAUGGUUAAGAAAUGCGAUAAAGCCAUCAUAAAAGUUAUUGACAUUUAACAAACCGAUGGGUUUCUGGUGAAUGUGUAGAUGGGCCCAAGAUGCUAGUGUCAUAAGUGCCUCUAGUGUUGCAAGAUCUCCUGGAAGGAAAAUAAAAGCAUCAGCAUGAUUAAGCAUUUCAGUUAUUCUUUCUUGCAUACCUGAGACGACUAACUCUUCUCCAGUUGAUGAGUCAGACGAACUGCCCAAUGGUUUUAGGACUCUUGGGAUGAUGCCUAACACUUGACUUCCUCUGAUAAAAGCUGCUUCUGAGACCAUUUUUGAUAACCCUCGGUUACCUCCUCCAUACACCAAGUGUAAUUUUCUCGCUGCUAUGCUUCAGAUCUAUGGCUGCCUCCACGAACUCUUUAUGUUUGCCAUAGGUAAAUCCAGAAAGCACACAAAUGUUCUUGAAUUGUCUAUUGGGAGUAGCUGCCAUUGUGAUACUUCUCAAAAAUAAUUUGUGAGUGCUUGACAAAAAUUAAAUCACAUUUAAGAAUCUUGGUGACAGUGGAUCACAGCUGUGAUUGAGGUAACAUGUCAGUGUCAAAUAACGCGUAAAGCACGUGGCUCGCGAGUCAAAAAGGAAACAGUAAAAAGGAAAAAGUAAACAGUAAUAAAAUUAUUAAAGACAGUAAUGCAAACGAUAAAACAACAGUAAAGUAAAAGGAUAUUUACAGGUAGUUGCGACUGUGGCUCACAUCUUCCUAUGGUUUUACGUCCAGAAACGGCUUGAACGCCCUCUAUGGGUCGAGGAUAGGCUUCCUAUCCAGUUUUCUUAUAAACUGGCAAACAGGGUUGUUUAUAGUCAGAUUCCCGAGACUAUAUCGUGCAUGCUCUUUUUGGAAUAAUGGCCAUAACUGGAGAAUCGCUCCUUGCACAUAUCCACUAGGAUGCGUUUCAAGAGACAAAAUGAUAUCAUCUAAUGACUCCUUAUUCAAGCCAUCCCUAAUGAAUUGAAUCUUAUCUUUCCUGUUAUCAGACACCAUUCCUAAAGAACAUGGGUUUCUAUCGCAACUCAUUCUGGCACACUUAUGACAAGCAACAGAAAUUCUUCGAGCUCGUUGUUUUCUUGCAUAAUUUCCUUUACCACAACCAGGCAUGUAUGCAAUAAAUUUUGGAGGUAACUCACCUGCCAAUCGUACUUUCGCCUCGAUUAACCAACAGAUGUCAGCAGGUAUGUUAUUCCUCAUGAGUGAUCGCAUGCGUUCGGACCGAGCUUUAUAGAUCGUAAGGAGGGCAUUUUGAGGUAGUGAAGGGAAUCGCUUGUGAAGCUUCGCUAGAAUCUCGUUUCUGUCCAUACUGUCGCCUCAGAAUGUCAGUUAUUAUGGGAAACUGAAGUAACCGACUUGAUUGUCACAGAGUACCGUUAUCCGCCACUUCACCGGGGUAACAAACUAAAGCACAUAAACAGAAAAACAAAUCAAAACACACAAAGAAAAUUAAAAUCGUCCUCUUAUUGAAUUUACCUCAAGCUCCAACUGGAUGUCGUAAACACUUCUCUCAAUAUCUCUGAGUUGGCGUUUUAAACCCUCAACAUAGGCUACUAACUCUGGUGGUUGUAGAGCCCAAAUGCGAUGUGUUUUACAAAAUUGAAUCUGCCUUUUGAGAUGAGUUUUGACACGUUGAAGUGGUUUAAGAAUGUUCAGGAGGAACGGUCUAAGUAAGGUACUCAUGAUUAAAAAUGAUAAAAGAAAACUUAAUAGUUAAACAAACACAGUUAUGCAAAAAUAAUUUCAAUUAGCAGAAGAAUAAUAUAAAGAAAGAAAAAAAAAUCAAUUCAAAUCUGGUGGGUCACUCAAAUUUAUUUCGGUGUCUUCUGCAUGUGGUUGGUACUCUAGAUAUGGCUUUAAUCUUUGACCAUUAACUUUAAACGUGACACCGUUCUUUGGGUCUUUAAUUUCAAUUGCCCCAUGUGGAAAAACAGUAUGAACAAUAAAGGGACCAGACCAUCGAGAGCGUAACUUACCUGGGAAUAGGUGCAAGUGAGAAUUGAAUAAAAGCACUUUCUGACCUAGAGUGAACGAUUUUCUCAUAAUGUGCUUGUCAUGAAAGACUUUCAUUCGUUGCUUGUAAAUCUUGGCAUUUUCGUAUGCGUCAUUGCGAAUUUCUUCAAGUUCUGCCAGUUGUAAUCUUCUUUCUGAGCUGGCUUGCUGCAUGUCAAAGUUGAAUUUCUUGAUGGCCCAAUAUGCACGAUGCUCGAGUUCCACAGGUAGGUGACAAGCUUUUCCAUACACUAGCUUGUAGGGUGACAUCCCAAUCGGGGUCUUGAAAGCCGUUCUAUAUGCCCAUAAUGCAUCAUCAAGUCUUAAUGACCAAUCUUUUCUGUCUGGCCUCACCGUCUUUUCUAAUAUGUGCUUUAUUUCUCGAUUGGAGAUCUCAACUUGGCCACUGGUUUGCGGAUGAUACGGGGUCGCCACUUUGUGUGUGAUUGAAUACUUUGUCAAAAGAGCCUUGAAUGCUUUGUUACAAAAGUGGGCACCACCAUCACUGAUUAUUGCUCGAGGGAAUCCAAAGCAUGAAACAAUGUUGCUUUUCAAAAAUCCUAUCACCACCUUGUGAUCAUUGGUUCUACAUGGAAUUGCUUCUACCCAUUUCGAUACGUAGUCAACACCAACCAAUAUGUAUUGAUGGCCAAAAGAAAGGGGAAAGGGUCCCAUGAAGUCGAUACCCCAUACGUCAAAAAUCUCAACCACUAAAAUUGGAUUUAGUGGCAUCAUGUUCCUUCGUGUAAUACUCCCCAUUCGUUGACACCUAUCACAUGAAGAACAAAAAGUGUAAGCAUCUCGAAAUAUAGUUGGCCAAUAGAAACCACAUUGUAAAACUUUAGUCGCUGUUUUCUUAGCGCUGAAAUGGCCUCCACAAGCUUGUUCAUGGCAGAAUGAAAGGAUAUUCUGAAUUUCACUUUCAGGGACACAUCGCCUAACAAUUUGAUCUGCACAAUACUUGAACAAAUACGGAUCAUCCCAAAAGAAAUUCUUUAUUUCCGCAAAGAAUUUAGCCUUGUCUUGCUUGGUCUAAUGCUCUGGAAGUUUACCUGUAACAAGAUAAUUAAUUAUAUCAGCAUACCAAGGUAAUACUUCCACAUUCAUUAAUUGUUCAUCUGGAAAUGACUCAUUCAAUGGUAAUGGUUCCAUAAUUGUAUCAAAAUGGAGGCGAGAGAGAUGAUCAGCUACAACAUUCUCUGUGCCUUUCUUAUCUUUGAAUUCCAAGUCAAAUUCCUGCAAAAGUAACACCCAACGAAUUAGUCUAGCUUUUGCAUCUUUCUUUGUGAGAAGAUAUUUAAGAGCAGCAUGAUCUGUGAAUAUAAUUAUUUUACAACCAAUGAGAUAAGAUCUAAAUUUCUCUAAUGCAAACACUACUGCUAGCAUUUCUUUUUCAGUAGUUGAAUAAUUCAACUGUGCAUCAUUCAAUGUCAUACUAGCAUAGUAAAUAACGUGGGGAAUUCAAUCAACUCUUUGUCCUAAUACUGCUCCUACUGCAUAAUCAGAUGCAUCACACAUGAGCUCAAAUGGUAAGCUCCAAUUUGGGGCCUGAAUGAUGGGUGAUGAUGUCAACAAUUGCUUUAAUUUUUCAAAAGCCAUAAGACAUGAAUCAUUAAAGAUAAAAGGUACAUCCUUAGCAAGUAAAUUGCAUAAGGGUUUAGAAACUUUGCUAAAAUCUUUAAUGAAACGUCUAUAGAAACCAGCAUGCCCAAGGAAAGAUCUUACUUCUCUGACUAUUUUAGGUGGAGGAAGAUUAGAAAUGAGAUCCACCUUGGCUUUGUCAACCUCAAUACCUUUGCUCGAAAUGAUGUGACCAAGAACAAUACCUUGUUUUACCAUAAAAUGGCACUUCUCCCAAUUCAAGACUAAGUUCUUCUCGGUACAUCUCUGCAGAACUAGCGUUAGAUGAUGUAAACAUUGAUCAAACGAAUCACCAAAGACAGAAAAGUCAUCCAUAAAGACUUCAAGGAAUCGUUCAACCAUAUCAGAGAAAAUGCUCAACAUGCAUCGUUGAAAUGUAGCAGGUGCAUUACAUAAUCCAAAUGGCAUUCUCCUAUAUGCAAAUGUGCCAAAAGGGCAAGUGAAAGUAGUUUUCUCUUGAUCUUUUGGUGCUAUGGGAAUCUGAUUAUAUCCUGAGUAGCCAUCUAGAAAGCAAUAAAAUUCAUGGCCUGCCAAUCUAUCAAGCAUUUGAUCGAUAAAUGGUAAAGGAAAAUGGUCUUUACGUGUGACAGAAUUCAACUUUCUAUAAUCAAUGCAUACACGCCAUCCUGUAGUCACUCUAGUGGGUAUUAAUUCAUUAUCGGCAUUCGUAACUACUGUGACUCCUGACUUUUUGGGGACAACUUAUACAGGACUGACCCAUGAACUAUCAGAAAUUGGGUAAAUGAUACCUGCGUCUAAUAGCUUAAGGACUUCAGUUCUAACAACUUCUUUCAUAUUAGGAUUUAACCGACGUUGCAUUUCCCUAGUAGAUUUAGCAUUUUCAUCAAGGUGAAUGUAAUGCAUGCAGUCUAUUGGGUUUAUACCUUUUAUGUCUGCUAUGGUCCAUCCUAAUGCUCCUUUGUGCUCUUUUAAAACAUCCAACAACUUAUCUUUUUGUUCGUCAUUUAGGGAUGAUGAGAUGAUUACCGGCAAAGUACUUUCUUCUCCCAAAAAUGCAUAUUCCAAUGUGUUGGGCAAUGGUUUGAGCUCGAGUUUCGGUGGUGAUUCUGAUGAUGGGAUGAGUUUCUUCUCUGAUGGUGCUAGUUGUUCAACUCUUGACUUCCAUUUAUUAGUGUCCAUGUAUGGUGCUGAGUCAAGCAGGGCGUUGACCUCAUCGACCGAUCUGUCAAUAUCAAAAUCCAAACCAAAGUGAGUUAAACAUGUUUGUAAAGGAUCAUCACUAAGGUUUGAAACAAAAGUGCCAUCAACUAUUGUUUCUAUUAAAUCCACAUCAACAAUUCCAUCAUCUGCAUUAUGAGGCUGUUUGGCAAUGUUGAAGAUGUUCAGCUCCAUAGUCAUGUUGCCAAAGGACAACUGCAUAUUUCCAGUCCUGCAUUGAAUGUGAGCAUCCGCAGUUGCCAAGAAAGGUCGGCCUAGGAUAAUGGGGAUGUGCUUCCUUGAAUCCCGUAUUGGUUGAGUGUCAAUUACAAUGAAAUCAACAGGAAAAUAAAACUUGUCUACCUGGAUAAGCACGUCCUCCACAAUACCACGAGGUAUUUUCGUAGACCGAUCUGCAAGCUGUAACACCACUGGAGUUGGGUGUAAUUCUCCCAGUCCAAGUUUCACGAAUACAGAGUAAGGCAACAAAUUUACACUAGCUCCUAAAUCCAACAAAGCAUUCUCAAUUGUGUGGUUCCCUAUACUACAUGAGAUAGUGGGGGAGCCUGGGUCUUUGCAUUUUAAAGGAAUUUUAUGUUGGAGUAUAGAACUAACGUUUUCUGUUAAAAAUUCCUUCUUUUGAACAUGCAUAUUUCUCUUUUUAGUACAAAGGUCUUUAAGAAACUUGGCAUAAGAUGGAACUUGCUUUAUAGCAUCAAGUAAAGGGAUGUUAACACUUACCUGUUUGAAGAUUUCGAGAAUCUCACCUGUGGAUUUUCCCUUCUUUCCUUUCGCUAACCUCUGAGGAAAUGGAGCCUUGGGAACGUAUUCUCAUGGGUUGGUUUCUUCUCUCUCCUCCGGUGGUGAGUCCUCAACAUUUACAGGUACAAUUUGAUUUUCUUUUGUUACCGGCAUCUCCACUUUGUUGUCGACUUUCUUUCCUUUUCGCAAGGUCAUGACUGCUUUGACCUCUCCAUGCUGUUGUGGUGAACUGGUACUUGCUUCAUGCACUCCUUUAGGAUUAGGCACUGGUUGACUUGGAAACUUGCCUUUCUCAACAGUCAUUGCCAAGGUCUGAACUGAAGAAGCAAGCUGUCCCACCAUCUUCUCGAGGCUUGAAACUGAUUGGGCUUGUGAGUUGAAGCCCGCUCUCAACUCAUUUCGUAGUCCAUCAUUGGUGCGAUUCUGUUGCUCAAUCGUGGAGUGAGUAAGAUUCUUGAGAUUCUGGAAUGAAUCCUCCCAUGGUCUGGGUUGAGAGUAGUUAUGGUUCUGAUUGAAUGGUCUAAAUGGGGGCUGAGAGGCUUGAGGAACUUGAGGAAUUUGUGGAGCUGGAGCUGCUGGUCCAUUCUGCUGGAAUCCUUGAGACCAUGAAAAAUUGGGGUGGUCUCUCCAUCCAGGAUUAUAUGUGUUGGAGUAUGGGUUGUAAUUAGAUGGUUUUCUCAUUACACCUAUGGCAUUGGCUUGAUCUGAGUAUGAGUCAUGGUCAUGUGGUUCUGUUGAUUUAGCAGUCGAUAACGAUGCUAUUUGUCGAGCAAGACCUUUAACCAUCUCCUUGACUUCUUUGAUUCCUGAAGUUGAUUCGCCAAUUUGAACCUCAUUCACUCCUUUAAUUCUUCUAGUAGUCCUGAGUGAUCGACUCCGUUGUUGGGAAUUAUCCGCUUGUCGCUGGAAGAAUUCCCAAAUCUCCGAUGCACUUUUUGACAUUAGCUCUCUUCCACUUGUUGCCAUUAGCCAUUCUUGCACAUUCGGCAAUAAUCCCUCCAAAAAGUAUUGGCAUUGGUGCCAUUUCUCGUACCCAUGAUGUGGACACUUCAAGAGUAGCCCAUUGAAUUGCUCCCAAGUUUCGAAAAACUGCUCGUCCUCUCUUUGUGUAAACUCUUAAAUUUCCCUGCGAAUAGAAUUGGUUUUAUGCACUGGGAAAUAUUUAUUUAGAAAUUUUGUAGCCAUUUUUUCCCAUGAUGCAAUGCUAUUAGCAGGCAAUGUAUUAAGCCAUGAACGAGCUCUAUCCUUUAAAGAAAAUGGGAAUAAUCUGAGUUUAACAUCAUCGUCUGAAAAAUUUUCAUAUUUAAAAGUUUGACAAAUGGCAUGAAAAUCAUUCAGAUGAUUAUAUGGGUCCUCAUUUUCUAGGCCAUAAAAUGUGGGGAGACAAUUUAGCACACUAGGUUUUAAUUCAAAACUCCUAGCAGCUACAUUUGGGUAUCUUAUACAUGAUGUGCUCAAAUUAGCUAAAGGACUAAAAUAGUCCUUAAAUGGCCUCUCCUGUGGUGCUUGUAAAUCCAUUCCAAAUUUAUUUUCAAUGUGCUUUUGUGUGCGAAGUGUUUUUUCUAGUUCAAGGUCUAUAGGUUCAAGAUUAGGUAAUAAUGACCUAUGACCAUGCAUGCAAAACAAAUAAAAUAAAAAUAAAGAUGGGAACAAAAACAAAUAAAAAUAAAGAAGAGGGAGAAAUUACGAUACUAACCUUAUUGCGCUGUUACAACCUUUCUAUAAAAAUACACAAAAACAAAUACGUGAAAUAAAUUAACUAAAAAUUAAAUUAAUAAAAUAAACAAAAAUUACAAAGAAAAAAUAAAUUGAAAAAUAAAUUACAGAAUUUUAAAGAAGAGAAAAAGAAAAGAAAUACUAACCUUUAAAUGCAAAUUCACUUUUUUUUUUAAUAAAAAAAUACAAGAAAACAAUUUAAAAGAAAUUAUUCACACAAAUUAAUUCUAUGAAUUAAAAUUACUUACCUCCCCGGCAACGGCGCCAAAAACUUGUUGUGCAAAUUUUAAUGUACUCGCAAGCGCACGAAUCUAUUGUAGAAUAGACUAAUGGUGACGAGUGUCGAUCCCACGAGGAGGUGGAUUUUAAUUGUGUAUAGAAUUAAUUUUGUAAAUGGAUGAUUGGAUUUGUGGUGGAAAUGAUUUGGAAUAUGCUAAAACUUAAAUUAAAAUGGCGAGAAUAAAUUCUAAAAUUGGAAUUGAAAUAGCGAGAAUAAAUUGAAGAGAAUUCUAUUGAAAUGACGUACUUGGGUAUCUGGAUCCGUAUCAACAUGCAUCAUGGGCUAAAUAAUCCUUAUUAAUGCCAAUUAAAUCAUGAGGGGGGAAUCCACGCCUCAUGAACCACGCUCUAAUCAAUAUGGUGCUAAGGGCUUAUCGUGCCAAAUAAUAAUAACCUUAUACAGAAAAUGGAUCCCAAAAAUGGAUUCAGAGAUAUCAAAUUAGGGGGGGAAGGCCCCCUUUUUAUAGAUACAUGGAGUAAAUCAUGGCCAUCGGAUUAAAAACAGUUUGGACGCUCAGGAUUGCGCCACGUCAUCAGUCAACAGUCCACGGUUUUACCACGCGGAUGAACAGUAACAUGGUUUGACCCGGAUGAACAGUAACACGGUUUGGUUGAAAAUAAUCCUGUGUGAUGCAUGCACCGUACGCGAGAUUUUUCGUCCACUGAUAUGUUGCCACGUCACCAUCAACAGUACAUAAGAAUUUUAGUCCAACAGGAUCGUGACACCUCAUCAGUCAAUGCCACAUCAUCGGUCAAUGCCACGUCAUCGAUCCAUCUAUGUGAACAGUGCCGUGAACAGUAACAUAUACAGUACGUAUACGUGAAUAUUACCGUACAUGUGAAUAGUGUCAUUUUUCCUUUUAUGCUCCUCCUAAGGUUUUCGACCGUCCUGAGUUCAAAAGUGAUGUCUGUUUUGCCGUCUGAUCUCUCCUUUAUUUUGAAAUGACUAUAAUGCCCCUAAAAUACAUAAAAUACUUAAUUAAAAUAACACACACGUAAUUACAUCACAAGAAGGUUAAAUACAUAAAAGUAAGAGUUGUUAGUAAGACUUGAAAUGUAAAAUGAUGGUUUUCUCCUUUAUAAAUAUGCAUUUUCUAACACUCAACAGCUAAUUACUCUUAUUUGGAUGCAUUUGGAUGUCCUGUAUAUGUUAAGUACAAUACCCACGAAAGAACAAAGUUGGAUCCAAAAUCUAAGAGAUGUAUCUUCUUGGGAUAUGUUGAUAGAGUGAAGGGAUCUUGUUGGGUAAUUUCUAUUGCUAUGGGUGUGAAUGUGUAAGUGUACACAACAAGUAAUAUACUAAUGAGUAAUUAUAUCGUCUCUAUAGGGAUUGAUGUUAUCAGAUUUACUACAACAAUCUUAACAAUGCAAUUUUGUUCUAAAUUAAAAGAAUUGAAAUAAAUACAAUUAAGACAAAAUGCUAUAGCAAACAUAGAGCAACACACGUAUAUCAGUCAAACAUCUAUUAAGAUCGUUUAUCACUUAGCUACAAUAAAAUUUAGUUCAUAAUUUGUGAUAGAACAGCAAAUACAAUUGUUAUAGCCAUCCAAUACAUUCCCAUAAGUAAAUGGAAAUCAGAAAAUAAGAAGAAGAACUGAAGUUUGCUUGGUCUUUGUGAUUUCACCUCUGUUUCCUUAUUGAAUCUAUUGUUACAGCCCUCAAAACUAUCUUUUAAUUUCUACUUUCUUAUUAUUUCUAUUUUCUUAUUAUUUCUAUUCGGUGAUCUCCUUGGGUGACAACUCUCUCUUUUUCUUUUCAUGCGUAUUUCUUUUAUAACUCAGAAUUAGGGCAACUAAAAGUGUAUGGCACGUAUCCUCCAUUUUAGAAACUUUAGAUCGCAAUCUUUUAGUUGUUGCGCGCGAAAUCCAGUCUAUAAUUGCUUCAAGAUUGCUACAACAACGGCAACAGCAUUUGCACUGUUCCAGACUUGUUUCAAUUCCUCUAUACCUAAGUUUUUUCAGUGUCUCUGUAAGUCUGUUGCGGUAGGCAUUUCUUCCUUAAAACUUGAGCUUUCAGGCAGCUAUAAUUAUUUAUAUAAUCUAAAUAUAAAUUCUUUUAAAAUAACUCAAUUUAUUAAAAAUAAACUAAAAUGGAUGCUCAUGCAAAUUGUAACUAAAAUGACAUAAAAGCACAUCAUUUACUCUCUAAGUAUUAUUAAGUUAAGUCUAAAAGUGUCAUGAUAACUCUCAUUUCAUAGAGUUAUCAGGUAUUGUAUGUGGGAUCCUACUGCCCAUAAGAUAGUCAUCAGCAGAAUUGUUAUCUUUGUAGAAGAUUGAGUACAAAGGAAAGAUGAGAAUGAUAGCACUGUAAAGAAAACGUCAGAGAUUGUACUGGUAUUUAUGAAAAAUAAUCUAUAAAGAAAAGAUUCAGAUUUUUCUAAAGCAGCCCUAGAGCAUAAGGAACAAGAAUCAGUUGAAUCCGAGGCUCUAGAACUUUGUCGGUCAACUUAUGAGAGUCGAUCACUAGUGUGGCACUCGGAGUAUGUUAUAAAGAUCAAUAUUGUAUACUGUCUUCUAACAAAGGAUAGAUAGCUAUCUGAUAACUCUAUGAAAUGAGAGUUAUCAUGGCACUUUUAGACUUAAAUCAAUAAUACUUUGAGAGUAAAUGUAAUGUUUUUAUUGCAUUUUAGUUUUAUUUUGUAUGAAUAAUUAUUUUAGUUUAUUUUUAAUAAAUUGCAUUGUUUUAGAAUAAUUUACAUGCUUAAAUCAUAUACAUAAUUGUAGGUGUCCGGAAGCUCAAAUUUCAAGGAAGGAAUGUUGAUGCAAUAGGCUUGCAAAAAUAAGGAAAGAACAUGGCUACAAAGAAUUAAAACAAAUCUAGAAUAGUGCAGUUGUUAUAGCCGUUGCUGUAGCAGCCGUUGCUGUAGCAACCAUUGCUGUAGCAAUCCUGGAACAACGACAGAGAAAAUUUUGCACGGGAUACUUGUAGAAUUGCGAUCUACAGUUUCCUAAUCUGACUUAUACGCGCCCUACGCUUCCGUUUACCCUAAUUUUUAGCUAUAAAAGAAGCACACAUUAUAAGGAAUAGGGAAAGCCGUCACCCAAGGAGAAAGACACAAAGAAACAAAAGAAAAACAAGAUUUAAGAGAGAGAUUAAGGGCUGUACAAGAGGAAAAAUUGCAGAAAUCAAUUGGGAACUCAAUCCUUCUUAUCAUUCUCUUGUUUUCGUGUUUUCUAUUUAUUCAUGGGGAUGUGUUUCAUGACCGAAACCUUGUUCUUUACUUUUCUUUUGCAAACAAUGAACUAAAUUUAGUUGUAGUUGAGUGAUAAACAAUCUUAAUGGUUUAUUUACUGAAAAUAUGAGUUGUUGCAUGCUUGCUGUAGCAUUUUAUUUUGGUAGCAUUUAUUUUUAUUCAUUAUUUUGGUUGAUCACCCAUUUAAUGAUACAAGUUAGGAGAGAGCCACAAAAGGGCCUAUCUUAGUUGAACAUAUCAGAGCAAUACUUAGUCUUAGAUUAGGUUUCCUGGAUUGAGUUUUACUUGAGUCCAAAAGAGUCAUGCUUGAUCUAAGAUUAGUGAUGAACUAGACAUAGGGAUUCACCUUGUAUGGUAAAUAGAACUUAAGCGUGUAAUGCUACAUCUUAUGUUGGCAUAACAACCGAUCACUAUUAGGUUGCAUAUAGAUAUAAGAUAUCCAACAUGCGACGGCUGAUAAUACAUAAUGAUUCUACUCAGUGCUGUAGCAGAUGCUGUAGCAACCGAGCCAAAUAUUAGAAAAAUAGUCAAAAUCAUUAAGAGAGUUUAUUCACUCAACUACUCUAUAUUCCCAUUGGUUUUAUCCUUGAGCUUGACGUGACAAUUUACUUUGUUGCAUUUUAUUUAUUGCGUUUUUUAUUUUAAUUAGUAUAUUAAUUUCGUUGAUUGUUUUAUCUUAAUUUAGAACAAAAUCUGCAUUUGUUAAGAUUGCUGUAGCAAGUCUGAUAACAUCAAUCCCUGUAGAGACGAUCUUGAAUACUCAUCAUUUUAUUACUUGUGAUGUACACUUGCAUAUUUACACUAAUAACAUUUGAAUUUAUACCCAACACCAUCAACUUUCCAUGACGCUUUAAACAACUCAGAUGUUAUUUUGUGGAUGACAGCAAUGCAAGAAGAAAUUGAAGCUCUACAUAAGAAUAAGACAUGGGAACUUAUACUACUACCACGUGGAAGAAAAAUCAUUGGAAAUAAAUGGAUCUACCAGAUCAACUGUGAUGGCAAUGAUCAAGUGGAGCGAUAUCGUGCAAGAUUGGUGGUGAAGGUAUAUGCUUAGAAAGAAAGUAUUAACUUCAAUAAGAUAUUUUAUCCGAUAAUUGGACUCACGACAGUUAAGGCCUAGCAACGUUUGCUAUAUUCUACCUACAUUUAGAGCAAUUGGAUAUGAAAACUACAUUUCUUCAUAGAGAACUUAAAGAAGAAAUUUAUAUGCUCCAACAAGAAGGUUUUGUUUAAAUAGGUAAGGAGAACUUAGAUUUCAGGUUAAAAAAAUCUUUAUACGGUCUUAAACAGGUGCCAAGGUGUUGGUAUAAAAUAUUUAAUUCCUUCAUCAUGACCUUUAGAUACAAUAGACUCUGUUUAGACCAUUAUGCAUACUACAAGAGGUUUGAGGAUAAUGAUUUUAUCAUUUUGCUGUUGUGUUUGGAUGACAUGUUGGUAGUAUGGCACAACAAAUAUCGAGUCCAAGAAUUAAAGGCAUAAUUGAAUAAGGAAUUUGAAAUGAAGGACUUGGGACCAAUAAACAAGAUUCUAGGGAUACAAAUUUACAGAGAUAGAAAUAAUAGGAAGAUUUGGCUUUCUCUGGAGAAAUACUUGAAAAACAUCUUGUAGUACUUUAACAUGCAAGAUUGUAAGCCAAUUUCUACCCCACUUCCUGUUAAUUUCAAGUUAUCCUUAAGAAUGUGUCCUUGCAAUGAAGCAGAGAGGAAAUAGAUGUCUCGAGUAUUGUUUACUUCAAUAACAGGAAGUUUGAUGUUCGUUAUGAUAUGUACUAGACCAACUAUUGUACAAGCAGUGGGAACGGUCAGUAGAUAUAUGGUGAAUCCUAGUGGAGAGCAUUAGAAAAUUGUAAAGAGGGUUCUUAGAUACAUCAGAGGAACCUCAGAUGUUGUAUUAUGUUAUGGAGGAUCAAAAUUUAUUGUGAGGGACUAUGUGAAUUCAGAUUUUAUAGGAGACCUUGAUAAAAAAAAAAUCCACUACUGACUAUAUAUGUUUACACUUACAGGAGGAGUUGUAAGCUAGGUUUUAAAACUACAAACUAUUGUGCCUUUAUCUACAACAGAAGCAGAAUACAUAGUAGCUACACAAGCUUGCAAAGAAGUUAUUUGGAUACAAAGGUUAUUGAAGGAGCUCGAGUACAAACAAGAGAAUAUUUCUAUGUUUUGUGACAAUUAUAGUGACUUGCAUAUUACAAGGAAUCCAGUCUUUUAUUCUAGGACAAAGCACAUAAGUGAUUAGUAUUAAAAAUUGUAUGAUUAUCAAGCGAUAAAAAUAUUAUUUGGUGCUUAUAUUACAAAUUAUAUUUGUGUUUAUACAAUAUAUUAAGAAUUAUUAAUUAUGUCUUGACUAUAUUUAAUUGUGUAUUUUUGUGUGUUUAUUAGGUAAAAUAUUAAAUUUGUGUAACUCGAGGCUCCAAACAGAUAAACGGAUGACAAAUUCAAAUUCCGGAGGUCGGAAACCUUAAGAUGAGUCAAAACCGACUUAUAAUUGAGGUUGUGUAAAAUAGUUGACUUUUUCUGUUGACCGAGCACUGAUUGGAUGAUAAAAUGAGCUUACAAUAGAUGUGAGUGCAUUGAAUAGCUAGUAAUUUUGACUAAAUCUCAACCGUUCAUAAUUCAAUGGUCAUAAUUGUGCCACAUGGCAAUGGUUGGUGAAGCAAGUUGUUGGAUCCGAAUAUUUGUAUUCGAGUCAACCCGAUCCACCCAUUAACCCACCAAAUCUCAACCAUUUUUUGACCAAAUCGGACGCGUCAAAUGAUGUCACGUGUAAUGUUAACUUUUGAAGUUUGACCAGUCGUUGGAUCGUGAUCUAAUGGCUGUGAGGAGGGCUUGCAUAAAGCUUAUGAUGGGCCGCAAAACACUGUCUUAUGAAUUUAUUUUUCUAUAAACAGAGCCCCAUUUUUAUGUUUUUUAUCAUCUCUCUACAUCUCUCUUCUUCUCAAUUUCUCUUAAUUUCCCUGUAAUCUUGUUUUUCAGGUGUGUUUUUAAUAUUUUGUUUAAUUAUUUUUAUAAAUAAAUUUAGUUUUAUUUUCAAUUUUAGUUGUUUUUAUUAUUUUUAAUUAUGAGUAAUUUAAUUUUAAUAAUUAUUUUUAUUUCAAUUAUGCUUAACUAAACAAUAAUAGUUAGGGUAAGGUGAAACUCUUAGGAAAUAAAUAUGAUUUAAUGAAAUUCUAUUUUUAUUUAUAUAAAUUAAAUUAUUUUCUAUUUAAUUUUAUACAUAUUUUAUAUUUUGAAAAUUUGAUUUAUUAUACAAAAAUAAGGGAGUUUGGCACAAUAAAUUCUCAAUAUCUUAAUAUAAGGUAUGGUAAAAUGGCAUUUUGACUUAUUGUAGACAAAUUAAAUUUUGGUACAAUAAAUACUUUGUCCGUAAUAAAAUUAAUGGGAAAAUAAUAAUAAUUUAUAUAAUUAAUCUUUUGAGUAAUAAAUCUAAAAAAAUGACAAAAAGAAUUUAUUAAAUUUUAUUUACUACUAAGAGUGGAUCCAUAACUCUAAUGGAUCUAUAACCCUUACUAAUUCAAUUUCAUAGUUUCAUUUAAAUUAAGUUGUAUAAGUUUUAUUUUCAUUUUUAGAUAAAGUAAAAUAAACAAAGUAAAUUUUUUCUAUGUGGAUCGAUCUCGAACUCACUGAACUAUAAUAUAAUAAGACACUCUUAUACUUGGGAGUUAGAAAUCACUUUUAAGAGUUGCCAAGUUUUUUGCGCUUGCCGCGAAUAGUUUUUUUGUUUUGUAAAUUUUCGUUGACACCCUUUUCCUCUUCUGAAAUUGUGUUUUGUCCAUAAAAUCUUUCAGAAUCUUUAGUUGCACCCCAUAUGGCUUUGUUCUAAGCCUUUAAAAAUUGUUGUGUGACCAUAAAAUUAUAAAGAAUUUGUAAAAAGAUCCCUGGACGAAAUUUCUUAUAUAAUUAGACUUGGACUUACAGCUUGGAAUUGUUUGGACUAAGCAAAUUGAAUACUGACUCUUAAUUUUUUUAGUUAUUUAAUUUUCGUUUUUAUUUUAUUUUAUUUUAUUUUAUUAUAUUAUACGGUUUGUUUGACCGGCUAAAUUGUUAUUUAAUUUUCAGUUUUUUUAUUAUUUUGCAUUUAUUUUAUAUUGUUAAUUUAUAUGGUGGGUUCAACCACCUAAAUUGUUAUUUAAUUUUAAUUGUAUUUUUUGUACACUUAUAUUAUUUGCAUAUUAAUUUUCAUUUUCUUUUGUGCAAUUUUCAUUUAGUUCUAUUGUUACUAGUUUGUUUGAAUAUUACCUUUGUGACAUAAUCAUUGCAUGAGAUGUUGGUCUUGAACUUCAAGUGGCAGGUUAAUUCAUAGAUUUCAAUCACCACCAUCAAUUAUAGAUGAGAUCCAAGAUGGAAACUUUUUGGGCGAACCUAAUCUUCAGAUUGACCAGGGAGAUAACCAUUCUCAACAUAAUGCACGUGAUCAAAAUCAACUAAGAACUCUGAGAGACUACAUGAAUCCAACUAGAACCAGAGCACCGCCGUGUAUAGUAUUUCCUCCAGAAGCAUCUCCAUUCAACUUCAAACCAGGUAUUAUCCAACUUUUACCAAUAUUUAAUGGUUUAGAAUAUGAGAAUACAUACUUACACAUAAGUGAUUUUGAGGAAGUUUGUAAUACAUAUACAUACCAAAAUUGUAGCACGAACAUAAUUAGACUAAAGGUUUUUCCUUUUUUGUUAAAAAAUAAAGCUAAAACUUGGUUAAAAAACCUUACAUCUGGAUCAAUAAGAACUUGGAAUAAUAUACAAGAACAAUUUUUGAAAAAAUUCUUUCCACCUCAUAGAACCAAUUCUUUUAAAAGGCAAAUUACUUCUUUCACUAAACAAAAUGGAGAGACAUUAUACCAAUGUUGUGAUAGGUUUAAAGAAUUGCUUAACAUAUGUCCACACCAUGGUUUUAAAACUUUGCGAUUGGUCACUUAUUUCUAUGAGGGCUUAAUACCCAAAGUAGACAGGUUGUUAAAAUGAUGUGUAAUGGUGAAUUAAGGGAUAAAAAUCCUGAAGAUGGGCUAGAUUACCUUGAACAAUUAGCUGAAAAUGCACAACAUUGAGAUACUGUUGGAACUUUUGAAUUGACAAAUAAACCACAAUCAUCUCCAUCUAGUGGAGGAAUCCAUAACCUUAGGAAAGACCAUGAUUUACAAGCAAAAUUUGCAUCCUUAGUUAGAAAAUUGAAGCUUUGGAGCAUAAAAAGAGUGAUCAAGUAAAAUCUAUUCAAGAAAUUGUAUGUAAUAUUUGUAGUUCGAAUGAUCAUUUCACUCAAGAUUGUCCCGCUCUGCUUGCACUUAAAGAAUGUCUACAUGAUCAAGCUAAUGCCAUUAACACUUUUAAUAAGUCAAACCCAUAUUCACAGACUUAUAAUCCUGGUUGGAGAAAUCAUCCAAAUUUCAGUUGGAGGAAUAAUGAUAAUGCACAAUCUUCACAAGCACCACCUCCACAAAAUUUUCAAAAUGCUAAGCCUUAUGCACCAUAUGUUCCACUACCAUGGAAAAAUCUGAAAGACACAGUGCAUUCAUUCACCAGAAAGCAAGAUGUUAUUAACAAUCAAAAUACACAAACAUUUUCUGAUUUGAAAGAUGCUCUUGCUAAAAUUGCUUCUGCACUCACAAUUAAAAAAAAGGAAAAUUUACAACUCAACCACAACCAAAUUCUAAGAGUCAACAAAAUCCACCCAUGGACCAAGUCAAGUCAGUUAUAACUCUUCGUGGUGGUAAGGUUAUUGAUAGAUCUAUUCCUGAACCUUGUGAAGAUGAUGAAAAUUCAAAGAGUAAGGAAGGACUAAAUGAACUUACACCUAGUGAAUAAAUAACCAGUGUUCCACCUGAACCACCAUUUCCGCAUGCAUUGAAUAAACCAAAGAAAUCAAACCACUUUUCUAAAAUUUAUGAAAUUUUUAAGCAAGUGAAAGUUAACAUUCCUCUAUUAGAUGCAAUUAAGCAGGUACCUUCAUAUGCCAAAUUUUUGAAAGACUUGUGAAAUGUCAAGAGGAAAUUAAAAGUAAGAAAGAAAGCUUUCAUGGUUGAACAUGUAAGAACAAUUUUGUCUGCUUUACUAAAUCUUGGUGCUAGUGUUAAUUUGCUUCCAUAUUCAGUUUAUCUUCAACUUAAUCUUGGUGAGUUAAAAUCAAUUUCAACUACACUUUUGCUUAUCGAUAGAAAAUCAAUUUCAACUACACUUUUGCUUAUCGAUAGAUCAGUUAAAGUACCAAAAGGAAUAGUGGAAGAUGUUUUAGUACAAGUUGAUAAAUUUAUAUACCUUGUGGAUUUUAUUGUCUUAGAAAUUAAACAUGUUGUGAAUGAUUAUAAACCAAUUCCUGUAAUUUUAGGUCGACCAUUUUUAGCAACUGCUAAUGCUUUGAUUAAUUGUAGGAAUGGUUUAAUGAAUUUAUCCUUUGGAAAUAUGACUUUAGAAUUGAAUGUUUUCAACAUGUGCAGGCAACCUAAUGAAGAAAAUGAGAAUGAAGAUGAUAUUGAUUAUCAAAAGGAAUUGCUUGAAUCUUGUAUAGAGAAAAAUAUUCAAAAAAAGGAUUUUUCUGAACUCUGAUGUUUGUUUAAUUAAUUCAAUUGAGUCAAAUAAGCAAUUUGAACUUGAUAUUUCUAGUAUAAAUUUGUUGCUUGAUUUUUUACAGAAUUAUGAUGAAGAGCCAAAAUUUGAGGAGCUUGGAAGUAUUGAAAAGAUAGAACAACAAGAAGCACUUAAACUGGAAUUGAAACCUUUACCUAAAGGAUUGAAGUAUGCUUUUCUUGGAGAAGAACAAACUUAUCAUGUUAUGAUUUUUUCUACUUUAACAAGCGACUAAGAAGGUAAGUUACUAACUGUUCUUAAAAAGCAUAAAAAUGCAAUUGGAUGGACUUUAAAUGAUAUUAAAGGCAUUAAUCCCUUAAUUUGCGCACAUAUAAUUAAUUUGGAAGAAAAUGCUAAAACAUGUCAACAAUCUCAAAGAAGAUUAAACCCACGCAUGAACAAGGUAGUUAAAACAGAAGUCCUUAAAUUGCUUGAUGUGGGAAUUAUCUACCAUAUUUCUGAUAGUAAAUGGGUAAGUUCUACACAAGUAGUGCCCAAAAAAUCUGGAAUCACUGUUGUUAAAAAUGAAAAAGGUGAAUUAAUUCCAACACGAAUUACAUCUAGUUGGCACAUAUGCAUUGAUUAUAGAAAGUUAAAUGAAGCCACUAGAAAAUAUCAUUUUCCAUUACUAUUUAUUGACCAAAUCUUAGAAAGAGUAGUUAGACAUCCUUACUAUUGCUUUUUAUAUGGAUAUUCAGGUUAUUAUCAAAUUCCUAUAGGACUUGAGGACCAAGAAAGACCUCAUUUACAUGUUCUUUUAGAACAUUUGCAUUUAAAAGAAUGUCAUUUGGGCUUUGUAAUGCUCCUGCAACAUUUCAAAGAUGUAUGCUAAGUAUUUUAUGUGAUAUGGUGGAACAUUGUUUAGAGGUCUUUAUGGAUGAUUUGACUGUGUUUAAGAAUUCUUUUGAUGAUUUCCUUGAUAAUUUGGAGAACGUUUUAAAAAGAUGUGUUGAAAAAGACCUUUUGUUGAAUUAGGAAAAAUGUCACUACAUGGUUACUUCUGGAAUUAUUUUAGGUCAUAUUGUAUCUGUUAAAGGAAUUGAAGUUGACAAAGUAAAAAUAGAAGUCAUAUCUAAAUUGCCACAACAAAAAACAGUUAGAGAUGUGCGAUCCUUUUUAGGACAUGUAGGAUUUUAUUGGAGGUUUAUAAAAAAUUUUAGUACCAUAUCUAAACCACUUUGUAACCUCUUAUUAAAAGAUGCACCAUUUGAAUGAACUAAUGAUUGCCAAAAAUCUUUUGAGGAAAUAAUUUAUCUUUUAACAUCUGCACCUAUUAUGAAAUCUCCUGAUUGGUUUUUACCUUUUGAAUUGAUGUGUGAUGCAUGUGAUUUUGCUGUUGGUGCUGUUUUAGGACAAAAAAUGGAUGGUAAGCCCUUUGUGAUUUAUUAUGUGAGUAAGACUUUGAAUAAUGCCCAAAUGAAUUAUUCUUCAACUGAAAAGGAAUUACUUACUGUGGUAUUUGCAUUAAACAAAUUUCGUUCAUAUUUUCUUGGCUCUAAAUCUAUUGUUUUUACUGACCACACAGCUGUGAGAUAUUUGAUGAGUAAACAGCGUGCCAAACCGAGAUUAAUUCGUUGGAUUUUGUUGCUUUAAGAAUUUGACCUUACUAUUAAAGAUAAAAAGAGUGUCGAAAAUGUCGUUGUUGAUCAUUUAUCAAGACUCACAUCUGAAUUCUGUACUGAUAUAACACCCAUCAAUGAUUCUUUCGCUGAUGAAUUUUUAUUUUCUAUUACUUUAAUGCCAUGGUAUGCUAACAGUGUUAAUUUCCUUGUUACAGGUAAAAUGCCUUUGCAAUUGAAUGCUCAAGAGAAGAAGAAAUGUUUUGUUGAAGUAAAGAAAUUUUAUUGGGAUGAUCCUUACUUGUUCAAAUAUUGCCCAUAUCAAAAUUUUCAGCGACGUAUUCCUCAUAAUGAGGUAGGUAGUGUCAUUAAUCUUUUUCAUUAUGAAGCAUGUGGUGAACACUUUUCAUCAAGAAAAAUUACAGCUAAAAUUUUGUAAUGCGGAUUUUAUUGGCCUACUAUAUUCAAAGACACAUAAAUUUUGUAAAACUUGUGAAAAAUGUCAAAAAUUGGGAUCAAUUACUAAAAGAAACAUGAUGCCCUUAAAUCCUAUACUUGAGAUUGAAAUAUUUUAUUGUUGAGGAAUUGAUUUCAUGGGUUUGUUUCCAUCAUCUUUUGGAUUUGUGUAUAUAUUAGUUGCAGUUGAUUAUGUCUCAAAAUGGAUUGAAGCAAUUUCUUGUCGAAAUAAUGAUAGUAAAAAUGUAGUUAAAUUUUUAAGAGAAAACAUUUUAAGUCGAUUUAGAAUCCCUCGAGCCAUUAUCAGUGAUAGAGGUAACCAUUUUUGUAAUAAGUCAUUUGAGUCUUUAAUGAAGAAAUACAAAAUUACACAUAAAGUUGCUACCCCUUAUCAUCCUCAAACAAAUGGUCAAGUUGAAUUAGCAAAUAGGGAGAUAAAACAAAUUUUGGAAAAAAAAGGUUAACCUAAAUAGAAAAGAUUGGUCUCUUAGACUUAAUGAUGCACUUUGGGCCUACCAUACUGCAUUUAAGACGUCAUUAGGAAUGUCACCCUAUCGGCUAGUUUAUGGUAAACCUUGUCACUUACCUGUUGAACUUGAACAUAAAUCAUUUUGGGCUAUUAAAGUUUUUAAUUCAAAUUUGGAUGAUGUUGGCAAUGUGCGGAAAUUGUAAUUGAAUGAACUUCAAGAAUUAAGGAAUAAUGAAUAUGAAAAUUCAAGAAUUAUUAAAGUAAGAACAAAAGGUUUUCAUGAUAAAAGAAUUUUUCUAAAAACAUUUGAGAUUGGUCAAAAAGUGUUGCUUUAUAAUUCUCGUCUUCAUUUGUUUCCAAGUAAGUUAAAGUCAAAGUGGAGUGGCCCAUUUGUUGUAAAAAAUGUAUAUUCAUAUGGGGCCAUAGAAAUUGAGAAUCCAAAGAACGGUGUCAUAUUUAAAGUUAAUGGUCAAAGAUUAAAACCAUAUUUGGAACAUUAACCACGUGAAGAAGACACCGAAAUCAAUUUGGGUGACCCACUAAAUCUUGAUUAAGUCUUUAAUUUUAAUGAGUGAUUCAAUUUUUUUUUUGUUUUAAUGUUAUUUUGUCGUUUUAUUGUUUGAUUUUUUUCUCGAUUGAUGUGCACCAUACAUUUUUUUAGCAUUAUAUUUCUUGUAUAAGCGUGUUUGUUUGACAAUUGUAUUUUCUCUUAUCAAUUUUCAUUAUAUGUCAAGAGUACCUCAAUAAGAAAGUUCUUGCUCACACAUCUUUAAAACAUUUUGCGUGUGAAAUCUCACUUGAGAGGCCUGAUACAAAGCUGUAAAUCACAUCCACUUUGGGAUCUGCAACCACUAACAUUAGUGUCCUACGUUAAGGACCUAGAAAGACAACUCAGAGCAAUAGAGAGUGGUAUAUAUGAAUUUCAAUUGGAGCUUGAGGUUAACUCAAUAAAAGGACAAAUGUAAGUUCAUUUUUCUUUUUUCUUUGUGUGAUUUCUUUUUUUGUUUUGUUCACUUUUCAUGUUUGAUUUGAUUUUGCAGUUUUGAUUCUCUUUAUUUUAGUGUGUUUUGAUUUAUUUUCCCAUAUAAAUGGAGGAUAACGGUACCCCAUGACUGCUUAAGUCGGUAUCUUCAGUUUCCCACAAUAACUGAUCCCCAAAAUCAAACAUGGAAGAAAUAUAACAUAAAAUGCAUAAGCAUUUUCCCUCUCUCCCUCAGAAUGCCCUCAGGAAAAUUUACAAAGCUCGUUAUGAACAACUGCGUUUGUUAAUGAUCAAUGGCAUUCCUUCUGACGUUCAUUGGAUAAUUGAAGUAAAGGUCCGAUUAGCAGGUGAGUUUUCUGCUCCAUUUGUUUGUUACAUGUCUGGUUUUGAUAAAAACAUAUUUGCUAAAAAAAGAAGAGCUAAAAGACUUGGCUCAGAAUGUCAUAACUGUGUACGACUUAGUUGCUGUCGAGAAAUUUGUAAAUCUUUAGGAAUGGUUUCUGAUAAUUGUGAAGAUAAAAUUAAAUUUGUUAAAGAUGGAUGAGUAAAGAAUCGUUGGAUGAUAUCUUACAAUCUCUUGAGAUGCAUCGAAGCGGAUAUGUGCAACGUGAUAUUCAUAAUUUGUGGAUACUAUUCCAAAAAGAAAGUGCACAGUUUAGUCUUAGGAAUCUGACUCAAAAAGAUAUUGUUUACAAAUUUAUAAGAAAACUAGAUGGGAAGCCUAUCCUCGACCGAUAAAGGGAGUUCAAGUCAUUACUGGACGUAAAACUAGAGGAAGAUGUUAGCCACAACCACAACUACCAGUAAAUAUCCUUUUAUUUUAUUGUUCUUUUAUCAUUUGCUUUAAUGGUGUGAUUUUGUAUUUAAUAAUUAUUUAUUUUAUGUUUGCUUUUUCAAAUCACCAUUUUCUUUUUCUUUUUACUAUUUACUUUUGAAUUACUGAGCCACGACCUUUACAUGUCAUUUGACAAAUAUGCCAACCCAUUUAUAGUUGUUUCUCAUUAUUUUUGUCACCAAGAUCUUUAAAUAUGAGCUUCUUUUUCAAACACUCAACUUAUUUUUCAAGAUUAUUCAAAUGGCUGCAUCUUCUAGUAAACAAUUCAAAAAUAUUUGUGCGCUUUCUGGGUUUCACUAUGGAAAGUACAAGGAGUUCAGUCAGGCAGCUGUAGAUUUUGGUCAUGUCAUAGCAGAGAGGAAACUACACCUUGUAUAUGGAGGAGGUGAAUGAGGGUUAUCAAGGCUUGUCUCAAAAGUUGUUUUUACUCGAGGAAGCCAAGUACUAGGCAUUAUUCCAAAAGCCAUUAAACCUCUAGGAUGCCUGUUUGGCCCACUAAUUGGAGAAGAAUUAGUGGUAUCAAGUAUGCAAGGAGAAUAUAAAAAAUGUUAAAUCAUGCUGAUGCUUUUAUUUUCUUGCCAGGAGAUCUUGCAACUCUUGAGGCACUGAUUACAUUUGCAUCUUAGGUCAAUUUGGACAUUCAUAAAAAACCCAUCAGUUUGUUAAAUGUUAAUAAUUUUUAUGAUGGCUUGCUAACUUUUAUUAACAAUACCAUUAAAAAUCCUUUUGUUCCACACUCUGUAAAAAAACUCUUUAUUUGUGCUUUCACUGCUAAUGAGUUACUUGAUCUUUUGCAAGCUUAUGCGUCAGAGCUAGAUCCCAAGACUUAUGCACUGGAUUGGUCGACUGAUGAUGGUAGCAGUAGCAGUGGUAAGAAGUGCAAAUUAGAUUUAACUAUCUGUUUGUAAAUAUUUUCUGUUGUAGUGUUCAUGUGAUGUCUUCUAAACUCUUUCUCUUUCCUUUUAAAAUAUUGAGGACAAUGUCUCGUUUAGGUUAGGGGGAGGGAAUAAGGAUGGCAACCAAACCCAGACCCAGAUUGAACCCGAAAAAUUCGGUCUUGGUUCAACCCGCACCAGAACAAUUUUUAUGCGGAUUCCGGAUUAGUUUUUCAGAACCCGCAUAUUUUCGGUCCUAAUCCGGGUUCAGGUGAACCCGCAAAUCCGAAACCCGGAUCCGGAUAAUAUUUAUUUUAAUAUUAAUUUUUUAGAAAUUAUUAAAUAUUAGAAAUUAUUAAAUAUAAAUAGAAAAUUAAAAAAAAAAAACCCUAGCCCUCUCAAUCUCUCAUUCGUUCCUUUCUCAAUCUCUCUCAGACUCUCACUCAUUCCUCUCUUGAUCUCUCACUCUCUUCAACUCUAUUGUAAUUUCUCUUCUCUCAUUCUCUCAUCCGUUCUUCUCUCAAUCUUUCUCACUCGUUCCUUUCUCAAUCUCUCUCACUCGUUCCUCACUCAAUCUCUCUCACUCGUUCCUCACUCAAUCUCUCUCACUCUCUCUUUAACUCUCUUGUAAUUUCUCUUCUUCAGAUCAGAUCCUUCGCGACGUGGCUGUUAUCACCUUCACAGUGCGGCUGUGUUCGUUUCAUCACUCAUCAGCAUCAGCAUCACUCGUCUCAUCUCUCACUCUGUCACGGCCAGAAAAAAAGGGGUGGAUUUCGCGACUGUGUCCUGUGUUCAUCAGCAUAUACUUAAACUGCUGCUGUGAAUAUUUGUGAGUCUCGUCUUUUCUCUUUACAAUUAAUGCUCUAGUACGCUUUGAUUAUUCCCUCGUUGCAAUUUCAUUAUAUUGUCUUUACAAUUUACGUGCUGUUAUGCUCUGAUUAUACUCUCUUUGGAAUUUAAUUAUAUUGUCUUCGUAAUUUAUGUGUUAUUAUGCUCUGAUUAUACUGUCUUCGCAAUUUAAUUAGAUUGUGUUUGCAAUUUAUGUGCUGUUUUGCUCUGUUUGCAAUUUUAAUAUCUAUACUUUGUAACUUUAAUAGCUAAACUCUGUGAUUUUUAAUAUCUAUACUCUGUUAUGCUUCAAUUUUAUUAUUUAUAGUUUAUUUAUUUUUGAAUUAUUUUUUAUUGUUGCUGUUAAUAGAAUAGAAAUGGUGUCUCUAAAAUAUUUAUAGCUUUUACGGUUAGACAUAGCAUAUAAAUUGGAAGAAGUUGCUGGAAUUUAUUAUGUCUUGACAUAAUUUUUGUACAGUGAAAAAUUGAUAUGGAAAAUGAACAAAGAAUCAACUUGGAUGCCUCUGAAAAAAGUGAUGAAAGUGUUUGUGUGAGAGUUAGGACAGAAUCAGAAAAUAAUAAUGAUACAGUUGUUUAAUUAGAACCAAAUUCAACAGCAGCAGUUCAGGGGAGUAGUCGUGGCCGUAGAGAUAAUAGUAAUCCUGUCACUUCACAAAAAUGAGGUGGUGGUGGUAGAGUAGUCUCUGAUGCUUGGAAUCAUUUUAAAAAAGUUAAGUUGGGUGAGGAAGUUCAGGCGAUUUGCAAUUACUGUGGGUUAGUUAUGUAAGGACAUUAUUCGAGGGGUACUAAUCACUUAAUAAAGCAUGCUAAACGUUGUCCUAGAAGGUCAUUCAAGAAUGUACAGUAAAUGCACCUAUCUUUUUCUCCUAAAGAUGAUGGAACCACUUCACUUAGUAAUUGUAGCUCUGAAUCAAAAUGGAAUAUGGCUACAGUAAAACUUUUUGUGGCUAGAAUGAUUGUACUACAUGAGCUCCCCUUGACAUUUGUUGAGUACGUUGGGUUUUAUGACUUGUUGAAGCUACUCCAACAUUCUAUUGAGACUAUUAGUAGAAACACCACCAAAGCUGAAAUUUUGAAGCUUUAUGAUGUUGAAAAGAAAAAGACAAUGGGUAUUUUGGAAGUUUGUGAGAGUAGAAUCGCAAUUACUACAGAUAUGUAGACUGCUAGUAACAAAAAAAAAAAAAAGAUACAUGGUUAUUACGGCACAUUACAUUGAUAGCUCAUGGGUGUUGCGAAGUCAUAUUAUGAGGUAAUAUUCUAGAAACGUUUUUUUUUUGUUUAAGCAUAAAUUAAUGUCCUAUCUAAUAUUUUAAUUAUUUUUCACAUUGUUAGGUUUAUAUAUGUGCUAGCUCCACAUAGUGCUGAGGUAAUGUGUAAUGAGUUAUAUGAUUGUUUGAUGGAUUGGAAUAUAGAUAGAAAGUUGUGCACUGUAACUGCUGAUAAUUGUGCUACAAAUGAUGCUAUGAUUGCCUUGUUGUUGGGCAAAUUUUCUACUAGUUCAAUGAUUAUGAGUGGAAAAUUCUUUCAUAUGCGUUGUUGUGCUCAUAUAUUGAACUUGAUAGUUAGAGAUGGUUUAUCUGUGAUACAAAAGGGAGUUGAGAAAAUUAGAGAUAGUGUUCAUUAUUGGACAACAACACCUACUAGAGUUGAAAAUUUUGAGAAUGUAAAAAAAGAAUUAGGUAUUAAGGAAACCAAAAACUUGGUACUUGAUUGUAAAACUAUAUGGAACUCCACUUACUUGAUGCUUAGUACUGCAUUGUUGUAUAAAGAUGUAUUUGAUCAUUUAAAGGAACGUGAGAGAAAUUAUACAUCUUUACCUAGUGAGUCAGAGUGAAAUUUGUCAAAACUUAUGUGUGAGUAUCUAAAAAGCUUUUAUAAGUUAACAGAACGUUUUUCGGGGACACGAUAUCCGACAUCUAAUUUAUUUUUUGCCAAGAUUUGUGAAAUUAGAUUGUCAAUGAAUGCAUGGUUGCAAUCACCAAUUGAGGGGAUAAAAAAUGUGGCCACUAGGAUAAUUACGAAGUAUGAAAAGUAUUGGGAUGAUAUUCAUGGAGUUCUUGCAGUGGGGACUAUGUUAGAUCCUAAGCGUAAAAUGUUACUGAUUAACUUUUUAUUUCCUAAAAUAUAUGGGGAAAAAGCUAAAUUCGAAAUUGAAAGAAUGCGUAAGUUAUUUGUUGAUUUAGUGCAUGAGUAUGAAGUAAAGCAUCUAUCAAAUUCAAGUGAGGGGGUUAAUGGUGCCAAUUCUCAAGCUACUACAGGAGGGGAUUCUAUUAUGUUGGACUUAGAUUUGGAUGAAAUGACUGAUGAGUGGGCAAUAUUUUGAAAUGAAAACACACAGAAUACUCAUUCCAAAUCAGAAUUAGAGCUUUAUCUUGAGGAGAGUACUUUGCCUUCAACUAGUCAACUUGACAUUUUGUCAUUGUGGAAGAAUAAUCAAGGCAAAUAUCCUAUACUUGCAAAGAUCGCAAGGGACUUUUUGGCCAUUCCUGUAUCAACAGUUGCUUCGGAGUCCGUUUUUAGCACUGGAGGUAGACAUUUGAGCCCUCAUCCCCUGUAGACUUCACCCAUCCACAGUGGAGGCAUUAGUGUGCACUCAAAAUUGGUUUUGGCUUGAACAAAACCUAAAAGGUAUGAAAAAUUUAUUUAUUAGAAUCAAAUUAUUUUUUGUAUUGUUAUUAUUAUGAAUUUAUCACUAAUUGGUUGUCUUGUUCAUUAUGUUUAUGAUUUACACAGUUUUUGUAGAUGGAAUUUCAGAGGAAGCAAUACUUUCUGCUGAGCAUUUGAUUGAUAAAGUUGGAUGAGUGAGCAACAGUCAAACGAAGUGGAUGAUGGAAAGUUUAGUCUUUAGCACUAGUGGUUUGAAAUUUGAACUUUAAAUUGUAGAAUUAUGUAAUGGAUUUGUAUUUGUGGAUGUUUAUUACUUUAAAACUUUGAAUUUUAGAUUCUAUAUUGUGUUGUAUUUGUUUUAGAACCUGGAUAAGUUAUAUGUUCUGGAUUUGAAAUUUUGUUGAACUAAAGUAAAGCAAUCUGGAAGCAAUCUGGUUCUGGUUUGUGUUCUUUUUGUUUUCCUUUUUCCAGCAAGUUAGCAACUUAAGUAAAGCAAUCUGGGUUCAAAACCCAGAAUCCGGAAACCCAGAUUUUUCCAGGUUGAACCCGGACCAGACCCAGAUUGAAAAAAAAUGGGUUCAAUGCGGGUCCGGUAAUGAGAAAUUUGUGUCCGGGUCCGGAUUCGGAACGGCCAAACCCGGACCUGGACCCAGAAAUUGCCAUCCCUAAGAGGGAAUAGUUGAUAAUUGUGGAAUGUCUUAGUCCUAGUGUUGUUUUUACAAAGUUUUGCUGUAAAGACUAACUUUGGAGUAAAUUUGAGUCGAAGAUGGUUGGAUAUGGAGAGUGUAGUACCUCUAAAAACGUAUCUUCUUAAUCUUAGAGUUUUAUUAAAAAACAAAGUAACAUAUGAGUGUUCUUUGUCAUCUUCUUUUAAGCUCCUGCAUCGAGUUCAAGUGAGAUCUCCCCUUCUUCUUCUUUUAUUAUAUAUAUAUUUUUUGCAUGCAUAUCUGUAAUAUUAUAAAAUGUUGAGAUAAUGUUUAGAUUAGGUUGGAGGGUGGGGAUAAUUGACAUGUGUUUUUAAAUAUGUGUUUGUUUUUCUCUUUUCUUUUUAUUUUAGAAAAACAAAUUUGUCUAGGAUGGUUGUGUAAUGUCACGACUUUUGAGACGGGUCUUAAUAGUCAUGUUGUAUUAUAUUUUGAUUUUGAAAUUCAUAGUAAGUUGUUUUUGUUUCCUUUUCUUUAAAUUACUCAAAUUUGUGAACUCUUCAAUUAGUUAUUAAGUCAUUUAAUUGUUUACUCAUUUAACAAGUAUUAUUGAAUCAUUCUUUACACACACACUAUGACACAUACUAGUGGGUUGUAAGUUAAAAUUUUUGCAACAUUUAGUUAUUUUGAUUUAUUAGGGAUAAUAUCAAAGGUAGUAGAAAGUGCAUAUUGUAAAACAAAAAAAAAAGAAAAAAAAAUUGAAUAUGUUUAAUAUUUCUAUAUCUAGAACCCGAGUAAUUAAGUCUAUAGGGGUGUUUCAACACUUAGUGUCAUAAGGCCAAUUGGUCUGGGAGUCACUAGCCCGAAACUCGCUACAUGAGUUAGAAAUAUAUAGUUUGCUUAUUAGAAACCCGAGUAAUUAAGUACGUAGGGGUGUUUCAACACCUAGUGCCCUAAGGCCAACUGGUCUCAAAGUCACUGGCCUAAAGCUUGCUACAUGGGUUAAAAAUGUAAUAUUUUUAAUUUAUAUGUGUGAAUAAUCUACUGCCUAAAGAUAGAAUUUCUAAUAAAUUUUUGAACAAAAAUGUUGUUUUUCUUUUAAUGAAGCCCCAUAAGUAUUGUGUUAAUUACUUGAGCACAAAAGAAGGUUUGAUGAUAUUCUGGAUAAUGAGUGAACGACAAAGAGGUAAGGAAAUCUGGGAGAGUUUAUUUAUUUGAUAGUUUAGAGGAUAAAUGAACAACUAUUAACUUGCAUGUGAAUUUUGUAAAUCUUAAUUUAAUAUAACUCUUUAAUUGUUAGUAUUAGAAAUUGUUUGAUUAUCAGGCGAUAAAAAAAUUAUUUUGCGCUUCUAUUAUAAUUUAUAUUUGUGUUUAUGUAAUAUAUUAAGAAUUAUUAAUUAUGUCUUAACUAUAUUUAAUUUUGUGUAUUUUUGUGUGUUUAUUAGGUAAAAUAUUAAAUUCGUGUAAUUCGAGGCUCCAAACAGAUAAACGGAUGACGAAUUUGGAUUCCGAAGGUUUGAAAACCUACGAUGAGUUAAAACUGUCUUAAAAUUGAGGUUGUGCAAAAGAAUUGACUUUUUCUAUUGACCGAGCACUGAUUGGAUGAUAAAAUGAGUUUACAAUAGAUAUGAGUGUAUUGGAUAGCUGGCAAUUUUGAUUAAAUCUCAACCGUUAUAAUUCAAUGGCCACGAUUAUGCCACAUGGCAAUGGUUGGUGAAGCAAGUUGUAGGAUUCGAACAUUUGUAUUCGGGUCGACCCAAUCCACCCAUUAACUUGCCAAAUCUCAACUAUUCUUUGACCGAAUCGGAUGCGUCAAAUGAUGCCACGUGUAAUGUUGACUUUUGAAGUUUGACCAGCCGUUAGAUCGUGAUCUAAUGGCUGUGAGGAGCGCAUGCAUAAAGCUCAUAAUUGGCCGCGAAACACUGGAUUAUGAAUUUAUUUUUCUAUAAGUAGAGCCCCAUUUUUAUGUUUUUGAUCAUCUCUCUUCUUCUCAAUUUCUCUCAAUUUCCCUUUAAUCUUGUUUUUCAAUUGUGUUUUUAAUAUUUUGUAUAAAUUGUUAUACAUAAAUUUAGUUUUAUUUUCAAUUUUAGUUGUUUCUAUUACUUUUAAUUAUGAGUAAUUUAAUUUUAAUAAUUAUUUUUAUCUCAAUUAUGCUUAACUAAAUAAUAAUUGUUAGGGUAAGGUGAAACUCUUAGGAAAUAAAUAUGAUUUAAUGAAAUUCUAUUUUAUUUAUAUAAAUUAAAUUAUUUUCUAUUUAAUUUUAUACAUAUUUUAUAUUUUGAAAGUUUGAUUUAUUGUACACAAAUAAGGGAGUUUGGCACAAUAAAUUCUUAAUAUCUUAAUAUAAGGUAUGGUAAAAUGAUAUUUUGACUUAUUGUAGACAAAUGGUAAAAUGAUAUUUUGACUUAUUGUAGACAAAUUAAAUUUUGGCACAAUAAAUACUUAAUCCAUAAUAAAAUUAAUGGGAAAAUAAUAAUAAUUUAUAUAAUUAAUGUUUUGAGCAAUAAAUAUAAAAAAAUGGCAAAAAGAAUUUAUUAAAUUUUAUUUGCUACUAAAAGUGAAUCCAUAACCCUUAAAAAAAUGGCAAAAAGAAUUUAUUAAAUUUUAUUUACUACUAAAAGUGAAUCCAUAACCCUAACUAAUUCAAUUUCAUAGUUUCAUUUAAGUUAAGUUGUAUAAGUUUUAUUUUCAUUUUUAGAUAAAGUAAAAUAAAAAAGUAAUAUUUUCUCUGUGGAUCGACUUCGAACUCACCGAACUAUAAUAUAACAAGACACUCUUAUAUUUGGGAGUUAUAAAUCACUUUUAAGUUGUGUCAAUUAGGGUACAAUAUCAAUUCGUUCGAGAGGUAGUGGAAGAUGGAAGUGUGGAUUUACAUAAAAUUCAUACCAAAGAGAACCUAGCAGACACUACUAGAAAAAUGGUCUUUACUAACACUUGUCUUAUGACACUUUAUUAACAAGUAUCAGUAAUUACAUGUGAUUGGGGCAUUUUUCGUGUUUAAUAGAUAAGUAUCACAAAUUUCUAAUACUAUAGCGUCUAUAGAUUAAGUAUCAGAGAUAUGUGACAUUAAACUAUCAGUAAUUAAAAAAAUAAAAUUCUAAUUUUGUCUCCACUAGGAGUCGAACUGCAGACUUCUUAACUUUACCUUUUUAAUUUUAAACGUUAAACCACUAGACCACAAGUUGCAUUUAAUUUUUAAAUAUUAAAUUAAAUUAUCUAGAAACUAUGUCUUAAUGAGGUGUACAUGGACAUCUAAAAUCUAAAAAUUUUGACGAGCAAAAAAUCUAUCCCCACUGCCAUUUUCUUCUUUGAACCGAAGCUCUCUUCUCUCUCUCUCUUCUCCUCUCUAAUAACGAUCUACCUCACAAGCCGCUGCUGUAAACCUUCAAAGCCGCCACCCUUGAGCUAAAAUACCCCUAGAAAGACGCCUAGAAAGUGUUGUGAAGAACUUGGCCAAAGUUAGGGUUUGAAAGUCAUAUUAAAAAAAUUAGGGCUUUUUUUGUUCGGGGUAUUUUAUUGUUUUUAAUGUUGAGAUCAGAGAGAAUGAGUUUGUCGUCGUCAACGAAAUCAAUAUCAGUUAUAGAAUCCACAGAGGUUGAUAUACAAAGAACCUGUGACUUAGAAAAUGUUUUGUUUCAUCUUUAUCUAUAAUUACUUUAUAUAUAUAUGAAACCCUAAUUUUGAUUUCCUUUGGGGUUGAUGUUUUUGGUUGAAGUUGGGCUUUAUGAAAGCAAAGAAGAAGCAGCGAAGAGAGAAGAGGUUCUCGGUCGAAUUAAUCAGGCAAGAUUUUUUUUUUUAAAAUUAUGAGUGAUUUUGAAACUAAGAUGACUUCUUGUGAUAUGUUUGUUAUCAGUUGGUUCAUUCUUCAUUUUGUAAUUUGGUUAUGAAUUGAGCUUGUUUGAGUUGUAUUGGUUAUCUUAGAGAUUUUAUUUUGUUAGAGAAUUUAGUGAUUUUGCAAUCAGGAAGUUUUGUGGGUGUGUUUGGAUUUGGGUGUUCUAGGGUUUGCUAACUUGAAUGAGGUUGUGAUUUGGUGAAAUUGAAAUUGAUGUCAAUUUUGAGCUUGAACUAUUGAUUCUAUAGAUGGGUUUGUUCUAUACUUGUCGAAAUUAUUCGUAUUCUUUGAAUGCAUGAGUAUGCCCUGUGGACAACCUUAAAUUAUUUGAAGGGUUUCUCAAUAGUUUAUUUAAUGAUGAUGGAGUUCAAAGACAAUGAUAAUAUCAAGUUUAAGUCACGAUUCUCAUUAUGAGUAUUUUUCCUUUUUAUUCAUUUUGUGGUUUAUGUUAAAUUAUUUGUGUUCUGAGUGCCAACGUGUGUGUUGUGUACGGAGUUUAGGCACCGGUGAUAAGCAUGAAGUUAUGGAGCCUUCUUCUGUUUAUGGUAGAAGAAGUACUGCUGCUAAAAGGAAGAGUAAAGGCUAGGAAGUAUCCAUGCAUGUAGCUGGCUCUCUUGCAGCUACUAUCAAGACUGCUGGUGCCAGGUAUGAAUUGUGAAUUUUUUUUUGCUUUUUAUUUUCCCAAUCAGCAUUUGAAUUUGCUUUUUGCACAAGUUUUGACGUACGUUAAGUUUUGACUAGCUAGGUUCGUAUUAAUUUAAUCCCAUUAUACAACUUUUUACUAUACCCAACACAAAUUAAAACACAAGUCAAACUUAAAUGAAAGCAAAAUCAAACAGAUAAAUUAUUAAUUAGCUAAGUAGCCAAGGAGCCGACCAUAGCUUAGUAAUUAUAUAAAGCAAUUGGGUUUCUAUCUUUUGAUGAGUCACCUGGACGUUUCAUAUUCAUGCAAUAAAUAGCCACAGUUUCUAUAGAUGUUAAAAAGCCUUUGCUGCAAGAAACCCCUUCGGCUUCAAGUUCCAGUCCCAUUAUUAGCCCUCUUUCCUUUCCUUUUUCCUAUAGAAGUUCUUCUCUUUAAAAUUGCUUUUUGCACAAGUGCUUUUUCAUUUGCUCUCAUCAGAGGUGAGGAACUUUAUAGAUGAUGCUUCAAUGGGUCCAAGUUUCAUUAUGAAAUUAUUUCAUUUCAGUUAUUUAUUUUCUUUACAUUAUGUCAUCGCAGGCUGCUGGUCUAAUAAAUUAAAAAUGAGAAAUUCCCUUCUUUCUUCAGUGCCUUCCCAGCUUUACUACUUUGGCAAUGGUACUUUCAAUUAGUUUUCUAUGAAGCUUGAGUAGAGCCUAAUACAAAAUAUUUAUUUUUGCUUGGAGUUAAUUUUUUACUGGGUUUUUAAUUAAUGGACAGACACAUUGUGUGUUGUGAUGAUAUUUAAUUUUGUUCUUUUUUUGAUUUUUUCUUUUUAAAUUUUCAGGAAACAAUGAAGUUCAGAUGCCAUAUUUGGCCAAUUCCAUGCAAGUUGAUAGCCUAGUGUAUGCUUUCUUUCUAUCCUUCAAACAUUAAUACACCAUUUUAAGUACUUAAAAUGAAUACAAGAUAUUUAAAGAUGCUGCAGAGUGCAGGCAAAUGGCAAAAGCAAUUUUUUUUUUUUUGGGUGAUUAUGGACUAUGGUGUUUGCUGGAAUAAUCAAAAGCAUUUUUUUUUUCAAAGAUUUGAGAAGUACUUGCUCGUUUGAUCAAAUUCAACCAACCAUUUAUCAACAUCAAUAUUUAAGAAGAAGGGGAAAAAAAAUUUUAUCGUGCCCUCUACUUUUGUCUUGGCUUUUUAUCAAACAUCACAGCAUGUCCUGUUUGCGGUGGUCUUGGCUUGCAUUGUAUAUUCUUUUCUAACUUUAUUGGUUGUCUCUUAUGGACACGUGUGUAGUAGUGAGUGUGUGUGCGUGAGUGAGUGUAUAUAUGAUCAUCAAUUUCAAUAAAACAUGCAUGAUAUAUGAUAAUUUUUCAGCUUAUUGAAUAAUUAUUUCGUAGUCUUGACUUCCUUUCCCUAUUUUUUGUUCCUUUUUCUUCUCAGGAAAACAUACACAUUAUCAUAGAUUCCUUUGCCAUUUGUAGACUAAGACAACACAACAUGAGGUUAAAGCAUUAACUUGUGAUUUUUAUUUAUGAAUACAGUGAUAUUUUUGUUAAAAAGGUAUCAAGAUUAAUGAUAUAAGGCCUUUGUUUGUAAAGUCUAGGUUUGUGAAUUCAAAGGGGGUGGAACUAUAUGAAUUAAAGAUUGCCUUAGAAAGAUAGAGAAUAUGCAGAGCUUUAAGAGGUACAUCUCUUAAUUGCCUUGAACUCUAUAUUUAUUGUGAAUAUUUUGGAUUAGUAGCUCCAUCAAUAAAAUGGCUGAAAUGUUUUAUUAUUCUAGUAGAGUAAUUUGGAAUGAGUUGACACUAAUUGCAUUAUGCAGAAAGUGUGUAAUUAUCAAGAGUUAAAUGCUUUACUCUCACACUUAGGCUUGGUGGCUAAAAGACAUAAUUGCAAGCCUUUUUUUGAAAAAACAUACUAUGUUGUAUUAGAUAUUACAUUUUAUUAUGAAUUUUUUUAGCUGGAAAAUCAUUGUUUUUUAUAUAAUGAGAAAUAAACACACUUUCUUGAAACUAGAUGUUAUACUGAAAACUUGAAGGCUAUAAUUUGCUCUCUCACUCUCUCUUAUUCAUAUAUAUAAGAGAAUGAAUUCAUCAUCACUUUUUUUUUUUUAAAUUUAUAUCUAUAGUUAAAUAUAUUCUACCUUAUUUCUAAUCAAAUGAGCUACAACAUUCUUAUUCUCUAAUUUUCCUUUAAGAUAAUUGAGUCGAUCUGUUCAUAGCUUAUGAAUAUUUUUGUUUUCGAGCAAAAUAUGUUUAUUUCUAUUAACUUUUGUCUCUGUGUUGCUUGUUAAUUUAUUUUGCAACUGUUGGAAUUUGGCAACCAAUUUCUUUUCUUUUUUCUUUUAUUUGUUUGCAUAUAUGAUUAAUAUGUUUAAAGUGUUUCUUCUUCAACUUAUAUCGCUAACCCAUCAAAUUCAUCGAAUGAAGAAGCUGUUCGUGAUAAUGCAUGAUCGCAGUUCUUAUGUUCAUGGAGUGAAAAAUAAUAAUCCUUCUAAAUUUAGCUUUUAGAUUUGGUAAAUUUAGCCCUUCAAUUCAGCUACGAGUAGAAGGAAUUUGAUUGGAUAAUAGCAGUUAAGAUUAUUCAAUUAUAAGAAUAAGAUGUCUUGUAAUAAGACGUCUUGUGUAUUGAAGUAUUUGGAUUGUGUAAUAUAUAUCUAUAAUAUUUAAAUGUUAUGAAAGGUUUUGCAAUAUAAAUUGAUUUUUGUUCUUAUUUCUCUAUAUCAACAAAUCAAUGGGCAACAUGUCAUUUUAUAUAAUUAUUUUUUAAAAUAAUAAAUAAAGUAGUGACCCUAUAGUAACAGUAAUCACAAAUACUAAUAUAGUAUUGUAAUAUUUUGAUGCCAUGGUGUUAUGAUUUUAGUGAUACUAUAGUAAUAGUAAUCACUGACACCACUUACAAGUGUCACUAUUUUUCUGACUCCUAGAUUAUUGAAACAAUUAGCAAGUGUCACUAAAAGUAAUUACUGACACUAUUCUAAUGUUAGUAAAGACCAUUUUUCUAGUAGUGAGAUGUUUUGACAAGCCAAUCAAUGCUGACAAGUUUGUAUGGAGUAGAUCCUCUUAUGACUUAGUAGAGACGUAAGCAACAUGACAAUAAGGAAGAAGAAUGAAUGGCAUAGAGUCAUGAUUGGUUCUUAAUUAAGUCUCCAAAUGGGAGAUUUGUUGAACAUGUGCAUGCAUGUGGCAAAUAAUUGCUCGUGGCAACUUUUGACUUUUGACACAAUUUGUUGAGUAAGUGGGAGGCUAGCACAAAACUUUUGACUUUGGCACCAAAGUAGAAUGUUAAAUGAAAAUAUAUAUCAUUUUAAAGCCCACCAUUAUUGAUUUUUUGGUCAUUGCUAGACUUAUAAAUAAAGGCUUCAUUUGCCCUUUUCAUUCAUCAAUUUUUUUUUUCAAUUCUCAAUCUAAUUAAGAAGUAAAAGAGCCAAGAGUUGGAGAUUGAGAGUGUCCUGAGAGCUUUAAACUCUUGUUUUAGUGAAAUGAGAGUUUGGGUGUAUUAGAUUUUGAGUUGUGAAACAAAAUACUACAAUACUUGUUACUCAUUUUCACUAGCAAAAUAUUUACUUCUAUCUUUGCCCGUGAAUGUAGGUUAAAAGUCAAACCACAUAAAUUUUGUUGCCCUUAUGUGAUCAUUGUUUCUCAAUUUCACUUUAAUUGUGUGUCUUCUUCACCCAUCAAUUUCCCAACAUUUCUCUAUCCAAUAUUUGAUUCCAACAACGAUCGAAUUUAGCCGCUUUCUUGUUCCUUCAAUUGAUAUACCCACAAAAAUGUCAUCUUAAAUUGCUUUAUUCGCAGCAGUAUAAUGAGUAGAAAAUGCAUCAUAUAUUUAUAUUACAAAAUUACGAAAACAAAAAUUUAAAGAGAAAAAAUAACAAAUAUUAAUUUGGCUUGUCUUUUCAAAAAACGUUAUGAUUAAUUAUAAGCAAAAACGUUACAACAGAGCAUAUAAUAAUAAAAAGAAAGAAAAUAAAUGAAUCAAACGUGCAUUUUAAGUGUCUUGCUAUUGUGCAACUCCACUGUUGUAUUUCUUCAUUCUUUGAAAUCUUGACAAACAAAUAAUUAAUAAUACAACAUAAUUUGAAUUAUAAUCUGAUUUUUUGUUUUGUUCUUUCUUUUUAUAUUUAAGUAUCUGCCAUUGACGAUUGCAUUUCAGUGGAAAAUAUGUAUGGUGAUACUUAGAGGAGAGUUAUUUAAAGCAAACGAAAGAUUGAGAGAAUCAAAUCAUAUUAAUUAUGGAGAGAAAAUAGGAGGAAAUAGAAGAAAAAUAUUUAAUAAUAUGCUAGGGCCUAUUAAUUUUUACUUAUGAUAUUAUUGAAAAAUUGCCUUUUGUCAAAAUUUUGUAAUCUUUUUUUUUUUCCUUAAGAGAGGUUAGGGGUUCAAGCCCCGCUCUCAUAUGGAGUCACCGCUUUGGCCAGCACUUUACCCAUUACGGGCCGACCCGGUGCGAGUGAGAAUUAGUUUGGGUUGUGGUACAAGCUUAAAGGUGCCUCCCACAGUUGGAGCCCACUCAGGACCACCUCGUGGUUCAGACAAAAAAAAAGACACCAUUUUUUUUUAAUCAAUUUAGUAUUAAAGACACCAAUGGUUAAUGCUAAAAGGUUAAAGUUUUGUGUACAUUAUUGUCUCAAAAAAGGAUUGCUAAUCCUAUCUCAUAUAUAUAUUGGUGCACUAUUUGAACAGCCUAGCGCAUUGGAAUACAAUAUUUUUGUAAUUACUAGGCUAUGUUUGGGAGGUUGGAUAAAUUGUGAGAUUGGAUUAGAUUUUGGGACUAACAAAAAUAAUUUAAUUUAAGGUAUGUUUGGUUGUCAUGAACUAGUAAGGCCAAAACAAAUAGGAUUGUUAAUCCUUAUUUGUUUUAUGGGUUUAGGUGGGAAGGAUUAAAUAAAAAGUAUGUAUCAUCUUUAUCACUCUUUUCGUUUUCGUUUAACCUUAUAUUUUAAUAUAAAUUAAACAAAGAAGUUAAUUUCUUAAAUUUUUAACCAAGUAAGUUAUUAACCAUUAUAGAGUUACAACAUUAGUUGAAAUUGAAAUAUCGAGAUCCGUAACAGUAUUAUUCUAAUUAUUAGUUGUUCCUAAUAUUACUGUCGCUAGCUUGCAAUUAAGUCAAUUUCUUAUGAGCAAACAAGAUGGUCGAUUCAGAGUAGUUAUAAGGACACAUACACCUCCGUAGUUUGAUAAAAUAAACGUAAAGACUCCUAUAUUUUUCAGAAAUAGCAUACAAAUCCCUGUUUAGACAUACAAAAUCUUUUCUUUUUUGUUUUUCAAUAUAAAUCUUGGGUUGUCAGUUGAUAGGAGAUCAGCAAACUACCAACCUUCAAUUUGGGACCAUGAUUUUUUGCAGUCAUUGAAUAGCAACUAUACGGUAUUCAUUAUUAUUAUAAUUGUUAUUAUUAUGUAUUAAUUUCCUUUGUUCAUUUCAAAUUGGCACCAUGAAUAGCUAAAAACUAAAUGUUGUGCGUGUAUAGGAUGAAUCAUACAAAAGACGAGUAGAAGAGCUGAAGGGAAAAGUAAUGACAACGAUUAAGGAUGUAACCGAGCCUCUGGAUCAGUUGGAGCUGAUUGAUAACUUGCAAAGACUUGGAUUGGCUCAUCGUUUUGAGACUGAGAUUAGGAACAUAUUGAAUAGUAUCUACAACAAUAAUAAAGAUUAUAAUUGGAGAAAAGAAAAUAUGUAUGUGAAAGAAAUUAAGAAAACUGUUGUUUGGUUGCUGAGAAAAUAUCUCAGAAAAUUAAGAAAACUGUUGUUCCAGGAUUGCUACAGCAAUGGUUGCUACAACAACUGCAUUGUUCCAGAUUUGUUUCAAUUCUUUUGUAGCUAAGUUCUUCCUCAUUUUUGCAAGCCUAUUGCAUCAACAUUCCUUCCAUGAAUUAUAAGCUUCUGGAAACCUACAAUUAUGCACACAAUUUGAGUACAAAUUACUUUAAAUCAAGCAAAACAUAUUAAGACUGACUAAAAUGAUUAUUUAUGCAAAAUGUAACAAAAAUACAAUAGAAACACAUAAUUUACUCUCUAAGUAGUAUUGAUUUAAGUCUAAAAGUGCCAUAAUAACUCUCAUUUCAUAGAGUUAUCAAAUAGUUGUAUACACUUUUGGUUUAAAAAUGCCAGAUUUGCUUCUGGUGGUCAUAGGAUGAAUGUUGGAUUGUAUUUGGGAUGAGUCAACAUGAGGAGUUAAUGAUAUUGUAAUAUCAGAAGCAGAAGCAGGUAAGAAAUGUUGUGUAUUAAUAGGUAGAUGGGUGUGAGAAUUUACUUGCUGUGAAUUUUGAUCAUUUGUUGCUUGUGCAGGAUUUUCUGAGUGAGUUGAGUUGCUGCUAUCAGGGUUUGCAGAUAUGGAAUAACCAGUGCUGUUUUCAGUGAAUGAUUGAACAACAGCCAAAGUGGAAAAAUGAUAUAUUUGCUGAGGAGAAAAGAAAGUAGAAGAAAGAGAUGAUGAUGAUGACUUAGUGAAACAAUGAAAUCUAGAAUCAAUAGAGUAAGGAAAUGUGAGUUCAUCAAAUAUGACAUGUCUUGCUAUGUAGAGGUGACCUGAAGGAUGUAAGCACUUGUAUCCUUUGUGUGAUGAACUAUAACCUAGAAAAAUACAUUUGCUGGAAUGAUAAUCAAAUUUGUGUUUGUUAUAAUCCCUCAAAUAAGGAUAACAUGUACAGCCAAAGCACUUAAGCAUGUCAUAGUUGGGUUGGUGUUUGAAAAGUUUCUCAUAGGGAGACAAAAGCUUGAGAACAAUAGAAGGCAGCCUGUUUAUGAUAUACACAGCUGUAUGAAAAGGUUCCCACCAAAAUUUGAAGGGUAAUUUAGAUUGAGCUAGCAGUGUAAGUCCCAUUUCAACAAUGUGCCUAUGUUUUCUCUCAACCAAUCCAUUUUGAUGAUGAGUGUAUGGGCAGGAGUGUCUAAAAAUGAUACCACACUGAUUUAAGAAUUCAGUGAAAGAUCUGUACUCACCCCCCCAAUCAGAUUGUAACUUCUUAAUGGUGGUUUGAAAUUGAUUUUCAACCUGUGUUUUAAAAAGCUUAAAGACAUCUAGGGCUUCAGACUUAAACUUUAGAAGAUAGAUCUAGGUAUACCUACUAAAAUCAUCUACAAAACUGAUAUAAUAGUGAUAUCCAUCUCUAGAAUAGAUAGGUGAAGGACCCCAGAGAUCUGUAUGUAUCGGUUCUAAGAACUUGGAUGUUUUGGUUGUAGCUGAGGAGAAAUGAAGCUUAUGAACUUUGCCCAUUUUACAAGCUUCACAGAUAUACUGCAGUGCUUGUUUUAUUUGAUUAUCAAAAAUAUUUACAGACUUGAUAUUUUUUAGAACAUACUUUAAGAUAUAUUGAUUGGGAUGACCAAAUCUAUUAUGGAACAAAGCAACUUUAUUCACUGAUGUUUUACAAGGUAAUGCAGUAGAUGAAUAACAAGAUUUUGAAUGGCUACAACCUGCAUUAUUAACAUCAGUUACAGAAUUAAAAUGAAAACAAGACAGCAUAGACACUGGUUUAUUUGAACUGAUCUGAGAUAGAAAAGAUGAUGAUGAUGAUUUAGAGGAUGAGUAUGGUUUGAAUAACAGCCGGUAUAAUCUUUUUUCAGCAAUACCCUGCAGUAGAACUUCCCCCUUCAGAGCAUCCUUCACAUAACAAAUAUUGCCAAGAAAUUCAACAGACAAAUGAUUAUUAGAUGUGAGUUUAGAAAUACUCAAUAAGUUUUUGGUAAUUAAAGGGACAAGAAGAAUAUCUUUCAGUGCUAUGUAUGGAUGUUUGUGUUGAGCAGAUGAAGUUUUAAAAACAAAAUUUGCAUCACCAACAUGAGUUAUGGGCAAACCUUGUCCAUUUCCAAUGAUCAGAACCAUUAAACUCCUCUCUGACCUGCAUAUUAGCCAUGUUGUUGGUUAAGUGAUGAGUUGCUCCACUAUCAAGAUACCAUCCUUCAUCAGCAGGCCCUUCAAAGUUGGCAAGGUAAGCAGCUCCAGGUGCAGAAGAUAUUUCAGAUGAACAAUGAGGCAUAGAAGAAUAUGUCACUGGAUCCAGAUUGUAAGACUGAUAAUUUGAGCAGUUCAUAUCAUAGGAAUCAUCAAAAUAUGGAGCAGACUCAGCAUGUGGUUCAAAUGUAGCCAUGUAUGCUGACUUAGGUCCUCUUCCUCUGCCAAAUUGCCUUGACUGUGGCACAUAAUUCUCAAUGUAUAUGUGCCAACAAGCAUCAGCUGUGUGCCCUAACUUAUGACAUAUCUGACAAACAGGAAUAUUAUCAUCUGAUUCAGUUCCAGUUGAUAUAAAACCUUGACUAUGAGGCUUAGGAUGUUGUAAAGCUUUGUGAAAUUACAUUGUCAUAGAAUUGCCUCUUCCAAAAUUAUGACCGCUAGUGUUAAAGCCUCUAGGAUAUGUAUUAAACAUCAUUCCUCUUCCAGCAUUUCUGUUUCCAUGAUGAAUUUGUCCACGAUAUCCUCCAUAGCCAAAACCUCCUCUUCUAUUAUUUCCUUUGACUUGAGAAUAAUUGGAGUUCAUCAUUCCAUAGUUAGCAUUGAACACGACUUUAGUAUUAUGAUUGUUCUGACUUUGUUCUAACCUUGCCUCAUGUGAUAAUAGUAAGGCAUGAGCAUCAUCAUAAGACAUCUUAUUAGUUGUGAUAAUAGACGCAAGAUCUAGAUAAUCAGUUCCUAAUCCAUUUAGAACUUGCAUUAACAGAUCCCUUUCUAACAUAGGACUGCCAGCACAAGCAAGUUUAUCAGCUAGUAUUUUGACUUUUAAACAAUAUUCCUCAACAGACAUGGAUUCCUUUCUAAGCACAUUCAAUUCAUAGCGGAGUUGCAUUAUCUUAGCUUCAGACUGAGCUCCAAAUUGUUUCUCAAUGGAUCUCCAAGCAUCUCGUGAAUUGUCAGAAUUAAAAAUAGAACUGAGAAUACCUUCAUUAACUGAUGACAAAAGCCAGCCAAGUAGUAUUUGAUCUUGAGCUCUCCAAUUUAUGAAUGCUGGAUUAUCUACUUUCUGUACUGAUCCAUCAACUACUGUUUGAAUGAUAUGUUGCUCUGGUAUGAUCUGAUUUUUAGAUAUGAAAUCUUCAAGUCGAUUUCCUCUUAUUGAUGUGAGAACUUGUUUUCUCCAGAUUAAGAAAUUAGAUCGAUCUAGUUUUAUUGGAUUACUAAAUGAGAAUGAGAUCUGUGAGGAUUGAUUUGCAUUUGUUGAAUUUGAAAGUGUUGUUGUGUUGUUGGAACUAGCCAUACUAGCUCUGAUACCAUGAAAGAAAUUAAGAAAACUGUUGUCUGGUUGCUGAGAAAAUAUCUGAGAAAAUUUCUAGAGAAUUUCCAGACUACUUGUAUUUAUUUUUCUUAAAAUGAAAAUGUUAUGAUUACAACUUAUUUAUACUCGAUGCUUAAACAUUACUAGAGCUAAUGAUUAACUGAUUCAGAAGAAUCUACACAUGCUCAACUAUAGCUUGAUAUACAGAGUAAACAUAACAAACUCUCAACUACUUAAGCUGAGGUGGCAGCUGAGCUGUCAUUCUGCUCAUACUCUUCUGACGUCACCAGCUUGCUGGUUUUCCUUAGCUUGAGCAGCUUCCUCUUUUCUGCACAGUGAGAUUCUCUAACAGUAUGCAACCUCCCUUGAAUUCAGACUACUUAGACAACAUGGCUAUCCUGUUUCUCAAGGUACAUUUCAUUAAUUCGCUUCCUUCUUCAUGCACAUGCAUGAUCUGAAUACUUGAAUCGAUCUCUCUGUUUUUCUUUCUUUUUUUUAAUAAUGUAAAGAAAUGGACGAAACCCAAAUCAGUUUUAUAUCUCUCUAUCUCCUGAGAAUUCGAACUCGACAAGGGCGCCGCUAGGGAUACUUCAAUCGUUCUCUAAUUAACAUAUAUGUGCAAAAGUUUUGAUGAAUAUAAUUUUUUUUUUUCGGUUGAGCACUGCAGAGGUUUUCAGUGGUUUUAAGGACGACAAGGGAGGCUUCAUUUGUGAUGAUUUCAAGGGAAUACUGAGCUUGCAUGAAGCCUCGUAUUACAGCUUAGAAGGAGAAAGCAUCAUGGAGGAGGCCUGGCAAUUCACCAGUAAGCAUCUUAAAGAAAUGAUGAUCAUCAGCAACAGCAAGGAAGAGGAUGUAUUUGUAGCAGAACAAGCGAAGCGUGCGCUGGAGCUCCCUCUGCAUUGGAAAGUGCCAAUGUUACAGGCAAGGUGGUUCAUACACGUUUAUGAGAAAAGAGAGGACAAGAACCACCUUUUACUUGAGCUGGCUAAGUUGGUGUAUAACACUUUGCAGGCAAUUUACCAGGAAGAACUUAAAGACAUUUCAGGGUAUCCAUUUGAUUGCAUAACUCAUAUAUAUAUAGACACACACACACACACACACAUCGAAGAUUUGAUUUUAUAAUUUACAUAACUUGUAAAAUUUAAUCACAUGUAUAUUAAAUUAUUCUUAGGUGCAAACUCCGCCUUUUACAGUAGUUUAAAGGCAUGAGCUCUACUUUAUAUAGUGCAGACAUUGCACCAGAGUAUGACUCUAUAUAUCGAGCUAUUGUAAAGCCCUUAUACACUUUAUAAAGUGCUAUUGUCUGCAUUACAGAAAGACUCUUCAGAAUUCCAGAUGAAAAGCUGACUCUAUAUAUAUAGAUAUAUACAACAUGUAUCGUAAUAUUCGUUUCAAUUUCCUUAUCAAGGUAGUGGAAGGAUACAGGUCUUGGAGAGAAAUUGAGCUUUGCGAGGGACAGCUUGGUAGCAUCCUUCUUAUGGAGCAUGGGGGUAGGGUCUGAGCCUCAAUUCGCCUAUUGCAGGAGAAUAGUCACAAUUGCAAUAGCUCUAAUUACAGUGAUUGAUGACAUAUAUGAUGUUUAUGGAACUUUGGACGAACUUGAGCUAUUCACUGCUGCUGUUGAGAGGUUUGUUGGCAAACUAAUGUUAUAUCUAAUCGAUUAAUUCAAUUGCUAGCUAGCUGCCUGCUACUUCUCAAAUUAGUAGACCAUUUAUAAUAUAUUUUUUUUCUCUUUUCUACAGGUGGGACAUCCAUUAUGUUUGAACCACCUUCCGGACUACAUGAAAUUGUGUUUUUUUGCGCUUUACCACUUUGUUAAUGAAUUUGCUUAUUACGUACUCAAACAACAGCAUUUUGAUAUGCUUCGGAGUAUUAAAAAUUCAGUAUGUAAAAUGUUAAUUUCACCUCUCCCGCCGUUCCGUUCCUUUGAUUUAUCCUUUUUAAAUUACGAUGCUUUUGUCUCAAAAAUAAUAAAUUGUAACUAGCUUUAUUUUCUAUGUCAUGUGCAUAGUGGCUUGGCUUAAUACAAGCCGGCUUAGUGGAGGCGAAAUGGUACCAUAGUAAGUACACACCAACACUGGGAGAAUUCUUGGAAAAUGGAUUGGUAUCAGUAGCAGGCCCUAUAGUAACAAUGAGUGCGUACCUUUCUGGUACAAAUCCAAUCAUUCAGAAGGAACUAGAAUUUCUAGAAAGCAAUCCAGAUUUCGUUCACUGGUCAUGCAAGAUUUUUCGUCUUCAAGAUGAUUUGGGAACUUCGUCGGUAUGUUUUCUUUUAUUUUCUUUUGAUUCUUAAGAAGAUAGAAAUUGAAUUAAUCCUCUAUAUACGAAUUGAUUGUGUAUUUUUUUUCCCCAAUAAUUCAUCAGGAUGAGAUACAGAGAGGGGAUGUUCCUAAAUCAAUCCAGUGUUACAUGCAUGAAACUGGUGCCUCGGAGGAAGUUGCUCGUGAACACAUCAAGGAUAUGAUGAGACAGAUGUGGAGGAAGGUGAAUGCAUACAGAGCUGAUAAAGAUUCUCCCGUAUCUCAAAAUACAGUUGACUUCAUGUUGAAUCUUGUGAGAAUGUCCCAUUUUAUGUAUCUACACGGAGAUGGGCACGGUGCUCAAAACCAAGAGACUAUGGAUGUAGCUUCUACAUGGCUUUUUCAGCCCAUUCCCUUGGAGGACAAACACAUGGCUUUCACAGCACCAAAGGCUGAUGAAUUCCCAGAGUGCAGUUUCAGUUGAUGUUGGCCAGACUUUUCUUUCUAUUGGGGGAUCGCUUUUCUAUAAUAUAAUAAACUUCCCCAUUCAUCGAGGUCUAUAAAUGAAAAGAAAAUGAUAUUUAUAUAUGUUGCUUUUAUUGAGAAUAAAAGUCGUCAGUAUAUGCAUAUACUUAAGUCAGGCUCAUUCCAAUUCCUACAAGAUGAGGAUGGAUGCAGUCACACUCGAUUAUUCAAGCAUGGUUCAUAGCAUGUUAAGCACAAGGGCUACUUUCACUAUACAUGCAUCACCCAUUUAAAUAGCAUUUGACAAAUCGUACCCAUUUAAAUUAAAUGAGCAUAGAAAUUAGAGCUGUGGCAUUUAAAGAAAAAAGUUACAAGGAUCAAAAAGUAAAUAUAACAAAAAAAUGAGUUCCUAAUUAUUGGGUUAGCUUAAAGACAGGAGCGCCUAAUUAUUGGAUUAGUCCAUUUUAAUUAUCUUCUAUUAUCAUAUUCAUUUCUAGAAACAAAUAUCCAACAAUGUCGUUUGUGUUUAUAAAAUAUGAGCGUAUAGACUUGGGUUCAAUCUUUCUAGUCCUCUCAAAACUUCGCCUUUAGCUACACAUAAGUUAGGACUUAAAUCAAAAUUCAAAUAUUGAAAUCUUUAUUUUUAUUUUUAUUUCAUUAUUUGUUUUAUGCCAAUAAGAAAAAUACAAAAAAUUUCUUUUCAUGAGCCUGACAGUUGACUCUGUGGUACUGGAAAUUUACAAAGCAAUGAAGUUGAUUGUGACUGCUGCCAGUUAACCCAAGUCGAAAAGCCACAUGUAGCACCGACUCAAAACUAUUCUAACUAAAGGCUACGACUACUAUGCACCAGUUCCAUUGAUAAACCCCAUGGAAUUAAAUAUAUGGAAAAAAAUAAUAACCAUAGGAUUUAAAGCAUCGUACAAUCAACGGUUGAUGUUGAUUGAGGGAACCGGAAGAACUAGGACGUGGUGGUCCGGUUGAUGUUGAAGAGGCAAAUUGGCUGGGUAUUUUGAAAUCAAGUAUAGCAAUUGUGAUUUAAAUUGCAUGCUUUAUGCCUACUGCAGAGCAGGUGCUAUGGAGAGCGUAAUGCAUGUUAUGAGGAAAUUGGACGAAUUAGUCCGGAUUAAAAUUCCCAUCAUAUUCUAAUCAAACAUUUCUCCAAUAAGAAGUUUUAUAUGCUUGCUUAUCGGACUAUGAUGGACAUGCAUAGUAAAGGCCACCAGCCGGAGGAGGUAUGAAAGUGGUCAUAGACAAAUGAACUUUUACUUCGGGAUUGCAACGCGAAAGACUUAUCACAGCUAUGCUGUUUUGCAGGAACUCUGCAAUUCCCUAAUUUUUCAUCUUGGUAAAAUGAGAGCGACACUCAGAAGCACUCUCUGUUCACAACAUGUUAAGAGGCAGCAAAAGAUCGAUGUGCAAGGCCUUCAUGAGAAAAUUCUUCAUAUUUUAAUAUCCGCAAAACUUUCCAUGUCUUACCAUUUUAGAUCGAUUCUUCAACUGUCAUUUUUAUUCUUUUUUUAAUUAAAAUCUGAGGCCUGGAGUAGUUAUAUUCUAUUAAGAGUGAAUGACGUGGCGUGCUGAGCUGGUAUUAGUGCGACCAUCUGCUGUUAAAGUCGUUAUUAUGUAUAACAACUCAUGCUUUUACUCUUUAAGAGAUAUAUAAGAGGAAUUGCAACGUGCAGACUGGGGUCAAGAGAGUGAUGAUAUGAUAGUCUUAGUGAGAGAGGGAGAAAAAAUCUCAAUAGAGAAGAUUUAAUCUCUGUAAUCUUAAGAAUCUUCUGUAACUCAUAUCUUUCUAAUAAAGUUUCAAAGCAAAGCUGAUUUCAACCGUGGAUGUAGGCAUCUUGUUGCCGAACCACGUUAUAUGAUCUUGUUAUUUUUCUUUCCUUUUCUUUUAAUCUCUUGUUUGCUCGUUGUUCUGGUUUAUAUAAGUUUCUGUUUUCAAUCUUGGUUUGAUUCAAUCUUGGAAAGACCUUCUUUUGUUCAGAACUUAACAAACUGGUAUCAGAGCUAGGUAUUUAGCUGAUCUUGGAUCUACAACGGCUACCACCAUAUUUGAUCUUGAAAAGUUCAAUGGGGAGAUAGCGAGGUGUUGGUGAGAUAUAUGGCAGCUAGGGGGAUUUGUCUCGGUAAAAGGAGUCACAGAUGGUGGGCAAUAAGUGGUGCCUGAGUUUUGGUUGUGCUCGUGCGUACUGGUGCUUGAGGGGUUUGGUGGCAGCUGGAGGGUGAGAGGCUGCUGGCAGCUGUUUGAAGUACAUAAGGUUCAACGGUGGUUCCGUCAGCAAGUAAUCACCACCAACGGAAGCAGGCAAUGUGGCGACAGCGUGGAGCACAUUUUGAAAGGUUUGUUGCAGUCUAAGGUUUAUGGUUUGAAGUGUUAAUAGUUGUUGUGAGGGCUGCUGAUCAGUGGGGAUGUCGCCAGAAAUUAGAGGAGGUUCUGGCGGUAGAGAAUCACUACAAGAAAAUAGGCAAUAGAUGACAGACAAUUUAUGACAUAUUCAACUUAUAUCAUAAUAGUAUGAUAGACUCGUGAUAGAAUUUUCAAUUUAUCAUGAAUUAAUGAUGAUUUUGUGACAAUAUUAUUUUCUAUCACAAAUUUAUGAUGGUUUUGUGAUAUAAUUAUUGUUUAUCACAAAUUUAUGAUAGAAUCAUGAUAAAAAUUUUCUCUGUCAAGAAAUUAUGAUAAAAAAUUUACUUUGACUAUAUUUGACCUAAAGUUUAAUAUUUUAUUUUAUUUAAAAAAACAAAAGGGUGCAUUUUAAUAAUUCAAAAAUGAAAAAAGAGAAGAAAAACACUACUGUCUUGACCCACCAAGCCCCAAAAUCACUAACACUCACACCCAAACACUCAUCACUCUCUCACGGCCAAACCCUAGAAAUCAACCUUGCACUCAAUCGAUUGAGCAAAACACCAUCCUUUCACCGCGAUUCAAUUAUAUUGUAACUAUGCCGGCAAUGUUGUUUAAAAAUUGUAGCCUGUUGCGGUCGGCACCAUUUUGCUAGUAGUAUUAAAAUGCUGGGUUUGUUGCUACUGUGUCAUGCAGGGUUCGAGUGGCUACUUCUACGUCGCGUGGGAGUGGCUGCUAGUACGUCGCGUGAGAGUGGCUGCUGCUACAUCACGCUGCUGAUGCUAUUGGGUCGCUACUGCAUUGUGUGUUGUUGGGUUGUUGAUGGGUGAUGGCUGUAAUUGUUGUUUGGGUGUGUGAGGUAGUGAAGGUGUGGCUGUCGGCUGUUGUUUGUUGUUGCUUCACGUGAGAGAGAGGGCAGCUGAGGGAGGCAAUUUGGUUAUUUGGGGAUUUAGGUUUUUGGUUGUUUUAUUUUGCUUUUUUUUAUUUUCUAGUUUUUUUCUAUUUCAAUUUUUUAUAUAUAUAUUAUAAAGCCUCUUUGUAAAAAAAAAACCAGUAAUAUAUGUCAUCAACUGCAGUGGUAUUCUUCUACACCAUUUUUUUGACAAUCGAAUUCCUCUUUUCAUCUUGGCUUCCACUUGUGAAUUUCUAUCUGGUUCAUGCUUUUCCUGUUACAUGUGCUAAGUGGUGAAAUUUUUGGUAGAACAGAACAACAAUAAUGCUCUUCAUGGUCAAGUUACAAUUGGAACACUUAUUUUACAGGUAUUGUUUAAAAAUAUAUUAAUGAUAUUCGCUUAUAAUUUAUGGACAUGGACUAGUAAGAUUCAGGUUUUGAAGCAUAUUUAGCCGUUUCUUGACCUUGGGUUAUUUCAGGAUUGUAAAUAGUUCAGUUAAUCAAUUUCUUAGUGUAGAAUGUAUAUUCUGUAGUUUAUGCAUUGGCACUCUAAUUAUUUCUUCUUCUAGCUAUAGUUAUUCUAGUUACUGCUAAAGAAAAUAAACAAAUAAAUAAUGGCCAGUUGGUAAUGUGUACGGGGACACUUAGUUCAGAGGCUAUUUUGACAGGAUUUUCUUGGAAGUAAACUGGAUGAAUAUAAAAGGAUGCAUAAAGGUGAUAUAAUGCUGAGUGAGUAAAUUAAUUCGAGAAUGGUUGUGGUACUGCUUUAGUUCUGAUUUGAUAAAACUUAUGGUAAUCGGUCCAACAAUACUUCACUGCAAAAUUUAGUUUUUUGUUGUGAAAGCUGAGAACUUUCACAUCAAGAGAUUUUGAAGAAAACCUGGCCUAAAAAAACAGUAUGUUCCUCUUUAACUUUUCCAAUUUUUUAACUAUCAAUCCCUCAUUAUGAUAUUAACUUUCUGAUGAAAAGUUUUUCAUUUAACUCAUUAAGCCUAGGUGAAUUGGUAGAUAUUUAGUAAACUACUAUUAGUUAUUAUCUGGUAGAGAUUCUUGUGGUGUAUUUGUUCUUCUGUUUAUUUUGCGAUCAUUAUUCCAGGUAACAAGUUCCUUUUUGUUUCAUUCAUCACAGGUUGAAACUUUUGCACAAUUUGAUGUUGUCUUCCUUCAUUUUGCUUUGGGGCUAGAGUUUUCUUUGACAAAGGUACAUCAUUAUGUGCUUGGAAAGUGUAUGAUAAUUAUUAACAACAUUUUCCUUCUUUGUUCAUAAAAUCUGUUCCAAUUCCAUAAUUCAUCAUCAAUGCAGUUAAAAGCAGUGGGACAUGUCGCUGUUCUUGGAGGGCUACUACAAAUUGCAAUAUUUAUGUUCUUGUGUGGCAUAACGGCUGCAGUAUGUUGCUUAGCCUCUGAUUUGGUUUUUGUUACAAUUUUUGCUUCUUGUGUUUCUUGUCAAAAUUGAUGUUAAACUUGGACUAUUUUCUAUUUUAAAUACGUAGGCAGGUUACAUGCCUAGAAUUAGUGUUGUUGGUUGAGAUAAGAUUGUCAAAGUUGGUUGUUUGGUUUCCUUUUCAUUAGUUGAUCAGUUCAGUUGGAUUUGGAUGCCAUUGCUUUUUAUGACUUUAUGAUUUAUUUUUGUCUCCUCACACUGGUCUAUUGUUGUGGUUUCCUUUGCAUUUUUAGCUAGCUUGCUGAUUUUGAUGAAUUCCCAUUCACCAAAAGUAAUUUUAAUCCAUUGAGUAUGUAUAUUUUGCUCAUUCCAUAAAAGUGAAGUUUAAAUCAAAUAGAUUACUAUAUUUGAUGCCCACAUGUAUUGCAGCCUCUUAAUUUUCCUUAUUCUGCUUGGUGUUUGAAUCAAUUUUGUUCACAGGAAGCUUGCAGGUCGCUUUGUAAGUUUCAAUUUUCGUUUAGAGUGCUAUCGGAAGAUGAUAUUGUUGCUGGAAUUUUUACAGGAAGUCUUGCUAGAAAUCUUAUUGUUGGAGUACUUGCAUUAAUCUUUGGAAGUUUUGUUGGGUAAUUUGGCUUGGUGGCCGGAAUUCUUAUUGCUUUUCUUAGAGUUUGAUUGGAAUUUGACUGCAAUUUUAUAUUUUGGGAUGACUUUUUCAAUUUGGGAUGUUUUAUUAUGUAUUGGUGGAGAUCACAUUGGAUAUUAGAUGUAUUUCUUUUUAAAUUAAUUUUUGGAUUGAAUGAAUGUUAAUUGAUAUUAAUUUUUUUAUGAUAUUUGUUUUAUUAAUUAAUUAAAUUUGUAAACAGGAAUUCAUUAAUAAAUUAUAAUAUAAUUUUAGAAAAAAUCAAAACUUUAUGAUGGAAAAGCCAUCAUAUAUUCUAUCAUAAAUAAUUUCCCGCCAAAAUUGAAUAAUAAAUUUUCAAAUAAUAAUUGAAUUUCUCACUAAAAAAUUAAAAAAAAUGGCGCGAAAAUUUAAAUAAAUUUAAUUUUUAAUUUUAUUAUUUUUUUACAUUAAAAUAUUAUGUGACAGAUAUAUGACUAUGAAAUGCUAUCAUAAAUUCAUGACGGAAAAUAUUCUAUCAUAAAUUGAUGACAGUGACAUAGAUGACAGAUGAACUGUUUGUCAUACACCCCAUUUUAUGACAGUUAUUUCCUGUCAUCUAUUGCCUGUUUUCUUAUAGUGAAUCACCGCCAUUGGCGGACGGCGUGGUCAUAGGAAUUAUCGCUUUCUAUAAUACGAUACUUGAUGCUUUUCAACCGUAGUUAUUCUCUUUUCAGGACAAUUUGGAGUCAAUUUCUCAUCGUGCUACUAAGAAGUUUGCACUUGCAUUUGUGAAGUUGGGCAACAUUAACUUGGUCAAUGAUGUAAUGAAUGCAGUCCAUGCAACUGACUAUAUGAUUGAUCAAGUAAGCAAUGAAGAAUUUAUAAAGCAAACACAAUCUCGCAUGCAUGUAGACACAGACACAUACACACAAGUACUAAAAAUAAUAAUUUAGAAAUGUCUUUUAAUUCCUUUUCUUCUAUGAUCUCGGGGAAUAUUUCAUAUAGCUAUAUCAUGCUAUAUAGUGAAACCUGAGAAGAAGAGAUUGCUACUCAAAUUGCUAGAAUGGAUGACGGGUCAAGGUUAGGUCAUAAUCUUUUGUGAAUGUGUGAUGCGUGUGUAUGAUUGCUUUUUUAGAAGGGUUAUGGUCGGGUCAAGUUGGGGGCAGGUAGAACCUGAACUCUGACCCGAAUUUGAUUGGCCCGAAUACUUAAGCUCUAACCCGACACUUAAUCCUUAAAUUUUGAUCAAAACUUGAAAUUUUCAGGGUGGCUCAAUCGCAUAAAAUAUGGAGUAGGAUUUUUUUGCCAUCCCUAAUACAGACACCUCUAUAGUUUAGUAGGGUAAAAGCCCAUUUAGUCCCUAUAUUUUAAGAUUAGUGUCCAUUUACUCCAUGUAUUUUUAAAAAUGUCUUGAAACAUCUCUGCCGUUAAAGUAUUGAUACCCCUAAUGUUACUUUUUAUUUCUUUUGGCUUACUUUUACAAUAUUAACCUUUUUAAAAAAAAUUGUUUGGACAUUAAUAAAGGAAAAUAAUUAAACAAAAAAAUUUCACCUAAAAAAUAUAUAUUAAUUUUUAAUUGUCAAAAAUUAAAUUGUAAAAAAUUGUAUGCAAACUACCAAGUGUGCAAAUGGUGCUUGCAAAAAACUUAAUAUAAUUUUUUAAUUUUUUAGGGUUAAAUUGGUAAUUUAAUUAUUUUCUUUUUAUUAAUGUCCAAACAAAAAAAUUAUUAUAAAAGGAUAAUAUUGUAAAAGUAAGCCAAAAGAAAUAAAAAGUAAUGGUAGGAGUAUCAAUACUUUAACGGCAGGGAUGUUUCGAGGCAUUUUUAAAAAUACAUGGACUAAAUGGACACUAAUCUUAAAAUAUAGGUACUAAAUAGGCUUUUACCCUAGUUUAGUAACAUGGAUAUAGAGACAACCAUAUUCUCAGAAGUAGUAUACAAACCCUUUUUUGGACAUAUAAAAUCUUUUUGUUGUAAGGAUACAAAUGUUAUUAUGUUAGUACUUGAAAUGAAAAAUGCAAUAUUUAAUAAUGUUAAGAAUUUAGAUCUAUUUUAACAAGUGUAGGCAAACUAAAACACUAGAUAAAUUAAUUACCUUAAUUUAUCAAUCUUGAAAUUACUGCUCAUAGAUUACUAUUCAAGUGAUACUAUUUUACGACUUACUGUUUACACAAUAAUGAUUAUAGUUACUAUUCAUAUGAUAUUUUGUAUGAGUCACUAUUUAUCUUUACAGUUCAUCUUAAUUGUUUAUCACACUAUUCACAUUGUUGUUCAUUCACCCAAAAUCUAUCAAAUAUAAUAGAAGUAGUAAACUAAAGAAAGUAAAGCAUACAAAGUAUUUUUGCAUUGUUUGGAUCACAAAUCUACAUUCACGUGGCACGUCUGGGCAUCAAGCAAUUUAGUAAGUAAUGAAAAUAUUACAAACUAUUGAAUUUUUACACAAUUUCAGACUCCAUCUUACUUUUGCCGUCACAUUGUUAAAUGUAACGUAGUCAACCUUGCUUAGCGAACACCACUCGUCUUCAAUUAUGUUUGCUACUUCCUUGAGAUCUCCUCAUCACAACAAACAACCCCUUCAUUCUGAAGAGACCAAAGUAAAUAAUAAAGAAUGUCUAAUGAAAGACUUGAUAUGAAGAAAAUUUGAUAUGAGGAAGACUAAAACAUUAUAAAGAUAUGAAACAUCAUAUGCGACUAGAUAAGGUUUCUUCUUGUUCUCUGUGUUGGAUGCUUCUCUAAUAUAAAUAUGAUAUAUCUUUCUAACUUCAAUAUGUGAAGUACUUCCCUUCAUAGAGGUGUAGGAUUUCACCCAAACCCUAGUAGAGGAGUGCUAGGAUAUACUUUCUUAAGAGUUUAGUAUUCCAUAAAUACUUGAUAUACUUAUCAAUAUAGUAGUUAUUUUUAUUUGGAACUCUUUGGUAUAAAAUCCUACUUACACGCCAAUUUACUUCUGUACUAUAAAAAUAUUCUUCAAUAGUCCAUAUAAUCUAAUCUAAAUAAUUCUUAAGACUAGACAAAUUCCUAAUAAAAGGAAUAAAUAAAUUGCAAUAUUAUUGACACAAUGAUGCCAAUAAUAAAAUCCCUAACAAUCUCUCCAUUUGGCAUCUCCUUGUAGUCAAAACAUAAACUAGCCAAUUUUCUAGUCUUCAAAUGGCAUGCGUAGAAGCAAGGUAGACCAUGAGCAAUAACAUACACAUAGAUAGAUCAUAAGCAAUAACCUACAUAUAGAUCAGAAGAACACACAAAGGAUUAACCAAAACAAAAAUUAUUUGUCAUCAUUAUUUCAGGAUAAAUUCUUCUCUAGUAAAUAAAUUCUCAUGUCUAAGAUUCAAUUGAGAAAAGUAACUCUCCCCUUGCAAUCUCAUAUCAAUGUAUUUAGAAAGCAAUAAUACAUGUCAAAGAAAACAAAAUAAUUAAUAAAGAUCGUAUGCAAAUCACAAAAGCCCCCCUUAGUGAAAGAAUGAAAAAACUCCCCCUACAAUUGAAAUCAAAUUGAAAUUGAGUUUGAAAAAAAUAAAGAAUUUAUGUCUAAAAAAAAAAAAAAUCACUCUCUCUCUUUUAGGAUGCAAAGGAAGAAAUUCAAAUCUACUAUCCCCCUGUUUGACAUAAGGUGCUAAAGAAAGGUAGAGAACAUAAAUGAAAAUUAAAAGAAGCUAUGGAGAUAUAGGCUGCUAUUUAGGUGAGAAAUAAUGACGAAAAUGAGUUAAGCAAUAGCCCUUAAAGGAUCACCAAAUGACUUUUCAAAUUUAAUUCUUCAAAUAUUUAUUUGCUUACACAUGUGACAAAUAGAAGAAUGAAAAAAUUAGCCAUCUCCGAAAAGACUCUUCUAAUAUAUAAUUUCAAUCAAACUUUUUUCUCCACCAAAAUAUAACGAUUAUAACACAUCUCUCCAUUCAAGAAUGAAAAGAUAUAAAAAGUAAUAUAAUACUAAAUUGAAAGAACAAAAGAGCUCUUUAAGUGAGAUUCUUUAAAUAAGUUUGUUCUUUUCUCUCUUCAAUAUUAUUUUAAUCAAGCUUUUUUCUCUACCAAAAUAAUAACAUUUAUAACAUAUAUGCCCAUUCAACAAUGAAAAGAUAUUGAAGAGAGAAAAGGACAAUCUUAUUAGAUGAAUCUCAUUUAGAGAGCCUUUGGAAUACUUUUUUAUUUAUUAUGUGCCUCUUCAAAUGAUAUGUAAAAUUUUAGUCGAAGAGCCUUUUAGUGAUGUACUUGUAUAGAGAUAUAAACCUAGACCUUAUAGAAGCAGGAAAGUGUAAUUUGUGUGGGAACUGAUUACUAUGCUUUCCAUAAAUAAUAAAAACUCAAAUAGGUAAUAGAAUCCUUAUAUAACUAUAUUAACUAAAAUAUACCUAAAAUAAAAUCAUCAAUAUGGAUUAUAUCCGAGAAAAGUCAUAAGAAUGGCAAAAAUAAUGCAAAAUCAUGUCAAAAGGAUUGCAUUAUCAAUCACAUCAGAUUUUGGGAAAGAUCUUAAAUACAGGAAAGUUGCGUGCUCAAUAAUAAGUUCACUUACAAGACAAUUAUGGAUAAGUCCAUAAAGAUUGAAAAAUGUAUGAACAGCCCUAAAUGGUUAAUUUUCAUCAAUUUAACCCCUAAAUCAUGAAAAGCCCUAAAAAUGAAAUGCAUGCAUACAUAUUUCAUGCAAUCAUCCAUGCAAAAAUGACCUGAAUGCCCUUUUGAUGAAUAAUGCACAAAAAAUUAUGUGAUGUCAUAAUUAAAAUUACUGCAUCAAUGCUAUGAUAAACAUAAAUUUUAUAAAUUACCUAUAAGAUUACUAUAUAAAAAGUAAAACAAGUAAAUUUAUAUCAAAUUGGUAAAUUUAUGUUUUAAAAUUACAAUCAAAACAAACACUUAUAAAAUUAACCUUGUAUAUCAACAUUACAUUUUAAUUUCAAAAUAGUUUAUUUAUUAAUUUAUUUAAGCCAAAAAAAAUUCAUCGAUCGAAAACAAUUGGAAUAAGUUUUAUAAAUUGGUCUAACCAUAAAUUGAAUUUCUAUGCCAGGACAUUUAUUAAUUGUUUUUCAUUUUCUAUCAUAAUAUUUGUUUUAUAUACAAAUUAAUUAAGCAAAAUUAUUUUUCUUGUGGAUCAAGUCAAAAUAAAAUAAAAGACAUUCUUACAUUAUUAGAUAUAUAUGAAAUAUCAAUAAAAUUGGAUCCAAUUUUUAGUUUUAAACAGAUUUCAUGUAGUUCAAACUUUACUUCUUACUUACAUUAAAAGAUCGUAUAGAAUUGUUGUCGAAGAGGUUUAGAAGGAUCAAAAUCACUUAGCUAAAGAUAUGAAUUUUUUUUUCAAAAUUUGAUUUAGAAAAAAAAAUUUAUCCUUAAUAAAAUUUCACAUAUAUCAUCACAUAUAUUACAUAAACCUAAAAUUAUCAUUAUUCAAUUUCGAAAUAAAAACAGUAAACAUGUAUGGUAAUUAUUGUUAUAAUGAGUUUUUAUUUUACAUUUGUAAGUUUUUUUUUUUUCAGUAACCCUUAUAAUAUUUACUUGUUUUUCAUUUUAUUUGUAAGUCUUCUAUUUCAUUUAUAUAAUUUACACUUAAUGUUGAUUUACAAGUUUUAUGUUACAUCUGUAAGUGUGUGAUUUGUUUACUGAUAAUACAUCAUUUUAUCACUCAUAUGUUAAUUUUACUUGUUUUUUAUUACUUAAUUUAUGUUUUAUUUUACACUUAAUUUUAAUUCACAAGUUUUGUGUUAUAUCUGUAAGUUUAUAUUUUGUUUAUCAACAAUACAUCAUUUCACCACUCUUGUGCUAAUUUACUUGUUUUACAUUCAAUUUAUAGGUCUUAUGCUUUAUUUACUUAAUUUAUCUUUUAUUUUAUGUUUAGUGUUAAUUUAUGACACAGGGCAGAAGCGAUACUAGAUUUCGUUCUAGUGUACAUUCUUGAAAACUCAAGAAAAUGGGCUCUCGCAAAGGAGAAAAUAUCUCAAUUGAGAAAUACUAAAUAUUAUUAAUGAAAAAGCUUGCGUCAAGAAACAAGCAUAAUAAGCCUAUUUAUACUAAUUAGGAUUAUCUUAUCCUGAUAAAAUUAUGAUUCCUUGUAAGUAAAAAUAAUAUGACUUUAAUAAGAAAAUAUAAAGUAAUUCCUAACGAAACUAGAAAACUUAUACUCCCAUUAUACUCUAAUAGGAUAAAUCCUAAUAGAGUAUUAAGUAUUUAAUAGACUCAAAUACUUUAAUUUUUGAUAUAUUCCAUCUUAUAUGCUUCCUACAUUAGUCUCCUCCUUUUCGAAAAAAACUCAUCCUCGAGUUUUGCUGAAAAGAAAGGACAAUCUGGAGGAUUAAGCUUGUAAUGAAGGAGUAAUUGAUCUUAUGAUGCAAAAAUGUAGCACUUUGCAUAAACUUUUCUUGAAAACUUCAAUUUCUUCUUGUUUUUGGGUAUGGCUCUUCUAAAAAUUGUAGACUUGUAGGAGAAAACCAUUAGAAGUUCUCUUUUAAUUUGAGUCAGAGGUAAGUUGGGUAGGCUAGCUCCGGGAUAAGAUCAAUUUGAUGCUAAAUAAUCCUCAUAGGAGGUAAUUUGUUUGGAAGCUCUUUAGGCACGAUAUCUUGAAAUUAGAGAGUAGCGAUUGGACUUGUUCAGGCAUCUAUUCUACUUCAGCUACCUCUUUUGGAACUAAAAGAUAGGUUCACGAAAUAAGGUUUGUGCAUGGUCAAGAGGCAAAAAUCGUUCUCUUAGUAGGUGAUGUACGUGAUGCCUUAUCUUGACCUUUCUUUUUCCUUAUAGCACAGGAGAAGUUUGUAGAUUGUCCCACCAAACUGCAACAGCGCCUUUGAGUUUAUAUGCUAUUGCUCUGACUUUCUUUGGUUUUGAAAUGUCCAUUGUUUCAAAGAAUCGUUCAACAACUAAUAGCCAAUUAAAAAACUGUUCAAUGCUUAAUUGUCAACUGAAUGAUAAGAGGUCAAUUUUGAUGCAGUAGUCGUUCUCAUGUGUUUAUUGUCGUUCAUUUUUUAUCUCCUCCUCAUCUGAAUCAUCUGAACUUGGAAAAAAUGGAAUAGCUUUUGUAUUCCCAUUAGAGCUACCUAUUUAUUUUGUUCCGUUGGUCUUCUUAUGCUCACCAAAAUUAUUUCUUGAAUCAACAAUGUCAAUACUCUUUGCUUCCUGAUUACUUCUUUGGGCAAGGCUAAUCUUUUUUAAUUCUUGUCUCACGCCAAGUAAUGAUUCUUUCAUCGUCGUAACAUGGGUUUGUAUUUACAGUAGGGCUUUCAUUGUUUCGCGCCAUGCUUCUACUGAAUGGGUUUGUGAUUGUUCGAGUCGCUCUAUCCUCCUUGUGAUCUGAUCUUCAAAUUGAACACCGCUUUCUUUAGAAACUAUUGUGUUUUUUUGUUCUUUUGUUCUUUUUAUUUUUUGGCUUUUUUGGGGUUUUUAAAAAGAACAAAAAAUUAUAAGGUAAUAAUGUAAUCAAAGAAAAGUAAUGGGGUAAAAUUAUAAAUAAAUGAACAUUUGUGUUGCCAGCGACGAUGAUCAGAAAAUGGAGCAAGGAUUGUCGAAUCUAGAAGAUUUAAGGUUGGUGAGUGUAAUGGUGGUGGUGGUUUGACUCAAAUUGUUGUGAUUUGAUCGAAAAAUUGAAUUGAAGUGGCAGUUAGAGGCUAGGUUUCGGUUAGAGGUGAAUGGGCCAGUGGUUGGCAGCAAGAGUGGGCUGGAAAGAAGGACUGAUGAUGGUGGACAAAUUGGUGGUGGUGUUGGCUGUCAAAUCACGAUAGAUCUUGGUGAAUCGUGUGGUGGUUUGUGUGGCGGUUGAGCGGCUGUUUGGUACUGUUUACGGUGGCUACGUUGGUGGGUUGGUGACGUUAGUACCUUGGAUAUGUUCGGUGGCGUGUGGGCUUUCGGAUGGGAGAGAGGAUCGACCAGAAAGAAGAAAAAUGGUGGCGGCGGCAGCCUUGUGUGGUGACUGUAAAGGUGGUUCGGGUUUGGAUUUUUUUUCUGGAUAUUUUUUAAAUUGACGGAAUUAAUGGAUAAUGGAGGAAGAAUUUGUGUAUCGAGGGUGAUUGAUGGGCAGGAAAGCUUUGCUUGGCACAUAGAAAGGUUGUGAUACCACUUGACGCAGGGCGGAAGAGAUACUAGAUUUCGUUCUAGCAUACUUUUUUGAAAACUCGAGAAAAAUGGCUCUCACAAGGGAGAGAAUAUCUCAAUUGAGAAAUACUAACUAUUAUUAAUGAAAAAACUUGUGUCAAGAAACAAGCAUAACAAGCCUAUUUAUACUAGUUAGCAUUAUCUUAUUCCUAAUAAAAUUGUGAUUCCUUAUAAGUAAAAGGAAUAUGACUUUAAUAAGAAAAUAUAAAGCAAUUCCUAUGUAAACUAGAAAACUAAUACUCCUAUUAUGACUGGAGCAGGAUAAAUCCUAAUAGAAUAUUAAAUAUUAAAUUGACUCAAAUUUGUAAUUUCUGAUAUAUUCUACCUUAUAUGCUUCCUACAUCAAUUUAAAAGUUUUAUACGAUAUUGAUAAAUUUUUAUUGUAUUUGCCAAUGAUACGUCAAUUUACCACUUCUAUGUUAAGUUUGCUUAUUUUUCUUUUCAUUUAUAAGUCUUAUGUUCCAUUUGCAUUAUUUAUAUUUUAUUUUACACUUAAUGUUGAUUUCCAUAUUUUACGUUAUAUCCAUAAGUUUUUUUUUGUUUUAUUUACUGAUAAUACCUUAAUAUACCACGCUUAUGUUGACUUACUUGUUUUACCUUACAUUUACAACUCUUAUGUUCUAUUUCCAUUUAUGUUUGAUUUUACAUUCAAUAUUGAUUUACAAGUUUUAUAUUAUAUCUAUUUUUUUUUGGUUUACUAGCAAUAAACCAAUUUACUACUAUGUCAAUUUACUUGUUUUACAAGUCUUAUGUUCCAUUUAAAUAAUUCAUAUUUUGUUUUACACUUAAUGUUGAUUUACAAGUUUUAUAUUAAAUUUACAUUUCUUAUAUUUUAUUAACAUAAUUUAUAUUUAAUUACAAUAUUAAUGUUAAGAUUCUAAUCAUGGUAUUAUAGAAUAACCCAUAAGACAUAUUAAAAACUUCAUGUAAUAAGACGCAAUGAUUUUUUUUGAAAUUUUAAACAAAACAAACUAAUAUGCAAUUUUCUAAAAAAUUCAUAUAUAUUCAUACAAUACAAAUCAAGAUAAUCAAACUUUAAUUACUCAAAUCAAUAGAAGAUUAGUGAAAUUUCAAUUUUUAUAUGUGUGUACAAAUCCAUCAGGACUCAAUCUCGAUUUUUCUCAAAAUCAAAAACUUUUGUAACAAAAAAUAGAAUGAACAAGUCAAACUAAUCUUAUCAUCUUGAUCUCCAAAUUGAUCGCUUCAAUGCAACAUACAAUAUGAAAAGAGAUUGUAGUAAGAAAAUUCAAGAGAUUAUAGUAAGAAAAUUCUUCCUUCUACUACAUAUGUAAACUUUUCAAGAUUUUCUUCUUCAACACUCAUAUCAUUUAACUUUUCAAGAUUUUCUUCUUCAACACUCAUAUCAUUUUUUUCUUUUCCUUUUUAAGUGCUAUAGUUAGUAGCUUUUACUCUACUUCUUAAGGUAACAUUUUUCCCAUGGUAGUUCAUCCUCAGUCAUAUUUGUGAUAUGCAAACUCAGAUUACUCGGGCAUAGCUUCACUCUUAGGAGUUAUAGGUGGCUAUUUCUAACUGAGGUGCCUGUACAUCUUGAAAUCUAUAGUAGAGAUAAAAGUGAAAAAUAUAUAAUUAAUGUUCAAUCCAUUUAAUCUCAACAUCAGAAGUCUCAAAAUUGAAAAUCAAGUUAGAAUCAAGACUUCAAAAAUAUAUGUGCACAAAGAUAAGUCUAAAUUAAACUAAUCAAAAAUUGUUUCGAGCUUUCAAGUCAUUGAAUUAAGACUUUUAUGUACAUCGUAAUUUGAAUAAAGAGCACAUAUGAAAAAACACAUGCAAACAAUGUCUUAACCAUAUCAUGAGAAUCAAAAUUACAUGACAUAUAGAAGAUGUUGUACAACAUGACUACAUGGAACUGAUACCUAAAGUUUUUUUUUUUUUUAGGGAAUCAAAUCUAGAUGCACCCAAAGCUUUCUUAAAGAUAUCUGCAAGCCAAUUUUCUAUUUUAAUAUAGUCUAGAGAUAAGGUUUUCCUAUCAACUUAGUCACAAAUAAAAUGAUAUCUAAUAUCAAUAUGCUUAAUUCUAGAAUGUUGAGUAGGAUUGUUAAAAAUAGGACUUGUGUUAUCACCAUGUACUAUAAGAAUAUCUUGAACAAUAUCAUAAUUUUCAAGCAUUUGCUUCAACCAAAUUAAUUGAGUACGACAACUGCUAGCAACAAUGUAUUCAGCCUUAGCAAUAGAUAAAGAAAUUGAGUUUGUUUCUUAAUGUGCUAAGAUACAAGAUUGUUAUCAAGGUAAAAACAAUCUUAAGUGGUGCUCUUUUUAUCAUCAGUAUUACCUGCCUAAUCAGCAUCUAUAUCCUACGAGGCUUGAAUUAGUAUCUUUAGAAUACCAAAUACCAUUAUUAAUAGUACUAUUUACAAAAUGAAUGAUAUAUUUAACAGCAGAUAAAUGUGAUUCCAUUAGAUUUGCUAGUUGUCCAGCACAAACAACUACAUAGAACAAAUAUCAAGUCUCUUGUAAUUAAAUAAAGUAAGCCACCAAUCAUACUUCUAUAAAGACUUAGAGCAUCAACCCCUAUCAUCUUUUGUGCUCAUAAGUGGUGUUCUUAUGUGUUAAGCUGAUUCUAGUCCCAAAUUUUUCACCAAAUGUUUGAAAUACUUACUUUGAGAAAUGAAAAUGCCAUUUCCAAGUUGUUUCACUUUUAAUCUUAAAAAAUUGGUUAAUUUGUCAACCAAGCUCAUUUCAUAUUUAUUCUUCAUUUUAUCAACGAGAUCCUAAACAUGCACUAGAGAAGUAGAGCCAAAAACAAUAUCAUUUAUGUAAAUUUGACCAAUCAAUAUUCUAGGAUUAAGAUUUUCAAUAAAUAAAGUCUUUGAAAUAAUAACUAGGCAACCCAAGAGGGGGUGAAUUGGGUUUUUAAAACUUAAGCUAAGCAACUACAUAAUAAUUUAAUCUAAUGCUUUAAUGAAAUCAAAAACAAUAAAUUUAACAAUGCUAAAAAAUAAAAAGAGUAAGGGAGGAGAGAGCAAACACAAAUAUUUUUACGUGGUUCGGCAAUCCCCGCCUACGUCCACGCCUCCAAGCAAACCAAGCUUGAGGAUUUUACUAUCCAAGCCUUCCAAGGCUUUAAACGCUUACAAUUGACUUCCAAGGUGCCAAUGGAUCUUUACAACAAAAGAUUAUCCCCAAUCUCUUCACCCAAGUUUAUCCCAACACUUACAACCUCUCAACAUGAUUUUACAAAAUGAUUACAAAUAAAAUUUCCUCACACAAUGUGUUUCAUUGCAAAUGAAAGCUCAAUGUGUGUGAAUGAAUUAAAUGAAUACAAAUUUUAUGCUCAGAUUGCAGAGGAUGGCUCAAUGAUAACAAUGGUUGUAUCUCUUUGAUUGAAUUUGAUUUAAGCCAACUUAUAUUAGAAGAAGAAAACUAGAUGUUAUUGACUUUUUGGUUAUAUCCGGCUUGCGGCUUUGUGUUAAUCGGUGUGCCGCUUUAUGUUACCGUUGUUUGGGGGAUAUACUUCGACAAGACUAGCCAUGCCCUGGACGAUGAGCCAGCCUCCUUAUAAUGGAGCAGAUGAGCAGAUGUCUGGUAACGGGAUUCCACGAACAGGAAUAUUCUACAGAAGUUUGGUAGCAGGCAUCCACAAACAGGAAUAUUAUGCUCAUUCACGAAUGCACCCUCCACGGGACCACAACGGGACCUAGCCUCGUACUAGGAGCAUAAGGCCAUUCCUGCUAGAGGUUGAAGUGGGUAGACCCAGUCAAUGGCAGUUGGCAAGACGUGCACUCCUGCCCAAGAAUUAAGGCACGAAGUCCACUCAGCCACAACUACGAUAAUGAAGCACCCACUGCCGAGAGUUGAGGGAGGUGAUGGACGUGAAUUGUAGGAAAGGCCGGAUUCAAAUGAAGGCUAUAAAAAGGUAACCAACGAAGGUAAACAAGUUAGAAUUUUUUAGAUUAGAACUUAGGAAAAGAGCUUUCUAUUGAGAGAUCAUAAAAAGAACGAGAUCAGGUUGCAGCACGUGACCCUAGUCGUGCCAUACAGCUGGAAGAGAAAGUGCGCAGAUAAUAGAUGACAUGCAAGGACGGAGUAGAGCACCUGGUUGGAGGAUAAUGCUAGACAGAGAAUCCCCGCUCUCAGCAGAAAUCAUGAGUGUUGUCAUUCCGAGGGAUUUUCGCCUCCCAGAGCUCAAGUACUCGGGGCGAACCGAUCCGUUGGUGCACAUAGAGUGCUUCAACGACAUAACUGGGGUGCAGGGAUUAUCUCAAGCUCAAAGAUGCAGGGUGUUCCCGCUGUCCCUAGAGGGACGAGCACGUGAGUGGUACUGGAAACUUCCUCAAGGGAGUAUUAAAUCCUUCGAGCAGAUGUGCCAGGAAUUUGCAGAACAGUUUCGUGGGGCAAUGGCGCCUGAAGAUGAUAUGAUGGAGCUAACGAGCAUGAAGCAAGGAGAUGAGGAAACACUUCGGGAGUUCAUUAAAAGGUUCCAUUGCGCUGUCUUCGAUUUGGGGGCCUUCAACCAUCCCCAGGCCUUGAGAGGACUGAAAGAAUGGGUGAAGAUAGGGCGCUUGUGGUACAAUCUGAGAAGUCCAGCCAUUCAGUCUUACUUUGCCGCUUAUGAGUAGGCCAAAAGAGACAUGGAGAUCGAGGAAGAAAAUGUGGCCAAGAUCAAGACAGACCAGCUGGAAGGGUUGAGGAGGAAGGAGAAGAGAGUCGUUCCAGGGAGUGGGCCAAUUAAGAGGAAGGACCUCCACGCCUCGGGAAGUGGAGGAGGAGGCCGGGUCACUUCUUACCAGCCUCACUAGAGGCCACCCCAGCGGAGCAGAAUGCAACCUCCUCGCUCACCAGCCAAGGAUUCUUGGCGAAGACAUGACCAGACAUACGGUCACCCAUACCCACACCCAAACUGUGGUAGAGCCAGCAGACCAGAGGCACUGAUGCCCCCUCCAGCUCAGAAUGGCACCCACAGGGAAAGGGCGGUGCACAUGAUCGAUCAGAGCCAGAGUUAUGGGUGGUAUACUUUCUUAAAGGUGACCCUGGACGAGGUGUAUGAGGCAAUCAAGGAUCGGGGAUUACUAUACCCCCCAACCCCAAUAACAAAGCUUCCCAGCAAGAGAGAUAGGGGACGGUAUUGUAAAUUCCACGGCACCCACAGUCAUACCACUACCGAAUGCAGGGAUAUCAAAACUCAGGUUGAAGAUUUGUUGAGAAAUCGUUACUUGGACGAGUUCGUAGAUGGGACUAUCCCGAUGGUGAGUUCGUCAGGGGAAGGGGAACAGAGUAAUAGAAACAUAGGCCACGAGCAGCUGAUAGUAAGGGUAAUCGAGGGUGGCCCUACGUUGGUAAGGGACUCCAACAGAUCGAGGAAGAACUACGCUGAGUAUGCCAUUACCAGCAAAGAAGUGUUCUUCAACGCCCCAGCAGCCAAGCGAGCAAGAAUCAGGAAAGUCCUGAUCAUGUGGACAGAUGAGGACGAAGAAAGAAUUCUAUAUCCGCAUGAGAAUGCCUUAGUUAUUAAAGCCAUCACUGCCAGCAAGAAGUUCGAUCAGAUUCUAGUAGAUACGGGAAGCUCGGUCGAUGUCCUGUUCAAGUCAACUCUGGAGGAGAUGGGAAUAACAGACCUGAAGUUAGAGCACACCAACACCUCCUUGAAGGGAUUUGGUGGAGGAAAGUUGGUCCCUCUAGGCAUGAUCGAGUUGUCCAUCACAAUUGGAAGCUCCCCAACAGAGAAGACUAUGAUCCUGGACUUUGUGGUUGUCGAUGAAAAGGGUCCUUACCAGAUGAUUCUAGGUUGUCCCUUCCUGGGGAUGAGCAAGGCAGUGCUCUCCAAUCAUUACUUGGCUCUCAAGUAUCGGGUGAAUGGUGUAGUGGGGGUAGUACGAGGAGACUAGAGAAUAGCUCGAAGUUGUUAUUCCACAGCAGCAAGGGAAACAAUGCAGAUCACAUCAUUUGACACUCGGAGGGAAGUCAAGGAUGGCAGACAGAAGCCCAUUGAGGAGCUGGUUCGUUGCCUCCGGGCUCAUACAGAUGUGUUUGCUUGGACCCAUGAAGAUAUGCCGAGAAUCAACCACGAGGUGGCUUGUCAUAGGUUGGCAAUAAGGAAGGAUGCUCGGCCGAUAAGACAGAAAAGAAGAUGCUUCAACCAAGAAAGAUACGAAGCAAUCAGUAGUGAAGUAGAGAAGCUUUUGAAGACGGGGUUCAUUCGGGAGGUUAGUUACCCUGAAUGGAUAUCAAAUGUUGUCCUAGUGAAGAAGGCAAAUGGGAAAUGGAGGAUGUGCGUUGACUUUACUAAUCUCAACAAGGCGUGCCCGAAAGAUAGUUUUCCCCUGCCCAAGAUCGAUAAGCUGGUCGACUCAACAGCCGGUCAUGGGUUGCUUAACUUCAUGGAUGCAUUUUCGAGAUAUAACCAAAUCCCAAUGUGCAAGCAGGAUGAGGAGAGCACAAUUUUUAUCACUAACCAAGGAUUGUUCUAUUACAGGGUCAUGCCAUUUGGCCUAAAAAAUGCGGGUGCUACAUACCUGAGGUUGGUGAACAAAAUCUUCAAGCUGCUGAUUGGAAGAACAAUGGAGGUGUAUGUAGACGACAUGAUAAGCAAAUCAAAAAACCCAAGCAAACAUGUCGAGCACCUCGAGGAGACAUUUGGGCCUCUGAAGAAGUACAAGAUGAAGCUAAACCCGGAGAAGUGUGCUUUUGGGGUCGAAUCAGAAAAAUUCCUUGGGUUCAUGGUGAGUCAUCGGGGAAUCGAGGCAAAUCCUGAGAAGAUUCAGGCAAUCGUGUAGAUGAGGUCCCCUCGUAGCCUGAAGGAGAUACAUAGCCUUACUGGGAAGUUAGUGCCAGGCCUUUUUCCAAGUGAUAAGGAGAGGAAAGAAAAUGGAAUGGACCCCCGAAUACGAAGAAGCCUUCUAGAGUUUCAAAUAAUAUCUGCAGCGAGCACCUUUGUUGUCCACGCUGCGAGAGGGGGACGUGUUGUUCUUGUAUAUGGUAGUAUCAGAUCAUGCUACGAGCUCGGUUCUAGUAAGAGAGGAAGAAGGAGUUCAGUAUCUGAUCUACUACACAAGCAAAGCCCUGCUCAAUGCCGAGACCAGAUACCCACCGUUGGAUAAAUGGGCACUUGAUUUAGUGGUUGCUGCUCGAAAACUGAGACCAUACUUUCAGGCAUUUCCCGUCUCGGUGAUAACAAACCAACAGUUACGGCAGACUCUGCACAAGCCGGAUGCUUCUGGUCGGCUAGUGAAAUGAGCUAUAGAGCUGAGUGAGUUCGAUAUAAGUUACAAACCCCGAGCAGCAAUAAAGGCCCAGGCAAUGGCAGACUUCGUGGCAGAAUUUACAAAGCCCGAAGUAAGUUUGGACGAGCUGGAUAUGGCUGUAGUCAACGACGAGGAUUGGGUAUGGCAAAUGUCGGUGGAUGGAUCUUCAGGGGAGCAGGGGUCCGGAGCAGGGAUUGUGUUGGAAGGCCCAGAAGGGGAGGAGAUCUCUUAUGCUGUAAAAUUAGAGUUCACGGCCACAAAUAAACCAGGCCGAAUACGAAGCUUUGAUAGCGGGGUUAGAAUUGGCUAAGGCAGUGAAAGCAAAUAAAGUGAGAGUUUGACCUGAUUCCCAACUGGUUGCCAACCACGUCAGUGAGAGAUUUCAACUGAGAGAUGGGAAGAUGGAACAAUACUUAAUGAAGGUAAGACAGAUGAUGGGGAAGUUUGAGUCGGUAGAGGUGAUACAAAUCACAAGAGAAGAGAAUUAUCGAGCAGACAUUUUGGCUAGAAUGGCUGCUGUAGCAUAUCCGAAACUGCCCAAGUCAGUCCCUUUGGAGGUGAAGACUAGCCCUAGCUUUGAGCAGAAUUUGGAGGUGUUGCGGGUAGAACAGAAGUGCUCAUGGAUGGACCCGAUAGCCUCGUACAUCCAGGAUGAGGUAUUACCACCAGAUACGUCACGAGCUCACAAGAUCAAAGCUCAAGCGUCGAGAUACACCAUGAUUGAUGGGGUGUUAUAUCGGCGGGGAUACACUUUACCGUUCCUCUGAUGUUUGGAUGAGGACGAUGCAGAUUACGUACUGAGAGAAGUACAUGAGGGAGUUUACGGAAACCAUUCUGGUGCAAGGUCCCUUGCCCACAAGGCUCUGAGGCAGGGAUAUUUCUAGUCGAUGAUGCACCAAGAUGCACAGGAGAAAACCAUGAGUUGCCUGAGUUUUACAAAUUUCUCUACCCAACCACCACAGAAACUCACUUCUAUAGCCUCGCCAUGGCCAUUUGCUCAAUGGGGAAUUGAUCUGAUUGAACCGUUACCUAAAAGACGGGGGGCGGCAACGUAUGCAAUAGUAGCGAUUGAUUACUUCACGAAGUGGGUUGAGGUAGAAGCCCUCAACAGGAUCACGGAGAAAAAGACGACUGACUUCGUAUGGAGAAACCUGGUCUGUAGAUAUAGGAUCCCAUAUGCCCUGAUAGCAGACAAUGGCAGGCAAUUUGAUAAUCAUAACUUCAGAGACUUCUGCCAGAACCUAGGGAUAGAGCUGAAGUUUUGCUCGCCUGCUCACCCUCAGUCUAACGGGCAAGUAGAAGCAGCCAAUAAGGUUAUCAAUAGGCUUUUGAAAACCAGGCUAGGAGCAAAGAAGGGAGCAUGGGUUGAUGAGCUACCAGGUGUAUUAUGGGCAUACAUGAAAACCCAAAAAACAGCAACCGGCGAAACUCUGUUCGCUUUGGCCUUCGGACAUGAAGCUGUUGUGCCCGUGGAGAUAGGGGCGGCCACGCACCGGACAGAUCACUUCGAUGAGUAGGAAAACAACGACCAGAUGUGCUUAAAUCUGGAUCUGCUGACUGAGAAUGGAGAGUAAGCAUCGAAGCGAUCAGCUGCCUACCAGCAGAGGGUUGCUCGUUAUUACAACCAGAAGGUGCAUAUACGAUAGUUCAAGGUCGGCGAUUGGGUACUUAGGAGGCUGAAUCAGAACACAAAAGACCUGACACAAGGAGAAUUCGGUCUAAACUGGGAGGGCCAUAUAGGGUCAAGCAGGUCGCUGGACCCAGUGCCUAUAAGCUCAUUCGCGCAGAUGGCCACGAGGUGAAACACCCUUGGAACGCAGCACACUUCAAGAAAUAUUUCCAGUAAGACUCAAUCAUGUUUAAAAGUUAUUUCUACUCAUUGUUAUUGUUAUUCGCUUUAUGUUUAAUCAAUUUCAUGUAAGCCGAGUUCAAUAAUUAAUGAAAAGUGGAGGAAUUUCAGUCAGUUGUCAUGUAUAACAAUUUCUAAGGCAUGCAAAGGCUCACAUAGUCGCAAAACCUAUUUUAUGGCGAGACCAGAAGCCAAGCAUGCCAGGAUCUGCUCGACCAAGCGAAGGCGAGCAAACCAUCAAACGUAAGGCGAGCAACACCAUGAAUUUCUAGGCCUGGUCGAUGGUAGUACGGGAAGUCGAUCUUUUCAGCACCUGCUCAACCACAAUGUAAACGAACAAAAAAUAAAAUAAUCUGCCAAGAGCUCGAAGCGAAGACAGCAAAUAAGAGCAUUCUUAUUAAUCUGCCAACAAUUAUGAAAAGCUACUAGUUUUAACAUACAAUGUUCCAAAAAAAGAAACCUACAACACAAGGUACAUUCAAAAUGACGGCGGGUCAGUAAACUAGGCCGUCUCAGCUGGCUAGUCCACCUCAGGAGCAGGGGGGUCUCACCAGUUGCACCCGGGGGGUACUUGCCUUGGCAACAUCAGCAGGGACUACACGAGGAGGAGAGGUUCCCUCCUCAGUUGCAUUUAGCUCCAACUCUUCGGCAUCUUCUUUGGUUGCCGCCUCAUCCAUAUAUUGAGCAACACCAACGGCAAGCUUGUCCAUCUUCAGAUCAGGAUGCUGCUUCCCUAGGACGACCAUGAUGCAGCGAUAAGAAUACCGAAACCCUUGGUCAUACUGGUUGUCAGCCUCCUUCUCUAUGUUUUCGACCUGAACCUGGUAGGAAUCUUUGAGAGAUUCGAGUUGAGCCUCGUAAGUAGCCUUUUGUCUCUGCAGGUCCUCCUUGACCUUAGUCAGCUCCUCCUCAAGAGUGAUUGCCUUUGCUUGCGCGAGAGACUCCCGCUCUAUCAACUUCAGAUUCUCAAGGUUGAGAUCUCUGGCUUUCUUCUCGGCAGCGUCCGCUUUGUUUUUGGCCGACUGAACGUCUUCUCUUAUCUUUUGGUCAUAGCGGCCGACCUUCACCUUAUAGUAAGUGGCCAUGCAGCCGAGAUGAAAAGCACUGUACUGCAUAGCCCUCACUAACUCGCCCAGAGUGCUGCCGUUAAAGUCUUCCAAGUCCUUUUUGCUCACGAGCUUAGAAAACUCACUGAUAUAGAGGACCAGAUGCUCUGCUCGAUUGUCGGGCAAAUGAGGUUUCGACCCUGAUGGUGGAGGAGGAGAAGUGGGAUCAGUGGCUGUUCCACUAGUUUCGCCAGCUUUAGUAGGAGGAGGUGGUAGAGUCCUCAAGUGGGGGACCUGUUCCGCAAUGUUCACCUGUUUCGCAGAGGGAGCAUCCUUAUUCUGGUCUCGCUUAGCAGCAUAAGGUCGAGGACGUUUUCGAUUCAAAGCCUCGAUUACAGCAUCCUCCAUCUUAAGAUCAGUGGACACCAGGCGAGAUUCGAAGAAGUUGUAAGUAGAUAGCAACUCUCGGCUCGAGCAGGAAUUGGCUAACACAGCCCCGACCCGCUUGAGCGGCUCAGGUUUAAGCUUGUAGUGGACACCCCAAUAACCUGUAGUUUGAACAAAAAUUGGGUUAGAGAUAAAUAAAAAAUGAGAACAACUAGGGAUACAAGACAUCUAAAGCGAGGCCGGCUGGGAGUAUCCUUUUUUCCUAGGAUCUUAAGGGGUAUAUCAUCAGGAAUGUCAUACCUAGUCCGGAGGUCAACGAGAUCGUCUACUGUGGUCGUGCAUGUGAUGAAGUCAAUAGCGUAAUGCUCCGAUAAAGCCCUACCUCCUAUUUUGCUCUUCCUAUUUGGUCGCGAUGUUCCUGGUGAGGACAUUUCACCAGAAUCUUCACCCGGGUCCUCACUCAGGGUAUCUUCCGAACCAGAAGAUCUCUCAUCGCCGCUAUUGCUAGUUGAAGAGGUUAUUUGGGGAGACAUCGUCCUAGCACUAGUCCCAACACUAGAUCUAAUUGGCUCUAAGGGGAUCCCAGGGUGAAACACUACCCAAGCAAAACAGAGAGAAAAAAAAAUUUCUACAACUAUCCAAGACCGAAGAAAUAGAAAUAAUACAUGUAGUUGUGGCCCAGCCGAAUAAGGACAAGGAAGGUAGCUUUUACGCCGAGGAAGAGAAAUAACUCAGUCACCGGAGAGGAAGAAGAAGGCUAAGAGACGAGUUUCCCUUUUGGGGUUUUGGUUUCCCUACUGAGGAACAAACUCUCGGGCUGUUAGCAUUUAACGGCACGAAUUCCAAGGGUUUCAUAACCAUCAGUUUGAAAUUCAAAUGGAAUGAUAGAUCUCUGCUACAUCACCUCGCCCGCAAUUAAAUGCGACACAACUCCUCAAAGCCGUUUCCUAUCCUGCAUAAGCCAGAACUGUUGAGUUUCUACUGUUGGUCCACUACGUUACCCAACACCAGAAACUGAGGAACCAAUGUUUAGGGGAUAUACUUCGACAAGACCAGCCAUGCCCUGGACGAUAAACCAGCCUCCUUAUAAUGGAGCAGAUGAGCAGAUGUCUGGUAGUGGGAUUCCACGAACAGAAAUAUUCUGCAAAAGUCUGGUAGCAGGUGUCCAUGAACAGGAAUAUUUUGCUCGUUCACGAAUGCACCCUCCACGGGACCACAGCGGGAGCCAGCCUCCUACUAGGAGCAUAAGGCCAUUCCUGCUAGAGGUUGAAGUGGGUAGACCCGGUCAAUGGCGGUUGGCAAGACGUGCACUCUUGCCCGAGAAUCAAGACACGAAGUCCACUCAGCCACAACUACGAUAAUGAAGCACCUACUGCCGAGAGUUAAGGGAGGUGAUGGACAUGGAUUGUAGGAAAAGCUGGAUUUAAAGGAAGGCUAUAAAAAGGUAACCAACGAAGGUAAACGAGUUAGAAUUUUUGAGAUUAAAACUUAGGAAAAGAGUUUUUUAUUGAGAGAUCAUAAAAAGCCAUAAUAUUAGUGGUCGUGUUUCCCAGAAAGGCAAAACCUACGUUUCUGACUUGAGCGUUGGAGGGUUUAUGCCAAAAAAAUACCCGGCGUGCUCUGACCUAUUUCUAUGUACGCAGUAGUUUGCGGAGAGGAAGUCUUACGAGGAGAGAUCCUGGUCGUGGACGAGUUAAUUAAGGAGGAAUCCUGGUCGUGGACGAGCAAAAAACUAGAAUCUCACAUCAACAACCAUUAUGUUCAAAGAUUUGAAUUUUUGCACAUUCGGUUUGUCGUUUUUCAUUUCCGGUUAGCCGUUCUUACUCUAGAGAGCUUCUGCUUAAUAACUGAUUUGCCGCUUUUGUGGCUUUUAUUGCAGAGAGCUUCUGCCCAUAACCGGUUUGCUGCUUUGAUAAAUCCGGUUGGCCGCUUACUACAGUGAAACAACUAUUUUCCAAAAUUACAAUUUUGCCUCAACACUUUAUAAAAUUAUAUUAUGGCCCAAAUAUUUAUAAAACUUUGCAAAUAUGUCCAUUUCUAGAAUUUUAAAACAAUACUUGUUGAUUUCAAAGUUGUUAAAACUUUUCAAUUUAAACCAUAAAAUUGAAAACAACUAAUUUCAUAAAAUCAUUUUCUUAUUAUAAAAACAUAAUGCGUAGUUCUUUAUUUAUCUAAAACAUAUGGUUUAUUAUUAUCAAAAUCAUUAUUUUAUAGCCAUAUAGGCUAACAAUCUCCCCAUUUUUGAUAAUGACAAAACACAUUAUAAAAUUUUGAUUUAGUUAUGAAAAAACUCCUCCUUAUAAAUGAAAACUGAUUUAAAAAGCUCCCCCUACAUGAAUGCAUAUUUUUCAUAACAAACAGUUAUAUAUCAUAUCUCUCCCUUCAUCAUAAAAAAGAGUAGAAUGCUCCCCUUGAGUAUAUUAUAAGUUUAAACAAUUUGCCAAUCAACUAAAUUAACAACUUUAAAUACAUGUAUUCUUCUCCUCCUUCAUCAUAAAAAAGAAAACUUAGUGGAAAAGAAAAAGAGUAGCAAAUUUGUUACCCAUGUUGUCCAAGUAGAAAUUUCGACAAAAUCUUCCCCUAUCAACAAGCAUCACCUCAAAUACAAGUUUAGUAAUAUCACUCCCAAAUUAUCAUAAAUCAUGAUACAAACCAACUUCAUACACAAAUCAUCACACAACCCAUCAACCAUAAAAAGAUCAUGAACCAUCAUUCCAUCAAUUACCAAAUCAGCAACUCAUAACAUAAAAUCAUCAUAUAAAACAACCAUGUAAUCACAUCAUAAUCAUAUCUCAAAAUCAUCACCAUAAUCAUAUAUCAACCAUCAAAAGAAUGCUCAAAGUGCAUGUUAUUCUCCCCCUUUUGACAUCAUCAAAAUGGUAUAUUACUUUGUCUCCCCCUUUCGAUAUCAUCUAAAGCAAGUAAUGCAUAUUCAACAAUACACCAAUAAAGUACAUAAAUGCAUCCAUUUACCAAUCAUAGAUCGUAUAAGAUCAAACUUCAUCAAAUACAAUGUAAUCAUCAAAGGACAUUCUUUAUCAUCAAAACUUAAGUAAAGCAUAAGUACAUAAUGACAAUAUAUAGAUCAUCAAAAUCAAAUAAAGGCAUCAUGAUAAGUUGACAUGCUACCAUCAUAUAUAUCUAUCCAUGCAUCAUGAUUACACACAAUAAUAAUUCAAUUAUGUAAACGUAUGAGCAUGCUUUUUUAAAUUCAAUCUAUUAUCCAUCCAGCAUGAUCCGUUCAACAAAAUUAAUAUGGCAAGAAUUGUUACCAAAACAAUUAAAUCAUUUUACCAAUCAUUUUCUCUUAUAUCAUGGUUAACUGAUUAUUCUCACAAGUUUUCAUUGAGGAACUCUCCACCAUUUCUUGAUUAUGGUAACUACAAAAAGUAUUCAAGUUGUGCCUUUUGGUAUCCAAAUACUCUUGGGUCCUUGAGUAUUAGUAAUGGUUCCUUUUGGAACCCAAACAUAUUUUACUCCAUAAUAUGUAUUUCUUUUAACUAGACAUCUAUACUUUAUGUGACCAUUUUGAUUACAAUGGUGACAUAUAACUUGAUUAUUAAUGGAGGUACUCUUUACAAAAUAAUUCUUAUAAUAUUUUUAUUUCAAAUUUGGCUUAUAGCCAAUACCUCCUUUUUCAAACACACAUUUUUGUGAGUUAAGCAAGUUAUCCAACAUCUUUUGCCCAUUUGUAAAUUUUAAGACAACAUCACUAAAUUCUAUAUUCUUUUUCUUGAGCAUUUCAUUUUCUUUCAUCAAUUCAUCAAGAUGUGAUUUUUCAUGCUCAUACGAAAUACUUUGUUUACCUUUAAAUGAUGCAAUUUUGUCAUGCAACAUUUGAUUAUCUAACUCUAGUCCUUUAAUCUUUUCAUUUAAUGAAUCAUUAAAUUUUUGUAAAGCAUCCUUUUUAUUUGAAAGUUCUAUCAUUUUCUUUUUAAGACAUACAUUCCUUUUACCAAUUUUCAUCCAAUUAUCAUGCAAUUCCUUAAAAGCAUCAUAUAAUUCAUCAUAGGUAGGAUCACUUACCUCAUCAAGUUCGUCAACCGAUUCAUCUCCAUUUGCCAUAAGUGCCAAUAUUAGUUUCAAACAAAUUGAAAUUGGAAAAAUAUUUACCCUUUUUUGCAGGUUACAACUUUGAUUGAGAUUUUUCUUUCUUUUUGCUUUUUCCAAAUUUUCCUAGCGUCAAUUUUUAAAACUUUUUGGUCAAAAUAGCCAAAGAUUUUUGUACGUAUUUUAUUUUAUUAUCAGCAUCAUCACCAUCGCUCUCUAAAUUCGGCAUCUCAUCUUAAAGGCAAUGUUUUUUUCUCUUUUUUUUUCUUCAAAUGACUAGUCUCAAAACUCUAAAGUUCACUAGCCACUUGAUUUCUAAUCAUGGUGCUAAUAUCAUAUUAUUGUUCAAUAGCUCCAACUUUAAUAAGAAAUGUUUCUAACAAAGAUCUCAAAAUUUUUCUAACUAAUUCUUCCUAAUAAGUUUUUUACCAACGAAAUAUGAAGUAUUAGCAAUCUUAAGAAGUUUAGCAUUAAAGUCAGCAAUUUCUUCAUGUUUAUCCAUCUUAAGAUUUUCAAAUUCAAUUGCAAGUUUUUGAAGUUUAGAAUAUUUUACCAAAUUUCUCCUUUGUCAAUGUCUUAAAGAAUGUCCCAAGCUUCCUCGUAUUUGUACAUAUCAAUAUUAAAUCAUACUAAUUGAUAUCAACUCCAUUGACAAUAGGUGCCUUGGAAUUAAAGCUAGAUUCUUAAACUUGAGCAUUGGAAAUAUUUCCAUCUUGAUCAGAUUUGAUGGGUAGAGAAUAGCCUUUUCUAACACAUUCCAUAACUCUUAUGUCAAUGGUCUCAAUAUGAAUUGUCACCCUUUGCUUCCAAUAACAAUACCAUCAAACAAAGGUGGAUAGUCGGUAGAUCCUUCUUCUCUCUGUAAAUCCAUGUCUAUAAAAAUAUAUCAAGAUCCCAAAAUCUCACUAACGAAACUGUUACUGAUACUGCUACCACUUGUUAAAAAUUUAAAUCUAUUUUAACAAGUGUAGGCAAAUUAAAACACUAGGUAAACUAAUUAUCCUAAUUAAUUAAUCCUUUAAUUACUGUUCAUAAAUUACUAUUCACUCGAUACUGUUUUAUGAUUCACCAUUCGUAUGAAAAUGUUCACGGUUGCUGUUCAUGGGAUAUUGUAUACAAGUCAAUGUUCACAAUUAUUAUUUGUCAUAAGUAUUUAUUCACCCUAAAUCUAUCAAAUAUGUUAGAAGUAGUAAAUUGCAGAAAGUAAAGCACAUAGACGAUUUUUAUAUGGUUUUGGAUUACAAUCCUACAUCUAUGGAGUCAUGUUUAGAGACUAAGCAAUUCACUAAGAGGGCAUUUAUUUUUUAACUUCAUGACUUAAAGUGAGUUAACUUAAUUAAUAAAAUUAAUUAGAGAUGUUUAUUUUUAUAACUUAAUGGGACUUUUAAGAUAAUUUUAUCUUAAUAAAAUAAGUCAAUUAUUUUGGUUUUUUACUGAAUGCAGAAAUCUGAAUAAGCCAACUAUUUUCUAAUAUCAGAAGUAUCCCUACUUUAUAAUUUAUUUUUCAUGCCUAUCCCAAAAUCCACUUAUACACAUUUACCCCACUAAUAAUCUCAUCUUAAUAUUUUUUUUUUUGGAUGGGCAAAUUAACUAUUUCAAGCAUCUUAUUAGUUUUUCUCCUCAUAUUAUGUACUAUUAUUGAGAAUUUGUGAUGGAAUUUAAAAUUUAUGGUAUUUUGUAUUUACAGAAUAUGAUUUUGCUCAUAUAUGUUAAAAUAUUAUGGUGCUUAUGUUCCUUGCGAUAUAUAUUACUUAUUUAAAAUUCAAAUUUAAUGAAUGAGAAAGUACAUAUUUUUAAUUUUUAAGUUUAAAAAAUUUUAAAAACUUAAUACUUAUUUUUAGAGAUUCAACAAAAAGAACAAAUAUAUUAUUCUUAUUCAAACAUUCAACUUUAUUCAGAGUGCAUAUUAAUUCAGAUCUAUUGAGAUUUCAGACCAAAAAAAAAAAAAAAACCACCUAAGCAAUGAAAAGAUUACAUCCUGAAUUCUUAAAUAGUCUCAGACACUCUCUUGCUCUUACCACCAGCUUGUUGAAUCUACCUAGUCGAUCGUGUUUAGCGAGCACCACUCAUCUUCAAUUGUAUUUGCUACUUCCUUGAGAUUCCCUCAACACAACAAAUGACCUCUUCAUUCUGAAAAAACCAAAUAAUAAUAAAGAAUGUCUAAUAAAAUGCUUGAUAUGAAGAAGAUUAAAACAUUAUAGAGAUAUGAAACCUCAUAUGCGAUGAAAUAGUUUUUCUUCUCAUUCUUUGCAUUGGCUAUUUCACUAAUAUAAUAUAAGAAAUGCCUUCUUCAGUCUUCAAUGUGUGAAAUACUUCCCUUUAUAUAGGUGCAAUAUUUCAUUAGAACAUAUAUUUUUUUUAGAGUCCAAUAUUCCAUAAAUACUUAAUAUACUUACCAAUACAGUGAUCAUCUUUAUUUAGAAUUCUUUAAUAUGUAAUCCUACUUAUAUGUUGAUUUGCUUCUUUAUGCCUAAAAAAAUAUUCCCCCAUAUUCGACAUAAUCUAAUCUAAUUAAUUCCCAAGACUAGACAAAUCCCUCAUAAAAAGAAUAAAUAAAUUGUAAUAUUAUUGACACAAUGAUGGGAAUAAUAAAAUCCCUAACAAAUAAGAAGAAAAAUAUUUUUCAAUUAUACUUGAUUGUACUUCAGAUACAAACCAUCAAGAACAAGUGUCCGCUAUAGUAAGAUGUGUAGAUAUUUUAGCAAAUCCAGUAGAAAUGGAAGAAUACUUUUUCAAAUCUUAAAAGUUUACCAUUGUACUGGUAAAGGGCUCUUUAAUGAACUCAUAGAACUAAUAAAAAUUCUUGAACUUAUCAUUGAUAAUAUAUGAGGACAAGGAUACAAUAAUGGUUCUAAUAUGAAAGGAAAACACCAAGGUGUAAGAUAUUAUAAACAAAUUCUAAAGCAUUUUAUACAUCAAGCGGUUGUCAUGGUCAAAAUUUAGUGGUUUGCAACAUGGCUAAUUCUUGUCCUAGAGCAAUUUCAUUUUUUGGAGCUAUGAAACUUAUUUAUUCAUUAUUUUUCUUCUUCAAUGAGGUGAUGGAAAAUCUCACAAAAUAAUAUACCCAAUUUGACUGUCAAAUUAUUUUGACACAUACAUUGAGAAAGUUGUAUUGAAAGUGUGAAAGCAAUAAGAUUUCAAACUCCAUAAAGUAUGAGAUGCUUUACUUGAAUUAGAAGAAAUUAGUGAAGAUUCUAGAAUAAAGAGUGAAGUUAUGUGUUUAGCAACAUAUGAAUUGAAAAAUUUUAAUUUCAUAUUAGGUGUGAUUAUUUAGUAUGAUAUAUUAUUUGCUAUUAACUCUAUAUGUAAGAUCUUGCAAAAAACAUAUGCAUAUUUAUAUUGCCAUAGAUCGACAUAAAGUUCUUAUUUCUUUCUUUGAAAGCCAUAGAGAAAAUGGAUUUUGUGCCUGUUAUGAUUUUAACUAAAGAAAUUGCAACCAAAAUGGAAAUAGAACCUAAAAUUCACGAAAAACGUUUAAUUCAUAGAAAAAACAAUUUUGAUGAAAGUAUCGGUGAAGGGGGAAUUUUAUCUCUUGAAUAGUCUUUCAGAAUUAAUUAUUUUAUAUACAUAAUAGUUCAAACUAUUUCUUCAAUAAUAAGUAGACUUGAACAAUUUCAAAUGUAUGAGAAUAUGUUAGGAUUUUUGUUUAAUUUCAAAAAAUUACAAUCGUUAAGUGAGAAUGUUUUAAAAACUUAUUGUGUUAAUAUUGAAAAUGCUUUAGAAACAUGAUAUGCUUUCUGGUAUAGAUGGUUUAGAUUUGUUUUCAGAGUUAAGAAUUUUUAAAGAAGUUUUACCAGUUGGGAAAUUACCCCGCUUGACAUACUUAAUUAUUUUCAAAAAAUUGAUUCUUUUCCAAAUGCAUAUGCUACUUAUAGAAUAUUAUUAACAAUACUAAAAGUAGUUGCUUAUGCAAAAAGAAGUUUUUCAAAAUUAAAAUUGAUAAAAACUUAUUUGAGAUUAACAAUGUCGCAAGAAAGAGUAAAUGGAUUAGCCAUAUUGUCUACUAAGAAAAAUAUAUUAGGAAAUUAUAAUAUAAAAAUUUGAUUAAUAAUUUUACAUCUAAAGCUAGAAAAAUUGAUUUUAAUAAAUAGUUUUUUAGUAAAAUUAAUACAUAUAUUUAACCUCAAAUUUUUUGAAAGGUCUAAUUGAAACAAUUCCCUUAAAGCUCCCAAAUUAAUUGAGCGGACCUUGCCUACAAGGCUCGUGAUAAUAAAGACACAAAAAUAUUAGUCACAUUUAUUUAUAUUAUUUUCAUUUUUCAUGAGACUUAUCAAAUUGUGAUUUGAUGGUUAAUAAUUUGUUUCAUAUUGUGUAAAAAAGAAAGGCUUCCUGAACAAGCCCCACACCAACUAGUCUAAUUUUGACUUCGCAUGUGCUUGUGUAUUACACACGGUUGCACUCUGUUAUCACUGCGUCAAAAAGGAGAGGCUCUGACUCCUUGACAUUACGUAUACCAACUAGUCUAAUUUUUCAUAUGGUUCAUGUGCUACACUAUAGUGUGUAAUGCCGCAAAACCAAGAAGAAAAAAAUGAAUGCUAGUUCUUUGUUGUGAGAAAUUCUAAACUAAAAUACAUAAAUCAAUUUAAUUAAUAUAUGUAUAAAAUGUAUAUUUAAAUUUUAUAUAACUACCAAGUAUAUGUCUGUUCUUCAAAAUAAAUGCAUAUAUACUAUAUCAUUAUUUACUUUUUAUAUAACUGAUAUGGUAUAUUAGAGAUAUUCUAAAAUUUCUCUUCUGCGCUUCUUGUCAUUUUCGACUACAAGUCAAUGAAGUCUCUUUUGUUUCGAGACAGAUGAUCUCAAGGAAAUGGGGCAAAUAUCUCUUCCAGUGGUAUUUUACAGGCUGUUGAUGAAGAGUCGCACGUGUUUUGGUAUUUUACAUUUGCAUUUUGUUUGCAAAUUUUAGUAAGGUCAGGCUAUACAGGAAGUCUCUCCAGUGUUCUAUGACUCAAAUGGAAAUAUAACGUUGAUUAUUAAACACAUGCUUCCGCACGUUUCUGUUCUCUGUAGUACUAUUAUAAACAAAUAUCGACAUCGUUGAUUACUAUAAACACAUUCAUUGGCGCGUUAGAAUUCCCUCAUGAAAAAAUAUGACUACAUUUUGCGUUCUGGUUUGAGUUCAUAUUUCCUUUUCUUCAUUCUUAAUUUUUAUGACUUGCACAAUUAAUUUCUGUAGUUGAAGCAAUAUUAAAUUGUACUCUAUAUCGCAUCAAAAAAAAAAAUUGUAAUAUAUAUAUAUAUAUGUAUAUGUGUUUGUGUGUGUGUGUGUGUUGCUUAUUACUUCGGAGGACUUAGGAUGUUUUCUUUGUAUGGAUAAAUCCUAACAUAAUUCUGACGUGUUUUUAGUUACUGCAAAAAUUCUAACGCACUUUCACUAACCGUUGUUAAAUGGAUUUUUUUUUUUUGAAAUUAUUACAAUGUGAAAAUGAGGAUUACCUUCUAUUUGUCUAGGAAAAUUAAGCAAAACCCCUCCUUAUUUUUUAAUAGAUUCAAAUCUACUACAAUUAUAAUGGUGUUAAUUUUAUAUAUCAUUUUACUAUUCUAUUCUUACUAUCGGUAUUAGUCAUAAAAUUUAGAUAUUUUGAGAAUUUUUUAAGCAAAAUGACUUAUAUAUCCUCAACAAUUAAAUAAAUUUAUUAACCUAUUAAAAACAUGAAGAAAAAUUACAAUUUACAAGUAGAGGAAAUAUCAUAUAUACCCCUGAUAAUUAUAUAAAGUAUUUGUUUAAAUGAAUGUAACAAGUUUGAUAUAUUUAAUUUGCUUCUUAAUCUGGCACACGAUCAGUUGUUUUAUUGGAGAAGCAUAGGCUAGGCCAUACCGUUGCAAUUGUAAUUGUUGUUUGCUUACUUGCUUAUGCUAAUUAAAUGCUCUUAAUUAAUUAUUUCUCAUCAAAUAGUUGCAAGUACGUGUAAUUUAUUGUUUUGUUAGUAGUUGUUUAUAUAUCCCUUUCCUAUAGUGAUUCUUUUUCUUUAAUUUAUCAUAAAUUAUUCAUUUGUAGUUUGGGUGAAUUUAUUGCAUUUAGUCCAAUUAUCUAUUUGUCCUUUAUUUGAAUGUAUAUUUGGAUAUUUCCUUCAAUUGUUUUAUUUUAUGUUUUCAGAGAUUUAUUUAGAAUCUUGGACUUCAUACACUUAGGACACAUUUAUACAACUAGUAGGAAUUAUGUCAUUUCCCCUACUUGUAAUUUUUCUCCAUAAUUUGCAAUUUGUUAUUAAAUUAAUUUAAUCGUUAAGGAAAUACAAGUCACUUUGCUUAAAAGAAUAUCUUCAAAAUAUUUAAAUUUUAUGACUAAUAUCAAUACUAGAGAUAGGAUAGUAAAAUGAUAGAUAAAACUAAUACCGUCAUAAUUGCAGGGUGUUUGGACCUUUUUAAAAUAUGAAAGGAUUUCGCUUAAUUUAUCUACAUGAUAGGGUUAAUCCUCAUUUUCCUUUAUUACAGUCUAUAGAUAUAUUAUUUAGAUACAUACAUUUGUAGUACAACCGAGAUGCCCUUAGGCAUGAGCUCAAAAAUCUGUUUUCACUAAUAUGAGGGAGACAUAUCUAUCCUAUCCAAUCUAUCUUUUGAUGGUAAUUAUUUUGAAAUAUACAUUUUUUUUUUCAAAAGUACUUUAUAACUAUAACAAAUAAGAUUUUAGUUAGAUUUGUUAAAUAAAACAGGUCUUUAUCUUCUUUUAUAAUUUUGAUUAUUUUGAGUAUUAAUGCUUAACAUUAAGAUAUUCUUUAUAACUUUGCGUAUUCUUAUUUUUAUGUAAGUACGUAAAACAAGUUUUUAAUGUAAUAAAUAGGACUUUUGUAAGCAAAGUUAAAUUUAUGAAUUUUUUUUUGUCAUUAAUAUGUGUAUUUAUUAUAAUUUUUGUCAAUAAUAUGUGUAUUUUUUUUGUCAGUAUAGUGUGUAAUGCCGCAAAACCAAGAAGAAAAAAAUGAAUGCUAGUUCUUUGUUGUGAGAAAUUCUAAACUAAAAUACAUAAAUCAGUUUAAUUAAUAUAUGUUUAAAAUGUAUAUUUAAAUUUAAUAUAACUACCAAUUAUAUGUCUGUUCUUCAAAAUAAAUGCAUAUAUACUAUAUCAUUAUUUACUUUUUAUGGUAUGUUAGAGAUAUUCUAAAAUUUCUCUUCUGCCCUUCUUGUCAUUUUCGACUACGAGUCAAUGAAGUCUCUUUUGUUUCGAGACAGAUGAUCUCAAGGAAAUGGGGCAAAUAUCUCUUCCAGUGGUAUUUUACAGGCUGUUGAUGAAGAGUCGCACGUGUUUUGGUAUUUUACAUUUGCAUUUUGUUUGCAAAUUUUAGUAAGGUCAGGCUAUACAGGAAGUCUCUCCAGUGUUCUAUGACUCAAAUGGAAAUAUAACGUUGAUUAUUAAACACAUGCUUCCGCACGUUUCUGUUCUCUGUAGUACUAUUAUAAACAAAUAUCGACAUCGUUGAUUACUAUAAACACAUUCAUUGGCGCGUUAGAAUUCCCUCAUGAAAAAAUAUGACUACAUUUUGCGUUCUGGUUUGAGUUCAUAUUUCCUUUUCUUCAUUCUUAAUUUUUAUGACUUGCACAAUUAAUUUCUGUAGUUGAAGCAAUAUUAAAUUGUACUCUAUAUCGCAUCAAAAAAAAAAAAUUGUAAUAUAUAUAUAUAUAUAUAUGUAUGUAUAUGUGUUUGUGUGUGUGUGUGUGUUGCUUAUUACUUCGGAGGACUUAGGAUGUUUUAUUUGUAUGGAUUAAUCCUAACAUAAUUCUGACGUGUUUUUAGUUACUGCAAAAAUUCUAACGCACUUUCACUAACAGUUGUUAAAUGGAUUUUUUUUUUUGAAAUUAUUACAAUGUGAAAAUGAGGAUUACCUUCUAUUUGUCUAGGAAAAUUAAGCAAAACCCUGUUGGAUCAUAAACUUGAUCCAAGAUGAAUAAAUUCAAGCCAAACUCAUGGAAGAUUCCAUGAGUAUAUAUGGUUGAUGAGGUUUGAAUUAUUUGUGUUAUGUGUGGUAGGUGUGGUUGGUGAAGUAGGUGAGUGGUGGGUUUUAAUGAAUGGUGAGGAUUUAUGUAGUAGUUGAAUAAAUGAAUAGUUGUAAUUAGUUUGUAUCAUGUAUAAAUACCCCCUCUCCCCUUUGGUUUAAGUAUAAAGUGAAGUAACAAAAUCUCUAAGGUGUAGAGAGUGAAAAAUAAGAGUUCUAAUUGGUGAGGAGUGUUGUUGAAGAAAUAAAAUAGUGUGUUUUGUGUGUAAUUCUCCAACAAAGUGGUAUCAGAGCUAGUGCUUGAUGCUGUAUAUAGUCAUAUAGCAUAUCAAAUCGAAUAUCUCGACGAGAGGAACGUGACGCCGCAAAAAUAAUUCUGAUCCGAGACCAAACGCUCCCACACUUGCCGUCGGAAGUUUUCUGUCCUGAAGCUGAGCCGACUCACCGAGUUGAACCAAGCUGAGCCGAACUGAACCAAGCCGAGCCGAGCUGAACCAAAUCAAGUCGAACCGAGCCAACUCGAGCUGAACCAAUCCGGACCGAACCAAGCCUACCAAGGCAGCGUUGACCGUUGACCGACGCUGACAGUUGACCAGCAUUGACCGUUGAUCGAAAGUUGACUCGAGUCCUUCCCAAGGUUUUUCGAUGUGCCGAAUCCAUAUGUGCUUUCAGAAUCUCCAAAUUCUCACUCAAUUUGUGAGUUAUGGCAAACGGUGGUAUGAUGUCAGUUCAAGUUCCAUAAUUAAAAGGAAGUAAGUUUGACAAUUGGAGUAUUAAAAUGAAGGCUCUGUUGGGCGCACAUGACGUAUGGGAUGUCGUGGAGAAAGGCUUUAUUAUGCCAGAAAAUGAAGCCACUUUAACUGCGGCGCAUAAUGAGAAUUUAAAAGACUUGAAGAAGAAAGAGAUUAAAGCAAAAUAUCUCAUCUUUCAAUCAUUACAUGAAGAUGCUUUUGAAAAGAUUGCUAGUACAACCUCCUCAAAAGAAGUAUGGGAGAAACUAGAGACCUCUUACAAAGGAGCGGAGCAAGUUAAGAAGGUUCGUCUCCAAACAUUAUGAGGAGAAUUUGAGUCCUUACACAUGAAGGCAUCGGAGUCAAUUUCUGACUACUUUACUCGGGUUGUGACCGUUUCUAAUGAAUUAAAAAGAAAUGACGAGGAGUUAAAAAAGGUAAGGAUCAUUGAAAAGAUACUUUGAUCAGUAGACUCAAAGUUUAACCAUAUUGUUGUGACAAUUGAAGAAACAAGAGAUCUGGAGGAUAUGACGAUCGAGCAACUUCAUGGAAGGCUGCAAGCCUAUGAAGAAAAAUAAAAAAAGAAGUAAGGAAUCAAAGAACAACUUCUCAAGAUGGAAGUCAAUCCAAAGAAAAGAGAAGAAAGCUCUGACAACGAGAGAAGGCACUAUGUCCGAGGUAGAGGUCGAGGACGAGGUAGAGGUCAUGGUCAUGGAUGAGGUUGGAAUUUCAACAACAACAACUCCAAUUAUGCCAAACGAGAAAGCUCAACCAGAGGACGAGGCAGAGGCAAUCCAAGAUCGAGGUAUGACAAAUCCCAAGUACAGUGCUAUAAUUGUCAAAAGUUUGGGCAUUAUGCUUCAGAAUGUAGAGCUCCAAGCACCAGAAUUGAGGAGAGAGUGAACUAUGCUGAAAAGAAAAAUGGUGAAGAUGGCACACUUUUACUAGCACGCAGUGACACAAGUGGAGGUCAAGAAAAUACAUGGUAUCUUGACACAGGUGCUGGCAAUCAUAUGAGUGGAAACAAAAGGAUGUUCAUGCAACUAAGUGAAUAUGUGAAUGGCAGUGUUGCUUUUGGAGAUGAUUCAAAAGUACCAGUGAAGGGUAGAGGUAACAUUCUUUUUCGUGCAAAAGAUGGCGGUCACCAAAUAAUUUCGAAUGUUUACUAUGUGCCCAAUAUGAAAAGCAACAUCCUUAGUUUGGGUCAACUUUUAGAAAAAGGCUAUGAUAUUCACUUAAAAUAUUAUAAUCUUUUCCUAAGAGAUGAUAGAGGAAAUCUAAUUACAAAGGUGAGAAUGUUGAAGAAUAAAAUGUUUCCAUUAAAUAUUCAAAAUGAUGUUGCAAAAUGUCUCAAAGCCUGUCACAAAGAUCAAUCCUAGACUUGGCAUCUUCGAUAUGGGCAUCUCAACUUUGGAGGACUGGAGCUACUAUCUAAAAAGAACAUGGUGAAAGGCUUACCAUACAUCAAUCACCCUGAUAAACUUUGUGAAGGAUGUUUACUUGGCAAGCAGUUCAGAAAGAGCUUUCCAAUGGAGUCAAACUCAAGAGCUCAGAAGCCACUCGAGCUCAUUCAUAUUGAUGUGUGCGGUCCAUUCAAGCCAAACUCCCUUGGUAAAAGUAACUACUUCCUUCUCUUCAUAGAUGAUUUUUCAAGAAAAACUUGGUUGUAUUUUUUAAAACAAAAAUCAGAAGUUUUUGAAGCUUUCAAGAAGUUUAAAGCUGCAGUGGAAAAAGAAAGUAGAUACCAGAUUAAAGCCAUGAGAUCUGAUCGAGGUGGAGAGUUCACUUCUAAAGAAUUUUUAGAGUUUUGUGAAGCAAAUGGAAUUCGACACCCUUUGACAGUUCCAAGAUCCCCCCAACAAAAUGGUAUUAUAGAAAGGAAGAACAGAACCAUCCUCGACAUGGCAAGAAGCAUGGUUAAGAGUAAGAGGCUACCUAAAGUACAUGAGAAGAAAUCUAAACUAUAAGAAAUUACAAAAAAUUAAUAACUAUUCAUCUUAUUUUUAUGUAAGUACGUAAAACAAGUUUUUAAUGUAAUAAAUAGGACUUUUGUAAGCAAAGUUAAAUUUAUGAAUUUUUUUUGUCAUUAAUAUGUGUAUUUAUUAUAAUUAUAUGGCUUAUAGAAACAGUUUUUAAAAAAAUUUGUAGCAAAAAAAAAAAUGACAAAUAAAUAACAAUUAUACAACAAGCCAGCCCCCUCAAGGGCGUGGUCGGGUUGGUUGCAUUGCAGCUGUAACCUCUACCAAAAUCCGGGUUCAUUCUUGUGGAUGAUAAGGGGGUUAAAAACUGUAUUUGGGUUUGCCCACCCCCCUUACCUUUAAGGAAAAAAAAAAUAACAUGACAGCGAAUGUACAUAUUUGAACUUGCUGGCACGUUAGAAUUCCCUCACAAGAGGGAAGGUGUACUCCUUUUUUUUUUAAAGAAUAUAAUAUAUUUGUCCUACUAAGACUUACAAAUUAUAUGCUUUGAAAAUCUCAGGGAAAAUGAAUAAGAAAAAUAAAUCGCUUGCACUUCUCCGCUGCCUAUAUAUAUAUAUAUAUAUAACCUUGUGCAUAACCACAAACCAUAGAUUAAUUUGAGAAUUUUUGCCAAGUAUAACUGUAACCUAGCUUACACUACAUCUGUAUGUCCAAUGUCUUCUUGCAUUGUUCCAUUGAUAGGUCCGAGUCAGAUGGUCGCUAACAAUGACUAAAAGAUGAUAACUUUGUUCUGUUUUUGGUGAGAACGACCCGAGAUAAUUAGGUUUGAUAAUUGCUGAUCUUUUAUUCGCAGUGGAAAACUAAUUUAUAGUAGCUAACCUUACAAGUCUUUGAUUCCUAGCCAACAAUAUCAGCUAGAUUAUAGUAAAAUAAAACAAGAAGAAAUAUUUAAAGAUAACUUAGAGGCCGAAUCCAAAUCAAACAUGACCACCACACUUUGAUUCUCUUCCAAACAGGAAACGAAUAUUUUGACGUGGUAAUUCUCUUGCUCUCGUUUCGACAUUCAAUAAACUCAUCCUGCACAUGAAACACGGUCUGCAUGAAGCCAUGCAUGGCUUGCAUGAGUAAUUUGCAUGAGCACAGCUCAAACGUACCCUUUGAACUUGUAGUUAGGUUUUGGUGCUCUUACUGAUCUCCUUGGCUCCUUAUCAAUGCCCCCUCGUGGAAGAGGACCCUUGUCCUCAAGGGUCAUAUUUUUAAAUAGAUUCAUUGGUUCCUUUAUGAUUCAAUAAGGAAUGAAAUGAAUUUUUUAGUUUGGCACGGUCUGUUGGGGUAACCUCCGCAGCAAUUUCAGUUUCUUCUUACAUAAUAUCUCUCGCCUUAGUACUUCCUUCAAGCAACAAUAUUUGAGGACCCAUACAUUUGUGACCUACAGUAAACUUCGCAGGGCAGUUAAAACAAAGUCCUUGGGCACGACGUCUCUGCAUCUCGUCCCACGUCAAGCGUUUGACAUUAGAUGUUGAUGUUCCGCUAACUGGGAAUGGCUGAGAAAACUUGCGUUGGACUUGGUCUGCUUGCAUACGCGCCAAACUGAUAGCUUCUUUCAAAGUCUUUGGCUUGAACAUCCUGAUGCCAUCAGAUAUCUCAGGCUUAAGACCUCCCAUAAAAGUUCCAACUAAAGCUUUUGGCGUCCACCCAUGAACCUGAUUGCCCAAUCUCUCAAAUUCUCAUUGAUAAUCACGUAAGGUGCCCACUUGCCGCACCUUGGAUAGAGCUUCAUCAAAAUCUUCGCACUCAGUAGGUCCGAAACGUGCCCAUAAUUCUUCUUCAAAAUCUGUCCAUGUAACCAUUCUUCCCUCCUCUUUAUAAGCUUUGUGCAGCCACUGCCACCAUUGGUUGGCUUCACCUUCAAGAUGGAAUGAUGCCAAUGCAACCUUUUGUGUCUCCGUUGUUCCCUGGUAUUCAAAGAAUUGGGAACUUUGCUAAACCACUCCGUAGGAUCAUCUCCAGCGUACCUUGGAAAUUCAAGCUUAGCCAUUUUUGAGGAGAAAAUCAUUCGGCUUCCACUAGCUUCCUCCUUGGUAUGCUCCUUGUAAGAAUGGCUAGGGUGAUUAUUGACGUUAUGGCUGGACCCUUCCUUGUUUGAAAAGAAAGCCUCGGACAUACGAUUGAUGGUCUCCUCGAGCUGAUGCAGUUUGUCAUUAAUGCCACUCCAUUUGUUGCAAUCCAUCUUGAAGUCCAUCAAGCCUCGCUUCUAAAUUUUCAAUCCUUUCUUUGUUAGUUGCCAUGAGAACAAUAAAGUUUUUGAACAAGAUAAUGCGGCUCUGAUACCAAUUGAUAGGUCCCAGUCAGAUGCUCGCUAACAAUGACUAAAAAGAUGAUAACUUUGUUCUGCUUUUGGUGAGAACGACCUGAGAUAAUUAGGUUUGAUAAUUGCUGAUCUUUUAUUCGCAGCGGAAAACUAAUUUAUAGUAGCUAACCUUACAAGUCUUUGAUUCCUAGCCAACAAUAUCAGCUAGAUUAUAGUAAAAUAAAACAAGAAGAAAUAUUUAAAGAUAACUUAGAGGCCGAAUCCAAAUCAAACAUGACCACCACACUUUGAUUCUCUUCCAAACAGGAAACGAAUAUUUUGACGUGGUAAUUCUCCUGCUCUCGUUUCGACAUUCAAUAAACUCAUCCUGCACAUGAAACACGGUCUGCAUGAAGCCAUGCAUGGCUUGCAUGAGCACAGCUCAAACGUACCCUUUGAACUUGUAGUUAGGUUUUGGUGCUCUUACUGAUCUCCUUGGCUCCUUAUCAUCCAUCAACCUCGUUUACCUCUGUAAAUGGUUCAAAUGUCCUCCUCUUGCAACAAAUCGAGCAGCCACUAGAAUCAUUACCAUAAAUAAGCCAGUCCAAUGCCUUGUCAGCGCCAAAUAUGAUAAUUUGACAGUUGACAGGAGAUCAGCAAACUACCAACCCUCAAUUUGGGACCAUGAUUUUUUGCAGUCAGUGAAUAGUGGCUAUACGGUAUUUAUUAUUAUUCAUUUCAAAUUGGGACCAUGAAUAACUAAAAACUAAAUGCCGUUCAUGUACAGGAUGAAACAUACAAAAGACGAGCAAAAGAGCUGAAGGGAAAAGUAAUGACAACGAUUAAUAAGGAUGUACUUGCAAAGACUUGGAUUGGCUUAUCAUUUUGAGACUGAGAUUCGGAAAAUAUUGCAUAAUAUCUACAACAGUAAUAAAGAUUAUAAUUGGAGAAAAGAAAAUCUGUAUGCAACCUCUCUCGAGUUUAGACUACUCAGACAACAUGGCUAUCCUGUUUCUCAAGGUACAUUUCAUUAACUCGCUUUUUUUUGUCAUGCGCAUGCAAGGUGUGAAUAUUUGAAUCGAUCUCUCUGUUUUUUUCCUCUUUUUUUUAAUUUAAAAGAGUGGAUAACACCCAAAUCAAUUUUUUAACUCUCUAUCUCCAGAGAAUUCUAACUCGACAAGGCUGCUGAGACACUUAAAUCAUUCUCUAAUUAGCAUAUGUAUGCGAAAAUUUUGAUGAAAUAGUUCUUUUUGAUUGAGCACUGCAGACGUUUUCAAUGGUUUUAAAGACGACAAGGGAGGCUUCAUUUGUAAUGAUUUCAAGGAAAUAAUGAGCUUGCAUGAAGCCUCGUAUUACAGCUUUGAAGGAGAAAGCAUCAUGGAGGAGGCCUGGCAAUUCACCAGUAAACAUCUUAAAGAAGUGAUGAUCAGCAAGAGCAAGCAAGGGGAUGUCUUUGUCGCAGAACAAGCAAAGCGCGCACUGGAGCUCCCUCUGCAUUGGAAAGUUCCAAUGUUAGAGGCAAGGUGGUUCAUAGACGUUUAUGAGAAAAGAGAGGACAAGAACCACCUUUUACUUGAGCUCGCUAAGAUGGAAUUCAAUGUUUUGCAGGCAAUUUACCAGGAAGAACUUAAAGAUUUUUCAAGGUAUCCAUGCUUGGUUGCAACUCAUAUUUAUGUAUGUAUCAAAGAUUUGAGUUUAUGAAAUACAUAACUUGUACAAGUUAAUCAUAUGCAUAUUAAAUUAUUCUCAGGUGCAGACUACACCUUUUACAGUAGUGUAAAGGUCUGAGUCUGCACUUUAUAAAAUACAGACGUUUGCACCAGAGAUUGACUCUAAGGAAUCUCGGACUAGAAGAUGACUCUAUAAUAGAUGUAUUGUAAAGCUACGAGUCAUAAUAUUCGUUUUAAUUUUCCUAUGAAGGUGGUGGAAGGAUAUAGGUCUUGCAGAGAAACUGAGCUUUGCGAGGGACAGCUUGGUAGCAUCCUUCGUAUGGAGCAUGGGGAUAGUGUUUAAGCCUCAAUUAGCCUACUGUAGGAGAAUACGCACAAUCACAUUUGCUCUAAUUUCAGUGAUUGAUGAUAUUUAUGAUGUUUAUGGAACUUUGGAUGAACUUGAGCUAUUUGCUGAUGCUGUUGAGAGGUUUGUUGGCAAAUUAAUGUUAUACCUAAUUGAUUAAUUCAACUGCUAGCUAGCUGCUUGUUACUUCUCAAAUUAAAAGACCAGUCAUAUGAUUUUUUUUUUUUUUCGUUUUCUACAGGUGGGACAUCAAUUAUGCUUUGAACCACCUUCCGGACUAUAUGAAAUUCUGUUUUCUUGCGCUUUACAACUUGGUUAAUGAAUUUACUUAUUACGUACUCAAACAACAGGGUUUUGAUAUACUUCGAAGUAUAAAAAAUGCCUUACGUAAAAUAUUAGUUGCACCUCCGCUGCCAUUCCUUUUCCUUUGAUUUAUCCAUUUUAAAUUACGAUGUUUUUGUCGUAAAAAAAAAAAAAAAUUGUAAGUUGUAACUACUGCUACUUUCUGUGUCUUGUGCAUCAGUGGCUUCGCAAUAUACAAGCCUACUUAGUGGAGGCGAAAUGGUACCAUGGUAAGUACACGCCAACACUGGGAGAAUUCUUGGAAAAUGGAUUGGUAUCAAUAGGAGGCCCUAUGGUUACAAUGACUGCAUACCUUUCUGGGACAAAUCCAAUCAUUGAGAAAGAACUAGAAUUUUUAGAAAGUAAUCAAGAUAUAGUUCACUGGUCAUUCAAGAUUCUUCGUCUUCAAAAUGAUUUGGGAACUUCAUCGGUAUUUUUUCUUUUUUAUUUUUUUAACAAGACAGAAAUUGAAUUAAUCCUUUAUUUAUGAAUUGACUGUACCUUUUUUUUUACCCAAUAAUUCAUCAGGAUGAGAUACGGAGAGGGGAUGUUCCGAAAUCGAUCCAGUGUUACAUGCAUGAAACUGGUGCCUCGGAGGAAGUUGCCCGUGAACACAUCAAGGAUAUGAUGAGACAGAUGUGGAAGAAGGUGAAUGCAUACAGAGCUGAUAAAGAUUCUCCCUUAUCGCAAACUACAGUCGAGUUCAUAUUAAAUGUUGUGAGAGUGUCCCAUUUUAUGUAUCUACAUGGAGAUGGGCAUGGUGCUCAAAACCAAGAGACUAUGGAUGUAGUUUUCACAUUGCUUUUUCAGCCAAUUCCCUUGGACGACAAACACGUGGUUGCCACAUCAUCACCUGGCACCAAAGGAUGAUGAAUUAUAGUGCAUGAUGCGUUACGAAUCCCAAGAGUGCAGUUUCAAUUGAUGUUGGCCUCAACUUUUCCUGUCAGUUUCUAUUUCUUUCCGAUGAUGAGGUCUCUUUUCGAUGAUUCUAAUAAAUUCCCUCACUCGUCGAGGUUUAUAAAUGAAACAAAAAUGUCAUAUAUGUUACUUUUGUUGGAUCAUAAACUUGAUCCAAGAUGAUGAUGAUGAUGAUGAUGAUGAUAAUAAUAAAAAAUUCAAACCCAAAUUAAUAAGCUCAACCUAUGGAAGGUUCCAUGAGUAAGUAUGAUUGGUGAUGUUUGAAUUAUUUGUGAUAGGUGUGGUAGGUUUGGUAGGUGAAGAUAAAUAGUUAUUAAUUUUUUGUAAUUUCUUAUAGUUUAGAUUUUUUCUCAUGUACUAUAAAUACCCCCUUGUGUCAUUUGGUUAUGCAUCAAGUAAAGUAACAAAAUCUCUAAGUUGUAGAGAGUGAAAAAUAAGAGUUGUAAUUGGUGAUGACUGUUUUGAAGAAAUAAAAUAGUGUGUUUUUUAGUGUUUAAUUUGUUAAUUCUCCAAUAAAAUGGUAUCAGAGCUAGUGUUCAAUGCUAUAUAUAGUCGUAUAACAUAUCAAAUCGAAUAUCUCAACGAGAGGAACGUGAAACCGCAAAUAUCAGCCCGAUCAGAGACCGCGUACUCCCACACUCGCUGCCGGAAAUUUUCUGUCCUAAAGCUGAGUCGACUCACCGACUUGAACCAAGCUGAACCGAACAGAACCAAGUCGAACCGAGCUGACCAGAUCCGAACCGAGCCACAGAGCCGGACCGAGCCAAGUCAACUAAGCAGAAACGUUGACCGUUAAUCGACAUUGACCAUUGACCGCACAUUGACCGUUGACCGAAAGUUGACUCGAGUCCCUCCCAGGGUUUUUUGACGUUCCGGAUUCAUCCGUACAUUUAAAAUCUCCAUAUUCUUGCUCAAUUUGUGAAUUAUGAAAAAUGGUGGCAUGAUGUCAUUCCAAGUUCCACAAUUAAAGGGAAGUAAGUUCGACAACUGGAGUAUUAAAAUGAAGGCUCUAUUGAGUGCACAUGACACAUGGAUGUCGUAGAGAAAGACUUUAUUGUGCCAGAAAAUGAAGUCACUUUAACUACGGCGCAAAAGGAGAAUUUAAAAGACUUGAAGAAGAAAGAGAAUAAAACAAAAUAUCUCAUCUUUCCAUCAUUAGAUAAAGAUGCUUUUGAAAAUGUUAGUGGUGCAACCUCCUCAAAAGAAGCAUAAGAGAAGUUAAAGAUCUUUUACAAAGGAGCGGAGCAAGUUAAGAAGGUUUGUCUCCAAACAUUACGAGGAGAAUUUGAGUCCUUACACAUGAAGGCAUCGGAGUUAAUUUUUGACUACUUUACUCAGGUUGCAACCGUUUCCAAUGAAUUAAAAAGAAAUGGCGAGGAGUUAAAAGAUGUAAGGAUUAUUGAAAAGAUACUUCAAUUAGUAGACUCAAAGUUUGACCAUAUUGUUGUGACAAUUAAGGAAACAAAAGAUUUAGAGGAUAUGACGAUCGAGCAACUUCAAGGAAAAUUGUAAACCUAUUAACAAAAACUAAAAAAGAAACAAGGAAUCGAAGAACAACUUCUCAAGAUAGAAGUCAAUCCAAAGAAAAGAGAAGAAAGCUUCGACAACGAGAGAAUGCAUUAUAUUUAAGGUUGAGGUCAAGGAUGAGGUAGAGGUCGUAGUUAUCGACGAUGUUGGAAUUUUAACAACAACAACUCCAAUUAUGCCAAAGAAGAAAGCUUAACCAAAGGACGAGGCAGAGGCAGAGGCAAUCUAAGAUCAAGGUAUGACAAAUCCCAAGUACAGUGCUAUAAUUGUCAAAAGUUUGGGCAUUAUGCUUCAGAAUGUAGAGCUCCAAGUACCAGAAUUAAUGAGAGAGUGAAUUAUGCUGAAGAGAAAAAUGGUGAAGAUGUCACCCUUUUACUAGUACGCAAUGACACAAAUGGAGGUCAAGAAAAUAUAUGGUAUCUUGACAAAGGUGCUAGCAAUCAUGUGAGCGGAAACAGAAACAUGUUCGUGGAACUAAAUGAAUCUGUGAAUGAUAGUGCCGCUUUUGAAGAUGAUUCAAAAGUACCAGUAAAGGACAAAGGUAAUAAUCUGUUUUGUGCAAAAGAUGGUAGCCACCAAAUAAUUUCGAAUGUUUACUAUGUGCCUAAUAUGAAAAGCAACAUCUUUAGUUUUGGUCAACUCUUGGAAAAAAACUAUGAUAUUCAUUUAAAAGAUUGUAGUCUUUUCCUAAGAGAUGACAAAGGAAAGGUUGGUACCGAUUUAAAGCUUGAGAGACGAGCAACGUAUCCAUACUGUCCUUGCUGCCGGAAAUCGAUCGGAAAGCCACCGAUCGAAGCUUUGAAGUUCCGCGGAAUUGCCGCCUCAAUUCGCCGUGAUUUCACCGGUUUCUGGUAAAGCCAUCACUUGGGUUUUGUUCCUUACCGUUCCCUCUACCAUUUCCGACUAACCACUGACGCCGGGACGUCGUUUUGCCGUUGAUCGGCCGUUGAAGGAUUCACGACUUCGGGAGCUCGAUCCGGAGCCAGCACCGCACGUGGGAGGUCACCACCGCCAUCAUUGGACUCAGCGUGGCUUGAACUUUCAGUUCUGAGCUUCCCGUCGCCGUCGAUUGAAUUCCGGUGACCGUUGACCGGCAAGGGUAUUUCGGUAAUUUCACAGUAUAAGGGCAAUUUUGUAAUUUCAGAUUUUGUGGGUAUUUUAGUAAUUGCUGAAAUUGAGGAUAAAGUUGGUAAUUUAUGAUUUUGAGGUUAAUUUGGUAAUUUUGAUAUGAGGGUAUUUUGGUAAUAUUGAAUUCAAGGGCAUUUUGGUAAUUUUGAUAUUUGAGGGUAAUUUCGUAAUUUCAAGAAUUAUGAGUAUUUUGAUGAUUUAUGAUUUAAAUUAAGAUUAUUUGAGGUUACGUAUGGAAUGUGAUUAUAUUGAGGAAUUUGAGAAUAUUGGAGUUUAUGAUUAUGGUUUAAUUUUAUUCUUAUGAGAGUAUUUUUAUUGGUUUUUAAGCCGAUGAUAUCGAUGUGCAUUUGUUACUCGAGGAUACCAGGAGGUAAGUAAAUUAGAUUUCCAAACGAAUCACAAUAAACAAUAUAUAUGUUUGACAUGUUUGAAAAGUCUAUUUUGAUAUAUAUACGUAUAUUGAUUAUAUGCUUUGCCCAUGUAUUUAUGUGAUGUGUUGGUAAGAUGUGUUGUUAUGUGUUAUGUGUAUUUAUGGACAUGGGCAUAUGUAUGUGUGAAUAUUUUAUUGGCAUGAGCACGAAAAUGCAUUAUGUUUUCUGUAAAAUGAGAAAGUUGAUUUUAGCAAACGAAAUUUGAAGAAAGAAAGAUUGUUUUACAGUUUUAGCUUGGAUGCUUAAAUUCGUUACUGGCUUAGUGGAGGAUACUCUAGAUGUUUAUAUAGUUAUGAGAUAAGUGGGCGAAGGACGCAUUGGCAAGAAGCCCAAAGAGUAUGAAAGUUAUGAAAGUUAAGAGUGUCCUACUAAGCGGUAAUCGAAUGAAGUUAGCUCAAGUAAGUGGUUUGAAAGAGAAUGUGAAAGUUUGAGAAAGACAGACUGAGAUUUCGAUGAUUUGUUUUACGAUGUUUUCGAAUACCAUGGCACGUCAUUCAUUUGCACUAUAUAUAUGUAUGUAUGUAUUUUGGUAUAUGCAAAACCGGUUUACUUACUGAGUUUCGUACUCAUUAUAGUUUAUUGUGAUUCAGUUUUCGUAAAUCAGAAUUAAUUCGUGAUGAGCAUCGAGAAGGACUUGAAUGGAGGAAUUAGAUGGUUUGGCAUGAAUUUUAAAUUAUUCUGCUGUAGUUUGUGUUUUAUAUUUGUAUUUUCAAGGAUAUAAUUUUUAUGGAUUGUAAAAGGAUUAUUAUUAUUAUUUAUUAUUUAUUAUUAUUUUAUUGUUAAGCAUCUAUCAGUAAGAUUCGCCCUGUGGAGGUCGGGGCGGGUCGUUACAGAGAUAGUUGAUCCUAUCUCAUAUGUAUAUUGGUGCACUAUUUGAACAAAUUGGACAUUGGCAUUCUAACGUGUACCGCAUUUUUAUGAAUACAAUAUUUUUUAACUAUAUAUUAGGCUGUUUUUGAGAGCUUCGAUAAAUUGUGGGAUUCAAUUAGAUUUUGAAACUAACAAAAUAAUUUAAUCUAAGGUAUGUUUGGUUGUCAUGGACUAUUAGAGUAAACUUAAAUUUAGUCUAAACCUAAUAGUAUUAUUAACCCUUAUUUUUUUAGGCAUUUAGGUGAGGUAAGAUUAAAUAAAAACUUUGUGUCAUCUUUAUCACUUUUUUCUUUUUCAUUUAACCUAAUAUUUUAAUAUAAAUUAAACAUAGAAGUGAAUUUCACGAAUUUUUAACCAAGUAAUUUUAUAUUAUUGUAUAGAAUAUCAGAAUUUUAUUUAAUAAUUUAUUAAAUUAAAUUAACAAGUUCAGUCCACUAUUAUACCAAACAAAGAUCGUACUAUAUAUAAGCUUUUAGGUUUAACCACCAAUUUUGUUUCCCUCAUGCAAAUGACUAUGCCCACAGUAUCAUGAUUUCAGCAUUCUGCCGGGGUGGGUGUUUUGAAGAGGCAAAUUGGCUGGGUAUUUUGAAGUCAAGUAUGACAAAUAUGAUUUAAAUUGCAUGCUUUAUGCCUACUGCAGAGCUGGUGCUAUGGAGAGCGCAAUGCAUGUUAUGAAGAAAUUGGGCGAAUUAGUCCGGAUAACAAUACCCAUCAUAUUGUAAUCAAACAUUUCUCCAAUAAGAAGUUUUAUAUGCUUGCUUAUUGGACUAUUAUGGACGAUGCAUAAAUUAACAAGUGUACUAGUCAACACAAAUAAUAUAAUGAAGAGUAGAAUAUUAUCCUACAAAGAUUGUAUAUCCUCUUAGCUACUGAAAUUAUUCUAACCCUAAUUUCUUUGAACAAUCGAAUAGACAGAUUUAGAAAAAAAAAUUAAAAUAGAGUAAAAUAACUAAAAAUUAAAUAAAUAUGCAAGCAGUAAUAGAAAUCACGUAGAGAUUAUGACACUAUGACAUCCGAUUUUAUCAUAAUCAAUUCAAUUUUAAUUCUCUAUUUAUGCUAUUAAAAUUUAUUACUCAUGUUGACAGUGAAUUUUCCUAAUCUAUUCAAUAUCCUUUCUUGAGUAAUAUAAAAAAUAUCUUCACAUAUUAACCCACUAUAUUUCUAUGUGAAUUUAAAUAUGCAAAGAUUCAUUAAGUUCUAUGAAAAUUCUUCGAAAAAUUACAUGAAUCAUGUUGGCACAUCUCUGUCUUUCGUUCAACUCAUGGCAUCCAUUACAUAGAGCAAAAAUACAUAAAUCUCCUCUUGGUCUUAUUAUGUAUCCUUAAAUCAUUUAAAUAUUGACCAAAUAUUUAAAAGCAUUAAGCACAAUAAUGAACACUCAACCAUGGAAUAAUAAACUAAAAAUAACAUAUAUUUAUGAAAUUAAAUAUUUAUAGUUAGGCUACAUCAUAGCCCUAACAAAAUAAAUUAGUUCAUGAGAAUAUAAAGAGAAUCAAUAAAUUUAAUUGGAAACAUUCAAGUAAGAUAAUAGAAAAAGAGAAAAGAAAGAAUAAACUCAAAAAGUUCUCUCUUCAAUCUCUGCAAUCGACUUCUCCAAAUUAUUGCUUCUCCAAAUUUGCAGCGGCGGCUUCUCUCUCUCUUUUUUCUUUUUUCUUGCUCUCGGUUAUUUGUUUUUUCUCUUGGCUUCCAAUUUGUGCGGCUUCCCGCCUCUCUUGUGGCUUCCACUCGUGCCCUUUUAUAUUGUUUCAAUUGUGGCCUUUAACUCCUUAUAUGGAAAGAAUUAAAAACAAAAGCCAAGCCGCUUCUUUUCUUUCAUGCAUGCACGUGACUUGUUCAAUUAAUAAGCCAAUAAUGAUUUGGCCAAAGCCCAUCACCAGAAUGCUUUCUUUUUUUACUCUAUUCUUCACAUGAUUUACCUUAUUAAUUAACUUAUUUCCAAUACUAAUUCUUCUCAUCUUCACGUGAACUACAAUUAUGCCUUGGCUGCUUCGAUUUUCUUCCAUUUUAACUCCCAUUACUUUCCUUAAAUUUCCAAUCAAUUUCUUUUUUAAGCUCUUUCUAUUUGAAUAUUGUAAUUUAAUGCUUCUUCAUUCCCAAAAUGUACCUAAAAUAAAAAAAAAAUAAAAAUUAAGAUAAAAUUAAUAUAAUAAAAUAUAAUUUAACAUAAGAUUAAAUUAAGAAAAUAUAUAAAUAAUAUAUAAAUUAUUAUCACAUCAAUGGACAUGCACAUUAAAAGCCACCAGCUAGAGGAGGUAUGAAAGUGGUCAUAGACAAAUGAACUUUUACUUCGGGAUUGCAACACGAAAGACUUAUCGCAACUAUGCUAUUUUACAGGAACUCUACUCCUCCCUAAUUUUUCAUCUUGGUAAAAUGAGAGCGACACUUAGAAGCACUCUUUGUUCACAACAUGUUAAGAGGCAACAAAAGAACGAUGUGCAAGGCCCAUCAUGAGAAAAUUCUUCAUAUUUUAAUAUCUGGAAAACUUCCCAUGUCUUACCAUUUUAGUUCAAUUCUUUAACUGUCAUUUUUAUGCUUUUUUUAAUUAAAAAACCCAAAGUUGGUGGGGUUAGGCGGGACCCCCUUACCUAUAGAUUAUUGAAAUAUAAACAAAAUUACAUAUGGAGGGGGAUGUAGACCAAAAUCUCCAAGCAAAGGAACAAAAAUAACCAACUAAUGAAAAAAAAAACGAAAACAAUAAUAGAAUAAAUAAGAAGCUAAAGAUAAUUAAUUAAUGCAAACGCCGAGAAAAAUACUUACAAUACUUACGACCAUUAACUAAUUUGAAACCUUUCUUAAAACUAGAGGAAUGCAUGCCACCAAUACUGAGGUCGAAGUCAAGAUCAUGGCCAGUUAUACCCUCAGUCUUAGACGCAAAAUAAUCAUCGACUAUAGGAUUUCCGUCAGAGCUAAACUCCUCAUCCGACUGAUUAGGGAUAUCUUUAGAUGGUAAUUAAAAUCACAACCAUGGAGUGAAUAUCAUCCACUGUAGACUUGAAAAAUGUAAAGCUUGUGGAAGCCCUUAGAGCACUCAGAUUAUCCAAAACAAGAGAAUUAGCAACCUUAGUGCAUCCAUCAGUAUCUCUCAGAGCAACAGUAUAUUGCAAACCAUCAUCAUCUGGAACUCACAGAGUAGAAAUCGAAUUAGAUGCCGCGUCUAUAGUAUCCUGAGGAAAAAGAGCAGAUGGCCAAGCAACAUCAUCGAGGGGGCUAGGCCCAAAGACUGACCUUGGACGAGAGUAGGCCUCUGUAGUCAAUUAUUCUUAGUAACCACAUAUGUAGCACAAUUCCUAGUAGGCUAGACAACAACAUUAGUAAUAGGUACCGUACUUGUAUCAUGAGCAAAUACAUCCUUCACCUAACCAAUAGGUUAUUAGGGUUUAUGGAGCCCAUGAUUUGUAGUAAAAUAAGCAUCAUCAAAGCGACCAAGAUGCUUAGACGUGGCAUAAUAUAACAGAACAUGCUCAUAGAUGAUAUCUUGCCAAACCCCAUUAUCACAUUUACCAAUCCAAAGUCUUAGCAACAAUAGUUGUGAAACAUCAUACUCAAUGAGUACAUGAGCCACCAAGGGCCUAUUAAUAGCAGUAGUGGCAUGGUCCACCCGUAAAGGCUUUUUAAUAGCAUUCACAAUAAAAAAUAAAGCAUCUCUACAAUGAAUGAAAUGCACAAGUAAAUAAGGCAAAGACACCUAGACAAGAACAACUGAGACUCUUUAGAGCAUAAAUGUAGACUACUUAAAAGUACGUGUGGACCUGCUGAUAACUCUAGGAAAUGAGAUUUAUUACAUCUAUUCUAGACUUGAAUAAAGGCCAUUUAGAAAGCAAAUAAUGUAUUUUGAUUACAUUUUGGUGAACUUUUGCAUAAACAUUCAUUUUAGUUGAGUCUUAACAAGUUUUGCGUGAAUCAUAGUAAUUUGUGCUAAAAACAAGUUUUUAUUUGUAGGUUUUAAAUUCAUAAAAGGAUGCGGAGACAUUAGAUGAGAAAGAGGAGGAAAGAAGAUGAUCGCAAAAGAAGGAAAGCACAAUCGGAAAUGACACAAGUGCUGUGGCGGAUGUUAGAGCAACCAAUGCUGCAACAAUCUGGGAGAAACGCGGGAGAAAAUAUAGGCGCGGGUCAGGAAUUAAAUUACAAGCUGCAUGUUUCCUAAUUUAAACACAAGCAUGUGCAGGGGUGUUGGUUCAGAAAACCUAAUUUGCAAGUAUAUAAAGGAGGCAUGCACCACAAAGAACGGCGGAGAGUGGAAUAAACAUUCAAAAGCAAUUACAACAAGCGAGAAGAAGAUCAAGGUUAAGGAGGGCUGUUCGGCAUCAUUGAAGAAGAGGAUCCUUAAACUUUCAUCGUGCUCAACUCAUAUUAUCUUUCUUCCUUUGAUUGAUUGGAUGUAUUCUGUGAUCAGUAUAUUUAUGUUUAUUUUUCUCAUUCAGAAUAUGAACUGAAUUUACUUGUAGUUGAUUGACAAAUAAUCCAAUGGGUUUUUGACUGUUCUUAUAUGAUGUUAUGAUAAUGUUGUAGCAUUAUACUCUAAUAGUUUUUAUGACAUAAUUGUUAUUUCGGUUGACCACCCAUUUUAUAAUUUCAGUUAAGAUAGAGCAGCAAAAGGGCAUAUCUUAGCGGACAUUAUUAGAGUAUUACUUGUUCUUGAAUUGAGUUUCCUGGAUUAGGUUAUCUUAAAUCUCAUAAGGGCAAUGCUUGAUAUUAAGAUUUGUGAUAUCCUAGACAUAGGAGUUCACCUUGUAGGGUAGAGAGAUUAAAGUUCGUAAAGCCAUACAUUAACUUUAUGAGCAAUUGGUCAUUGUUAGUAGAUUUAAAGGUAUGAGAUUUCCAACAUGCGACAGCUGCGGAUGCAGAUUUGUUCUACCCAGUGCUGCAGCACUUAUCAUAACAACUGGUGCUAAUUCGGUAAACAACAGUCACCCCAUUAGGAGAGUUUGAUCAUUCAACUACUAUCUUCUCAAUUGAACUUUGGAUACAUUUAGUUAAGUUUAUUUUAUUACGAUAUUGCUUCAAUUCUCAUCUCUCACAAUUGUUAUUUACGAUAGAAUUAUUUAGUAAUUGUUUGUUUCGGUCUUUAGUUGACGUGCAUUAUUGUGAUUGCUUUAACAUUUUGAGUAACAUCAAUCCCUGUGGAGACGAUCUUGAACACUCAUCACUUUAUUACUUGUUGUGUAUACUUGCACAUUGGUAUUGAUAAUAAUUGAUUAUAUAAAUCAAUCAACAAGUUUUUGGCGCCGUUGCCGGGGAUUGAUUGUUUAUUUUUGGAGUGUGAAGUAAAUUGCGAUAGCACCAAACUUAAUUCAAUUUAUUCUUUUGAUUGGCAGAUCAGAGCGUGCAUGCGCAAAGAAAGAUCUGAGAUAUUCCAAUUCGAUCCUGAGAUUGAAAGGACUAUCAGGAGAUUGCGAAGAGAACAAAGAAAUUCAAAGACUACUUCAGACAUGAAUAACUUACAAGAUGAGGGAAAUUUGAACCCUCACGGACCUUUACAACCAGCCAACAUUCAAGAAGAGCAAAAUGAAUAUGCUAACGGGAGACAGCCAGGAAAUAAUAAUAUUAUUUACAUGGCAGACGACAGAGACAGAGCUAUACGAGAUUAUGCUGUGCUAACUCCUCAAGUCGUCCAUUAUGGCAUCAUUAGACCUGAAGUAGAUGCUGCCAACUUUGAAUUAAAACCAGUGAUGUUUCAAAUGUUGCAAACAGUUGGGUAAUUCAAUGGAUUUCCAAAUGAAGAUCCUCAUCUCCAUCUUAAAUUGUUCUUGGAAGUGAGUGAUGCUUUCAAAAUUGCUGGAGCAACGCAAGAUGCCCUAAGGCUGAGGCUUUUUCCUUAUUCCUUAAGGGAUCGAGCAAGAGCAUGGUUAAAUUCAUUACCAUCUGAUUCCAUCACUACAUGGAAUGAAUUGGCCGAUAAAUUCCUAAUGAAAUAUUUCCCACUAACAAAGAAUGCAAAAUUACGGAAUGAAAUUACCUCUUUCCAUCAAAUUGAAGAUGAGAGUUUGUACGAGGCUUGGGAAACUUUCUACAAUGGGUUCCUUGUUGCUUCUGAAAUUACCUCUUCUGAAAUUACCUCAGAAGAUGUCCUCAUCAUGGUAUUCCUUGUUGUUUUCAAUUGGAAACUUUCUACAAUGGGUUGAAUCCGAGUACAAAGUUAAUGGUGGAUGCUUCAGCAAAUGGAGCUCUGUUAUCAAAAUCCUACACUGAAGCUUAUGAAAUUUUGGAGAGAAUUGCCAACAAUAAUUACUAGUGGCCAUCAGCUAGGCAACCAGUAGCAAGAGGAUCAGCAGGGGUACAUAGCAUUGAUGCGAUUACAACCUUAUCAGCUCAAGUAACUUCAUUGACUAACAUGGUAAAAGCCAUGACAGCUGUUCCAGCAACAGUAAAGCAAGUGACUGAACUUUCUUGUGUCUACUGUGGUGAAGAUCAUGAUUUUGAUAAUUGCCCUGGAAAUCCAGCCUCAGUAAAUUAUGUGGGUAACUUCAAUCGACAACCUCAGAACAACCCAUACUCAAAUACUUAUAACCCAGACUGGAAACAACACCCAAAUUUCUCAUGGAGCAAUCAGAAUCGAAAUGCUCCAGCAUUGAAUAGACUAAGUAGAAACACACAACCACAACCACCUGAUUUUCAUCAACAAAGUCAAGGGCAAAAGCCUAUCAGUCAGGAUCCAAUCACUUCAUUGGAAGUAUUAAUCAAGGAGUAUAUUGCAAAGAAUGAAGCAAUUGUGCAGAGUCAAGCUGUAUCCUUGAGAAACCUUGAGAACCAAAUGGGACAGUUAGCUACAACAAUGAGCAGCAGAACUCAAGGAAGCUUACCUAGCAACACAGAAGAUCAUAGGAGAGAGAGCAAAGAACACUGCAAAGUGAUUAGUCUGAGAUCUCGGAAGCAUAUUGAUAUCCCAGUUGAGGUGACCAAAAAUGGGAUGGAAGGCAUUUCAGCUCAAAAACCAACUCAAAAGGGAAGCAUGUUACAGCAGACUCCCCAUCAAGACACGGAUGCAAGGGACCCAGCUACAGCAACUGCAAAAGAAAAUCAACCAGAUCUUGCUGAAAAAGAAGUUACAACACCAGUAGCCACAACCUGCACCAACUUAAACAAACAAAGUUUGGUACAUCCUGAAUCUCACCAGCAGUUUAGACAUCUACCACAUUUCCCUCAAAGGUUCCAGAAGCUAAAACAAGACAAGCAGUUCAACAAAUUCCUGGAAGUGUUGAAGCAACUGCACAUAAACAUACCUUUUGUGGAAGCUUUGGAGCAAAUGCCAAAUUAUGUAAAAUUUCUAAAAGAUAUUUUGGCACGAAAAAGAAGGCUGGGAGAGUUUGAAACUAUAGCUCUAACACAAGAAAGCAGCCAUAUGCUUCAGAGUAAAAUUCCCACAAAAUUAAAAGAUCCAGGGAGUUUUACAAUACCCUGCUCUAUAGAGAAUAAGUAUGCUGGCAGAGCACUUUGUGAUUUGGGAGCCAGUAUCAACUUUAUGCCAGUAUCUGUAUUUAAGCAGCUUGGAGUAGGGGAGUGCAGACCAACAACUGUCACUCUGCAAUUAGCUGACAGAUCCCAUGCAUACCCCGAAGGAAAGAUAGAGGAUGUACUGGUGAAGGUUGACAAAUUCAUUUUUCUAGUGGAUUUCAUUGUGCUAGAUUUUGAAGCUGAAAAAGAGUUACCCAUUAUACUUGGCAGACCUUUUUUAGCAACUGGAAAAACGUUGAUAGAUGUGCAGAAAGGAGAGCUGACUAUGAGAGUGAAUGAUCAGCAAGUCACAUUUAAUGUACUUGAAGCUAUGAGAAACCCUGAUGAAAUAGAAGAUUGCAAUUUCUUAAGUGUAAUGGAUCUUGUUGUAACAGACAGACUAGACAGAUGCUGCAGUAAUGUACUUAACAAAGUCACCACCUUUGAGGAGGUUGAAGAGGAAGAUGUUGCAGAAAUUCAAAUAGAUUGGAUGAACAAACAACAAUCUAAUAGGCACAGCAGAGUUAUUGAACACCUGAAUCUUUCAGACAGGGAAGUACCAACAACUUUACCAUCUAUUGAAUCACCCCCUAGUUUUGAAUUAAAACUGUUACCUUCACAUUUAAAGUAUGCAUACCUUGGUCAAAACAACACACUCCCUGUAAUCAUUUCUUCUACUUUGGAUGCAGGUCAAGAACAAAGCCUAGUGGAUUUGCUGGGAAAAUACAAAAGAGUAAUUGGAUGGACCAUGGCAGAUAUAAAGGGUAUCGGCCCAUCAAUAUGUAUGCAUAAGAUCCUUUUAGAAGACUGUUCCAGCAAUUCGGUGGAGCACUAGAGAAGGUUGAAUCCUAUUAUGAAAGAAGUGGUGAAGAAAGAAAUCAUCAAAUGGUUAGAUGCUGGAAUCAUAUACCCAAUAUCAGACAGUUCAUGGGUAAGCCCAGUUCAGUGUGUUCCAAAGAAAGGAGGGAUAACAGUAAUGGCUAAUGAGAAGAAUGAACUUAUUCCUACAAGGACAAUGACUGGAUGGAGAGUGUGUAUGGAUUACAGAAAGCUCAAAAAAGCAACAAGGAAAGACCAUUUCCCACUUCCCUUCAUAGAUCAGAUGCUGGACAAACUUGCUGGAAAAUAAUUCUACUAUUUCUUAGAUGGGUAUUCAGGCUACAACCAGAUUGCUAGAGCACCAGAGGAUCAAGAGAAGACUGCAUUUACUUGUCCUUAUGGAACAUUUGCCUUCAGAAGAAUGCCAUUUAGGCUGUGCAAUGCUCCAGCAACUUUUCAGAGAUGCAUGAUGUCUAUAUUUUCUGAUAUGGUAGAAUAGACCUUGGAAAUUUUCAUGGAUGAUUUUUCAGUUUUUGGAGAGACAUAUGGUAAUUGUUUACACAACUUGGAAGAAGUUCUUAAAAGAUGUGAGAUGACUAACUUAGUACUUAAUUGGGAGAAAUGCCAUUUCAUGGCGCAAGAAGGAAUAGUGCUGGGUCACAAGAUAUCCAAGGAUGAUAUUGAGGUAGAUAAAGCCAAGAUAGAGGUAAUAGAUAAACUGCCACCCCCAACUUCAGUAAAGGGUAUUAGAAGUUUUCUGGGUCAUGCUGGAUUCUACAGAAGAUUCAUCAAGGAUUUUUCCAGAAUAGCCAAGCCUCUAUGUUCAUUGCUGGAGCAUGAUAAACCAUUUCACUUUGACAAAGAAUGCCUUCAAGCAUUUAAUGAAUUAAAGAAAGCCUUGAUCACUGCUCUAGUAGUUAUAUCUCCAUAUUAGAAUUCACCAUUUGAAUUGAUGUGUGAUGCUAGUGAUCAUUCUGUGGGAGCAGUAUUAGGGCAAAGAAAGGAUAAGGUUUUUCAUUCCAUAUAUUAUGCAAGCAAAACUCUUACUCCAACUCAGAUCAAUUACACCACUACAGAGAAGGAGUUGCUAGCAGUAGUUUUUACUUUCGAUAAAUUCAGAGCUUACCUGGUAGGUACUAAAGUCACUAUUUACACAGACCAUGCAGCCAUUAAAUAUUUAAUUUCAAAUAAGGAUGCCAAACCAAGACUAAUCAGAUGGAUCUUAUUGCUUCAAGAAUUUGAUCUGGAAAUUAAAGAUAGAAAGGGGACUGAGAAUCAAGUGGCAGACCACUUGUCACGGUUGGAAGCAGACACUAGUACAUUAACAAGGAAGGGCAUCACUGAAACUUUUCCUGAUGAACAGCUGUUGGCAAUACAGCAAGCACAGAUGCUGCAGCAGUCAGAAUCUCCAUGGUAUGCAGACUUUGCUAACUAUCUAGUAAGUGGGUUACUACCAUCUGAGUUGAAGUUUCAAGAGAAAAAGAAAUUUCUUCAUGAUGUUAGAAGCUACCAGUGGGAUGACCCACAUUUAUAUAAGCUAUGCUCAGAUCAGGUAAUAAGACGAUGUGUUGCAGCAGAAGAAAUACCUCAUAUACUAGAGUCAUGUCAUGCUGCAGCAUAUGGAGGACAUUUUGGUGGUCACAGAACAGCUGCAAAAGUUAUGCAAUCAGGUUAUUAUUGGCCCACUAUUUUUAAAGAUGCUUAUGAAUUUGUUAAAUGUUGUGACAGGUGUCAAAGGACAGGGAACAUAACCAGCCGACAUGAGAUGCCAUUGACCAACAUACUGGAAGUAGAAGUUUUUUAUGUUUGGGGAAUAGAUUUUAUGAGACCUUUUCCCCCAUCCUUUGGCAACUUAUAUAUCCUUGUUGUUGUAGACUAUGUCUCCAAGUGGGUGGAAGCAAUAGCAUUACCUACCAAUGAUGCUAAACCUGUGGUGACUUUUCUUCAAAAAAAUGUUUUCUCCAGGUUCGGUACUCCUCGAGCAAUUAUUAGUGAUGAAUGAGCACAUUUUUGCAACAAGAUCUUUGUUGCAGCAAUGAUGAAAUAUGGAGUCAGACACAAGAUAACAACAGCAUAUCACCCACAAUCAAAUGGUCAGGCUGAAGUGUCCAACAGAGAAAUUAAAAAGAUCUUAGAAAAAGUGGUGAACCCAACAAGGAAGGAUUGGUCUUUACAUUUGCAUGACUCUUUAUGGGCCUACAGAACAGCAUACAAAACCCUACUUGGCAUGUCUCCUUACCGAAUUGUUUAUGGCAAGGCUUGUCCUUUGCCCCUAGAGCUAGAGCAUAAAGCACACUGGGCACUGAAGAAACUAAAUUGGGACAUGCAUGUUGCAGCAGAACAAAGGAAGCUUCAACUUUGUGAGCUUGAUGAAUUAAGGCUGUUUUCAUAUGAAAAUGCAAAAAUUUAUAAAGAGAGAACAAAACAUUGGCAUGACAAGCAUAUUCAACACAGGAAGUUCAUCCCUAGUCAAUUAGUGUUGCUUCACAAUACAAGACUAAGGUUGUUUUCGGGAAAGCUCAAGUCACGAUGGUCAAGCCCGUUUAAGCUAUUAAAAUCUUAUCCUCAUGGAGUUGUUGAUCUUUUAGAUGAACAAAUAGGUCACGAAUUCAAGGUUAAUGGGCACAGGACUAAGCAUUACAUACACCCAGCAGCAGAAGGGUCACAGGAGGUGUUAUCCCUUUAAGAACCAGACUAUUGAGCAAAGACAGAAGGUCAGGCUGAAGGACCUUAAAUCAACCGCUUCAUGGGAGGCAACCCAUUGAGGAAGCAGCAACUUCAAACCAAUCUCGAUAUCCUUUGGUUUCAAUAAACAACUCUCCCUCUUCACCAUUUAAUCUAAUCUUGUUUUACCAUAUUCACCAUUUAAUUUUUUUCCUUUUUUUUUUUUACAUUAUUGCAUUCCUUAUUUUCGAUUUAAGUUCAUCUAUUUUAUUUUAAUAAGUUUAGACUUAAUUUUUGUUUGAAGUAAAUGUGACAAUUGAAUUUCAUAUUGACAAAUGCAAAUAUCUGGUGGCAGAAUUUAGAGGACAAGAACAACCACGUGUUAGACGCUUGGGUAUAGAUACCGUGGCCGUUGUUGGAAUAAGUGAAUGGGGGCUGUAGCAACAAAUUUUUUCGUUACAGUACAUUAAAGGCUGGAGCUUUCACUUACCGUUGGAGAUGAAAUCGUGACAGAUGGACGCUCGGAUACGGAUAGAAAUUGCGGAAACAAAUCUCUGAAAUCACAACUUUAAUUUUAAUAACUGAUAAUUUUGGGAUAUGCACAUUUAAUUCAAAUAUUUUAUUCCCUCAAUUAUCUCUAAUUACUGUCGUUAUCUUCAAAUUACAGCCCACUAUAAAAUGGAGUCACUGUGCUGAGUGCCCAAGCCACUAUUCUCUAUCUCCUUCGCAAGUCCAACUCUCCUAAUUCAUUAACACUUCUUCCCUUUUGGCUCUCAGGAACAGUAGCCUACCUUUGUUACUGCUACAGUAAUGCCGCGAUAUAAGCAAACAGCGAAACGCCUCAAAGAUCCAUCACGAUUCCAGAGUUACCAUGCCGAAGAAAAAUACGAAGAAUUCAUAGAGCCACGCAGGAUUCUGGAAGAAAAAGGGUUUCAAUUUCCAGACCAACUCAUUGGAAUUGUGAAAUCAAUUCAUAAUGCUGCAGCAAAGCGAGGAUGGCUAGAGUUUUGCAAACACCCUCGCAAUCCGGUACUACCGGUGGUAAAAGAAUUUUACGCCAAUUUGGUAAGCCCUGAUCAGCACAACAUCUGGGUAAGAAAUACACUUGUUCCAUUAGACUCUCGUGUUAUCAAUGCUUUUUAUAACCUACCUGUUGGGAUUACUUGUGAGUAUGCUAAAUUGCAUGAUAAGUUAACCCCGAAAAAGUGGACCACCAUCUUUACAACUCUUACCAUCGAAGGGGCAUCAUGGGUCAACGAGGAAGGGCGUGUAGUUCACAGGAUAGAUUUGAAACCUAUUGCUAAGGUAUUGGUGAAAUUUUUGAAAUCUAGACUUAUGCCCACCACUCACACUACUACGGUUUCACAAAAUAGAUUGGUUUUGAUAUAUGCCCUUGUUAAAGGGCUCCCCAUAGAUGUGGGUAGCAUCAUUGCAAAAGAAAUCCGAGAAUGUGCAGCCAAAACUCAUCGAACUGCUGCUUUGCUAUUUCCUUCACUUGUCACUAGUAUUUUUGUAGUUUCAGGUGUUCGUCUUGCAGCCAGCGAUGAUCACGUCAAGAAUGAGGGUGCCUUUACGGCUCGAACAAUUGAAAGAGUUGCUGGCGAGAGUGCUGGAGCAACCACUAAACCAGCUGUUGUAGCAGGAGCACGACGAACUCUUGGCUUGGAACAGACCAUCCAAGCACUCAGCACCAGUAUCAAUCAAUGUGUGGAAGCUCAGCAGAGAGAAAAUGGUCGGUUUUGGAGCUAUUUACAGCACCUGGAUAGACAGCUACACAAAUUUGCUGAGUACAUGCAACGCAAUCAUCGGAACUUCCCUACUUCUCUGCUCCAGCAAUACAAUUUUGACAUCAGCACCACAGGUGCUCCAGCAGAAACCAGUGAAGAAGCCACUACUUCAGAUGAACCAGCAGAGCAAGCUGCAACUGAACCACCAGCAGAAGUUGACUCAGAAGAUGUUGAACCAUCUGCACCACCUAAGGAGGAAGGUGACAAAUCUGAGACGGAUAGCUCACCCUCAGAGGCAGAGGAUAAUUCGGAGCAAGCACGUGAGGCAACACCAAUCCCCACCCAGUCCAAAACUAGGAAGCAGCACAUUAUUCAAGAAGAGGAGGAAGAAGACCUUGAUGUGGAACCUCCUAUUCCAGUCUUUGUAGGCAAAGGAAAGGCCAAGGGAAAAGCCAAAAUGGCCACACCUCCAGCCUUUGAAGAUGAAAUGGAGCAAGUUGAUGCUGAGUUAGCUGCUGCAGCAGCUAGAGCCAUGCCUACAUCUGAGCAAGCCAAGCAACUACUUGAGGUAAUAGCUGCCAUCACAGCGGAGGGCCAGGCAGCUGACGCAUUGACUCAAAAGACUCCACAGCCAAGUCCAAGCCAGCCUAUCCGCACCAGUCCAAGAUAACCCAGCAAACGAAAAGGCAGUACAUCUGCGGGUACUGCUGCAGCAACCCCAACCACAACUCCUCUUACCAGCCCUGCAGCGGAAAAGACAAAGACAUUGCCAGCUACCUCCCCAAAGGCUUCACCAAAGGAUAAGUUGCGCAGUGCAUCCAAGAAGCGCUGAUAACAUCACAUCCUGGGCUGCAGUCCCCACCACAGGGGAGUACUUUUCUCUCACUAGUUUCUUUCUUGUUCUUAUAAUAAAAAAAGAAAAAAAAAAGAGAUUUGUUUGUCCAUUUGUGUUUUUGUAUUUUGUUUGCUUGUGAGGACACAUCAUCUCUCAAGUUUGGGGGGGUUGUUUCCGAAUGCAUGUGUUUUAUGUAUGUGUUUAUGUUUGUGUUGUGUGAAGCUCUAUUAUCUGUUAUUUGUGUAUGGAUUUGAGAAUCUAAUGAAGAUAAAUUGAGUGCUAUUCAGUAUUUAUGAGAAUGCCAAGUAGAGAUAGUUAUAGAUAGAAGUGAAAUUAUGUCCCAACACUUAGCCGGUGAUUGAGUUUUAUGGACUGCUAGAGCAAACCAGAAGAAUAGAAAAUGUCUUAAGAUUUGAAAGGAGAAGCAUGUUGAUUGACUGUGGUGUUUAUGAAAUAAAACUCUGCUCCAAUGGCUUAAGUUGCUGAGUAACCAGAUCUGAGUAUGCACCCCAUAUGUAGAAUUGUGUAAAAAAGUAGCGAGAGUUAUGAGCAGUGUUGUAGCAUAUAUUGUUCUUAUAAAAAAAAAAAGAAGCAAAGAAAAGAAAAAGUCCUCUGUCUAAGGCAUUGAGUAGCCAGGUCUGUUCAUGACCCCUAUGUUCAGCCUUAAGUCAAAAAUACCUCGAGAUAAGAUUAGACUAUAGAUAUUGCUGCAGCAACUCUGAUCUGGACAUGGCUUGAGUAAUUGGGUGUCAUCAUUACAAGUGAUUGACAUUCACAUGAAAAAUAAAUGUUACAGUGAGGAGGUUGAUUAUCCCCCAGGUUAUCAAUGUCAAAGCUAUCACAGUUUGAAUAUGUGAAAAAAAUGCUACCCCUUGUAAGAAUGAAGUAUAUCAAUGCUAAAAUUUCUGCAGCCCUUGGGUAAUGUGACAGCAUCUCUGGAAAUCAAUCAUAAAGGCAGCACACACACAAUAUAGAUAGAAAGAAGCUUACGUCUAGAACUGAUUUACUAUGGGAAUUUUGUAUGAUUGGGAUUAUGAUCUGAAGGUGGAAGAAUCUUUGCAAAUUUGAUAAAAGAGCUGAAAUUGUGUGCAUGUUUGUUUACGAGAAAUGUUAGUAUAUGUCAUUACUUGAGGACAAGUAAUAAUUUAAGUUUGGGGGUGUGAUAACUCUAGUAAAUGAGAGUUAUUACAUCUAUUCUAGACUUGAAUAAAGGCCAUUUAGAAAGCAAAUAAUAUAUUUUGAUUACAUUUUGGCGAACUUUUGCAUAAACAUUCAUUUUAGUUGAGUCUUAACAAGUUUUGCGUGAAUCAUAGUAAUUUGUGCUAAAAACAGGUUUUAAUUUAUAGGUUUUAAAUUCAUAAAAGGAUGCAGAGACAUUAGAUGAGAAAGAGGAGGAAAGAAGAUGAUCGCAAAAGAAGGAAAGCACAAUCGGAAAUGACACAUGUGCUGUGGCGGAUGUUAGAGCAACCAAUGCUGCAACAAUCUGGGAGAAACGCGGGAGCAAAAUAUAGGCGCGGGUCAGCAAUUAAAUUACAAGCUGCAUGUUUCCUAAUUUAAACACAAGCACGCGCAUGGGUGUUGGUUCAGAAAACCUAAUUUGCAAGUAUAUAAAGGAGGCAUGCACCACAAAGAACGGCGGAGAGUGGAAUAAACAUUCAAAAGCAAUUACAAAAAGCGAGAAGAAGAUCAAGGUUAAGGAGGGUUGUUCGGCAUCAUUGAAGAAAAGGAUCCUUAAACUUUCAUCGUGCUCAACUCAUAUUAUCUUUCUUCCUUUGAUUGAUUGGAUGUAUUCUGUGAUCAGUAUAUUUAUGUUUAUUUUUCUCAUUCAGAAUAUGAGCUGAAUUUACUUGUAGUUGAUUGACAAAUAAUCCAAUGGGUUCUUGACUGUUCUUAUAUGAUGUUAUGAUAAUGCUGUAGCAUUAUACUCUAAUAGUUUUUAUGACAUAAUUGUUAUUUCGGUUGACCACCCAUUUUAUAAUUUCAGUUAAGAUAGAGCAGCAAAAGGGUAUGUCUUAGCGGACAUUAUUAGAGUAUUACUUGUUCUUGAAUUAAGUUUCCUGGAUUAGGUUAUCUUAAAUCCCAUAAGGGCAAUGCUUGAUAUUAAGAUUUGUGAUAUCCUAGACAUAGGAGUUCACCUUGUAGGGUAGAGAGAUUAAAGUUCGUAAAGCCAUACAUUAACUUUAUGAGCAACUGGUCAUUGUUAGUAGAUUUAAAGGUAUGAGAUUUCCAACAUGCGACAGCUGCGGAUGCAGAUUUGUUCUACCCAGUGCUGCAGCACUUAUCAUAACAACUGGUGCUAAUUCGGUAAACAACAGUCACCCCAUUAGGAGAGUUUGAUCAUUCAACUACUAUCUUCUCAAUUGAACUUUGGAUACAUUUAGUUAAGUUUAUUUUAUUACGAUAUUGCUUCAAUUCUCAUCUCUCACAAUUGUUAUUUACGAUAGAAUUAUUUAGUAAUUGUUUGUUUCGGUCUUUAGUUGACGUGCAUUAUUGUGAUUGCUUUAACAUUUUGAGUAACAUCAAUCCCUGUGGAGACGAUCUUGAACACUCAUCACUUUAUUACUUGUUGUGUAUACUUGCACAUUGGUAUUGAUAAUAAUUGAUUAUAUAAAUCAAUCAACACUUGCCACUAACAUACCAUGUCUGCUUAACCCAAAUACAUGAGUAAUCUUCUCUAAGUUAAAGCUUGAUCAAUUAUCUAGCAAAUAAACCUGUGUACUACCUUUAAAGCUUAAGAAACAAAGAAUUUGAAAAAUCACAUUUACAAGAGGGCGGUUAAACAAAAACUUACUAAUAAGGGAAAGUUUGAAUGGUUGUGCUAUGGACUGAAUUUCUAGAGCUAAAAAGCAGAUAAUAGGUUUACCAUGAAAUAAUAAAACUAGCUUUUUCCAAAUUGAAGAUUCAAGGGGGCCAAAAAUAGCAUUAAUAAAAGACUUAGCAUUAGGGUUGAUGAUAACUUCAGAAUUUGUAAUAGAUGCAUAAGAGGCCUUUGAGAGUGGUUGGAUGUACGACCAAGAGUGAAGGGUGGAAAAGGGUCACGGGUUUGGGCUUGAUUUUUGGUUUAGUUUUGUGUUUGGAAAGCUGGAUGUUAGCUAGGGUUUCUUUAUUAUAGCUAAGGUUUUUUGCAUUUAGCAGCUGGUCUCGGUUUUCAACAGCAAAAUGGGUUUGAGUGGGCAAAAGUGGCUGAUCUGAGGUGGCUGGCAGAUUGAUGGUGCCACUAGCAGUAGCCAAAAUAGAGAUAGUGAGUUGUUGGUGAGAUAUAUUGCAGUUAAAAAAUAUUUGUCUCAGUAAAAGAAGUUAGAAAUAAUGGCCAAUAAGUAGUGCCUGAGUUUUGAUUGUGCUAGUGCAAACUAGUGCCUGAGGGGGUUGGUGGUAACUAGAGAGUGAGAGGUAGUUGUUAGGAGUACAUAAGGUUCAACAGUGGUUCCGUUAGUAAAUAAUCGCCACCAACAGAGGUAGGCAAGGUGGCAACAGUAUGAAGCAUAUUUUGAAAGGUUUGUUGCAAUCUAGGGUUUAUGGUUUGAAGUGUUAAUCGUUGUUGUGAGGGUUGUUGAUCAGUUGGGAUGUCGCCAGCAAUUAGAGAAGGUUCUGACAGUGGAGAAUCACCACCACUGGUGGACAAUAUGGUCAUAGGAAUUAUCGCAUUCCAUAAUACAAUACUUGAUGCUUUUCAAUCAUAGUUAUUCUCUUUUUAGGAAAAUUUAGAGUCAAUUUCUCAUCGUGCUAUUAAGAAGUUUGCACCUGCAUUUGUGAAGUUGGGCAUCAUUAACUGGGUUAAUGAUGUGCUAAAGGCAGUCCAUGCAACUGCCUAUAUGAUUGAUCAAGGAAGCAAUCAAGAAUUUAUAAAGCAAAUAUAAUCUCACAUGCGUGCAGACACAGACACAUACAAACGAGUACUAGAAGUAAUAAUUUAGAAAUGUCUUUUAAUUCCUUUUCUUUUAUUAUCUCAGGGAAUAUUUCAUAUAGCAAUACCAUGCUAUAUAGUGAAACCUGAGAAGAAAAGAUUGCUACUCAAAUUGCUAUAAUAGAUGACAGGUUAAGGUUAUUUUGAUGAAUCAACAGAAAACCUGAUACUAAAAAAUUCACGGUUAUUCGAAUGGCAACUUAUUGCUGAUGUAUUGUCCAAGCAACAUAAGAUGUAAAAAUCGUUAAGAACUGUGAAAGAAUGAGCAAUAUAGAGUAUGAUUUACCAUAUCAUGACAUAAUGUUGCAGACCACCCAAGUUGUUAGCCCAAGUGUCCACAAAUUCAGGCCAAGAGUGCUAGCUUGGCCCGAUUCUAGAAUUUUCUAGCUAACUCUAGCACAACUCAGGCUUGUACAUAUCUAGAAUUCUCUACACAUUUCUAGCACAUGUAAAUAUCUAGAUAUCUAGGUAAGUCGGUAGAAUUCUCUAGAGCUUGGCAAGCCUCCCUAUUAAUAGGGCAUGGCAUUUGGCAUUUGAGCAUCAAACUUUAAACAAGCAACUCAAGUACUCUUGUAAGCUCUCUUGUAAUAUCUCGUGCGAGUAAUAUAAUUUUCCUUAUUCAGCACCAUUGCCCUCUUCUCUCUAAUUCUUUCAAAAACCUCCAGGCUUAGCUAGUCGAGAAAUUCAAAUGCCUACUAAGCAACUUUCGACAAGAGUUGUCUAAGUGUCGCACGCGUUCGUUGCACAAAACACUAAUCCUGUGACAAGUGGUAUCAGAGUUAAGGUUUACACCCAUGCAAGUUAGCUCAAGAGCAAUGGCCAACCCUCCAAACCCGGCACAAGAGGGCGUUGUUAGUGUUGUGUUCCACUGGAGCCAUCCCGCGGCUACAAAGACGGAUGCACUCAAGGCAAGCCUCGCGGCAAGUCCAAGGCCCCAUCCGUUGAUGCCUUCGAGCCUCGUAUGGCUACGCUCGAAAUGGCUAUGACCGCCGCUCAAGACACCCUUGAAGGAUUAGAGGAAAGAGAAGAUGGUCUCGAGGUCACUAUGGCAAUCAAUACCCUUAUCCAAGACCAAGCCAACACCCUCUAAGGGGAAUUUUGAGCCUUUCACGAAGAGUUGCUGAAACUCCGCAAUUUCGUCCAAGAGGAACUACGAGCAGUCCAUGCAGAAGGGGAAGAAGUUCGCUCGGAUUGGGCAUGGCACAAGCGCACACUCUCCGCUAGCCCGGCAUCCACAAGAACGAGUGAUGCAAGACGCAUCAACGUACCGAAGCCCGACGCCUAUAAUGGCACACGCAAUGCCACUAUCGUGGACAACUUUCUCUUUAGGCUAGACCAAUACUUCGAUGCCAUAAGUGUACGAGAUAAGGCAUCGAAAGUGGGCACAACACCCACUUAUCUUUGAGGCGUCGUACAACUAUGGUGGCGUCGAAAGCAUGGCGAGAUGGGCAAAGGCAUUUGCACCAUCGACACUUGGGCUGACUUCAAGUAAGAACUUCGAAAGCAAUUUUCCCCAAGCAAUAUGGAUAAGGAAGUGUGAGCGUGCCUACGUCGCCUCAAACAAACAGGUAGUGUUCUACAUCAACAAGUUCACUACCCUCAUGCUCAAGAUAAGUGACAUGUUUGACAAGGACUCCAUCUUCUAUUUCUAAGUUGGCCUCAAGGAUUGGGCCAAGACCAAGUGUGAUAGGAAUGGCGUUCAAACACUUGACAACGCCAUCGCCAUUGCGGAGUCGCUCAUCAAAUACUCCACCCAAUCAAAAGAUAAAAGGCCCAACCAAGGCAAAGGUGAGGGAGAGAGUCACAAGGACAAGGGCAAUAACUGCAAGGAUUAGGGCUAGAAAAAGUCUCCUAGCAACAAAAGCGGGCAUGGAAAAUCAAAGGGCAAGAAGGAGCCAUCAAAGCCUCGAAGCAUAUGCUUUAUAUGCAACGACCCUCAUUGGGUACGUGACUAUCCCGGAAAGAAGUCGCUUAAUGCUCUCGUAACCCAACUUAAGAGCAACCUCACAAUGUUCGUGGAAGAACCCCAACUCAGCAUGGGUUCUUUCCAAUAUCUUGGCGCACUCAAGACCUAACAAACCGUAUUCAAUAAGAAAGGGCUCACGUACGUGAGUGCGAAAAUAAACAGUCAGUCCAUUCGCGCACUGCUAGACACGGGAGCUACUCACAACUUCAUGUUCGUAGAUGAGGCCAAGUGUUUAGGCCUCAAGACCACCAGGGAAGAAAGCACCAUGAAGGCGGUAACCUCACCCGCCAAGCCCAUUGUAGGUAUCGCACAAGGUGUGCACACAACACUUAGGAUAUGAAGCGGAAAUCUUGACUUCUCCGUCGUGCCCAUGGAUGACUUCAAGAUGGUCCUUGGCAUGGAAUUCUUCGAUCAAGUUCAUACCUUCCCACUGCCCAUUACAAACUCUCUAAGCAUCCUCGAUGGGAGUAAAACAUGCAUGGUUCCCACAGAAAGUGGCAAGUUCGAGGAGAAGAUGCUCUCGGCCAUGCAAUUCAAAAGGGCUUUUAAGAAAUACCCAAGUUUCUUGGUGUUCAUUUGGGACUUAAACGAAGAAGUAGAUUGUGGAAAUUUGUCAAGCCAAGUCCCUCCACAAAUACAAAAUGUCAUCAACGAGUUCAAGGACGUGAGGCCUCUCGAACUUCCGAAGAAGCUCCCACCUCGAUGAGAGGUAGAUCAUGCGAUCGAGUUGGAACAAAGCAUGAAGUCACUAGCUUUGGCGCCCUACUACAUGGUGCCACCUGAACUUGAGGAGUUGUAGUGACAACUGAAAGACUUGCUGGACGCAGGCUAUAUUUGCUCCUUAAAGGCUCUAUUCGGUGCACCGGUCAUUUUUUAAAAGAAAAAUAAUGAAUCGCUGUGGAUGUGCAUAUACUAUAGAACGCUUAAUAAGAUCUUGUAUUUGAUUCCCUUGAUAGCGGAUCUUUUCGACCAGCUUGGCAAGGCGCAGUACUUCACCAAACUUGACUUGCGCUCCAGGUACUACCAAGGGAGACGAACCCAAGACAGCGAGCACAAUAAGUUACAGGUCCUUUGAAUUCCUUGUCAUGCCAUUUGGCCUUACCAAUGCACCCGCUACUUUUUGCACACUUAUGAACAAGGUGCUCCAAUCGUUUCUCGAUCAAUUUGUGGUCGUGUACUUAGACGACAUCAUGGUCUAUAGUACCACGCUCGAGGAACAUGCCCAACAUUUGCGACAAGUCCCCCAAGUACUACGAGACAACGAGCUCUUCCUCAAAAUGGAGAAAUGUUCAUUCGCUCAACAAGAAGUGGAGUUCCUUGGCCACAAGAUUGUGGGCAGAAAACUCAUGACGGAAAAUGCUAAGGUGAAGGCGAUCCUCGAAUGGGAACCUCCCACGAAAAUGCCUAACCUUCGCUCAUUUCUUAGAUUUGUGAACUACUACCGAUGCUUCAUCAAGGGCUACUCAACCAAGGCGGUACCCUUGACAAAUUUACUCAAGAAAAAUCGAAUGUGGCAUUGGUUCGUAGAAUGCCAACGCAUAUUCGAAGACUUGAAUAAGGUAUUUCCUGAGGAACCUGUCCUUGCUCUUCUGAACCACACUAAGCCCUUCGAAGUCCAAACGGAUGCCUCGGAUUUUGCCAUAGGUGGAGUUCUUAUGCAAGAAGGCCACCCAAUGGCGUUUGAGAGUCGAAAGUUAAAUGAUACAGAACGCUGCUAUAAAUACCCCCUAACCCUUUUCAUUUUCAAUCCAACCUAGAAAUUUCAUUCUCUUCUAUUAUAAGUCAUAAUAUCAAGUGCAGAGAAAUCCUUAAUUUAGAAAGGUCUAGAGAAGUCAAUGCCAAGAGGUAAGUAACACUUCAACUGCAAUGUAAGGACAAAAUUCUUUUCGUACUUAACUUCAGUUUUAAUGAUUUCCUUAUGUUGUGAUGGCUAUUAUGAUGUUAUUAAAAUAAAUCCUUAAUUUAUGUUGUGAUGGCUAUUAACAAAAUUCUUUUCAUACUUAACUAUGUUUUAAAUAUUUUUAAAAUAGAUAUGGACGGUCUUCAGAAUCGCUUUAAACCUGGCUCUAAUACCAAUUUGUAACACUCCACUUAAAUAUCUAUUAUGAUGUUAUUAAAAUAAAUCCUUAAUUUAUGUUGUGAUGGCUAUUAACAAAAUUCUUUUCAUACUUAACUAUGUUUUAAACAUUUUUAAAAUAGAUAUUUAAGUGGAGUGUUACAAAUUGGUAUUAGAGCCAGGUUUAAAGCGUUUCUGAAGACCGUCCAUAUGCAGAAGUCAAGGGGAAGGACAAGGCUCAACUUUUUAGUAAAAACUUGGAAUUAGGUAAGUUAGAGAUUUUCAUUUGAUUUGUUUGACACGCAGAAAUUAGAUUAAAAACUUGUUGAGAUGUCAAGCAUUAGGGGUAACAGAAGGAGAAGGGCGGAAGGAAGUGCAAGGGAGUAAUCUGCAAUUGAUCGACUUACAAAUAUUGUGGCACGACUUUUGGAAAGGGAAGUUAGAAGAGAUGAACAUGCUCAUGCAAUGAACAACGCAUGAAGCAAAUUUUAAAGAUUAAAUCCACCCAUGUUUGAAGGAGGUGUAGACCCUAUUGCAGUAGACUAAUGGUUGCGGACCAUGGAAAAAAUGAUUGAAAUAGCAAAAGUACCUGAAGAAGAAAAAGUCACUUAUGUCUCCUUUAUGCUACGGGGAGCGGCAGAAUAUUAGUGGGACUCUAUCAAACAAAUCCAUAAUGAAAGAACAAUGCAAUGGAGAGAAUUUAAAGAACACUUCUAUAACAAAUACUUUUCAAAGACUGUUCGCUCAGCCAAAAGAAGAGAGUUUGUUUAUCUACAACAAGGAAUGAUGUUUGUGCUAGAGUACAUCCAAAAAUUUGAUGAGCUCUCUCUAUAUGCCCCAUAUAUGCUUGCAAUGGAAGAUUUGAAAAAUGACUAUUUUAUGCAAGGAUUGUGAAAAGAUCUCGCAAAAGAUUUAAAGGUGGCGGGAGUUCGUGAUGCUUCCUUCAAUGAACUCAUCGAUUGAUCUUUGGUAAUUGAGCAAGCAAAUGAAGAAAAAAAAAAGGAAGAAAAACAAAAGAAUAAAGGAAGUAUGGACCAGAGAAAUUUUCAAGCUAACCACGAAGGACAACGCUUAAAUAAUAAUAAGAGAAAGGGAAUGCCAGCGAUCCAAGAUCAUAGUAAAAGCAAGCGCCCUAAGAAUCAUCAGUGGGAAGUCCCACAGAAACCAAUGUGCAACUAGUGCGAUAGAACUCAUCCUCGGGAAUGUCGAGCAAAUACCAGAACAUGUUUCAAAUGUGGAAAAGAAGGACACUUUAUCAGGGACUACCCAGAAAAUGGUAUGCAACAAGAAAAGACUAAUGCUCGAGUAUUCACACUCACCAAGAUGGAUGCAGAAGGAAACCCCUCAAUAAUAUUAGGUGAACUAUCUAUUUUAAAAAAUCCUACAUAUGUAAUAAUAGACUCAGGAGCUACACAUUUAUUUGCCUCACCAACAUUUAUUAGGAAAAUGUAAAAUGCCCCUGAUAUAAUAAAUAGGCCUUUUAGUGUCAUGGUACCAUCAGGUGAAACAUUAAACUUGGGACAAUUAAUUAAGGCAUGUGAGGUUAGCAUUUGUGAUAAUACACUAUGUGUUGACUUAAUAAUCCUUGAGAUGCAUGACUAUGACGUAAUUCUUGGCAUGGAUUGGCUAUCAAUGCACUAUGCCAUGAUAGAUUGCAAGAAAAAGGAGGUAACAUUUUGACCAACACAAAAAGAAUCAUUUACAUUUAAAGGAGAAUGCAAAAAGAAUAGAAUGCCUAUCAUCAAAAUAGAUAGGCAUUAAAUAGAAGGUGUGAGGGGUACUUGGCAAGUGUGGUCAUCGAAAUAGAAGAGCAAAGACCAAAGUUGGAAGAUAUUCUAGUGAUGAACGAAUUUCAUGAGGUCUUCCCUAAAGAACUUCCAGGAUUGCCACCAGAUCGAGAAAUUGAAUUCAAAAUUGAUUUGUUACCAGGAACUGCUCCAAUUUCAAAGGUGCCCUAUAAGAUGGCCCCAUCAGAAUUAAGGGAGUUAAAGAGUCAAUUACAGGAGUUACUAGACAAAGGCUAUAUACGUCCAAGUCAUUCACCAUGGGAAGCACCAGUACUAUUCCUAAUAAAGAAGGAAGGAUAAAUGCAAUUGUUCAUUGACUAUCGAGAGCUAAAUAAGGUAACUAUCAAGAACAAAUACCCACUUAUGCGCAUCGAUGACUUGUUUGAUCAGUUGAAGGAGUAUCAGUAUUUUCAAAGAUUGAUCUACGAUCAGGAUAUCACUAGUUGAGAAUUAGGGAAGAAGAUAUUCAUAAAACAACAUUCAGAACACGUUAUGGACAUUAUGAGUUUGUUGUCAUGCCAUUUGGACUAACUAAUGCCCCAGCAGCGUUCAUAGACCUCAUGAAUAGAGUAUUUAAAGACUACCUAGAUAGAUUCAUAGUGGUGUUCAUUGAUGACAUUUUAAUCUAUUCAUAAAUAAAGGAGGAGCAUGCUAAGCAUCUAUGGAUCACUCUUCAGACCUUGAAGGAGAAGCAACUUUAUGCAAAACUCAAGAAAUGUGAAUUUUGGCUUGAAAAAGUUACAUUCCUUGGACACGUCAUGUCUAAAGAUGGAAUUUCAGUAGACCUCUCGAAGGUAGAAGUUGUAAGUCAAUGGUCCAGACCGACUAAUCCCAAAGAAGUCAGAAGCUUCUUGGGUUUGGCUGGAUACUACCGAAGAUUUGUGAAAGGUUUCUCUAAAAUCACGAUACCAUUGACCCAGUUGACAAAGAAAAAUGCCAAGUUUGCAUGUGAUAAACCCUGAACUGAAAUGGUUAGAUAAACAACACAGUAGAGAGCAUAAUGUUGUUGGAUGUAGGAAAAAUGAUAUUUAUCUGCAGAAAUAAACCAAAACACCUAAGCAUUCGAGAGGCUUGGUAUCUCUCCCAAAAAUGAGCAAGCUCACUAAAAAAUAAUUCUCUGGAUCUGUUUCCCAAAAACCAGCUCCUCUCCAUAUAACCUCCUCACUUCUACGCCCAAAUAGAAUAACAGAAAAAUCUAACAAAUUAUCAAAACCGAAUACCAUCAACUUAUUACUAACAAAAAUGCAUAACAAACUCUUCUCUAUAUACUACUUGAUGACACGUCAGCCACGAUUGGUAUUUCCGAAAUUACCCUUGCGCCUUGCAUAUGUGAAACGCACUUGUGGCCUAACAUUACCAUCCGCCCAAACUUUCACCUUGUCCUCAAGGUGGAAAUCGGGAAAUUGUUGUUGGAUCAGAUGAAAAUCCUCCUAAGUUGCCUCAAACUCAGGCAAGGAUUUCCAUUUGAGCAGCACCUCCACUUCACCGUAUUGACCAUUAACCUUAGGACGAACUCCCAACAAUUUUUUAGGUUCCACCACGAGUUCAAGCUUAGGAGUCAACUGUGGGGGGAUAGUGGGGGAAAACGAUGACACACCAAAUGCUGCCCUCAACUGCGAAACAUGAAAGACAUGGUGGAGUUUUGCUGUUUGAGGCAGUUCUAGUUUGUAUGCCACAUUCCCGAUACGCUGAAGAACCUUAAAUGGACCGUAGUAACGUGCAGCUAAUUUCUCAAACUUACGUUGAGCGAGGGAGCGCUGCCGGUAAGGUCUUAGUUUCAAAAAUACCAAAUCACCUGCAUUGAACUCUACAUGAUGGCGCUUUUGAUCAGCUUGCAGCUUCAUCCGCUGCUGGGCACGAAGCAAUUGCAUCCUCAGAUCGUCCAGUAUGGUAUCACGAUCCUUCAUUAACUGUUCCACCAAAGAUACCGAAGCAGCUCCUUACUCAUAUCGAAUAAGAAGGGGUGGAUCCCUUCCAUAGAGAGCACGAAAUGGAGUACAACGUGUAGAGGAGUGGAAGGAAGUAUUAUACCAAUACUCAGCCCAUGCCAACCAGCGAGCCCAACUUCAAGGUUUUCCAGAAGCAAAGCAUCGUAGAUACGUUUCCAGACAACGAUUGACAACUUCUGUUUGUUCAUCAGAUUGUGGAUGAUAGGCGGUGCUUCUUUUGAGAGUAGUUCCUUGCAGCUUGAACAAUUCACUCCAAAAAUAGCUCAAGAAUAUCCUAUCUCGAUCAGAGAUAAUUGACUGUGGUAUCCCAUGAAGCCUAACAAUUUCACGAACAAAGAUUCCAGCAACCGAAACAGCAGAAAAAGGAUGUUUCAAUCCUAUGAAGUGAGCAUACUUACUCACUUCAUAUUCUGCUGGCAGAUGGUGCAUUCCCGUACAAAUCUAGUGACAUCCUUGCGCAUACCUAUCCAAUACAAUUCUGCUGCUAAGCGUAGGUAAGUUUUUGUUUCUCCCGAAUGUCCCCCAAUCGGAGUGGUGUAAAACUCUCCUAUGAGAGCAGAAAGAAGCUUAGAAGUCUGAGGAAUAACCAGUCGACUCUUGUAGAACAAUACUCCAUGCUCAACUGAGAACCCCACGUGAGAUUGUGUACCCGAAGUUAUGUCUUCCCUUAGUUUCUUCAGAAAGGUAUCCUCUGCCAAUUCAACCUUUAAGGAAUCCCAAUGUUGCCACUGAGGAAUCGCCAAAGCUGAACACUCUGCUGGUUCUGUUAAGCGUGAGAGUGCAUCCGCUACUCGAUUACUUGCCCUACUACGAUAUUGAAUAUCAAAAUCAUAUCCCAUGAUUUUGGUGAUCCAUUUUUGAUAUUCAACUCCAACAAUCCUCUACUCCAAAAGAAAUUUUAAGCUCUGUUGGUCUGUUCGCACAAUGAAUCGCCUUCCCAGCAAGUACGGCUGCCAUUUCAGGAUUGCAAACACUAUGGCCAUUAGUUCUUUCUCAUAUAUGGACUUAAGGCGAGCCCGGGGCCCCAAAACUUGGCUGUAGUAAGCUACUGGUUGUUGCCCCUGUAGUAGAACAGCUCCUAACCCAAAACCAGAUGCAUUAGUCUCAACAAUAAAUGGCUUUGUGAAAUCAGGCAUUGCCAACACUGGGACCGAAGACAUAGCUUGUUUGAGUUCUUCAAAUGCCGCUGCAGCCUCUGGACUCCACCCAAACCUACUUUCUUGAGCUGAUCAGUCAAAGGCGAUGCGAUUCUAGCAUACCCAGCCACGAACAUUCUAUAAUACCCCGUCAAUCCCAGAAAUCCCCUUAACGCUUUCAGAUUAGUGGGCGUCGGCCACAAGUUCAUGGCUUGGAUUUUACUUGGAUCCGCUGCCACCCCUUGUCCAGAGAUGAUAUGGCCUAAGUAUGCCACUUGAGUCCUUCCAAACUCAUAUUUUUUUCGGUUGGCAUAAAGGCUGUUGGCCUGCAAUUUUCCCAAGACGAGAGCCAAGUGCUGCAGAUGGGAUUCCACUGAAGGGCGGUAAAUUAGAAUGUCAUCGAAGAACACUAGCACAAACUUCCAAAGAUAAGGCCGGAAGACAUCAUUCAUCAAGGAUUGGAAAGUCGUCGGGGCAUUCGUUAGUCCGAAAGGCAUGACGAGAAACUCGUAGUGUCCAUCAUGCGCUCGAAAAGCAGUCUUAUGAACAUCCUGACUACUGACUAUGAUUUGAUGGUAGCCCGACUUUAACUCUAGCUUGGAAAAAAUUCUGGCACCAUGUAAUUCAUCUAGGAGUUCAUCAAUGACAGGGAUAGGAUACUUAUCUGGUACCGUCGCUUUGUUGAGAGCCCUAUAAUCCACACAAAAACACCACGAUCCAUCUUUCUUCUUAACCAACAAAACUGGGCUCGAGAAUGGACUAUUGCUGACUUGGAUUAUUCCUGCAUCUAACAUCUCCUGAAUCAGUCUUUCAAUCUCAUCCUUCUGAGCAUGAGGAUAGCGAUAUGGUCUGACGCUAACAGGUUCACUGCCGUCUUUGAGCAAAAUGGAAUGCUCAUGUCCCCUGGUAGGUGGUGAGCCCAUGGGCAUGUUAAAAACCAAUUCGUAUUCUGCUAGGACUUGGUUUAGAUUCGUUGGCACCUCAGGGCUCACUUCGCACAGACCUUCAAAUUGAUUACAUUCCACCAUAAUUCCAGCCCCCUCGUGCUUAAUGGUGCGCAUCAUUGCCUUCAAUGAAACCAAAGUCUUGCCAAGGGAAGGAUCCCUUCGUAGAGUAACAGAUUCAUUUCCGAGCAUGAACUUCAUCACCUGUGUCUUCCAAUUUGUGUGUGUCAUCCCCAAAGUUUCAAGCCACUGAACUCCUAAUAUAGCAUCCGAGCUCCCCAACCCAAGCGGCAAGAAUUCCUCUACAAUAUCUAUUCCCUGUAGAUGAAUAGUCACUCCCCGACAUAAACCUUCUCCCCUUACAGCCGCUCCAGUACCCAUAGUCACCCCAUAAGCCCCAGUUUUAACAAUGGGUAUCUGCAUUUUACUAACCAAAUCUAGAGAAAUAAAAUUGUGGGUUGCACCUGAAUCAAUCAGUACCACCACCUCUUGCUCCCCGAUAGUCCCCUUAAGCUUCAUCGUCUUUGCUGUAGUCAGACCAACCACCGAGUUAAGAGAGACCUCUACCACUUGAUUAAUUUCGGCCGUUUCCAGUUCGGGAUCGCCUUCACCCGAACCUUCUUCCUCUUCCUGCUCUGCUUCGUCCAUGUCGUAGGUGAGAAGGAUAGUCAAUUCUUUCUUCUUGCAGCGAUACCCAGGUGCCCACUUUUCAUCACAUCGAUAACAUAGUCCCUUAUCUCUUUUCUUCUGUAAUUAUGAAUCGGAAAACCUCCUAACCUCUCCCAAAAAUCGAGCCGUGUUAUGAUUUGUCCCAAACGAAGAUCGCGAAGCUUCAGAAUGGAAGUUCACACCUCGCGUUGACCCUUUUGCUCGAUGAAACCCACCGCCUGCUUUGUGGGCCUUGGUCACCCACAGUUUCUCCUUAAUCUUUUGGGCUAAGUCCAUGGCCCGGCCCAAAUUACUGGGUUCCAUGAUCCGAACCUCGACCCGAAUUUCAGGCUUCAACCCGUUGAUAAAAUUUCCCAGAGCUAGUUCGUCUGUAAUGUUCUCCAACGGCACCGAAAGUUCGAUGAAUUUCCGGUGGUAUUCUCGCACACUGCUAUCUUGAGUAAGGGCUAGCCAUUGUUCAUAGAGAGAACCGGCUUGGAUUACUCGGAGUUGUUUCAAGAUUAGUACCCUCAUCUCUUCCCAAACCACUAUGGAUCUCUUCAUAUUCUCCCAUUAAUACCACAACAGGGCAUCUCCCUCGAAAGCUAGUAUCGCCGCCUCAAGUUUUUCUUCAUUGGAUAACCGAUUUACGGAAAAAUAUCGUUCAGCCUUCAUAAUCCAGCCAUCCGGAUUUAAGCCAUCGAACAGUGGCAUCUCAAGUUUCCGGAAUCAGAAAUCAGGGCGAGUUCCGCCUGAGCUCGACCCACCGCCGAAGUUGGGGCUGAGCAUCUUUUCCCCUUUAUACGAAUUCGAACCUCCCGUAUCCUCCUGAAGUUUGAUGAACUGUUCGAAUCGUUUGUUCAUCGUCUGUAUUUCAUCCUUCAACGAUCCCAUUUCCCGUUGAAACUCCUCCUACGCAGCAACCAUCGCCUCCUCUAUGGAAUCCAUUCGUUGAGCAACAUUUUUGCCGGUCAUUUUCCAAGUACGUGACUUCUCUGAUACCAAUUUGAUAAACCCUGAACUGAAAUGGUUAGAUAAACAACACAGUAGAGAGCAGAAUGUUGUUGGAUGUAGGAAAACUGGUAUUUAUCUGCAGAAAUAAACCAAAACACCCAAGCAUUCGAAAGGCUUGGUAUCUCUCCCAAAAAUGAGCAAGCUCACUACAAAAUAAUUCUCUAGAUCUGCUUUCCAAAAACCAGCUCCUCUCCAUAUAACCUCCUCACUUCUACGCCCAAAUAGAAUAAUAGAAAAAUCUAACAAAUUAUCAAAAUUGAAUACCAUCAACUUAUUACUAACAGAAAUGCAUAACAAACUCUUCUCUCUAUACUACUUGAUGACACGUCAACCACGAUUGGUAUUUUCAGAAUUACCCUUGCGCCUUGCAUAUGUGAAACGUACUUGUGGCCUAACAGCAUGGACACUAGAAUGCGAGAAAAGCUUUAAAGAACUAAAACGACGGCUGGUCACUGCUCCAAUCCUAGCCAUUCCUAACAGCUCUGAGGAUUUUGUCAUCUAUAGUAAUGCCUCCAAAAAUGGUAUUGGAUGUGUCCUCAUGCAAAAUGGAAAAGUCAUUGCAUAUGCUUCCAGACAAUUAAAUGAAUAUGAGAAAAACUAUCCAACGCAUGAUUUGGAGUUGGCAGCAGUGGUGCACGCAUUAAAAUUAUGGCGUCACUGUUUAAUAGGGGCGCAUUGUAAGAUUUACACUGAUCACAAGAGCCUCGAAUAUUUCUUUACCUAAAAGGAGCUGAAUAUGUGACAAUGGUGUUGGCUAGAGCUUGUCAAGGACUACAACUGCGAAAUAAACUAUUAUCCUGGAAAAGUAAAUACGGUAGCAGAUGCACUAAGUAGAAAGUCAAGCUUGUCAGCUUUACGGAUUCUACCUAAGCCAUUACAAAAUGAUAUAUGCAAGGCAGAGAUCGAGCUAGUAAUAGGAAAAUUAGCCAAUAUGAAGCUUUGCUCAACCUUAUUAAAAAAGAUUAAGAAAGGGCAGGAAAGUGAUUCUUACUUGAAGAACCUAAAGAUAGAGGCCAACUCAAAGGAGACGUUGUUUAAGAAGUCAGAGAAGGGAAUCAUCUUGUUCAAGGAUAGAAUAUGUGUACCAGAUAAUGCAAAUAUAAAGAAAUAUAUUAUACUUGAAGAUCAUAUAACCCCAUAGUCACUUCAUCCUGGCACAACAAAGAUGUACAAAGACUUAAAGAAGCAUUAUUAGUGGCCUGGAAUGAAGAAGGAUGUAGUUGAGUUCGUGGCAAAAUGUCUCACUUGUCAACAAAUCAAAGUAGAACACCAGAGACCAGCAAGACUUUUGGAAUCCAAUUAAGUUACUCAAUGGAAGUGGGAAGAAAUCACAAUGGAUUUCGUCAUUAGUCUUCCAAGGACUACCAAAAUACAUGAUGUUAUUUGGGUGAUCAUUGAUCAACUCACAAAGUCUGCUCACUUCUUGCCUAUUUGAAUGACGUACACCAUAGACCAGCUUGCAGAAAUAUAUGUAAAAGAGAUAGUAAAACUGCAUGGUGUACCCAUUUCUAUUAUUUCUGACCGAGAUGCAAGGUUUACUUCGACAUUUUGGGAAAAGUUACAUAAGGCUAUGGGGACAAGAUUGAAGUUUAGUAAAACAUUUCACCCUCAAACAGACGGCCAAUCAGAAAGAACAAUUCAAACGCUUGAAGAUAUGUUGCGAGGAUGUGCUAUCAACUUUCAAAGAUCAUGGAGCAAGUAUUUACCAUUGGUUGAAUUUGCCUACAACAAGAGUUACCAAGCAACAAUCAGCAUGGCACUACACGAAGCUCUAUAUGGUAGAAAAUGUAGAUCGCCUAUUCAUUGGGAUGAGAUGGGCGAAUGAAGGCAUCUAGGACCCAACUUAAUUACUGCCUCAUCUGAAGCAAUCGAGAAAAUACCUCAAAGAAUGCUGGCAGCUCAAAAUCGACAAAAAAGUUAUGCGGAUAAGAGGUGAAGGCCUUUGGAAUUCCAAGUUGGUGAUAAAGUAUUUAUAAAAGUUGCCCCAGUAAAAGGAUUGAUGAGAUUUAGAAACAAAUGAAAAUUAAGUCCGAGGUUUAUUGGGCCAUUUGAAAUACUCGAUCGCGUCGGGAAUGUUUUCUACCGACUUGCCCUCUCACCAUCGUUAUCAAGAAUACAUAAUGUCUUUCAUGUAUCCAUGUUAAAGAAAUACGUCCCCGACUCCUCUCAUGUGCUAGAUUAUAAGCCCCUACAACUAGAAGGAGACCUAACCUACGAAAAAUGUGUAAUUCAAAUUCUUGAUAGAAAGAUAAAAGAGUUAAAGAAUAAGAAGAUUCCUUUAGUUAAAGUACUAUGGCGAAAUAGCUCAGUGGAGGAGGCAACAUGGGAACGUGAGGAAGAAAUGAAGAAUAAGUAUACUGAGCUAUUCAGUAAGUAAAUUUCGAGGACGAAAUUAUUUUAAAGAGGGGAGGAAUUGUGAGGUACAAUUUUCUCACUUAAAUAUAAUAUUAUUUAUUUUAAGGUAACAAGCCCCCUUAAGUAUUAUUAUUAUUAUUAUAUAAAAUAUUAAAUUAUAAGUUAUGAUAACAUAAUCAAUGACAUAAGUAAUGAUGACAUAAGCAACGACAUAAGUGAUGAUGUAAGAGAAGUGUGUAGAGAAAGUUAAGAAUUCUAGAAUUUAAUAAGGUAUUUAUGAAGGUUAAUCUCAACCAUUGAUCAAGAGUUAUGGUAGCAAAAUCCUAAUCAUUUAUUGGCCUUAAAAAAUCCUAUAAAUACCCCCUAACCCCUUUCAUUUUCAAUCCAACCUAGAAAUUUCAUUCUCUUCUAUUUUAAGUCAUAAUAUCAAGUAUAUAGAAAUCCUUAAUUUAGAAAGGUCUAGAUAAGUCAAGGCCAAGAGGUAAGUAACACUUCAACUGCAAUGUAAGGACAAAAUUCUUUUCAUACUUAACUUCAGUUUUAACAAUUUCCUUAUGUUGUGAUGGCUAUGGAUAACUCUAGGAAAUGAGAGUUAUCAAGACACUUUUAUACUUAAAUCGAUAUUAUUUAGAGAGUGAAUGUUGUGUUUCUAUUGCAUUUUUGUUAUACUUCGCAUAAACAUUCAUUUUAGUUUAGUCGUAAUAAAUUUUGUUUGAUUUAGAAUAAUUUGUGCCUAGAUUGUGUGUGUAAUUAUAGAUGUUCGGAAGCUCAUGUUUUAAGAAAGGAAUGCUGAUGCAAUCAACUUGCAAAAGAUGGAAAAGAACUUAGUCACAAAAGUCUUAAAACAAAUCUGGAACAGUGCAAUUGUUUUAGCCGUUGCUGUAGCAGCCAUUGUUGUAGCAAUCCUAGAACAAUGAUAGAGAAAAUUCCACGCAGGAUACUUGGAGAAUCGUGAUCUGCAGUUUUCUAAUAUGACUCAUGCGUGCCCUAGGCUUCCGUUUACCCUAAUUUUCAAUUAUAAAAAGAGCACGCAUCAUAUGGAAGGGGGCGGUGAAUUAACAUCGAAGAAAUCAAGAGAAAAUAAGGAAAGAGCAGAAUUCAAGAGAGACAAGUCUGGUCCAUUGAAGAAAUCUACAGAACUAUUUGGAUUCAAUUUUCAUCAUUCUUUACUUGUCCCCUUACUUACUCCUAGAUUAAAAUGAUGUAUUUCAUGGCUGAUACUUUGCUGUUUGUUUUUCUUUUACAAGUUAUGAGUUGAAAACGAUCUAAAUGGGUUCUUGGCUAUUCUUAUGAGUUGUUGCAACAUUGCUGUAGCAUUUUACUUUAAUAGCUUGUAUUACAAUCAUUAUUUCGAUUGACCUCUCAUCUAAUGGUUCAAGUUAAGAGAGAGCUGCAAAAGGGUCUGUCUUAGUGGAAAUUAUUAGAGUAAUACUUGAUCUUAAUUUAAGUUUUCUGGAUUGAGUUUAACUUGAGUCUCAAGAGCGCCACACUUGAAUUAAGAUUUGUGAUGACAUAGAUAUAGGGAUUCACCUUGUAAGGUAGAGAGAGUAUAUGUUUGUAAUAUAAUAAUUGGUCAUUGUUAGGUUGCGUAAGCAACAGUUGAGGAAGCAAAAUAAGUCUGCUCAGUGCUAUAGGAGUUGCUGCACCAACUGGUGUUAGUUUGAACAAAACAGUCAGCCCAUGAAGAGAGUUUGAUCAUUCAACUACUUUAUCUUUAUUGAAUUUUAUUUUUGCAAGCUAUUCAGUUUACUUCAUUAUUGCAGUUACUUUAUUACGUUGUUAAUUUUAUUAGUCAAUCAACUUUAUUUGUAUUCCUUUUAGAUAGAAGGAAGUUUGCACUAUCGUGAUUACUGUAGCAUUUCUAGUAACAACAAUCCAUGUGGAGACGAUCUUGAAUAUUCAUCAAUUUAUUACUUGUUGUGUACACUUGCACAUUAACAUCAAUAACAAUCGAGUUAAAUUAACCAACAACUAUUCCGCCUAAUCUAUGAUGCUUAGUUAUGUUAUGGUCAGCUCUGCCGCCUAAUCUGCAAUGCUAAGUUAUGUUAUGGUCGACUCUGCCGCCUAUUUACGAUGCUUAGUUAUGUUAUGGUUGGCUCUGCCGCCUAAUCUGUGAUACUUAUAAUUAAUUAUGCUAUGUCGGGUGUGCCGCCUGUAUUCAAGAAUAUUGUUCUUAAAUACUGUUGUGUGUUGAUUCUUUUAUGCAUUUAGGAACUUCAAAUAUUAUGACAUAAUUUGCAUUGAAUGCAUGCAUAUCAUGGAUUACAUUAUAAAGAAGACGUUUCAGAAAAUGAAUUUAUGAAAAAUAAGUGGUUGUACCACCAAGUGGCAAAAUUUCUAAGGAGGGCAAGCCCUUAAAGCUAACUUUAAAAAAAUCUUUUGGGGACGGCGAUACAUAACGCCUAAAAGAUCAACUAAUGAGGCCUAAAGGCAUAUUGUUUAAAAUAGUAAAAGUGCCAACCUUGUAGUGCAACAUACCUAGGGCCUUAAUGAAGUUGUUUUGUAUUUUUUAAGUUUCUUUUAAAAGCUUAAGAUGGUCAUCCAUAUGCAUCAUAAUUUAUACAUUCAUAAAAGUAUUAUCUUAUUGGGCAUUAGCUCAUAAAGUCCUUACAUUGCAGAUAAUGAUGAGUAAGGCAAGCUGGCGCCAAGUCUUAACCAAGAAAAAAUGCAUAUGGACAUAACAGACCUUGGGAUUUUAAGAUGGGCUCAGCUUUGUUUAAAUAAAAAUUAAACAUCUUAGCUUUAUGUAAUAAUCAAGUUUUGAAAUAAACUAUGAAAUCUCUGUAUGACUUUUACUUUAUGAAGAAAUUUUUGUUUGUUGUGUUAAGCUUUUAGAAAUCGUAUUUAACUAUGUUUUAAACAUUUUUAAAAUAGAUAUUUAAGUGCAGUGUUACAACAUCAGUCUCCUCCUCUUCGAAAAAAAAAACUCAUCCUCGAGUUUUGCUGAAAAUAAAGGACAAUCUGGAGGAUAAAUCUUUUAAUUAAGGAGUAAUUGAUCUUGCACUGCAAAAGUGUAGCACUUUGCAUCAACUUUUCUUAAAACUCGAAAGUACUAAAACUUCAAUUUCUUCUUGUUUUUUAGUAUGGUUCUUCUAAAAACUGUAGACUUGUAAGGGCAAACCAUUAGAAGUUCUCUUUUAAUUUGAGUCACAGGUAAUCCUCAUAGGAGGUAACUUGUUAAGAAGCUCUUUAGGCACGAUAUCCUGAAAUUAUGAGAGUAGUGAUUGGACUUAUUCAGGCAUCGAUUCUUCUUCAGCUAUCUCUUUUGUAGUAAAAGAUAAGUUCCCUUGACAUUUGACUUUAUCGGAGCAAGGAUAACUUUCAAGUUGUCUUUAUAGAACCUGUAUGUGUUAUCUUUCCCAUAAUGUACCAUAUUAAGAUCAAAUUGCCAAGGUCUCCCGAAAAGCAAAUGGCAAGCAUUCAUGUCAACAAGAUCGCAAGUAACUUCAUCUUUAUGUCUUCUGAUGGAAAAACUGAAUACAACAUUGUUGAGUAACCUUUAUCUCUCCAACAUCUUUUAUCCAUCUAAUGCAAUAAGGGGAAGGAUGUUUGUGAGUUUUAAGCUGUAACUUGUCAACUAUAAUCUUCGAAACUAUAUUCUUGCUACUAUCACUGUCAAUAAUCAUCACAUACCCUCUCAUUGAUUGUGCACCUUGUUUUGAAGAUAUUAUGUCUCUGAGUCUCUUCGUCUUUCUUUUGUGUGUAUAACGAAUGUUGUGUUACUAGUGAUACUCCUAUGUCUCAAUAUGUCCACUCUUCCUCCUUUUCUAUGUCGACAUUGUCUUCAUAUAGUUCAUCCUUAGGCUUUCCAUUUUCCUCUGCAUUAGUUUCCAAAUUGACUAUUUGAUGUCUUCGUUCUGGACAUUGGUUUGAUGUAUGGCCUAGCUUUGAAUAACGAAAACAUUCGUCACCUCGAGGAAAUUCAUAAGGAUUGCUACUACAUAGUGUAAAACUUUCUUUCUUUCAAUUCCGUUUGGCUGAAAUUCGUUUUCUCAUUUCACAAAAAACAUAAUACAUUUUUGUGCUAAUGCCAUUGAAACAUUCACACUGACAUAUGUCCAUGUCCAUAAACACACAUAACACAUAACAAUACAUUCUAUUAACACAUCAUAUAAACACAUGGGCAGAGCAUAUAAAUCCAUAUCCGUAUAUAUUAAAAUAAGUUUUUCAAACAUGUCAAACAUGUACAUAUUAUUUAUUAUGACUCAUUUAGAAAUCUAGUUUACUUACCUUCUAGCAUCCUCGAGUAACAAAUAUGUGUCGAUAUCACCGACCUAAAGUCAAUAAAAAAUACUCCUAUAAGAUAAAAUCAUAUCAAAUCAUAAACUCUAUUGUUCUCAAAUUCCUCAAUAUAACACCCUCUAAACUUAACCUCAAUUAAUCUUAAUUUGAAUAAUUAAUUACAAAAAAUACCAAAAUUUAAAUUACUAGAAUGCCCCUUAAAUCUCAAAAUCACAAGUUGCCAAAUUAUCCUCAAAAUCAUAAUUUAUCGGACCACCCUUAGAUUCUUAUUCUCCAAAUCAUAAAUCACUGAAAUAUUCACGAAAUAAAAAAUUUAAGAAAUUACCCACAAAUUCUAAAAAAUUACUAAAAUGCUCUCAUCGAUCAACAGUGAUCUAAAUUCAUACGGUGGUGAUGGGAAAGGUCGGGAUAGAAGCUUCAUGUCGCAUUGAAUCCAACGGUGGCGACGGAGGCACCAGAUUGAGCUCCCAAAGCUGUGAACACUUUGGAGGUCGAUUGGCAGCAAAUCAACUAUUUGUGGUGAUGUGGGUGGUAAAACAAUGCAAGUAGUGACCUAAGGAACGAAACCCAGUCGGUGGCGUCACCCAAAACCAGUGAAAUCACAGUGAAUGGAGGUGGCAAAUACUGCAAGUUUUGCGGGCCCAAAUGACGGCUGUCUGGUCGUUAUUCAACAGUAAUGAUGGCGGGGAAGUGACCAUUGGUUCUAAAGCUUCUAAUCGGUACCUCCCGUUGCUGGUGGGGUGGUCGGGAACGAGAAAUGGUGACCAGGUUGGUUCAUGGGUCAGGUUUUCCGAGUUGGUUUUGGCAGCUUUCUCUCUUUCUCACGUGUGAAUAUGCUUCCUCUUCUUUAAACAAUUUCCAGCUUCCUUUUUUUAUAUAAUCAAAUAUCGAGUCAAAAUUAGUCAAAGCAGCGGGGUGGGGUAUUACAAAGUAUCACUACUACAAAAAUGUAAACCAAUAACCCAUACAUUAUGACGGUUUAUUUAAAAAAUCAUCAUUAAAAAUAUUUAAUGACAGUUAUUAUAUGAACGGUCAUAAUAUAUCAUAUUUAUAAUGACGGUUCUAUUAUAAAACCGUCAUUAAAUAUCAUGCCAAAAUGUAAUUUUACUUUUAACGAUGGCUACUUGUAAAAACAGUCAUUAUAAAUUUCAAACUUUUAAUGACGAUUUUAUUAUAUAACCGUCAUUAAAUAUCAAGUUAUUAUUUUUAAUGACGGUUUAUAAAAAAACCGUCAUUAAAAGUCAUUACAUAUUAAACUAUUAUUUUUAUAACGAUUCUAUUAUAUAACCGUCAUUAAAUAUCAAGUUAUUAUUUUUAAUGACGGUUUAUAAAAAAAGGUCAUUAAAAAUCAUUACAUAUUAAGUUAAUACUUUUUAUGACGGUUCUAUUAUAUAACCGUCAUUAAAUAUAAAAUUAUUACUUUUAAUGACGGUUUUUAAACAAAACCGUUAUUAACAAUCAUUAAUGACAUUAUAUAUAUAAACUGUCAUUAACUAUAAAAUUUUAUUUUUAAUGACGGUUUUGUUUAAAAACCGUCAUUAAAAAGCUACAAUAUUUUUAAUGACGGUGUUUAAUAGGCUUGGCAAAAUCCGGAUCAUGUCCGGGUUUUGGUGUUGCCCGGGACCGGACCGGAUGAGAGAAAUGUAAGUCCGGAACCGGGUUAAAACCCGGUUUUUCCAGGUGCGGUCUGGGCUUGAGCCCGGUACCUUCCGGGUCCGGGUUUUGAUCCGGGCUUUUAAAACCCGCAUGUGAUAAAUUUAAUUUUUUUUUCAAUUUUUUUUUUCAUUUCUCUAACAAUGCAAAUUUUAAAAAAGAAAAUAAUCAAAUAAACUCAUUCAAUCUCAAACUUUAAAAAAGAAAAUAGUCAAAUACAAAUAUAUAACACAUUAACAAUGCAAAUUUUGCACAAAUGAUAAAUAAAAAUUAUUUCAAUCUACUUUCUAAUACCUAAAUUCAUCUAAUUUCUAACUUAAACUCAUUCAAUCUAUAUUAAAAUAAGUAAAUUAAAUUCAACAACACAAUAAUUACACAAUAAAUUUAAAUAACAUCCAAUAUAUCAUAAAUUCAUAAUUAUAUAUUUAUAUAUAAUAUAUUUAUUUUUUAAAAUUUAUUUAAAAAACCGGGUCCGGUCUAGGUUCCGGGUUUUUUGUGUUGAACCCGGACUCGGGACCGGAAAUGUCCGGGUUUGAGAAUUUCAAACCCGAAUUCGAUUUUUAUAUGCAUGCGGUCCAAAUUUUGCCCGAACCGAAUUGGCCGGAUCCGGGCCGGGUCCGGUCCGGGCAGGCUUUUUUGACACCCCUAGUGUUUAAUGACCGUCAUCGAAUAUAAAGAAUCGUUUUUAAUACAUUUCAUGACCGUUUUAUAAUAACCGUCGUUAUAUGUUAUUUGCCUUAAAAAAUUAAAAAAAAAAAAGCCGAUAAAAGGAAUCAAGGUAACGCGCAAUCCCUAACCACUCACAUUCCUUAUCUUCUUCUUCAAUUUUCACGAAUUACAAUCACAACGACUCACUCAGUCACACACACCAGCCCUAACCCUACCUAAGCUAUCAAACGCCAAUGACGCUGCCGCUGUCAAAUCGAUUCAAGUGCUCCGGCGCUGAGUCUAGCCGUCCUUGAGCCGAUUUGCUUCCUUUUUCUACCGCCGCUGUCAAUCUCUGCCAUUCUUGAGCCGAUUCACUUCCGCAAAACAGCUGCUGUCAUCUCUGCCGACAUUGCCUCUGUGUUCGUUCACCGUCAGAUGCAGGGUUAUUGUGGUGACACUGCCUCCGCUGUCAAGUCAGUUCAAAUUUUCUGGGUGCUAUCUUGAAAAUGUUGGUGAGAUUGUUGCCAAUGAUUUUCUAAAAUUUUGAAUUCAGGGUUAUUGUUUCACCACUGUGAGUUGCUUUCUCCAUUUUUGCAAUUCUUUCCUCUUAAUUUGCUUUGAAAUAUUUGCUCGUUGGAUUUAUUUCCUCUUCAUUUAUAAUCGAUUAGGUGAUUUUGUGAUGUGUAGCUUGUACCUUAGUCUCUUCUUUUCCUUUCAUAAUAUUAUAAAAUAUGUCGUGCACUUUGGCCUUUCGUUUCUUGAUUUUCUUGGUUAAUGAAUUUGGAAAAAGAGUGAAUUAUGGGUAAGAGGAUAGAAAAUCACAUUGACAGAAAAGAGGACUGAAACGCCCUGAUUUUUACUAAGUGGAGUUUACUUAUUUGUUAAAAAAAUAAAUUUUAAAUUAUUAAUGAUUUAAUUGUCUUAUGCUUAUUAUAUUGUUCGUAAAAUUUUUGUUACAAGUCCAGCCCAUGAACCUCUUUAUAUUUUAGCAUUUCUUUAUUUAUUUACGAAACGAAAACCAGCGUUCGGAUUCAAAAGGAACAAAACAGAAAAAGGAAGAAAGGAAACAAGAGGAUAACAGGACGUGAGAGAGGAGAAGAGGGAGAAAGAAGAGAAAGACAAGAGAGGCUAGGUGAAGGAUCUGGAUUUAAAGAAAGAGAAUUCAAUUUCAGAGCAAAAUAUUAAAUAUCUGGCUUUUUGAAUUUGUAAGCCUUCUUUCUCAGUUCACUUUAUUCUUUUAUUUUUCUUCAAAAUUCUUGUUUAAAUUGGCAUGCCUGUUGAUGUUGUUAAGUCAUUUCUAAAUUAACUUGCAUGCAUGAUUAAAAUUCUGUUUAUUUAGGUAUUAUGUCAUUGAAAUUAGUCUCUUUUCCCAUGCUUGUUUCAAGUUCCAAUUCUUAUUUGAAAAAAAAAAAAAAAUUCGCUGUUUGUGCCAUAAUCUGUUUUGGGUAUUAAAGUUGAUACUACCUAGCAAAUUCUAAACUGUAAUGGCUGAUUUCUUCUCUUAUUUUUGUUUAAUCUAUUCAAAUUCAUGUAUAAAUUUUACAGGCGUUAGAUAUUUGUCUAAUUAUCAUGUAUGUGUUAAAUUCAUUUUGGGUGAAUUUUCAUACUAUUUAAUCAAGUUCAAAGUUACAUGGGUUUGGCCAAUUAUCACAUAAUCUCUUCUUUGACUAAUUGAUUAGAUUUUUGUUCAUGCGUGGCUUAAUUAAUUUCAAAAUCUUCUUACUUAUAAAGCAUUAAUAUCUUUUGCAAUUAAAUUCUCUAAAUUUUCCUGGCUGCUGUAUGAACAACUCUAGUUUUUUUUCCUUAAAUAAAUUUGUUUGAAUUCUAAUUAAUACUUUAAUUUAAUGGAUUAUAAUUUAAAUCUUGCAGCAGAUUAUAAUUUAUGGUGCUAAUGGUAUUUUUUUUAUUUAAUCCAUUGUUUUGUUCUUCAGGCUAUUGAUCCUAGGACUUGCAUGGUUUUAUUCAAAAUGCUAAAUUGGGUUGUAUUCCAGUGGCUGUAUUUUGACGGGAAAAGAAGUAUGUAGUGCUACUCUUCUUUUUUAUUUUUUUGAUUUUAUUGUCAUUAUUAUGUAGCUUAACGGCAACCCAAUUCUCUCCCUACCCUUGUGAGUGUGGUCAAACCCCAAACAAAUGAAGAAGUUUUCUGGUUUUAUGUCUUAAAUAGAGUGCCUGUAAAUAUAAAAUCGAGAUUGAGCUAAUGAGUGAAAAUGGUGAUACUUGGAUUUUUUGAGGCUCUGCUUUUUUUUCUUUACUUUAAAAGCUAAUUUGUUUAGCUUUACCUUUGAUUUGAAUUUUUUGUUUCUGUUCUUUGCAGCCAACCAAUGAAGAUGGUGAUAAUCGGGCUCCAAUAAAUAUUGAUUUAAUAGGAACCACAUUGGUAAGCCUAGUUGCAAGACAAGAACUACUUUGCAAAGCAUGCUAUGUGUAUAAUUCUGAGCAUUAAGGAUUCAGUUUCUGAAGGGCAAGCUUGCUGGCUGGGUAUAAAUGUUCCAAGUGCCAAUCCCACCUUAUGUAAGCACAAAAUAUAGUCUCCAUUUCCUUUUUGGAUUAUAUUUGUUUGUAUAGUUAUAUGAUACUGGAUUUUAAUUUAAGAAUUUGUGCAGUACAUUUUUUUACUGUUAGGAGUUAGUUUGAUCAAGGUUAUUUAAGUACUAAACUGUUAUAAUUGAGCUUGCAUGCAUUUAAAUUUUUUUAUAUGUAAAUGACAAUUAUAUCAAUGUGUAAUGUAAAUUGAAAUUUGCCAAUGUGGCUUCAAUUGGACAGUUUAGAAUGUGAAAACAACUAUCUAAAUUUUAAUUUAAAAAAACAAUUGAAGUAUAGUAAUUUUAAAUUGUUAUCUUUUUUUAUUUUUACUCGUGCAAAAGAUGACGGUUCUUAUAUAAGAACAAUCAUCAAAGAACGAUAUAAGAUGACUGUUAUGAUACAAAACCGUCAUUAAAAUUUGAUAUUUAAUGACGGUUAUUAAAAAACUUUCAUUGAAAAUAUAUAUGUAAUGACGAUUAUUAAAAAAAUCUGUCAUUAAAAAUAUAUAUUUAAUGACGGUUAUUAAAAGCCCGUCAUUAAAAGUAUAUAUUUAAUGACAGUUGUUGGCAAAAAACCGUCAUUAAAACUUAUGUACCUAUAGCAUAUAAUGACGGUUUAUUACAAUAACUGUCAUAAUAAGUAGACAUUUAAUGACGGUUUUUAAACCGUCAUAAAAAAUGUACCCCUUUAAAUGUUGCUGCCUAAGAUGACGGUUUUAAAACUGUCAUCUUAUGUCUUUUAAAAUUGUCAUUAAAGGCCAAUUUUGUAGUCCUGUAUGAUCUUGAAAAAAGAACACGUACAUACUGAUAUUGCCAUAGAUAAGCUUAAAGGUCUUAUUUCUUUCUUUGAAAGCCAUAGAAAAGAUGGAUUCAUGUUUGCUGUGAUUUCAGCAAGAGAACUUGCAAGUGAAAUGGAAAUAGAAUCUAAAUUUCAUGAAAAAAAGUAUAAUUUGUAGAAAAAGAAACAAAUUUAAUGAAAAUGUUAGUGAAGAGGAAAUGUUGUCUGUUGAAGAGUCCUUUAGAAUUAAUUAUUUUAUUUAUAUAGUAGAUCAAGUUAUUUCUACAAUAAGACUAUAUGUGAAUAAUUUCAAAUAUAUGAUAAUAUGGUUGGAUUUUUGUUUAAUUUCAAAAAAUUACAAUCGUUAAAUGACUACGUUUUAAAUAUUUAUUCUGUUAAUCUCGAAAAUACUUUAAAACAUGCUACACUUUCUGAUAUAGAUGGUGCAUAUUUAUUUUAAGAGUUGAGAUUUUAAAUGAAGUAUUUCAAGGUAAAAAAAAUACUAAUUAAUUAUUUGAAAACAAAUUGAUUUUUUCUCAAAUGCAUAUAUUGCAUAUAGAAUAUUAUUAAUAGUACUACUAACAGUUGUUUCUGUAGAAAGAAGUUUUUAAAAUUAAAAUUUAUAAAAACAUAUUUAGAAUUAACAAUCUCGCAAGAGAGAACAAAUGAAUUAGCUAUAUUGAUUAUUGAGAGAAAUAUAUUCAUGAAAUUAGAACAUAAAAAUUUAAUUAAUAAUUUUGCAUUUCAGAAAGCUAGAAUAAAUUGAUCUUAAAUAAAUAAAAAUUUUAGUACAAUUCACCUACGACUUUAAAAAUUGGUUGAGUGGUUCUUGCCUACAAGACUUGCGAUGAUAAAGACACUAAAAUGUACAUUGUUAGACACAUGUAUUUCUUUCUUUUUUUUUUAAUUUUUCAUCAGACUUAUCAAAUUGUAAUUUGAUGGUUAAUAAUUUUUUUCAUAUUGUGUCAAAAAAAAAAAAAAAUAGAGAGGCUCCUCGAACAAGCCUCGCACCACUAGUCUAAGUUUGUAUGCGCAUGUGCUUAUGUACUGCACACUGAUAUACUAUGUUAUCACUGUGUCAGAAAGGAAAGGCUCUGACUCCUCGACAUGCCCUAUACCAACCAGUCUAAAUUUUCAUAUGCAUGUGGCUCAUGUGCUACACUUUAGUGUAAUGCAGUAAAAUCAAGAAGAAAAAAAGUGAAAUAUGUUGUGUCUUUUCCGUGAGAAAUUCUAAAAUGCAUAAGAGAUAAAGAUUUUGCUAAGUUACUGCUGCUGUAACUUUCAAUUCCUUUAAUAAUCAUAUGGGUCCUACCACCUAUGACAACUAUUUACAUUAUUUUGAAAGGUUGUAAGUUACAGUAGUUGUAACUUAGUAGCACCCAAGACAUAAUAUAAUCAAUUAAUACAUAUAUGACAUAUGUAUUUAAAUUUUGUAUAACCACUAAUUACUUGUCGGUUCUUCAAAAUAAAUAUACUUAAUUAUUUACUUAUUGCAUAGAUGAUAUGGUACUUUAGAGGUAUUCUAAAAUAUCUCUUAUGCCCUUCUGUUCAUUUUCAACUACUAGUCAAUGAAGUGGCAUUUUACAUGUUGAUAUGGUGCCUCGCAAAAACUCUUCUGUUUCGAGAUUGAUGAUCCCAUGGAAAUGGUACAAGUAUCUCUUCUAAUGGUAUUUUACAGGUUGUUGAUGAAAAGUUGCAUGUGUUUUAGAAGACUAAUGGUAUUUGCAUUUUACUUGCACAUUCUAGUAAAAUCAGCUAUACAUGGAUUCUCUUUGGAUGAAUUUGGAUGAAAGCUCGUUUAAUUCCUCUAUUUUUAGGUUAGUAUCUUUUUAGUCACUAUAUAUUUAGAAAUACCUCAAAACAUCUCUAUUGUUAAAUUAUUGACACUCCUGCCGUUACUUUUUGUUCUUUUUAGCUUGCUUUUACAUAUUACUCUCUCGCAAUAAUGUUUAUUUUUUGGACAUUAAUAAAAAUAAAUAAAUUAUCAAUUUAAUCCCAAAAUAUUAAUGUAGAACAUUCUGCUGAGAAGUUAAUAUAUUUAUGUUUUUAUUAAUGUCCAAAAAAGUUUGUAAUUUAAUUUAUUUUACAAUAUUACUUUUUUUUACAUAUGUGAGCUUUUAGAAAAAUUAGUGUAUAUAUGUGUGUGUGUGUGUGUCAUUUUUAGGUUUAAAUUGAUAAUUUAUUUAUUUUUUAUUAAUGUCCAAAGAAAUUAUUGUAAAAGGGUAAUAUUAUAGAAGUUAAAAAGAAUAAAAAAUAAAAAGGCAGAUGUGUCAAUAGUUUAACUGGUAGUGUCGUUGAGGUGCACUAAAUUUAAAACCUUACCACUAAUAUAAAUAAUUAGUACAGAGCGAGUAAGGAUCGAUCCCACAGAGACUAUGCUAGUUGUAUUUAUUAUCAACUCUAAAGCAAGAUUUAAAAUAAAAUAAUAGUAGUAAUAAUAAUAGUAAUAAUAAUAUAAAUUAAUCUAACUAAAGAAAAUGCCAAUUAUAAAUAAAAGGGGGGAUUUAUGAAUUUUUAACUAAAUAGUAAGAAAUAAAAAAAACUAAAAUUACGAACAAAAAUUUAAUAAAAACUCUAAUUAAAGGAGAAAGAAAUAAUAAUGAUAAAAACUUUAGUUAAAGGAUCAUUCGCCACCACCAAACAUGCACAUAAUAUAUCAAUUCAAUCAUCAAUUUAUAUUGAAACUAUCAAUCGUAAACAACAAUAAGCUCUGUUAGUCUCAAUAUUUCCUUAGUGUGUCGUUAGGCAAAACAAGCUCUUCACCUAAUCUCUAACUAUUAAAUAAUUUAAAACAAGCUCUUUAAAUUUAAGUUAAUGGAAGCAUUAAACAAAGAAAGAUAUUAGGUUGAUCUAAACAAUAAACACACAAGCUCGGAUUAUUUAACCUAGGUUAUGUUCUCCAAUUGAAAUCACUGAUUCCAACCUGCUACUAAUGAUUAAAAUAUCAAGACAAUUACGGAUCAAGAAUUUUAAUCUAGCAAUAGAAUUUAUUCAAGUUCUAUCUAAUUGGCCACUCAAACAAGACAAGAAUAAACCAUGAACAUUAAUUAUAGAAGAACAUAAACAAUCUAAAUUAAAUAAAUUGAAUGAUAGAAAUUAAAAAUUAAUCAUGUGACAUAUUCGGGGUUUUGAAUUCACCCUCAACCAAAUAAAAAUCUAGCCUAACACAAUUGAAUUGAGAAUAAGAUAAUUGACAAAACCAAUCAUGGAGAUUAAUUCAAGCGACUGCCUUUGCUUUAAUUUAAUUCCGACUGCUGAUUUUUUUCUUCUCCUUGCGGCUGCUGAUUUUCCUCUGCCCGAAUUGCGUCUGCCCUCUUCUCUCUCGCUCUCUGGCAGCUCUCCUUUUAUAAUGCUAGUCGACCAAAUUCUUCUCCAACAAUUCUAAAGAAAUCCUUUUUCAAUUCUAAUUGAAAUCCUUUUCCAAUUUAACGCCACCAAAAGCCAUUAAUUCCAUCUUUUGAAAGUCAAUUGCGGGCCCAUUUAAAUUGCUUUCCACUUUUGCAAUGCCAUGCACGUGCACUCCAAUUGCCAAUUGGAAAAAUUAAAUCUUUUAAUUAUUCAACAUUUCUCAAUUGGAUUAAUUGCUUUGAUUUCUUCCACUCGGUUCUAUCAAUUCUUGACUAUAUUUUUGUCUUCCAAUUUAAUCUUUAUUCCUUUUCAAUUUGAAUUUCUUCAUGCCUUUUUUAUCCACAAUCUCCAAUUAAUUCCCUAUUCAAUAAAAUCAACUAAAAGAACUAGAAUAUUUAAGAUCAAAACAAGAAAAAGAUGGAGAAAUUAAUAACAAAAUAUAUGGAAAAUAUGCACUUAUCAUUAAUUGCAUGGAGUUUUGAUGUAUUCUUAAAAAUAUAAGUUACUAACCUCAAAAUAUAGGGAUUAAAAGAGUUUUUACGUAUUCUUUUCAAUACACUCUGACUUGUAUUCUGUAUGUUUCUGUUCACUGUAGGACCAUUAUAAAGAAAUAUCAACAUCGUUGAUUAUUCUAAACACAUGGAUUGGCAGGUUAGAAUUCCCUCAUGAAAAAUAUGACUACUUUUUGCGUUCUGGUUUGGGUUCAUGGUUCCUUUUCUUCAUUCUUAAUUUUUAUGACUUCCACAAUAAAUUUCGCUAGUUGAAAUAAUAUUAAAUUGUACAACAUACACACACACACACAUAUGUAUAUUGCUUAUUACUUCGGAGUACUUAGGAUAUUUUCUUGUAUGGGUUGAUCUUAACAUAAUUCUAAAGUGUUUUUAGUUACUGCAAGAAAUUGAACGAAUUAAACUAAAAAAAUAAAAGAAAUAAAUAUUAUGUAGUUUUCAUUUUGAGAUAUAUUAUAAUGAAAGGAUCAUCUACUUGUGUUAGCUUUGUUUAGUUUUAAAAAUCUCAUGUCACUUAAAGUCAUGUAUAUUAUUAGCCAUUUAUACUUUCUCUUGUUUUUAUAUUCAUAAUAAUCCUCCAAAUGCACAUUAUUGUAUUUGUCAACAUGCUUCAAGAAAAUAAGGUCAAGGCAACAUGAUUAUAACAAUGUGUUAGAGUGUUCUAUUUGCAACAUGAUUAUAACAACGUGCUAGAGUGUUCUAUUUAUUUAAUGUCAAGAAAAGUAGCUGCUAAAUUCUAGAAGCAGCCCAUUUUGGACAAAGAAAAAUCAAAGAGGGCUGCAGCAUCUUUGAAGAAGUAAAAUUGGCGGCACACGGUUUUGACGUUGAAGAAGCCAAAAUGUAAGAAAAAUGGUGGUGUUGUAGCAAAUUUUGACAAGAAAAAUAAAUAAAAUAAUAGCCAAUUUUGGCUAUAAAAAGAGAGCUCCCCAUUUGGUUUUGGCAUCUAAUUUCUUUAUCUCAUUUUCUUCUUCCUUAUAGAGAGCUAAGAAUUGAGAGUAUAGAGUUUUAAUAACUCUUGUGUUAGUAGUGAUUUGAGAGUUUGAGUUUAUUGGUGUUUGGGUAGUGAGUUAAAAUAUUACAAUACUUGUAAUUGCUUUUCACUAGUAAAAUAUUUUCCUUCUAUUUUCGCCCGUGGACGUGGGCUAAAACUGAACCACAUAAAUUUUUGUGUCCUCUGUGCGUGUUUGUUCUUCAUUUUCCUCCAAUUUCAUUUUAGUUGUGCCCCUGCUUCAACCAUAGAUUUUCUAACACUAAUAUCAAAGCUACUGGUUGUAUUUUUAGAGUCGCGGUAUUAUUUCACAUAUAUAGUAUUCUCGUGAAAUGGUGGGAGCCAAUCCUAACUAAAGUAGUUCAUUGUAAAAAGUGAUGACGGUAAAAUACGAAAUUAAGAAGUUCAGCGAAAAUAAUUUCUCGUUGUAGAAAAUGAAGAUGAAGGUUGUAUUGAGGAAAACUAAUUACUUGGUAGCAAUUAGAGAAAGACCCACGAAUAUAACUGAUGACAAGUGGAAUGAGAUGGACGGCAAUGUAAUUGCUUAUCUACACCUGGCACUUGCAGAUGGGAUGUUAUCUAGUAUGGCAGAGAAAAAGAUAGCUAAGGAAAGAUGGGAUACUCUUACAAAAUUGUACGAGGUCAAGUCACUGCACAACAUGAUCUUCUUAAAGUAGAGAUUUUAUCCUCUUCGAGUAGCGGAAUCUACAUCGGUGACCAACCAUAUCAACACAUUGAAGACUCUAUUUUCACAUAUCAACUCAUCAUUAAUCUGACAAACAACAACCAAGCAGACAGUCUAGCUUUCGAUGAUGUUGCAGCCUCCAUAUUAAAUGAAAGCAGGCGGAAAAAUAAGGAAGAUAGGCAAGCAAGUUCGCAACAAGCAGAAGUACUAUCGGUGACAAGAGAGAGACCAACGGAACGUGGUCCCAAUGGGAGUUACAAUCAUGGUAGAUCAAAAUCAAGAAGUAAGAAUAAUGUCAAAUGCUACAAUUGUGGUAAGAAAGGGCAUGUCAAAAAAGAUUAUUGGAACAACCAGAAGAGACGAGAGGGUAUAGUUCUUGUAUCAUCAAAUGCUCAGGGAUGUGUAGUAAGUACCUUAAAUGAUGGCGAAAUUCUCUACAGCAAGGCAACAACUAUUUCAAAAGACAGAAAACAACUAUAUAAUGUCUGGCUUAUAGAAUUGGGAGCUACCUAACAUAUGAACUCUUGGAGAGAGUUGUUCCACUGUUAAAAUAAAAAUGUUUGAUGGUACAGUUCGCGCAAUUAAGGAUGUACGACACGUCAAUGGCCUAAAUCAAAAUCUAUUAUCCUUAGUACAAAUAGAUAGUCAUGGGUACAAAACUCAUGUGGAAAAUAUGAUCAUGAAGAUAGUUAAGGGCGCACUUGUAUUAAUGAAGGCAGAAAUGAUUGGUGCUAAUCUAUUCAUGCUUAAAGGAAAAACACUACAGAAAGUUGAUGCGUGUGUCGCAUCAAAUGGAGAAGAGUGACGAUGAUGUGACAUUUCAAGCCUAGCCAAAUGUCAGAAUAAGGUUUGAAGAUUUUCUCUGAGCAAAAAUUGCUUCCAGGUCUCAAAUUGGUAAACUUACCAUUUUGCGAGCAUUGUGUUAGAAAUAAGCAGCAUAAAUUGAAGUUAAGCAGAUCUGUUGCUAGAAGUAAAUGCAUUCUAGACUUGGUUCAUUAUGAUAUUUAGGAAUCACCAGAUAUGUCCAUGGGAGGUGCAAAGUACUUGUUGACUUUUAUUGAUGAUUAUUUCAAGAGAUGUUGGGUGUAUGUAAUCAAGAAAACAUCAGAUGUGUUUCUGGUAUUCAAAUGGUACAAAGCGCUGGUAGAACUUGAAUUCAAAAAGAGGAUAAAGUGCUUGAUGACAAAUAACGGUGGAGCGUAUACAAAUGACAAGUUUAUUGCAUAAAAUAAGCAAAAAGAUUUUCAGAAGCAGUUCACAGUGGCAUACACUUCCCAACAUAAUAGAGUGGCAGAGCGGAUGAACAAACUUUUAUAGAAAUAAUAAGAGAUAUGUUGAGGACUGUUGGUCUACCCAUCUUAUUUUGGGCAGAAGCAGCCAAAACUGUUUGUUAUAUAGUAAAUUGGUCGACAUCCACAGCAAUUAGGUUAAAGACAUUGAUGGAGAUGUGGACAAGAAAGCUAGUUGAUUACUCUCACCUACAUAUAUUUGAAUGUCCUGUGUACAUGAUGUACAAUGCCCAAGAAAAAAUAAAGUUGGAUCUAAAAUUUAUAUGGUGUAUCUUCUUGGGGUAUGCUGAUGGAGUAAAUUGUAUUAUCUGUAGGACCCCACUGCCCACAAGAUAGUCAUCAGCAGAGAUGUUAUCUUUAUAGAUGAUCAACUACAAAGAGAGAUAAGGAUGAUAGCACUGUAAAAGAAAAGUCAAAGACUGUGCUGGUAUAUGUUGAAAAUAAUCUGGAAAAAAAGAUUCAGAUUCUUCUGAAGCAACACCAAAGCACGAUGAACAAUAACCAGUUGAGUCCGAGGCUCGAGAAGUUCGUUAGUUAACUCGUGAGAGACGAUCGCCAAUGUGGCACUCAAAUUAUGUCACAAAGAUCAAUGUUGCAUGCCGUCUUCUGAUAGAGGAUAGAGAACCAUAAACUUUCUAUGAAACUUUAAGUAACUCAGAUUUUGCUUUGUGGAUGACAGUAAUGGAGGAAGAAAUUGAGGCUCUACACAAGAAUAAAACAUGGCAACUUGUACUACUACCAUUUGGAAGAAAAACCAUUGGAAAUAAAUGGGUCUACAAGGUCAAGCGUGAUGACAAUGAAUAAAUGGAGCGGUAUUGUAAAAGAUUGGUCGUAAAAGAAAAUGCUCAUAAAGAAGGAAUUGACUUCAACGAGAUAUUUUCUCCGGUGGUUCAACUCACAACAGUCAGAUUAAUCUUGGUGAUGUGUGCUACAUUUGACCUAUAUCUAAAGCAGUUAGAUGUGAAAACUGCAUUUCUUCAUGGAGAACUUGAAAAAGAAAUUUAUAUGCUCCAACCCGAAGGUUUUGCUGAAAAGGGCGGAGAGAACUUGGUUUUCAGGUUGAAAAUUUUUCUAUACGGUCUCAAACAAGUGCCAAGGUGUUGGUAUAAGAGAUUUAAUUCCUUUAUCAUGAGCUUGGAUACAACAGACUUAGUUCAAACCAUUGUGCAUAUUACAAGAGGUUUGAAGAUAAUGAUUUCAUCAUUUUGCUAUUGUACGUAGAUGACAUGUUGGUAACAGGCCCCAACAAAGAUCAAGUCUAAGAAUUAAAAGCACAGUUGGCUAGGGAGUUUGAAAUGAAGGACCAGCAAAUAAGAUUCUAGAGAUGCAAAUUUACCGAGACAGAAAUAAUAAGAAGAUUUGGCUUUCUCAGAAGAAUUACUUGAGAAAAUCUUGUGGCACUUCAACAUACAAGAUUGUAAGCCAAUUUAUACCCCACUUCCUAUUACUUUCAAGUUAUCCUCAAAUAUAUGUCCAAGCAAUGAAGCAGAGAGUAAGGAAAUGUCUCGAGUACCAUAUGCAUCAGCAAUGGAAAGUUUAAUGUUCGCUAUGAUAUGUACAAGAAUGGACAUUGCACAAGCAAUAAAAGUAGUUAGUCGACACAUGGAGAAUGCUAGUGGAGAACAUUGGAAAAUUAUGAAGAGGAUUUUGAGAUAUAUCAGAGGAACCUCAGAUGUUGCAUUAUGUUACGGAGGAUCAGAGUUUAUUGUCAGGGGCUAAAUGAAUUCAGAUUUUACAAAAGACCUUGAUAAAAGGAAAUCCACUACUGGCUAUGUGUUUACACUUGCAGAAGGAGCUAUAAGUUGGGUUUCAAAACUACAGACCGUUGCGGUUUUAUCUACAACAGAAGUAGAAUACAUGGCAGCUACACAAGCUUGCAAGGAAACUAUUUGGAUACAAAGAUUAUUGGAGGAGCUCGGACACAAAUAAGAAAUUUUUUUUGUAUUUUGUGACAGUUAGAGUGCCUUGCAAAUUGCAAGAAAUCCAGCCUUUCAUUUCAGGACAAAGCACAAGGGGUACAAUACCACUUUGUUCGAUAAGUAGUGGAAGACGAAAGUGUGGAUUUGCAGAAAAUUCAUACUAAAGAGAACCUAGCAGAUGUUUUACCAAGCCAAUCAAUGUUGACAAGUUUGUAUGGAGUAGAUUCGCUUGUGACCUAGCAGAGACAUAAGCAAUAUGACAAUCGAAGUGGGAGAAUGUCAAGAAAAUUAGCUGCCAAAUUUUAGAAGCAGCUCAUUUUGAACAAAGAAAAAUCAAAGAGGGCUGCAACAUCUUUGAAGAAGUACAAUUGGUGGCACGCGACUUUGACAUUGAAGAAGCUGAAAUGUAAGAAAAAUGGUAGUGCUGCAGAAAAUUUUGAGAAGAAAAAUAAACAAAUCUUGUGUUAUUAGUGAUUUGAGAGUUUGGGGGUAUUGAGGUUUUGGGUAGUGAGUUAAAAUACCACAAUACUUGUAAUUUAUUUUCACUAGUAAAAUAUUUUUCUUCUGUCUUCGUCCAUCGAUGUAGGCUAAAAACCGAACCAUGUAAUUUUUUGUGUCCUCUAUGUGUGGUUGCUCUUUAUUUUAUUCCAAUUCAUUUUAGCUGUAGUCCUGCUUCAGCCAUCGAUUUUCUAACAUUUCAUUCAUUCAAUCUGUAAAAAUCAUUUCCAUAAAAAUCUAAUCCAUGGAUUGAUGGAUUUGAUUAGAUUAAAUUUUUUUUAAAAUCCACAUUCAAUGAAUUAGAAAUAGAUUUGCUUCUACAAAUUUAUAAAAAUCAGCAAAUUAUAUAUAUAUAUAAAAUUUAAAAAUGUUAUACUAUUAAUAAAUAAAUAGGUUAAAAUUUAGUUAGGGUGGACAUUGACAACAAUUAAUUAUGUAAGCUUUCAAUUUUCAACUUUUUUAUUGAUUUAAUUUUAAAAUUUAAGUUAGUUUUCAUUCAUUGAUCUAAAACAUCAAGAUUUUUUCUUUUGGUGGGCUAAAGUUCGAAACUUUGAAUGGCAUCCUUAAAAAACAAAUGGUUUUUCAGAAGUGGUCGUGACGUGUCAUCACGUCCCAUCUAUCCUACACGGAAGUUGAAACCAAUUACUCCAGCGUUUUCAUAAUUUUUUUAAAGAAAGAAUAGGGAGUAAAGAUGAAAUGGUAUAUGGCUUCAAAAUUAUGCUUCUUUAGGAACGUACGUUGAUUGAUUUAACAGAUGUUGGGUGAUAUAUCGCGUUCCUAAACAAGUACUUAAACUAUUGAUUUAUUUAAUCUUUUUAAAUUUGAAUUUGAUUGGUAAUAAAAUUAUUUUUGUAUUAAAAUAUUUAUUUAAUUAUUUUAUAAAUAGAUAGAAAGAAAUUUUUUUUAAUUGAUAUCGAAUUCACAAAAGUGCAAUGGGAUAUAAAUUAUGUCAAAUCCACAUUAAAUUCUUAGAGUUAUGAAUUAAAUUUGGAUUAAUUUCAUUAAUUCAUGAAUUGGGUGAGAUUGAAAAUUUAUAACGAUUUUACACCUAUUGUCAUUUAUUAGAAUUUUUUCACAACGCGCUUUUGUAGGACGUUGUGAAAUUGAAAGCCCAUUGAAGAGUUUAUAACAACAUUCUUUCGUUUGUUGUCAAAUAUUAAAAUUAUUUUACAACACACUUUCACCAACCGUUGUUAAAUGGAAGUUUUCUGAAAUUUGUACAAAUUAUCACAAUCUACCGAUACAUUAAAAUUCAUUAUCUAUUUAGACAGUAGAUACAUACAUUUGUACUAUAUAGCCCGGAAAUCUGCUCCCACUAACUUUUGAGUUGACAUCUACCUGCCCAGUCUACUUUUUGUUGAUAAUCAUUUUGUAAUUUAUUAAUUUGUUUUCCGCAAAAGUACUUUAUAACUGUAACAAAUAGAAUUUCGAUGUUAGUCCUCAACAUUAAGAUAUUGUUUGCAACUUUGUAUGCCUUUUUUUCCUUAAACUUAGUUUGUAUAUUCUUAUUUCUCCAUAAAACAAGAUUUUAAUGUAAUAAAUAGAACUUUUAUUAGUAGAAUUGAAUUUAUGAAUUUCUUGUUAUUUCUGCGUGCAUUUAUUGUGUAGUUUAUAGAAAGACUCUUUAAAAAAUUUGUAUGCAGGAAAAAAAAAGAUAAAUAAAAAAAGAUUAUACAACAUUCAUCCGAAUGUAUGGAUGAUGUAUGUGUCUUCUGGUUCAAUAUUGACCUCGUUCGCACAGUAUGAUGUACGCCCCCCCACCCAAAAAAAAAAAGAAUAAAAUAUCUUUGUACUAUUAAGACUUAAAAAUUAAACGCUUUCAAAACUCAGAAAAAAUGAGUAAGAAAAAUCAAUCACAUGAGCUUCUUCUCUGCCUAUAUAUAUAUAUAUAUAACCUCGUACAUCACCACAAACCAUAGAUUAAUUUGAGAAUCCUUGCCAAGUAUAACUGUAAGCUAGCUUACACUACAUCUAUAUAUCCAAUGUCUUCUUGCAUUAAUCCCUCAACCUUGGCUACCUCUGUAAAUGGUUUCAAAUGUCUUCCUCUUGCAACAAAUAGAGCAGCCAUCAGAAUCAUGGCAAAAAAUAAGCCAGUCCAAUGCCUUGUCAGCGCCAAAUAUGAUAAUUUGACAGUUGAUAGGAGAUCAGCAAACUACCAACCUUCAAUUUGGGACCAUGAUUUUUUGCAGUCACUGAAUAGCAACUAUACGGUAUUGAUUAUUAUUAUUAUUAUUACGUAUAAAUUUCCUUUGUUCAUUUCAAAUUAGGACCAUGAAUAACUAAAAACUAUAUGCUGUGCAUGUACAGGAUGAAACAUACAAAAGACGAGCAGAAGAGCUGAAGGGAAAAGUGAAGACAGCGAUUAAGGAUGUAACCGAGCCUCUGGAUCAGUUGGAGCUGAUUGAUAAUUUGCAAAGACUUGGAUUGGCUUAUCAUUUUGAGCCUGAGAUUCGGAACAUAUUGCGUAAUAUCCACAACCAUAAUAAAGAUUAUAAUUGGAGAAAAGAAAAUCUGUAUGCAACCUCCCUUGAAUUCAGACUACUUAGACAACAUGGCUAUCCUGUUUCUCAAGGUACCUUUCAUUAGUUCGCUUACUUUGUCAUGCACAUGCAAGAUCCGAAUAUUUGAAUCGAUCUCUCUGUUUAUCUUAUUCAUUCCUUUUAAAUGUAAAAAAGUGGACAAAACCCAAAUCAAUUUUUUAACUCUCUAUCUCCUGAGAAAUUCGAACUCGACAAGGCCGCUGGGGACACUUAAAUCAUUCUCUAAUUAACAUAUAUGUGCAAAAGUUUUGAUGAAUAUAAUUUUUUUUUUUCGGUUGAGCACUGCAGAGGUUUUCAGUGGUUUUAAAGACGACAAGGGAGGCUUCAUUUGUGAUGAUUUCAAGGGAAUACUGAGCUUGCAUGAAGCCUCGUAUUACAGCUUAGAAGGAGAAAGCAUCAUGGAGGAGGCCUGGCAAUUCACCAGUAAGCAUCUUAAAGAAAUGAUGAUCAUCAGCAACAGCAAGGAAGAGGAUGUAUUUGUAGCAGAACAAGCGAAGCGUGCGCUGGAGCUCCCUCUGCAUUGGAAAGUGCCUAUGUUAGAGGCAAGGUGGUUCAUACACGUUUAUGAGAAAAGAGAGGACAAGAACCACCUUUUACUUGAGCUCGCUAAGUUGGAGUUUAACACUUUGCAGGCAAUUUACCAGGAAGAACUUAAAGACAUUUCAGGGUAUCUAUGCCUUGAUUGCAUAACUCAUAUAUAUUCCAAAGAUUUGAUUUUAUCGAAUAGAUAACUUGUACUAUUUAAUCAUAUGUAUAUUAAAUUAUUCUCAAGUGCAGACUCCGCCUUUUACAACAGUAUAAAGGCGCCAGCCUACACUUUAUAUAAUUGUAUAUUAAAUUAUGCCAAACGUUUGCAUUAAAGAAUCUCGAACUAGAAGAUGACUCUAUAUGUAAAUGCAUUGUAAAGCCACAAGUCAUGUGCUUUAUAAAAUGAGAAUGCUUGUAUCAGAGAAAUAUUCUUCAGAAUUCCAGACAGAAAGCUGAUUCUAUAUAUACAGAUAUAUAAAACAUUUGUCGUAAUAUUCGUUUUAAUUUUCCUAUGAAGGUGGUGGAAGGAUACAGCCCUUGGAGAGAAAUUGAGCUUUGCGAGGAACAGGUUGGUAGCGUCCUUCUUAUGGAGCAUGGGGAUCGCGUUUGAGCCUCAAUUCGCCUACUGCAGGAGAGUGCUCACAAUCUCGAUAGCCCUAAUUACAGUGAUUGAUGACAUUUAUGAUGUCUAUGGAACAUUGGAUGAACUUGAGCUAUUCACUGAUGCUGUUGAGAGGUUUGUUGGCAAAUUAAUAAUUCAACUGCUACCUAGCUGCAUGGUACUUCUCAAUUUAUUAAUAGACCGUUUAUGUGAUUUUUUUUUUUCCUUGCAGGUGGGACAUCAAUUAUGGUUUGAAGCACCUUCCGGGCUAUAUGAAAAUGUGUUUUCUUGCGCUUUACAACUUUGUUAAUGAAUUUGCUUAUUACGUUCUCAAACAACAGGAUUUUGAUAUGCUUCUGAGCAUUAAAAAUGCAGUACGUGAAAUAUUAAUUUGAUCUCUCUCCCUGUUCCUUUCCUUUGAUUUAUCCUUUUUAAAUUACGAUGUUCUUUUUUUCUCAAAAAUUAUAAACCGUAACUAGAUGUAUAUUUUCUGUGCCAUGUGCAUCAGUGGCUUGGCUUAAUACAAGCCUACUUAGUGGAGGCGAAAUGGUACCAUAGCAAGUACACACCGAAACUGGAAGAAUACUUGGAAAAUGGAUUGGUAUCAAUAACGGGCCCUUUAAUUAUAACGAUUUCAUAUCUUUCUGGUACAAAUCCAAUCAUUAAGAAGGAACUGGAAUUUCUAGAAAGUAAUCCAGAUAUAGUUCACUGGUCAUCCAAGAUUUUCCGUCUGCAAGAUGAUUUGGGAACUUCAUCGGUAUGUCUUUUUUUUUUUUUUUUAAGACGACAGAAAUUGAAUUAAUCCUCUAUAUAUGAAUUGAUUGUAUUUUUUUCCCCGAUAAUCAUCAGGACGAGAUACAGAGAGGGGAUGUUCCAAAAUCAAUCCAGUGUUACAUGCAUGAAACUGGUGCCUCGGAGGAAGUUGCUCGUGAACACAUCAAGGAUAUGAUGAGACAGAUGUGGAAGAAGGUGAAUGCAUACACAGCCGAUAAAGACUCUCCCUUGACUCGAACAACUACUGAGUUCCUCUUGAAUCUUGUGAGAAUGUCCCAUUUUAUGUAUCUACAUGGCGAUGGGCAUGGUGUUCAAAACCAAGAGACUAUCGAUGUCGGUUUUACAUUGCUUUUUCAGCCCAUUCCCUUGGAGGACAAAGACAUGGCUUUCACAGCAUCUCCUGGCACCAAAGGCUGAUGAUGAAUUAUAAUGCACGAUGCGUUGCGAAUUCCCAGAGAGUGCAGUUUCAGUUGAUGUUGGCCUCCGCUUUUCUUUCUUCUGAGGGAUCUCUUUUCGAUAAUAAAAUAAAUUCCCUCAUUCAUCAAGGUUUAUAAAUGAAAAAGAAAUGAUAUAUACAUAUAUGUUACUUUUAUUGAGAAUAAAAGUCUUCAGGAUAUGCAAAUACUUAAGUCAGGCUCAUUCUAAUUCCUACAAGAUAAUUAUUUGCUAGCUAAAACAUGAGAACGACUGAAUUUGUUCUGCAUGCAGUUAUACUUGAUUAUUCAAGGAUGGUUCAUAGCAUUUUUAGCACAAGGGAUACUUUCAGUAUCCAUGCAUACGGCAAAUCAUACUCAUGAAAAAUGGCAUUGUGCAGCUAACAGUGACAAACGCAAUCCGCAGUCUGUUAAAUGAGGAUAGAAAUAAGAGCGGUGGCAUUUAAAGAAAAAAGUUACAAGAAUCAAAAAGUAAAAAUAACCAAUUAAAAAAAAAUGAGUUCCUAAUGUGAGGAAAGAUUGAAAUGGAGAAAAACCCUAAUCCACCUAUGGCUGACGACCGUUCCACAAAGAAAGCAGAUUUAAGGCUCAAGGGGAAGAUGGUGACAAUCCUCAGCCUCCUUCCUUUCGUGAUAAACCGAUGUCAACACAAAGGGUGGAUGAAGGAGUGUUUUUUGAUAGCGGGGAAUAUUUGGCAGUUGAACCGGAAGGUGUGGUUUUUGAGUGUGCAGACAAUUUUCACUCCAUUUCUUUUUCACAGAAAAGUACAUGCUCAACUAAUGAAGCCAUGGCAAUACACGGUGGUGGUCAAGCUUUUGGGUCUUCGCAUAGGUUACCGGACGCUGUGCAACCGCUUGGAAACUAUCUGGAGCUCGACCCAAGGGUUUUCUGUAAUUGACCUUGAGAAUGAUUAUUAUAUUGUUCGUUUCAGAACAGAGAGGGAUGUGGAGUUCGCUUUGACGCAAGGCCCUUAGGCUCCGUUUGGUACAACUUAUUAAAUAGAGCUUAUAACAGUAGAGUUUAUAGCAGUAGAGCUUAUACCAAUAGAGCUUUUGGACAAAAAGUCAUUGGGUGUUUGGUUGUCAAUAAAAAAAGUACUUUUGAAUCAUUAAAUUGUGUGAUAUUUUUUAUAUUAUAUAAUUUGUGGAAAAGCUCUCUAACUUCUACUCCCAAAAUCUCAAAUUUUGGGCUUUUGCUAGUAGAGGUAAAUUAGCUUAUUUAAGCUAAAAAAACUCUACUAAAAAAAUAACCAAACACCAUAAAAAUUUUAAAAAAGUGCUUAUGCGAUUAAAUAAGCACUUAUGCCUCUUAAAUAAGCCAUACCAAAUAGGCACUUAGACUAUUCUGGGGCACUAUCUAACAGUGAAGCCAUGGACUCCCCAUUUUGAUAGUUCGGCAGCAGUGAUUGAAUAUGUUAUAGCCUGGAUCUGCUUACCAGGCAUGGCCCUACAUUACUACAAUAAGAAAAUUCUUCGAAUGUUGGGACAAAUUUUCGGGAGAGUUUUUAAAACUGAUUACAACACUGAAUCCGCAUCCAGAGACAAAUUUGGUCGUCUUGCUAUUGAAAUUGAUCCAAACAAGCCCUUAAUUUCUCAAUUUUUUCUGGAUGGCAAGCUACAAAAGGUGGAAUAUGAAGGACUCCCUAAUACUUCCUUCCUAUGUGGUAAAUAUGGCCAUAGCAAGGACAUCUGCCCUAAUCGAACGGAAGAAGAUCAUGCCUUAGGAUUCCAGCCACAUUUGGACGGAGCUAAUGAAUCUGUUGAAAUGAACUCAAACUUGGUAAACGAUUUGUCGUUUAGAGGUUUAAAAAGUCAAGUGACAUGUUGUUUCAAUUGGUCAUGGAUCCAGAACCGACAACUUCGUGCUGUCGUCCAAGAUCAUUAAACUCUCACGUGAUUAACAUAAACUUGUUUUAAAGCUUAAACGACAUGCCUUAUCGUCGUUUAAGGCAGGCUUUAAGUUGCUUGUGGUCAAGAAGUUAAGUUUGUUAGUUUUGGAGGGAAUCUUUUGGAUCUGUAACGCCAGUAGCAGCUGAUAUAUAUGUUGGUUAUGAUUUCAUCUAGAUCUAUCGAAUUGAGAGUGAUAAGGAAGCCUUAGAGAGAGUGGAACUUUUCUGAGUGUUCUCUGUAUUGGGCUUAUCAUCUAUGUAACCUUUGAAGCUUAAUAAAGUGGCUCCCUGAGUUUAUUUUCCCCGAUGAAUGUAGGCAAUGUAACAAGUGCUGAAUCACUUAAAUUGUUUUGUGUUUUUGAUUCUUUGUGUUGUUAUUCUUUGAUCUGGUGAGUGUUACGACUUGUGUUGAUUUGUUUCUUAAUCUUGGAGUCCUAACUAGAUCUAGGGGGCAAGAUCAAUUCGAUAUCAAAGGGUUUGUUUCACAACAGAAUCAUCGGUGCAGGACGUCAGGGAGGGAUAUGGGAAUUUGCCUAGGUUUGGUGGAACACCCCAAAAAUUACCCAUGAAAACACAAGGGUAAAAUUGGAAUGAAACCUCAUAUCAUUUAUUUUUAUUAAUAAAUCUCAAGAUAGACAAUCAUUAUUCAUACUCCAACUGAAUCCUUAUAUAAAACAUCUGAAAUAAAGUCUCCAAAGAAAAAUCUCUAAUCCAAAAUAAAAAGUUCAGCCAAAUUUAAUAUUUAAAGCAACUCUAAAGAUCCACUAAGAAAAAUUCUUCAUCUAAGCACCUAAGCCACAUUUCUAAUCAAAUCUGCAAAAUAUUGGAGAUGAGGAGUGAGCUGUCAACUCGGUAAGCAAAUCCAUGCACAAUAUUUGAAAACCUUUGUCAUAUAUCUUUAAACAUUUUAUAACAACAUCUUCAUUUAGCAUAAGAGGUGGAUUCAUGUAAAGUAUUAAAAACAUUAAAACAUUCAUAAAAAAGAUUAAAACAUAAAUAUUUGGUAGCUCAUGCCUCGUAGUCAUCAUCAUUCAUCAUUCAUCAUUCGUCAGUUAGGGUGUUAUACCCCGUAUUGUUCCUCAUUCAGGGUACUAUACCCCGCAUUGUUCAUAAUAUCCUUGUGCACAAGAUCAUCACCAUACCAGCAAGCUGGCCAUAACAUUACAUAACAUCAUAACAUUUGUAUUGUAUACAUUACUACGGACUAUGAGCUAAAACAUUUUUGAAUCCACCUUACAUCCUUUCAUAAAUAGCAUUUAAAGUCUUCUAAAACAUUUAAGAACCUUUCUUUGAUCAUUUAAUUCUUUUAGAAAAUUCUUUAAGAAAACAUUUUGUUUAAGAAAACUAAUUUCUUAAGAAAAAUUUAUUUUAAAACACAUUUUUAUAAAUUCAUUUAAAAGUGUUUUUAUUUUACAAAAUUCAUUUAAAUAUUUUAGAAAUCAAUUUUUCUAAAAAUCUCCAUUUAAACAUAAUUCUUAUAACAUAAAUUGCAUUUAUUAUAAAGCACAUCAUGCGUGAAUCUACUUACCUCAAUCCGCAGCAAUCAACCCAAUACCUUAAGAACAAACCAACGAGCUCACCCACGUCCUAUAAUCAUAAUAAAAAUAUCUUUAUCAAUAUAAUCUCUAACCUUAAACAUAAUCUCAAUCAUCCUUAAUUCAUAGGCACUUAUACUAGCUCAAUACUUAUUCAUAUUCUAGACAUAAGUAUGAGUAUCUUGCACAUGCUGAUUUUUAAUAACCUAUACACAUGUCGGAAAAUCAUGAAAAUUUACAGAGGCACUGUGAACAUGCAUAACAUUGCAUACAAUAUUUCACAAAGAUCAGCACAAGUCAAAAUCAAGUCAGAAUAUUGACCUUUCACCAAAGUAACAAAAUUGUCCAGCAUUGACCAAAGCAAACCUUUACCACUUAGGAAAUUCAUAAAAUAUUCUUUAGUAAUUGAAAUAAUAUGUUUCUUUUUUUCUAAUUACAGAAGACACAUUCAGAAAGCAUAUAAUUAAAAUUCAUAAUUUUUGCAUAUAAUUAAAAUUCAUAAAAUUUGGACUCCUGAAACUAUUUUAAAAUGUUUUAUUUUCCGAGAACAUUUAACCCGUCCAGAAAAUUCCAGAUUUGAAAACAGAAUUUCAAAAAUUCGUAUCUUUUAUUUUACAUGCCCAAAAAUAGUGAUUCCAGUUUUUAAAGACAGAGGAAAGAUUGAAAUUUCAUUGUAAAAUCCUAACAUGGCAUGUAAUAUUCAUAAAUUAGCCCAACUGUUACACGUCUCAGCUUCUGCAAUUCUGGAAAACAGUUUCCAGAUUUGCAGCAGCCACAUGUUACGAUUUUUAAUAAUUUAACCAUAAAGAACAAAACUACGAAAUUAAACAUGUAAGCAUAGGAGACAUAGAUCUGUUGAUACAAAAAUCGACAUAAUUUUUAAGGAUGUGUAACCUUACAGAAAAAUUUCCAGAAUUGAGAACCACUGCUGAAAAUCGGAAUUUUCCAGCACCAGUAACCCAACUUCGAAAACCCAUAACAAUUUGCAUACUCAGACGAUUUCAACACAAAACCUAUCAAUGGAAAGCUUAGGAUGUCUAGUUCCAUGAUAUUUAAGCAUAUUCACGUGAUUCUAAGUGAAGAAAACAAUUUCAAGCAAGGAAUAGAGACUGUUCAUAUCAUCACAACAUUACAAAUACACAUAUAUUAUCCAAAUCAUACUACAAGUAAUUAAAGGCAAACAAUUCAUAAAAAUAAAUCAUAUAAGUCAAAGAAAUACUUAAUACCUUAAGGCAAACACUAAGAAAAGAAGUUAUAAAACUUUCUUUUCCUGCUCCAAAGACUUAUGUUUCUUUUUUUUUUUUAAGGGUUUGUAACGGUGUAAAAAAAUAAAAGACGGCUUCUUAGCACAGGAGAUUGGAGACCGAUCAAAUUGGCUUGCAAUGGUACCCCUCUGACACAUUUGUUUUUUUGCUGAUGAGCUAUUGUUGCUUGCUGAGGCGGCAUCUGGGCAAGCCAGGGUAAUUAACACAGUCUUUGAGAAUUUUUGUAAUAGCUCUGAGGCGAAGGUUAAUAAGACCAAAACUCAAGUAUUUUUUUCAAAGAACAUUAGUGAGAAGGAGAGGAACCGUAUUGGGAAAAUGCUUGGUUUCACUAUUACUAAAGAUCUUGGCAAGUAUCUUGGCAUGCCGCUUCUUCACUCCCGGGUUUCUAAGAGUACUUACUAAGAUAUUCUUGAUAAAAUGGAACAAAGGCUCUCUGGAUGGAAUGUUUCCCACUUAUCCUUGGCUCGCCGGAUUACGAUAGCCCAAUCUAUUUUGCAAGCUCUCCCUAUUUAUGCAAUGCAGUCAACCGACCUUCCUGCCGGGAUAAAACUGAAGAUAGACCAAGCAUGCAAGCGUUUCAUAUGGAGUGGUACUGUAACUUCUCAAAAACUAAGUAUGGUAAGUUGGAAUAAUAUUUGUCAGCAUAAAAUUAAUGGCGGUUUAGGCUUCAAAAGUCUGGAUGGGAUGAAUAAGUCCUUUCUCAUGAAGGUUGGUUGGGGUAUUCUUUCAUCUCCUUCAAGUCUAUGGUCCCAGGUUUUGUCAACUAAAUAUGGGGUGGAUUUAUCUGUCCUUCCUACUGAAUUGCCGUGUAGAAAUGGCUCCCACUUGUGGUAGUCGAUUGGGAAGGUUUGGACUGACGUUCUCUCAGGUGUUGCUUGGAAUAUAGGUGAUGGCACUAAAGUCUGAUUUUGGUUUGAUCGUUGGGUGAUAAAAGAAAAACCUCUGAUUUCUGAAGCUCUUUGUCCGAUACCCAAUGACAUAAUCUACAUUGUAGUGGCUAAUUUCAUAGAUAGUAAUAGUAGUUAGUGGUGGGAGCUGUUUCAACGUUAUCUACCUAAUAACAUUAUUCUGCAGAUAGCCUCUUGUGUUCUCCCUUUAGCUCAGUGUGGAAAUGACUGCUUUUAUUGGGUGAACUCUAAAAAUGGAGAUUUUUUCGGUUAAAUCCGCCUACCAUGCCAUUAGUUCCCAACGGUAUCAAGCGGAAGACAGAAUUUGGAACUUGGUGUGGCAUUGGCAGGGGCCCCAUAAUAUGAUCGCAGUGGUGUGGGAUAUCGUGAUGAUCGUUCUAGGAGUGUCCAGCAGACUUCUUGCCCUUUAUGUGGCAGGAAUCAUUAGAGCUAGUGUCGUGUUGGAGAUAGAGUUUGUUAUUUGUGUGGUCAGUUUGGACACAUCAGGAGAUUCUGCCCUACUUUAUCUAAGGGUGAUAGCUCUGCCGGAGGGACAGCCUCACGGUAUCGGCCUUAUUCUGGCCAGACUCAGGGUCAGAAAGGAGUUCAGAUAGGAGGUUCUACAUCUACCUUUAGGAGUCAGACGACUGCUCUAGGUCAGAGAGGUUAGCCUGGUCGACCUCAUACUCAGGCUCGAGUUUUUUCUUUGACGCAGCAGGAGGCACGUGCUGCACCAGAAGUUAUUAUAGGUAUAUUAUCUAUCCUUGGCCGCGAGGCUCAAAUUCUUGUUGAUCCUGGAUCCACACACUCUUUUAUUUCUCGUACUUUUGCUAUGCACAUAGCGCGAGAGCCCGAACUGCUAGAUUGUGGUUUAGUUGUUCGUACACCUACUGGAGAGUCAUUACUUACUGAGAGUGUUUAUCGAGAUUGUAUGAUGGAAUAGGUGAACAUGAAUUUGAGGCGAGUUUGAUUUCCUUAGACAUUCAUGACUUUGAUGCUAUUUUGGGCAUGGAUUGGCUUAAAUCUCAUUAUGCUACGGUGGAUUGUUUCAAAAAGGAAGUUGUGUUUAAAGAGUCAGGGAAAACUAAAGUGAAAUUCUGUGGAGAGCGCAAAGUUCUACCUUCAUGUGUUAUAUCUUCCAUUAGUGCAAGACGAUUGUUAAGAAAAGGAUGCUCAACUUAUUCAGCUAAUGUGAUAGAUACAGAAGCUCGAGAAUUGAGAUUAGAGGAUAUUGCAGUAGUCAAAGAAUUUCCAGAUGAACUUCUUGGGAUGCCACAUAACAGGGAAGUCGAGUUUUCUAUUGAUUUAGUCCCUGGAACAUCUCCUAUAUCUAUGGCACCAUACAUGAGGGCUCUAGCAGAAUUGAAGGAACUAAAGGUUCAAUUGCAAGAGUUGGUGGAGAAAGGGUUUAUUAGACCUAGUGUGUCCCCGUGGGGAGCUCCAGUCUUGUUUGUUAAGAAAAAGGAUGGGACUUUUAUACUCUGCAUCGACUAUAGGCAAUUGAAAAAAGUUACGGUACACAAUAAGUAUCCACUUCCGCAUAUUGAUGACUUGUUUGAUCAACUCCAGGAGGCGAAGGUAUUUUCUAAGAUCAAUUUGCGCUCGGGUUACCAUCAGCUUAGAAUUAAAGAUGUCGACGUUCCUAAAACAACAUUUAAAACCCGUUAUGGGCACUAUGAGUUCUUGGUGAUGCCAUUCAGAUUGACAAAUGCUCCAGCAGCCUUUAUGGAUAUCAUGAAUAGGGUAUUUCGUCCGUACUUGGAUCGGUUUGUGAUUGUAUUCAUUGAUGAUAUCUUGGUGUAUUCCUGAAGCGAGGAGGUGUAUGCAGAGCAUUUGCGGACUAUUUUGCAGACUUUGAGAGAGAAGCAAUUAUAUGCCAAGUUCAGCAAAUGCGAGUUCUGGUUGGAUAGAGUAGUAUUUUUUGGCCAUGUGAUAUCAGCAGAAGGUAUUUAUGUUGAUUCUCAAAAGAUUGAAGUAGCUGUGAAAUGGGAACGGCCUACAAAUGUCACAGAGGUUUGGAGUUUUCUUGGAUUGGCUGGUUAUUAUCGUCGAUUUGUGGAGGGAUUCUCUAAGAUUGCUACUCCUCUGACACAGUUAACCAAAAAGAAUGCUAAGCUCCAGUGGGAUGAUAACUGUGAGAAGAGUUUUCAAGAACUUAAGACAUGUUUAACCUCAGCACCAGUUCUUACACUUUCAUCUGGUAAUGAAGGAUUUGUGGUUUAAAGUGAUACCUCUAAGGAGGGAUUGGGUUGUGUGUUGAUGCAGCAUGUGAAAGUGGUGGCUUAUGCUUCUAGACAACUUAAAAAGCAUGACCUAGAACUAGCAGCAGUGGUGUUUGCACUCAAGACAUGGAGGCAUUACUUAUAUGGGGCAACAUGUUAGAUUUUCACUAAUCAUAAAAGUCUGAAGUAUUUGUUUACUCAGAAGGAAUUGAAUUUGAGACAGAGGAGAUGGAUUGAGCUAAUUAAGGACUACGAUGCACUAUUGAUUAUCAUCUGGGCAAAGCAAAUGUGGUAGCUGAUGCACUAAGUAGAAAGUCUUCUAGCUCUAUAGUUCACUUGCAAGUGAAAUAUAUGCCUCUGUUGAUCGAGUUCAGAUCUUUGGGAGUCGAGUUAAACGCUGACGAUUGUGGAACUUUGAUAGCUAAUUUUUUAGUUAGGCCGACUUUGAUUAAUAAAGUUCACCAGAUGCAAGCUCAGGACCUAUUGUUAAUGAAGUUGAAAGAGGAUGUGCAAAAAUGUUUACGAACUGAUUUUACGGUGAGAGGCGACAAAGUCUUAGUCAUGGGUAAUAGACUCGAUGUACCUAAUAUUAAAACUAUGAAAGAAGAGAUUAUGGAAGAAGCUCACUGUUCAGCAUUUGCGAUGCAUCUUGGUAGUACGAAGAUGUACCACACCCUGAGAGAUCAUUACUGGUGGCAGGGCAUGAAGAGAGAGAUAACAGAAUUUGUUUCUCGAUGUUUAGUCUGUCAGCAGAUUAAAGCUGAACACCAGAGGCCUGUAGGGUGUUAUUAGCCGCUUCCUAUUCCUUAGUGGAAGUAGGAGCACAUCACUAUGAAUUUUGUAGCAGGACUUCCACGUACUCUGAAAGGACAUGAUCAUGUUUGGGUGGUUGUUGAUCGACUUACAAAAUCUGCUCACUUCUUACCAUUCAAAAUCACCUACUCGAUGAACAAGUUGGGGAGUAUUUAUGUGGCUGAGAUAGUUUGACUUCACGGAGUACCUGUGUCCAUAGUCUCAAAUAGAGAUUCCUGGUUUACUUCUAAGUUUUCGACCAGUUUGCAAAAUACUUUAGGUACCAAGUUGAACUUCAGUACAACUUUUCAUUCACAGACUGAUGGACAGUCAGAGCGCACUAUUCAAACUCUGGAGGAUAUGUUGCGAGCUUGUGUUAUGGAGUUUAAAGGUAAUUGAGAUAAUUAUUUACUUCUGAUGGAGUUUGCUUACAACAAUAACUAUCAAGCUAGUAUCGAGAUGGCACCAUAUGAGGCUUUGUAUGGUAGAAAAUGCAGGACUCCAGUAUGUUAGGAUGAGGUUGGUGAGCGGAGGUUACUCGGUCCAGAACUUGUCCAGGAUACUAACGAGAAGAUACAAUUGAUCCGGGAUAGAUUAAAGGUGGCCCAAGAUAGACAAAAGAGCUAUGCAGACAAGCGUAGGGGGGAACUUGAAUUCCAAGUUUGUGAUAGAGUUUUCAUACGGAUAUCUCCUUGGAAAGGGGUGCUUUGAUUUGGGAAACGUGGGAAGCUAAGCCCAGGUUACAUUGGGCCAUAUGAGAUCAUUGAGCGCAUCGGUCCGUUAGUUUAUCGAUUAGCUCUACCACCCGAGUUAUCCAGAAUCCACGAUGUGUUUCACGUCUCAAUGCCCCAUAAGUACAUAUAUGACCCGAGUCAUGUGUUAUCAAAGCAACUAAUUCAGUUGAAGGAAGAUUUAACUUACGAAGAGGAACCAAUGGAGAUACUGGAAGAGAAACACCAAGUUCUACAUUCUAAGACCAUUCCUCUAGUAAAAGUACGGUGGAGGAAUCAUACAAAGGAAGAGGCUACCUGGAAACAUGAGGACUUAAUGCGAGCUCAAUAUCCCUAUAUUUUCUUAUUAGGUACAUAAAUUUCGAGGAUGAAAUUUUUAUAAGAGGGGAUGAUUGCAACAAAUGUGAAUUAAAAAUGAAUAAGUAUGAGGUGGUAAAGAAGUUAGUAAAAACAAAAGAAUAAGCUGGAAACAGAGGAAACAUAUGCACGUGUAACAGAGAGUGAGAGAGAAGGUGCCAAACCGACCCAACUACAGACCCACCUUGACCCGGUCACAUCUCCCAUUUCCGGCCACCGUUUCGGCCGAGUUUAGUACCAAUCUGAAAACCCGCGACUGUUUCAUUUUGUUCCGCCAGGAUUUUCGCCGGUUUUGGGUGACACGACCAGUUGAAUUUUGUUCCUCAUGACUCCCUCUUCCAUUUUCAACCGUCCAUAGCCACUGAAAGUCACUGUUUUGCCACUGGUCAAUUAUUGGAAUUCAGGGCUAUUGAGCUAGAUUCCGGCCUCGUUACCGUGCGUUGGAGCUCACUGCUGGUACCAUUGAACUCAACGUGAUUGGAACUUUCAGAAUUGAGCUUCCCGGCCAGCGUUGACCAAACUCCGGUGACCGUUGACCGGCAAGGGCAUUUCGGUAAUUUCACACGCCGAGGGAAAUUUUGUAAUUUCUGAGCCUAUGGAUAUUUUAGUAAUUCCUAGAAUUGAGGAUUUGGUGUAAUUACGAUUCCGAGGUUAAUUCGGUGAUUUACAAUUUCUGAGUAUUUUAAUGAUUUACGGACUCGAGGGCAUUUUAGUAAUUUUAUCGACACGGGAGUUGUAAAUUAUGGAUAGAUGUUCGUUUCGAGUUUAUUGCAUAAAUUUAGUCGUAAUUUCGAUUUACGAAAAAUAAUUAUGUCGUUUCCUUGAUUUAAGAGGAUCCGCGAGCGAUAAUCGGUCCACGGACAUUGACGAUAACCAAGCGCGAACACUGCACUGUGAGUGGAAUAUGCAAAACCUAUUUUCGUAGUUAAUUAUGAUAGUAAAAUAUGUUUACGAAAUAAGUAUUUUUAAUGUUCUGAUUUAAUGAUUUCCUCGAAAUGGAUUUUAUACAUGCAUUGAUAUUAUUUUAAAAUGUUUGGUCAAUGAUUUUCCGUGUCGACUUUGAAUGAAAUAUGAUAGUAUUUUAAAGAUGAGAAAAGUGGAUUUAGAUGUGAUAAUGAAAAGAAAUGUAUGAUUUAAAGUAUGAUUAGAAUAUACAUGAAUAUAAGUAUAGAGAUUGUUUUUAAAAUCAUUCGACAGUACCCUUCCCCUCCAGAUACAGUGAUACAGAUGAGAUAAGAUGAGAGGCCUUUAGAGCCCGUCUGAGCACACAUAGAGGCUUUGGGCUGUGUGUUUGGGUGUUUCUGCCUUUUGGGGGCAUAUGCAUACGGUAUGAUGAUUACAGAGAUACAAAUAUGAGAUACAGACAGAUAUUGAGAUACAGAUGAUAAAUAUGAGAUACAAGCCUUUGGGGCCCGUCUGAGUACACACAGAGGCUUUGGGCCGUGUGCUUGGCGCUUUUGUCCUUUAGGGACUGGAUUAUGCAUGCACAGAUAUGAUGAGUUAUGAGAUGAUACUUCCCUAUCUAUCCGUGUAGCUAAGGAGCGUGACGGUACCCAGAUACGUCAUUACCCGUCCGUUGAGGUCCGGAUAUGAUGAAAUUAUUUCCCUGGGCACUUGUUUGGUGAUGAUUUUCAUUCUUGUGUAUUCUAUAUGAUAUUGUGAUAUGAUUUCCAUGAUUAUUACUGUUGUAGAAUUUCUCAAGAUCCACUGUUGUUAAACAACCAAGCUGAGCUAUCGAACCCAAUCGAUCAAGAUCAACCUUUUUUUUACCAAGAAAGUUAACUAGCUCAUUGCAAGUAAUAACCAGAAAAGAAAGAAGAUGAACAAGAAAACAAUGCACACAGUAUAACGUGGUUCAGUACCAAAGUACCUACAUCCACGACCAAAUAAACCCUUCUGGGCUUGAAGCUUUUAUUUAACAAAGUGUUUACAAUGAGAGUAUUGAUGACAAAGAUUAAAUCUCUCAUACAGAGAAUUUUCUAUCUCUCACCCUAGCUCUCUCAAAAUCGUGACUUAACCAUCCAUCUGAUCAGCCCUGAACUAUGUAUAUAUGUAUAGCUCUAUUGUCCAGCUGUUAGCAGUAACAAAUUUAACUAACCCUGGCCCCACACAAAUGCUGAGUCAGCACGCCACUUAGUCACAUAACAGAAUUAACUAAUCAAGCUUCACAAAUAUCCACCUUAGUUGAUUCUGUCCCAGCUUCACCCAGCUCUGGUUCAGAUGGUUAAUAUGCUUGACUUAUAAGCUUCUAACUCCAAUCAAGUUCAGAGAGUUUCUGAACUUGACUGUUGGUAUUGGUUUUGUCAGUGCAUCUGCUGGAUUGUCUUCAGUAGAGAUCUUUACAACAUCCACUACUCCUCUUUCAAUUUCCUCUCUUAUGAAAUGUAGCCUCAAAUCCACAUGCUUGGUCCUCUCAUGAUAUUUGGAGUUUCUGCUCAACUGAAUUGCACUUGAGCUGUCACAAUAGAUGGGAAUUGUAUCCUGAAUCAAACCCAAUUCAGAUAUAAUCCCUCUGAUCCACUUAGCUUCUUUAAAAGCUUCAGUAAGUGCAAUGUACUCAACUUCAGUAGUUGAUAAGGCAACAACUGAUUGCAGUGAUGCUUUCCAACUUACAGCUCCUCCACACAUGGUAAAAACAAAGCCAGUAGUAGACCUUCUUUUGUCUAAGUCACCAGCAAAGUCUGAGUCCACAUAGCCAAUGACUUUACUUGUGACAUUGUUAUCUCUACUAAACAAAAUACCAGAAUCAGAUGAACCACUCAGAUACCUAAGUAUCCACUUAGCAGCACUCCAAUGCAUUUUGCCUGGGUUCUCCAUGAAUCUGCUAACUACUCAUACCCCGUAAGCAAUAUCAGGCCUAGAGCACACCAUGGCAUACAUAAUGCUUCCAACCACACUAGAGUAAGGAAUUUUCUUCAUAUGCUUAAUAUAUGCAUCAUCGGAUGGUUCUUGCUGUUUUGACAGCUUGAAGUGUGUGCCUAAAGGGGUGGAAACUGCUUUAGAGGUAACCAUGUCAAACUUGCCAAGCACCCUUUUGACAUAACCAGCUUGUGAGAGAAAUAGAGUCUUUGCAGCUCUAUCCCUUUUGACCUGCAUUCUUAGAAUCUUACUGGCAGAGCCUAGGUCCUUCAUCUCAAAUUCAGCCCUUAGCUCAGUUUUAAGCUUUUCUAUUUCUUCUAUGUGCUUGCAUGCAAUGAGCAUGUCAUCAACAUAGAGAAGCAAAUAAAUCCCAUCUCCAGAAGGUAGGAACUUGCAGUAUACACAGCUAUCAUAUUGACUUCUCAAGUAACCAUGAGCAAUAAUAAAUUGGUCAAACCUCAAAUACCACUGCCUGUGGGAUUGCUUUAAACCAUAUAAGCUCUUCUUAAGCAAACACACCAUGUCUUCUGACUCCCUUUGUAUGAAGCCUUCUGGCUGUUCCAUGUAUAUCUCUUCUUCAAGAUUGCCAUGUAGGAAGGCUGUUUUGACAUCCAUUUGAUCCAGCUCCAGAUCAUGGUGGGUUGUAAUUGCAAGCAACACUCUUAUUGAGCUAUACUUGACAACUGGUGAAAAGACUUCACUAUAAUCUAUCCCUUCUCUUUGUGUAAAGCCCUUUGCCACCAGCCUAGCCUUAUAUCUAGGGUGUUCUACACUUGUAACUCCAUCUUUAAGUUUGAAAAUCCACUUACACCCAACCAGCUUCCUAUCUUCUGGUUUUCUCACCAAAAUCCAGGUGUUGUUUUUCUUCAAUGAGGAUAUUUCUUCUUCCAUUACUGACAGCCACUUUGAUUUAUCCCUGCUGUUCAUGGCUUGCUUAUAGCUGCUGGGUUCCUCCCCAAUAACUUCUUCAGCAACAUUCAGUGCAUAUGAUAUCAAAUCUGCUAUGCCAAAUCUCUUAGGCAUUUUGAUAACCCUCCUUUCUCUGUCUCUUGCCAGCUGGUAGUUAUCCAUUUCUGAGGAUCUAGUUUUACUGUCACAAGACUUGGACUCUUCAUUAGUGUCCUUGUGAUCAUCAGUAAGCUCCACCUCCAGGUUAAGCUUAUGGUUGGCCUUUUGCUCAUAAAUUGUCAGUUCUGUUUCAACCUUUUGCUGGAGCAGGGAACCCUCAUCAAAUACAACAUCCCUGCUUACUAUAAUCCUUGAAGGUUUCCCAUCAAUGCACGAUAUUCUAUAUCCCUUAACACCUUCAGGGUAACCAAUAAAGAUACCCUUAAUUGCCCUAGGUUCCAGCUUUCCUUGGUUGAUAUGAGCAUAUGCUGGUGAGCCAAAGAUUCUCAUAUUGCUUAGAUCAGGGGGUUUUCCAUACCAAACCUCUUAUGGAGUUCUGAAGUUGAGUGCUGAUGAGGGACUUCUAUUUAUCAAGUAUGCUGCUGUGGUGACAGCUUCAGCCCAAAAAUGUUUUGAGAGGUUUGCACUAAACAACAUGCAUCUCACCUUUUCCACUAAUGUUCUAUUCACCCUCUCAGCAAGUCCAUUUUACUGGGGUGUGUGUCUAACAGUCUUGUGCCUUGCAAUUCCCUUCUCUCUGCAGAACUCAUCAAACUCUUUACUACAAUACUCCAACCCAUUAUCAGUCCUUAGUCUCUUUACUUUCCUGUCAGUUUGGUUUUCAAUUAAGGUCAACCAUUCCUUAAACUUUAGUAGAGCUUCACUCUUAUGCUUUAAGAUAUAAACCCAAACCUUCCUGGUAUAGUCAUCAAUCAAUGUCAUGAAGUACCUAGCUCCACCAUGUGAUAGCACUUGAGAUGGACCUCAUAAAUCUGAAUGUAUAUAAUCUAUUGAAUUAUUGGUUUCUUGCUUCCCAGUCCCAAACCUCUAUCGAGUUGCCUUUCCAAACACACAUUUUUCACAGAACUCAAGAGAUGAAAUCUGACCAGAACCAAUUAGACCUUGUUUGCCUAAUUCUUUCAACCCCUUUUCACUCAUGUGAGCUAAUCUCAUGUGCCAUAAUUUUGUUUUAUCUCUGCUGACAGAGGCUAUAACUCCUGGAGAGGAAGGGGAGCCUAUUAGGACAUAUAACCCAUUUCUUCUGAUUCCCUUCAUUAUAACUAUGCCAUUUUUAGUAACUUGGAGUUCACCAUUUCUGCCUUAAUGCUACAGCUUGACUGGUCAACAGUCCCUAAGGAUAUUAGAUUCCUCCUAAGCUCUGGAACAUGUCUCAAAUUCCUUAGCUCUCUAUCUACCCCAUCAUGUAUAGUUAUGGUAACAGUUCCAAUUCCAGUAACUUUACAGGCCAGGUUAUUUCCCAAUAAAACCUUACCUGUAUCAACUUUCUCAAAAGUCUUGAAGAGUUGCUUGUUUGGGCUCAUGUGGAAGGAGCAACCUGAGUCCAAGAUCCAUUCUUCAGUGGGUUGUCUUUUUGCAGCUACGAGUACAUCUGCACCUUCUGAAUCCCAUUCAUCUUCUGAUGCAAUGGCUGCCUUCCCUGAUGAUUCUUUCUAGAUCUUUUCAAGUUUCUUCUUCUCGAAACAGUCCUUUAUAUAAUGCUCUUCCCUCUGACAGAAAUAACACUUUCUCUUUUUCUUUUUCUUGUCAGCUUUAUCCUUCUUAUUGUUACUUUUCUUGUCAUGAUUCUUCUUCUUUUCAGGUUUUGAUUUGGCUAUCAGGCGUUCACCAAGGCCCUGAUCUUUUCCCUCAGCUCUUUUCUUUAAAUCUUUUGAUUCCAGAGCAUUCUUCACAUCUUUUAACGUAAGGGUUUGUCUCCCAUACAGUAAUGUGUCAACAAAGUGCUCAUAUGAAUCUGGCAGUGAGCUUAACAAGAUAAGAGCUAUGUCUUCAUCUUCAAGAUUUACAUUAACAUUCUCAAGAUCCAGGAUUAGCUUGUUGAAUUCAUCGAGAUGGUCUUUCAUGGCUGUUCCCUCCUUCAUUGAGAAUGUAUACAACUUCCUUUUCAUAUAGAGUCUCUUGGCCAAAGACUUCUUCAAGAAUAGUUCUUCAAGUUUCGAUCAGAGGCUAGAUGCAGAUUUUUCUUUAGCAACCUCUCUCAGCACUUCAUCUGACAGAUGCAAGAUUAUGGUGCUGUGAGCUUUGUUGUUAAUGGACCUUAUGUCUCCACCCAAGCUUGAGGAGCCUUCUGAUUUCUCUUUCUUGCCAAUUUGAUCUUCUUCAUUUUCAAGAGCACUGUCAAGCCCCCGUUGGAUCAAGAUUGCACGCAUCUUGAGACUCCAUAGAUAGAAGUCAUUUUCUCUGUUGAAUUUUUCUACAUCGAAUCUUGUACUAGCCAUUUGCGAACAAGAACUGAGAGCUUUUAGAGCUCUGAUACCAGUUUGUUGUGGAAUUUCUCAAGAUCCACUGUUGUUAAACAACCAAGCUGAGCUAUCGAACCCAAUCAAUCAAGAUCAACCUUUCUUUUACCAAGAAAGUUAACCAGCUCAAUGCAAGUAAUAACUAGAAAAGAAAGAAGAUGAACAAGAAAACAAUGCACACAGUAUAACGUGGUUCAGUACCAAAGUACCUACAUCCACGACCAAAUAAACCCCUCUGGGCUUGAAGCUUUUAUUUAAUAAAGUGUUUACAAUGAGAGUAUUGAUGACAAAGAUUAAAUCUCUCCUAUAGAGAAUUUUCUAUCUCUCACCCUAGCUCUCUCAAAAUCGUGACUUAACCAUCCAUCUGAUCAGCCCUGAACUAUGUAUAUAUAUAUAGCUCUGUUGUCCAGCUGUUAGCAGUAACAAAUUUAACUAACACUGGCCCCACACAAAUGCUGAGUCAGCACGCCACUUAGUCACAUAACAGAAUUAACUAAUCAAGCUUCACAAUUACGUAUGAUCAUUAUAUAUGCUUUUCAUGGUUAGUAAUAUGAUUUAAAUGUUAAAUGAUUUAUUACUAGUUUCUCGCAUAUGGUUUGAUGAAAUCGUGUUUGGAAAUGAUAUGAUUAUUUCUUUUAAAGUAAGAAUUAAUUUUAAAAAACUACUAUCCACUCAUUGAUCUCAUUGAGUUUUAAACUCACCCCAUUUUUAUUAUAUUUUUCCCCUCACUAGGAGGUUGCAGGUACACCAGACUGACCCAGCGACUGUAAAUAUAUUUUGAGUCUUGGCCACGUGAUGGUGUUAGAGGAUAUAGAUGUUUUUUAUAGGACAUCUCAGUUAUCUUGUUCUUUUGGGAUUGUAUAAUUUUAUUAUAUUAUUCUUUUGGAGAUUAAGAAUAAACUGAGAUAUCAAUAUUAGUUAUAAUAUUAUCUUUUGAGAUUCUUGAGAUAUAAAAUUCAGCAUUUUGGUUGAGGGUAUUGAUCACUGGAGUUUGUUGUAUAUUGAAUUAUAUUGGGAGUGUUAUAUUCAUAGUUGUAGAUUAGGAGUGAUAUAUAUAUAAAGGAGACUCUGCCAAAUUUUUGACAGAAUCCUUACUAAUUAGAUUAUUAUCAAGUCCGUUUUGAUGAGACUAGAGUGACUAGCCCGAGGGAUUCGGGGCGGGUCGUUUCAUUUAUCUUCAUCGUUUCCAACAACAACAGUCAGCAACUCGGCUUCUGCAACAGCAACAGCGAGAGUCGUUGUCAAAGAACAAAUUCACACUGAACCAGCACAAAAAUCACCACCGGCAGCCACAGCUGCUGCUCGAGGAAAGCACCAAUCCAGUUCCUAGUUGGCAAGAAAAUAUGCCAUUCUUGAAGUUCAACAAUCAUCUGACCUCACUUCCUCUCUCGAGAGGUCUUGUUUUGUCAUUUCGAUGGAUACCUAUUUGUUGUUUCUUUUAUUUUUUUGGUUGAGUGUUGACCCUUGAUGAUUAUCUCAACUGGGUUUCUAUUUUUUUCAACUAAUUUAGUGACAAAGUUAGGACUUUUCUUUUUUUUCUGAAUUUGUUUUCUGAGGUGUGUCGAUUUUGAUUAUACUUGACAUUGAGUUGCUGCGACUUCUAAUCCACAAUUAGUGUCGAAUAGAAAGAAUCAUUGGGUGGAUAGUUGAUAAAUAGUAAUUUCCCAUCAAUAAGUAAAAAGGUGAAUGUAUAUCAAACAGUUUAGUUGCAGUACUUUUCUAGUCGAAUAGAGCAGGACUAUUGCUGACUUACCCUUCAUUUUCUUAUAUGUAUGUUGUAUUUUGCAAAUUUGUUUUUGGAUGCUGACACUAUUGCAAUUUACAUGCUGACUUCGCUUUGGUUAGAAAACCUUGAUUCCUUUGCAAUGUUCAAUGCCAUUUAGUUUUGAGCCUAAAGUGAUUAGUAUGUUGUUUAUAAUGUUCUAUAUUAAUCGAAACAUGAGAGUUACAGUGUUAAUUUUGGAGGUCAACAAUGACUUUCCAAUGAACAAGUUGGCUAGCAGUCACAUUGCAUAAGCACUAUAGUAUAGUUUGAAUAAGAAGAAUAAAAUAAUCGUAAUUUCAUUGAGUACCUCUCUUUUCUUGACUGCAUUCCUCGUUGGAAAAGUUUGUUAGAUGGAAAUUCUGGUUGUCUUUUAGACUUAAGUUUUAGUGACAAUACAUUUGGUGAAAAUUUUUUUACUUCAUGACAUCAUCUUGAAGUUUUGUUGUUAUGGAGACAAAUAUGUAGCUCAAUUAGCUUGGCAUUAUAAGAUAAAUGUACUUCUUUGCAGAUUAGAAGGGAUAUUAAAGGUGCCAGACUUGAAUGCUAUUUUGCGACAUUUUGGGGAUCUUGGCCGAGGGCAGGAUGUUUUGGAGGUCCUACUACUUUCCUUUUGUUUUGUUUAUCUUUUGUGCACGCCAUUGAUAUUUUUGAUGGUAAAACCUGUUGAGUUUAUUUGUUUACAUUUCUUUAUUCAAAUGCAUGUUCAAUUCCUGAUUUAUUAUUAGUUGGGUUUGCUUACUGAUUAAAUAUCAAUUUUUUGGUCCUGUGUAUGUACCUUUUUUAAUGAUCAUUUUGUACCCAAUUAAGUGUUCUUUCUUAAAUGGAGAUCCCAUUUUGGUAAAACAAAAGCUGUUUCUGUUUUUUAUACAAAUCUCUGCCUUAUGAUUCAAAAAAAUGUAGACACUCCAAGAGAAAUAAGGUUAGCUGAAUAUGGGUGGGAGGAUUAUCUAUAUCCUUCUUCAAUAUUUGUUCAUUACACUUUCCUGAGUGAGCUUUCGCUGGAGAAUCCUCAUUUUUAUAGAUUCUAUAUUUGUUAAUUGCUUGAUUGCAAAAAGUUAUUCUGUAUUAGUAUACAAAAACUACUUUAUGCAUUUGUUUUUGUUUUUAUUAUUAACUUGUUCAAAUUAUGGUUUUGAAAUUAGCCUAUUUCAUUUCAGCUAUAGGGAAGAUCAUUCUCAAAACAGUAAUUGAUUUGCAAUUUAUCAUAAAUAUCAUUCUGAUAAUUUAGUAUGGUUUGUUACGACGGCAUCAACCCAAUUUAUGGCUUGCUACCACAUGAAGUAUCCCAAAAUGCUUCUAUUCUCUUUCCGUCCUAUGUGAACAAUGGUUUACUGAUGCUAAUAAGUACUAUUUUUUUAAUACUUUGUGCUUGGUGUUUCUGCAGCUCUUUGAGUGGAUGCAACAACAUGGCAAGACUAGUAUUUCUUCUUAUAGCAGUUAUAUCAAGUUCCUUGGGAAAAAAGGCAAUUCCCUUAAGGCUCUAGAAAUCUACAAUAGCAUUACAGAUGAAUCGGACAAAGUUAAUGUCUUUAUAUGUAAUUUGAUUCUCAGUUGUCUAGUCAGGAAUGGAAAGUUUGAGAGCAGCCUCAAACUGUUUGAUAAAAUGAAGCAGAGUGGUCUGACACCAGAUGCUGUUACUUAUAAUACGGUAUACCAAUCUGAUCACAUUACAUGGAUUUGAGGAUGUUAAAUGUUUGUUCGAAGUUGAGUUCAGUCAGGCAAAUGAUUAUAAAAUUCUGCCUUUUGUAUGACACUCGGUGUUGUAGUUGACAUGUAAGUUGCACAGUCUUUGAGUGACAGCUUUGUUGAACAACGGGUUUGACACAAGUGAAAGAGUCAACUUUUAUAUGCAUGUAAUAUUCUUUUUCUUUUCUAUGGUUACAUAAUCCAUAUUGUGAAUCUGAUUUGCUAUUUUAUUUUUGAAAGUUCUUCUAAAGUGUGAAUAAGCCAGAGAAAGACAGAAUAAAUGGAUUUGACAUAGAUUUAGAAGAAAUAAAUGUGCUGCCGUGGAAUAGCAUCAAGCUUUGUUGGAAUGAAGUGCCAAGAUCAUUUUCUAACAAAAUGCCAGAGUCUUUUUAACUGUUCUUUAUUACAUUUUUCUUUUGUCUUCCAUAGCUGCUUACAGGUUGCAUUAAGGAUAAAAAUGGCUAUUCUAAAGCAUUAGAGCUGGUUCAGGAACUUAAGUAUAAUGGAGCGCAGAUGGAUGGCGUGAUGUAUGGGAUACUUUUGGCUAUUUGUGCUUCAAAUAAUCUAUGUGCCGAAGCUCAGAGCUAUUUUAACCAGAUGAAAGUUAAAGGCCAUCCUCCUAACGUAUAUCACUAUAGCUCUUUGCUUAAUGCUUACUCCUCUGGUGGAGACUACACGAAGGCCGAUGAAUUAAUUCAGGAUAUGAAAUCUUCAGGGUUAGUACCGAAUAAGGUUUGUUUCAUGUUUAUAUGGCCAUUCUAGUUUCAGGAGUUACUAGGCAUUACUUAACAAUUGAGUUUUGCUCAUCUUGAAAUAGGAAAGAUUGAAAAUCGAUGUAUACAUGUGAAUUUGGUAGAAUAGAGAAUUUGUACUGAAUUUCAAAUGACAAAAGAACACAGUUAUGAUACAUAGUUAUCAUGGUGAAUUGAGGCUUAUCGAACCGUAUUCUGUCUAUGCUUUCAAAAUCAAGUGUAAUUGUUUUGGUGCAGCAAAAAUGUAUUAGUAUUAUGGUACAUGGAUGCUAUCCUGAUUAGGGGAUUUCAGUGAUUAGUUGGUUUGUUUGGCCUUUUUCAGUGGAAGCAAGAAGUUAAGGGAACAAGUCUAAAGGGAUACUUCAUAUUUGGGUUGAAACGGAACUAUAAAAGAAUAAAAACGCACCAUGGGGGUUUGGAUUUCAUGCUAUAAGAGAUUAUUGUAAAGGAAUGAAUUGGUGCUUUUCAAUAUAUGCCAAAUCUAUUUUCAUGGGUAUCUAGGUCAAAAUAGCACAUAAAGUAGUGAGUUUCUUGUUAUCUCUUUUCUUUUUGUUCUGUGCAUUUUCAAUAAUUUGCUUUGUAAACACGUGUGUUGGCAAUUGUGUGCUUUUCUUAUGUUUUGUUUUUUAGGGUAAAUCAUUCUUUUUGCAGGUAAUACUGACAACAUUGCUGAAGGUAUACGUCAGAGGAGGUUUGUUUGAAAAAUCAAGGGAACUAUUAGCUGAACUGGACACUUUAGGCUAUGCUGAAAAUGAGGUACAUUGAUGAAUUUUUACCUUUCAUAUGUAUGUUGAAAUAUCAAUCUUGUUGAAGAUAUGAUAUGUAGUUUUAAUAUUGUGUUUCAGAGUAGAAUGUGUUAUUUAUUACCUUCAGGAUCAUAGCAGAUCUGACACCGGACACAAUAGAUGGGAAAACACAAUGUCACACACCCAAGAAAUAACAAGCUCAAAACCACAGCAAAAAAUUCACCACCUAAAGUUGUUAAGCUAAGGAUACAGGGCUUAAAAUACUCACCACUCAAUGGAAUCCACCAAAGUGAUACAGAGUUUGAUAAUAACUCAAAGUUCAUCCAAUCCCCAAAAUUAAUCUCUAUCCUUUGGUUACAACUACAUAAGCUUAAAUAACUUUCUUGGAACAAUCCUCCAAGCAUAGAUAUACAACAAAGAAACCCUCCAAAUGACUUGACUUCAAAGACCAACAUUAAAGCUAGACAUUAAUAGAACAUUGGUAUGCUUAAAACACAGCAAAGAGCAUUAAAAAAAGUCCAAGUCCAGAAAUAUUCUUCUUGACUCAAAACUGAACAGCCUGCACUUAACUGAUCAUAACUUACUGUACAAAGCUCGAAAUUUGUAUUAGUAAAAUUCAUUGGAAAGCUAACAGAAAUAUCUUUCCAAUGAUGUAUGACUGGAAAAUUAGUUCAAUCUCAUGCAGUACAGUUUAAUUCCCAAAGAUGCCCCUUCUGCACAGAAAUUCUACUCACUUGAUUAAUGUAAGAACUUGAACUGCACUUGGUAUAACUUGAAUACCAAAUAUUUCAAACACCCCUGUGUUAAUCUCCCCUAGUUGAAAAAAAUUCAACCUCGAGUUUUGAUCAUUUUCUUCAUGAUAAGGAGACAAGUCUGAUAUGUUGAAUGUUGAUGAAACACCAUAGCCAUCUGGUAGCUCAAUCUUGUACACAUUAUCACCAAUGCGUUGCAACACUUUAAAAGGUCAUUCAGCCCUUGGUCUAAGCUUAGCAUACUUCCUAGGUGGAAAACGAUCUUUUCUAAGAUGAACCCAAACCAAAUUUCCUUCCUGAAACUUAGCAUUUCUUCGAUGCUUGUCUACAGAUUUUUUAUACUUCUCAUUUUGCUUCAAUAUUCUAUCUCGAACCUGUUCAUGCAUCUUCUCGAUACUUUUAGAGCGUUCUUCAGCCUCUCCACUAAAUUGAUGAUCAGUCAAAAAGUGGAGCCAAAUCCAAAGGACUAAUUGGAUUCUUGCCAUAAACUACUUCAAAGGGACUUGAACCAGUAGUUUGAUGUAUGGAGUGAUUGUAAACAAAUUCAAUCUAAGGCAAAAUAAGAUGCCAUUGACGAAUGUUCUUGCCCACAUAACUUCUCAAGAGAUUUCCCAAGCUUCGAUUCGUCACUUCAGUCUGACCGUCAGUUUGAGGAUGAUGAGAAGAGCUGAAUUUAAGAGUGGUUCCCAACUUCUUCCAAAGAGUGUGCCAAAAGUGACUCAAAAACUUUGAAUCCCGAUCAGAGACAAUGGUUUUUAGAAUUCCAUGUAGCUUCACAAUCUCCUUGAAGUACAAAUCAGCCACAUAAGAGGCAUCCAAUGUCUUGUUACAUAGAACAAAAUGAGCCAUUUUUUAGAAUUGAUCAACCACCACCAUGAUAGAGUCUUUGUUUCUUUGAGUUCUUGGCAACCCAACAACAAAGUCUAGACUAACAUCUUCCCAGGGAGCUUCAGGGACUGGUAAAGGAUUGUAUAGGCCUGUGUUUUAACCAUGAGCUUUGGCAAUAUGACAGAUUUUACACCUCUGCACAUGAUGCACAACAUCUUUAUCCAUAUUUGGCUAAUAGAAAUUACCUUGCAAGCAAGCUAACGUCUUAUCCUUUCCAAAGUGACCUCCAACAGCACUGCCAUGUGCCUCCAUGAUAAUAGAUUCCCGCAAAGAACACUGAGGAAUACAUAAACAAUUCCCCUUGAAAAGAAAGCCAUCAUGCAAUUGGUACUGAUCAUAUGAUCCAUUCUCACAUUCUCUCCAAAUCUUACCAAAGAAAGAAUCAUCUUUGUAUAGCUCUUUUAAAAUUUCAAAGCCUACAACCUUCACUUGCAUAGAAGAAAGCAAGGAAUUUUUUCGACUUAAAGCAUUAGCCACAACAUUUUGAGCACCCGAUUUAUACUUGAUGGUAAAAUUGUAAGCUUGAAGAAACUCCACCCAUCCGACAUGUUUUCUACUAAGCUUUUGUUGACUAUUGAUAAACUUUAGUGCAUCAUGGUCGGAGAAGAGAAUAAAUGGCCUUGAAAGCAAAUAUUGACUCCAAUGGUUCAAAGCUCGGCAAAUAGCAUACAAUUCUUUGUCAUAAGUUGAGUACUUUCUGCAAGAGUCAUUCAAUUUUUCACUAAAGAAAGCGAUUGGUUUCCUUUCUUGCCUAUGUACAGCACCAAUUCCAGUAUUAAAGGCAUGACACUCAACUUCAAAUACCUUGCUGAAAUAUGGAAGUGAAAGAACAUGCGCUUCAAUCACCUUUCUCUUGAUGAUUUCAAAACUCUCUUGUGCUUCUUUAGUCCAUUUGAAACCUUCUCCUUUCAAGCAUUCAGUUACUGGAGCAACAAUUGUACUGAACCCUCUGAUAAAUCGUCGAUAAAAAGAAGUAAGACCAUGGAAACUUUGGAUUUCAUGUAGCGACUUAGGAAUUGGCCAGCUCAAAAUGGCCUCCACCUUGCUUGGAUCCAUUUUAAUUCUAUCUUUCGAUACAACAUAACCCAAAAAGACAAGGCUAUCAGUAAAGAACCUGCACUUUUUCAAGUUGACAUAAAGCUUUUGAUUUCUGAAAAUCUCAAAGACUUGGCGAAGAUGCUCUUAGUGUUGUUUUUCAUCUUGGCUAUACACAAGCAUGUCAUCAAAACACACAACAACAGAUCUACCAAUCAGAGGCUUAAAAACGUGAUUCAUCAGCCGCAUGAAAGUGCUUAGGGCAUUAGAUAGACCAAAUGGCAUAACCAUCCAUUCAUAAAGUCCAUCCCUUGUUUUGAAGGCCGUUUUCCAUUCGUCACCAGGCCUCAUUCUUAUUUGAUGAUAGCCACUUUGAAGAUCGAUCUUAGAAAAGAUUGUAGCACCAUAGAGCUGGUCUAGAAGAUUGUCAAGGCAUGGAAAAGGGAAACGAUAAUCAAUCGUUAUCUUAUUCACUACUCUGCUAUCAACACACAUACGCCAAGAUCCAUAUUUUUUUUGUACCAAUAAGGCAAGAACAGCACAAGGACUUUUGCUUUCUCUCACCAACCCUUUCCUUAAAAGCUCUUCAAUUUGCCUCUAUAAUUCUUCGUUCUCCUUUGGAUUCAUUCGAUAAGCCGCUUUAUUUGGUAGUACAUAACCCGAAAUAAGAUCAAUGCAAUGUUGAAUCUCCCUCAUGGGAGGAAGGCCAUGUGGUAAUUCUUCUAUAACAACAUCUGAGAAUUCUUCGAGAAAAUAUGUAACGACCUGCCCCAACCUCCAUAGGGCGAAUCUUACUGAUAGAUCCUUUUACAAUCCAUAAAAAUUAUAUCCUUGAAAAUACAAAUAUAAAACGCAAACUGUAGCGGAAGAAUUUAAAAUUCAUGCCAAACCAUCUAAUUCCUCCAUUCAAGUCCUUCUCGAUGCUCAUCACGAAUCAAUCCUGAUUUAUGGAAAUUGAAUCACAAUAAACUAUAAUGAGUAUGAAACUCAGUAAGUAAACUAGUUUUACAUGUACCAAAAUACAUAUAUACAUAUAUAUAGUGCAAAUGAAUGACGUGCCAUGGUAUUAGAAAACAUCUUAAAACAAAUCAUCGAAAUCUCAUUAUGUCUUUCUCAAACUUUCACAUUCUCUUUUAAACCACUUACUUGAGCUACCUUCAUUCGAUUACCGCUUAGUAGGACACUCUCUUAACUUUCAUAACUUUCAUAACUUUCAUACUCUUUGGGCUUCUCGCCAAUGCGUCCUUCGCCCACUUAUCUCAUAACUAUAUAAACAUCUAGAGUGUCCUCCACUAAGCCAGUAAUGAAUUCAAACAUCCAAGCUAAAACUAUAAAACCAUAUUUCUUUCUACAAAUUUCGUUUGCUAAAAUCAACUUUCUUAUUUUACAGAAAACAUAAUGCAUUUUCGUGCUCAUGCCAAUGAAAUAUUCACACAUACAUAUGCCCAUGUCUAUACACAUACACAUAACAACACAUCACAUAAACACAUGGGCAAAGCAUAUCAAUUCAUAUCCGUAUAUAUCAAAAUAUGUUUUUCAAACAUGUCAAAUAUAUAAUAUUGUUUAUUGUGAUUCGUUUGGAAACCUAGUUUACUUACCUCCUGGUAUCAUCGAGUAGCAAAUGCACAUCGAUAUUGGCCUAAAAAUAAAUAAAAAUACUCUCAUAAGAAUAAAAUUAAACCAUAAUCAUAAACUCCAAUAUUCUCAAAUUCCUCAAUAUAAUCACAUUCCAUACUUAACCUCAAAUAAUCUUAAUUUAAAUCAUAAAUUAUCAAAAUACUCAUAAUUCUUGAAAUUAUGAAAUUACCCUCAAAUAUCAAAAUUACUAAAUUAACCUCAAAAUCAUAAAUUACCAACUUUAUCCUCAAUUUCAGCAAUUAUUAAAAUACCCACAAAAUCUGAAAUUACAAAAUUAACCUUAGAUUAUGAAAUUACCGAAAUACCCUUGUCGGUCAACGGUCACCGAAGUUCAACUGACGGCGACGGGAAGCUCAGAACUGAAAGUUCAAGCCACGCUGAGUCUAACGGUGGCGGUGGUGACCUCCCACGCGCAGUGAUGGCUCCGGAUCGAGCUCCCAAAGCCGUGACUCCUUCAACGGCUGAUUAACGGCAAAACGACAUCCCUGGCGUCAGUGGUUAGCUGGAAAUGGCAAAGGGAAACAUAAGGAACAAAACCCAAGUGAUGGCUUCACCGGAAACCGGCGAAAUCACGGCGAAUCGAGGCGGCGAUUCCGCGGAACUUCAAAGCCUUGAUCGGUGGUUUUCAGAUCGAUUUCCGGCGGCAAGGACGGCAUGGAUACGUUGCUCGUCUCUCAAGCUUCAAAUCGAUACCAACCUUGUUCGAAAUGGUGGCCAGAAAUGGGAGAACCGAUCGGGUCGCGCUCGCAGGUCGGGUUGGAUCCGGUUCGGUUUCUCCUCUCUUUCUCUUCUCUUCUCUCUUUCUUUUCUCUCUCUCUCUCAAUUUAUAAGAGUGGUCAACAGGAUCAAAAUCGGGUGUGGGGUAUUACAAAAUACUUCAUAAUCAAAGGCUGCUCAUUGCUAUCUUCAUUUUCCUCAAACACCACCAACACGUAAACUUCACUACCCAUUUCCAAUUAUUUUUUACAAUUUGAAACAGUCAGCAACUUGUUUUCCACUCCUUUGAUAGGUUUAGAACUUUUCUCUACCUUUGAAGGACCCAAAAUGACUUUACUUCCAUCUUUAAUGAAAGUAUAAGUAUUCUUAUAACCAUCAUAAACAACCCUUCUAUCGUACUGCCAAGGAUGACCCAAAAGAAAAUGACAUGCAUCCAUAGGGACAACAUCGCACCAAACUUCAUCUUUAUAUUUAUUCCCAAUAGAAAAUGAAAUAAGGCAACGUGUGUUUACCUCAAUCUCAUUUCCCUUUUUAAGCCAAGCAAGUUUAUAAGGCUGAGGAUGCUGCUUCGUUUUGAGCUUCAACUUCUUCACCAUUUCAGUUGCUACCACAUUCUCAAAACUGCCACUAUCAAUAAUGACAUUACAUACAUUUCCAUGACAAGUGCAUUUGGUGUGAAAGAUAUUCUUUCUCAGCCAAUCUUCCUCAUCUUCACAAACAUACUCAAACUCUUUUGAAUAACUAGAGAGUUUCCAUUAUCAGCAUAUGUAACUUCUCUAUCUUUAACAUCCCUUUCAACACUAGGAUUCUCAUGAUCUUCCGCAUCCUCGUCAUCGCUUUUUUCUUCAAUAAGGGCAACCACCCUACAAUUAGGACACUCAGAAGCAAUGUUCCCAUAACCAUAACAUUUAAAACAUUGACGAGAACUAGCAUUCGAACCACUUGCUCGCUGUUUAGAUCCUUCCCCAAUAUCAUUCCUCGUAAUUUUCUUUGUAGUAGAAUUCGAACCAUAAUUAUGCUUAGAAACAGAGCCACUCCCUCGAUUGACAUCACGAACUGUGAACCGAAUACCCCCACCACGAGCAUCUUUUUGUUGCUUUUCCACCUUAAGAGCAAGUCUGCAUACAUCACUAUAAGUCCAACAUGGUUGGAGCUGGACCACAUUACCAAUCUCAGGUUUUAAACCACCCAGAUAGCGUGGGAUCGUAUGCUCUUCUGCCUAUACCAAAUCACACUUCAUCAUUAGGUUGUUGAACUCUGCUGUAUAAUCUUCCACUGACAAUUCCUUUUGCUUGAAGUUAUGGAACUUAAGGUAGAUAUCUUGCAUGUAGUUAUCGAGCAAAAACUUUCUCUUAAGCUCUUUUUUCAUUUUCUCCCAAGUAACAAUUUUCCUCCGUCUUUGUCGUUCCCUUUGUCUCUUAAGAUUUUCCCAUCAUAAAAAAGCAUACUUUUUAAGUUUAAUGGCAAUGAGUUUCACUUUGCGAUCUUCAGGCACAUCUCUGUAUUAAAAAAUGCGUUCAAUAGUAUUAAGCCAAUCAAUAAACUCUUCUGGUUGCAUUCUUCCUUCAAAUUCAGGAAUUUCGACCUUGAAGUCGAAAGGUUGAUAAGAAUUGCGACGCCUAUGAAUUCGAGAACGAGAAGAAGAUUCACUAUUGGAGCUUUGUUCCUGAUGGAAGGGAUUAUAAUCUACCCCAUCAUUGAUUGAGCCUUCUUCUUCCAAACUACCAUUAGGAGCAGCUUCUUGAGUUCCUUCAAGGUGUUGUAAUCAUUACUGAAGUUGUUCUACUUGUCUUCUAAGAUAAUCCCUUUCUAUAUCACCCAAGUCCCUCUCACGAAUAGGAGGCUCUGCAACUCUUGCAUUACGCCGACGUCGUUGAGCCAUAAAUUUUCAGAACCUAAAGCUCUGAUACCAAAUUUGACACCGGACACAAUAGAUGGGAAAAUACAACGUCACACCCCCAAGAAACCACAAGCUCACCACCACAGCAAACAACAAAAGGAUACAGAAAAAAAAUUCACCACCUAAAGUUGUUAAGCUAAGGAUACAUGGCUUAAAAUACUCACCACUCAAUGGAAUCCACCAAAGAGAUACAGAGUUUGAUAAUAACUCAAAGUUCAUCCAAUCCCCAAAAUUAAUCUCUAUCCUUUGGUUACAACUACAUAAGCUUAAAUAACUUUCUUGGAACAAUCCUCCAAGCAUAGAUAUACUACAAAGAAACCCUUCAAAUGACUUGACUUCAAAGACCAACAUUCAAGCUAGGCAUUAAUAGAACAUUGGUUUGCUCCAAAUUUAGAUUAGUAAAAUUCAUUGGAAAGCUAAUAGAAAUAUCUUUCCAAUGAUGUAUGGCUCGAAAAUUAAUUCGAUCUCAUGCAGUACAGUUUAAUUCCCAAAGAUGCCCCUUCUGCACAGAAAUUCUGCUCACUUGAUUAAUGUAAGAAUUUGAACUGCACUUGGUAUAACUUGAAUACCAAACAUUUCAAACACCCCUGUGUUAAGAUCCUGAUAAGGAAGUUGGGAAUUCAGACAGAAAAGAGCAUAACAAAUUGGGCUGAGGUUCAACAUGUUCAAAAUUUUUUGUUUCUUUGCUAAACUUUAUUUUUUUAAUUCAUAGGUUGGUUUUACGAUUUAUAAUAACGCAUGAUUCGGCUGGAUCUGUUUAUUCUUCUUUUAAUUUAUUUUUAUUUAAAUUCUAAAUUUUAAUUUUUUAAUAGAAAACUGAAAUGAUUUAAGUGAAAACGAAAUACGAAAGUGAACCAGACUAGUGGGUAAUUUAUUAUAACAGUCAUAAAUUUCUUUAAGAACACUGAUCCUUUUUGAGGUUUUCGAGUGAAAAACAGACUUGCAAACAUCCACAUUGUUGAUUCAUUGUUAUGUGGUGCAAAUUGCAACUUGAUUUGUUUAUAAUGAUUUUGCUUGCCCCAAUAUUGGCACACGUUCUUCUUCAUCUAACGUAUAACCUUGGCUUUGUUCAUAUGUAUCUAUAUUCUCAUCGACAAUUUUUUUUUGAAAGAAUUCUUUGGAAUAACUCUUCUGCAGCUUAAGGUACACAUGCCAUUUUGCAGAUGCCCUAUUGUUUUCUUAUGGAUGGUCUUUCUAAGGCUGGUCGUUUAGAUGAAGCAAGAGUAGUUUUUAAAAAAAUGCAGGAAAAAUGCGUUAAAUCUAGUAUGUUUCCCAUUUGAUAAGGGACCUUCUAGCAAGCUGUUAGUUUCAAAUAUUUAUUAUUAUUAUUUUUUCUCUUUACCUAAGAAACAAGAACAUUCUCAAAAAUUAAAUCAUUCAUUUGACCAUUGUUGACAAAUGCAGUGUUGUACAUGUCAUUUCAAUGCCAUGCCAAAAGAAUGGGGAUUGCUUUUGAAAUUAAGUUAAAUUUCUUUUUCCUUAAUCUCAAAGAAAAAUAAACUAUCUGAUUCUAGUUAUAAAGCUUUAUUUUCACCUUAAACACACAUUUGUUUUAGUUCUGUCUUUAAUUAUUUCUAAUGCCCCGAGAAAAUCUAACUUCUAUGUUUGUUGCACAUGCUAUGAACUCCCUAGUUGCCUUUUCCUAGAUUUAAAGGCUAGGGAGAAACAUUGUUAUUCCUAUAUUAGAGGUGAGUAGCCUAUAUAAUUUGAUUAGUUCACGUCUGUUUUACUUGAAUCAAGAAUAGAGUGGCCUAAUCUGAUCUCUGUCGUUGUUGGCAUUAUUUAUGCGUUGAAGAAUGCUGUAUUGAGGUAUAUUCAUUGUAUUUUGCUAAAUAAAUUUUGUUAGACUUGACUUGAAGUCUGAAAAAUACUUGCGAUGUUUUCUUACCUAAUAGCUUAAGCAUAUGGAUCAAUGGAUUUUACUAACGUGUGUUGCUCUAUCUCAAUUAAUUUUCAAAAGGAUAUCUCUUUCAAAUCAAGGUCCUUGCCUUAUGUCUUAAGCUUUUAGGUUAAGCACAAAUUUUGUUUCCCUCACGCAGAUGGCUAUGCCCAUAGUAUCAUGAUUUCAGCAUUCUGCCGAGGUGGGUGUUUUGAAGAGGCAAAGCAGCUGGCUAGGGAUUUUGAAGCCAAGUAUGACAAAUAUGAUGUUGUUCUGUUAAAUUCAAUGCUUUGUGCCUACUGCAGAACUGGUGAUAUGGAGAGUGUAAUACAUGUCAUGAGGAAAUUGGACGAAUUAGCAAUUAGUCCCGAUUACAAUACCUUUCACAUUCUAAUCAAAUAUUUCCGCAAGGAGAAGAUGUAUAUGCUUGCUUAUCGGACAAUGGUGGACAUGCAUAAGAAAGGCCACCAACCUGAGGAGGUACAUCACAUAAAUUUAUUACUCCUUGUCAAGGAUUUACUCUAGUCCCUUGUAAUUCUAGAGGCCUUCGUUACUACUGUGAUUUUAGAUAAUAAAAGUGGUCAUAAACAAAUGAACUUUCACUUUGGGACUGCAACGCGAAAGACUUAUCACAUAUAUGCUGUUUUGCAGGAACUCUGCUCCUCCCUAAUUUUUCAUCUUGGUAAAAUGAGAGCACACUCAGAAGCUCUCUGUUUACAACAUGUUAAAGAUAUAGCAAAAGAUCGAUGUGCAAUGCCCUUCAUGAGAAAAUUCUUCAUAUUUUAAUAUCCGAAAAGCUCCUCAAAGAUGCUUAUGUAGUAGUUAAGGUCUGCUAUAUUGUCUUACCAUUUUAGAUCGAUUCUUCAACUAUCCUUUAUAUGCUUUUCAACCUAAAUUACUCUUUUUUCAGGACAAUUCGUAGUCAAUUUAUCAUCCUGCUAUUAAGAAGUUUGCAUCUGCAUUUGUGAGGUUAGGAAAUAUUAACUUGGUUAAUGAUGUAAUGAAGGCAAUCCACGCAACUGGCUACAUGAUUGAUCAAGUAAGCAAUCAAGGAUUUGUAAAGCAAACACAAGCUCGCAUGCGCGUACGAGCGCGCACAUACACACACACGAGUAAAAGUAAUAAUUUAGAAAUAGCAUGAUAUAUAGCAGAACGUGAGAAGAAGGAAUUGCUGCACAAGUUGCUAGAAUGGAUGACGGGUCAAGGUUAUGUUGUUGAUUCUGUUGUGCGCAGAAUGCGAAAUCAAGCGCACUAAAUAAUUACUGAAAAAUAAAGGACACAAAAUUUACAUAGUUCGGUAAUUAAACCUACAUCCACGGAGGCAAGAAAGAAUAAUUGUUUAUUUAACAAUUAAUAGAGUAACGAAUCUCACUUCCCAUAAACCCAAAUAUACCCAAUACUCUCACACUCUGCAGGAAAGAUAAAUUCCCAAGACACACUUCUCUCACUCUCUCAAAAGCUUAAAAACUUAUAAGCUUAACAAUUUUGGGAUGUUAAACAAAUGAAGAAUGCUUAGCUAUUUAUAGGAAAAAUGUUGACACUAUUCAUGAAACAAAUAUCAAGAAAAAAACCGCAUUUCAAACGCGUCCAAACCGUGUCCACACCGCGUGCAAACCGCGUUCAAACCGUGUGCAAUGAGUGUUGCCACCACAUGGAUUUGACUUGACUUUUCAACAAAUCUCCACCUCGGCGAAAAUUUAUCCAAAUCUGAGCCGAUUGACAAUGAUCCUCCAAACUUCAUCCCUCACAUGAUCCUCAAAAGGAUCCACAUUGGUUGCAUCUAUCCGACUGCCUACGUACCCAAAGGUUGGGAUCAAGCCUGCCGUAGUUCCUGUUUCCCAAGGAAACGCCUCAACAUAAUCGAAGGAUCUGAAUUAAUUUCAAGCAAUGUUGAAACUUAAUUCCUGAAAUCACCUUUGUCAACAUGUCUGAUGGGUUAUCUCUAAUAUUGAUCUUUUUUAAUAACACAUCACUGCUCUCGAUAAUCUCCCUUACACAAUGAUAUUUCACAUCUAUGUGCUUCGUCCGAGAAUGAUACGUCUGAUUCUUUGCAAGGAAUAUCACACUUUGAUUAUCACAAAAGACCUUAAUGUUCUUUUGGAUAUUUCCAAAAUCACCCAACAAGCCUCUCAACCAUAUAGCCUCCUUGACAGCCUCAGUUAUUGCCAUAUACUCUGCUUCCGUAGAGGACAGAGCAAUUGUUGAUUGUAAAAUCGACCUCCACCCAAUGUAAAUACGUAGCCCGUUGUUGAUCUUCGCUUGUCAAGGUCUCCAGCGAAAUCAGAAUCACAAUACCCAACAAAUUGUUGACUACAAUCCUUCUUAAACAAUAACCCAAUAUUAACUGUCCCAUAUAGAUAUUAGAGAAUCUACUUUACUACAAGCCAGUGAUUUUUACCCGGAUUGUGUAUGUAUCUACUAACCAUGCUCACUGCUUGAGAUAUAUCAUGCCUUGUGCAUACCAUAGCAUACAUAAGACUACCCACAACACUAGCAUAUGGAAUACGAGCCAUGUAAUCACGCUCCUCUUGAGAUGUAGGACAUGAAGAAAAACUUGAUUUGAAAUGAGGAGUUAGAGGUGUGCAUACCAGUUUAGUUUUGUCAUCUAUAUCGAAUUUUUCUAGCACUUUCGUCAAAUAAGACUUUUGAGUCAACCAUACGCUCCCAUUCUUCUUGUCUCUAUGAAUCUCUAUCCCAAGUAUUCUCUGUGCAUCACCCAAGUCUUUUAUCUCGAACUCAUAAUCGAGCUGCUUCUUUAAUCUUUCGAUCUCAUCUCUAUUCUUCGAAGCUAUAAGCAUAUUAUCGACAUAGAGUAACAAAUAGAUGAAAGUUCCAUCUGGUAGUCUUCUAAAGUAAACACAAUGAUUGUGUUCACUUCUGGUGAAUUUAUGCCCUUAUAUAAAUUGAUCAAAUCUUUUGUACCACUGCCUUGGCGAUUGCUUCAGUCCGUACAAAGAUUUAAUCAACCUAAACACAUGAUUCUCCUUUCCAGCAACUCUGAAACCACAAGGCUGAAUCAUAUAGAUUUCCUCCUCCAAAUCUCCAUGUAAGAACUCGUCUUAACAUCCAAUUGAGCCAACUCUAACUCAUAUUCUACAACUAAGGCAAGUAUGAUACGAAUGGAAGUAUGUUUUACAACUGGAGAGAAACUUCAUUGUAGUCAAUACCUUAUGUUUGAGCAAAACCUUUUGCCAUGAGCCUUGCCUUGUAUCGAGGAAUUGUUUAAUUCGGAGAUCUUUGCUUUUUAGUGUAGACCCAUUUAUUGCCAAUAGCCCUUUUCCCUUUUGGUAACUUUAUAAGUUCCCAAGUUUGGUUUUAAUGGAGAGAUUUCAUCUCUUUCUCCAUGGCUAACUUCCACUGAUCACUUUCACUGCUGCAUAAUGCUUCACCGAAAGUGUUGGGGAUAUCAUCAUCAAUAACUGGAAGUGCAUAGGCUACCACCAUAUCUUUAGUAAGCCAUCAGGGUUUCUUUAUCUCUCUUCUUAGUCUCCUUGUUGCUAUAAAAUCAUCAUUAUCUACAUUAUCAAUUGUUUCUUCAUUUUGUGGGACAUCAGAAGAAAUAACCUCUUCUUCAACUCUAUGUGUCACCUACAUAGUUGAACCCUUCUUUGAUGUAGAACUAACUGGUACAUAUAGAGUUGUAUUAAACUCCACCCGCUGCAAUACCUCUUUCGUCUUGUUCUCCACCUGCUAAGAACUUGAAGCUUCAUCAAAUGUGACAUCUCUGCUACACACAAACUUUUUGUCUUCGAGAUCCCAAAGCUUGAAGUUCUUUACUCCACAUUUGAAUCCCACAAAGAUAACUUUUCUAGCACGAGGAUCCAGUUUACCAUCUUUGACAUGAUAAUAAGCUGGACACCCGAAUAUACGAAGGGAAUCAUAGUCUUGUGCAGGCUUUCCAGACCACAUUUUCAUAGGAGUUUCACCUCCAAUUGUAACAGAAGGCAACCGGUUUACCAAGUGACUUGCGUAGCUCAUAGCUUCAGCCCAAAACUUUUUAUUUAAACUAGUAUUAGAUAACAUACACCAUACUUUCUCCAGUAAAGUACAAUUCAUACGCUCAGCCACACCGUUCUGUGGCAGAGUAUGUCUCACCGUGAAAUGUCUUUUAAUACCCUCGUUCUGGCAUACUUGCAAGAAUGGAUCAGAAGUAUAUUCACCCCCAUUAUCAGAUCGUAAUACUUUGAUCUUUCUGCCAGUUUGAGUCUUGACCAAUUUCUUCCAUUUCACGAAAAUCUCUAGAACCUUAUCCUUUGCUCGCAUGGUGUACACCCGCACACGUCUAGAGAAAUCAUCAACAAAUGUAACAAAAUAAUGGCUUCCACCAAUUGAUCCAGUCUUGGUUGGUCCCUAUACAUCACUAUGAACAUAUUCAAGGAUCUCACGAGUAUCGUGAUUAGCUGUACCAAACUUGACCCUUGUUUUCUUGCUUACUACACAAUGCUCACAGAAAUUUAAUUUAUAGGUUUUGGUACAUUUUAAGAGUCCAUGUCUCAUCAAAGUUUGUAAAGACUUCUCUCCAACAUGUCACAGUCGUACAUGCCAUAGCGUGGUGGUGUCACUGUGCGCCUCAACAGUUGUCCCAACAUUUACUUUAUCAGUUGUACCUCCCUUCAAAUAGUAUAGAUUGUAACGCCGAACCCCUUGCAGAAUCACCAUAGUCCCAUGUGUAAACUUCAUUAUGCCAUCUUCAAUGGUAACCUUGUAGCCUUUAGCUUCCAAAGCACCCACAUAAAUUAGAUUUUUCUUUAAAGUUGGAACAAAUCUAACCUCUUUGAGUUCUCUGACCAUUCUAUCAAACAUUUUGAUCCGAAUUAUUCCUAUCCCCAUUGUGCGACAAGGUUGAUCAUUCCCCAUCACAACUGCACCAGAUUCCAGAUUACGAUAAUCUAUAAACCAUUCCUUAAUAGGACACAAAUGAUAGGUUGCUCCAGUAUCAAGUAUCCACUUGCUCGAACUAGCCACGUAUGCUGCAGGAGUAAUACUUAGUGAAUAAUCAGAGCCCUCAUCUUUCCGUGCCAUGUUUGCUGCUGCUGGUUUCUUCCCAUCUCUCUUUUGAGCCUUUGGACAAUCUUUCCUCCAAUGGCCCUUUUCAUGACAAAAGGCACACUCGUCUCGAGCUAUAUUUCUGCUUCUCGAUUUGGAUCGAGAAUUCUUUCCACCACGCUUCUUCUGUUUCUCCAUCGCCCAAUCUCUACUCACCAAGACUUCAGACGAUGCUCGUUCAGAAUUUUUAUCAUUAUUCCGAAUCUUUAAGCUAGUCAAUGUUGUGCAAACAUUUUUAAAGACGAUCACACUCUUUCCAUAUAUCAAAGUAGUCACAAAAUGGCUAUAUUCCUCUCGUAGUAAGUGUAACAGAAUCAUAACCUUGACUUCGUCCUUAAUAUCUUCAUCAAGAUUCUUCAAAUCAGCAAGUAACUUUUCAAAUCUUGAGACAUGAUCGUGCAUUGACACCCCAGGCUUUAUUCGAAAGCCAUAUACUUGGCUCAUUCCAUGAACACGAUUUUCACAACUUUUCAGCAGCUACAUCUCCUCCAAUGUACGCCACAAAGUCACCGCACACUCCCCAUCUUUCACCAAGUAUUGCACCUCCUUAGUCAAACAAGAUCUGAUCUGACCACAAGCUUUCUCGUUCAUACAAUCCCAAAUUUCUUCAUCAUACAAAUGUCUUUUAUUUUUCAGAACAACAUCGAGAUCGAUUUAAAUAAGGGCAUCCAUAACUUCGCGCCUCCACAUGCCAAAGUUGAUUUUCCCAUCAAACUUUUCAACAUCGAUCUUUUGACCUCCUAUAACAGGUGCUGCAUAGCGAUUUGACAAAUCUCGCCUCGCACCUGAAGUGUCUUCUAAAAUAGUCUCGGUAGAUCUCUGAUUGACACUAAAAAGUGUACAUUUAAUAAGAAUAAAAUUAUUAGUUUUUCACUUAUUGUGUCGAUUAAUGCGUUCAUUAUUUUUAAACUAUUUUAAUACUCCCCAAAUAUAUUUUAUGUUAAAUUAAUUCGUAAUUUGUUAAUUUUUAUCUUGUAAAUAUUUUUCAGGAAUAAAGAUGGAAUUGUAAUUGAAAGCGGGAACAAAAAAGAACUACUGGAACAAAAUUGAAGAGAUGUAAUAAUAAAUAAUAAAUAAAUAAAAAGAACAAAAGAACAAAAACGUUUUGGUGAUGGUCAGGAGGCCAUUACGCCUCCUGACCAUCACACAUUUCAACACACUUAUAUAUUUUAAAAUAAUAAUAAAAUAAUAAAUAAGUAAUAAAAUAAAAUAAAAGUUAAAGGCAAUUGUUGCCUAUAAAAAGGGGACGCGAGGGAGAAGUUGGGGCGGAUUUUUUCAAAAGUAGAGAGAGCUAAUUUGAGAGCUGAAGCCGAGACUGAAGAUUUUCUUUCUUUCUUUUCUUUUCUUAUUUCCAUUUGUAUCAAUUUUCUUUGUAAUAUGUUUCAAAAAGUUUAUCAAAUAAAAAGAGUGUUGUGUUUUCUUUCAAAAUGAGCAGCUAAUUUUAUUAAGCUGAGGUGAAAGGUGAAGCUCAAUGUUUUAAACUAUUAAGUAUUAUUUUCUCAAAUGAGUUUUUAAAGUUUAUUUAAUUCUUUUCUAAUUAUUUUUAUGUCAUGUUAAUUUAUAAAUCUCACUGGAUUUUAUGUUAUUUUGACAUAAUAUCGACACAUUAAUAUAAUGUGGCACAUUAGGUAUUUUAUUCUAUAUUUAUCCACACACAUAGAAUUAAAUGAUAUAAUAAUUAAUUAGUAAAAGUGAGGCAAAAUAUAAAUGAGAGAGUAUUAAAAUUAUAGUUUGAAUACAGAGAGUGGAUCCUAAACCUUAGCUUAUUUUUAAAUCAAUUUCAAAUAAUUUCUUUGCCCCGCAAUUAAUUUUCUUAGUUUUACUAGAUUUAAAACUCUAUGUAGUUCGACCCCGUUCUCACCGGGUUAUAUUAUAACUAGACACUCUUAUACUUGAGAGUAAUACACUUUUGAGUCGUGUCAAUCUCUCCCCAAUUCUGGAAGUUUUACCUUCUACCAUUUUCUCAACAAAUUAUUUCCACUUGAAAAAUAACCUCUAUGAUGUUAAUUUCGCGUGAAUAAAUGCACGAGGAAAGUUCUCAGGAAACUAGACGGGAACUUGGUCCCAAUUAAAAACCAGAAUCCUUAGACUCUUAUCGCCUUUUUUGACAGAACUUUCCUAGACAUGCAAAAAUACACACUACUUACAAUAGAUUGUCUUUCAAGUACAAAUGGCCGUCUCCACCGUAUUCGUGAACAGUACCGUAUGUGAAUAGUGCCGUAUACGUGAACAGUACCGUAUCCCCCAAGUACGAACCUAGCUCUGAUACCACUUGUUGUGCGCGGAAUGCGGAAUCAAGCGCACCAAAUAAUUACUGAAAAAUAAAGGACACAAAAUUUACGUGGUUCGGUAAUUAAACCUACAUCCACGGAGACAAGAAAGAAUAAUUGUUUAUUUAACAAUUAAUAGAGUACAAAUAUUUGAGUAACGAAUCUCACUUCCCAGAAACCCAAAUAUACCAAGUACUCUCACAUUUUGCAGGAAAGAUAAAUUCCCAAGAAACACUUUUCUCACUUCUCUCAAAAGCUUAGAAACUUAUAAGCUUAACAAUUUUGGGAUGCUAAACAAAUGAAAAAUGUUUAGCUAUUUAUAGGAAAAAUGUUGGCACUAUUCAUGAAACAAAUAUCAAGAAAAAAACCGCAUUUCCAACGCGUCCACACCGCGUUCAAACCGUGUGCAAUGAGUGUUGCCACCACAUGGAUUUGACUUGACUUUUCAACAGAUUCAUCAACAAGAAACCUGAUACUCAAAAACUCACACUUAUUCGGGCGGCAGCUCAUCGCUGAUAUACUGUCCAAGCAACAUAUGAAGUCAAAAUCGUCAAGAACUCUGAAAGAAUGAGCAAUUUGAUAUUAAUUAAUGCUCGAGUUCUAGAUAAAGAAAUGAAUAUGGCUUACGUUUUACCCUAUCAUGCUAUAAGCUAGCAUGUCUCUGUUAUGUGUUAAAAGUUAAAACUCUAAUAUUUUACUACAUAGAGCGGUUAAUCAAAAGAUAAAAGAAAAAGGGGGGGGGGGGGGUGUUGUUGGAAAAGAAAGAAAUCAGACAGGGAUUAAAAAGAUCUAGCAUUGAAGGUGAUGAAAUCCUACUAUACUUGGAAAUUAUGAAUUUACCCUUCAUCUUCAAGCUCCCAAGGCCUGCAACUUAGGUCUUUAACUUGCAAAAGACAGUUUAUUGCUACGCGCAAGUUAGCAUUUGGUUCAUGAGAAAAUUUGUCAAUAAAGUGUAAUGAAGCUGUACCAGAGUUGUAGCAAGAAUGUUUCUCUAGAGACCUACUUAUCGUCUUCUCUUUCUCUCCUUGGAUGGGAGAGUGUUUGGAUUCACUUAUUUUUUUUAAUUUUUUUUUUAUUUUUCUGGUAGAGUCGCUUGGAUCCCUUUAUUAAUAUCCUAAAUCUGGAUUUAUGGUCCCAAUUAGUUUGACACUUUUAUUUGUAACUGCCAUAUCAAGUAAGUUAUUAAUCAUUACAGAGAAAAUUGAAGCACUGAGAUCCCUAGUUUUAAUAUUCUAAUUAUAGUUGUUGCUAAGAUUACUAUCGCUAGCUUGCAAUUAAUUCAGCUUAAGUUGUCGAUUUCCUACAAGCAAAAAAGAUGGUCAUUGAGCGUCCUUGUAAGGACACUGACACCUCUGUAAAGGAACUUGGAGACCCUCAUAUUUUCUAAAAAAGGAUACAGACCUCUUUUUGGACAUACAAAAAAAAGUUUUUUUAGACAAACUACAGACCUCUUUUUGGACAUACAGAAAAGUUUUUUUAGACAAACUUUGGGGUUCAAUGUGAGACGAUGAUUGUAUUUGAACACAAAAGAUAUUUAAAAAAGUACGUCCCGAAUAAUUGCUAUUUGUGGAGGCUCAUUUUCAAGAAAUUGUUAGAAGUUUUAGGAAAGGACGAAAUCUCUAGUCGUAAGAGAGCAUUGCCAUUUAUGGAUCAAUGUCCAAAUGAAUUUAGAGGUUCACCUCAGAAGGCUUUUAUAAUUUCAGUAUUUAUUUUAUAAUUUAUUGAUUUCAUCAAUCAUUCUAGGAAUUCCAGGCUGAGUCGCAAAUGUAGUCUCAAUCAUGUGACGGUGUCAUGAAAACUUUUAUUCUUUUUCUAUAAUUGGGAGGAGAUAUUUUUUCUCUCCAACAAGACUCGUGAUAAUAAAGAUACCAAAAUGUACAUUAUUAGUCAAAUGUAUUUCUAUUAUUGAUCAAUAUAAGGAUCAAUAAGAGAGGAAAAACUGUGGUGCAACUGUGGUACCGUGCCACAGUUACACUCAGCCAUUGGAUUCUAAUGGACCCCACUUAUCCAAAUGGAUCUAACGACUGGAUACAAUUGUGACACGGUACCACAAUUGCACCGUAGCCAGACCCCAAUAAAAGAUGUUUUACUUGAAUUAGAAGAAAUUAGUGAAGAUUCUAAAAUAAAGAGAGAAGUUAAGUGCUUAGCAACAUAUGAAUUAAAAGAUUUUGAAUUCAUAUUAGAUGUGAUUAUUUAGUACGAUAUUAUUUGCUGUUAACUCUGUAAGAUCGAUCUUGCAAAAAGAAGAUACGCAUAUUGAUAUUGCUAGAGAUAAGUUUAAAGGUCUUUUUUCCUUCUUCGAAAGAAAAUAGAGAAAAUGGGUCCAUGUCUGCUAUGAUUUGAGCUAAAGAAAUUGCAAGUUAAAUGGAAAUAGAACCUAAAUUUCAUGAAAAAUGUAUAGCUCGUAGUAAAAGAACAAAUUUGGUGAAAAUAUUAGUGAAGAGGAAAUUUUGCCUCUCAAAGAGUCUUUUAGAAUUAAUUAUUUUAUAUACAUAAUAGAUCAAGCCAUCUCUUCAAUAAUAAUAUAUUUGAAUAAUUUCAAAUUUAUGAUAAUUUAUUUGGGUUUUUGUAUAAUUUCAAAAAAUUACAACUGUUAAGUGACUAUAUUUUAAAAACUUAUUGUUUUAAUCUUGAAAAUACUUUAAAACAUGAUACGCUUUUUGAUAUAGAUAGUUUAAAUUUGUUUUGAGAGUUGAGAAUUUUAAACAAGUUUUUCAAGGUGAAAAAAUACUGCUUAAUUAUUUAAAAAAAUUUGAUUCUUUUCCAAAUGCAUAUAUUACUUAGAGAAAAUUAUUAACAAUACUAGUAAGAAUUGCUUCUGUAGAAAGAAAUUUUUCAAAAUUAAAAUUGAUAAAAACUUAUUUAAGAUUAACAAUGAUACAAGAAGAUUAAAUGGACUAACUAUAUUGUUUAUUGAGAAAAAUAUAUUAGCAAAAUUAGAAUAUAAAAAUUUGAUCAAUAUUUUUGCAUCUCAAAAAAUUAGAAAAUUUGAGUAAAAUUAAUACAUGUAUUUAACCUUAAUUUUUUUUUGAAAAGUCUAAUUGAAAUAAUUCCCCUAAAAACCCAUAAUUGAUUGAGCCGUUACUGUCUACAAGACUCUAAAAAUAAAGAUACCAAAAUGUACAUUGUUAGUCACAUGUAUUUCUAUUAUUUUUAUUUUUCAUUAAACUUCUGAAGUUGUGAUUUGAUGGUUGAUAAUUUACUUCAUCUUGUGUCAAAAAAGAGAGGCUCCCCGAACAAGCCCACACCAACUAGUCUAAUUUUGUAAGCGCAUGUGAUUAUGAAUUGCUCAUUGAUGUUGUAUGUUAUCACUGUGUCAAAAAGGAGAGGCUUUGACUCCCUGACAGGCCAAUACCGACUAGACUAAGGGUGCGUUUGGGAUUGAAGUUGGGCAGCUGUAACUUUUAAACUACAACACUAAAGUGUUUGGUAAACACUAACUGCUGUAGUUUGAAAGUUAUAUUAAUAUAAUUUUUCACUUGUAUAAUAGAAAAUCUAUUAUAUCUUUAAUAAUUUUGUCAAAAUUAUUAAUUAAAAUUUAUAUUUAUUACAUAUUAUUAAUUUUUAUUUCAUAGUCACAACUUUUUUUUCACAGCAGCUGUAGCUUAAAAGUUACAGCACCUCAAUCCCAAACGCACCCUAAUUUUUCAUAUGCAUGUGGCUCAUGCACCGCACUACAGUGUAAUGCAGCAAAAUUAAAAGGAAAAAAAUGAAAUAUGUUGUCUCUUUUUUAUGAGAAAUUCUAGCAUAUGUGUAUUUAAAUUUUAUAUAACCACUAAUUAUAUAUCAGUUCUUUCAAAUAAAUGUACUUAUAUUAUAUAAUUAUUUAUUUAUUAUAUAAAUGACAUAAUAUCUUAAAGGUAUUUUAAAAUUUCUUUUCUAUCCUUCUUGUCAUUUUCGACUAUUAUUCAAUGCGGUGGCAUUUUACAAGCUGAUAUGGUGCCUCACAAAACUCUUUUGUUUUGAGUUUGAUGAUCCUUAGGAAAUGGCACAAAUAUCUCUUCUAAUGGUAUUUUAUAGGCUGUUGAUGAAAAGUAGCAUGUGUUUUGGAAGACUAAUGGUAUUUGCAUUUUGUUUGCAAAUUCUAAUAAAGUCGGGCUACACAGGAUUUUUGAAUAAAAGCUUGUUUAAUCUCUACAUUUUGGGGUUAAUGUCUUUUUAGUCACUAUAUUUUUAGAAGCAUCUCAAAACAUCCCUAUUAUUAAAUUAUUGACAUCUUGCCAUUAUUUUUGUUCCUUUUCGCUUGCUUUUAUAUACUACCCUCUUACAAUAAUAUUUAUUUUUUGGAUAUUAAUAAAAAGAAAAAAAUAAAUUACCUAUUUAAUCCUAAAAAAUUAAUGUUGAAUACUCUACUGAGGAGUUACUAUAUUAAUUUUUUUUAUUAAUGUCCAAAAAAAUUGGUAAUUUAUUUUUUUAAAUAUUAAUUUUUUUGACAUACAUGAGCUUCCAGAAAAAUUAAUAUAUAUAUUUUAUUUUUAGGGUUAAAUUGAUAAUUUAAUUUUUUUUUUUAUUAAUGUUAAAAAUUUUUGAAAUUUAUUAAUUUGUUUUCCGCAAAAGUACUUUAUAACUGUAACAAAUAGAAUUUCGUUGUUAGUCCUCAACAUUAAGAUAUUGUUUGCAACUUUCUGUUCCUUUUUUUUCUUUAAACUUACUUUGUGUGAUCUUAUUUCUGCAUAAAACAAGAUUUUAAUGUAAUAAAUAGAACUUUUAUUGGUAGAAUUGAAUUUAUGAAUUUCUUGUCAUUUCUGUGUGCAUUUAUUGUGUAGUUUAUGGAAAGACUCUUUAAAAAAUUUGUAUGCAGGAAAAAAAGAAAAAGAAAAAUAAAUAAAGAUUAUACAACAUUCAUCCGAAUGUGCGGAUGAUGUAUGUGUCUUCUGUCACAAUAUUGACCUCGUUCGCACAGUAUGAUGUACGCCUUCCACCCCCCCUCCCCCCCCCCUCCCCCCCCCCCCAUGUGAAUAAAAUACUUUGUACGAUUAAGACUUAAAAAUUAAACGCUUUCAAAACUCAGAAAAAAAUGAGUAAGAAAAAUAAAUCACAUGAACUUCUCUGCCUAUAUAUAUGUAUAUGUAUAUAUAUAUAUAACCUCGGGCAUCACCACAAACCAUAGAAUAAUUUGAGAAUCUUUGCCAAGCAUAACUGUAAGCUAGCUUACAGUACAUCUUAAUAUCCAAUGUCUUCUUGCAUUAAUCCCCCAACCUUGGUUACCUCUGUAAAUGGUUUCAAAUGUCUUCCUCUUGCAACAAAUAGAGCAGCCGUCAGAAUCAUGGCCAAAAAUAAGCCAGUCCAAUGCCUUGUCCGCGCCAAAUAUGACAAUUUGACAGUUGAUAGGAGAUCAGCAAACUACCAACCUUCAAUUUGGGACCAUGAUUUUUUGCAGUCAUUGAAUAGCAACUAUACGG